rnacentral:lncRNA from 1 species
CUUCCCCAUCACCCUCACCUUUACCAAUCAGAGGUGGUACUUCUGAUUCUUCAUCUCCAGGACAUUUUUUGGUAAGGGGAGGUCCACAUAGAUGUGCGUUUCCACUGUAUCUUGAAGGUGGAAAGGACUGGAGUUGUGUGCUAGUUGGGAUUCUUCCUGACAAGUUAUUAUAUGACAAGUCUAGGUAAUUCAGUAAACUCAUCUGAGACAUGUCUGGUGGUAUCCCUCCUGAAAAAUUGUUUCUGGAUAAAUCCAAAGUCAAAAGCUUUUCCAUCUUAUCAAUCUUCUGCGGAAUCUCUCCAAAUAGAUUGUUAUUUGACAAGGACAGGGACACCAAGUCAUGAAGAUUGGUAAUUUGAUAUGGGAUUUGUCCUGUUAAAUUGUUGCUUGACAGGUCAAUGCUCUUCACCAAUUUCAGAGUGGUAGAAAAUUCACGUUCAUCUCCUUGCCACUCAAUCAUCGCAUGGACAAUAUAUGUGUCAGCUACAACAGCCUCUGUUCCUAGAAUUCUAGUAUACGUUACGUCUUCUGAGAAUACUUGUUGAACCAUACUUGUAAGAUUACUCAAACAUGAGGGGAUGGUUCCUUGGAGAUUGUUCAUUGACAGGUCUAGAAUUUGAAGAUUUGCUAAUUGACAUGACUGUAAGGGAAUGGUUCCAAAAAAGUUGUUUGAUCUUAGGAUUAGAAAAUACAACCCUGAUAAGUUUUCCCCUAUCCAAACUGGCACAUUACCAGAAAACUUGUUGGCCCCCAAAUUCAAUGAGAUCAAACUUGUGCAAUUCUUUAAAGACAAAGGCAAUUCUCCAGAGAAGUUGUUCUUGUAUAAAUACAACAUCUUGAGUUCUACCAAGGAUCCAAUAGAGGGAGGAAGCCUUCCAAAUAGAUUGUUGUGUCCGAGAUUAAGAACUUCUAGAUGUUCGAAAUGCCACAAACAGUCCGGGAGUUGUCCGGUUAAGGAGUUAUGAGAGAGAUCGAGAAAAGAUAAUGGCCCACCAACAAUUUGGCAUAUGAAGGAGAUUCCUCCAGAGAAUUUGUUUCUGGACAGAUCUAAUGUUGACAAAAUGGAAGGAACAUUUGGAAUUGAACCAUAAAAGUUGUUGAAACUCAAAUCUAUCACUGAAGUGUUGGCAAAAUUUGAUAAUAAAUCUGGUACUUUUGUGCUAAUGUUGUUGGAAGAAAGAUUCAGAUAACCUAAACGAGAAGGCCACAUGUCCCAAAACUCCAGAGGAAUUGUGUCUGAAAUUCCAGAAUUGGAAAGAUCAAGACGGGUGAGAUUUUUGAGUGUCUGAAUCCAUUUGGGGAAGAGAGGCCCUAUAUUGGAAGAACGCAGAUCAAUAGACUGUAUAGAAGAAAGGCUUGACAGGUGAGAUGAGGAAGGAGCUGUAACAUUAUUAAAGGAAACAAUAACAGUUUCAAGGCUGGGUAGUUCCCACAGUUUCUCACUUAUACUUCCAUUUAAAUGAUUAUCAGAUAGGUACAACCAUAUUAGGGAUGAAAAGUUUUGGAUCUCAUCGGAAAAUGGACCUGUAAAUUGGCUUCUUGUAGCAUAAAAUCUUUGUAUUGAAAGCGAUGUGCAUCCAGACAAGUUGUGGAGAAAAUCAGGAAAUUUGACAACCGCAGAGUUGUUAUCGAAGUAAAAAGUUUUCAGAUUACAGAGGUUACCAAGAUAUUUGGGUAUCCCAUCUAACAUGUUGCUGGUAAGAUCAAGGAUUUCAAUGCUAUUGCUGGUUAAUGGGAACAACCAACGAUACAUGGACGAGUUGAGAUUGUUGUCAUUGAGAUAAAGCUUAACAAUAGAUGAUGAAGAAGAAUUGAGAAAUGAAGAAUAUGGAUUCAUGACCUGUGACAGCUCACAUCCCUCUAAACUUAAAACUGAUAGUUUUUGGAGACUCGAAAUUACAUCUACCCAAUGAUCUGCUUUUGCUAGUGAAAUCCCAUCCAUAUCAAGUUCCUCCAAAUGAGAGAGAUGAGACAACCACUCUACCUUUUCAACUCUACACCUUUCAACAUUUCCAAGUCGAAGAACUUGCAAGUUGGUGAGGUUUCCAAACUCUGGAGGAAUGGUUCCAAAAAAAGAGUUAUGGGAAAGGUCAAGUUUCCUUAAUUCAGUCAAGGAACCAAUAAAGUUGGGAAUGGUUCCAUUGAAAGAAUUAUAGGAAAGAUCAAGAAGAUUCAAGUAGGUUAAGUUAAGCAGUGAAUGGCUUAUCUCACCUCCAAGACUAUAAAAGCUCAUAUCAAGCUCUGUGACAUGACCUGUUUGUUCAUCGCACAUGACUCCUUUCCAUUCACAGCAAUCAUGUUUAUCAGCUAUCCAUGUAGAGAGAUGGCCAUAUGGGUCUUGAAGGGGAGCUUUGAAAAGAAGUAGAACCAGUCUCUCCUUAUCCAAACACUUUAUUUUCAUGUUAACAUCAUUAUAAGUAUCAUCUCCUCCUCCUUCUCCCACUACCACCAAUUGGCUGCCAGUUUUAGCCACAAUGAAGAACAAUAGAAGUAAGAAAAUUAAGUAAACACAAUGAUUCAUAAUGUAAAUGAAAAUAUUGUUGAGUUUUAGCUUUUAUUGAUAUAUGAACUGCCCCAUGAGGGUCUAUAUAGUCUCAGACUGUGAAGAUGAAUGAUUCUAAUUGGGUGGCCUCAAAUAGGUGUACGUCCACUUGUGUGGGGAAUACAAAUACAAUAUUUAGUUUCUUGAAAUUAGAACCAAACUACAAGUCAAAUUCAUGGCAAUAGAACCAAACUACAAGUCAAAGUCAUGGAAAUUUCUAUUUAUUAUAAAAAAAUAUCUUUUCCCACCUUGUGAUAUUUUGCAAUUUGUAUUUAUUAAAGAUAUCUUUUUCCCAAAUUAUUGGCCUGCCUGUGUGGAGCAUACAAUAUUUAAUUUCCAUCAAAUUAGAGUUGGAACUAGUUGCCCCAAUUAAUUAGACUUCAAAGACUUGCAAGUCUUUGCAAUUUAUAUUUAUUAUCGGAUACAAAAAAAGUCAGAAUGUACAAACAUUGAUAAUCAAACUAUUUAUGUUUAUGCACAUAUAUCACACAAUCCAUGUAUCUCAUAUCCUACAUCCAUAAUCAAACUAUUUAUGUUUAUGCACAUAUAUCACACUUUAUCCUAUCAUUAAAGUACUUCUCACCCUAAACAGAAUUAUGAAAUCAAUUAGAAAAGUUUCAGCAGAAACAUAUCUAAUUUAUAAUAUCAAUUAAAAACAAUAUCAACAGAAACAUAAACCCAAGACCCACCAUUCAACAGAGAGAAAAAACAAAAAUCAAAAGAAAAUGUCAUUCAACUGAAAAUAGAGAACAGAGCUGUAAUGGCCAAUAAUUAGCAAGUUUUGUUGACAUGGAAUCUUCUGUGGCAACUUUUAGUUGAUGUGGAAAGAUUAAAACCCACACCAACUAAUUUUUGGGGACUAUUUCAUAGUUGGUUACCUCUUGAUAUAAUAAAUGGCGUAUGUUGGUCAUUUGAAGACAAUCAUGAUAGCACCUUUCCCAAAAUAUGUGUUGACUCUAAUAUACAUUACCAAAAAUAAUUAUUGAAAUGAUUAACUCAGACGUGUCUAUAAUUGAAUUUAAUUGAUAUGAGCAUUAUUAUAAAACAGUUAUUUUUAUGUUUGUAUAUUGAAUGUAAAAAUUGUGAAAGUUUAGUGAUGUUUUAAUUAUUAAGACGAUUAAGUUAUAUUGUGCUUCUUGUGUGUAUACCUAAUUAAACCUUAAUUGAGAUGCUGAUUGUGAUAUGAUAGAUAAUUUUCUUCGUACAUGUAUUAAAUUAAAAAAUACAUGAAAGUAUAUUCAAUAAAACUUUUAUUUUACUUACUCUCCAUGAUACCUGUUAGAAAACAGAUUCAAUCAUUAGUAAUUAGCCUAGACAUCAACUAACGUUCAUAGCUUCUCCAGUUUAUAAUUUUCCUAGCAAAGUUUAGAAUUUGUUAAAAACUCGGUAUUUUGCAAGAAAGUAAGAGCAAUAGACAAAAACAUAAUGCAAUAUUAGUAGUUUCAUUAUUAAUUAUUCUUUAAACAGCUAAAUCUGGUUGUGCUUUGCAGGUAUUAAAAUAUCACAAGAUGAGAAAAAGAUAUAAGAUAAUAAAUACAAAUUGCAAAAUAUGACAAGAUGGGAAAAUAUAUCUAUAAUAAAGACAAAUUGCCAAGACUUGUAAGUCAUUGAAGUCUAGUUUGUGGUAGUUUAUUUCAAAUCUUCAGUUUUGUUUUUUUUUUUCUUAUGGUUUGCUUCUAAUUUCAUGGAAAUUUAGUAUUAUGAAGCCGCCCUUUUAGAAUCAUUUAUGUUGACAGUCAAGAUUAUAUAAACCCUCAUGGUGGCUGUUAAUAUAAUAAUACAAUCAAAUAAUCACCAACAACUUCAUUUACAUUAUGAAUCCUUGUUUUUUUAUGAUUUUCUUUUUCUCACAUCACAUCAAUACUACUUGUGAAAAAUUCGUUGGGCCCAGGAGGAUAUUUGGGCAUUCUAAAACAGGCUAGGAAUUACCUUUUGUGGAGCCCAUUGUUAACAAUUCUGAAUUAUUAAAAAAAGAUUAGGAAAGGGAUGCAGAGUAGGACCUCUUAAUUAAUUAAUUAAUAUUUUGUCAAUACAAUAAUAGUAUAAAAAAAAAGUAAAAGAAAAUCAAUAAGGCCUAUAUCCGACCAAAAUCGAAACAAAUCCAAAGGAUAGGGAUGGAAGUGAAAAGAAUGGCGAUUCUGUGUAAUUUCCGCUUUCAAAUAUAAAAACUUGUCAUCGUGUAUCACUUUGUUGUUUUUUUGAUUGAUCAAAACUACAAUUCUGCAACUGUGUUUUUUGUACAAUAACUUGUAGCUUCUGAAGCUCGACCCCCUUCACCUCUAUCACUUUUUGUUGUUCUCAUUCAAAACUUUAAGAAUUUCUUUUUAUUUAUCCGAAGGACAUUUUAUUUUGUAUUCACGAAUGGAAUUGGAAUACUCUGCUUCAUACGGGAAAUCAUUUGGCCAGAAUUCUUCCUUUUUUAGUGACUGUGUUGUUGAUAAUACAAUGUCAUUGAUGAUUUCCUUAAAUCAUAUCACUAACUAAUUUAUUUGAAAUGUCCCACUUUUCUGAAGAAAAUUGAUCCUUUUUUUUGUCUGUGUCGGUUUAUAUAUUUGUAUUUGUUGCACAGCAAGUGCUCGUUGAAAUGCCUUCAUGAAACCCGAGUGAUUUGUAUUGGACAGUAAAAAAUUUAACAUGUUUAAUCUGCAUAUAAUAAUUAUUAUAAUCCAAAGACUCGAACAAGUAAACCUGUGCGUUUUCUGUUUUCAUGUGUUAGAUACUUACAUAGUACAUACAUCAACUAUUUAUAUAUUAGCUUUUGAAUUUUGAAUUUCAGAAAUAUAUAUGGAUUAUUUUACCAAAUUGUGUUUAUCUUUGGAAAUUAUGCUGUGAAAUGUUUAUGACACUCCUAUAUACAGGAUAUGUUUAUGCUAUUGCUAACUACUCUAAAUUUCAAACUACCAGGAUGUUAGAAUAUACUUAACAUGUUCGAUGAAAUGCCUGACAGAGAUAUCAUUUCAUAUUCAUCUAUUUUUCUUACAACACUUGGUUACUGGGAGACUCCAUACAACUAUGACAAGAGCUGCCAAGUUUUGCUGGAUGAUAUGAUCAGUAGAAUCCAGUCCCUCAACCAUUUUGUUAUUGGUUUCCCUUUUUCUACAUGUUUGAUGAAAGUUCCCAAUGAAAGUUCUCUCUUAUUUACUAGCUCUUUUGUUCCAAAUCCUAAGCCACUUUGAGCAAAAUAACUAUUAAAUGAUUCUUUAUUAUCUCAAAUAUCUACUAUGAUCUAGACUUAUAAAAAUACAUUGCAUGCACCCUACAUGGUGGUUGAGAGCUUGAUUCCUCCAAAGCUGUGACACAUCCUUUCUGCUUCCAUAACAUUAUUCUCGACCUUAAUACUAUACGCUUAGAUAAGGGUGGUCUACACAAUAUAUGACUAAACAUAACAUAAAUGAUUUAGAUAAAUAACUUCAAAUGCAGGUGGAAAUAUGUGAGCAUUAUACUUCUGUAACACCAAAAUGGAAAACCUCAAUUUGUAAUAACUUUUUUUGAAACAACCUUCUAGAUCGUUCAUGUUUUUAAAUGCCCUGAUGGUGUGACCUAAAGAGAAAAUGGAUACUCAAAACCUUUUAGAUACUAUUUUUAAAUAUUCAAUGAUUUAAUAUUUUUGUGUAACAGAUAUUCUUUAACUUUUUAGGUAAUGUAUUGGUAACACCGGAUUUACACCCUGAUGGCUCAUUGUUCGAAUCUGGUUUUCCACGAAACAUAUUUAUUAAAAUCACAUAUCAAAAAAUAUAGGAGCUAACUAAAUUAGAGAUUUUUUUUAAAGUAAUUAUUUUAUAACUUCAUCAUGUUAUUUUUUAUUUUUUGUAAAUAAAUUUUUUUAUAACUAUAAUUAAAUAACGUAUAACGUAGAGCCAAUGCUACCAUCUCCCCUCCCCAAAUCCGAUGCCCAUCUCCUUCUCCUUCUUCUCUGUGUUUUCUUGAUCGGGUAAUACCACAAAGACAAGAACCAACCCCUUUUCACCCUUCAAACUAACCUCCGGUGAAAAAGGAAAAAAAAAACGUGAUACAGGUGGAGGGAUGGUGGUGGUUUUCUCGGCUGGUGAGGAUGGUGAUGGUGGUGGCGUGUAGAAUCAAGAUGCUGGUGGUGUGAAGAUGGCGAUGAGCAGGGAUCCCUCUCUUCUCCUACGUCUGACUUCGUUGGAGCAGAAACGAGGUAGCUUCCUAUUUUGAUUCAAGUAGCAGAUGCAUAGAGAGGAAAAAGAAAUCGAAGAUCAAUGGAGUCUUUUCAGCUAAUUCUUUGAUAGGGAAUUUUGCAGAUAGAAUUUCUGCCUAAGGUGCUGCUGAUUUGUACAAAUAAACAUUGAUCAUUCUCCUCUCACUUCAAUAUACUUUUCAUGACUCUUUUCAGUUAUUCAUUGGGACUUUGCCUCAGCUUAGCGUCAUCAGCAUCAAUCAUCACUUCUCAUUGUCUGGUCAUUAAAACACAUGUGUUUAGGUCAAACUGAAAGCAAUUUAACCCACUUAAUUAUUAACAAGUACUAGAUUUUUAGGUUCGAAAAACAAAUAAUGCUCAAAACUGAAUUAAAAUCUAAAAUUCAGGGAUAAAAAUGGGCAUUUAUAAACAUUUCGUAAUCAAGAAAUGAGGACUAAACACUUGUUAUCAAUUAAGUUGAUGAUUCAGUUCAGAGGUAUGUUAACACAAGAAAUAGCAAAGUACUUCCAUUUGUUCCUAUUAGUUACAACAUUGUACAUGGAAAAAUCUACCUGAUAUGGCAAUAUCGUUUAAAUACAAAGCAAAUUUCACUGCUAUAAUGCUGGGGAUUUUAAAAGUACAACUCCUUUAUAAAAAAAAUGAAAGUAUGACAUUGUGAUUGAAAGAAAUGAAAGAAGGAUGCUACAUAAUACACAAACAAAUAAGUGUAUGUUGCUAUUUAUUGCAUUAAUCAUAAUAACAUUAUAUAUUAUGGCUUGACCUUUCCUAAACAUACACGAACUGAAAGUAGAAUAUUGUAACAGAAAGAAACUAAAGUAGGAUGCUAUAGUACACAUAAAUAAAGUAUGUUGCUAUUUAAAGUAGGUGGGGGUAUAGAAUAAAGGGUGGACAACUAAAAGAUCCGACACUGAACCUAGUGAUUCAUUUUUGAAUCAUUAAAUCCAAGAAGGCGAUUGUCAUUCGUAUUUUCAUUAUAAAAUAGAAUAGAAGUGCAACUGCUCCAAAAUUAUGAUAUGUAAUGGAUUCUCAGGCAGCUCGAUUUCAUAUGAAAUCAAUACUCUUUUUUGGACUGGUCAAGUUGGUUUCCGGUUUUUUUUGUGCACCUCUGAUUUUCAUCUUGUCUUUAUAUGCUGCAAAUAUGUAAUGACCCAAAAAUCGAGAAUAAAAAUUUUAUUUUAAAUAUAGCUAAAACAUUAACACCAUUUAUUUCUAACAUUUCAAAUCGUCGUUAAGUAAAACGUUUAUCAGAGUUCAUUCCCAGAAUAAUUCGUUGCAGAAAUCAUAGGUGUGUGCACUGUGGUCAAUCCGAGCUCUUCUUUUCCAAAACGUUGAUACCUGAAAUCAAAACUGCAAACUGUAAGCACAAAACUUAGUGAGUCCCCCAGAGCAUACCCCAUACACAAUCCCCACAACACAUAUCAUAUUAGCUAUAAAAACUAUCUCUACCGCAUACCACAUAUCAAUCACAUAAGCCAUACGUAUAAACAUAUAAGGAUGUCGUGGGCUCGUUCCCAGGGUCUUACUCCAGGAUGCCAGGGGCUCCCCACAUGGUCUUACACCUAAGUGUCAUGGGCUCUCCUAUGGUCUUUAAUAGGAAAGUCAUGGGCUCGUCCCCAGGGUCUUACAUCCAGUUGCCAUGGGCUCUCCCACAUGGUCUUACACCUAAAUGUCAUGGGCCCUCCCAUGGUCUUUAAUAGGAAAGUCGUGGGCUCGACCCUAGGGUCUUACAUCCAGUUGCCAUGGGCUCUCCCAUGGUCUUCCAUGCAAGUAACACAGAGUCAACUAGCAUACCACAUAUCACAAAAACGUCUAGCAUACCACAUUACACAUAAUGGCUAACAUACUACAUAACAUAAAAUGGCUAGCAUACUACAUAACAUAAAAUAGGCCGGCCUUGAUGCCUUAGACCCAUUGGUAUGGUGAGGAGACUCACCUCGAAUGCAGAAGCUUCCUAAAAGAAAUCUUUAGCUGCUGCUCUAUCCACUUCCUGAGCUAUCAAUACCAACCAAUAUACCCAAUUAGCAAUUGGGUCCCAUACCAUAAUCCUUAAUCCAUGAAUGGGGUAGAAUGACCAUCCUACCCCUGACCCAAUAUGAUCCAAAUCCAGGACCCAAACCCAAAACAAAAGACCAACACUAUAACGUCCAUGAAUCCAUCAAUGGCCCAAUUUUCCAAAUUGGGCCCAAACCUGUACAUGGGUCUUGUCAUCAGGCCUAAACCAUUAUUUUAAGUCCAAUACACUUCAUAUCUAAUGGCCCAAUAAUAAUCCAAACACUUAAGCCUAAAAUACUAAAAACCACUUGUAACCCAAUCCAUGGCCCAAUUUUCCAAAUUGGGCCCAAGACCAUAGUAGGCCUCCACAAAUGAAAUAUCAACCCAAAACCUGAUGGCCCAAAAACCAAAAUCCCAUUCUGCUGAGUACGUGGGGCGUACUCAGCUUGUACGCUAAGCGUACCGGCUUAAGGGCUUGUACGUUGCGCGUACAGGCUUGUACACCCAACGUACUCCUCUUGUUGACCAACUCUCAAUCCUAGCUCUUAAUCCAUUAAGACAAGACGUCCAAAACCUCAAAAUGGCUAAAUAUAAGUGACUCGAUCCAUAAAGUCGAAUGCUUUAAGCCUUUGCAUGGCUUGGUGAAGCCCAAGCGCCAAAGAUGAAUUCCAAAAGGUCAAAAUCACUCCCAAAAUGUCUUAAAACUUCUUAAUACUUAAGACCUCAGUCCAAGCUUCCAGAUCUGACUUCAAGGGACUUCUUAAGUCAUAAAGUUUCCAACUUUAUGACUUAGCAUAACUCAUUGAGGCCUAAAUCUAAACCCUAAGUCCCAAAAUUGAUCAAAUGAGUACCAAUUCAUGAAUGGAAGGUUUAUAACCCUCAAGACCUAAACUUUAUGACUCAAAAACCUCAGUAAGGACACCAUAAGGAGCUCAAAGGUUCUGGAGUAACUUCUACUCACAAGAACCGCCACAAAGGGACCAAAACCAUAACAAUGUACCACUUAGCUACAUUUACAUGGAAAAAGUUGUCAAGGUCGAGACUUUAUACCUCUAAAAGAUAGAUCUAGGUGCACAAAGCUUGGAUCCAAAAGCUCCAAGUCAAACAAUGACUUUUCAAGAAGUUCCUUCUUCAUCUUCUAGCACCAAAACACACCAAAAAUCACUUUGAAGCUCUACAAUCACUCAAAUGGGGGCUAAGGGUCGAUUUCUAGGGUUUAGAGGGAUGGAGGCUGAAGAUAUUAGGGUUAGGUUAUGAGAUAAGGAGCUUAAAUAGGGUCCAAGACCCUAAAAUAAGGUUCUGAUCUGACUGGAGUACGCCUAACGUACAUAUGGUACGCCCAGCGUACUCCGAGGAACAUUCGCGACCAUCCUGGUAAGUACGCCCAAUGUACUCCAAGGUACGCCCAACGUACUACCUUCAUCACUAGUACGCCCUGCGUCCACUUUGUGUACGCCCCGCAUACUCGGCUAAGCCUAGAAAACCACGAAACUUCCGAAGACCAUAACUUCUUCAUUAUAAGCCCGAUUCUGACGAUCCUUAUAUCCACGGAAAGGCGAUGAGAAGCCCUACACUUCUAACAACUCAAAACUUUAUUAAGACCUUCCAAAAAAAAUUAAUUUUCCACAAAAGCCCGAACUGCCGUGUUACCGAAAUAUCCCUAGGCUCCAAAACACGAACCGAACACCCGGAUCACUUCUAAUACAUCACCCGCACCCAAAAUGGCCUAGAUCUUACCUUCCUAAGAGCCAUAAUCUUAUAAUGACCGCCCUUCGAGCCACCGCCUCAGACUAGGAGUCAAUUUGGAACAGAGCAUUACAACUCUCCCCCACUUAAAUUAGAUUUCGUCCUCGAAAUCAUGUAUCACCGUCCCCGAUAUACCAGACAACCUGAGCAACACCGCCACAAACCUGUGAAUACCACAACCUACCUAAGGAAACUGAAACCAAUCCUCAUAAGUUUAUGGAACACGGAGAUGAGCGAAUUCCUUGCAACCUGAUCACACCUACCCCAUCUGAAAUCUGAAGUCUCGAGAUGGUCUGUCUCCCUGACAGACUGCCCACAUCGAAUCAUCAUCGAACUGAUUUCACAAGAAACUGGUCUAGAUAGAAUACUUCCCACUCAUAAUACAUUGAGGCUUCCUAAAGAACGAAAUCACCGAUCAACUGCAACGACCAAAUAACCAAUAAUUCCACAUACAUACCCCAUAUCACUGAAGUUGCUCCUACUCCUCUUGCUGCCACAUGGCUGCUUUCUUGGAGAACACCCAGGGACCUCCUUGGUCACAACAUGUCUGCCAAAUGUCCGGAACACCGCACACAUACUCGAUUGUUGAGCCAAUAACACACUCAGCAGUCCCCUGCGACCUCCGACGGAUACUUCGUCUAACCAUAACUGCCCUGUCUCCUUCAAUCCAUUGAUCCAUCCGAUAGAGAUAGGUUGACAACCUGUCGCCACUAAAUCCCGACGCAAAGAGGUGAAUACUACCAGAAUAGUUGUAGUCUUACAUUAUACCCGGCCUCCUUCGACCCACCGUUUCCUGAUUUCGACAUUUCGUGGCUCUAUUACGGAUAGAGCCACCCGAGAAUUGAAGGAUUCCCAAUCCUCAUUACGUUCCAAUGCUCACCUUGUUGACGACCGGUGCUUACCAAAGCUAGAACACCAUAAAUAACCCUGCCCAAACAGCACACUACCUGACAUCCAGCUAACACUUCUUAUAUCCCACUACAUCAAUGACUUCAAACGCUUAAAAGCAACAUCAUGCUCAGAUCUCGGAGUCCAACGAACGGCUAGUCUAACCAAAACCUUAGCGACAACUCUCUCUUUCCCCGACAAUCCCGAUGGCUGUCCCAAAGAUAAAUAUCAAGGCUACUAAAAACUAGACAUAACUCCCUCGUUGAAACCCUUGGACCAAACCCCAAAAGUGGCUGGAGAAGGUGCACUCACUACUCCUUCCUCUCUGUCAGACAGUCGACCUCUUUUUCGUCUACUUAAACACAACGAAAUAUAACGGGUUUGUUCCCUAUGGGCAAUUCCUGAAGACGUGGCCAAACCUGCUACACCCGUAGCAACCCAGAUCACUGAACAGAUUCCGACAACAACUCAUAGCAAUCAUGGUACACGCGGGGCCCACUGCACGAGAUACGUCCGUCUGAAGAUCUUUCAAAGAUUCCUUGACAUGCUGAAUGGCAUCUAACAACCCUUGCUAACCCAGACAAUAGCAGAAAACCGACCCUAUAUCACAACUCCCAAGCGAUACAAUUACCCAAUAUCCACCAGAAAUGGCCGAAGAUAGUAUAUUCACAAACAUCUGAAGGAAUCCUAACCCCCUCCUCCUGUGAUACCUCUACUGCCCUAAGAACAUGAUGUAACACCGCAUUCCGAUCCCAAUAACAAUUCAAACCCUUGGAACGAAACUUCAUCGCGUAGUUUCUGCAAGCGUUGCACCGAAUCUGACCCUGCUGGCCUCUCAAAAGCUGAUCCAAACUCCUAGAUCUCUUCCCGAGAUCCUCCACUAUAGGCACCCGAUCUGGUCCCCUCCUCCAAAGGUGACCCAAAUCAAUCCCUGCUCUCGGGCUCUAGAAAUCAUAUCAUUCAGGGUCUCGCACCCUGUCAUACUCACCAGCUAAAUCAUCAACGACUGAUCUGAAAUAGCUGGAGCACCCUCUGCUCUAAAUCAGCUACAAACUACUCCCAAGACAUAGUCUCUAACUCCAAAAGUGCAAUAAAUCGCACCAUCAAUCCUUGCCACUCGAUACAAGAGAUCCACGACGAACUCAAAAUCCUGGCAGUCCUUCCGCUAAUUGGCUCUCCAUCGGAGCCGGGACCAAACCCUGGUCCCAUGCCUGCAUGCUCAUCCUCAUUCUGCAAAGCAACUAUUCCCACGAUCAAGGCAUAACCAAGAACUCUCCUUCCCAUAAGCUUCUCCGAUUCUCCAAGACUCUCACCGAUUCAAGUAUAAGUCCUGUGCUUUCAGUAGUACGAGCCCAAUACUACCUUCCACACUUACCCAUACUUUCCUCAGUAAUCCUACCGAAUCCUCUAAGUCAUUUACUACACCGGUAUACUAAAUGUCUGCUAAACAGCAAGACAAUCUCUACCGUAGCAACUCCUAGGCUCCCCUAGGUUUCCAACUUCACCGAACUGCCCCACUAAACUCACUGGAUCAUAUCCUUGGCUUUCCUAGGUUCUCACACUCACCCAUUCCUCAGCUGCUAAAAGAUUCCUAGUGAUGUCAACUAGCUACCUUAUAAAUAUAGCCACAUGCAAUAGAGAUAAGAUAAUCCUUCGAGUAAUAAACUCAUCCCUUGAUUGGUUAGACUCAAACGAGAGCUGCACAAUAGGGUCAAAUCUAUCACUCUGAGAUUAUCCAGCCUGUGCCACAUGUGACUUAGCAUAGUCACCUAAUAGCUAGCUCACAUUACUAAGAGUCCCACAAAGCACAAAGCAAACAACAUUCAGACAAUGAAAAAUCUAACUGGCAUACACUAGACAAAUCGGUCUAUCCAUACAUACAUCCCGCAAGCAGGUAACACCUAUUGCUAACCUCAUCCUAGGCUUACCCUAGGGUAAUCUUCGACCCGCAAACUGUCAUAGAACAUUUGGCCCAUAUACCACAACCCAUGUUGUCCGCAUCCACCCUCGAUGUCGGUUGCCUUAUGCAUGCAAAUUAUACACAGAACAUGAUCUAAUAGAUUGUCGAAUAAUAGACUCUACCCUAAGACCACAUGAAAUAAGGUCAAAUUAGCUAUUCUAAGGCUAUAAGAUCCUAUCCGUAUACAAUUUUCAAAACAUACACCUUGCAGUUACAAAUACCAAUUAUCAUUCUCAUUCCAGCAUGACAUCCAAUAUCCUUAAGGCUACAAGCACAACAUAUCAGGCCGACCUAUUGCUGACUGCUCAACACUAGCAUGCAAGUCUACCAGCUCAUACAACAUAUACAGGCAUCUCCCUAGCCCUAACUAGCAUGCGAUUCACGGAUUCAUAAACCAAAUCAUAACAGACAACAUAUGUGGUAUUCUGGGGAAACUUACUUGAGCUCGGUUGAUUGCAUGCACCACACCCUUUAUUGUCUUAGAAAUUCUUUACUUAAAACAUUUUUCUUUUGAAAUCUUUACAGAUCCUCAGUCUGAGUUCAGACACACCCGAAAGUAUGUCCGAAUCCCUUAAACCAAGGCUCUGAUACCAACUUGUAACGACCCAAAAAUCAAGGAUAAAAAUUUAAUUUUAAAUAUAGAUAAAACAUUAACACCAUUUAUUUCUAACAUUUCAAAUCGUCGUUAAGUAAAACGUUUAUCAGAGUUCAUUCCCAGAAUAAUUCGUUGCAGAAAUCAUAGGUGUGUGCACUGCGGUCAAUCCGGGCUCUUCUUUUCCAAAACGUUGAUACCUGAAAUCAAAACUGCAAACCGUAAGCACAAAACUUAGUGAGUCCCCCAGAGUAUACCCCAUACACAAUCCCCACAACACAUAUCAUAUUAGCUAUAAAAACUAUCUCUAUCGCAUACCACAUAUCAAACACAUAAGCCAUACGUAUAAACAUAUAAGGAUGUUGUGGGCUCGUCCACAGGGUCUUACUCCAGGAUGUCAUGGGCUCUCCAAUGGUCUUCCAUGCAAUUAACACAGAGUCAACUAGCAUACCACAUAUCACAGAAACAUCUAGCAUACCAAAUAACACAUAAUGGCUAACUUACUACAUAACAUAAAAUGGCUAGCAUACUACAUAACAUAAAAUAGUCCGGCCUUGGUGCAUUAGACCCAUUGGUAUGGUGAGGAGACUCACCUCGAAUACAGAAGCUUCCUGAAAGAAAUCUUUAGCUAUUGCCCUGUCCACUUGCUGAGCUAUCAAUACCAACCAAUAUACUCAAUUAGCAAUUGGGUCCCAUACCAUAAUCCUUAAUCCAUGAAUGGGGUAAAAUGACCAUCCUACCGUGACCCACUAUGAUCCAAAGCCAAGACCCAAACCUAAAACAAAAGCCCAACACUAUAAUGUCUAUGAAUCCAUCAAUGGCCCAAUUUUCCAAAUUGGGCCCAAACCUCUACAUGGGUCUUGCCAUGAGGCCCAAAUCAUUCUUUUAAAUCUAAUACACUUCAUAUUCUAAUGGCCCAAUAAUAAUCCAAACACUUAAGCCCAAAAUGCGAAAAACCACUCGUAGCCCAAUCUAUGGCCCAAUUUUCCAAAUUGGGCCCAAGACCAUAGUGGGCCUACACAAAUAAAAUAUCAACCCAAAACCUGAUGGCCCAAAAACCAAAAUCCCAUUCUACUGAGUACGCGGGGCGUACUCAGCUUGUACGCUAAGCAUAUCGGCUUAAGGGCUUGUAAGCUGCGCGUAUAGGCUUGUACGCCCAACGUACUCCUCCUGUUGACCAAAUCUUAAUCCUAGCUCUUAAUCCAUUAAGACAAGACGUCCAAAACCUCAAAAUGGCUAAAUAUAAGUGACUCAAUCCAUAAAGUCGAAUGCUUUAAGCCUUUGCAUGGCUUGGUGAAUCCCAAGCGCCAAAAAUGAAUUCCAAAAGGUCAAAAUCACUCCUAAUAUGUCUUAAAACUUCUUAAUACCUUAAGACCUUAGUCCAAGCUUCUAGAUCUGACUUCAAGGGACUUCUUAAGUCAUAAAGUUUCUAAGUUUAUGACUUAGCAUAACUGAAUGGGGCCUAAAUCUAAACCCUAAGUCCCAAACUUGAUCAAAUGAGUACCAAUUCAUGAAUGGAAGGUUUAUAACCCUCAAGACCUAAACUUUAUGACUCAAAAACCUCAGUAAGGACACCAUAAGGAGCUCAAAGGUUCUGGAGUAACUUCUACUCACAAGAACCGCCACAAAGGGACCAAAACCAUAACAAUGUACCACUUAGCUACAUUUACAUGGAAAAAGUUGUCAAGGUCGAGACUUUAUACCUCUAAAAGAUAGAUCUAGGUGCACAAAGCUUGGAUCCAAAAGCUCCAAGUCAAACAAUGACUUUUCAAGAAGUUCCUUCUUCAUCUUCUAGCACCAAAACACACCAAAAAUCACUUUGAAGCUCUACAAUCACUCAAAUGGGGGCUAAGGGUCGAUUUCUAGGGUUUAGAGGGAUGGAGGCUGAAGAUAUUAGGGUUAGGUUAUUAAGGAGCUUAAAUAGGGUCCAAGACCCUAAAAUAGGGUUUUGAUCAGACUGGAAUACACCGAGCGUACAUAUGGUACGCCCAGCAUACUUCGGGGAACAUUCGCAACCAUCCUAGUCAGUACGCCCAACAUACUCCAAGGUACGCCCAGUGUACUACUGAUUGGUUUUGACCACUACAUCAUUCCUAUGGUGUACAUGAAAACCCUAAUAGCUUUGGAUCUAGUUUGUCUAGUGAACAUGUAAUUGAUUAUCCAAAGCCAUAAACCCUAGAUCUAAUAAACCAUAACUGAAAUUAGGGUUUAGAUCUUACCUUUGAUUGUUAUAUAGCAAUAACAAUCAAUUCCUUGGCUUUAGAAAGCUUAGUACCUCAAGUGUUGCACCUCUAAUGGAGUCACAAACACCACUAAGCAACUAGAUGAAGAAGAGAAGAGGAGAGGCACUCAAAAACGUCUGGAAACCCUAAUCCCAAUGUUAUCCACGUUUUUGGUGCCUAAGGGUUCCUUAUAUACUUAGGCUAUUAGGGUUUUGCACUUAGGAAACCCUAAUUUGACUACUUAGGCCCUAAGCAACCCAUGGACCCCUUUAGAAUAUCCCUUGGACGAAUUCCUAAUGGGCUUCCCAUAGAAUUCGUCCAACCUAUUAUUCUUAGGUGAUCCAUAGCCCAAUUGUAAUUAUCUUAUAAUUACAAUUCCUGUCCCCUUAAGUUUAAUUAAUCUCUUUUAGCCACAAAAUUAAUUCUUAAUUAAUUCUUGACUAAUAUUAAUUAAACAAUAUGAUUUCUCCUUAAUAUAUUAUUCUCAUAAUAUAUUAAUAAAUCAUAAUUAAAUCUUUCUCUCCUUAAUUCAUCCUACAUAUUGCUAUGGUGAAGACAACCCAAAAGGACCAUGCUCAUAAUCGGGUCAAGUAUAUACCAAAGUAGUUAUGGACUUGGACACUAAUCCAAUAGUCUCCCACUUGGAUAAGUCUAAUAACUAUUUUGUAUAACUUCAGAACCUGAUCAGCAAUCGUAGCUUUCAAAAGCUGCUGUCAACUCUGAUCUUAUCAGAUAGCGUGUCCUUUAGAUAAGGAUCAUAUAUUUCUCCAUUCUCAAGAUAUCGUAUAGACACAAGACAUAAAUUUCGAUCAUUCUCUCUAUACUGGUUUCCGACUUCCGAUUUAUGCUGACUGAAAACAGACUACAAUUGAACACAUCAACUUAGUCCCGACUUGGCCAAGCACUUAGGGUGUCAUCACUAAAUCAUCGACGGUCCCACAUAUAUCGCUUUUAUCCCACUUUGGGUAAAAGUAAUGGAUAAACUUUAACUCAAAUGCUCGCUUGCACCUACUGAUCGAAUCACACACAACAAUAAGUUUUAUAACACCAAGUUACUGGUGCGUUUACUUAUCAUCAAUGUGCAACCGCCCAACAAAUACCAACUCACACGUCUCGGUUUCAAGAAUAUAUAAUAUUAUCGUCUCACAAUCACUCGUGAUAAAAUCCAUGAAGUGAUUCAUGUGAGCGUCGGUUUAAUCCAAUACUCUAAUCUUAUUAAAGCACUCAUGAACUCUGCAGCAGAUUUGUGCUUUGUCUAAACACUUCAGACAAUCUACAGACAAAUUCAUGACAGUCUUCCUUCAUACCUACUCCCAACGUAUGACCGAAUGUGGAUGUUUGAAUAACCCGGUUAUUCUGGAAGUCAAAACAUGCAAACUGAAACACAACAAUAAUACUUAGUCCUAUAUGGCCCCAAACUUGUGAGAGUAAAUAAAACACUUCUAUUUAACCACCAUAUUUAUUACUCAUUAUUUAUCAUUUAAUGUUUCGGAUAAUCAACUCAUUACUUUAAUUACAACAACAAUUGUCCCAUGCUCCAAGCAUGCACACUUUGUUUCCUAUGGUCCAUGAAAUAGAUCAAUUGAAAAAUUUUCCAAUGAUGCUCAUUUCACAAUUCCUAAUCCUUAUCGUUAGUGUAAGAACACAAGGUUCUUGCUACUACUAGAAUAUGUUAGAUUCUAACAUUUUAUGCACCGAUCCUUUCGCAAAGUCAUAGCACAAAAUUCACCAAGACUUGGCCAAUGAAAUUCCAAGGUAUUCUAUCAGAAUUUGUUACAAAACAAUUCUAUAGAUGUGAUGUCUCUCACUCAAAGUACAUUCCUUUGAACAUCCUUUUUGCAUAAAAUUUUCUAAUCUAGACAUAAAUUCUUAAUUUCCAACUCCCAAUAUGGAAACAUUUCCAUAUUUGCCAUAUGACAACUCAUUCUUAAUAGAAUCUUAUCUAUUCAUAAUAAUGUCGAUAUGGUCCAUCCAACACUAUACUUCCAACUACUCACAAGCAACAAAUCCUUGGCGAACCUUAGAUCGUCCUUUGAUAGUUGUUUAAUUAUUUUAGUCAAAACCGUUCUAGUCCUUUUCCCUCUUAAUGCACUAAGCAUUUGGAAAAUUUUAGAACGAUCAAACACUAUAGCAUAUGUAAUCGAUCCUAAACCCGAAGCGUAUGGGACACGAUUCAAAAUGUCUUACAUAAAGACGUGAUACUUUACCAGUCUUUUGCUAUAAUAUUUCUAAUUGCCAUGUUCUCACAAUUUUGAUUAUGAAAAGGGAUGCCGUAAUCAUAAACAGAUUUUGAGAAUGCAAUUAUCCUUUCCAUAUAUAGAAUUUCCUCAUGUUGAACCAUUCCAACACAACAUUUAUAUAUAUUUGACUAAAUUUGAUUAAAAUUCCACAAUCUAAGCCUUUAGAUUUGAAAUGAAGUAUAAUAUUCUCUCCCUUAAUUAUAGCAAAACAACUUUUCAACCCCAACAACUCUACCAAAUGAAUCUUUGUUUUCUAUAAUUAAUAUUGCUAACUUGCAAUACUUUAAAUAAUAAUCAUGCUCCCACUAACACGAUGAUUAUUACCAUACAAUCAUAACACUUAUGUUCCCACUAGAUUUGACAUAUAUCUAGAAAACAUUUGAACUUUCAGAAAACAAUGCUUAUUGAAUUCCUUAAGUUCAUAUUUCUAAAUACUUGAUGCUUUGAUAAGCUUUUAUCUAUGCUUCUUAAACUCAUACACCUUUGUCUUAGAAAGCUCACGUGUGUGUCUAAACAACUUAAGAGCUUAUGUUACUAAGUCCCAAAUGUUCAUACUAAUUGCCAAAUCUCACAAUUCGAACUAUGAAGAGGGAUGCCGUAAUCAUAAUCGAAUUUGAGAAUACAAUUUUCUCAAUUUCAAUCUUUUUAAAAUCUCUCUUAGUGAAAGCAUUUCCUUACAAUCAUUUUCAUGAAGGAGGGAAACCUUAUGACACUUUGAUUUUAAAGUGUGUGUGUUCCUAUCCAUGCAAAUUUGUCAUAACAACAAUCAUAAGACAAUAUUUGUGAAAAAUCCAACUCAUAUGGAUUGAACUUGUUCAAUCUUGAUUUCUCGCCUUAUGGCAGCAUGAAUGCCCACCAUUGCUUCCAGGUUGUUAACAAGCUCACCCUUACCUUAUCAAUGUACUUUCCAUUGAUCAGGGUGCCUUGCCUUUAUGCAAUCCAUUUGAGAACUCAUAGAACUCAUAUUGCAUAGUUGACUUAAUCUGGAAUGGCACAGAAACAAAAUUAUGUCAACACGAUAGGUCACCAACCUCAAGUCGUGUGCUAGUGAUUUACUUAUCGGUUUAUUGUUGAUUUGUUCUUGAACUUUCCAAGACAAUUGAGACUCCCACUGACUUCUUGACAUAUAUGAUUCUCUUUGUCAAGAAAAAUUUCUUGACAAACAAAUAUUCAAGAGUUAGUGUAGUUAUUAUCAAGACAAAACACUUCACAAAAUUGGUCCUAGUUGGUCUUUGUCUUAUCCAAGACAUCACAACUUACCAAUUUCAAAUGUGCAAGAAUAAGAAAACUUUUCCAAAUUCCACAUUUGAUGAGUGUUAUAAACCUACUUAAGACUUGUCACUCAAUUCACAAUCUUGGAGUAUGACUCUAAGAUUCGAUAUUGGAACGAAGUAUGAUUGACUUCUUGAUUUAACCAUUUCCACAAUUCCCGAUUCCUCUUCUUAGACAUACAAAUGUACUAAGACUCACUUAGAGGAUCAAUUGAGAUAUGGUUCUUAAUCAUUAAGACUUUAUCAUAAAACACAAUAAAAGGUACUCUCCCUUCUUCUUAGAACAGAGAAACUUUUAUCUUUCUGCCUUCUUGAUUCUUAUUAUUCGUUCUGACAUUUAUUGAAACCUUUUCAAUCAACUCAGAAUUACACUUAAUCUUAUAAGUAUAAUCAUAUUUACUAAAGUUUAGUAAAUCAUGACAAAUAUCUUUAUCACUCUUGUGGUGGACUUGAUCAACGCAUAACCAAGUGUACCUAAUCCCUAGCCCUUCACUUGACUCUUUGUCAAGGAAUUAGUCUAAUUUCCAAAUAUAAAAGUUUUUCAUUCAUCACACAACGCAAGUUGCAUGAUUCCAAGUUUCUGUCCGGUUGAAACUUGGGCGAUGAGAAACUCUCCAUAUUUGGUAAAUCCUCGACAUUUCCACAAAUAACAUAAUUAAGAAUCAAAUCCAUUAUUGCUAAUAGUAGAAACAUUCAAACAUCAAUUUUUUCAUACAUGCCAUUGCAACGAUAAAUAAAUAAGACAAAAAACAAAUUUUAUUUUAUUGCGGAAAAACUUUGUCCUUACAAUGCAAUUCAACUGAAAAACUAUGCUAUUACAUAUUCCUUAAGCAAUCUAUUCUAACUCCAAGUAGUAGCUCAAAAAUCCAAUCUUCAAACAAUGCGAUCGGAAUCCAUUUUCUUCACGAUUAGAUUCAGCUCACUUCUUCCCUUAAGCUUCCUCUUUUUCUAUUCGAUCCUACGAAAACAUCAAAAUGGAAUAUUAUUACAUAAUGUAUUAAGAAUCAAAAAAUGAACUUAAAAGAGCUAGAUAGUGGAUUUCAUACUUGAAGAAGAGUCAUAACACUAGACUCUCCCAUCUCUUAGAUCUUUCAGGUAGAUAGGGCAGCUUCGUCUCCAAUGCCCAUUCUCUUGAAAAUAAAAGAAAAUGGACUCCUUUGGCAAAGCACAUGGGACAAUCUCAUACUUAGUCCUUUCUGGACUUCCAAUGCUGCCAGUGUCCAUUGAAGUUUGGGAGUUUGAUUCAUCAAACAAAUUUACUUGAUCAACAUGCCAAAUCAUUGAUGAUUUAGCAGCUAUAAAGAAAUAGGUCAAAUCAAUGAGGGUCACGUCGUGGUCCAUCAUAUAGUACUGUGUAACGAACUCACUAUAUGAUUCAGGAAGUGACUGAAGAGCCCAGUUAAUAACCAACUCACCUGAAAUCUCGACACCCAACAUCCUUAACCUGUCAAUGUGUGACUUCAUCUCUAAGACGUGUGCACACAUAGGUUUCCCAUCUUCAUAUUUACUUGCGAAAAGGGCUUGAGUUAGCUUGAACUUUUCAAGCCUUCAAACUUGUGGGUCAGGGAGAAUAAUUGGAGGAGGUGGAGGAAGUGAAGCAUGAUCUCUGGUUCCUCGAUCAUAUCGUGGAAUAUCAUCUUCAUUUGGAAAAAUUGUUCCAUGGGAUUUUGGAAGACCAUUGUUAGAUUCAGACAUCUACAAAACAGGAGAAAUUCAAGUCAUGUUGAUUAGAAUCCUUGAUGUAACACCCAAAUGAAACAUCAAGGCUAGGAUCCAACACAAUACUCUACAACCUAGAAGAGGGAUGAUGUAAUCUAGUUGCAGAAUAUUUGAAGGUAGGUAAAUGACGAUUUACCAAUUUUCCACCAUGAAAAACGAAAAAGAAAUUUAAGUUUUAAAUGAAUUGAACUCCUAGAUCUUUUGAGAUUCAUUGAACUUUUCAAUGGCAUGUUUAAUCUCGAUUAUGCCCUUCAAGUUUGCGACUGGGAUGCCGAGGAUCACAAACAAGGUGUGAAUAACCAUGCGAAUCAUGUGGUGCACUCAAUGCUACUAUCACCUAAUCAAUGUGCUGGUUAUCCACACACGCUCCAUUGAUCUAUGAUAAACAUCGAGCCACCCUUCGCCACCAAUGUCAAUCCCAAAUUAGUGUGCCAGUUAACCACACACGCUCCACUAACGUUUGACAAGGGUACGAAGUGUAAUUUCAUGGAUUAGCAUAGAAUUUCACAUUUUGCCUAAAGUAACUAUGCUUUGGGAAUUUGUAAAAGCAUGUAGUUACUUUGUACUUCAUUAUAUUUAUAAUGGAAGGUUUCUGUCGUAUCCUACCCAUUCGGCUAAUGACCCUCCNGUUUAUGAUAUAUAUAUAUAUAUAUAUAUAUAUAUAUAUAUAUAUAUAUACAUUAGACUUUUAAUGUUACAUAUAUAUAGUAUAGGGUGUAUUUUACACUUUUAAAAUACUAGGUGGUUUUAUUAACUUUCUCUUUUUAAUUAACUUAACGAAACCAAGUGGGUGUAAUUUGACCUUUUCAAAAUACUAUGGUUUUAGAAUUUACAUAUUACACAAUUAAACUAUUAAUCAAAAUUUUAAAUUCCAAAACUUGAGGGCAAGUUUUGUAACAUUUCAAAAUAUUAGGGUUUAACUAUUUAAAUUUCAAAAACAAAACUUUUAAGUUCAAAUUUAAACUAUAAAACUUAAAGGGAGUAAUUUGAAACUAUUCAAACUUUGUCAACAACAUUCUAGAUUAACAAUUCAAAUAAGGCAAUUAUCUAAUUUUGACCUAGUCCAAUUUCUUGCAAGAUAAUUCACCAAAUAAUUCAAAUAAUUAAAUUUUAUCAUAUAAGGAAGUAAUUAUUCAAUUAAUAUGAAAAUAUCUUUUAUUUUGGCAAGGAUAUUCACCCUAUCAUAAAAAUCCAAUUUUUAUCAAUAAAAAACGUUUUGGUAAUUAUCUCAUAACAAAACAGGCACAAAAUCCCGAAAUCUGCUCCAUCUGACCCUCUGACUCGUCGAGUCUGGCUUAGACUCGUCGAGUUCACUAUGGACUCAGCGAGUCACCUAGUUGACUCGGCGAGUCAAGUCGAAAAACCUCAAAAAUUCGAUUUUCAGCCAAAAUUCGAUCAAAUAAGCAUCAAAUUCACUAAUAGCUUUGGAUCUAGUUUGUCUAAUGAACAUGCAAUUGAUUAUCUAAAGCCAUAAACCCUAGAUCUAAUAAACUAUAACUGAAAUUAGGGUUUAGAUAUGACCUUUGAUUGUUAUAUAGCAAUAUCAAUCAAUUCCUUGGCUUUAGAAAGCUUAGUGCCUCAAGUGUUGCACAUCUAAUGGAGUCACAAACACCACUAAGCAACUAGAUGAAGAAGAGAAGAGGAGAGGCACUCAAACACGUAUGGAAAGCCUAAUCCCAGUGUUAGCCACGUUUUUGGUGCCUAAGGGUUCCUUAUAUACUUAGGCUAUUAGGGUUUUGCACUUAGGAAACCCUAAUUUGACUGCUUAGGCCCUAAGCAGCCCAUGGACCCCUUUAGAAUAUCCCUUGGACGAAUUCCUAAUGGGCUUCCCAUAGAAUUCAUCCAACCUAUUAUUCUUAGGUGAUCCAUAGCCCAACUGUAAUUAUCUUAUAAUUAUAAUUCCAGUCCCCUUAAGUUUAAUUAAUCUCUUUUAGCCACAAAAUUAAUUCUUAAUUAAUUCUUGACUAAUAUUAAUUAAACAAUAUGAUUUCUCCUUUAAUAUAUUAUUCUCAUAAUAUAUUAAUAAAUCAUAAUUAAACAUUUCUCUCCUUAAUUCAUCCUACAUAUUGCUAUGGUGAAGGCAACCCAAAAGGACCAUGCUCAUAAUCGGGUCAAGUAUAUACCAAAAUAGUUAUGGACUUAGACACUAAUCCAAAAACUACCUACAUCACUAGUACGCCCCGCGAGCACUUUGUGUACCCCCCGCGUACUCGGCUAAGCCUGGAAGACCACAAAACUUCUGAAGACCAUAACUUCUUCGUUAUAAGCCCGAUUCCGACAUUCCUUAUAUCCACGGAAAGGUGGCGUGACGAGAAGCCCUACACUUCUAACAACUCAAUCCUUUAUUAAGACCUUCUAAAUAAAAUUCCAUUUUCCACAAAAGCCUGAACUGCCGCUUUACCGAAAUACCCCUAGGCUCCAAAACACGAACAGAACACUCGGAUCACCUCUAAUACAUCACCCGCACCCAAAAGGGCCUAGAUCUUACCUUCCCAAGAGCCAUAAUCCUUAUAAUGACCGACCUUCGAGCCACCGCCUCAGACUAGGAUUCAAUUCGGAAUAGUGCGUUACAAAAUAUAUGAGCUUUUCAAGAAGUCUUAUUAGAUAUGACACAUGGAAAAUGGGCAUCCAUGGUGUUAGUGGCAAAUACAUUGAUAUUGGGGACUUGAAAACCCCUGACAAGUUACAUUAUAGUCUGGAAAUCUUUUUGGCAGCUCCUAAGUCCUUCAUUAGAAAGUCAGCUUUUAACUGGUCUUUCAAUUUUUGAAUCUCCUUCAUAUCUUUCAUUGCGAGAAACAUGUCAUCCACGUAUAUGAGUAACUAGAUCGUCGAACCAUCAUCACUACUUUUUGUAGUAAACACAACUAUCACCGGCGCACCUCUUGAAUUUGUGACUGGUCAUGAACGAAUCAAACCUCUUAUACCAUUGUCUAGGAGAAUGCUUGAGGUCAUAAAGAGAUUUAUUCAAUUUACACACGCAAUCCUCCUUGCCAGGAACUACAAAACCCUCAGGCUGUUGCAUAAAAAUCUCUUCCUCGAGCACACCAUUUAAGAAAGUUGUAGUAACAUCAAGUUGCUCUAAUUCAUAAUCAUUAGAAGCAACCAAUUCCAACUAUAUAGAACUAUGUUUGACAACUUGGAAAUAAAUGUCAAUGUAAUCAAUACCAUGAAUCUGACUAUAGCCUUUAGCUACUAAACGAGCUUUGUACCUUGGUUUCUCAUCCGGGUUGAUAGGUUCCUUGAGCUUGUAGACCCACUUGUAUUUAACUGGUCUUUUGCCUUUCAGAAUAGGAACUAAAUCCCAAGUACCAUUUCUUUGCAAGGAUUCCAUCUCACUUUGAAUUGAAACCAUUGAAUCACUUGAGUCUUUAGACUUAACAACCUCAUCAUAAUUCACAGGCUCCAUUCCAGACUCAAUAUCAUCAGCAACAAUAAAGGCAUAAGAAACAAGAUCAACUUCAGCAUACCUCUUUGCAGGUACAACUUUUCUUCUUGGUCUAUCUCUUGCAAUGCAUGGAGUAGUAACUCGUAGUGGUGAAGAUGUUGAGUCUUCAACAACAACUGGCUCAUUAGACACGGAAGACACUUGAUUUUCAAAUGAAAUUGGAAUAGGAGUGGAAGGUGAAGUAGGAAACUCAAUCUCCAUUUGAGGUUUCUCUUUACUUGCUUCAGAUGAUGCAUCUGAAGUGUUUGUACCUUUUGAAGAGUCUGAAAUCGGUUGAAUCAUACCAAACUCAUCAAAAGUAACAUCUCUUAAGAUAAUGACUUUCUUUAGAUUAAAGCUCCACAACUUGUACUCUUUAACACCCGGACUGUACCGAAGAAAACCACAUUUGAUUAUUUUUGGUUUCAACUUCCCAUUAUCAACUCGUGCAUAAGUUGGACAUCCAAAAGGUUUUAAAUCUGUGUAAUUGGCAGGUAUCCCAAACCAUAACUCAAAUAGAGUUUCCUUCUUAAUUGCUCGUGACAGUGAUUGGUUGAUAAGAUAGCAAGCAGUCGAGACAGCCAUCGCCCAAAAGGGCUUUGGCAAUUUGGAAUUAGAAAGCAUACAACGGACCUUCUCCAUAAUUGUGCGAUUCAUCCUUUUGGCUAUACCAUUUUGUUGACCUGUAUGGACUGUCGUGCGAUGUCGAGUGAUUCCUUCCUUUCAGCAAUAGGCAUUAAACUCUUAUGAUCAGAACUCAAGUCUAUUAUCCGUGCAAAUAUACUUUACCACCAAUCCGGAUUGCUUUUCAACUUGUACUUUCCAAUUUCUGAAGGUAGAAAAAAAAUCUCUGUUAUGUUUCAAGAAGAAGGACCAUACCUUCCUGCAGAAAUCAUCAAUGAUAGUGAGCAUAUAAACAACUCCACUAUUCGAAGCAAAUUGAGUUGGUCCCCAUAAAUCUUUGUGGACAUAGUCAAGUGGUCCUUUCGUUGUAUGAAUAUCACUCACAAUCUUACUCGUUUAGCCUUGCCAUAUACACAGUCUUCAUAGAACUCUAAAUCAACAAUCUUUUGUUCAUAAAGUAACCCUCUUCGACUCAAUUAAGACCUAGGUUUUAAAAGGCGUGAAGCGCUCCGAGGUGAUUAGCCACCUGAGAGCCUCAUUUUUUGAGGCGCUUCGAAUCAAGGGAUUCACAUACGCGAGGCGCUUAUAUUUUCAAAAAGAAAAUUAAAGUAUUUUAGAACCAUAACUCUUAGACAAAAACAACUUAAUAACCAAGUUGAGAAGCAAAAACACCAAUGUCAUAAUUCAAAGACAAAUACAAUACAUAACAAAAAUCAUAAAUAACUAAAUUGUCUAACCGAAACGCCUAAAACUCAUCAACAUCAUCGUCAUCAACAUCAAUCCCAAGUACCUCCUCCUCCCCAUCAUCUUUAGAAACUCCAAUAUCUUCUUCUAUCUCUUCAUCAAUCAAGCCAAAUCCCCUCAAAGUCAUUCUAUGAUUUGAGGUUUCGGUAACACCAUUUCCUUUAUCUCUUAAUGAAGUUGAACUUGGUGUAAAUGACCUCUUAGUAGAAUAUUUAGGCUUAGAUGUCCCAAAAGCUUAAUCAAUAGUAGACCAAGUUAAAUAAUAUCCAUCAAACACAGAGUUAUCCUCCUCAACAUUUUCCUGAUCCAUAUGGCCCAUCAACCACUCGUUACUUUCAUCUAUUUCUUUCAAAAGAAUAGGAUCUGCGGUGUCCUUUCUUUGAUAUCUUCUUUUGAAAGCACGAUUAAACUUGAUGUACACCAUGUCAUUUAAUCUACUUUGUGCUAAUUUGUUCCUCUUUUUCAAUGAAGUUGUUGAAAGACAUUCUAGUUCCUCUCGCGACCCGUAGCACUACAAUUUAAGCUAAGAACUUGGAUUGCAAUUUUCUGUAACUCCGGUGCUGACGCUUCAUAUGUAGACCACCAGUCAGCUGUUAAUAGAAAAUAAAAUUAGCUGUCAAUCAGGUAACGAAAAAAUCAGUUAACAAAAUAAAUCAGGGACCAAUCCACUAUUUUUUAUUACAUAGAGCUCUUUUGUCUCUUUGUCAUAUGGCUAUAGAUUGCCAAAAAGACUUUGGGCAUUUUGAUACAAGUCUAGUUGUUCCCCAGUUUUAUCUUGAGUGCUCAAAUCAGGUAACAACCUUUGAAUGGUUGCAUACAAUCCAUUCAUAACCUCAGCACAAAAUGCAUUCUUGGGAUUUUUGUUAUACAAUUCUGGAUUUAAGAAAAACUUGGUUGCAUAUAAUGGUCUAUGUAGUUGGCAAUCCCACCUUGCAUCAAUAUACUCAAAAGCAUUUUUAUAAUGCUCUUCCUUAUGAAAAAAAAUAGCAGCGAUAGUCUCUUUAACCCUAUCCAUGGACUCAUAGAUGUAUCCCAUGGCUGGCUUUUUGUCUCCAUCUAUAAUUCUAAGAACCUUAACAAGAGGUCCAAUCAACUUUAAAGCAUAGACUAUAUUUCUCCAAAACCUUUCUUGCAAAAAAGUUGAUGUUAGUCUCUUCCCCCAACAUCUUUUAAGCACUUGGAAUUGUUCUACUCUGGAUACGUGAUCAUCUUCUGUAAAUUAUUUUUUUGUUUAUGCAUUUGGGAGAGAGUAAUGAAUGAUGUUGCAAAUCUCGUGAUUGUAGGCCUAUGUAAGUUUCUCUGAUUUGUAAACCUCCUCAUCAUGUUGAGAAUGUCAACAUGGUUAUAAAUAUAACCAUUGACAAACAUAGCUCCCUUCAAAGUAUUUCGUACCGUUAGGAUCUUUCCAAUAGCUUCCAAGAUCAGAUCGAUACAGUGAGCAACAUAAUGAGUCCAAUGUAAAUGUGGUCUUGUUUCCUCUAGCAUUGUUCCUAAAAAGAGUUUUGAGAGAAAUAUGAAAGAAUAAGACAAGUGUUCUCAAAACAGUAACUAACAGGUAAAAGAGUUACUAAGAUUUAGCGACUUACCAUCUUUAACAUAGUUAGAUGCAUUGUCUGUCACCACUUGCACUACAUUCUCCCCUCCUAUCUCUUCCACCGUAUCAUCAAGCAUUUUAAACAAUGUGUUUGCAUCUUUCUUUAUUUCUGUGACAUCCAAGGACUUUAAAAGACUUAACCUUUAGGAGAAUUCACUAAAAAGUUCACAAUAUCUUUUUGAACAGUUGAAUCACACCAUCCAUCUGAUAGAAUCAAGCAACCUUUUACUGCUCAUUCUUGCUUGUAAUCUUUCAACACUUUUUGGGUGGAUUCCACUUCAAUUUAAGUAGAGGAACUCUAAGCUCAUACAUACUUGGAGGUUUGAAUCUCGGGCCAAAUUGUGCAAUAGAUUCCAUUACAAUAUGAAAGCUAUCAUAAGAGCCUGCAUUAAAAGGUAGCCAUGCUUCAUAAAACCAAUGACCUAUCUCCUUACAAGCAUUGUCCGUAAGGUCUUUUUGAUAUACUUCGUUAAUUGUUUGUUGUUUUCCACCUUUUCUACCUUUGAGUUUUUCUUCUGGUUUAUUGGCAUAAAAAUUGUUUAGAGGACCCUUUGUCUUGGUUUUUUAGGUGGAGGCUUGCUACUUACUUGUCCCAUGCCAUCAUCAUCUUCAUCAUAGUCAUCAAGUGCCACUACAUUUGACUGGUCAGUAGUUCUUGAACUUUUUUCUGCUUCUUUCUGGGUCAGAUAGUUCUUCACUUCUUCCCGCACAUGCUCUGGACACUUUGGGCAUCUUUUAGAAUUUUUGAAACCUCCAACUAAAUGUUGUUUUAGUCGGUGUACUCCUCCAGAAGUUGACUUUGCACAAAAUUUGCAAGUAAACUUAUGCCCAUUUGUUGGUGUCCAUAGUAUCAGUUGAAUGAAAAGACUUUAGAAUAAUGGAAACAAAAGAAUAUAGAGUACAAAGGAAGAAAACUGCAUGGAUUGAUAGAGAAUGAGGGAAGAAGAUACAUGGAUUUAUAGUGAUUGUCGAGACUUGUUGGAAUAAUGCAGAGUCGGCAACAAUGUAUGUGAAGCUUGAAUUGAACUAAACGACACAUAUAUGAUUACAGUUAAAAAGCUAUAACGUAAUUAAUAGGUAUAGGGUAAAAAUUGAGCCCAAUGCCCAAGGCCCGGUACAUAAAUCCCUAAAGGCAAGCCCUCUGAUGCCUCAAAAAGAAUUGUCGAUUCACAACAAAAUUCGAUGCCUCCUGUACACUACCUUGCCUAGGAGGAUGGAGGCGUUUCCAUUGUCGCCUUAAGUUGCCAAGCACCUCCUAGCGCCUUAGGUGCGAUUUUUAAAACAUAGAUUCAUAUAUGCCUUGAAAACUCAUAUGGCCGAGUCGAAGGUGCCAAAGACAGGACUACUCUGGAUCAGAAAGAGACUUUGAAACAACAAUAGCAUCAAUCAAAAUUGUUUUCCCUUCAAGAAAUUAGAGAUCAAAGGUUUUGCGCUUGGCUCUCAGUUUGUCGGAACCAUCUUUGAAUACCCUGAGAACUCCACCUUUACUAGAAAACUCGUAGGCCUUUUUAUCAAAGGAGCUGAAAGAUAACAAGUUUCUUCUGAGCACAUGAACAUAUCUAGCUUCCUCAAUGGUUCGGAUAACCCCGUCGAACAUCUGGAUAAUGAUUCUAACUGAGUCAUGUCCAACAACUAUACAUGUAUAAUUGUUACCCGUUAGAACUUAGCCUUGGUUAACCUUUUCAAAUGUGUAAAACCAACUUCUGUUGUGAGACAUAUGGAAAGUACAAAUAGAAUUAAGUAUCCGUUCACCACUAGAAUGCAGUUUAUUAUGAUAAACUGCAAGUUCUCCAAUACAACCGGCCUCACUACAUCGGCUUUACCCGAAAUGCUGGCUUGUUUACCAUUUUCUGCUACUUUCUCUUUAUUCUUCAACUUGAAGCAUUUAUCAAUCGUAUGUCCCUUCUUUUGACAGUAGUUGCAAAACUUUCGUUUGCUUUUAGAGUUGGAUCUGGUCCUAUUGGAAGAUUGAGGAUUUUUACCUCUAUAUGUUGUUUUUCCUCGAGCAUUUAAACAUUCGGCUUUCGCAUAACUUGUAACAUCAUCUGUAAUAUCCUCCAUUUUCUCUUUUGAAUCCAAAGGUGUAAAACCUUUAUCUAAGACAAGAGUGUCACGACUAUAGAUGAUACUAUCACGAAAAUGGUUGUAGGAUUCGGGAAACGACAACAACAAGAAUAAAGCUAAAUCUUCAUCUUCAUACUAAACAUCCAUAUUCUUUAUGUUAUUUACAAACUCUUUGAAUGUGGAUAAAUGUUCAGCUAAAGAACAUCCUUCAAUUAUUUUAAGAUUGAACAAUCGCUGCUGUAAAUGUAACUUGUUUGAUAGGCUCUUCGUUAACAACAAUUGCUCCAACUUUAACCAUAAAGCAGCCGCUGAACUUUCUUUCAAAACAUCUUGCAUAACAUCAUUUGAUAAAUGCAAACCAAUUUGGGAUUGAGCUUUUAAAUGUUUCGUCUCUUUUUCUUCUUCCGUGUACGAAGAGGGCAUCUUCUCGGAACCCAGAAGCGCCUUGUGUAAAUCUAUCUAAUAAGAACAUCUUUCAUCUUAACUUGCCAUUGGGGAAAUUUGGUGUUUCGAUCAAACGAUGGAAUGUCAUACUUCAUCGAAGUCAUGAUCAAUCGCUUGAUAAAAUGAUCCCAAUAAACUAAUAUCAAAACCCAGAAACUUUGAUACCAGUUGUAGUAAUAUAUGUGUGAAACACGAACCAAGAAUCCGAGUAAUUUAGAAUAAUAUUAGUUCGAUGAAGAAUGGAAUUAAAAUAUCAAACACAAUCAACCACCACUAAAAUACGAAUGAAAACAGUAAAUAAAUGAGACACAAGGAUUUAUGUGGAAAACCCAAAACGGGAAAAACCACAUAGUGGAGGAAGCUGAGAAACAAUCCACUAUAAUUUUGCGGUGUUACAGAGUUUGAACUAAGAGUUUACAAAGAGCUCAAAAAUGUGGAAUAUUUUGGUGAUCCUCUAAUUUAUUUUGAAGCAUGCCUUGAACAUAGUAUGUGUAUAUAUAUNNNNNNNNNNNNNNNNNNNNNNNNNNNNNNNNNNNNNNNNNNNNNNNNNNNNNNNNNNNNNNNNNNNNNNNNNNNNNNNNNNNNNNNNNNNNNNNNNNNNAUAUAAAUACGUUCAAUCUUACAUAACUAUUGUCAUUAACACACAUUCUCACUAAUUAAAUAGUGUAUAAGGUUAUUAUACACUUAUUAUUAUUAUUCUCAUUUCUGUCAGAAUGUUGUCACAAUAUUUUAUUGGAUCGUAUUCUGUCAGAAUAAAAAUAAGUAAAAAAACGAUGCGUGUGAACAAAAAUAAAUAAUAAUUAGAGAGAAUGCAUGAAAAUGACGAUAUUUUCUAAGAUUGAACGUAUUCGCAUUGCUAAACAACUUAUUCUCUUAGUAAUUCUCAUAGCAUACGAUAUCCGUACAAUAAUUAGUUAGAAUAGAAUAACCUAAGCCUAUAUAUAUAUAUAUAUNNGUGUGUGUGUAUAUGUGUGUGUGUGUGUAUAUAUAUAUAUAUAUAUAUAUAUAUAUAUAUAUAUAUAUAUAUAUAUAUAUGGGUGAGAUCCAUUGAGAACUCAUAGUUUUCCGAGAACCAGAGAACUAAAGGUGGAACGUUAGAUUAAAAUUGAUUCAUUAAGGACAUGAUCGUCAUCUUUCUAAUCCCAUUUAAUUUUUUGUAUUAUUGGAAACAUUUAUGAAAAUCUCUCAAAUUAACAUUAUAAAUCAAAUUUUCGGAAUUUUUUACAAAAAUAUUAAUUUUCGUUUUUUAAAAAAAUUGCAGAUUUUUAAAUUUUUUCAGAAAACAUAAACUUUUAGAAAAAGUUGAAAAAAACAUUUUUUUUUCAAAAACUGCAUUAAAAAAAACAGUAGAUUUUAUAAACUUAGUAAAUUAAAAAAAAAAAAUACUUGAAUGUGUGCAAAAAAAAUAGAAGCGACUGCAUAAUAAUGUUAUAAAAGUCUUAGGCAGCAAACUAUAAUUUUAUUUACACAAGAACACAUACGACAAUAAUAUGUGCAAUAAAUUUAGGCAACAAUAAACAAAAAAAAGAUUAAUCUUCCCAGAGCAGUCGAGGCGAUGGAUAAAGGUGAAACCGAACGGAGAGACGAUCCGACAAUUUUAGUUAUAUAAUUGUGAUGCAAUCGAUUCAGAUAUACGAAAUCUGAUUUUAGAACAAAACUUGAUGAAUCUCCAACGACGCCGAUUUCAUAUACAAAAUGAAAGAGAAGUGAACAAGAAGAAGAUGUCUUUGCGAAUCUUGAGUUCGACCUCAAGAACAACUUAGAUCCGAUUGCAAUAAACUAUCGCAAAUCAUUUGAUUCUCCUCGUGAACUUCUAUUGCUGCUACAGAAUCCAGUAGGCGACUUCAUCAUGAGUAAUCCUAUGUCAUAGAUGGACAUCGGUAGAUCUAUGUUUGUCUUUAAGAAAUGUGAUUGAUUUGAGGAGAAGCAGAAGAACCGAAGAUUGCUUGCAAAGAAAGUCAUGGAGAAUUGAGAGAGAAAAAAAGAUACGAGAACUUAGGGUUUGAAUUGUUUAAUUGAAACAUGAUUUUUUUUCAAAAUGUAAUUCCGAGAUUACUCCAAGCUCUUUUCAUUGUAAACAUAAGUAGUCAUUACAUUGAGUUUAUUUACAAAUUGUGCCACUAAUCAUCUCAGCCAUCCAAACAAUUGAUUUAAUGUUCGACUUUUAUUUCUUAGGUUCUCGGGAAACUAUGAGUUCUCAAAUGAUCAUUCCUUUCUAUAUAUAUAUAUAUAUGUGUGUGUGUAUAUAUAUAUAUAUCUUAUCAAGUAAAAAAGGCACCAAGACAGAAUAUUUAUAACAUACAUUAAUAAGCAUGUAGUUGUAUUAAUGUAACCAGGAAAACACCAUUUGAUAAAGGGAAGUGAUAUUUCUACUUAAUAAUUUGAUCCACCUACAUAACUUACAACACAUUUGCAGCUAUCGUACAAGUUGAUAAAACAUACAUUUCAAGUGGAUGAAUCAAUUUAUCAAGUGGAAAUAUCACUUCCCUUUAUGAGAAGUUGUUGAAUUUGGAGUCACCAUUUAACUCAUCUAAACCAACGGUUGAAUGCACAUUUGACAUUAUUGUGAAAACAUUUCAAGUUUCAGUUUUAGUCCUUGAAGUAUUUGCCACUUGACAUUAUUGGAGGCGUAUUUCCAGAAUUUGCAUUGUAUGGAAUGUGCAAUUACUAUUGUGCUAUAAUACAUUGAGGCGCUAGUUAGAUCCAUUACUCUUGCACUGAAUUAUUUGAAUCCCUCUUUGUAAAAUAUGUAAUUGCAGGUAAAUUUGGCUUAAGUUCACUUUGUUAAAAUCAUUUUCAAUUUCUGAAUAGUUCUUGAAUUGUUAAAAUCAUCUUCAAUCCAGAUCAAAAACCCUUUCUAUUCCAAAAUGAAGCUAUGUUUCAAAAUUUGAAUCCAUGUCAUUAGUUAUUAAAUUUUACUUAGUGCUAAUUUGUUCACACAAAUUCUAACCACUUUGAUUGAAUCCUGUUCACUGGUGACUCAUGGUAAGUUGUUUUAGGUUGAUCUUCUUUAUUCAAGCUAUAUAUCAUGGGGAUUUGGCAUCAUAUAUCAAGACUCCCAGAGAACUCUUAGCAGAUUCAAUUGUUGGAUCAGGUCCCUUAAUACAUGAAGCAAAACAGAUACAAAAGUGAAGAGAGUUUAGAGAUGGAGGAAUAUCUUUUUUAUUCUUAUUCACCUCACCUGUAACAACGAGUAAAACUACAUCUAUUUAGAUAACAAGAAAUAACAAAUUAAGCUAAAAACUAUCUACACGAUGUGCUCCUAUCUAAGUGGCAACUAAGCCACGUUAUUUCCUCCAAACCUAGUCAACUGAUAACCAAGUUUUCUAUUUAUCCAAAUCUAACCCAUGAAACCUGUUCGCCCAUUGCCCGUUAACCCGUUAAACAAACCGAUUAACCCAACAAUCACCCCCUUAAUCGGUUGUUCCACGGUUCACUUUUUAUCUUCUUGGUGACAACCCAACCUUUUCCGAUCUAACUCAUUCCAAUCUAGAGUCCUCUUCCACCAUUUAAGAAAACCAAGCUCCUGCUUCUUCUGUUUUCAUUUACCAACUCUGAAAAAGCCAAAUCAAAACCCACCUAUUUUGAUUUCUUUCUGCUUCUCUUCUUUGCUUCUGGUUACGCACUCUGUAACCCGGAACAUUUCUGAUCAAGGAUGGAGACUGCACCUUUGCAGUCUUGACCCUAUUCACGCUUCUAUUGUGAAAGCAUCCUCAACAGCCAUCUGCUGUCAUCUCCGGGAUCGAACCUCCACAACAGACCUGCAUCUUUCAACACAUGUCCUCACGACCACCACCGUGAGCCAUUAAUGCCACAGCAGUGCUGAAUCACUGUCAAAAUAGCCAAGAACAUCUCCACUGGAUUCUGCACAGAUGAAAAUCAUGAGAAACACGAUCACCUUCAUCUCUGUUAACAUCCAUCACAUGCUAUUUUAACCAACAUUAUAUGAUUGUAUCAUCUUGCAUCCACCUGCUUUACCAAGACAACAACCACUACGAGUCUCGACCUUUCCCGGACACCUGACCUCCACCUCGGCCACAUCCAAAGUCUUCUCUCGACUUUUCGCAGACCGCUGACCUCUUCCUCGGCCACACCCAAAGCCAACUCUGUCACAGUCUCCUUUAACUGCCACUACAGCCACUGACGAGACCUCCCUUUGACAACUUCAAACCUUUACCUGUUCCAAGAGUCUUCUCCUACCGCUACAAGUCAAGAAAACCAAGCUUCUCCUUUUUCUGUUUUCUUUUACCAGCAAACAAGCCAACCCAAAAAAAUACAGCCACCCUCUACGACUUACUUCACCAGCGUCGCAUCAUGUUUCAACAGGAAAAUCACCACAAUAAACCGCAGCCACCUGCUACACACGACGACCAAUAUUCUGCCUUUUGUAUUAACUGGAACCUCCACUCGAGCAACCACUGCCAAACACCUCCUUACGCUGUGAUGGCAACCUUGCACCCAAAGGCUCUUCCCCUUCGAAAGUCGACUCUCAAAACAGCCUUGUACCUCUUCACAAGCCCUAAGCUCUGAUACCAAUUGUUGGAUCAGGUCCCUUAAUACAUGAAGCAAAACAUAUACAAAAGUGAAGAGAGUUUAGAGAUGGAGGAAUUAUCUUUCUGAUUCUUAUUCACCUCACCUGUAACAACGAGUACAACUACAUCUAUUUAAAUAACAAGAAAUAACAAAUUAAGCUAAAAACUAGCUACACGAUGUGCUCCUAUCUAAGUGGCAACUAAGCCACGUUAUUUCCUACAAACCUAGUCAACUGAUAACUAAGUUUUCUAUUUAUCCAAAUCUAACCCAUGACACCCGUUCGCCCAUUGCCCGUUAACCCGUUAAACAAACCGAUUAACCCAACAUCAAAGGUAGGAAACAAUCCAUUUGAUGGUUUCACACCUUCUGUAAGUCACUUAACAAGACUCCCAUAGAACUCUUUAUGAGGAGAAUGGUGUCAAGCAAAUACAAAAUGAUGCAUUUGUUCUUGUUGCAGAAGGGCUUGGGGAACGUCUUGGAUAUAAUGGAAUCAAGGUUAUUUUUGUCUUUUAAUCAUGUGAUAACUGUUAUGUUAGUUUAACACCACUUGAUAAAACUUCAUGUAUAUUGUAGGUAGCACUUCCCAUGGAAAACACUACAGGAACACUUGUUUCUUGCAACACUACAUCGAGUCCAUCUUAUGCUUAUCUAAAGCUAGUUGUACUCAAACUAAAGGUACUUUUUGUUUCCCCAUGAACGUAUUAUCUUUAUUCUUAUAUGCACAAUCGAAAGUCAUAAUCAAUUAAUAUAUUAAAAAAUGGCAAAUUGUCCAGUUGUAGGUGAAUGCAGAAGAGAAGUACCUUUUGCGAUAAUGACUUCAGAUGACACAUGCAAAAACAUUACAACUUUUAGAGUCAAGUUCUUAUUUUGGGAUGAAAUCUACAUAAGUAAAACUUUUAAAACAUGUAUAGUUUCACAUUUAGAGUUUUUUUUGGUACAAUAGAAGGGCAUUAUUGGCAUUAUAAAUUCAUGCUACCAUGUUUCAGGAAAAGGUUGCUUGCUUGGCUGAUAAUGAUGCUAAGCUUGUUGUAGAUCCAAAUAAUAAGUACAGAAUGCAGGUGAAGAAUUUUGUAAAGUAUAUAAGAUUAGUAAUAUUCCCAAUUAUAAACCCCUUUUAUUUCACUUGUUAGACAAAACCUCAUGGUGAUGGUGAUGUUCAUUCACUUCUUUAUUCAAGUGGUCUUCUUAAAGAAUGGCAUGUAUACAUUUUCUUAUUUGAUUGGUUUUUGUUUUUAUUAGAACAUUUAUCUCAUUAUUCUUUAUUGAGCAAUCUUUUUAUGAAAGAUGCUAGUUUGAGAUGGGUUGUGUUUUUCCAAGAUACAAAUGGACUCCUAUUCAAGGUUCAUUUGAAAGAUUGCUUUAAUAGUAUUUUCAUAUAGAGUUUUAUAUAAAAAAUAUUUUAUUUAUUUAUUUAUUUAGGCAAUUCAUGCAUCAUUGGGAGUUAGUGAAACUAAAGAGUAUCAUGUUAAUUCUCUUUCUGUUCCUUGCAAGCCAAAGAAGCUAUUGGAUACAUUAGAAGGCUUACUCAUUCAGAUGUUAAAUCUUGUUGAAUUGUCUUGUUAUUAGUAUCAUAAAGGAGUUUGUUAACCCCAAGUAACUUCUUUCAUAACUCAUGCGUUUCUUUUUGUCUCCUAAAACUGUAUUUAAAUUAUUACAUCCUUACAAAUCACUUUAUUAAAAACUUAAGACUAUUAAAGUAAACUGCCAAAAUGGUCCCUAUCGUUCAAAAUUUUCUUUGGUGUUGGUCCGAAAAAUUGUCUUCGAAUUUUUUCUUUGGUUCAAGUCCAAGUGAGAUUUUUUUUUGGUCCAUUUGUCAAGUUUUCAUUACUUUUGUUAUGGACUAGUAUUAGAAGGAUACAAAGUGUAAUUAUGUAGUCUAUAUAUGUUAUAUAUUCUAUCGAUCAUUAUAUACAACACAAUAUUUUACACAAGAUUAAUACUGUGAUGUUAAUUGUAACUAACCAGUUGUUUGGUUUUCAAAAUGACCAUUUUACCCUUAGACCAAAACAAGGACCAAAUUUGUAAUUUACCUAUAGUUUUAUAAAUUAUACUAUUUUCUAGCUAAAGGGAUAUAAGUUUUAUUAUUUAAUCGAUGGUUAGAGUUAACUUUUAAGAAUAAGGAAUGUGUCUAUUGGCAUCUGCACGAGGGACGAUACAUAUAAUUUACUCUAUAUUUAAUGUUCAUAAAAUCCACAAUAGAUUAUUCUACUAUUUUUUGUAAUCUAAAACAACUAUACAACUAAAUCUUGAAUUUAACAUAUUAUCUAACAAAAUCAAGAUUUUUUUUUUAAAAAAAAUUGAACAUUAUUAUUAUUAAAACAUAUUAUACUUUCUAGAAAAAGAUUUCCAUUUUUUUCCAAACCCAUUUUUACUAUAGUUUCAAGAUUAAAAUUACAAAUUUGGUCCUUGGGUUUACCUUUUUUGGUUUAGGUCCAAAAAAGACAUAUUUUCAAUUUUACUCCAUAUUUCAGGGUUUCAUAACACAUUUGAUUGCAGUCCCAUGUAUAAUAACUAUAGCUAUCUUCUUUGCUUAUGAAUUCAUCUCUUUGGAUUCCAUAUACAAAGAUUCAACAAAAACUGUAUUCAAGUCUUUUACUAGGUUAGAAUGUAUGAUGCAAGAUUAUCCUAAAACAUUGUCUCCAUCAGCAAGAGUUGGAUUCACGGUAAUAAAAUGAUUAUUCCUAAUUUCAUCAAUUAACAAUAUUGCCAUUCUUACCAUCUUUUGACUUGUUAACUGACCGAUCCAUGGCUUGCAUAUGCACCUAUGAAGAACAAUCCCGAUGAUGCUGUAAAGGUACUACAAAAGUUUAUUAAUAAUAAAAUAUUCUAAAGUUUAUUUAAAUUAGUUAUUUUAUAUAAAAAUAACAGGUACCUAAGGGAAAUCCAUAUCACAGUGUAACUUUUGGAGAAACAACAAUUUACAGAUCUCAUAGCAUGAUUCUAAGAUGUAAUAAACUAAAAUCCAUAAGUAAAAAUUUCAUUUUUCAAUUCAUCAUUCCAAACAUCACAUAGCUCAAAAACAUCCAAAAGACAACUAUCAGAAAAUAUCAGAGUAACAGAGAUCACAAAAUGCGGAAAUCAUGAGGGGGGGAUGUUGUGCCAUCACGUCGGGCCCUUCCAUUUUGUACCGGAAGUAACUGAAACCAAAAACAUAUAUGUAACCACAAAGCUUAGUGAGCUUCCACAAAAUACCACAUACACCAAACACAUAAAUAUAACAACACGUGGCUUUGUUAGGUCCGUAUCAAACCUAUGUAACAACAAUUAGCUGUAUUGGGUCCGAAUCAAUCCUCAGGUCCGUAUCAAACCCGAGUCCAUAAUGACUCCAAGCCCAAUUUAGCUCCAUGCAUAUAUCAUACAAUCACAUAAGUAAUACUCACAUAAUGGCAUACAUCCUACACAUACAACUCAGUGGUCCGACUUUGGUGCCUUCAACCCAUUAGUAUGGUAAAAAGACUCACCUAUAACUGAAGAUGAGUGAAUCGCACACUCGGGUUGCUGCUAACACGACUCCUCACACUAAAUAAAACCCAAAGACAACCCUAAUUAAAAUCAGGGUUUAACCCAUGAUCAAUGGUGCAAAUCAUCCUUUAUCUUAUUAAGGACAAAAGACAAUUUAGCCUUUCCCACACAUAACCCAACUAAUCAAAGCCCGAAACUCCAAAUGGCCCAAGGCCCAAAAACACCCAAGUAGGUUUUCUGGGAGUACGCUCGGCGUACUCCACAUUACGCCCAAUGUACAGUCAAUCCAUGGAAAAGUUACGGGGUCAUAACCCUCUAUGCCCAACGUACUCAGGUUUAUGCCUAACAUAAUUACCUUGGUUCCAAGCUCUAAUCUAAGGUCUUAAUGGGUUAAGACUUAACGUCCAAACUUCAGAUCCAAGCCUAAUAAAAUGUAUAAAGCCAUAAAGUUGCAAGCUUUAUGCUUUCGCAUGGCAAAAGGAAGCCACAAACCAAAACCCUAACUUAUAUUAUCAGCUAACCUUCCAUAAUUCUUGCAUAGAUGAAUACCAAGGACCAAGCUUGUAUUUUUAUGACACUAUACACCCUAAAAUGUAUGAAAGAACAACUUAAAAGCUUUGGAGUAUUCAAUACUCACAAAGAUCAUGAUUUUGGGAAAAAGAACAUAAAUCUAAGCUUAAACAAUAUCUAGCAAAGAAAGCUCCAAGGUAUGAACUUUAUACAUCCAGAAGAUGCAUAUAGAUGAGAAGAAUCGGAAUGCAAAAGCUUGAGAGAAACACCACAACUCCAAAGGUCUUCCUUCACCACCAAGAACAGCAAAAUGUCACUCUAAAGCUUCAAAAAUCACACACAAGAAUUAGGUUUUCGAGAUGGAGGCUAAGAAAGAUGGAGGUUGAAGGUAAGAAAUGGUUUAAGUCUAUAAAGGUCUUUAAAUAGGGUCCAAACCCUAAAAAUUAGUGUUUUCCCUCUGCUUGAGUACGCCCAGCGUACGAGAGGGAUUCGACGACUAUCUUUAAGGAUCUACACCCGUUGUACCCAACUCGUACGCCCAAUGUAAGGAACAAUUUUGCAAUCUUUUUAAGGAAUAUAUGCUAAAGAGAAAAUUACCUGGAACACUGGCGUUACAAAUCUCCCUCACUUGAAUCAGACUUCGUCCUCUAAGUCUGCUACUGCAAACAAGUCUGGGUAGUGCGCCCUCAUCUUAUCCUCAAGUUCCCACGUCCACUCUAAACCCUUCUGGUGCUUCCACUGUACCUUCACCAGGUUCACCACGUUGUUGUGCAAUGCCUUGGUCUUACUGUCGAGAAUCGCAACUGGCCUCUCCACAUAAUUUAGGACCCUAUCGACCUGAAUAUCAUCAAAAGAAAUCACUGUCGAAUAAUUGGUAACACGCUUCCUAAACUGAGAGACAUGGAAGGUGUUUUGGAUCUCACUAAGCUCAUCUAGCAAAUCUAAUCGUUAUGCCACCUUACCCACCCGGGCUAAAAUCCUAAAUGGACCAAUAAAUCGGGGGCCCAGCUUACCCACUUCCAGAACCGAAUGACACCUUGACAAGGUGACACCUUCAGAAGCACCAAGUCCCCCACCUGAAACUCGAGGUCCGAAUGUCCCUGAUCUUCAUAACUCUUCUUUCGGCUUUGCGCGAGUUGCAAACUAUUGAUCACCUGUUGAAUCAACUCAGUGGUAUUGCGCACCACUUCAUUACUUCCCAUGACCCGAUGCCCGACCUCGCCCAAGGAAACCGGGGUCCUACACCUCCUCCCAUACAACAUAUCAAAAGGUGAUCGGUCAAUACUAGCGUGAUAACUGAUGUUGUAAGAGAACUCGGCCAGUGGAAGGUAAGUAUCCCAACUCCCUCCAAAAUCUAACACGCAAACCCAGAGCAUAUAUUCGAGCAUCUGAAUCAUCCGUUCACUUUGUCUAUCGGUAUGGAGGUGGUAUGCUGUACAGAAAUGCAACUGAGUACCCAACUCCUCAUGAAACUUACUCCAAAACCUGGAGGUGAAGCGAACAUCUCAGUCCAAAACCACCCAAACUGGCACCCCAUGCCGAACCACCACCUCUCAAAUGUAAAUUUUAGCUAGCUUCUCAGCAGAUAUAAUCUUGAAAAUCGGUAUGAAUUUCACACUCUUGGUCAAUAAGAUAGAAUCAACUCUACAUGUCGUCCUUGGCAGCUUUAUGAUAAAAUCCAUGGUGAUCUCCUCCUAUUUCCCUAUGGGAAUGUGUAAUGACUGCACAUUGUUGUGGGGUCUCUGAUGUUCGUUAUUGACCUUCCGACAAGUCAUGCACCGCUUUACGAACCAUGAUAUCUCCCUUUUCAUACAGGGCCACCAAUAACUCAACUUUAAAUCCUUAUACAUCUUUGUGGCCCCCAGAUGAAUCAGCCCACGAGUAAUUGGAACCUAAAAUCUACUACACUGAGUCAACAAACACCGACUAUCUCUGACGAAUAAUGGAAUCUGCCCCCUGAUCCGCUCUGCCUUCUAAUUAUCCUUUUUGAAUCCCUCGACCUAAUCCUCCUUGAUCAAAUCUAACAAAGGAGAAAUGAUAACGAUCCUCAGACACAUAUCAUCGAUAGGUGUACUCAUAGCCUUAUGACUCAGAGCAUUGACCACCACAUUGACCUUCCCAGGGCGGUGCAAAAUCUAGAAAUCAUAAUUCCUUACCACAUCCAACCACCUCUGUUGACGCAUAUUCAAGUUCCGUUGAUCCAUCAGAUACCUUAAACUCUUAUGGUCAGUGUAGAUCGUACACCUAACCCCAUACAGGUAGUGCCUCCAAAUCUUGAGGGAAAAAACCACAACCCCCAACUCCAAACCAUGCGUAGGGUAAUUCCCCUCAUGAGACUUCAGUUACCUCGAAGCGUAAGAAAUCGCAUGACUCAUCUGCAUAAGAACAACUCCCAAACUCGAUAUAGAGGCAUCACAAUAAACCACAAAAUCAUCUAUACCCUCGGGAAGCAUGAGAAUCGGGGUCUCACACAACCUAUCUCAGUGUCUCAAAAGCCAACUGCUGAUCGGGUCCCCACCGAAAAGUAACAUUCUUCUUUGUCAAGCGGGCCAAUGACACAUCAAUCCUGGAGAAAUCCUAGAUAAAUUUCCGGUAAUAUCCCAUAAGACCCAGGAAACUCCAAAUCUCAGAUGGAGUUCUCAGAACCUCCCAUCGCAUCACGACCUCGAUCUUGGCCGGAUCGACCAAUAUAACCUUCUGGUUGAUGAUGCGCCCCAAGAACUAUACCCCCCCACAACCAAAACUCGCAUUUGGAGAACUUGGCAUACACCCUCUCCCUCCUCAUAGUCUCUAAUACCUCUCGUAAAUAAUCCUCGUGUUGCUCCUUGGUCUUGGAGUAGACCAAAAUAUCAUCAAUAAAUACGAUCACCGAGCGAUCGAGCAUCGGCCAGCAUACUCGGUUCAUAAGAUCCAUGAAUGUUGUUAGCACAUUGUUGAGCUCAAAAGACAUCACCACGAACUUGUAAUGACCAUAACGAUUCUGAAUGCCGUCUUCAGCAUAUCCUCAUCUGAUGGUAACCUGAUCACAAAUAAAUCUUGGAAAACCAAGAUACACCCUGAAGCUAGUCAAAUAAGUCGUCAAUCCUUACAAGUGGGUAAAGGUUCUUCACCGUUAACUUAUUCAACUUCUGAUAGCCAGUACAUAUCCUGUGUGAACCGUACUUUUUCACGAACAGGAUCGGUGCUCCCCAAGGUGAACUACUCGUCCGAAUAAUUCCCUUGUCUAGCAGCUCUUGAAGGUGCGUAGACUACUCCUGCAUCCCCGGUGGUGCCAAGAGAUACAGUGCAUUGGAUAUUGGGGUCACACCAGGAACUAAAUCAAUCUAGAACUUGAUCUGCCUUUCAGGAGUCACUCCUAGCAAAUCCUCAGGAAACACAUCGAGGAAAUCCCAAACAAUGGUCACCUUAUUCAACAUCGUCGUGCCCCUUAUCCGUGUAUCUGCCAUAUAAGCUAGAAACCCAGAACAACCCAACUGAAGACAUCUCCUGGCCCUCACAGCUGAAUAGAGAGCCGACACAUGCGAAGCUCCCUCUCCAGGAAUAACCAGUUCUCCCCCACUUGGGGUUCGAACUUCCCCAGUUGGCACCCAUAAUCAAUCAUGGCCCCAUUGGUACCCAACCAGUCCAUCUCGAUAAUAACCUUCGACACUCGUAGAGGAAUCGACACCAAAUCAAUAGAGUACUUCUUGCUAAACUGGUUUAGGACACAUCCACGAUGUACCCUUAAAGCACUCCCAGAACGAUCAUCAGCAAUCUCAACCUCCAACAAAUAAUCCAGAAUCCCAGGAGCAUCACUAAACUUCUUCACGAGCACAAGAGAUACAAAGGAUCAGGUAGCACUCGAAUCAAACAGAACAUAAACAUUCAUACCAUUGACUAGGAAUGUCCAUAUACAUGAUCAGAUACAAUAUAAGCAUAAAUAAGGAAAGCAAUAAAGAUAAAAUGAAAUUACAUGCUAGCAACCACAUCCAGUGCUGCUCGAGUCUCAUCGGUAGUCAAUUGAAUUGCCCUGCUCUUCACCACAGGUGUCUCUGUCUUACCCUAGCAACCAUCGAUAAUCCUCACGGUGGCUGGUGAUGACACUGCCACUGCUUCUCCUGACAACCUCGAACAAUCAACCUUUUUAUGGCAUGUCUGGAUGCAAUGAAAAGAAAUCAAUGCACAUUGGAGGCAAUUCGUACUCAUAUGACCAUACUGACCACAUCUGAAACAACCUAACAUCUGAAACAACCUAAACUCGUUGAUCGGCAUGCCCCAUUUUGCUGCUUGCCGCAACGACCCCGACCUUGCUGGCCCCUCGAAUACGAAUCAUAAUUAUUGGCCUUGUUAGCUUGGCCCACAACAGUCUACACCUACUCCGGCUUACGCUUAGUCCGAAGCUCCAACUCAAUAUCCCGCUCGUGGGCCCUCUUAAUCAUAUCAUUCAGGGUCUUGCACUCUGAAAUGCUCACGAACUCCCUGAUCUUAUCCCUCAACAUGUCAUGAUAUCAGUUCUUCUUCAUCUCCUUAUCUGCAGCUUACUGCAAAACUAAAAGAGCCCUCUCCUGAAACUUGGCGGUGAUCUACGCCACAAACUCAUUAGUUUGUUGAAGGUCCUGAAAUUCCCUUGCUAACUAUUUCACCUCGAUCGCCGAUGAAAAUUCCCUUUUGAACUGUAACAUCCCAAAUUUCGAGUCCAAAAAUUUCAUUUUAAUUGAUUAAUUAUAAAAACAUUCAUAAGCAAACUACAUGAAAAUAUACCAUUUUGUAAAUCAAUACAUCAUGUCUGAAAAACCCAAAUCAUAAAGUAGUAUCAUAUCAGAGUGCAAUCCCAGAAUAUCUCAAGUGCGGAAAACCAAUGUGUGUGUGUAUGAUGUGCUGCUACCACGCCAGCUCCUUCCCCUUUGCUGAAGAGGUACCUGAAACCAAAACUAUAAACUGUAAGCAUGAAGCUUAGUGAGUUCCCCCACCGUACCACAUACCAUACAAUCACAUAGCAUACAUACUGUCGGGCAAUUAUGGGGUGCCCGGCCUACCCGAUACGGCCAUUGUGGGGUGCCGACCUACCCGUGUCAAGCCAUUCUGGGGUGCUGAACAACCCGACGGUCCUAACAACCAACCCUUUGGGACUAUUCCACCCCUAUUGCUACUAUCACAUAUAUCAUAAUGUAACAUACUAUCAUAUAUAUCUGGGGUGUCCGACCUACCCUUCGGUCCUAACAACCGAACUCUACUACCUUUACAUAUAGCAUAUCAUGCCAACAUAUAACAUAUCAGGUAGUAGCAAACCUAGAUGAUAUCACAAAUAAAAUCAUCUAACAUACAACUCCUACUGGUGGGUCGGCAUUGUGGCUGUAGACCCACCACUACUGGAAGGUAACUCACCUCAAACGAGUAGCUGCUGAUAAUCUGCUGCCUCGGAAAUCCUCCAGCUAUAAUCCCCAAAAAACACUUAGUCAGAAUCUGAUAUCCACACUUAGGGUAAAAUAACUAUUAUACCCCUGACCAAGUCCAAGUCACAGUCAAAGUCAAAGUCAACCCUCUAGCCAAAGUCAACUCUCAGUUGACCUGACUUGCCGAGUUGGCCGCCAACUCACCGAGUCCCUCUCCUUGGUUCAAAUCCUCUAUACAUUUCUACUCGUCGAGUUUAUCAAAGUCUUGACGAGUCCAUAUUCGAUACUAACAUCGAGUCCAUUUUCAUCUAACUCGCUGAGUUGUAUGAACAACUCGUCGAGUCCUCCUUCAUCCUAUGAAUGUGAUUGGUCCUUGACUCGCCGAGUUAUAUGAACAACUCGUCCAGUCCCUCCACUACUAGAUCUGAGCCCUAACUCACCGAGUCCAUUACCUACUCACUGAUUCCACCCUAAACUCUCAAAUGGGGAACAACUCGGGAACUCGCGACUCGACUCGUCGAGUCCUAUGCAUGUCAUUACUAUACAGUCGAUUCUGCUCGAAUCCAGUGCAUUCCAUUCAUAGAUCUGGGAUCCUAGGGCUGGUUUUUCACGUAAAGUUUCUAACUUUACGUGCAUGCAUGCUAAUAUGAAGCUCAAAUACUCAAAAUAAGCUAAAAGAAGAGAUCUAAGCUUAGAAUGGAAACUUGGCUCAAUAAAGGUUGCAACCUUGAGCUUAAGAGGCUCUGGAAGCUUAGAUCUGAAGUCCAUUCAUCAUAUCAACUCUUAAUUCGACCUUAAAGUCUAGAAACAGCUCAAAAUCAACAAGAGCAAGAUUUUCAAGAGAUCUAAUUGAUAAUAAGCAAAGAUUCGAGCUUGAUACCUCAAAGGGGACUGAAAUGUAACUAGAAAUCCGGAUCUACUUGCUCCCCUUGAAUACUUCUCCUCUCUCUUCUUCCUUAAAUCCCCAAGAUGCACUAAAAACCUUCACAAGUGAGAAAAUGCUCCAAAAAUGCUUAAGAACGGCUAGGGUUUCGUAUGGGACUCUUUGUGGGUGAGGGAGGCUGGUCUUGGGGCACAUAAGAUGUUUAAAUAGGGUGCAAACCCUUGAAAUUAGGGUUUCAUCCAGUCUGGCAGACUCGCCGAGUUCGGGAAUAUGGACUCGUCGAGUCGCCAACUUAAACCGCGUGUAAUCUCUUCUUUACUCGACUAGUCGGGCUACUGACUCGUCGAGUACCUCUUAAGAAAUAAAAAUUACUUUAUUUAAAUCACAUACCAAAAAUGGGGCGUUACAACUCUCCCCCACUCUCACCUCAAACGAGUAGCUGCUGAUAAUCUGUUCAGGAAAUCUCCGUAUGCUGCUGCUCCGGAAAUCCUCCGGCUAUAAUCCCCACAAAACACUUAGUAAGAAUCUGAUACCCACACUUAGGGUAAAAUGACUAUUUUACCCCUAACCAAGUCCAAGUCACAGUCAAAUUCAAAGUCAACCCUCUGGCCAAAGUCGACUCUCAGUUGACCUGACUCGCCGUGUUGGCCGCCAACUCGCCGAGUCCCUGUCCUUGGUUCAAAUUCUCUAUACGCUUCUACUCGUCGAGUUUAGCAAAGUCUCAACGAGUCCAUAUUCGAUACUAACAUCGAGUCCAUCUUCAUCUGACUCGCCGAGUUGUAUGAACAACUCAUCGAGUCCUCCUUCAUCCUAUGAACGUGAUCAGUCCUUGACUCGCUGAGUUGUAUGAACAACUCGUCGAGUCCCUCUACUACUAGAUUUGUGCCCUAACUCACCGAGUCUAUUACCUACUCACUGAUUCCACCCUAAACUCUCAAACGGGGAACAAUUCGGGAACUCGCGAGUCGACUCGUCGAGUUUGAAGAACGACUCACCGAGUCCUAUGCAUGCCACUACUAUAAAAUUGAUGUUGCUCGAAUCCAAUGCAUUCCACUCAUAGAUCUGGGCUCCUAGGGCUGGUUUUUCACGUAAAGUUUCUAAAUUUACGUGCAUGCAUGCUAAUAUGAAGCUCAAAUUCCCAAAAUAAGCUAAAAGAGAGAUCUAANCUAAGCUUGGAAUGGAAACUUGGCUCAAUAAAGGUGGCAACCUUGAGCUUAAGAGGCUCUGGAAAGAUUAGAUCUGAAGUCCAUUCAUCAUAUCAACUCUUAAUUCGACCUUAAAGUCUAGAAAGGGCUCAAAAUCAACAAGACUAAGCUUUUCAAGAAAUCUAAUUGAUAAUAAGCAAAUAUUCGAGCUUGGUACCUCAAAGGGGACUAAAAUGCAACCAGAAAUCUGGAUCUACUUGCUCCCCUUGAAUACUUCUCCUCUCUCUUCUUCCUCAAAUCCCCAAGAUGCACUAAAAACCUUCACAAGUGAGAAAAUGCUUAAGAACGGCUAGGGUUUCGUAUGGGAUUCUUUGUGGGUGAGGGAGGCUGCUCUUGGGGCACAUAAGAUGUUUAAAUAGGGUGCCAACCCUUGAAAUUAGGGUUUCAUCCAGUCUGGCAGACUCGCCGAGUUCGGGAAUAUGGACUCGUCGAGUCGCCAACUUAAACCGCAUGUAAUCUCUUCUCUACUCGACUAGUCGGGCUACUGACUUGUCGAGUACCUCUUAAGAAAUAAAAAUUACUUUAUUUAAAUCACAUACCAAAAAAGGGGCGUUACAACUCUCCCCCACUUAUCUUAGACUUCGUCCUCGAAGUCUGCUGCUGCUGAAUCUAUAAAUAUCUCUGGAUAAUGCUCCCUCAUUUCCUCCUCGACCUCCCACGUCCAUUAUGAACCCUUCUGGUGUUGCCACUGCACAUUCACUAGCUGGACUACCUUGUUCCUCAAGGUCUUCGUUUUCCGAUCCAAGAUUGCAACGGGCCUCUCAAUAUAAUUCAGGCUGCUAUCAACCUGAAUAUCCUCCAAGGGUACAACAGCUAACUCGUCCACCAAACACUUCCUCAACUGAUAAACAUGGAAAGUGUUGUGGAUCUGGCUAAGCUCUACGGGAAGAUCCAACUGAUAAGCAACCCAACCCACUCGGGCCAAAACUCUAAAAGGGCCAAUGAACCUGGGGCCCAGCUUUCCCCUCUUCCGGAACCUGAUAACACCCUUCCAGGGUGAUACCUUCAGGAGGACCCUAUCGCCCACUUGAAACUCCAAGUUUGAUCGGCGCUUGCCGGGAUAACUUUUCUUCCGACUCUGAGCAGUCUAAAGUCUGCUCCGGACCUGCUGAAUCCUCUCUGUCGUCUUGAGCACCACUUUGGUGUUCCCCAUGACCCUCUGGUCAACCUCGCCCCAACAUGUCGGGGUCCUACACUUCCUCCCAUGCAACAUCUCGAAAGGAGGACGGUCAAUGAUCGCAUGAUAACUAUUGUUACAGGAGAACUCUGUCAAUGGAAGGUAAGUAUCCCAACUACCUCCGAAGUCUAGAACACACGCCCGCAUCAUGUCCUCCAAGGUCUGGAUAGUACGCUCACUCUAACAAUCUGUCUGCGGGUGAAAGGCAGUGCUAAAAUGCAGACGAGUAACCAGCUCGUCAUGAAACUUCUUCCAAAAUCGGGAAGUUUACCGCACAUCCCUGUCUCAAAUAACUGAAACUGGUACCCUGUGCCUCACCACCACCUCCCUGGUAUAGAUAUCGGCCAACCUUUCGGUCGAAAUACUCUCCUGAAUCGGAAUAAAAUGGGCGCUCUUAGUCAAUCGAUGGACGACGACCCAAAUCGAAUCCACUCCCCGUGCGGUCCUGGGAAGUUUGGUGAUGAAGUCCAUGGUAACGUCUUCCCACUUCCACAUGGGAAUAUCCAACGGCUGCAUCCUUCCUUGUGGCCUCUGGUGCUCGGCCUUGACCUUCCUAUAGGUCAAGCACCGCUCCACAUACCAUGCUACAUCCCACUUCAUGCAGGGCCACCAAUAGUCCAGAAGAAGAUCCGUAUACAUCUUUGUCGCCCCGGGAUGAAUGGAGAAUCUGGAUUUGUGUGCUUCCUCCAUCAGAAUCUGACACACACCACCGUGGUAUGGAACCUACACCCUGCGGUGUAGUGUUAAUAACCCUCAGCUAUCAUAGUCAAAGGAUGAAACCUGGCCUACAAUCCGCUCGCUUUUCCAAAGUUCCUCCUUCAUGGCCUAUCGAAUCUGCUCCAAUAGUGGAGUCACCACUGUCAUCCGCAUGACAAAUGUAUCGGAUCAGCGCUGCCUGGCGGCUAAGUGCAUCGGCCACCAAAUUGGCCUUCCCCGGGUGGUAAAGGAUCUCGCAAUCAUAAUCCUUCACCACUUCCAACCACCGAUGCUGCCUCAUGUUCAGAUUCGGCUGAUCAAUAAGGUAACUCAAACUCUUGUGGUCCAUGUAAAUGGUACAACGGACCCCAUAAAAGGUAAUGAAGCCAAAUCUUGAGGGCGAACACAAUAGCCCCAAGCUCCAAAGCAUGUGUCGGAUAGUUCGCCUCGUGAGGCUUCAGCUGCCUCAAGCGUUGGCGAUGACAUGCCCUCUCUGCAUCAAAACCACGCCCAAACUCGAAAUAGACGCGUCGCAGUACACAACAAAAUCCUAUAUGCCCUAUGGCAGGGCUAAAAUCGGCUCCUCGCACAAUCUCUGUCUCAGUGUCUCAAACACUGCUUGCUGCUCAGGGCCCCAACAAAAGACUACGGCCUUCUUCAUCAGUCGCGUCAAGGGUACAACUAUCUUGGAGAAAUCCUGGAUGAAUCUCUGAUAGUAGCCGGCUAAUACCAGGAAACUCCGAAUCUCGGAUGGAGACUUCUGAACCUCCCAUCUCAUCAUGGCCUCCACCUUGGCUAGGUCAACCAGGAUGCCGUUCUGGUGGACAAGGUGCCCAAGAAAUUGCAUCUCGCGCAACCAGAACUCACACUUGGAGAACUUGGUGUACAAGCUCUCCCUCCUCAGGGUAUCCAAAACCUCUCGUAGAUGCUCCUCAUGCUGCUCCUGCGGCUUGGAAUAAACCAAGAUGUCAUCGAUCAAAACUAUCAUAGACCGAUCCAACAUCGGUCUGCACACGCAGUUCAUGACAUCUAUGAACGUGGCAGGAGCAUUGGUGAGCCCGAAGGUCAUCACCACGAACUCAUAAUGGCCAUAGCAGGUCUGGAACGCAGUCUUCUGUACAUCCUCCUCUCUAACCCACAUUUGACGAUAUCCUGAACGCAGAUCAAUCUUGGAGAACCAAGAUGCUCCCUGUAGCUUGUCAGAGAGGUCAUCAAUCCUCAGAAGUGGGUAACAGUUGUUCACUGUUACCUUGUUCAGCUCCCGGUAGUCUAUGCACAUGCGAUGCGACCCGUCCUUCUUCUUGACAAACAGAAUCGGGGAUCCCCAAGGCGAGCUACUCGGCCUGAUGAAUCCAUUGUCUAGCAGCUCCUAUAGCUGCGUAGACAACUCCUGCAUCUCGGGAGGAGCCAACCGAUAUGGGGCCUUGGCUAUCGGACCCGCACCAGGGACUAGGUCGAUCCUAAACUCCACCUGCCUCUCCGGAUGUAUCCCAGGCAACUCCUCAGGGAAUACAUCCGCAAACUAUUGUACUAAGGGAACAUCGCCCACCGCCGCCUUACCUGUUUUCUGGGUAUCCAUAACAUACGCGACGUACCCGGCGUAACCCUGCUGGAGGUAGCGCCUAGCCCUCGCUGCUGAACAUAAAGCCGGUCCUUGCUGUGGCCUCUCGCUAUGGAUCACUAACUCUCCCCCAACUGGGGUCCUGACUCGCACAAGCUGUUGUGCGCAAUCUAUCACCACCCCAUUAGGGCUCAACCAAUCCAUGUCUAUAAUUACCUUGUUCCCACGCAACGGAAUAGGAACCAAGUCUACCAGGUAGCGCUCCCCGAACAAUCUCAGAACACAAGUUCUAAAAACUGCUGAUGCUCGCACCGAUCGAUCAUCGUAAAUCUCUACCUCUAAAGGGUAAUCUAACAUGCCCGAAGACUCAGGAAACCUCUUGCUGAGCGCAAGAGAAACAAAAGAUCGAGUGGCACCUGAAUCAAAGAAUACCUAUACUGGAAUACCGUUCACAUGGAACGCUCCUAAACAUGUAUAUACAGAGCAUAUAUCAAUAUCAUAAACAUCAUAUAAAUAGAAGGGAGGAAUCAUACCCGUCACCAUAUCGGGUGCAGUGCGUGCCUCCUCAGUAGUCAACUAGAAGGCCCAGCUCCUCACCACUAGAGCCUAUGCCUUGCCUUGUCGGCCAUCAGUAAUCUGCAGGGUCGUUGGAGCUGGCGCCUUCACUAGCGCUGGUGCUGUCAACUGGGGGCAAUUGGGCUUCUUAUGUCCCCUCUGGUUGCAGUGAAAACACAACAACUCGGAUGUCUGAAUAGUGGGUGCAGGGGCGGUACAAUCCCUGCUGUAGUGCCCCGUCUUUCCGCACUUGUAGCAGCCCGACGAUCCCAACCUACAUGCUCCCUCGUGCAGCCUGUCGCAUUUCCUGCAACGGCCCUGUCCUGACUUCCCUUUCGGCCUACAAUCUGAUCCCUUGGGCUUCUUCCCCGAAGCCUGUGACAACCCGAAAUUCCAUUUUGUACAAACAAUAUCACUUCAGUAGAAGUCAGGACAGUUGUAGUAAGUUUUCAGACUUGUUAGUAUAAGUUUGAGUAAUUCAGGAUUUACACCUAAAGAGAUAUCAGGAGAGAGGAUGCACUAGGGUUUUGUGCAACUCUGUUAUUUCAGAACUCUAUGAUAUUAGAGUUCAUUUCUUGAAUAAAAAUAUUUUCUGCCAAAAAUCCCAGGACUAUAUAUAUGAUUCUUAACCAAAUUAUUUCAUUAGUUACAUUUCCAACUAGAGAAAAGCCAUUUUCUCUCUCACGGAUCUUUGGGUUUUCAUCCCAAAUCAUGAGUACCUCCCUCUAGUUGUAUAUUAUAGCUAGUAAUAUGCUUAAUAACAUCAAUUUCAUAGCAAAACAACUAGAUUCGGGUGUUUACCACCCAAGAACACCUUGGGGAGUAAACUCUUAAAAUGAUACCUAGUCCCUUCCCUUUGAUAUGUAACCACUUUAGGCUUGUAUGUAGGUUUAUUUAAGACUAUAAAUCAUCCAUGAACACCAAGAUUUAGGUGUUCACGGCCCAAGAAGUUCUUGGACCGUGAACUCCAAAAUCAAGGGCAAAAGAGUGCCUUAAUCACUCCUAAAGCCUUGGACAAUAGCCUCGAUUUAUUCCUAGUUAAUUUAGGGAAUUUAAAUCAUCAAAAAAACCCCUCCCAAAGAGAGAUUACGGCCCUAAUCUUUAAUGGUUAUGGUUCUAGGGCCGUGAACAUCAAAAGGGGGUACCAAAGUGUGCCUAAGGCCUUCAUUAGCCUUAGAUAAUUGUCUAAAACCUAUCCUAGAUGAGUAUGGGACUUGAAAACACAAAAACACCCCUUUCCAUAUGAGUUUAUGGCAGUAAACUCAAAAGGAAAUGGCCUUGGGGCCGUAAACUCCUCAAAGGAGUGUAUUAGUGCCCUAAACCCUUCCAAGAAUUAAUCCACCAAGUAGGAAUGCUUCUAGGGAUCAUUUAGAACUUCAAAACACCAAAUGACAUUAAGUUUAGGAGUUCACGGCCGUAAACUCAAGGGUUUACGACCGUAAACUCCUUGUGUGGGGUUUAUGGGAGAGUAAACUCAUAUAUGGGAUCCUUUGGAACCCUAAACUCACUAACCGGGUCGUACAACAAUUUAGAUGAAGUCCUUAAGGCUAAUAACACUUAUGUAAAGUGUUUAGCAUGUUCUAAGAGGUCUAAACAAUUUCAAUUAGUAGUUUAAAUCUAAUUGGGUACAUAUAUGUGUGAUUAUAUGUUAACUAGGAUCAUAGCAUGUGUUCAAGACUUCACUUGACACCUAGCAAUCCUACAUCUUCAGUACAUCCGUACCACUCACUACAGGUGAGUUCAUACCCCUUAAUCAAUGGUUUAAAUGUUUUUAAAUGCUUAUAUGGGGGGAAUGCAAGUCAAAUACUUAUAGUUAUUACAUCAAUCACAUGUGAUUAAUAACUACAAAACCAGUGAUUUCCUUAUUGUUCAAAUUGUUUAUCAAACUGUUUUACUUCAAACUGUUUUUCAAGUUCUUAUACUUAUCAAAUACAUUUGCUUAAAAUUUGUCUUACUUAUUAUCAAUUGUAUGUCUAGGUAUGUAUAGUUAUAUAAGAAAUGUUUAAAGGACUUACGAAGGCUAUCCACCCUAUUUCCUUUUCGCGCUUGAGAUGUGGUCUGGUGGGAUAUCGGGUAUCCGUCCGAAGGUCGUUUAAAUAUUAGUUAUAUAUCAUGUGUACAUAUAUAGUCAUAAAAGGUCCUUCUAAUUCAUUCGGUACCCUUGGGUAGCAAGGGUAUACAUCCGUGUUCAUACGUACCAGUACAUCACUAGUAAGUUACCAAAGGGGUAGCACAGGAGGAUACUAUUAUUAUUACUAGAACAAUGAAACAUGCAAUGAGUCAGUUCAUUCAUGAGUCAAUACUUUCUAAAUAGAGAGAGAACACUCAUUACAGCUAGUACGCACAGUACAUUGCUAUACAUGCUAGAUAUAGAGAGCACACACAUUACAGCUAGCACACACAGAACAUUACAGUACAUAGUAUACUAUUACAUAGAUAUGUUUACAUGAUUACGCUUACAUGAGUACGUUUACGUAGAUACGUUUACAUGAGUUCUUUUACAUAUACGAUAAUAGGACAAACAUCAUUAGGUGCUAUAGCAUAGAACAAGUUCGGGAUCUAACUAUACCGAUGAAUCACAACGCAUUGUGAUAGUUAUAUCGGGUAUACAUGAUCAUAGUAAUGUGGAUGUUCACGGCGUGAAAAUAUGCAGGGGUUGUGUAAAGGUCCCAAAAUCCCUUUGACAAGGGGGCAUCUAGCCUGAGAUCUAGCCAUCACAUUAGGCCUUAUCCCUCAAAUAAGGCAAUAGGAGUACAAAGGUAGUCACUUAUUACAAAUACUACAGUACUUAUAAGAAUUACCCUAGAUUUAAGGUAAUUAGUACGGUUGUAGUACGACGCUACACCAUAGUACUAUCUCCUUUUCCCAUUUACAUUCACUUCGUGAAUAUUCACACGAUGCACGGUAAUGUAGAAUCUAUAUUUUUGGUUAAUGAUAGUCCGAAUUGGGGAAAUCACACACUCUAUCAAGAGACAUAUGCACAGACACUAGAUGCCUUAGUAGAAGGCUACAGUUAGUAGGAAACAUAGGGUUUUCUGGGAGAGUCCAAACAUUAUACAAAACAUCUUACAGAAACAUUUUACAAGCAUUUUCAUAACAAAGUCAGACAUUAAUAUACUUAUGAUCUCACCAGCUUUAAGCUGAUACUCGCUUUCAAAAUAACUUGUAUUCUCAAGUCACCACUAGACAGGUACAGGUGCCAGGCUUUUGAGAAGAUGGAGUUCGUUCAAGACUCAUCUGUUAUUUUUGUUAUGUAUAUUUUUGGUGUCUAUACUUUGACAGAACACACAUGUAUGAAAUUAUACUAUUAUUGCAAUGGAUGAUGUAGUUGCUUGUUUACUAUUAUUCAUUGUUUGUGAUACUGUACAUGACGUCCUCCGCCCCAGAAUGUUUCCGCCAUUCAUGGUUUUGGGGUGUGAAAAAGCCCCAGUCACCUGCCCCUCGUAUACCUUCCUCUUCCAGAUGUGCUCCAGAUCAAUCUCCCUUUCCCUUGCCCUGGAAAUCAUCGAAUCCAGGGUAGGGCAAGUUGAAAAACUAUCAUGCUCCCGAUUUUCGGCUCGCAACAUGUCAUGGUCGCGGGUCCUCCUCAUGUCCUCAUCUCCCGCAUACUGGGGCACCGGUAACACCUCUCCCAGAACUUGGCGGUGAUCUCCACCACUGUCUCCGUCGUCUAUCUCAUGUCUAAGAACUCCCUAACCAACUACUGGAGCUCCACUGCAGGUGCAAACUCCGCUCUGAACCGGGUCACAAAGUCCGGCCACGUCAUAGCCUCAACAGUCGAGGCUCCCAGAGAGUCACCAACCGACUCCCACCAAUCUCUGGCCCUGUCUCUCAAGCACCCUGCUGCAUAUCUCACCUUCGACCCCUCGGGGCAGAAGCUGGUCAACUGUACAGACUCAAUGUUUUCAAUCCACCACCUGGCUGCAAUGGGGUCCUUCACCCCAUGGAAAUCCGGCGCACCACUACCCCUGAAGUCCUUAAAGGACAAUGUGUGUGAUCCCGACUGGCUGGUCGCCAUAUCGCUCCUGAAUGCCCGGAGGCGAUCCUCCAUCAGCUCGAUAAUCCCUUCCUUGAUCGACCCAAAAAUGACUGAGGUCGCAUCAAGGAUGCCCCUAGUGAUCUCGGAUGCGAUGAACUCGCGUAGUCUCUCAUCCACUGGCUCGAAACCUGAACCCGAACCCGAUCACUCCCCUGAACUGCCAACUGCUGGCCUCGGACGUAGUACCACCAUUUUGCAAUACAUAACGACAAUUGCUAGUGCUACUGAUACAUCUAGAGGGAUCAUAUCUAUCACAAGUUCCCUGGUCUUGCCUUAUCCCUCCUAGAUUCAAGUACGUAUCCUCUGCUUUCAGUAGUACGGGCCCAUACUACGUGCCACAUCUAUCCAUACUUUCCUCAAAGACUGCCUCGACUCCACCAAGUCCCUUCUACUGUCACUGAUCUCUGCUAUUCUAAUCCUAGGCUUGCCCUAGGGUCCCUCUGACUCAAUCUAAUCUAGUCCUCAGCUGCUGAAGACCUCUUUAUAAUGCCAAUUUGAAAUCACCUAAAUAUCAUCACAUGUGACGAGGCUCAGAUAAUCCUUCGAGUAAAAGACUCGUCCCUACAAUGGUUGGACUCAGACAAGAGCUACGCAAUAGGGCCAAAUCCAGCACUCUGAGAUUAUUCAACCCUGAUCACAUGUGAUGUGACGUAUUCACCUAAUGACUAACUCCCAUCACUCAAAGUCCCACAAAGCACAAAGCAAGCAGCAUUCAGACACAUGAAACUACUCAAGCAAUUCUAUCCUCAUAACAAGAAACUGUACUAGCAUAUAAUGCUAAGCUCAUACGAUCAUGCACAACCUAAAAUGGCUAUCCUACUGUUGUCUACUCAAUACUAGCAUGCAAUUCUCAUAAAGCUGAAACACAUAUAGCAGACACAUAAGGCAUCCUCCUAGAUCCUUAAUCCUAUUCUAGCAUGCUGUUCUACUGAAUCUGAAACUGAUAAUCAUAACAUAAACUUGUAUGGGUAAUUUGGGAGUACUUAUUUAUGCUCGAUCGGUCUCGCACAUCACACACGUCGUUCUUUCUCAGAAGUCUUUUAACUUAGCUUUUAGAAAACCAUUUUUCUCGUAAAAGUCUUUUAAUCCCUCGAUUUGAGUCCAGACACCCCUGAGGGUGUGUUCGAAUGCCUCAAAUCAGGGCUCUGAUACCAACUUGUAACAUCCCAAAUUUCAAGUCCAAAAAUUUCAUUUUAAUUGAUUAAUUAUAAAAAUAUUCAUAAGCAAACUACAUGAAAAUAUACCAUUUUGUAAAUGAAUACAUCAUGUCUGAAAAACCAAAAUCAUAAAAUAGUAUCAUAUCAGAGUACAAUCCUAGAAUAUCUCAAGUGCGGAAAACCAAUACGUGUGUGUAUGAUGUGCUGCUACCGCGCCAACUCCUUCCAUGUCAUUGAAGAAGUACCUGAACAAAAACUAUAAACUGUAAGCACGAAGCUUAGUGAGUUCCCACAUCGUACUACAUACCAUACAAUCACAUAGCAUACAUACCACCGGGCAAUUAUGUGGUUCCCGACCUACCCGGUACGACCAUUCUGGGGUGCCGACCUACCCAUACGGCCAUUCUGGAGUGCCGACCUCCCCUUGUCAAGCCAUUCUAGGGUGCUGACCUACCCGUCGGUCCUAACAACUGACCCUUGGGGACUAUUCCACCCCUACUGCUACUAUCGCAUAUAUCAUAAUGUAACAUACUGUCAGACAUAUCUGGGGUGUCCGACCUACCCUUCGGUUCUAACAGCCGAACUCUACUACCAUCACAUAUAACAUAUCAUGCCAGCAAAUAACAUAUCAGGUAGUAGCAAACCUAGAUGAUAUCACAAAGACAAUCAUCUAACAUACAACUCCUAUUGUUGGGCUGACAUUGUGGUCGUAGACCCACCGCUACUAGAACGUAACUCACCUCAAACGAGUAGCUGCUGAUAAUCUGUGUAGGAAAUCUUUGUAUGCUGCUGCUCCGGAAAUCCUCCGGCUAUAAUCCCCACAAAACACUUAGUAAGAAUCUGAUAUCCACACUUAGGGUAAAAUGACUAUUUUCCCCCUAACCAAGUCCAAGUCACAGUCAAAUUCAAAGUCAACCCUCUGGCCAAAGUCAACUCUCAGUUGACCUGACUUGCCGAGUUGGCCGCCAACUCGCCGAGUCCCUGUCCUUGGUUUAAAUCCUCUAUACGCUUCUACUCGUCGAGUUUAGCAAAGUCUCAACGAGUCCAUAUUCGAUACUAAUAUCGAGUCCAUCUUCAUCUGACUCGCCGAGUUGUAUAAACAACUCGUCGAGUCCUCCUUCAUCCUAUGAAUGUGAUCAGUCCUUGACUCGCCGAGUUGUAUGAACAACUCGUCGAGUCCCUCUACUACUAGAUUUGUGCCCUAACACACCGAGUCUAUUGCCUACUCACUGAUUCCACCCUAAACUCUCAAACGGGGAACAAUUCGGGAACUCGCGACUCGACUCGUCGAGUCUGAAGAACGACUCACCGAGUCCUAUGCAUGCCAUUACUAUACAAUUGAUUUUGCCCGAAUCCAGUGCAUUCCAUUCAUAGAUCUGGGCUCCUAGGGUUGGUUUUUCAUGUAAAGUUUCUAACUUUACGUGCAUGCAUGCUAAUAUGAAGCUCAAAUUCCCAAAAUAAGCUAAAAGAAGAGAUCUAAGCUUGGAAUGGAAACUUGGCUCAAUAAAGGUGGCAACCUUGAGCUUAUGAGGCUCUGGAAAGAUUAGAUCUGAAGUCCAUUCAUCAUAUCAACUCUUAAUUCGACCUUAAAGUCUAGAAAGGGCUCAAAAUCAACAAGACCAAGCUUUUCAAGAGAUCUAAUUGAUAAUAAGCAAAUAUUCAAGCUUGGUACCUCAAAGGGGCCUAAAAUGCAACCAGAAAUCUGGAUCUACUUGCUCCCCUUGAAUACUUCUCCUUUCUCUUCUUCCUCAAAUCCCCAAGAUGCACUAAAAACCUUCACAAGUGAGAAAAUGCUCCAAAAAUGCUUAAGAACGGCUAGGGUUUCGUAUGGGACUCUUUGUGGGUGAGGGAGGUUGCUCUUGGGGCACAUAAGAUGUUUAAAUAGGGUGCCAACCCUUGAAAUUAGGGUUUCAUCCAGUCUGGCAGACUCGCCGAGUUCGGGAAUAUGGACUCGUCGAGUCGCCAACUUAAACCGCAUGUAAUCUCUUCUCUACUCGACUAGUCGGGCUACUGAAUCGUCGAGUACCUCUUAAGAUAUAAAAAUUACUUUAUUUAAAUCACAUACCAAAAAUGGGGCGUUACAACUCUCCCCCACUUAUCUUAGACUUCGUCCUCGAAGUCUGCUGCUGCUGAAUCUAUAAAUAUCUCUGGAUAAUGCUCCCUCAUUUCCUCCUCGACCUCCCACGUCCAUUAUGAACCCUUCCGGUGUUGCCACUGCACCUUCACUAGCUGGACUACCUUGUUCCUCAAGGUCUUCAUUUUUCGAUCCAAUAUUGCAACGGGCCUCUCAAUAUAAUUCAAGUUGCUAUCAACUUGAAUAUCCUCCAAGGGUACACCAGCUAACUCGUCCACCAAACACUUCCUCAACUGAUAAACAUGGAAAGUAUUGUGGAUCUGGCUAAGCUCUGCGGGAAGAUCCAACUGAUAAGCAACCCGACCCACCCAGGACAAAACUCUAAAAUGGCCAAUGAACCUGGGGCCUAGCUUUCCCCUCUUCUGGAACCUGAUAACACCCUUCCAGGGUGAUACCUUCAGGAGGACCCUAUCGCCCACCUGAAACUCCAAGUUUGAUCGACGCUUGCCGGGAUAACUUUUCUUCCGUCUCUGAGUAGUCUGAAGGCUGCUCCGGACCUGAUGAAUCCUCUCUGUCGUCUUGAGCACCACUUUGGUGUUCCCCAUGACCCUCUGGUCAACCUCGCCCCAACAUGUCGGGGUCCUACACUUCCUCCCAUACAACAUCUCGAAAGGAGGACGGUCAAUGAUCGCAUGAUAACUAUUGUUACAGAAGAACUCUGUCAGUGGAAGGUAAGUAUCCCAACUACCUCCGAAGUCUAGAACACAAGCCCGCAUCAUGUCCUCCAAGGUCUGGAUGGUCCGCUCACUCUAACAAUCUGUCUGCGGGUGAAAGGCAGUGCUAAAAUGCAGACGAGUAACCAGCUCGUCUUGAAACUUCUUCUAAAAUUGGGAAGUUUACCGCACAUCCCUGUCUCAAAUCACUGAAACUGGCACCCUGUGCCUCGCCACCACCUCCCUGGUAUAGAUAUCGGCCAACCUUUCGGUCGAAAUACUCUCCUGAAUCGGAAUAAAAUGGGCGCUCUUGGUCAAUCAAUCGACGACGACCCAAAUCGAAUCCACUCCCCGCGCGGUCCUGGGAAGUUUGGUGAUGAAGUCCAUGGUAACGUCUUCCCACUUCCACAUGGGAAUAUCCAACGACUGCAUCCUUCCUUGUAGCCUCUGGUGCUUGGCCUUGACCUUCCUGCAGGUCAAGCACCGCUCCACAUACCAUGCUACAUCCCACUUCAUGCAGGGCCACCAAUAGUCCAGAAGAAGAUCCCUAUACAUCUUUGUCGCCCCGGGAUGAAUGGAGAAUCUGGAUUUGUGUGCUUCCUCCAUCAGAAUCUGACACACACCCCCGUGGUAUGGAGCCCACACCCUACGGUGUAGUGUCAAUAACCCUCAGCUAUCAUAGUCGAAGGAGGAAACCUGGCCUACAAUCCGCUCGCUUUUCCAAAGUUCCUCCUUCAUGGCCUCUCGAAUAUGCUCCAAUAGUGGAGUUACCACUGUCAUCCACAUGACAAAUUUAUUGGAUCGGUGCUGCCUGGCAGCUAAGCGCAUCGGCCACCAAAUUGGCCUUCCCCGGGUGGUAAAGGAUCUCGCAAUCAUAAUCCUUCACCACUUCCAACCACCGACGCCACCUCAUGUUCAGAUUCGACUGAUCCAUAAGGUACCUCAAACUCUUGUGGUCCGUGUAAAUGGUACAACGGACCCCAUAAAAGGUAACGACGCCAAAUCUUGAGGGCGAACACAACAGCCCCCAUCUCUAAAUCAUGCGUCGGAUAGUUUGCCUCGUGAGGCUUCAACUGCCUCGAAGCGUAGGCGAUGACAUGUCCUCUUUGCAUCAAAACCACGCCUAAACUUGAAAUAGACAUGUCGCAGUACACAACAAAAUCCUCUACGCCCUCUGGCAGGGCUAAGAUCUGCUCCUCGCACAAUCUCUGUCUUAGUGUCUCAAAUGCUGCCUGCUGCUCAGGCCCCCAUCGAAAGAAUACGACCUUCUUCGUCAUCCGCGUCAAGGGUACGACUACCUUGGAGAAAUCCUGGAUGAAUCUCCGAUAGUAGCUGGCUAAUCCCAGGAAACUCUGAAUCUCGGAUGGAGACUUUGGAACCUCCCAUUUUUUCAUCAUGGCCUCCACCUUGGCUGGGUCAAACAGGAUUCCCUCUUGGUUAACUAUGUGCCCAAGAAAUUGCACCUCGUGCAACCAGAACUCACUCUUGGAGAACUUGGCGUACAAGAUCUCCCUCCUCAGGGUAUCCAAAACCUCUUGUAGAUGCUCCUCAUGCUGCUCCUGCGUCUUGGAAUAAACCAAGAUGUCAUCGGUGAAAACUAUCACAGACCGAUCUAAGAUCGGUCUGUACAUGCGGUUCAUGACAUCCAUGAACGCAGUAGGAGCAUUGGUGAUCCCGAAGGGCAUCACCACGAACUCAUAAUGGCCAUAGCGGGUCCGGAACACAAUCCUCUAUACAUCCUCCUCUCUGACCCUCAUCUGAUGAUAUCCUGAACGCAGAUCAAUCUUGGAGAACCAAGAUGCUCCCUGUAGCUGGUCAAAGAGGUCAUAAAUCCUCGGAAGUGGGUAACGGUUCUUCACCGUUACCUUGUUCAACUCCCGGUAGUCUAUGCACAUGCGAUGCGACCCGUCCUUCUUCUUGACAAACAGAAUCGGGGCUCCACAAGGCGAGCUGCUCGGCCUGAUGAAUCCCUUGUCUAGCAGCUCCUGCAGCUGCGUAUACAACUCCUGCAUCUCCGGAGGAGCCACCCGAUANUGGCUAUCGGAGCCGCCCCGGGGACUAGGUCGAUCCUAAACCCCCCCUGCCUCUCCGGAGGUAUCCCAGGCAACUCCUCAGGGAAUACAUCCGCAAACUCUCGUACUACGGGCACAUCGCCCACCGUCACCUUACCUAUUUCCUGGGUAUCCAUAACUUACGCGACGUACCCGAAGCAGCCCUACUGGAGGUAGCGCCUAGCCCUCGCAGCUGAACAUAAAGCUGGUCCUUGCUGUGGCCUCUCGUCGUAGAUCACUAACUCUCCACCACCUGGGGUCCUGACUCGCACUAGUUGUUGUGCGUAAUCUAUCACCGCCCCAUUAGGGCUCAACCAAUCCAUGCCUAUAAUUACCUCUUUCCCACGCAACGGAAUGGGAACCAAGUCUACCAGGUAGCGCUCCCCGAACAAUCUCAGUACACAAGCUCUAAAAACUGCUGAUGCUCGCACCGAUCGAUCAUUGACAAUCUCUACCUCCAAAGGGAAAUCCAACAUGCCCGAAGACUCAGGAAACCUCUUGUUGAGCGCAAGAGAAACAAAAGAUCGAGUGACACCUGAAUCAAACAACUCCUGAACUGGAAUACCGUUCACAUGGAACGAUCCUAAACAUGUAUAUACAGAGCAUAUAUCAAUAUCAUAAACAUCAUAUACAUAGAUUAGAGGGGAAGAAUCAUACCCGUCAUCACAUCGGGUGUGGUGUGUGCCUCCUCGGUAGUCAACUGGAAGACCCGGAUCCUCACCACUGGAGUCUAUGCCUUGCCCUGCCAGCCAUCAGUAAUCCACAGGGUUGCUGGAGCUGGCACCUUCACUAGCGUUGCUGCUGUCAACUGGGGGCAAUUGGGCUUCUUAUGGCCCCUCUAGUUGCAGUGAAAACACAACAACUCGAAUGUCUGAAUAGUGGGUGCAGGGGCGGUACAAUCCCUGCUGAAGUGCCCCGUCUUGCCGCACUUGUAGCAGCCCGACGAUCCCAACCUACAUGCUCCCUUGUGCAUGCUACCGCAUUUCCUGCAACGGCCCUGUCCUGACUGGCCUUUCGGCCUAUCAUCUGAUCCCUUGGGAUUCUUCCCCGAAGCCCCAAUCACCUGCCCCUCCUCUACCUUCCUCUUCCGGAUGUGCUCCAGAUCAAUCUCCCUUUCCCUUGCCCUGGCAAUCAUGGAAUCCAAGUGUAACGCCCCGUUCCUAGUACGUAUUUAAUUUGAUUUAAAUGUUUCUUUUUGGAAGAGCUACUCACCGACUUGUAUCCCUAACUCGCCGAGUAGAUGUCGAGUUGGACGCGGGCUUUAAGUGAUCUACUCAGCGAGUCCACGUCUGUACUCGGCGAGUAGGCUAGUCAGGAGGAAACCCUAAUCCUUAGGGUUUGCACCCUAUUUAAACGUCCUUAUAGCCCCAUCUCAGCCUCCAUCACCCUCAGAGCAUUCCUUUUCGAAACCCUAGCCUCCAUUGGUGAGUUUGAGUGAUUGUUUCCUUGUGAAGGGACUUUUGGUGCACUUUGGAGCAAGUAGAAGAAGGGAGAGGUUGAAGAGUUCAAGGAAGGGGGCUUAGAUCCAGAACACAUUCAUUUUUGGUCAUCCAUUCUGGUAAUAAAGUUUCCAUCUAGAUUAUUGAUAUAUUAGAUCUUGUUUGUCCCUAAAAUGGUUGCUUUUAAGCCCUAAAACCCCAAAUCCUUUGUAGAGAAACCUUAUGGUUGGGUUAUACUUCAGAUAUGGACUCUCAUUACCUUCUAGAAGUGUUAAUUUUUAGUCAUAUUAGUGAUUAAGGUCCCUCUUGGGCUUAGGACCCCAUUAAGAACUUAGUUUUGUCAUUUGGAGCCUUUAAAGCUUUGCAUGCACGUAAAGUUUGCAACUUUACGUGAUAAGCAUGCCCUAGAAGCCUAGAUCUGUGAUUUGGAGCCACUACAUGGCUCAAAUCAGGUCUGUAUGGAAAAAGCACUGAAUGAACUCGGCGAGUAGAAAGCUGGACUCAGCGAGUCCUAUGAAGAUAGCCGUGAACUCGGCGAGUUGGAUGAGCAACUCAUCGAGUCUGAUGAAGAUUGCCUUAUACUCGACGAUUUGUUCAUCAACUCAGCGAGUCGGAUGAACUUGGGCUCGGUAUGUGUGAAUCGAAGAAGAACGCGUCGAGUCUUCGCCAAGCUCGACGAGUAGAAAUGGGUAUAAAACUAGAAGUGAUGGAAGGGACUUGGCGAGUCCGGUAAACAGGAAGUUGACUUUGACGAGGAAGUUGCCUUUGACCAGAGGGUAAAAUAGUCGUUUUUCCCUGCGAUUAGUUAUCGGUAUUUGAUUUAGUGUUUAUGGGAUUUGUAGUCGGGAGUUCCGAAGCAGCGGUCAACUCCCGGAGCAGCGGUCAGGCAGUUUCAGAGUUAGCACCUCGAUAGCCAGCGUUACGAGGUGAGUUUCCUUCCAGUAGGAACGGUUCUACGGCCACAAUGCCGGCUCGUUUAGUUAACAGUAGUUUCUAGACUUUGGUCUGAUGCAGUAGUUCAGUGUGCUUGAUGUCUUUGUGAUUCAAGCAUGGUUUGUGUUAUGUGUUCCGGACUUCGAUCCGAUGCAGUAUGCAGUAUAUGUGUUUACACCAGUAGUUCUGAUUAUGUUAUGUUAUGUGCAGUCACUUUCCGGACUUCAGUCUGAUGCAAAGGGAAAGGCCCUGGUUAGUUUCGGACUUCGGUCCGAUGCAGUUUUCGGACUCCGGUCCGAUGCAGAGGGCAAGGCCCUAGUUAGUUCCGGACUUCGGUCUGAUGCACUUUCCGGACUUCGGUUUGAUGCAGUGGGCAAGGCCCAGUAGUUGCUUAUUUAUUAUUGUAUGGUAUGUGGUAGAUUGGGGGGAGCUCACUAAGCUUUGUGCUUACAGUUUCAGGAACUUCCGCAAGUAAAGGGAAGAGCUCGGGAUGAUGGCAUCGCACACACCACAGCUUCAGUUUUAGUCCUGGGAGUUGAUCAGUUUAUUUUGACAUGAGAUGUUACAGUUUGAUAUAGGUUUAUAUUUUGCUAUGAUUUGAGAUAUUUGACGUACGGUUUCUAUGAUAUGAUGUUCAGUGCAUGAUUCUAUUUAUUAAUUAAACGAAAAUUUUUGGGUCGUAUUUUGGGAUGUUUCAAGUUGGUAUCAGAGCCUUGGUUUGAGAGAUUCAGGUAGACUCCUAGGUGUGACUGGACUCAAACUGAGGGAAUGGUAGAAAGAUUUUCAAAAAGAUUUUUGAAAAAGAAAAAGAGUUUUGAGAAAAGGAAAAGGGUGUGGUGCAUGUGAUCAGCCGAGCUUAAGUAAGUACUCCUAAAUUACCCAUACAAGUUAUGUUAUGAUUAUCAGUUUCAGUUUCAGUAGAACAACAUGCUAGAAUAGGACUAAGGAUCUAGGAAGAUGCCUUAUGUGCCUGCUAUAUGUGUUUCAGCUUUAUGAGAAUAGCAUGCUAGUAUUGAGUAGACAGCAGUAGGAUAGCUUGUUUAGGUUAUGCUUGAUGAUAUGAGCUUAGCAUUGUAUGCUAGUACAGAUUAGUCAGUAUGAUAGCUAGAGAAGUAUAUGAUUUGUUAUGUGUACUCAAGGCCCGAAUGUUGCUUGCUUUGUGCUUUUAGGAGUUCUAGCUGUCUUUUACUAACUAGUAAAUGAAUAUCUUAAGUUACAUAUUGCAAGGACUAAAUAAUUUAAAAAGGUUGGGUCUAGCUCAAUUUCGCAGCUCUUGUUUGAGUCCAACCGUUGUAGGGUAGGAUCUCUCAUUCGAAGAAUUAUCUAGUCUGAGCAAUAUGUAAUGGUAUUCGCGAGCUAGUUAGGGAAGGAAAGCGGGGACUUCUUAUGCGGCUGAUGGCGGAGAGUGGGUUAGUGGUUUCCCUAAGGCAAGCCUAGGACGAGAGUAGCAGAGAUCAGUAACAGUAGUAGUGACUUGGUGGAGUUGAGGCAGUACUUGAGGAAAGUACGGAUAGAUAUGGAAGGUAGUAUGGGCCCGUACUACUGAAAGCAGAGGAUCCGUACUCGAAUCAAGGAAAGCCGAGAUGAGACCAGGAAACUUGCAGUAGUAGCGAUCCCUCGAGAUAUAUCAGUGUUUCUGACAUUUUGUCGUGAUGUGUUUUCAGAAUGGUGGUUUUACGCCCUAGACCAGCAGUCGGCAGUUCAGGUGUCGGGGAGGGAUCAGUAUCAGGCUCGGGAGCCGGGCACAUGGACGAGCAGACUAGGGAGUUCCUCUCUUCAGAGGUUACUCGCAUCAUACUGGAUCAGACUCCUGUGAUCUUCGGUUCGAUCAAGGAGGGUAUUUUAGAGUUGAUGGAUGAGAGAUUGGGCACCUUCCGUGCCGAGGUGGCAGCCAUGUUGGGAUCGCGCACACUCACUUUCAAGGAGUUCCGGGCUUAUGGAGCUCCAGAUUAUCACGGGGCGCGGGACCCCAUAGCGAGUACUAGAUGGUUGGCUGAUGUUGCCAAUGCUUUCCGCACCAGCAGAUGUCCCGAGGGGGACAAGGUCAGACUAGCAUCCUGUCUUCUGAAGGACAGGGCACGAGAUUGUUGGGAGGAGGUUGGCCAUGUCAUCGGGGAUGACGCAGCACUUGAUGCCAUGACUUGGGAUGAUUUUACUACCAGGUUCAGAGCUGAGUUUGCGCCGGUUAUUGAGGUGCAGCAGUUAGCCAGGGAGUUUCAGGAUCUCACCCAGACUACAGAGACAGUGGCGGAGAUUACCGCCUAGUUCAGGGAGAGGGCUCUUCUUGCUCCUCAGUACGCAGCUGAUGAGGAAAUGAAGAAGGUCCAUUAUCAUGAGAUGUUGCGGAGUGAUAUCCGCCAGUUUGUGAGUCGGUCCUGCUAUAAAACACUGGAUGACAUGAUUUUCAGGGCUCGAGAGAGAGAGAGAGAUUGACCUUGAGAUGGAGAGGAAGAGGAAGCCGGAGGCGGCUUUGGGUACAGGGAGUUUAGGCAAAAAGCCCAAGAUGUCAGACCACAGGUCCAGAGGUCAGCAGAACCACAGUCGGUGUGGCAAGUGUGGUAGAUUGCACGAUGGGGCGUGCAAGGCAGAGAGUGUCGGCUGCUAUAAGUGCGGCCGAACUGGGCAUAUGAGCAGGGAUUGUACGGCCACUGCUACCGCCAUUGUGGCAUCAUAUCUGAUUUGCUUUCAGUGCAAUCAGAGGGGACAUAAAAAGAACCAGUGUCCGAGUUUAGCUGCUGCAGGGAAGGUGUCAGCACCUGCCCCUGCUACCUUGAGAAUUACAGAUGGCCGUCAGGGCCGAGUUGAGACGCCGGUGGCGAAGAGUAGGGCUUUUCAGUUGACAGCAGAGGAGGCGCAAGCGACUCCUAACGUGGUGACGGGUAUGUAUUUUUCCCUUAUCUCUGCAUUUAGUAUUGAUUGUUUCUUAUUGUUAUAUGUUUUGUAUAGGGUCGUUCUCAGUGAACGGCAUAUCAGCAACAAUAUAUUUUAAUUCGGGGGCUACCCUAUCAUUCGUCUCUCUUGCACUUAGCAAGAGGUUUAGCAGAGCUCCAGGGGAGCUAGAUUGUCCACUUGAGGUUGAGAUAGCAGCUGACAGGACCGUUAGGGUUGCGAAAGUACACAGAGGAUGUUCCCUUCAAUUGUUCGAUGAGAAGUUUCUGGUAGACUUGGUCCUUAUUCCCCUGCGAUGGAAUAAGGUCAUAGUGGGUAUGGAUUGGUUGAGCCCCAAUGGGGUGGUGAUUGAUUGUGAACUACAGCUAGUGAGGGUUCACACUCCCAGUGGGGGAGAGUUAGUGAUCCAGGGCGAAAGGCCACAACGCGGACCGAUUCUGUGUUCAACAGGGUUGUGCAGGGUACGUCGCUUACGUUAUAGAUGCCCGGGAGAAGGGUAAGGCGACAGUUGAUGAUGUACCAGUAGUACGAGAGUACCCGGACGUAUUCCCAGAGGAUUUUCCUGGAAUACCUCCGGAGAGACAGGUCGAGUUUCGGAUUGACCUGGUUCAGGGUGCGGCUCUGAUAGCCAAAGCGUCGUAUCGGCUGGCGCCUGCAGAGAUGUAGGAGUUGUCUACGCAGCUGCAGGAGCUGCUAGACAAGGGAUUCAUUAGACCGAGUAGUUCACCAUGGGGAGCCCCGAUCCUAUUCGUGAGGAAGAAUGAUGGGUCGCACCGUAUGUGCAUAGAUUACUGGGAGUUGAAUAGGGUAACAGUGAAGAACCGUUACUCACUCUCGAGGAUAGAUGACUUGUUUGAUCAGCUUCAGGGAGCAUCCUGGUUCUCCAAGAUUGAUUUGCACUCCGGGUAUCAUCAAAUGCGGGUUAGGGAUGAGGACGUGCAGAAGACUGCUUUCAAGACCCGGUAUGGUCAUUAUGAGUUUGUGGUGAUGUCGUUUGGGCUCACCAACGCCCCAGCCACAUUCAUGGACCUCAUGAAUCGCGUAUGCAAACCCAUGUUGGAUCGGUCUGUGAUAGUGUUCAUUGAUGACAUCUUGGUUUAUUCUAAGACUCGGGAGCAGCACGAGGAGCACCUGAGAGAGGUGCUAGAGACUUUGAGGAGGGAGAGACUCUUUGCGAAGUUCUCCAAGUGUGAGUUCUGGUUGUGCAAGGUGCAGUUCCUCGGUCACCUCGUUAACCAGAAGGGUGUUCUUGUAGAUCCGGCCAAGGUAGAGGCCGUGAUGUAGUGGGAGGUCCCGAAGUCUCCAUCUGAGAUUCGGAGCUUCCUAGGUUUGGCAGGGUACUACAGGAGAUUCAUCCAGGAUUUCUCCAAGAUAGCUGUACCGCUCACCCGACUAACUAAGAAGUCGGUGGUGUUUCGCUGGGGGCCUGAGCAGCAGGCAUCAUUCGUGACCCUCAGACAGAGAUUGUGUGAGGCACCGAUUCUCACCCUACCAGAGGGAGUAGAGGAUUUUGUAGUUUACUAUGAUGCUUCGAUCACGGGCAUGGGAGCAGUGUUGAUGCAGCGAGGACGUGUGAUAGCUUACGCCUCGAGACAGUUGAAGCCUCACGAGGCUAACUAUCCUACUCAUGAUUUAGAGCUGGGGGCAGUGGUGUUUGCCCUCAAGAUUUGGAGACAUUACCUCUACGGGGUCCGCUGUAUCAUUUACACGGAUCACAAGAGUUUGAGGUACCUCAUGGAUCAGCCGAAUCUGAACAUGAGGCAGCGCAUAUGGCUAGAUGUGUUGAAGGAUUAUGAUUGUGAGAUCCUUUAUCACCCGGGGAAGGCCAAUGUGGUGGCCGACGCCCUGAUCUGCAGGGCGGCAGCAGCCUCGAUCAGGGAUAUAUGUCUGAGGAUGACAAUGAUUACUCCAUUGUUGGAGCAGAUCAGAGAGGCACAGGUCGAGGGCCUCAAGGAGGAGAGGCAGAAGUGUGAGAGGAUCGUGGGCCGAGUAGCUUCGUUUGACUAUGAUAGUCGAGAACUAUUGACCCUUCAUGGGAGAGUAUGGGUGUCAUAAUGGGGAGGAGUACGGCAGGUACUGAUGGCUGAGGCCCAAAAGUCUCAGUUUUCCAUCCAUCCAGGGGCAACGAAGAUGUAUAGAGAUCUUCGACCCGACUAUUGGUGGCCCUGCAUGAAGCAGGACGUAGCUUGGUAUGUAGAGAGAUGCCUGACCUGCAGGAAGGUCAAGGCGGAGCAUCAGAGACCCCAUGGAAAAAUGCAUCCAUUAGACAUUCCCGUGUGGAAAUGGGAGGAUAUCACCAUGGAUUUCAUCACUAAGCUUCCUAGGACCGCACGUGGAGUGGAUUCGACUUGGGUUAUUGUGGAUCGGUUGACAAAGAGUGCUCAUUUUAUACCGAUCCAGGAGAGCAUAUCGGCAGAGAAGCUAGCCGAUAUUUAUGUGCAAGAGGUUGUGGCACGGCAUGGAGUGCCUGUUUCGGUGGUGUCAGACCAAGACGUCCGUUUCACUUCCAGAUUCUAGAAGCGGUUUCACGACGAGAUGGGGACCCAUCUCCAUUUCAGCACCGCUUUCCACCCUUAGACGGAUGGGCAGAGUGAGAGGACGAUUCAGAAUCUUGAGGACAUGCUCCGUGCAUGUGUUCUAGAUUUCGGUGGCAGUUGGGAUACGUAUCUUCCGUUAACGGAAUUUUCAUAUAACAACAGCUACCACUCUAGUAUAGACCGAUCUCCUUUCUAGAUGCUCUAUGGGAGGAAGUGCAGUACCCCAAUCUAUUAGGGCGAGGUCGGCCAGCGAGUCAUGGGGAGCACCGAAGUGGUGGUCAAGACGACAUAGUUGAUCCAACAGGUCCGUAGCAGACUGCAGACUGCGCAGAGUCGGCAGAAGAGUUACGCCCACAGGAGGCGUUCGGAAGUUUCAGGUGGACGAUAUGUUCCUCCUGAAAGUAUCACCCUAGAAAGGGGUUAUCAGGUUCAGAAAGAGGGGCAAGUUGGGCCCCAUGUUCAUUGAUCCAUUUAGGGUUUUGGCCCGGGUGGGUCGGGUUGCUUAUCGGUUGGAUCUUCCGGCAGAGCUUAGUCAGAUCCACAACACUUUCCAUGUUUCUCAGUUAAGGAAGUGUUUGGUGGAUGAGUCAGCAGCGGUACCAUUGGAGGAUAUUCGGGUUGAUAGCAGCCUGAACUAUAUCGAGAGACCAGUCGCGAUCUUAGAUCGGAAGACGAAGGCCUUGAGGAACAAGGAGGUUUAGUUAGUGAAGGUGUAAUGGCAGCGCCGGAAGGGUUCAGAAUGGACUUGGGAGGCGGAGGAGGAGAUGCGGGAGCACUACCCAGAGUUAUUUCCGAUGACAGCAGACUUCGAGGACGAAGUCUAACAUAAGUGGGGGAGAAUUAUAAUGCCCCGUUCCUGGUACGUAUUUAAUUUGAUUUAAAUGUUUCUUUUUGGAAGAGCUACUCGGCGAGUUGUAGCCCUAACUCGCCGAGUAGAUGUCGAGUUGGACGCGGGCUUAAGUGAUCUACUCGGCGAGUCCACGUCUGUACUCGACGAGUAGGCCAGUCAGGAGGAAACCCUAAUCCUUAGGGUUUGCACCCUAUUUAAACGUCCUUAUAGCCCCAUUUCAGCCUCCAUCACCCUCAGAGCAUUCUUUAUCGAAACCCUAGCCUCCAUUGGUGAGUUUGAGUGAUUGUUGCCUUGUGAAGGGACUUUUGGUGCACUUUGGAGCAAGUAGAAGAAAGGAGAGGUUAAAGAGUUCAAGGAAGGGGGCUUAGAUCCAGAACAUAUUCAUUUGUGGUCAUCCAUUCUGGUAAUAAAGUUUCCAUCUUGAUUAUUGAUCUAUUAGAUAUUGUUUGUCCCUAAAAUGGUUGCUUUUAAGCCCUAAAACCCCAAAUCCUUUGUAGAGAAACCUUAUGGUUGGGUUAUACUUCAAAUGUGGACUCUCAUUACCUUCUAGAAGUGUUAAGUUUCAGUCAUAUUAGUGAUUAAGGUCCCUCUUGAGCUUAGGACCCCAUUAAGAGCUUAGUUUUGUCAUUUGGAGCCUUUAAAGCUAUGCAUGCACGUAAAGUUUGCAACUUUACGUGAUAAGCAUGCUGAUGUGUGUAAAACCCACUAGUUUUAAACCUACUUUUAAUUAUCAAAUAACACACAAAAGGCAGUGAACCUAUCAAUUGUGGUAUAGCUAAAUAAGCAGGGUAUCGAACACAGGGAACGGCAAAUUAAACUAAAAACUAAUUUAAUCUAAGUUAAUUAAAAAGCAGGGGUUGUUCUCUAGUUUUACAAGACUAGAAACUUACUAAUUAUUACUAAUUUAAGCUAGAAAAUAACGAUUUAACUAGAUUCAAUAAUUGGAAAGGAACUUCUGUUUAGUUUAACUCGGUUAACUCUAUGGUUGAUUUUCAAGGUAAUAGUGCAAUGGAUUAAUUCUUUCGUUGGUUACCGAUUCAAGUGAUUAGAUUUGUGUUCACUACCCUAAUCCUUAGCAAAUAAACUAACUCAAACAGUGGCCAAUUGUCUAAUUUAAUUAUAUUUACUAGAUUAAUUAUUCGGGUUAAGUUAGACUUGCAAUAGUUAAUUAAUUUAGUCUUUUUAAUUAACCUCUUGUUUGAUAGUCAUCUUACAAGCUUGCACAUGAAUUUACUCAAUUUUGUUAUUAAUUCUAGUUUCAUAUUCAUUAAUCCUAGACAUAUAACUAUGUGGUCACAAUAUAUCAUAUGAGGACAAUAAUCAAUAGAUGUUCAUUCUAAUCAAUUAUCUUCCUAUUAACAGAAAAUUAAUUAUUAUUCACACACAAGGUUCUUUAGCAAGCUAAAAUAACAAAAAUUCACCAACUUGGAAUUAAUCCUACCAAUCAAUCAAACCAUAUUGUCAACUUUGUAUCCCCAAACAGAAGUCUAAAGGUUUUAGCUCAUAAUUAAAGUAAAUAACAGCAAACAAACAAAGUCAAGUUGCUUAAUCAUGAUGAAUAAACAAAAGAAUAAGUGGAAUGAUGAAAUUUUGCCUUAAUUACUCUCCGGAAUUGAAUUCUAGCUUCCUUCGUCGUCUUCUAGGGUUUUUCAGGCUUCUCAAUCGUAGCAAAAUACUUCUGAAUCGUCCCAGAACUCUCCCCUAUCGAUCUGUGGAAUUAUCUUUAAAUAUACGAAUCGACUCGUCGAGUCAACUGGUGACUCGUCGAGUCCCUCUCACAUUCCCCGUAUUGCGAUAACUCUCUGGGAUCCCGAGUCAUUAUCUUCUCGAUCCUUCGAUUGGACUCGCCGAGUAGACGAUAUGACUCGCCGAGUAGGUGCCUUUUUAAGUGUUUUCCUUCUUUAUUCCAUUCUCGAUCUUCUAACUGUUUCUCCUGCUUCCUUUCGCUUCCGAGCUUCAUCUUUGGACUGAAAAACAUAAUUUAACACUUUUAAGUACCUUUUGUCCAUAAUAUGCGAUAAUUAGACUAAUAAAUGAAUAAAAAUGUAUACUUAAUAUGAACUAAUUAUGCACAUAUCAAAAUACCCCACACUUGUCUUUUGCUUGCCCCCAAGCAAAACUGAAUUUUAAACAUAUUAGAAUCAUAUAUAACAACUCCAAUCUAACCCAACCAUUAUGCCAAGACCGCAACGCAUGCAUUUGUGUCUAAAAUUUUUCCUAAAAACCUCCCAUACUCUAAAUACUCACAAUCCUCAUAAACACUUGCCCACUCACCCCGAACUAUGCUCAUUUUAUGCAACCCUCCGAAUCCAUCCGCAGAAAACCUCUUUACCCUCAAGGUAUUUUUAAUUGAGCAACCCGAGCAUACAUAAUCUAGAAUUACACUUUUGAUACCACUAUGGAGCUCUUUUGAAUUCAUCUCUUCUUCGAUAUUUGCUUUGAUCUCUUUGAAUUCACCACCUUUAUUGUUUGAUUUUCGGGUAUCUUCAACUUUUUUGGAUUUCUUGGAAUUUUGAUCUUUUGAUCUUCACUUUAAUUGCUCCAAAAUUCAUACAAUUUCUUUUGUAAUUCUUUUUUUUUAAAUGUAUUCCUCACUUUUUUUUUCACUCAAAACCUACAUGCUUAAGCAAGGGCGCUCAAUCUCAACCUUUAUUGGCUAACGAUAAAAAUUUUCCUGGAUACAUUUCAGGUUUAGGCUGCUAAACAUAUUGCAUCCCUCAGGCUGAGCAAGGUCGUGUUUUUGUCUCAUGAUUUCACUGGAAUAAGGAAGCCACAAAUGCACUAGAACGUAUAUAGGCUCAACUAAACAUUUGGGUUAUCAUGCAAUUAUCAACACAACUCUAACAUGGAGUCCUAAUUACUUUUACCAAAAUUUCCUAAAUUAGAUCCUAAGUAAAAAUUUUUUAAAAUUGACUAGUAUGUAACCAACCCCCUACCCCACACUUAUGUAAUGCAAUGCCCUCAUUGCAUAUGAGGCAUGAUAAAGAACAAUAGAAAUAAGAAGAGAAUUGGAACAAACUCCCCUGGGAUAGCAGUGGAUAGGCUGAUCACUUCCAUGUUAAGCUCCAACUUCAAUCAACUUUAGACAUGGUAACAUCUCAUCCAUGCCUUGGGUGUCAAAACUCAUGUGGGUCGCUCCAAAUACGCGGAAAUUAGUGUAAGAUCUUCAAGAAAGGAAAUGGAAGAAUAAGCGAGCAAGUGGGACCAGUAGCAGCAUCAAAUCAGCAGUCCAUCGGUGUAAAAGAUGAUCGACUCGUCGAGUCUUAUGAUGGACUCGUCGAGUACCAGCGCGCCUUCUCAGAAUAUGUAGAAAUACAAGGCGACUCGGCGAGUCUGCUUAGUGCACUCGUCGAGUAGGCCACUGAACGAAAAAUCUUGGUAUUUUGCAACUGUUUUAGCUUCUAAAAACUUCUUUAACCCUUCCUCACAUUUGGACUCAAUUGCUCAUACCCCCUAGGACCGGACUCGACACUUUGACGUUAAAAACUCGCUUCCUUGACUCGCUCUCACUCUAAAAAACAUCCAUGCUUUACAUCUCUAAACCAUCCUAAAUAAGCAAGCAUAAUUCAAUCCUGAAAAAUACUAAAGCAAACAACCAUUAAACAUAACAAAAUCUCAAAGCAUAUAUAAAAAAAAUAAAUAAAUAAAUAAAAAAAACAAAACAAAACAAAUUAAAAUUGUUUGAUUAAAAACACAAAAACAUCAAUCUUCAUCUUCCUCAUCAUCAUUAGCGGCUCCACUUCCCCCGGCUCCGCUUCGUCUAGCAGCAAUCCUCUCAUCCCAAGACGGAAUGAAUGGGUAAUUCCCACCAUCAAUAUGUGGGAUAUUGAAGUGGUCAAAAAGUCGAAUGUGGGAUUGGUUGCUAAAAUUCAGCCCCCUCGCCAAUUGAUCCUGCAUCCGCCUCAUCUCUACAUUGUACCAAUCCAUUGGUACAUCUUCAUUUUCGACCGGAAUCACUGGCGGCUCGUCCUCCACAUCCCGUUCUCUUCUCGAUCUCACCCUCCUUCCCGGUGCAUCGGGACCAACAACGGGGUCAUCAUUUGGGAUGGCAUAAUGGCCACCACCAUAGUCUUCGAUUAUUCGGGCCCUGCGGAAAAGAAUAGGAUUAAAUGGGGGUGUCGGGAUCAAAGUCAUGAGGUUCCAGGCACCACGGUUCAUCAACCCGAAUGAAUUAGCCAAACGGGUGACAAACAUGCCUCCAUUGAUGCGCGAUGUUUUGCGAUCUUUGACCGCACCCUCCGAAAGGUAUGAAGCAAUACACCAUGGAAUGUUGCAAAAGACGCCGGGUGUUAUUAUGCUCCAUAAGUAGAAAACAUCAAGGUUGGAGACCUUGUCAUCGUCUUUCCUUUGGUUGAUGGUGGAGGAAAUAAGGCGGUGAAUGAGGCGGUGAGUCGGGGAUCGGAUGCUCCCUUCUUGUGCAGACUUUGGGAUGUAGACUUUGUUUCCUAUGGUAUUCCACCAACCCGUGCUCGUGACUCCAUCGGGGAACGCCAUAUGAGUGUUUGCCAAGAAAGCCCGAAAGAUGUUUGUUGUCACUAAGGGUUGAUCAUAGAUCCCUAGUCGGCAGGCAAGGUCCACCACCGAGCAUUGACGAUACUCGCCCCCAAGACAAAAAGUAAAGCUCGUCGGGUGAUACACAUCCACUCCCCCGGUAAAAGAUACCGUGGAAAAGAAUUCUAAACAUAGCUCCAAAUAAACCGGUUCUUGAAUACGGAAGACCCGGCUCCACCCAUCACACACCAUACUGUUGCCUUCAUGUUGGAACUCCUUCAAAAGGUAAGGAGCUAGUUCUUCUUCAUAGCUAACACUCUGCAGCCAUUCCCAAUCAAUUCUGUUCGGUACAUACACCUCCUUCUUCUUAAUGUCGGAGAGCUUCUUCUUCCACUUCCUCAUUGUUGAAGGGGAUUCGAUUUGCGGGAAGUUUAACCAUGGAAACUCCCCUUGGCUACCAGUUGAAGAUUGUCCUCUUCUGAACAUGAUUUCUGCAAAAUAAACACACAAAACCCAGAAACACAGAAAAUAAUUAAAAACUGAAAUGUAACUGUAAAUCGACUGGACUCGUCGAGUCCAUGCCCGACUCGACGAGUCGCGCAACCUGCACGAGUCAGUCGACGGGUCGCAUGAAAUUGGACCAUAAAACUUGUAAUUUCUGUCAAGGGUUUUUGUUCAAGGACUUCCUACUAAGUAAUAAGGUCAAACUAAGCAUUCAAAACAACAAUAUUCAUGAAAAAUCGAAACCCUAGAAUUUCAUUAUUUUUCAAAAACGGGUUUUUUACAUGCAAUUGCAGGCAUAGAUGGCCUUAUACUCUCAUUUUCUUUAGAAAUCAAGAAGAAAGUUGUUACCUUUUGAGUUUAAACCUUGAGAAAUUGAAGAAGAUUUGAAGAUUUCUUUGAAUGCUUGAGAGUGUUUGCGAAUGGGGGUACCCGGCGAGUGUGAUGUUGAAAUUGAAUUUUUAGGGUUAAAACCCUAUUUACCAGAUGUAAAAGUAAUUUCGAAAUUAAUUUUUUUUUUUUUAAAUAAGACCGACUCGUCGAGUUGUGGUUAGACUCGCCGAGUCUGGUCGCGAAGUUAAAUGCUUUUCUGGAAUCCAUGUGGACUCGUCGAGUCGUGGUCAGACUCGGCGAGUCAUUUAAAAAUUUGCAUAUUUUUCAAAAUUUUUCUGUUUAUUAUGAAUCAUUUCACCCCACACUUAGGCUAUGCAACUCUCAAGCAGACAUGCCCGAUGAUUUAGAAGAUUUAAGAAUAAAAACGAAUGGAAAAUAAAACGAAAAAUAAAAAGAAGACUAAAAAGUAAAAGAAAGCAAACUCUAUUGAACGGGUUGCCUCCCGCCAAGCGCUUCUUUUUGAGGAGUCAUUAGCUAGACUCCUUCCCAUUUACGUUUUGUCAUCUUCAAGCAUCGGGAAUGUACGCCUCACUUUUUGUGGUUUAUACUUGGUCUUGUAGGCGUAAAUCUUUUUCUUGUAAGCCCUCUUCAAUUCGUCUCUUCUCCUUUUCAUUGCUUCAUCUUCAGCUGCUUGGGCUUUCUUUUUUCUCUUUUUCUGCUUUACCCUCUUCUUUUUCACCAAUUCUUGAACAUCCUUCUCUUUAAAUUUAAUGACUUCAUAUUUCAUGAUGGUCCGUGCUUUAGGUUUAGUGGUGAAUUGGUGAUCAGCUUCUUCCUCCCUAUCCUUUAUUCCUGCAUUCUUUCCCGUGCUUAACCCUUUUCCAAAUGGCAUCGUAUCAAUGCAUGCCACAUUGGCGUGUUGCACCUCCAUUCCUUUUUCCUCUUCUGCCAAUUGUUCUUCAUAAACAGUAACUGAAACCAGGGUAUGUGAAGGACUAUUCACAAACAGAUCAGUUUUGGUCAAGUUUCUAUCCAGAUCGACUGGACUCGUCGAGUCCAUUAUGACGACUCGGCGAGUCGGGUCGGGUUUCAUCAAUUCUGGAUCGUUGUCUGAGUCGGCUCCUUCCAGUAGCUUUUCUAGCUCCUCCAAGUCUUUGUCAGCAUCUGAAACUUCUUCUGAGUGUAGCGUGAACUUACUUGGGUCUUCUUUUAAUAAAAUAUCAAGCUCUUUUUGCAAUACCUCAUCAUCUAAUUGGAUAAAUGAGAUUUCUUCUCGCUUUUCUUCUUCUUGCUUGAUCUCUGGAUUAGCUUUAAACAUCACCGACUCAUCACCCACUCUUAAUGUCAAAGUAGUCUCGGAUAUGUCAAUUAGGGCACAUGCGGUGUUUAAGAAUGUUCUGCCCAAAAUAAUUGGUAUUUCGGGGUCUUCUUUCAUCUCCACCACCACAAAGUCUACUGGGAAGAUAAACUUGUCUACUUUGAUAAGGAGAUUUUCACAUAUGCCUUGUGGAUGAAUAAUUGUUUUAUUUGCCAAAUGGAUUCUCAUAUUUACCGGCUUUGGCGCUGGUAAAUUUAGCUUCUUAAAGAAUGAAUAGGGCAUCAAAUUAAUGCUUGCCCCUGAAUCAGCCAAAGCUCGUGUGGAAACAUCAUUGCCAAAUUGGCACGGGAUUACUAUAUUACCCGGAUCACCCUUCUUCUCAGGUAGCUCACUCAUCAAUAUCUCCGCGACUUCAGCAAGAUCUUUCCUGGCAGCAAACAAACCCUUAAGCAAGUUAAAGUAUUUGGGAGUUUGGAGCAUUGUGUCCACGAAUGGCAUAUUGACUUGUAAGGCUUUAACAUGCUCCAUGAAGGUUCUAUAGGCUUGAACUUUUUCUGAAGGAAUGGCUCUGGAUGGGUAUGGCAAAGGAGGGUUGUAUGUCUUCAGAAAACUUGCUUUUUUAUCCUUCCCGACUGGACUCGUCGAGUCCAUUUUGGUGACUCGGCGAGUCGGAUCGAGUUCUUCUCGUUCUGGUUCUUCUUCCUUUUCUGCCUUCCCUUUGGAAACCCUUAGUGUUUCUGCCAAUUCUUCUUCACUGCUGGAGGUUAUUACGCUCACGUUCUCCUUUCUUGGAUUGGGCUCGGUGUUGCUCGGAAGUUGACCCGGUCUUCUUUCGUUUACUUGAUGUGCAAGUUGGCCCAGUUGUUUCUCUAUGUUGAGAAUAGAAGCUUGCUGAUUCUUCAACAUGUUUCUGGUUUCCUGCAUUGCCACAUCAUGAUCAUUAUGCCUUUUCUCGGACGCGCUUAUGAAUUUUGUAAGUAUGUCUUCUAAGUUCGUCUUCUUGUCCGUCACCGGUUCCUCCUUUUGAUAAUAACCCCUCUCCCUCUGCUUAUAUUUUUCUUCCUUAGCCUUUCUGUACUCUUCGUAUGGGAGCCACUCCUUCUUCGGUUUCCUCCAGUCUUCAUCAUAUCUGUCGCCACUGGAAUAAAAUACUUGAGCCUUUUUAUUUCCAUUCUCGUCUCGAUCACAAUCCUUUGUAAGAUGGGGGCCGCCACAAUUUUCGCAUCCUACCCUAAUAGCAUGGAUCGUUUGAUCCAUUUUCGUCAUUCUUCGGUCUAGGCUAUCGAGUUUAGCUAUUACCGCCGCCAUGCCAUCGUUCACUGAGUUUACUGCUCCACGACUCACUUCAUUCCUCGGAUUGUGGUAUUCUCUAGAAUGCUUAGAGAAUUCUUCAAUCAAUUCCUUUAUUUCCGGAGGUGGCUUUCGGGUGAGCGGGCCUUGUGAAUCGAGUAGUUGCCUUGUGGUGACAUUUACUCCAUCAUAAAAGAUGGAGACCUCCUGUUGGCUAUUUAGAUCAUGGUGUGGGCAAUUUCUAAGUAGGCUCUUGUACCUUUCCCAAGCUUCAUAAAGAGAUUCUCCGGGUUGUUGCUCGAAGUUGGCAAUGGCUUUCUUUAACUUGGCUAUCUUGGAAGGUGGGCAGAAAUGGUCAAUGAACUCUUCUUUCAUUUUGGCCCAUGUGGUGACCGAUCCGGGAGGGAGUGACUUCAACCAAUCCUUUGCAGCUCCUUUGAACGUGACAGGAAGCAUGCGUAGUAGCUGGACCUCGCGGGGCACAUUAGGUACAUUGAAGUAAUCCGCCACGUCAUUUACUUCAUCUAAGUGCUUAUAGGCGUCUUCAUGAUCUCUCCCGUGAAAUGGUAUCUCCUUGAGUUGAGCGAGAAUAUGGCCCUUUAGUUCGAACGUAGCGGUAGCGGGGAUUGCGGGUUGCACAAGUCCCGGGCCGGUGUCAUCACGCAUCCUUUUCUUCCACUCCCCCAUGGGGAUCUCGUCAAUAUUAGCCAUUGCGGUGGCUAAGUCUUCUUCAAUAUCGGAUGUGUGCUCGCUUUCUUCUUCGGUCUCGUAUUCGGUGUCUUUCGGGAUCGGAUCUUCGGUUGACAACGACGCACUGGAUGCUCCUGCUUUGCUGCUCCUCUUCUUGCCAAACACGGAUUUGAAGUUUUUGAGUGGUGAGUUCUUUGAAGAGGUGGUUUCUCCAACGGUUUUGCCCUUGUUUCUUCUUAAUGCGGUUUCCGGAUCUUCAAGAGGAGGAAUUAGAGGUGUAGAAGAUCCUCGGGUCAUGAACUAACUGCAACUUAAAACAAAACAGAACGCGUAAAAAAGAACAAAAAUUUAAUCUGAUUCAGCGUCAGACUCGCCGAGUCGGGGCGAAUGCACUCGGCGAGUUCACGUGAAAAUCAGUUUUUUUUUUUUUUUUACUUAAACAAAAACUGAACGGAAAUUAACUUUGCAUAAGAUGAAUCUUACACAAAGGGUCGAUUGAAUUAGAAUUUUAAUGCUAAUUUUAGAACCGUUCCCCGGCAACGGCGCCAAAAACUUGAUGUGUGUAAAACUCACUUAGUUUUAAUCCUACUUUAAUUAUCAAAUAACACACAAAAGGCAGUGAACCUAUCAAUUGUGGUAUAGCUAAAUAAGCAGGGUAUCGAACACAGGGAACGGCAAAUUAAAUUAAAAACUAAUUCUAUCUAAAUUACUUUAGCAAAUAAGGGUUUUUCUCUAGUUUUACAAGACUAGAAACUUAUUAAACAAAACUAAUGCAAGGCUAGAAAAGAACAAAUUAACUAGAUUCAAUAAUGGGAAAGAAACUUCUGUUUAGUUCAACUCGGUUAACUUUAUGGUUGCUUUUAAGGUAAUAGUGCAAUGGAUUAAUUCUUUCGUUGGUUACCGAUUCAAGUGAUUAAGUUGUGUUCACUACCCUAAUCCUUAGCAAAUAAACUAAUUCAAACAGUGGCCAAUUGCUUAAUUUAAUUAUAUUUACUAGAUUAAUUAUUCGGGUUAAGUUAGACUUGCAAUAGUUAACUAAUUUAGUCUUUUUAAUUAACCUCUUGUUUGAUAGUCAUCUUACAAGCUUGCACAUGAAUUUACUCAAUUUUCUUAUUAAUUCUAGUUUCAUAUUCAUUAAUCCUAGACAUAUAACUAUGUGGUCACAAUAUAUCAUAUGAGGACAAUAAUCAAUAGAUGUUCAUGCUAAUCAAUUAUCUUCCUAUUAACAGAAAAUUAAUUAUUAUUCACACACAAGGUUCUUUAGCAAGCUAAAAUAACAAAAAUUCACCAACUUGGAAUUAAUCCUACCAAUCAAUCAAACCAUAUUGUCAACUUUGUAUCCCCAAACAGAAGUCUAAAGGUUUUAGCUCAUAAUUAAAGUAAAUAACAGCAAACAAUCAAAGUCAAAUUGCUUAGUCAUGAUGAAUAAACAAAAGAAUAAAUGGAAUGAUGAAAUUUUGCCUUAAUUACUCUCCGGAAUUGAAUUCUAGCUUCCUUCGUCGUCUUCUAGGGUUUUUCAGGCUUCUCAAUCGUAGCAAGAUACUUCUGAAUCGUCUCAGAACUCUCCUCUCUCGAUCUGUGGAAUUAUCUUUAAAUAAGCGAUCCGACUCGUCGAGUCAAGUGGUGACUCGUCGAGUCCCUCUCACAUUCCCCGUAUUGCGAUAACUAUCUGGGAUCCCGAGUCAUUAUCCUUCUGAUUCCUCGACCGGAAUCGUCGAGUAGCUAUCUGACUCGACGAGUAGAAGAUUUUUUUAGUGUUUUUUCCUUCUUCAUUCCACUCUCGAGCUCCUAACCGCUUCUCUUGCUUCCUUUUGCUUCCGAGCUUCAUCUUUGGACUGAAAAACAUAAUUUAACACUUUUAAGUACCUUUUGUCCAUAAUAUGCGAUAAUUUAGCUAAUAUAUGAAUAAAAAACUAUACUAAAUACACACUAAAUAUGCACAUAUCACAUGCCCUAGAAGACUAGAUCUGUGAUUUGGAGUCGUUGCAUGGCUCAAAUCAGGUCUGUAUGGAAAAAGGACUGAAUGAACUCGGCGAGUAGAAAGUUGGACUCGACGAGUCCUAUGAAGAUAGCCGUGAACUUGGCGGGUUGGAUGAGCAACUCGGCGAGUCUGAUGAAGAUUGCCUUAGACUUGACGAGUUGUUCUUCAACUCGGCGAGUCGGAUGAACUUGGACUCAGUAUGUGUGCAUCGAAGAAGAACGCGUCGAGUCUUCGCCAAGCUCGACGAGUAGAAACGAGUAUAAAACUAGAACUAAUGGAAGGGACUCGGCNGGAAGGGACUCGGUGAUUUGGCGAGCCAACUCGGCGAGUCCGGUCAACCAGGAAGUUGACUUUGACCAGGGGGUAAAAUAUUCAUUUUGCCCUGCGAUUAGUUAUCAGUAUUUGAUUUAGUGUUUAUGGGAUUUGUAGCCGGGAGUUCCGGAGCAGCGGUCAGGUAGUUUCAGAGUUAGCACCUUGACAGCUAGUGUUACGAGGUGAGUUUCCUUCCAGUAGGAACGGGUCUACGACCACAAUGUCGGCCCGCUUAGUUAAUAGUAGUUUCCAGACUUCAGUAGGAUGAAGUAGUUCAGUGUGCUUGAUGUCUUUGUGAUUCAAGCAUGGUUUGUGUUAUGUGUUCCGGACUUCGGUCCGAUGCAGUAUGCAGUAUAUGUAUUUACACCAGUAGUUUUGAUUAUGUUAUGUUAUGUGCAGUCAGUUUCCGGACUUCGGUCCGAUGCAGAGGGCAAGGCCCUGGUUAGUUCUGGACUUCGGUCCGAUGCAGUUUCCGGACUCCGGUCCGAUGUAGAGGGCAAGACCUUGGUUAGUUCCGGACUUCGGUCCGAUGCAGUUUCCGGACUUCGGUCCGAUGCAAUGGGCAAGGCCCAAUAGUUGCUUAUUUGUUAUUGUAUGGUAUGUGGUAGAUUGGGGGGGAGCUCACUAAGCUUUGUGCUUACAGUUUCAGUUUUGAUUUCAGGAACUUCCACAAGUAAAGGGAAGAGCUCGGGAUGAUUGCAUCGCACACACCACAGCUUCAGUUUUAGUCCUGGGAGUUGAUCAGUUUAUUUUGACAUGAGAUGUUAUAGUUUGAUACAGUUUUAUAUUUUUCUAUGAUUUGGGAUGUUUCACCAGGGUAGGGCAAGCUGAAAAACUAACAUGCUCCCGAAUGUCGGCUCGCAACAUGUCAUGGUAGCGGGUCCUCCUCAUGUCCUCAUCUCCCGCAUACUGGGGCACCGGUAACGCCCUCUCCCGGAACUUGGCGGUGAUCUCCGCCACUGUCUCCGUCGUCUAUCUCAUGUAUAAGAACUCCCUAACCAACUACUGGAGCUCCACUGCAAGUGCAAACUCCGCUCUGAACCGGGUCACAAAGUCCGGCUACGUCAUAGCCUCAACAGUCGAGGCUCCCAGAGAGUCACCAACUGACUCCCACCAAUCUCUGGCCCUGUCUCUCAAGCACCCUGCUGCAUAUCUCACAUUCGACCCCUCGGGGCAGAAGUUGGUCAACUGUGCAGACUCAAUGUUUGCAAUCCACCGCCUGGCUGCAAUGGGGUCCUUCACCCCAUGGAAAUCCGGCGCACCACUACCCCUGAAGUCCUUAAAGGACAAUGUGUGUGAUCCCGACUAGCUGGUCGCCAUAUCGCUCCUGAAUGCCCGGAGGCGAUCCUCCAUCAGCUUGAUAAUCCCUUCCUUGAUCGACCCAAAAAUGACCGGGGUCGCAUCAAGGAUGCCUCUAGUGAUCUCGGACGCGAUGAACUCGCGUAGUCUCUCAUCCACUGGCUCGGACCCUGAACCCGAACCCGAUCCCUCCCCUGAACUGCCAACUGCUGGCCUCGGACGUAGUACCACCAUUCUGCAAUACAUAAUGACAAUCAUUAGUGAUACUGAUACAUCUAGAGGGAUCACAUCUAUCACAAGUUCCCUAGUCUUGCCUUAUCCCUCCUCAAUUCAAGUACGGAUCCUCUGCUUUCAGUAGUACGGGCCCAUACUACGUGCCACAUCUAUCCGUACUUUCCUCAAGAACUGCCUCGACUCCACCAAGUCCCUUCUACUGUCACUGAUCUCUGCUAUUCUCAUCCUAGGCUUGCCCUAGGGUACCUCUGACUCAAUCAAAUCCAGUCCUCAGCUGCUGAAGGCCUUUUUAUAAUGCCAAUUUGACAUCACCUGAAUACCAUCACAUGUGACGAGGCUCAGAUAAUCCUUCGAGUAAAAGACUCGUCCCUGCAAUGGUUGGACUCAGACAAGAGCUGCAAAAUAGGGCCAAAUCCAGCACUCUGAGAUUAUUCAAUCCUGAUCACAUGUAAUGUGACGUAUUCACCUAAUGACUAACUCCCAUCACUCGGAGUCCCACAAAGCACAAAGCAAGCAGCAUUCGGAUACAAGAAACUACUCAAGCAAUUCUAUCCACAUAACGAGAAACUGUACUAGCAUACAAUGCUAAGCUCAUACUAUCAGGCAUAACCUAAACAGGCUAUCCUACUGCUGUCUACUCAAUACUAGCAUGCAAUUCUCAUAAAGCUGAAACACAUAUAACAGGCACAUAAGGCAUCCUCCUAGAUCCUUAGUCCUAUUCUAGCAUGAUGUUCAACUGAAUCUGAAACUGAUAAUCAUAACAUAAACUUAUAUGGGUAAUUUGGGAGUACUUACUUGAGCUCGGCCGGUCGCGCACGUCACACACUUUGUUCUUUCUCAAAACUCUUUUAACUUAGCUUUUAGAAAACCAUUUUUCUCGUAAAAGUCUUUUAAUCCCUCGAUUUGAGUCCAGACACCCCCGAGGGUGUAUCCGAAUCCCUCAAACCAGGGCUCUGAUACCAACUUGUAACAUCCCAAAUUUCGAGUCCAAAAAUUUCAUUUUAAUUGAUUAAUUAUAAAAUAGUAUCAUAUCAGAGUACAAUCCCAGAAUAUCUCAAGUGCGGAAAACCAAUGCGUGUGUGUAUGAUGUGCUGCUACCGCGCCAGAUCCUUCCCCUUCGCUGAAGAGGUACCUGAAACCAAAACUAUAAACUGUAAGCACGAAGCUUAGUGAGUUCCCCCAUCGUACCACAUACCAUACAAUCACAUAGCAUACAUACUGUCGGGCAAUUCUAUGGUGCCCGACCUACCCGGUACGGCCAUUCUGGGGUGCCGACCUCCCCCUGUCAAGCCAUUCUAGGGUGCUGACCUACCCGUCGGUCCUAACAACCGACCCUUGGGGACUAUUCCACCCCCUACUGCUACUAUCACAUAUAUCAUAAUGUAACAUACUGUCAGACAUAUCUGGGGUGUCCGACCUACCCUUCGGUCCUAACAGUCGAACUCUACUACCAUCACAUAUAACAUAUCAUGCCAGGAAAUAACAUAUCAGGUAGUAGCAAACCUAGAUGAUAUCACAAAGACAAUCAUCUAACAUACAACUCCUACUGCUGGGCCGGCAUUAUGGUCGUAGACCCACCGCUACUAGAACGUAACUCACCUCAAACAAGUAGCUGCUGAUAAUCUGUGCAGGAAAUCUCUGUAUGCUGCUGCUCCGGAAAUCCUCCGGCUAUAAUCCCCACAAAACACUUAGUAAGAAUCUGAUAUCCACACUUAGGGUAAAAUGACUAUUUUACCCCUGACCAAGUCCAAGUCAUAGUCAAAGUCAAAGUCAACCCUCUGGCCAAAGUCAACUCUCAGUUGACCUGACUCGCCGAGUUGGCCGCCAACGCGCCGAGUCCCUGUCCUUGGUUCAAAUCCUCUAUACGCUUCUACUCGUCGAGUUUAGCAAAGUCUCAACGAGUCCAUAUUCAAUACUAACAUCAAGUCCAUCUUCAUCUAACUCGCCGAGUUGUAUGAACAACUCGUCAAGUCCUCCCUCAUCCUAUGAAUGUGAUCAGUCCUUGACUCGCCGAGUUGUAUGAACAACUCGCCGAGUCCCUCUACUACUAGAUUUGAGCCCUAACUCAUCGAGUCCAUUACCUACUCACUGAUUCCACCCUAAACUCUCAAACGGGGAACAACUCGGGAACUCACGACUCGACUCGUCGAGUCUGAAGAACGACUCGCCGAGUCCUACGCAUGCCAUUACUAUACAGUCGAUUUUGCUCGAAUCCAGUGCAUUCCAUUCAUAGAUCUAGGCUCCUAGGACUGGCUUUUCACGUAAAGUUUCUAACUUUACGUGCAUGCAUGCUAAUAUUAAGCUCAAAUACCCAAAAGAAGCUAAAAGAAGAGAUCUAAGCUUGGAAUGGAAACUUGGCUCAAUAAAGGUGGCAACCUUGAGCUUAAGAGGCUCUGGAAAGCUUAAGCUUAGAUCUGAAAUUCAUUCAUCAUAUCAACUCUUAAUUCGACCUUAAAGUCUAGAAAGGGCUCAAAAUCAACAAGAGCAAGCUUUUCAAGAGAUCUAAUUGAUAAUAAGCAAAGAUUCGAGCUUGAUACCCCAAAGGGGACUGAAAUGCAACCAGAAAUCCGGAUCUACUUGCUCCCCUUGAAUACUUCUCUUCUCUCUUCUUCCUCAAAUCCCCAAGAUGCACUAAAAACCUUCACAAAUGAGAAAAUGCUCCAAAAAAGCUUAAGAACGGCUAGGGUUUCGUAUGAGACUCUUUGUAAUGGAAGUGCAAUUACUACCAAAGUAUGAUAUCUAAUGGAUUUACUAGUACACCAUUACUAAACAGGUUGUUCGUUUCAAACAAAAUUGAUUUGUAUCAAACUAUUUUUUUCAACAAUGGUCCGGUUCGGUUUCCAAUUUUUUUAGUGUACCUCUAAUUUUCAUUGUGUUUUUUUUUUGCUACGAAUGUAUGAUUUUUUUUAGGAUAUCUUAUUUCAUACAAAACAGGGAAAAUGGCCACCCAUGGUGUUGGUGGCAAAUAUAUUGAUAUGGGGGAUUUAAAAACCCCAACCAAAUUACAUUACAUUACAUAUUAGAAAAUAAGAAAUCAAAAAUAAAAACUAGUUGACAAACUACGUGUGUCAAGCCUUUUGCAUACUUGAAAUGAACACAACCACUUUCACAUAAACCCAAUCUUUGAAGCUGUCAUAAAACUGAAAAAAUGCACGUCUCCCACGACGGUUGAGAAGUAAAGCGCCACAUGCUAUCCAAAAUCCAGUAGCAAAACCCAUUCCACCACCAAUAACAAACCAUCCCAUGACUUCAUCAUCUGUGUCUUCCCCAUCACCCUCACCUUUACCAAUAAGAGGUGGUACUUCAGGUUCUUCAUCUCCAGGACAAUUUUUAGUAAGGGGAGGUCCGCAUAGUCCUUUGUUUCCAUUGUAUCUUGAAGGUGGAAAGGACUGGAGUUGAGUGCUAGAUGGGAUUUUCCCUGACAAGUUAUUAUAUGACAGGUCUAGGUAAUUCAGUAAGCUCAUCUGAGACAUGCUUGAUGGUAUCCUCCCUGAUAAAUUGUUUCUGGAUAAAUCCAACGUUAGAAGCUUUUUCAUCUCACCAAUAUGCUGUGGAAUCUCUCCAGAUAGAGUAUUCAUUGAAAAAUUCAGGGCAAUCAAGUCUGAAAGAUUGGUAAUUUCAUUUGGGAUUUGUCCUGUUAGAUUGUUGCUGGACAGGUCAAUGCUCUUCAACAAUUUCAGAGUGUUAAAGAAUUCAUGUUCAUCUCCUUGCCACUCAAUCAUUGCAUGGUCAACAUAUUUCCCCCAUCCAUAUGAAGUAUUUUUUACAAAUGUUUCAAGGGAUACAUCUUGUGAGAAUCCUCCUUGGUGAAGCAUGCUCGUAAGAUUACUCAAACAUGAGGGGAUGCUUCCAUGGAGAUUGUUCAUUGACAAGUCCAAAACUUGAAGAUUAGGUAACCGACAUAACUGUAAAGGGAUGGUUCCAAAGAAGUUGUUUGAUCUUAGGAUAAGAACAUACAGCCCUGAUAAGUUUUCCCCAAUCCAGACAGGCACAUUACCAGAAAAGUUGUUGGCCCCCAAAUUCAAAGACUUUAAACUCGUGCAAUUUUUUAAGGACAAAGGCAAUUCUCCGGAGAAGUUGUUCUUGUAUAAAUACAAGACCUUGAGUUGUAUCAAAGAUCCAAUAGAGGGAGGAAGACUUCCAAAGAGAUUGUUGUGUCCGAGAUUAAGAACUUCUAGUUGAUUGAAAUGCCACAGACAGUCUGGGAGUUGUCCGGUUAAUGAGUUAUGAGAGAGGUCAAGAAAUGAUAAGAACCCAUCAACAGCUUGGCAUAUGAAGGAGAUUCCUCCAGAGAAUUUGUUUCUGGAAAGAUUUAAUAUUGACAAAGUGGAAGGAUUCAGUAUCGGACCAUGAAAGCUGUUGGAACUCAAAUCUAUCACUGAAUCAUAGGCAAAAUUUGAUAAUAAAUCUGGUACUUUCCCACUAAUGUUGUUGGAAGAGAGAUUCAAAUAUAUUAAUUGAGAAGGCCAGCUGUCCCAAAACUCUAGAGGAAUUGUGUCUGAAAUUCCAGUAUUGGAAAGAUCAAGAACAGUAAGAUCUUUGAGUGUUUGAAUCCAUUUGGGGAAGCGAGGCCCUAGCAGCUUGCAAGAGCUCAGAUAAAGAUACUCAACAUAAGAGAUGUUUGACAAGUGAUAUGUGGAAGGAUCUGUAAGAUUAUUAGAAGAAAGGUAAAGAGUUUGGAGCCUGGGUAGUUCCCACAGUUUCUCACUUAUACUUCCAUUUAAGUGAUUAUGAGACAGGUCCAAAAAAUAUAGGGAUGAAAACUUUUGGAUGUCAUCGGACAGUGACCCUGUAAAUUGGCUUUUUGGAGCAUACAAGUCUUGUAAUGAAAGGGAUGUGCAUCCGGACAAGUUGUUGAGAAAAUCAGGAAAUUUGACAACAGCAGAGUUGUAAGAGAAGUCCAAAUCUUCCAGACUACAGAGGUUACCAAGAUAUUUGGGUAUCCCAUCUAACAUGUUGCCAGAGAGAUCAAGACGGACAAGGCUAUUGCUGGUUAAUGUGAACAACCAACGAUACAUAGAUGAGGUGAGAUUGUUUUUUCCAAGAGAAAGGUAUGCAAUAGAUGAAGAAGAAGAGUUGAGAAAAGAAGAAUAUGGAUACAUGACCUGUGACAGCUCACAUCCCUCUAAACUUAAUUCAAAUAGUUUUGGGAGACUUGAAAUUACAUCUACCCAAUGAUUUGCUGUUGCUAGGGAAAUCCCAUCCAUCCAAAGUUCCUCCAAAUGAGAGAGGUGAGACAACCACUCUACCUUUUCAACUCUACAGCUUCCAACAUUUCCAAGUCGAAGAACUUGCAAGUUGGUGAGGUUUCCAAACUCUGGUGGAAUGGUUCCAUAAAGAGAGUUAAAAGAAAGGUCAAGAAAGAUUAAUUCUGUCAAGGAACCAAUUGACCUGGGAAUGGUCCCAUUAAAAUCAUUCCAGCCAAGGUUAAGGUACCUUAAUCGAGUCAAAGAACCAAUGAAAGUGGGAAUGAUUCCAUUGAAAGCAUUGAAGGAAAGAUCAAGAUGAGUCAAGUAGGUUAAGUUAAGCAAUGAAGGGCUUAUCUCACCUCCAAGACCAUAGAAAUGCAUAUCAAGCCCUGUGACAUGACCUGUUUGUUUGCUGCACGUGACUCCUUUCCGGUUACAGCAGUCAUCUCCUUCAGCUGUCCAUUUGGAGAGAUGUUCAUAAGGGUCUUGAAGGGGAGCUUUGAAAAGAAGGAGAGCAUCUCUCUCCAUAUCCAAACACUUGUUAAUAUCAUUUCCUCCUGCUGCUACCAAUUGGCUGGUAGUUGUAGUCACAAGGAGUAGCAAGAGAAGUGAGGAAAUUAUAAAAACACAAGAAUUCAUAAUGUAAAUCAAAAUCUUAAUUGCUGAUUUUUGGUUUGUAUUGACACAUAUAUCAACUGCCCCCAUGAGGGUUUAUAUAGUCUCCACUGUCAAGAUGAAUGAUUAUAAGUGGGUCGCCAUAAAUUGUGUGGAAUUAAUUGCCCCAAAUUAAACUUCAAAGACUUGCAAGUCUUGGCAAUUUGUCUUUAUUAUAGUAGAUAUCUUUCCCCAUCUUCUGAUAUGAUAUUGUUUGGUAUAUGAUAUAAAUCCCAAAAUGCAAAACUAAUGAAAUCUUUCAGUCAAAUACAAAUCUACCAAUCAAAACAGUAAUGAUAUUAUUUGGGCCUAACAAUCUGAUCAUGGCUAUGAAAUGAAGUUUUGUCACUUGCAUCAACUAAAUCGUGAACUUAUAUGAAUGAAACCAAGUUUAUACAUUACCGAUUAAUCAUGGUCUUUUCAAUUGUUAAAAUGAUAUUUAAGAUAACACUACAUUAGUAAUGACUCCACUAAAAACGCAUUAGAUUAUAAUUAAUACAAUUUUGCAACGUUUUUUUGUCCAUAUUCCAAAUAAAAUGACCAUAAUUAAUAUCAGCUAUACUCGAUCAGGGAUCAAAUAUAGUCAUUUUAACUGAAACAUGGACCAAAACGUUUCAAGAACCUCAUAUAAGGACCAAAACUGAAAUUUUCAGCUAUAUUCAGGGACCAAAAACGUUUUAUUUUAAUUGAAAAUAAACAUAAGAUGCACAUACAGAAGCAGUUUUAUUUUGCAGCAAUUCUUACCUUCUGUUUACCUAAAUUAAACUCCUAUCAAUCAAAAAUCACAUAUUAAAGACUCCAAUUCUACCACUGUGUUUUCUGAUCAACAAUUUGUAGCUUCUGAAGCUCCACUCCAUUCACCUUUAGCACUUUGCACUACUCAUUUAGAAAAUUUAAGAAAAUCAUGUUAUUAAUAUUAAUCAGAAAGACAAAAUAUUGAUGUAUUAAUUAUUAUAGUAUCCUACUUUCAUAGUUUGCUACCUCUUGAUGUAAUACAAGGGGUAUAUUGGUCAUUUAAAGACAUCCAGGAUAAUACUUUUUCCAAAAAAAAGAAGGCGUUAAACCGGAUACAAAUAAUUAUUAAUAAUAAUUUGCUUCGUAUGUAUAUUAAUUUUAAAAAUACAUGAAAGUAUACUCAAUAUAACUUUCAUUUUACUCUCUAUGAUACCUGUUAUUAUAACACAUUAAAUAAUUAGUAAUUAGCCUACCCAUCAACUAAACUACAUAGCUUCUCCAGUUUAUAAUUUCCUAACAAAGUUCCAAACUUGUUUGAAAAGCUAAAUCUGGUUGUUCUUUGUUGGUCUUAAGAAUGAUCUAUAGCGCCAUACUUUCAUUUUUUUGUUGAAAAAUAUGACACACCAAAAAACUAUCAGGAGAUGAGAAAAAGAUAUAGAUAAUAAAUACAAACUGAAAAAUAUGACAAGGUGGGAAAAGAUAUAUCUAUAAUAAAGACAAACUGCCAAGACUUGUAAGUUUUUGAACGUCUAACUUGGGGCAAUUAAUUCUAAUUCUUCAUCUUUGAUUUUUCUUAUAGUUUUGUUCAAAUUUCAUGGAAAUUAAGUAUUGAUGGAAAUACUAUAUGCCCCACACAAGUGGCCACUCAUUUGAGGCUACCUACUCAGGAGUUAGGAUCAUUUAUCUUGACAGUCAAGAUUAUAUAAACCCUCAUGGGCCCAAGAGCAAGUUUGGGCCUUCUAACAGAAACCAGGAAUUACCUUUUGUAGAGCCCAUUGUUAACAAUUCUGAUCACAUUACUUUUGAGUCUUUGAAAAUAUCACAAGUUUGGAAAUGAUUUUGAUGAUAAAUACAAAUUCCCAAGACUUGCAAGUCUUUGAACAUAUAAUUUGUGGCAAUUUAUUAUAAUUCUUCAUCUUUAAUUUGUCUUUUAGUUCAAAUGGUAUUUAUAAACUUUUAUUCUCAACCAUUUCUUUCUGAAAAACUUGUUCAUCAGUAGUCAUCCAGGGGCCAUGUGCUGCAAAUACAAGAAACAACUUGGUAAUAGAAACUAUAAACCCAGGAGUAAAUUACACUUUCAAUUUCCAUUUUUUUUGGAAAGGAGGGAGGGUUAAAUGGUAAUUUUCUUUGUGUUUUUAUAUGCUACGAAUAUAUGAAUUUUCCAGGAUAUCUUAUUUCAUGCAAAACAGGGAUAAGGGCCACCCAUGGUGUUGGUGGCAAAUAUAUAGAUAUGGGAGACUUAAAACCCCCAGCCAAAUUACAUAUUGCAAAAUGUAAAACUAAUGAAAUCAUUCAAUGAAAUAGUAAUUAUAUCAUUUGGGUCUAACAAUUAAUGACUGUGAAAUGAACUUUUCUCACUUAGAUUAACCAAACAGUGAACUUAUAAGAAUGAAAGCCGGUUUAUCCAUUCCAGAUUAAUCAUGGUCUUUUCGAUUGUUAAAAAUGAUAUUAGGAUAAUACUACAUUAGUAAUGACUCGAUUAAAAACAUAUUAGACUAUACUGAAUACAACUUUUUGCAACUUAUUUGUACCUGUUGCAAAUAAAUUGACUAUAAUUGAAAUCAGAUAUACUCGGGACCAAAAAUUUAGUUGAAACAUGUACAACAACAUUACAAGAACCUCAAAUAAGUUCGAAAACUGAAAUUUUCAGCUAUACUCAGGGACCAAAACUGUCUUAUUUUACUCAACACUUACCUUCUGUUUACCUAAAUCAAAAACCAUAUAUUAAAGUCAGGAUUCUUUUACUUCAUUUGCUUGAAAAUUUUUAAUACAACUAACCUCCAUUAUACAGCUACUUCGUAUCUUCUGAAAUCUGAAGCUUCACCUCUAUCACUCUAACACUAUCAUUUAUAAAAUUUAGAAAAACCAUGUUAAUAAAUAUAUUAAUCUGAAAGACAAGAUGUUCAAUAAUAAAAACAGGUGUAACUGACUUUAAACCAUCUUAUUUGAUAUUAGUAUUAUAAGUUGGAAUUUUUAUUAAAAUAAUCAACUUAGUAGUUUAUGUCUUAGUUGUAGAUAAAGAAUGCUACUUUAACAGCUAAAUCUGGUUGUUCUUUGCAGGUAAAAUCCUCAAAUUGUAUUUGAAUGACAUUGUUAUAAUUUAUAAAUAGGUAGAUUUUUCAAAAUACAUUGCUUUAAUAGAGUAUACAUGAAAUUAUGAAAAUACAUUGCUAUAAUAAACAUAUUAAUGAAAGUAUGUUGCUGUUUCUUACAGUGAACCCUUUUGCAUUUGACCAAAUUAAUUAUCAUUGAAUUCAAAAUAAAUUUGUUUUCAUCCGAAUCGGUCAAACAAGUUAAUCCCUGGCGAUUUUAGCAUCAACCAUUUCUAUUGAAACUAUCUUUGAAACAUAUCAUCAACAAGUCUAAUUCAACAAUAACCAAAUAAUAUUAUCACUACAAAUAAAAUGACAUAUAGUGGCACACAUUUUUAGUGGCAUAUGGUUAAUGUGCCACUAUAUCAUGGUUUUUAGUGGCACAUAUUAUAUGCCACUAAAAAAUCAACACAUUUAAUGGCACUUAAUCUUUUGUGUCACUAAAUUUCAUAGUUAUUAGUGGCAUAAUGACUUGAUAUGCCACUAAAACUUUUUUUUUGAAGGCUUUUUUUUUUAAUACGGUAUAAAUAAUUCUUAUAAUAACUAAAAAAUGUAAUUACAAUAUUAACAAUUUAUUUUAUAUUUCUCAUUUAAAUACGGUAUUACAUAUUUAUGAAAACUUAUUAUGUUAAUAAUUUUAAAUUUUGAUUUUCUUGGUUUAUUAUUUUGAAAACGAAAACUAAUUUUUAUUUGGGAUUAAUUUAUAAUAUUUCCAUUAAUUUAUCUAUUUUCUUGUUUAAAAAAAGUUUCUAACCUAACAAUUUGGGUUAGAUAACAUUAUCAUCACAUUACCUUAUUUGGAGAGGAGAUACGAAAGUCAAAAAAAUACAGGUACAACAACCAAAUCCCACUCUCCCACUCCUGACGAUGAUCUAAACGCAAUAUCACCGCCCUCUCUUCGUCGACGUCGUACCAUCACGGUGACGUUGGUCUGUGGGUCGCUGCUUCCACGAUCAUCGUUGUUUUCACGAUCGUCGCCGCUUCCUUGAUAGCCACCACUUCCUCGAUCGUCGCCGCCGCUUCCUCAAUCGCCGCCACUUCCUCGAUCGUUGUCGCUUCCUCGAUUGGCGCCACUUCCUCGAUCGUCGCCGCAGCAUCCUCAAACUCACUGUUAGGUAUUUUUGCUGCUCAAAUAAGCGUAUUUACAAUUUUCAUUUUUUGGUAAAUUUGUAGUUGUAUACUGCCCCGAUUUGUUGCAAAAUCAUUGCCCAAACUGCUAGGGUUUAUCAAUUUUAUGAGAGACUGCCAUUAGUACCUUUAAAAGUCCAAUAGUUUUCGAUUAUUAGAACUUGUGAUUGCAUUUUGACUUUCUCAGGUCAUAAAAUAUAUAAACUAUAAUCCAUGUACUCCAUAAAAGCAUAUCUCUUAACAUCUGCUAAUAUCCCAACGCCAAUUGACUUCUGUAGAGAUGGUUAUAGUUAAACUUCAACUAACUUCAAGAAUGAGUAAAGGUUGUGCUCAAAUAAUUCAAGUUUAUUGGUGUACUUGUCCAUCGACUGAGCAUAACAACAUCAAACCCUUUCUUCAGAUCAAUCUCCUCUUCCCAGUGACUACCCUUCAUUUCAAUCCUCUUCUCUUCAAGAGCUUUCAUCAGCCUCUCCCUCUCUUCCUCAAAUUCCUUCAUUGCCUCAAGCUUCUGAUCAUACCUAUGAGUUCAUGCAUAUUAUAACAUUACAUACUCUUUCUUUUUCUACUUUGAUAAAACAACCCAAGCAAAGAAACAAAAAUACAUAAGUAUGUUGAUACCUCUUAUGAGGAUCAACCACAAAAUAAGAUUGCUCAACUUUCAUGUGCUCUUCCUUUUAGAGUUUGUCAAACUUUCCUUCUUUUAAUGUUUAAGAAUGUCACCUUUAAGAAUGUCACCUAGAAAUAACUAGACAUGUAGGACACCUUUCUAACAUAUGUACAUCAAAAUCGUAUUCUUGUGGGUGGAGCCCAGUCAAAAACCGGUCAAUGAUAUAACCGCCUGCCCGAGUGGUGAAAUCCCAAGGUGAAAAGCUAAAGUGUUCCCGGAAACCAUUCGGGGCACCCAUUUCCCUUCCAACUCUUGUUGACCGAGUAAAAAUGAUAUUUGUUGGAAAUUUACCAGACGACCCUUGGCACCACUGAUGGUCAUUAGAGAAAUGCAGUUUUGUGGGAAGGGUUUCAUCACUCCUUUUGGUAACCAUUUUUUGCUGAUCAUUGAACCUUUAUCUCUUAGCUUUGUUUGUAUGAGGUUAUAUAAACUUGCAGAUGUUGUUGCUCCAUUGCUUCUUAUAAUUUUCUUAGUUUCCAAUUGCAACUCUCUUGUCCCUAUAAGUUCACAAAUUAACAAAUGCAAAGACCCUAAUGAUUUAUAAAAAUUUGUCCAAGUAUAUAUCUAUUUUUUGAUUUUCCAAGUUGACAAAUUUUAUGUGAACCUUUUCACCUACAUCUUCACCUUCAAGUUCCAUCUUCAUUUCUUUGUCACAAUCUGGUGACACCAUUAGAUCAUCUAAACCACAUGUAAAUCCAUGGAACUGUAGAAUGAUUAUUACUUGUUAUUUGAGACAUGGAUUGGGUAAAGAUUUGAAUGAGCCUCCGUCCAUUUGGCUAUGAAAUGAUUUGGAGCAUACAAUAGACAAUGUUUUUCUUGUGUUUCUUCUUGUUCAUUAAAUAAUCAUUCGUUUUAUGUUGAUGCUUAUACUUUUUGAAAGGUAUCAUCAAAUUUAGUAGAUACCAUUAUCAUGAUUCAUGCACAUAUACUCUUUUCAGAAGUUAGAAUUUUGUAUCAAGUAAAAUCACCAUCAUAGAAACCUGCCUGAUGAUCAUAAUAACAAAAAUAAUUUGUCAAAAUAGAAAUUAUGAUGUUGGUAGUGGUGAUUGGUGAGGAGCUAGAACUUUUAGAAAUUUAUUUUUGAAAGUAUUAUGGAUAAAAAAUAACAAUAUCUUUUUAUGAAAUUGCUAUUAUAAUAUUUUAUUUUAUUUCUAUUAUAAAACUUUAAAAAGUUCUAUCUAGUAUUGUCAUAAAAAAUGUAUUUGCCUAAAUAUAAUGCUAAUAAAAAUAUUGAAAUAAUAAUAAUAAUUAUAUAAUAUAACUACGAUGACUAACACUUUGAGUGGUAUAUAAAUUUAAAUCCAUGUUAAGUUACGUAGAUUUGACAAUAAUAAUAGUAUUAAAUAUGAAGAAAAUUAUGAAUAAUACUUUUAAGAAAUUGAAAACAUAAUUAAUUUGAUAUGUAAUCAUUUUUGACGGAUUAAAUUCAACGAAUAUUUAGAAUAGUAAAUCCAAUGACUAAUGACCUAUAUAAUGUAAAAAUGGAAAUUUUAAUUUAAAAAUGAUUAGAAAUGAAUGUUAUUUUAAAAAAAUGUUUACUAAAUAUUUUACAUAUAAUGGAGUGUUAUUUUAAAUAAAUCUUCAUCUACACUCAUAUAUGUGGGUCCAAACCGGUGUACUAUUAUUUGGGACCCAAAAAACUAUAACAAUAUAUAAUAAAUAAAAUAGUUAUAUAACAAUCCAUUAAAAAGUCUACUCAAUUUGUAAUACUUCUCCAUAAGGUUACCGGUUAACUUCAAGGCUUUAAAGAGUAGACUACCUGUUUUGUGUAUCUUUUUAAUAAAAAGGGUUUAUUUAGGGCAAUUAGGUCUUUUUCCCCAGUUAUGUCAGUGCAUAGCUGUAAUAACUUGCAGGUAGCAUGUCAUAGUUCACUUCAGUGAGUAAAUUCACUUUUGGGAUGUCAAGAUGACAUUUGUAUUGCUUUGAUUUUAGCACCAAUCAUUCAACCAUAGUUCUACAAUUCUACAAUUAAGUCCUACAGUAUACCAUAUAUGUUACAACUUAAAGAAAGAAACAUAAUUACUAUUCUCACUUUACAGGUGAAGAUGAUGAUGAGGAUCUAUCAGAAAAUUUUAUCGUGAAGACAUGCCAAAAGAUUAUUCCUGUAACAUGUAAAAUUUCUUUUCAAUUGUCAGAAAUUAUAAUUUUUUGAUUUGGAAAGAUGCUAACUUUCUGCAUUGUUCUUCAAGGGUAAAUCUGGUAUUGAUUUCAUUCAUUCUUUUUCUUGGUUUGGCAGCUCAAUAUGAUGGCAAUAGGUUUUUUACAGUUGUGAAUGGAGCUUGGAAAGUAAGUGAAAAGAUAUGGUUAUUUUUUUUGUUUGUUAAUAUGAUUAAAAACAUGUGCAAUUUUUUUAAAUGGGAAUCUUUUCUUGAUUCUUUUUUUUUACUCAAAAAGUGUCAUCUUGAAUUGUUGGUUUCUAAAAGGCAUCAAACAUUCUGGACAGGCUACACCUUUGCUUCUACCUGUACCAGUAAUUGAACUCAGUGACAUUGCAUUUGCUGUAAGUUUAUUCAUUUAACAUAUUUUUAUAAUAUUUUAAAACUUCUGUUCACGAAUUUUAUGUAAUUUUUUUUUCUAGGUUGACUUUAUACCUGCAGUUUUUGGUGUGACAAGAGAUCCCUUCAUUGUUUUUUUCAUCUAAUCUCUUUGCCAUUUUAGAUAAAGUAUGAUGCCACAGUUGACUUUUAUCUAAUUGGUCAAACACAAAAAAAAUUAGGCUGAAUUUUUGCUUCUGAUGUAGGUCUACGAUCUCUAUAUACACUGAUUUCAGAAGACAGAAAGCAUGGCAGAAUUGGAGUAUCUACAGGUUAGUUUUUUUUUUUUAAGUUUUCAUGUUAAAUGACCUAUUUGCCCAUAUCCAUUGUUAUGAAUGAAUUGAUAGUAUAUAUCUACUUGGGAAUCAUGCUUUGAAUUUUGAAAGGUUUAUCCAUGUUUGAGAUUACAAAUAGGUUGAUGUUAGGUCAACAUUUUCUUCUAUAUCUAUGUGUUUGAUUGGGUGCAAAAUGAUCCUAGAUUUCUUUGGUAAGUGUCUUAUUGAUUAGGUCACUCAUAACCAAAGAUAAUUCAUUAUGAUAAUAAGGAUGAGGGAAAAUACGUCUUUUGGUAACUACCUGAAAUGUUAAUCAUAUCCAAUAAAUCAUAUAAAUCAUAGCAUCAUACUUUCAUUUUAGUGCUCUAAUAUGAUGAAAUAUGAAAGUAGAGUGCUAUAAUAAACAAAUCAGUGAAAGUACGUUGCUAUACUCGCAUAGAUUUCUAAAACUAAAAUGUUAUAGUAUUAUGAAAUAUGAAAGAAAAUAUGAAUUGUUUUAAUUUUAAUUUUGAUUAAAAUAACUCCAACUGGGGUAAUUGUUAUAAAAAUGGUCCAUGUUGCAGGAAUAUAUUACAAAAAUGGUCUUUGUGGCAGGGAAUUGUUACAAAAAUAGUCCUUAUUACAGGAAAGCAUGACAAAAAUGGUCCUGUAAGAAGCUGUUAAAAUUGUCCUUGUAGCAGGGAUAUAUUACAAAAAUGGUCCUUUUGACACGUAACUGUUACAAUGGUAAGUACUUUCAACUAGGAUAACCAUUUGAUCUAUGGUUCUUUUUAUGUGUGGUGAUUAUUAGUGAUAUUAUUACAUAUUUUUAUGUGAUUAUUAGUGAUAUUCUUAUAUAAUUUUAUAUGAUUUAUUAUGAUUAUAUUACAGGCAAUUAUUCAAAAUGGAUAAACACAAGAUGGAUAAACAAGAGGAGCAACUAUGCAAAUUUCAUCUUCAUGUCAACUUUUGUGUUUCUUUCCAACAAGUAUUAAGUUUGAUAGUUUAAUAUUUUUAGUAAUUACUAGCACAAUGUUUAGACUUAUUAUAGGUUUUUGGAAUAUAUUUUUGUAUUAAAUAUUGAGAAUAUUACACUCAGACAAGUUAAGUAUUAAUUUGAGUAAUGCUUUUGUGUUUUGCAUUUAUUAUCUUAAUUGUUUUUUAUUAUUUUAUAUUCCAUUUAAAUUUAUAAAAAAUAAAUUGGAUCUAAUUUUGAAAUAUAAAUGUUUUGUUGUAAAAAAAAAGUGCCGCUAAAACAUACAAAUUGUUUUUAUUUUAGUGGCAUAAGAAUAGUGUCACAAAAACUAAAAGUGCUAUAGUGGCACAAAAAAAAAGUGUCACUAAAACCUAAAAGGGCUACAGCGACACAACAAAAAAGUGUCACUAAAAGCCUUUAGUGGGAGCGUUUGUAGUGACAUUUUUUUUUUGUGUCGCUGAUUGCCAAGGGGGUUUUUAGUGGCAUUUUUUUGGUUUUCAAUGGCACUUUUUUUGUGCCACUAAACAUCGUUUUAUUUGUAGUGUAUGUUGCCCCUACUUGUUUGCCAUGGUCAAUUUAACCAACUUGUGCAGUUAGAUCAGAUUGUUCAUUGGUGGUUUUGAUAUGGAGAGUGUUAUAAUAAUAUACACAAACACAAGCUUCACAUUUUGGGCACAAUCAACCAACAGACCAGAUAUUCAUAAGGAGACCGAGAUUAAGGUAGAGUGAUUAUAAGUAGCAGGAAAAAACGUGCAAAUAAAGAAUAAACUGAUCACCUCAGCACUUGUUCACUAAGACCAGUAAAUGCUCCAAUUUUACAUUAUACAUUUGUUUAUUCCUACUACAACAAUUUACUUUGAAAAGUCUAAACAAAAUGCAUAACAAUUUUUACUGUUAUAACUGGAUUUGGGUAGAUUUUUUUGUCAUUCUUCACUUGGUCCGAAUUUUGUUGAUUCAACAUCACAUGCCUCAAAGCCUCCAAUUGAGCAAGAAUUGUGAUUCCUGAAGUAGUUGAGGUGUUGUUUCUUUUUGACUUAAUAGAUUUAAGUUGACUUGGAGGGUACUACGCCAAAUUUCUUCUAAGGUUUUGAGAGAAUAUGAAAGCUAUAGGCAAAUGCAUUUUCAUAUAUGUUUGUUAGGAAGAAACUUGACAUAUAUCACACAUACAUAUUAGUAACAAUAGUAAGUAAUUCAUCAUUACUAUCAUGAAUGAUCAGGAUUUGAUAAUUAAAGCCAGUGAUAGGUAGGAAGCUUUAUUUUUAUCACAAUCAUCCAAAUCCAAAUCUGCCUAACUAUAUCCUAAAUAGCAAGAAAAUUACUAAACGCGUAGUAUCAAAUACUAUCAGCAAUCAAUAACAUUAAUCUGGUCAAAAGAAGCAACUUAUAGUAAAUGUGACAAUAGCUGAGGAAAGAGCAAAAAAAAAAAAAAAAUCAUAAUUUGCCAUAACCUCAGAUAACCCCAUAAACAUAUUUCUGAUUCCAAAUAUAAUCCUCCAAAGAAAAAUACACACGGAAACCCCACCAGCACCAUAGAUGACACGUUUUUUCUCCUCCAACAUGCCUCCAUUUACAAUCCAAUAAGUUGCUUAUCCUUUUUUUUUUUUUUUUUUUAGUUUUACUCUUCAACAAAUUUACAUCUGAUCUUUCCUUUUAAAAAUAUUACAUAUGGUCACUCGAAUCAUCUCUCUUAUAGAGCAGAAAGAUCACUGACUAUUAAAUCAGAAAAACGAAAUUCGGAAACGGUUUCACUAAGGCAUACCAUCAAACAGUUGGUGUGCAGUAGAGAUCAACACAAAAUGGAGGUCUAAAUUAGUAGAAAAAUCAUCAAACCUGUUGUCCUGUUCAGACUCAAAUAGAGAAAUUGAAAACACCAAAAAAAUAAUAAAAAUGAGAGAAAGAAACAUACCUAAUCAACGUUGGACUCUACAGACCUCACAGAAUGCACAGUGGUAUAAUUACUUGGCUUUGCAAACGCUUAGUUGAAGCUGACAAAAGAAAUUUGAGAUGGAGAUAACAACUCUGCUGUGUGACCUUAUCGAUUCAUGGAAACAAAAGAAAUCUGAUUAGGUGAUAACAAAUGCACAUAAAUUGUAGCGACACAAUGAGGACAGUAUCCCAACAAUAGUAAUAAACUUUUAGGGGAAAAGCAACGAGCUUCACCAGCUCCAAAACAGAGGACACUGAAAAAUAGUAUCAAAUCUUGUAUGGGAAGCAGAGUUCAUAAUAAAUAAAUUAAUGAUGUUAUAAGAACACAGAACAAUGUACAAUAACGCAUGCUUAAUCUACAACAUAAAUUAAAAUAUACCAAUUGCAAUUCUGGCUCUGCGAACAGUAUUUAUUAGAGUAUAAAUGGGUACUUAUAAUUUUCGUCUUCAUCUUCGUCCUUCUUAAUUCAAGCUAUCCUGGAGGUUUGGCAUCAUAUAUCAUGACAGCUAGAGAACUCUUAGCAGAUUCAAAGGCUGGAAACAAUCCAUUUCAUGGCUUCAGUACACCUUCUGUCUGUCACUAAACUAUCUUUUUAGGCCAAAAUUAAGUUUACCUUUUUUUUUUUUUUUUUUUUUUUUUUAAUGAUUUCAACCACAUUUCUGCUGGCCCCAUCAGGCGAAGUUCUAACAUUUGGCGAUGAUAAAUUUAUCAAAUAUGGCAGGUGUUAACCAAAUACAACAUGCUGCAUUUGUUCUUGUUGCAGGAGGGCUUGGGGAACGCCUUGGAUACAAUGGAAUCAAGGUUAGUUCUGUCUUUUAAUCCUGUGAAUUGUGAUAACUGUUCUGUUAGUUUAACACCACUCGAUAAAACUUCAUGUAUAUUGUAGGUAGCACUCACCAUGGAAACCACUACAGGAACUUGUUUCUUGCAACACUACAUAGACUCCAUCUUAUGCUUAUCUAAAGCUAGUUGUACACAAACUAAAGGUACUUUUUGUUUCCCCAUGAACAUGUUAUCUUUAUUCUUGUAGGCACAAUAUAAACUUAAAAUCAAUAUAUUAAAAAACUGGUAAAUUGUCCAAUUGUAGGUGAAUGUAGAAGAGAAGCACCUUUUGUGAUAAUGACUUGAGAUGACACAUAUACAAAAACAUUACAACUCCUAGAAUCAAAUUCUUAUUUUGGGAUGAAAUCUACGUACACAAGUAAAACUUUUAAAACAGGUAAUUGCAUCACAUUUGGGUAUUCUUUUUGCUACAGUAGAAGGGCAUAAAUGGCAUUGUAAAUUCAUGGUACCAUGUUUCAGGAAAAGGUAGAUUGCUUGGCUGAUAAUGAUGCUAGGCUUGCUGUUAAUCCACACAAUAAAUACAGAAUACAGGUGCAGUUUGUAAUGCAUAUAUAUGUAUUUGUAAUCUUCCAAAUUAUAAACCCUUUGUUUCUCUUAUCAGAAAAAACCUCAUGGUCAUGGUGAUGUUCAUUCAUUUCUUUAUUCAAGUGGUCUUCUUAAAGAAUGGUAUGUAUGCAUUUUUUUAUUUGAUUGGUUUUUGUUUUUAUUAAAAUAUCUAUCUCAUUAUACUUUAUGGAACCAUCUCUUUUAGGAAAGAUUCUGGUUUAAUUAAGAGGGGUUGUGUUUUUUCAAGACACGAAUGGACUCCUAUUUAAGGUUCAUUUCAAAGAUUGCCUUAAUAGUAUUAUCAUAUAGAGUUUGAUAUACAAAAUUAUUUUAUUUAUUUAUUUAUUCAGGCAAUUCCUGCAGCAUUGGGAGUAAGUGCAACUAAAGAGUAGCAUGUUAAUUCUCUUUCUGUUCCUCAAAAAACCAAAGAAGCAAUUUGAGGCAUUACAAGGCUUACUCAUUCAGAUGCUAAGUUUUGUUGAAUUAUCUUGUUACUGAGUCAUGGUUUUUAAAUUAUUUUUAUAUUGACAAAAAUACGCUCAGGAAUAGAAAUGGUGAUUAAUGUGGAAUACAAUGAAUUGGAUACUCUUCUUAGAGCAACAAGUCAUCCUGAUGGAGAUGUCAAUUGUGACACUGGCUUUUCUCCAUACCCAGGCAACAUAAACCGAGUAUAAUAUAUAUCACUUUAUAUUUUAUUAUUAGAGUGAUUUUCCUGAUGUUAAGUUUUGAUUUUUUAUAAUUACAUUUUAUUGUAGUUAAUUCUUGAGGUUGGGCCUUACAUGGAUGAACUCUCAAAAACUGGUGGUAGCAAUAAAGGAGUGUGUUAACCCCAAGUAACUUCUCUCAUACCUCAUGCAUUCUUUCUGUUUCCUAAAAGUGUAUUUAAAUGCUAACAACCUUAUAAAUCACUCUAUUUAAAAACCUAAGACUAUUAAGAGUUUCUAUUAAAGGAAACUGCCAAAAUGGUCCCUAGUGUUCGAAAAUUUUCUUUGGUUCAAGUCCAACAAAGAUUUUUUUGUUUAACUUUUGGUCCCUAUGUCAAGGUUUCAUUACUUGGUCCCUGUAUCAUUAAAUGUAACUAGACAGCUAUUUGGUUUUUCAAAAAGACCAUUUUACCCUUCGACCAAACUCAAAAAGGACUCUAUACCACAAGUAAAAUGAGUAUAUUUUUGGGACCAAAAUCGAAAAAAAAUCAGCUAUAGUUAGGGACCAAAAUGGUAUUUGGUAAAGAUAAUCCCGUUCCAGAAAGUGUUGAUGUUACCUUGACUGAUUCUGAUAAUGAAGAUGGAGUUCUAGGCGUUUCAGAAAGUGUUGAAGCUCCUCAAAAUGUUCAGGCUUCCAAGGUUGAUAAGCCCCUGUUGCAGGAAGUGGACAUAGUUGGUGUAUCAGGGAGUAAAAACGCAGGGGGUUCAAAGAAAUGGGUGUGUAAGCACUGCCAUCAAAUGUUUACCAACUCUUAUACUAGAAUUUAUGUACACUUUUUUGGUGCUGCAAUCGGGAAAGCACCAGAAAUCAAUAGGUGUCCUGCUAUACUCAAGGAUCGGGUUAAAUAUCAAAGCUUGUUAAACAGAGUAAAUGUUGCUGAAUCAAAAGGUAUUUCUAAGUCUUUGAAGAACUCUGUAAUUAAUAAUAAACAAAGUUCUACUUCUAAAUCUAGAAAACCGCUCGAAGAUUCUUUUGGUAUGAUGGAAAGAAACACAGUUGAUAUGAAGAUUAUGAGAGCAUUAUGUACUAAUGGCAUUUCUUUCAAUGUUCUACGUAAUCCUCAAUUUCAAGAGAUGAUAACAGUCAUAAACAGGGCAUCUGCUGGUUAUAAGGCUCCUUCAUACGAUAAAGCUCGAACCGUUUUGCUUGAUGAGUGUGUGAGAGAUGUGGAAAAGGGGAUGACUUCAGUGAAGGAUACAUGGUAUACACAGGGGGUUUCUAUUGUGUCGGAUGGCUGGUCCAAUGUUAAACAUCGUGUAACACCGUAAAAAUUAAGACAAUUUUUCACUUUUUAAAACCAAAGUCAUUCAUAAUCAUUUUCAAGAAAACAUUGUAGCAACAUUAUCUCAUUACAAAUCCCAAGAUCAAAUCAUAAUAAACUCCACGGGUAUGGGUGUGUGUACAGAUCAUGCCGGUGCUUUCCCGCGAUCAUCGUUGGUACCUGAGACACAUAACAAAAACACUGUAAGCAUAAAUGCUUAGUGAGUUCCCCAAAAUACCACAUAAACACAUAUCAGCCACUCAAGGCUGUAACUCUGUUGACCUUCUGGUCGAAUAUCUAUGUGGGACCCUCUUGGUCCCAUAACUCUGUGAACCCACUGGUCCUAACUCUGUAACUCUGGAUCAUGCAUAUCACAUAUCACAAUAAAUCACAACACAUAAUAACAUGCAAAUACACUGGCAUAUAACUCUAAAAUACUCUGUCACAUAACUCUGUUACCACACUAGGUAAAGUAUAGUGAGAAGACUCACCUCAGAUGUCUCGGUAAAUCUCUGACUCGGUAGAAAUAUGAUCUAGCCUCCGCUUAAUCACAUAAAGUAAAUACUCUCAUAAAUAUAACUAUACUCAACCCUCUCUUAGCACCCUCAGAAGGGUAAAAGACCAUUUUACCCCUCUUUUGGCUUAAAGGCCACAUUGUUGACCAAACCCUAAAAGUCAACAAAAGUCAACGGUCAAACUUUGACUCGACUCGUCGAGUGCACUUGGGCGACUCGGCGAGUCUACACGUGUCCACUAAUUCUUUAGUCUCGCUUGGCACGUUGAGUUCCUCCCCUUGCUCGACGAGUCACACCUGGCAUGAAUCGCGAGGCCACCCCGACUCAACUCGUUGAGUCUCAAGAACAACUCGGCGAGUUCCGCCUUGAACUCCAGUGCUCUAAUCCCCUCUGACUCACUAAGUUAUUUCCCCAACUCGGCAAGUCUACUCACUGAGUGAUUUACAGGAAACCCUAACCCUACUCGCCGAGUCUGAUCUUUGGACUCGACGAGUUCAUUCCAUGCACAAACUCCAUUGACCUCUUAAGGUCAGAUCUGUUCCUUAAAUCCAUAGAUAUGACCUUCCCAAGCAUGAUAAUCACGUAAAGUUCAGACCUUGACACUCAUAUAGCAUCUAGAUGGUCUCACUUGGUGAUUUAGCCCCAAAAAUAAACUCCUAAGUUCAUGGCUCCCAAAAUAACCCAUAAAGCUCCAAGGGUUAAGGACUCUGGACCUCUUUGACUCCAGAUCCAAAGCAUAAACUCGAGAAGGGACCAAUUGCUCCACAUAUCCAUUCUCUAAAGGGGUUAGAAAACCCUAACUCUAAGAAUCAACACCAAAUCUGAAGAAGGUCCGAAUAAAUACCUUAAGAUGAAGUCUCUGAACUCUGAAAUCACCAUAAUCUCUCCUCCUUUAGCCUCCUCUUGCCUUGGUCACCUCCUUCUUCCAAUCACACCAACAAAAUGAUCAAAAGUGGCCUCUCCUUCCUCACAAACGCUCUAGAUCUCUUAGGGUUUCUCUCUGGGGUUUGGUAGCCGCAAAUGACGACCCUAAGGGACUUUAAAUAGGUCCCAAACCCAGAAAAUUAGGGUUUCAUUAAACAGCGUGGACUCGCCGAGUCCACUUAUGAACUCGCCGAGUCCAGCUGUGAACCCGGAUAAGAAUCCGCGACCAUACUCGGCGAGUCUAAGCACCAACUCGCCAAGUCCCCUCCCAACCUUCAAAAAUAAAGGGAUAAAAUAAUAUGUCUGGGAAUUCGGAUGUUACACAUCGACCAUUAAUCAAUGUUAUUGCUACCAAUAGCCGUGGAGCCAUGUUUAUGUAUGCAGAGGACUUUUCUGGUGUAGAGAAAACAGGGGCAACAAUUGCAAACUUCUUGCUUGAAGCCAUAUAAACCGUAGGACCAAGGAAUGUUCUACAAGUUGUUACCGACAAUGCAACAAACUGUAAGGCUGCUGGAAAGGAGGUGGAGAAGGUACAUAAACAAAUUUUCUGGUCUCCUUGUUGUGUCCAUACUUUGAAUUUAAUUUUUAAAGAUCUUGCAGUCGAUUGUUUUUGGCUAAUGGACACAUAUAGGAAAGGGAAAAUAGUUGUUAACUAUUUUCUUAAUCACACCCAUGCAUUGGCUAUUUUUAGAGAUAAUUUACAAUUGGAAUUAUUAAAAGUAGCCAAAACAAGAUUUGCAUCUCAUUAUAUUUUGCUGAAAAGGUUAUGGGAUUGUAGAGAGUCUCUUGCUACUACAAUUGUCCUUAAUUCAUGGAGAGAAUGGCAAAAAAUAUUGAUGAAAACACUAGGCAAAGUGGAUUAUUAGUUGCUGAUACAAUUAAAAAUGAAGACUUUUGGGAUGAUGUGGAAAGUGUCCUUGCUGUUACAAAACCAAUAUACUUGAUGGUUAAAUUUUGUGAUGGUAAGGGAUCAAUGAUGGGAGAAAUUUACGAGAAAAUGGAUAACAUGCUAGGAGAGAUUAAGGAUGUCAUGAUGAAUCAUUGUUAUGCUGAGUAUUACCCCCGAGUGGAGAAGAUUAUACUAGCAAGGUGGGAGAAGAUGACAAUCCCUUUGCAUUGUUUAGGAUUUGCAUUAUCUCCAAGAUUUUAUGAUAAAAAUUAUCUUGAGGAGAUGGCGGCACCAGGUGGAGUUCAUAGGAAAGCUCCAAAUCUUGAUAAGGAGGUUAUGGUUGGUGUAAUGGAAUCUUUUAAGAGGAUCGCGGAAAGUGGAGAAGAGGAGCAUCUUCUACGUGAGCAAUUCCCUACUUUUCACAUGAAAAAAGGCCUUUAUGCAUUGGUGGCAGCUUACAUGGAUGCGGUGACCAUGGAUGCUAUUGAUUGGUGGUCAAGUUACGGGUCAGAAACGCCCAAACUUGCUGUUAUAGCAAAGAAAGUUUUAUCACAGCCUAUUAGUAGUUCAUCAGCCGAGAGAAACUGGAGUACGUACUCUUACAUACAUAAUGUCAAGAGAAACCGAUUGAACUCCAAAAGGGCUGAUAAAUUGGUGUUUAUACAUUCAAAUAUUCGUCUCCAAUCAAGAUUCUCCGAAAGUUACGCAUCUGGGGCACACAAGAAGUGGGAUGUAAAUCCCGAAAGCACUAACUUGGAACAGUCAAGUACACGACUUUGAAGAAAUGAAGUGGGAAAAUCUAGAAGAUGUUGAGAGAGUAGCUGAUGAUGGGAAUGAAAAAAGGCAAAGGAAAGAGUAAACUUAGGGAUCUUUUGGUAUUGAAGUUACUUUGUUUUGAAUGUUGAAGUUAUUUUAGCUUUAUUUGGUAUUGAUCUUUUGGUAUUGAAGUUAUUUUGUUACUUUUGUAUUAAACUUUUGAAGUAUGAAUUGAAGUAUUGAUCUUUUGGUAUUUAGUAUACUUUUUAUAUUUAUAGUAUUAUAUAUUUUAGCAAUAUAUGUACAUCGUACUAUAUUAUGUGGUACACCGUUCCACGUACCAAAAUAGCGUUCCGGAGAAGACUACCCCCCCUCGUACCGAAUUUUAUAGAUUACCGAUCCUCGGUCCCGUUUUCGUUCCACGUACCGGAACGAUCCCGUUUCCGUGUAAUUAUGGGUCAGACAAACUAAUUUGAUAAUUAUCUAGAUAUAUAAGAGUUAUUUACAGUUUUGGUCCCUGGGUAUAGCUGGUUUUUUUCAAAUUUGGUCCCAAAAGUUCUCUUGUAAUUUUUGUCCCUAUUUGACGUUUUUGGUAAUUUACCAAGUAAAAUUAUCAUAUUUUAUAUGACCAAAAUUGCAAAAAUCAGCUAUACCCAGAGGACAAAAAUGUUGCAAGAACCUCAAAUAAGGACUAAAUUACUAAUAGAACUUUUUGGGACCAAAAAUUUAAUUUACUAUAAAAUUAAUAAUCAUAGAGUAGAUUAUAUUUUUGGUCCUUUAGUAUAGCUUAUUUUCUGCAAUUUUGGUCCUUAGUUUAUGUUUUUGUAAUGUUUUUGGUCUGUGUCAUAAUUAAAAUGAAUCUUUUGGUCCCUAACUAUAGCUGAUUUUUUUUCGAUUUUGGUCCCAAAAAUAUACUCAUUUUACUUGGAAUAGGGACCAACAACAUUACAAAAACCUCCAAUAAGCACCAAACGACAAAAGAGAAAACCUUUUGGGACAAACAUUGCCAAAACUAGUUAUGUUCAUGGGCCAAAAUGUAAUUUACUCUAAUAGAAUAAUGUAAUUUUUUUUCUUCAGGCUGGUGUUAAGAUAGAUGAUCCAGUUUUAAAGGUGUUUAAUGGCCAAGAGGUGGAGGUUUGGUCACGUGUUGUGUGGAAGCCAAAAUGGGCUGUUACAUUUUCUGAUGUUAAAAGGAAAGUCAAAGGAAACAACAACUCUGUUUCAUAAUGCUCUUAUUGAAAAUUUGUCACUGGACGGAACCCUAGUUAUCGAUUCAGUUAAUGACGCCUGAUGUAUGUUAGAAAUAGAAACAUGCUUUCAUUUCUUCCUAUUACAUCAUUGUAGUUUAAAGUACAUUGCUACUACUAGAAAACAUGGGGUUUUCCUACGGAAAAUAGCUACGGAAAAUUUCCGUAGCUAAUUAGUUACAGAAUUGCUACGGAUUAGCUACAGAAUGGGAUGCCCUAAUUUAGUAACGGAAUAGCUACGGAAUAACUACGGAUGCUAUUCCGUAGCUAAUUAGCUACAGAAUAGCUAGAGAUGCUAAUCCGUAGCUAUUCCGUAGCUAAUUAGCUACGGAAUGGCUACGGGAUACCUACAGAUACUAUUUACCUACGGAUUAGCUACGGAGUAUGCUUUCCGUUAGAAUUCCGUAGCUAAUCCGUAGCUAAGUAGCUACGGAUUAGCUACGGAUUUUUCUUAUUUUUUGAUUUUUCGGGCACCAAACGUCGUUUUUUCGCUUCGUUUUUUUCACACCUCUACUAUAGAUGAUUAUCNNNNNNNNNNNNNNNNNNNNNNNNNNNNNNNNNNNNNNNNNNNNNNNNNNNNNNNNNNNNNNNNNNNNNNNNNNNNNNNNNNNNNNNNNNNNNNNNNNNNACUACCAUUAUCAUCACCACCAUCACCAUCACCACCACCGCCAUCAUCACACAACCAUCAUCAUUAUUAUCACCAUCAUCACCAUCACCAUCACCAUCACCAUUACCACNAUCAUCAUCAUCAUCAUCACCAUCACCACCACAACCACCACCACCAUUAUCACCGUCAUCACCAUCACUAUCACCAUUAUCACCAUCACCAUCACUAUCACCAUCACCAUCACCAUCACCAUCACCAUCACCCUCACCAUCACCAUCACCAUCACCACCAUCACCAUCACCAUCACCACCACUACCACCACCAUCACCAUCACCAUCAUACUAUCAAUACUGAUCGUCAUCAUCAUCAUCAUCAUCCUCAUCGUCAUCAUUUAUGCAUCAAUUUGUUGUUGCUUAUGUUUUGUUUUAAGUUUAAUCAGGAUUACACUUAAAUUGAGGAGGUUUGUUGGUGAUUUUAUAUCAUCAAUAUUAUUUAAGUGUAAUAUGAUUAAAAUUGUUGACCAAAAAUGAUCUUGUUUAAUAUUAAACAAGUUAGGAUGGUGUAGGAAUGCACAUAUGUUCAUGUUUUUCAAUAUUCAAAGUACAUUGUUAUUCAGGGGAGAAGCCCCUAAAUGAAUGGGGGUCCGCAGGCAGCGCCCCUGGGAGCGGGGUCCCAGGGGCUGUAGCCCCUGGCUGGGAUUGAAAUCGCUCAGCGCGAAAUUUUUUUUAUUUGGACUAUGUUGCUAUAUUAAAAAAUGCAUCAAAAAUCCAAUUUUAGAAAGUUGACACUUUUUAGAAAGUUAACUGUUCGGGUCCACCUCCAUGUAUCGACUCCUACACUUUCCUUCAUAUCGACUCCUCGCUUAUGUCUUCCCACCUUUUGUCUUCUGUGAACGCCAACCCCCUCGUUGCUCGUCCCUUCUCCGGCGCAUUCACCCAUUUUCCGACGUUCCUUCCCUCUCCGGCAGCAUAGCUCAUCCGUCAUUACCCCUCUUUGCUCGAUUUCUUCUCCCACAAAGGUAAAACCUAGUUUUUUUUUAAUUUGAAGAAUGUAAUGGCACAUUCACCCCACAUCGCAGCACACCCUCUGACCUCCCAUCUUCGGCGUGCCCGUUCGUCAUCAUCUCCGGCUGUCGUUGGUGAUGGCUAAUAGCGAUUUCGGUGUUGUGGAGGCUGGAAAAACACGAAGAAACAGCCCAAUCGUUAUGAUUUUCAGCUUGUGAACACAAGAUGUGAAGGUAAUUUCUAUAAACCUAAGUUAACGUCGGUUUCGUUUGGAAUUGUUGAUUUCAUGUUGAAAUUGGUUGAUAAAUCCUAAAAUUGCUUAUGGAUGGAAGCUUUUGAGGACAUUAGAAACCUCAAUGCAUGAAUCGAUUCUAGUUUGUAUAAAGUAGAUUGUCAAAAUUUGUAUAAGAUGACUAAUUUCAAAGGUGUUUGACAACCUAAGCAUUGGUUCUUCUUAAAAACAGGUUGGCAUGAAAGAUUCAUGAAAUUUCACUCUAAAAGAAAACACAUUCAGGCAAGUAGGAUGCCUGAACGAGAAAAUUGUCAAAAGGGAUCACAUGUAUUGCUUUUGGGGGAACCUUAAUUUUGACAGAAGAGGAGCUACAAUGGCUCUUGGUUUAGAUAAUAGCACAUUACCAGGUCCAUUAAUUUCUUUAUGUGUAUUCAAGUCUUUAUUAAUUCUAGUUUUUGUAAAGUAAAUAUUUAUAAAUCUGAAUGUUUCUUUAUUAGGCAUAGAUGAUUAGAUGGAUUGAAAUGGUGUUUUUUUUAUCAUUUAACAUUAGUAAAAAUGGUUUGUUAAUAAGAUGCAAUUUUUCACUAUUAUAACACUAGGAAAAAUGGUUUGUUUGUUAGAUGAUAUUUUGUAUCUGUUAGCAUUCAUGUGUUAAAAUUAGUUUGAAUGGAAUGAAUAUUAGUUACCAUGAUAAAUAAUUCCCACAGUAUUAUUAACAUCGCUUGCAUAAUAUGAUUUCUUUUAUAUGCUAAAAGAAAGUUAUAACUAACUUAUUGUAACUAAAUAACAGUUGCACAUUCUUUCAAUUAGUAAUUGAUACUUGUUUUUACAUUUUUCAGGCAAGCUUGCAUGUUGUUAGUUUGAUACUUCCUUUGCCAAGUAAUCGAUCAAAAAAAUUUCAAUUUUAUUUUGUAAGCACUUAUUUAAACAUUUGUAGUUGACACUUAUUAUGUGUAUCAUUAGACAAUGUUAAUUAGUAAUAUGUAUUUGUAUUUGAUACUUUUUUAGGUUUAUUAGUUUUAUUAUAAUGAUAUUUGUUUUGUAGUUGAAUUUCAAUAUUAUUUUAAGUUUAAUGUAAUGGGUUUUUUCAAUAUUUUGGAGAGAAAAAAACUGGAUUUUUUUAUAAUUUUUUAUUGUUUUUUUUUUAAAAUAAAAAGUAAUUAGCUACGGAUUACCUACAAAAAAUCCGUAGCUAUUUACUUCCGUAGCUAUCCACUUCCGUAGUUAUUCCGUAGCUACUAACUUUCGUAGCUAUUCAAUUCCGUAGCUAUUGAGUAGGAAAUCCGUAGCUAUUUAUUUCCGUAGCUAUUCUGUAGCUAUGGUAGCUACGGCAAAUUCCGUAGCUACUCCGUAGCUAUUUCGUAGCUAAUCCGUAGCUAUAAUUUUCCCACAGGCCAUUAUGCUACAGGCAUUUUUCCGUAGCAAUUCCGUAGCUAUCCGCUUAUAGCUACAGAAUAGCUACGGAUUGUGCUGUAGCUAUUGCAUCAGUUUUCUAGUAGUGUGCCUGAAUAAGAAACAUUGAAACUAUGAUGUUAUAAUUGUAGUUUAGCCUAACACCAUAUUUUUGUUUUUUGUCAGGUGAAAGUGGGAUGAGCAGUGCAAAAUAAAGGUUGGGGAAUUGAAAGUGUUGAUAAAGAGAAUAGUGGAUUGCCAGAGGAAGUGAGGAUUAGGAGUUUUAAAAUAAACAAAAUGGAGCACUUGGAAAAAUGCUACAGUGAAUCAGGGAAGCACUGAUUGAAGCCUUGAGGCAAAAAUCUUUGCACAUUUUAUAUCCAUAUCAACUUAGGUUAUGUUUGGCACACCACAACUAGCUUAUUUUUUUAUUUAAUGUAUGUGGGGCAUCCCUGUGGCAUUGAUAUGGUGUCGAUGUUGACCUUUUUUUUAUUUAAUCCUAGUUUUAUUUGAUUUUAAAUUAAUAUAAAAUAAUUAACAUUUAUAUUAUAUUUUAAUAAAACACUUAAAAUUGAAAUUACUCUUGAAAAAGAAUAGAGAACCAUUGCCUUCACCAACUUCAUAUUCAUGAUUUCAUCACCCCAAAGUACUUCGUCUUCUUCACAAAACAUUCGUUUCAGAUUUGAUUUUUGUUCUUUUUUAUUUAUUUAUUUAGGGAUGAAGAUGAAGGUAACCGCAGGUGGUGGGAUAGAUAUGAAGACCACAAUGAUGACAAGUUAAUGAAGAUGGUAUGAUGGUAUUAUGGUUGCUGUUGUUUGUUCGAUUUUAAUUUCCCUCCCAUCAACUCUAAAAUUGCAAAAUAAUAAUAAUAAUAAUAAUAAUAAUAAUAAUAAUAAACAAACAAACAAAGAAAGAAAAAACGAAAAAAAAAAAAAAACAAACAAACUAACUAACUAACUAAACCCUAAUACAGGUUUCUUGCAUUUGAUGAGGGAAGGUUUCAUAUCCAAAAUUUUGUAUAUGCAUUCAAACAUUGAGUUUUCAAUGUUUCAUAUAUUUGGAUUAUCCUUUUUUAUUUUUGGUUUUUGAAAAGUUUUCUUCAUGAUUUUGUAAUCGUUCGGAUAUUUGGAUUAAACAAUUGGACAGACUUUAUAGAUGUAUAUUUCUAGCAGUUUUAUAUAUAUGUUUUGAGUAUAAAAUGGAUAUUUCAAAUCCGAUGGCUUCUAAUCCCAUAUAUGAAGUGAGAUCUCAAGCAAAUAAAUCUAUACACGGUUGAUUUAUAUUAAAAAGAGUCAUCUAUGUUUUUUUUUUCUUCAAGUUACAUUAUUCUGUAUUAUGUCCAAAUUUUCGGAAAAGUUUGAAAAUUUCAUAUACAAAUUUGGAUAUCAAAAUCUGUUAUCCUAAUUAUCCUAAAUUUUCAGAUAUGUAGCUUUAAACCCCCAUAGAAACAACAACAUAAGGGUUUUAGUGGGGAAGUGUUGAGGUAGACUGAUUAUUUUGAGCCGAUGUCAAACUUCAAAGAGUCAUGGAUAUUUUAUGACAUGUGCAAUUUCAAACGGUAUCUAUUAUUACCUUUUAAUCUCAAACUUUACUUUCUGAAAAACUUGUUCAUCUAUAGUCAUCCAGGGGCCAUGUGCUGUAGAUACAAUAGAGAACUCAAUAAUAGAAAUGAUAAUNNNNNNNNNNNNNNGGUUAAUUUUUGGUUGCUCGUUUAUUUUGGAAUAGUGAUGCAAAAAACUGAUGCUAAUCGUGUUUUCCACUGCAAAAUGUAAUGGAAGUGCAAUUACUACCAAAGUAAGAUAUCUAAUGGAUUUACUGGUACACCAUUACUAAACAGGUUCAAACAAAAUUGAUUUGUAUCAAACUAUUUUUUUCCACAAUGGUCCGGUUUGGUUUCCAAUUUUUUUAGUGUACCUCUAAUUUUCAUUGUGUUUUUUUAUGCUACGAAUGUAUGAUUUUUUUAGGAUAACUUAUUUCAUACAAAACAGGGAAAAUGGCCACCCAUGGUGUUGGUGGCAAAUAUAUUGAUAUGGGGGAUUUAAAAACCACAACCAAAUUACAUUACAUUACAUAUUAGAAAAUAAGAAAUCAAAAAUAAAAAAUUAAACGACAAACUACUCCUAUCUACUCUUUUGGAAACUUGAAACGAACACAACCACCUUGACAUAAACCCAAUCUUUGAAGCUGUCAUAAAAUUGAAAAAAUGCACGUCUCCCUUGGCGGUUGAGAAGUAAAGCCCCACAUGCUAUCCAAAAUCCAGUAGCAAAACCCAUUCCCACACCAAUACAAAACCAUCCCCAGAGUUCAUCAUCAUCUGUGUCUUCCCCAUCACCCUCACCUUUACCAAUCAGAGGUGGUACUUCUGGUUCUUCAUCUCCAGGACAUUUUUUGGUAAGGGGAAGUCCGCAUAGUCUUUUGUUUCCAUUGUAUCUUGAAGGUUCAAAGGAUUGGAGCUGAGUGCUCGUUGGGAUUCUCCCUGACAAGUUAUUAAAUGACAAGUCUAGGUAAUUCAGUAAGCUCAUCUGAGACAUGCUUGAUGGCAUCCUCCCUGAUAAAUUGUUUCUGGAUAAAUCCAAAGUUAGAAGCUUUUUCAUCUCACCAAUAUGCUGUGGAAUCUCUCCAGAUAGAGCAUUCUUUGAAAAAUUCAGGGCAAUCAAGUCUGAAAGAUUGGUAAUUUCAUUUGGGAUUUGUCCUGUUAGAUUGUUGCUGGACAGGUCAAUGCUCUUCACCAAUUUCAGAGUUCUACUAAAUUCACGUUCAUCUCCUUGCCACUCAAUCAUUGCAUGGUCAACAUAUGUACCACGUUUAUAUAUAAUAUUAAGACCUCCUAAAGUUAUAAAAUACUGUGUAUCUUGUGGGAAUCCUCCUUGGUGAAGCAUGCUCGUAAGAUUACUCAAACAUGAGGGGAUGCUUCCAUGGAGAUUGUUCAUUGACAAGUCCAAAACUUGAAGAUUAGGUAACUGACAUAACUGUAAAGGGAUGGUUCCAAAGAAGUUGUUUGAUCUUAGGAUAAGAACAUACAGCCCUGAUAGGUUUUCUCCUAUCCAAACAGGCACAUCACCAGAAAACUUGUUGGCCCCCAAAUUCAAUGAGAUUAAACCCGUGCAAUUUUUUAAGGACAAAGGCAAUUCUCCGGAGAAGUUGUUAUCGUAUACAUACAACACCUGGAGUUGUAUCAAAGAUCCAAUAGAGGGAGGAAGCCUUCCAAAGAGAUUGUUGUGUCCGAGAUUAAGAACUCUUAGGUAUUUAAAAUGCCACAAACAGUCCGGGAGUUGUCCGGUUAAUGAGUUAUGAGAGAGGUCAAGAAAUUCUAAGAACCCAUCAACAAUUUGGCAUAUAAAGGCGAUCCCUCCAGAGAAUUUGUUUCUGGAAAGAUUUAAUAUUGACAAAGUGGAAGGAACAUUCAGUAUCGGACCAUGAAAGCUGUUGGAACUCAAAUCUAUCGCUGAAUAAUCUUUGUCAAAUUUUGAUAAUAAAUCUGGUACUUUCCCGCUAAUGUUGUUGGAAGAGAGAUUCAUAUAUAUUAAUUGAGAAGGCCAGCUGUCCCAAAACUCUAGAGGAAUUGUGUCUGAAAUUCCAGUAUUGGAAAGAUCAAGAAAGGUAAGAUUUUUAAGUGUCUGAAUAAUCCAUUUGGGGAAGCGAGGCCCUAGCAGCUUGCAAGAGCUCAGAUCUAGAUUCUUAACAUAAGAGAUGUUUGACAAGUGAUAUGUGGAAGGAACUGUAAGAUUAUUAAAAGAAAUGUCAAGCAAUUCAAGUCUGGGUAGUCCCCACAGUUUCUCACUUAUACUUCCAAUUAAGUGAUUAUCAGUUAGGUACAAAUACAUCAGGGAUGAAAACUUUUGGAUCUCAAUGGAAAAUGACCCUGUAAAUUGGCUUCCUUGAGCAGACAACUCUUGUAAUGAAAGGGAUGUGCAUCCAGACAAAUUGUUGAGAAAAUCAGGAAAUUUGACAGCAGCCGAGUUGUUACUGAUUUCCAAAUACUCCAAGCUACAGAGGUUACCAAGAUAUUUGGGUAUCCCAUCUAACAUGUUGCUAGAGAGAUAAAGAAAACGAAGUUUAUUGCUGGUUAAUGGUAGCAACCAACGAUACAUGGAUGAGGUGAGAUUGUUGUUUUGGAGAUAAAGGUAAACAAUAGAUGAAGAAGAAGAAGAGUUGAGAAAUGAAGAAGAAUAUGGAUACAUGACCUGUGACAGCUCACAUCCACCUAAAGAUAAAUCUGAGAGUUUCUGGAGACUCAGAAUGACAUCUACCCAGUGAUUUUGUUUGGCUAGGGAAAUCCCACCCAUUCUCAGGGACUGCAAAUGAGAGAGAUGAGACAGCCACUCUAUGCUUUUAACUCUACACCUUCCAACAGAAUUAAGAUGAAGGUGCUGCAAGUUGGUGAGGUUUCCAAACUCUGGAGGAAUGGUUCCAUUAAAAUGAUUCCAGCCAAGGUCAAGGUACCUUAACUCGGUCAAAGAACCAAUGAUGGUGGGAAUGGUUCCACGAAAAGAAUUGUAGGAAAGAUCAAGAAUAUUCAAGUAGGUUAGGUUAAGCAAUGAAUGGCUUAUCUCACCUUCAAGCCAAUAUCCAAUGACAUCAAGCCCUGUGACAUGACCUGUUUGGUUGCUGCACGUGACUCCUUUCCAGUUACAGCAGUCAUCUCCUUCAGCUGUCCAUUUGGAGAGAUGUUCAUGAUGGUCAUGAAGGGGAGCUUUGAAAAGAAGGAGAGCAUCUCUCUCAUCAUCCAAACACUGCUUCAUAUCAUUUCCUCCUGCUGCUACCAAUUGGCUGCCAGUUGUAGUCACAAGGAGUAGCAAGAGAAGUGAGGAAAUUAUAAAAACACAAGAAUUCAUAAUGUAAAUCAAAAUCUUAUGUGCUGAUUUUUGGUUUGUAUUGAUGCCUGCCUAUAUGAACUGCCCCCAUAAGGGUUUAUAUAGUCUCCAUUGUCAAGAUGAAUGAUUAUAAGUGGGUCGCCAUAAAUUGUGUGGAAUUAAUUGCCCCAAAUUAAACUUCAAAGACUUGCAAGUCUUGGCAAUUUGUCUUUAUUAUAGUAGAUAUCUUUUCCCAUCUUCUGAUAUGAUAUUGUUUGGUAUAUGAUAUAAAUCCCAAAAUGCAAAACUAAUGAAAUCUUUCAGUCAAAUACAAAUCUACCAAUCAAAACAGUAAUGAUAUUAUUUGGGCCUAACAAUCUGAUCAUGGCUAUGAAAUGAAGUUUUCUCAGUUGCAUCAACUAAAUCGUGAACUUAUAUGAAUGAAACCAAGUUUAUACAUUACCGAUUAAUCAUGGUCUUUUCCAUUGUUAAAAUUGAUAUUAAGUUAACACUAUGUUAGUAAUAAUUCGAUUUAAAACACGUUAGGAUGAUAAUUAAUACCACAACUUUUGCAACGUUUUUUAUCCAUAUUCCAAAUAAAAUGACUAUAAUUAAUAUCAGCUAUACUCGAUCAGGGACCAAAUAUAGUCAUUUUAACUGAAACAUGGACCAAAACGUUUCAAGAACCUCAUAUAAGGACCAAAACUGAAAAUUUCAGCUAUACUCAGGGACCAAAAACGUUUUAUUUUAAUUGAAAAUAAACAUAAGAUACACAUACAGAAGCAGUUUUAUUUUGCAGCAAUUCUUACCUUCUGUUUACCUAAAUUAAACUUCUGUCAAUCAAAAAUCACAUAUUAAAGACUCCAAUUCUACCACUGUGUUUUCUGAUCAACAAUCUGUAGCUUCUGAAGCUCCACUCCAUUCACCUUUAGCACUUUGCAAAAUUUAACAAAAUCAUGUUAUUAAUAUUAAUCAGAAAGACAAAAUAUUGAUGUAUUAAUUAUUAUAGUAUCCUACUUCAUAGUUUGCUACCUCUUGAUGUAAUACAAGGGGUAUGUUGGUCAUUUAAAGACAUCCAGGAUAAUACUUUUUCCAAAAAACAAAAAAAAGGUGUUAAACCGGAUACAAAUUAUUAAUAAUAAUUAUUGAAAUGAUCAACUUAGAUUCUGCUUCAUACAGGUAUGUAGAUAACUAGUUCUUAACUGAUAUGAGUAUUAUUAUAUGAAAAUUUAUUUCUGCUCGUGUAUUGAAUGUAAAAAACCAUGAAAGUAUAAUGAUGUUUAAGUUACUAAACCUUAAUUGAGAUGCUCAUUACAAUAUGAUAGAUAAUUUUCUUUGUACAUGCAUUAAUUUAAAAAAUAAACAAAUAAAUAGAAUACAUGAAAGUAUAUUCAAUAAAAUUUUCAUUUUACUCUCUAUGAUAGCUGUUAGAAGAACACAUUAAGUAAUUAGUAAUUAGCCUAUCCAUCAACUAAACUACAUAGCUUCUCCAGUUCAUACUUUCAAUUUUUUUUUUUUUAUAAAAAAUACAAAUUGCAAAAUAUCACAAGAUGAGAAAAGAUAUCCACAAUAAAGACAAAUUCCCAAGACUUAUAAGUCUUUGAACGUAUAAUUUGGGGCCAUUAAUUCCAAUUCUGCAUCUAUGAUUUUUCUUAUAGUAUUGUUCUAAUUUUAUGGAAAAUAAGUAUUGAUGGAAAUAUUGUAUGCCUCAUAUAAGUGGCCACCAAUUUGAGGCCACUCUCGUGGGUCCAGGAGCAUGUUUGGGCCUUCUAACACAGACCAAGAAUUACUUUUUGUGGAGCCCACUUUUAACAAUUCUCAUCACAUCACUUUUUUAAAAGUGAUGUAUCUUUGAAAAUAUCACAAGUUUGGAAAAGAUCUUGAUAAUAAAUUCAAAUUGCCAAGACUUGCAAGUCUUUGAACAUCUAAUUUGGGGCAGUGUAUUAUAACUCUUCAUCUUUAAUUUGUCUUCUAGUUUUAGGCUCUAAUUUCAUGGAAAUUAAGCAUUGUGUGUUCCACCCGUUUAGAAUCAUUCAUCUUCAUGGAUACUAUAUAAACCCUCAUGGGCCUGUUCAUAUAGACAUCAACACAAUACUAAAAUGUCUUAAUAGAGAAUAAAUGAAAGUACAAUAUUGCUAUAACAAAAAGAUUAAUGAAUGUACGUUGCUAUUUCUUACAUGUAACCCUUUUGCAUUUGACCAAAUGUAUUAUCAUCAAAGUCACAAUACAAAUUAUCACAAAGUAUAGUAGAUUAUGGUGUUAAUGAGAAGCCGAAUACAUUUUCUCUCAUCCAAAACAAUUGAUCAACUUAACCCCUGGUGAUUUUAGCAUUUACCUUUUCUAAAAGCUAACUUUGAAAGACAUCAUCAACAACUCUAAUUCAACAGCAAUCUAGAUAAUAUUAUCUUGCACCUACUUGUGCAGCUAGAUCCGUUUGUUUAUUGUUGGGUUUGAUAUGGAGAAUGUUAGUGUACACAAACAUUAGCUUAACAAUGUAGGCACAAUCAACCAACAGAACAGAUGCUCAUAAGGUAGCUAGAAGAAAAGAUCAGAUAAAGACCAGAACACGCUCCAUUUUUACAUUUAUGUCAUUCAUAACUGAGAAAUAAAACCCAUCGACCAGUAAAAAUCAAUAGCCUUUUCCAUGGCAAAGCCCUGAAUUUGCAGGUUUUGCAAAAUAAUAUAAACUCACAAGUUUGUCUCCUAAUCUAACAAUAGAUUAGAUGCACAUGAACAAUACCCAAAAUGAUGCAAGAAUACAGAAGUAGGAGAUCACCUAGGCAAUGAUGUGUGAGGAGGUGACGAUGAUGUGUGCGUGGUUGCUCUGCUACGAUGCUCUGAUUUCGAACCCUCGUUGACUGAUUUUGAUUCUAGAGUAAAAAUGGUGUAUUGGAUGGCACAUAGAUCUCACGAUCUUAUCUGGAUCUUGCGAGCAUAAUCACAAAUAUUGUUUCAAAAUCAGAUAAUUUCUGAUGUACGAUGUUACGAGCGCGAUAAACAAAGCUUGUCCAGUCAUACAAGAGCAGCCUGUUUGUGACCUUAGAAUUGGGAAUUUGGUUAGAAUGGUAAAAGAAAGGUUUUUUUCACGCUACGUAUAAUAAUGACUUUGAUCAUUUUCUCUAAAUCGAAUAUACACUAAAUUAUUAAAUUUAUAAAGCAUAUUAAAAAGAAAAAAAAAAAAAAAAAAAAAAAAAAAAAAAAAGUCCCGAACUUUGACCAUACUUAUGAAAAAAAAUUAUGUGUUUUUUAAUAGAAAAAACAAAAGAUCAAUUAAUUUACUGGGUUACCCCUAAUUCAAUUAGUUUAUUUGUUAAGAUGGAUGUCAGGUGAGUAAACGAGAUGAGUAAACAAAUGAUAAAGUAAUUUAUUCACAAUUGGUUGAUUUGAUGAUCCGUACAAGGAGGAGGGAAAAUGGAAUCAUCUUCUUUUGUGAGAAACCGAAGUCUAUGAAGUGCAAAUUGAUCAGAUUGUCAUAGUGUAAGGUAUAGCUGUGAUUGUAGAUAUCAAUGUCUAAAAUGGGUUCCGUGGACUCCAAUGAUGUAGACUUGUUGGUUGCCCUAAUUUAAGGAUAAAGGAAGUUAAUUUUGCACAUGUUAAUAAUGAUUUUACUUUUAAAUGAUGUAAUUGUCUAAUCUACUUGAUGAAGAGAAUAAUUUGAAAUAUUUUUCUUGGAUGCACCUUGCAUUACCCUACUUGGCCCAACAAGUAGUACAAAGAUAAAAUGUUGGAUUUGUACAAGCUUGCAGAUGCUAACGAUACUGAAAUUGAAGAAUAAGAUGUAGAAAAUAAAGUUGGCCCGUUAAGCAAAUGCAGAUAGUUUGACUAUCCAAUUUCAAAGAUCAACUCGAAAAAAAAUAAUAUGAAAUCACAAGGAAAUAAGUUCCGACAUUAGGAAGUUAAAUAUCCAUUUCCAACCAUUUAAAUGUAACACUCUAAAUUUCCAAACAAAAUUUUCAUUUUUAAAAUCACAUAAAACCCAAUAUCACACUUCUCAAAAACCACAAAAUGUAUAAGUUUCAAAACACAAGGCAUCAAAUGUUUGAUAAUAUCUCAGAAUCCUCAAAAACAUAAUCUCUAACUGGUGUGUACAAUCAAGUCAGCGCCUUUCCGCGAUCCUGAGAGGUACCUAAAACACAUUUCACACAACACGGUAAGCACAAAGCUUAGUGAGUUCCCUGGCCAAAAUACCACAUACACAAAUAAUUAGCCUCUUAUGGCUAUAUCUCGAUGAGGAACCUCCAGUCAUGUGUCUCAGUGAAGACCUUCCGGUCUCACAUCUCGGGUUGGACCCUUCGGUCCUUUAUCUCAAUGAAGACCCUCCGGUCUCCCAACUCAAUAAAGCACAGAUAAUAUAUACAUAAUCACAAGGUAGAAUGCAUAAUAUCACAUAACUCAGUAUAAGCACAUAAGUCCCUCUGGUCACACAAUAUUACCACUCAGGUAAGUAAGUGAGAAGACUCACCUCGUAAGUAAGCAAGUGGAUCUAGUACUCAACAAACGGUCCUACAUAUCAUAAUCAUCUCUAAUUAACACUUUAUAACCACAACCCUAACAAGUUAGACUAACCCCUUUCUCUAACUCUCGGAAAGGAUGAAAGACUAUCUGUCUCCAUAAUUCAUGUCUUGACCAAACUCUAAAAGUCAACGGAAGUCAGCACUCGAGACAACAGUCCAUGUUGACCCAACUCGUUGAGUGCAUCUAUGCAACUUGUCGAGUUCCUUCGUUUUCUCUGAAGUAUCGGCAAAAUCCAUCUCAACUCGUCGAGUUGUAACGCGUCCAGACUAUCGGGGAAAACCCUAGCCAACUCGUUGAGUUGGUUCAUCAACUCGUCGAGUCCCCUUCAGUCCAUACUAAGACUCCAUACUCUAGAUCUAGCCUUUUAAGUCUGAAGUAACACGUAAAUCUGCAAGCUUUACGUCCAUGCAUGGCAUCUAGGGAUCAAAAUGCCAAAACAAGCUCUAUAGAGGGUUUAAUAGCUUGAUAAAGCUUGAAUCUUUAGUCCCAAGGGACCUCAUACUGUCCCGAUCUAGAGUCUCAACUCCAUGCCAAGCUCAAACAACUUAAAGACCCAAUGAAAGGAUGAAAAUGGUCAUAAACUACCUAGUGAUGAGAUCUAACCAAACAAUGAUCAAGGUGUAAGCUUUUUACCUCUAAAUAACAGCUAGCACUGAAAGAACACCGGAUCCAAAGGCUUCUUCUCGUUCCAAGCCUUUUUUUGCUCUUCAUCCCCCCUUUCAAAAUGCACAAGAACACACAAUAUUAGCUUUUUUCUCUCUCUCUCUCUCACAAUGACUACAGCUUGCUUAGGGUUUCUCUCAGUGUGUCAAGAUUAUAUGUGAGGCGGAAAUGAAGGCUUAAGGUCCUUUAAAUAAGGCACAAACACUAAAAAGUAUGGUUUUCUUACAUAGCUCCUACUCGUCGAGUUGGGGUCCUCUAACUCGUUGAGUAGACUCUAAAAAUCACGCGACCAUUUAUCUCCCUAUUCGGCGAGUUGAGGCCUCCAACUUGUCGAGUUGCUGAAACAUCAUGAAUUUAAUUAGUUAAAUAUUAUACCUUGGAGUCGGGAUCGAUGUUACAAUUCUCCCCCACUAGAAUCAUACUUUGCCCUUGAAGUGAUUCUCCAUAAACAACUCUGGGUACUGCUCUUGUAUCUCAGACUCCGGCUCCCAAGUCCACUUGGAUCCCUUCCAAUGCUGCCACUGAACCUGAACCAAGGUCACCUCUUUAUUCCUCAAGACUGUGACAUCCCCAUUUUCACGGCCAGAAAAGACCGAUUUUGUUUAUGCUUUAUAAAAAUUAGAGUACCUCUUUUAAUAAAAAUGUUGCAGAAUUUGUUCCCACUAAAACAUGAUAAAUACAUUAUCAAAACAUUUCCGAAGAAAAGUAUUUUUAUUCAUUUUAAAACAUUUGGGAUGUCAUCGUCAAUACAGAAACAUAAGCAUAAACAGAACUUACAUUCAUUAUCACUAGUGAUUUAUAUCUCCUUAAUCUCUCAGUGUAAUGUGACUUCAUAACAACAUAUAAAUAAACUGAGUGGGUCAGGUUGGGAAACCUGCUGAGUACAUAGGGUUUUUAAACCACAAUAAUAUAAUUAUUAUGUUUAAACAAUUAAGCAAUCAACCCAAUUACCCAUCCCCAUUAUCUUCUUUAUUCUUAAGGAUCUACCUAAGAAUUAGCUAUAUCUCAUUCACUCAUUCCUAAGGAUCAUCCUAAGGAAUCGACAUAAAGUCCAUCGUUGCCACGGUUUACACAACGGGCACUAAGUCUGCAUAGUCGCCAGGGUUUAGGCAUCAAGUCUGCAUGAUCACCAAGGUUUAGGUAUCAAGUCUGCAUGAUAACCAAGGUUUAGGCAUCAAGUCUGCAUGAUAACCANCGUUCACAACACCUACAGGUUGCGAGCCUGCUAGUGUUCCACUGGACUAUCUAGAAUUGUCCGUGGUUGUCAUCCAUACUCUGCUGAAUGACGGGCCAUCGUUUGGGAAAAGGUUUCUCAGAUCGUCCGCCUCUCACCCUCACCUCGUGGUCUAUAACACCUCUCAACUCAUCAUCCAACUCAUAUUCCAUCUAUUACAUCUACCCAUGUUUUACCCUAACAUUAUCGUAGAUAUAAAAUACAUAUACAAUUUAAAUCAUUUAAAACAUGUAUAAAAUCGUUCAUCCAGCUUUUUUUAAAGUGAUGUAUCUUUGAAAAUAUCACAAGUUUGGAAAAGGUCUUGAUAUGAAAUACAAAUUGCCAAGACUUGCAAGUCUUUGAAAGUCUAAUUUGGGGCAGUGAAGAGGCCUUUAGAUCAAUCAAUAUAUCAAACAAUGACGGUAAAUAAGAACAAGAGAAAUUCAUGAAGAAAAACUUUCACUAAGAAAGAUAAUCUCACAAAGAGAUUACCGUGUGCACAAAGCAGCGAUUAGGGUUUGUGAAAGGUGUAUCCAUUCACAAACCUAUACAAGAUAAUAUAUACUGCUAUUCUAAACAAUCCCUACAAAUCAGGGAUACGAUGCUAACUAAUUAAGCUAACUAUGGAAACAGAAUAAAUACAAGAUUUGUUACAAUGCACUGAAUAAGCUAAACUAAUACAAACUGAGCUGCUGACACGCUGGUGCUGAUACUGUGAUAUGUGUUGACGCUGAGUCUGUUUUAAACAUUAUCAUAUUUCAAGGUUUGACCUUACAAUCUCCCCCAAUAUGAUGAUGUUCAAAACAAACUAAAUUAAGACACCUCUGGAAAGGAAUUCUUCAUACUCAGCUUUAGCUUCAAUUUUAACUGGCCAGAAAGGACUAUUGAUAUGUGUAUUUUUAUAUAUAUUUAUGUAUAACAUAUCUUAAUAUUUUAGCCUUUAAUAUUAUUAUUUAGAACUAAAAUAUACUUAAUAUGCUUUGAAAUAUUUAAUUACAGUUAAAAUGGGAGAUGGAUUGCAAAAGGAGAAUGGAGCUGAAAAGAUNGGGAGUUUUUCAUCGCGAGAGGAGGCUGCUAUUCUACAUACCACGACGUGACCACCACUUACCACGUCGUGGCCAUGCUAUUAUUCGCGAUAUGGAUUUUUCCUCACUCGACGACACGACGUGGUUGACACUUUCCCACGUUAUGGUCACUAUACAUUGCUUUAGUUUGCAAUCGUUCGCACCAUAUUUCAUAAGUCAAUGUUCUUUUGUAUUUUCCGGCACAUUCAGAAGCAGCAGUUCCAGUUUUCAGUUUUUCAGCAAUAUUUGAAGCAACCUGUAGCAGCCCCAUUCGAUCUCGCCACAACUACCCAGGGGAGUCUGUUCCUUUUUCUCCCUUUUAUGUUCUUAAUUUGUUUUAGCAUACAAUGAGGGCAUUGUAUGAAAUAAGUGUGGGGUAGGGGGUCGGUAAAAGUAAAUUAUAAAAAUGCAAUAAUAGUUGGAAAUUGCUAGAUUUAGGGAAAUUUAAAAAUUUAAAAGAAAACUUGAAAUAAUAUAUAGUUUAAUUUAGAAAAAUCUAGUGAUAAUUUAAAAUUUUGCUAAUAUUGUAUGAGAUGAUCCGAUGAGAACUCAAAUGUUUAGUUGAGCCAAUAUACGUUAUAAUGCAUUUGUGACUUCCCUUAUUUUAGUGAAAUCAUGGAACAAAAACAUAACCCCGCUCGGUUUGAAGGAUGCAAUAUGUUUAGCAGCCUAAACCUGAAAUGUAUCCAGGAAAAUUAUUAUCAAUAAUCAAUAAAGGUUGAGGUUGAGCGCCUCUGCUUAAGCAUGUAGGUUUUGAGUGAAAAAAGAGAGGUACAUGUAAAAAAAACAAAAAAAGAGAGAAUUACGAAAAAGUUUGAAGAAUUUUGGAGCAAAUAAAGUGAAGAUAAAAAGAUCAAAAUACAAGAAAUUCAAAAAGUUGAAGAUACCAAGAAAUCAAAUCAAAUAAGGUGGUGAAUUCAAAGAAAUCAAAGAUCAAAUUGUUAAGAAAGUGAAGAAUUCCUAAAAGGUUCCACAGUGGUAUCAUAAAUUGUAAUUCUAGAUUAUGUAUGUUUAGGUUGCUCAACUAAAAAUACCUUGAGGUUAGGAGGUUUUCUGCGGAUGGAUUCGGAGGGUUGCAUAAAAUGAGCAUUGUUCGGAAAAAGUGGGCAAGUGUUUAUGAAGAUUGUGAGUAUUUAAAGUAUGGGGGGUACUUUAGGAAAAUUUUUAGACACAAAUGCAUGCGUUGAGGUAUUGGCAUAAUGGCUGAGUUUUAAAUGGAUUGUUUAGUGCAAUACUGGUAAAAUAAAAGUAAAUUUGCUUGGGGGCAAGCAAAGGCUAAGUGUGGGGUAUUUUGAUAUGUGUAUUUUUAUAUAUAUUUAUGUAUAACAUAUCUUAAUAUUUUAGCCUUUAAUAUUAUUAUUUAGAACUAAAAUAUACUUAAUAUGCUUUGAAAUAUUUAAUUACAGUUAAAAUGGGAGAUGGAUUGCAAAAGGAGAAUGGAGCUGAAAAGAUGCAAAAAGGAUAUUGCUGGCAGAUUGACCCCUCUUCAGUGUUUCGGGUAUAUCUGAUGACUCACAAGUCCAAUUGACGAGAUUCAAAAUGUUUUGAAAACUAGACGAAAUUUCCUACGACUUAUGUGAGAGGGAAUUUUGGCUAAUUCGACACUUAUCUUAUCCAAAAUCGGCCUUGAAGAUGAAACAUAAAAGCUGGACGGAAAUUCCUUCCAAGUUACUUAUUCCCCAAGCACCACUUUCCUUAUCUUUAUUUGCUUAAUCCCUAAGCCACAUUAGUUUCCUUAUUUCAAUCCAACUCUAAUAUUCCAUAUAAUUCCAUCUCCAUUAACUAUAAAUACCCCAUAUCAUUCCAACAUUUUAAUAAUCUAUGAUAUUCCACUUCGACUUGUGCAACAAGAAAACUUCAUAGUUGCCGUUUUGAGGGUCUAGGAGGUGGCCGGAAGGCCGUUAAGCUAACGGGAGCAGAGAUCUGAAGGAUUGGAGAGCGGAUACAUGUCGGUAAUCAUAUGGAUUGCUAACGUGACCAUGUUUAGCACUUCCUUAUGGUACUUUUUGUAUUUAGUUUCUGAUUUGGGUGUAAAAACCUUUUACUUUGUGUUUAUGAUUGAAUGAAGUUUUGAUUCUUAGACUAAUUGUUAUGUUAAAUAAUUUAUUUGUGUUUAAUUUAUCUUGCCAAGCUUGUUCAAAGAUCCUCAUGUGUUAAUGAUGAUUAUAUGCUGUUAAUUGUUAAGUGAAUUAAGUUGUAUGAAAACCUGCAUGAUUUGCUUGUCUCUUAUGAUUUUUGAUGACCAUUGAGAUUAUAAGACUAGAAAUAACGAAUGUGAAACUAAGAUUAACUUGGGAAUAAGUAAGUUAAUGUGUGAGCCUUGUUUGAUGACCAUCAACAAGAGGUUAAUUAAAUGUUUAAAUUAACUAAAUUUACAAGUCUUGCUUGAUACGAACUGAACACUAGGAAGCAUGUUAGUUUAACCAAUUGAUCACUGAUUGAAUUGACUUGUUUGCUAAAAGAUUAGUUAUAGUGAACACGAAUCUAAUCAUUUUAGGAAUCGGUGAACAUGAAUAAAUGAAUCUGUGUAUGCAAUUGUUUAUGUUUUUAAGGUGGAAUUUGUCUAAACCAAAGUACCUGAAGAGAUUUGUUUUUCCUGUUAGUUUAUCGAGAAUUGUUAAUUAAUUAUUAGUUUGAGAUUUAUUAAACUAUUUCUUUUAUUCUUUUCGUGUGACCUGUAACCUAUAAUCAAAUAUAUUAAAUUAAUCCACCGUUCCCUGUGAUCGACACCCGACUUACCUAAGCUAUACUGUAAUCUGACUAGGUACACUGCCUAUAAGUGCAUAGUUAGUCUAAGUUUGUUAGGUUAUAAAUAUUAAAAUUAAUGGGUACUUUCGUGCACAUCAAGUUUUUGGCGCCGUUGCCGGGGAACGGCUUUCAAUUAAUUUAGUUUAUUUGAUUAUUCGUUAUUUAUUUUUAGUUAGUUUUUUAUUUUAUUUUUUUUAGUUUUAUUUUCGUUGAUAUCAUUUCGCUUGUCGGGAAGGUUCUUGUUGUUAUUUGCAGGAAUUUGUGAUCAUAUACAUCAAUUGGCUUUACCUUUUGCAUGGGUUUCGAGAUUGCAAGCGAUUAGGGAAUUCUUGACUUGUUUAGUCUACUACUUUGGUGAUUUGUCCAACUCAAUCCACGAGGCGUAGUAUAGCAAGGCGUAUCGAGGUGGUUAAGUGGAAGACUAAACUCUUGCUACUCUUGACUAGUCGGGUCAACUCUUUUUCUACUUAUUAGUUAAUGGUGCAAAGAAAACAAAGGAAAUAGUCUGACAGGUCCCGAAAGUUUUUGUUUUCGCAAACCACCUCUUGCAUGCAAGGGAUUUAAUCAACAAUUGUAGUUUGAUUUUGGCGAAGACAUGUGAUCGUGAUAUCCUUUUUAGUUAUUUUGGUUUUUUUAGUUAUUUUAGUGAGUUUUUAUUUUUAUUUUUAGUUUGUUUAAAAUUUGUUUUCCAUAUUGAUGCUCUUGAUGUUUCAGAUCUUUGCAGAACUUUUACCCUUCAGAUGUUUUCAGAAAUUUCAAUAAUUGGGGUCGAAUGUUGAUUUGUCACGAGAGAAAAAACCGUGUGAGGGUUUGUAGUUGACACUUGAGAGCCAUGACUUUCAAUAAGUGUGGGGUGCGCGUCGAUAUUUGGAGGGAUUAUUAUUUCGAAGAGUGGCGUUUCUAACUAUACAUUGAUUCCCAUGGCAUGAAUGAGCUGUUCCUACACCAUGGAGUUUUAUUUUGACGCGAUGUAGAAGUAUCAUCCCGGCUGCCAUGACAUGGUUGACACUUUCCUAUGUCGUGGGGGAGUUUUUCAUCGCGAGAGGAGGCUGCUAUUCUACAUACCACGACGUGACCACCACUUACCACGUCGUGGCCAUGCUAUUAUUCGCGAUAUGGAUUUUUCCUCACUCGACGACACGACGUGGUUGACACUUUCCCACGUUAUGGUCACUAUACAUUGCUUUAGUUUGCAAUCGUUCGCACCAUAUUUCAUAAGUCAAUGUUCUUUUGUAUUUUCCGGCACAUUCAGAAGCAGCAGUUCCAGUUUUCAGUUUUUCAGCAAUAUUUGAAGCAACCUGUAGCAGCCCCAUUCGAUCUCGCCACAACUACCCAGGGGAGUCUGUUCCUUUUUCUCCCUUUUAUGUUCUUAAUUUGUUUUAGCAUACAAUGAGGGCAUUGUAUGAAAUAAGUGUGGGGUAGGGGGUCGGUAAAAGUAAAUUAUAAAAAUGCAAUAAUAGUUGGAAAUUGCUAGAUUUAGGGAAAUUUAAAAAUUUAAAAGAAAACUUGAAAUAAUAUAUAGUUUAAUUUAGAAAAAUCUAGUGAUAAUUUAAAAUUUUGCUAAUAUUGUAUGAGAUGAUCCGAUGAGAACUCAAAUGUUUAGUUGAGCCAAUAUACGUUAUAAUGCAUUUGUGACUUCCCUUAUUUUAGUGAAAUCAUGGAACAAAAACAUAACCCCGCUCGGUUUGAAGGAUGCAAUAUGUUUAGCAGCCUAAACCUGAAAUGUAUCCAGGAAAAUUAUUAUCAAUAAUCAAUAAAGGUUGAGGUUGAGCGCCUCUGCUUAAGCAUGUAGGUUUUGAGUGAAAAAAGAGAGGUACAUGUAAAAAAAACAAAAAAAGAGAGAAUUACGAAAAAGUUUGAAGAAUUUUGGAGCAAAUAAAGUGAAGAUAAAAAGAUCAAAAUACAAGAAAUUCAAAAAGUUGAAGAUACCAAGAAAUCAAAUCAAAUAAGGUGGUGAAUUCAAAGAAAUCAAAGAUCAAAUUGUUAAGAAAGUGAAGAAUUCCUAAAAGGUUCCACAGUGGUAUCAUAAAUUGUAAUUCUAGAUUAUGUAUGUUUAGGUUGCUCAACUAAAAAUACCUUGAGGUUAGGAGGUUUUCUGCGGAUGGAUUCGGAGGGUUGCAUAAAAUGAGCAUUGUUCGGAAAAAGUGGGCAAGUGUUUAUGAAGAUUGUGAGUAUUUAAAGUAUGGGGGGUACUUUAGGAAAAUUUUUAGACACAAAUGCAUGCGUUGAGGUAUUGGCAUAAUGGCUGAGUUUUAAAUGGAUUGUUUAGUGCAAUACUGGUAAAAUAAAAGUAAAUUUGCUUGGGGGCAAGCAAAGGCUAAGUGUGGGGUAUUUUGAUAUGUGUAUUUUUAUAUAUAUUUAUGUAUAACAUAUCUUAAUAUUUUAGCCUUUAAUAUUAUUAUUUAGAACUAAAAUAUACUUAAUAUGCUUUGAAAUAUUUAAUUACAGUUAAAAUGGGAGAUGGAUUGCAAAAGGAGAAUGGAGCUGAAAAGAUGCAAAAAGGAUAUUGCUGGCAGAUUGACCCCUCUUCAGUGUUUCGGGUAUAUCUGAUGACUCACAAGUCCAAUUGACGAGAUUCAAAAUGUUUUGAAAACUAGACGAAAUUUCCUACGACUUAUGUGAGAGGGAAUUUUGGCUAAUUCGACACUUAUCUUAUCCAAAAUCGGCCUUGAAGAUGAAACAUAAAAGCUGGACGGAAAUUCCUUCCAAGUUACUUAUUCCCCAAGCACCACUUUCCUUAUCUUUAUUUGCUUAAUCCCUAAGCCACAUUAGUUUCCUUAUUUCAAUCCAACUCUAAUAUUCCAUAUAAUUCCAUCUCCAUUAACUAUAAAUACCCCAUAUCAUUCCACCAUUUUAAUAAUCUAUGAUAUUCCACUUCGACUUGUGCAACAAGAAAACUUCAUAGUUGCCGUUUUGAGGGUCUAGGAGGUGGCCGGAAGGCCGUUAAGCUAACGGGGGCAGAGAUCUGAAGGAUUGGAGAACGGAUACAUGUCUAAUCACAUGNAGCACUUCCUUAUGGUACUUUUUGUAUUUAGUUUCUGAUUUGGGUGUAAAAACCUUUUACUUUGUGUUUAUGAUUGAAUGAAGUUUUGAUUCUUAGACUAAUUGUUAUGUUAAAUAAUUUAUUUGUGUUUAAUUUAUCUUGCCAAGCUUGUUCAAAGAUCCUCAUGUGUUAAUGAUGAUUAUAUGCUGUUAAUUGUUAAGUGAAUUAAGUUGUAUGAAAACCUGCAUGAUUUGCUUGUCUCUUAUGAUUUUUGAUGACCAUUGAGAUUAUAAGACUAGAAAUAACGAAUGUGAAACUAGGAUUAACUUGGGAAUAAGUAAGUUAAUGUGUGAGCCUUGUUUGAUGACCAUCAACAAGAGGUUAAUUAAAUGUUUAAAUUAACUAAAUUUACAAGUCUUGCUUGAUACGAACUGAACACUAGGAAGCAUGUUAGUUUAACCAAUUGAUCACUGAUUGAAUUGACUUGUUUGCUAAAGGAUUAGUUAUAGUGAACACGAAUCUAAUCAUUUUAGGAAUCGGUGAACAUGAAUAAAUGAAUCUGUGUAUGCAAUUGUUUAUGUUUUUAAGGUGGAAUUUGUCUAAACCAAAGUAUCUGAAGAGAUUUGUUUUUCCUGUUAGUUUAUCGAGAAUUGUUAAUUAAUUAUUAGUUUGAGAUUUAUUAAACUAUUUCUUUUAUUCUUUUCGUAUGACCUGUAACCUAUAAUCAAAUAUAUUAAAUUAAUCCACCGUUCCCUGUGAUCGACANUCCCCCAAUAUGAUGAUGUUCAAAACAAACUAAAUUAAGACACCUCUGGAAAGGAAUUCUUCAUACUCAGCUUCAGCUUCAAUUUUGACUGGCCAGUAAGGACUAUCCAGCAACUCCUGUCUUCUGUUCAGCAGCUCCAUGGCAAUAAGAAUGUGAAAUUCUCCGGAUAGAUCUUGAUGACUCAUGCACAUUUGCCUUAAGCCAACAAGGUGAGUGGUUGGAGCUUUUGGAAUCUCAGUAGUUCGCUGAAAACACAUCCUCCUGUUUUUAUCAAGAUAGAACAUCCCGUGUUCAGGAGCUGAGAUGAAUUGAUGUUGAACCGGAUCAACACUGAGAGGAAGAGAAUUGUUAAUUUCACCAGCACCAAAGUCUAGAACCAAUACAUCUUCACCAUCAACUUGAAACUUGGUUCUUCGAGAUCUAGGAACAGACGACCUUUGGCCUUGAUGCUGAGGUCGUUCUUUAGGAACAAGAUCCAAAUGCUGAACUUUCUUGAUCAGCAGAUGAAGAGAACAAGUCAGUUCCGAAGAGUGAGCUGAGGUUUGCUUGGAUGCUAGAUCGAGCAGUUCCAUCCAUUCCGAAUAUCCAUAUCUGAUCAGCUCAUCCCUCUUGACAACUUUAGUAUAUGAAUGCUGAGGACCUUGAUGAGUGAUCAGCAACGUAAGAAUUUUCUCGUUUCGAGGUUUGGAAGCUUUGACUUUGAUAAUCUUAUCACCACACAUUCGCCGAUUAAGAACGUCUUCAAAUCUCUUUCGAUCAAUCCGGUCAAGAACACUGUCAGUCUUAGGCUUACUGGGGCCAGGAGGAGGUUGAGAAGACUGAGCCUUGGACUGAAAUUCCAGGAAUUUCUGCAUCUGAGCUUCAAAAGAUCCCUUGGCCUGAAGUUUGUGCUGAAUAAGAGAUUCAUCAGCUUGAGCAAUGUUCUUUAGAAGCUGAGCUCGAUUGGCUUCAUCAAGAAUUUGCUUGACUUGAUCAGGGGACAUGUUCCAUUCAGCGGCAAGGUUUGAAAUACUGACUAUGGACUUGGGUUUCUUCACAGUCAGAGAAGUAUCAGUUUGAGAAUAAUCCAAGUCAGUAUCUGCUACCUUACGCUUUCGAGAUAGCGGAUGAGAUUCUUCACUGGCAACGUCCGAAUCUUCUCCUUGAACCGGAAUAAUAGAAUCAGCAGAGGGAUCAACUACUUUUACUUCUGAAUCUUUUCCUUGAACUGGAACACAAGGAUCAAUGAAGUUCAUAUCCAGUAUUUGACAUUCAUCAUCUUGAUCAUCAUCUUGCUCACUAUCUUCAACGAGCUUUUCAGUAUCUGCUGGACUAUCAGGUUUAGCAAAGUCAGACUCGGGCAUCUGCUUUGGUGGCUCAGUUUUAUCCGGUUCGGUGUCUCUCUCCUUUGGAUUAUCGUCUGACUUUGGUGGCUCAGUAUUAUCCGGUUCGGUGUCUCUCUCCUUUGGAUUAUCGUCUGACUUUGGUGGCUCAGUAUUAUCAUCAGCAUCAGUAUCAUCAUCAAUAUCUCCCCCUUUUUGAGCAUCAUCAGAUUGAGGGCCGGAGGAAGGAGUAUGCAAGAGAACUCCCUUAAGCUAAUGAACAUCAACCUCAAUUCGUAGAAGACGUUGACUCAUGUCCCGAGUUAGUGUCAGAAGUUCAUUAAAUGUUGAGGCCGAAAUUUGAACGACUGAAGUAUAUGGAAUUGCUUGUGAGGGAGGAGGCAUCCCUGGAGAAGACUGGUCUCUUUGGGGUGGAUGCUCCCCCUGUGAGGGAUGCUCCCCCUGAGAGGGAUGCUCCCCCUGAGACAGUGAAUCCUUUUGAGCUGAGGGAAUUUUCUCAGGAAUAGAGACGGUAUGAUGAGAAAGUUGAGGAGAGAAAUGACCACCAUCAUGUGGUACAUCCUCUUGACCAGCAGAAUCUUCAUGGUUACCAUCAGCUCGUUCUUCAUCAGUAUCGACGGUGAGAGAAGGAACAGUGUAUGGGUUUGCAAUCCAUUCCCUCAUUCUAUUAGAGAUGCCGAUGUCAGUAUCCAAAGGAUCAUCCUGAUACAUACGAACAGACAUUCGAGGGCAUUGGAUGGGAUUGCCAGAGUGAGAAAAGUAGUCUGUAGCGAAGAAUUUGUCGAACACCAGAGCAAUCCAGCGUGGAAACGGAACAUGAUCAGCGCGCACAUUUGCACGAAGAAGCUGAACAAGCUGAUCAAAGAAUAGAGCCCCAUAAUCCAGUCUUUUGUUGAGAAGAAGGGAGCAGACGACUUGUUGCUCAUAAUUACUCAACUGAUCACCACUUCGAGACUUGUGACCCACACACUUGCAUAGAGCACUGGUGAAAAAUUUCCAACCUGGGGUCAUACACUGACGCAAAAUAAGAGCUGAUCGAGUACCAGCCUUUGAGUGAUCAUAACCCAGUUGAUCAAACAUACGUUUACACCUUUCAAUAGUGGGAGGUUCAGAGAAGGGUUCAAAAAUAGGUAACCUUAAAGCAACACUGAGAAGUUCUGCGGUGAUGAAGACAGAGUGUCUUCCAUGGCCAAUGGUCCUGGUGAUGACACUGUUUUCUGCAUUGACAGUUGCUGUACAGUAAAACUCACAAACUUGUUCAGGGAAGAACUCUGAUGGUAUGUCACUGAGAGCGUAUCGAAGGCGGCAGGAGGAUAAGAAAUUGACAAAGUCAUCGAGUCCAAGACCUCGAUGAACAUCGGGAAUAUCAGGGUUGAAAACAACGUUGGUGGCUUUGAUGUAUAUGGGAAGAGGAGGAGAGUUUGGGGCAGGAACAACCCUUCGUGAAGUGGAGGAGAAAGUGAACAAGGAUGCCGCCAUUAGAGAGUUUGUUAGGGUUCUAGGGUUUUGAAUGUAAGUGAGGGAAGUUUGAAUUGUGGAAGGAAAGUUUGAAAUAGGGUGAAACAGGUUUAAAUAUGGAAUGAAAUGGUCCGUUAAAAAGGUAAUAAUUAUCUCUUGCAAAAAUAACAAUGUAGCGUAACAACCUGUCAAAUCAGAAAAAUAGUCGUUGGGAAAAAGAGCCGUUGACUGAAGGUGAAACGUCAAUCAGUGUUUGCGGAAGCGCUGAGAUCAGUGUUACGGAAGUUACAUGCUGAAAAAUAUUUCUCCGUCAAUUCAAGGUACAACUUGCUUAUUCGGGGCUAGCAAGGAGAUUGGUGCGUGUGAUAGAUACUAGUUACAUUAUCUAACCAUCGGCACAGAGUUUUGUGACUUCAUCAGUGAGUGGUUUAUCUUACUGAAUCAUUAGACACUGAAUAAGAGGAGGGUAAAGAAAGGAUUGUUGCGUGUGAUAAACCUUGGUGUUUUGGUCUAACCAUCGGCAAAGAUUUUUAGACUCUCAUCAGCGUGUGUUUUGGCACACUGAAUCACAGAAUCAGUGUAAGAUUGGUAAGAAGGGAUAGUUGCGUGUGAUAGAUCUUGGUGUUUUGAUCUAACCAUCGGCAAAGAUUUUUAGAUUCUCAUCAGCGUGUGUUUUGUCACACUGAAUCAUUGAAUCAGUGUAAGAUUGGUAAGAAGGGAUAGUUGCGUGUGAUAGAUCUUGGUGUUUUGAUCUAACCAUCGGCAAAGAGUUUCAAGUUGUUAUCAGUGUAUGGUUUAAUACAGUGAAUCAUUCAACUUUAGUUUAGAAGACUUGAAGAAGAGAGAAAGAUAAGAGAUCAAACCAAAUUACUCAGUAUGCAAAUAUCACCAGUAUGUCAUCAUCAGCAAAGUGUACAUCAACUUAUAAGACAAUACCAAACAUUAGCACAAUUAAAAAGCAAAAUUAAUUACAAGGAAAUCAUUCCAAGUUCUCCAAUAAUGUAAGCAGUUGUUUGAGAAUCCAGUGCCUUAGUGAAGAUAUCAGCAAGUUGCUCCGAAGUCUUGACAUGUUCAAGAACAACCUUUCCCUUUUCAACAUUAUCUCUGAUGAAAUGAUGUCUGAUUUCGAUAUGCUUCGUCUUUGAGUGCUGAACAGGGUUUUGUGUGAUCUGAAUGGCACUGGUGUUGUCACAAUAUAUGGGAGUCUUUGAGAACUUGAUCCCAUAGUCGAGAAGCUGAUUUUGAAUCCAUAAGAGCUGAGCACAACAUCUCCCAGCUGCAACAUACUCAGCUUCUGCAGUUGAGAUGGCUACUGAUGUUUGCUUCUUGCUAGACCAGCUGAUGAGACGAUUUCCAAGGAAGUGACAUCCAUCAGACGUACUCUUUUUGUCUAAAUUGCAUCCUGCAUAGUCUGAGUCAGUGUAUCCAUAAAGUUCAAAUGCUGAGUCGCGAGGAUACCACAGUGCGAGGUUUUGAGUCCCUUUCAAGUAUCGAAAAAUACGUUUGACAGCCAUGAGGUGAGAUUCUUUGGGAUUAGCUUGGAAUCGAGCACAGAGAAUGGUUCCAAACAUGAUGUCAGGACGACUUGCUGUGAGAUAUAAGAGGGAUCCAAUCAUUCCUCGAUACAAAGAGUGAUUGACAUCAGUUCCAGCUGGAUCAGCGUGUAUCUUAUCAGUCUUGGACACUGGAGUAGAGGCUGGUUUGCAGUCACUGAGAGAAUACUUAACAAGCAAGUCAGAAAUAUAUUUACUUUGGCAAAUAGAAAUACCUGACUUUUGUUGCUGAACUUCAAGACCUAAGAAAAAGGUCAUCUUCCCCAUCAUGCUCAUUUCGAACCUUUGAGACAUGAUCUCUGCAAAUUCCUUGCUCAGUGUCUCAUUUGGAGAGCCAAAAAUGAUGUCAUCGACAUAAAUUUGAACAAGAACCAUAUCUGAGCCUUUGUUUUUGAUGAAGAGAGUAUUGUCGAUUGCUCCUCGUCUGUAUCCAUUUUCAAGAAGAUACGAUGUCAGCGUCUCAUACCAAGCCCUGGGUGCUUGCUUCAGUCCAUAAACAGCUUUGUCUAAUCGGUACACAUAAUCAGGGUGAUCUUUGUCAACAAAGCCUGGGGGCUGAUUGAGGAAAACUUCUUCUUCUAACACACCAUGAAGGAAUGCUGUUUUCACAUCCAUCUGAUAGACAAUGAAAUUCAUGUAGGAUGCGUAUGCGAGAAACAGUCUGAUUGCUUCAAUGCGAGCAACUGGAGCAAAAGUUUCCCCGUAGUCGAUGGAUUCAAUUUGAGUAAACCCUUGAGCUACAAGCCUUGCCUUGUUGCGAGUGAUGAUUCCAUCUUUAUCAACCUUGUUACGAUAGACCCAGCGAGUUCCAGUGAUAGUCUUCCCGGAUGGUCUUGGGACAAGAGUCCAAACUUUGUGCCUUUCAAACUCAUUCAGUUCUUCUUGCAUGGCUUUGAUCCAAUCAGCAUCUUGAAGAGCUGUGUGUACCUUAUCAGGUAAGAUCAUUGAAACAAAGUUAACAUACAUGCAAAAGUUAUUAAGUACACUAGAUCUGGUACGGACACCAUCAUGAAUAUUCCCUAUAAUUUGAUCAACAGGAUGAUAUCGACGUUCAGAGAUUGAUGCUGAUUCUGGAGAAUUUGACACUGACAAGUUAUCAGUUGCAGGAGAGUCUUCAGCUUCAAGGAUUUCAUCAGCACCUAAUGAAUCAUCUACUAAUGUGGUUGCAGUAUCUUGACUCAAGGAACAUGGAACUGGAAUGAUAGAAUCAGAAGAAUCAGUCUUAUCUCCAGCAGAAGGUGCUUCAUCGAAUGGACAAGAGAGAAGCUCUUGAAAAAUAGAAGGAGAAUGAGUGACUUUUUCAUCAGUGUAUGAUUCCUCAUCAAACUUCACAUGAAUGGAUUCUUCAACACAUUGCCUGUUCACAUGAAAAACACGAAAAGCCUUUGAAAUAGAUGAGUACCCAACAAAAAUACCUUUAUCAGCCUUAGGUUCAAACUUGGAUCUUGGGUCACGCUGAUUUAGAAUAUAACAAAUGCAUCCGAACACGUGUAAAAAGGAUACGUCUGGCUUUCGAUCUUUCAGCAUUUCAUAUGGUGUCUUCUUGUGAAUCCUGUGAAUUAGAGAUCGAUUCUGAGUAAAACACAUUGUAUUGACAGCUUCAGCCCAAAACGACAUAGGAAGACCAUCAUGGAUCAUCAAGGUCCUUCCUCCCUCAAUCAGUGUUCUAUUUCUUCGUUCAGCAACACCAUUUUGCUGAGGAGUACGAGGAGCUGAGAAGUUUUGUCCAAUUCCUUUGUGAUCACAAAAUUCUUCAAGAGUUGAGUUUCGGAACUCAGUACCAUGAUUACUUCUUAGUUGCUUAACUUUGAGACCUGUCAGUGUCUCAUUUUUACGAAUCAGUGAGAUAAUCUCCUGUGCAGCAUGACUUUUCUUCUUCAAGAAAAUUACCCAUGUAAAUCGAGUGAACUCAUCAACAACCACUAGAGUAUACUUAUUUCCACCUAGUGAACGAACAGGAAUAGGUCCAAACAAGUCCAUGUGGAGUAAAUGAAGAGGGACUGAUAUAUUGGAACAUGACUUGGAUUUGAAAGAGGACUCGGUUUGUUUUCCUUGUUCACAGGCUGAGCACAUCUUGUCUUUCACAACGCUGAAUUUUGGGAGCCCUCUAACUAGAUCUUGAUUGGAUAUCUUGGAUAGAUUCUUGAAGUUCAGAUGAGAAAACCUUUUGUGUUAAAUCCAGCUAAGAUUCGUCUGAGACUUUGUAAAGAAGCAUUGCAUUAGUGCCUUGUCACUUGAGAACAUGUCAAGAACAUAUAUAUCAUCUUUUCUACUUGCUGAAAGUACGAUGUUCUUGUCAGUGUUUACAACUCUGCCUUCCUUCUUUGUAAAGUGAACUUCAUAGUCAGCAUCAAAAGUACUUUUGUCUUCACCAGAAAUAGUCGGGUCUUCUAUUUUGACCAUUAGACACUUGACUUCAUCAUCUGAUGACUCUUCAUCAGUUUUCCAUUUUUCUUCUUCAGCUACAAGCACUUUAUGUUCCAAGUUCUCAGCUUUCAGCUUCUCAAUCAGCUUGUUGUACUUCUGCUUCCAGUAUUCAUCUGAGCCUUGUUUCUUUUGUUUACAUUCCUUUGCAAAAUGAUCAGUGCUCCCACAGUUAAAGCAUUGAGCCUUCUCUUUCUUAUCAGCACCAUGCCUUUUAUCAGCUCCUGAUCCUUUUGAGAACUUUCCACCCAUCUUCUUUUAAAAUUUUGAGAAGUUUUGACCUGAUUUUUCAAAAGUAUUUACAAUCAAGGCUGCACUAGCCACAACCUUUUCAAGAUCAUCAGUGUCAGUUUUAGAUGAAUCAGUAUCUGAAUUACUUUCAGUGUCUGAAUCUGACACGAGCCUUUUGUUGGAGACAAAGCUACAGAAGAUUCACGCUGAGAAUCUUUCAUCAGUUCCUUUCUUUGAAGCUUGGAUUCUUCAUAGUAUCGAAGAUUUCCAUAGAGACUUUGUAAGUCCAUAGAGUUGAUCUUCUCACUGUUUUUCAGCACAUCAACAUGAUUCUCCCAACCUGCACCCAGAGAAUCCAAAAACUUCUGCACUAGAACAGUUCUAUGCUUCAACUGAUCUAGUCUCCGAAGAUCAUUAACAAGAGUAUUGAAUCUGUUAAAGGUUUGAGUCAAGGUUUCACCUUUCUUAGCAAAGAAAUGUUCAUACCUUCGGUUAAGAUCAUUUAUUUGAGUAGCCUUGACUUCUUCAGUGCCUUCAAAAGAUACAGUCAGAGUAUCCAUCAUCUCUUUUGCUGAGAUGCAAUUUUGAACUAGCCCAAAGAUGUUGUAUGGCAGAGAGUAGCUGAUUGCGGCACGAGCACGAACAUCUAGACCAUGUUUUCUCUUGUCAUCUACCGUCCAGUUUUCUUUGGGAGUUUUCUUCAUAGUACCAUCAGGAACAUUAUUUUUAAGAGGCUGAUACAUAGGAACAUAAGGACCAUUCUCAACGAUGUCCAACAUAUCUUCAUCAACAGACUCUAAGGCAUAUAGAGCCUUUAUUUUCCACAUAGCAAAGUUUGUUUCAUCAAAAGGAGGAAUUUUAGCAGAAGGAUGAUUUGAUGAAUUUGACGAAGAAGAAGAUGAAGCCAUUUGUUUGAUAAAAGAAACCUGCUCUGAUACCAAUUGAAGAGGCCUUUAGAUCAAUCAAUAUAUCAAACAAUGACGGUAAAUAAGAACAAGAGAAAUUCACGAAGAAAAACUUUCACUAAGAAAGAUAAUCUCACAAAGAGAUUACCGUGUGCACAAAGCAACGAUUAGGGUUUGUGAAAGGUGUAUCCAUUCACAAACCUAUACAAGAUAAUAUAUACUGCUAUUCUAAACAAUCCCUACAAAUCAGGGAUACGAUGCUAACUAAUUAAGCUAACUAUGGAAACAGAAUAAAUACAAGAUUUGUUACAAUGCACUGAAUAAGCUAAACUAAUACAAACUGAGCUGCUGACACGCUAGUGUUGAUACUGUGAUAUGUGCUGACGCUGAGUCUGUUUUAAACAUUAUCAUAUUUCAAGGUUUGACCUUACAGGCAAUGUAUUAUAAAUCUUCAUCAUUAAUUUGUCUUCUAGUUUUAGGUUCUAAUUUCAUGGAAAUUAAGCAUUGUGUGUUCCACCCAUUUAGAAUCACUCAUCUUCAUGGAGACUAUAUAAACCCUCAUGGACCUGUUCAUAUAGACAUCAACACAAUACUAAAAUGUCUUAAUAAAGAAUAAAUGAAAGUACAAUAUUGCUAUAAUGAAUGUACGUUGCUAUUUCUUACAUUUAACCCAUUUGCAUUUGACCAAAUGUAUUAUCAUCAAAGUCGCAAUACAAAUUAUCACAAAGUGUAGUAGAUUAUGGUGUUAAUGAGAAGCCGAAUACAUUUGCUCUCAUCCAAAACAAUUGAUCAACUUAACCCUUGGUGAUUUUAGCAUUUACCUUUUCUAAAAGCUAACUUUGAAAGAUAUCAUCAACAACUCUAAUUCAACAACAAUCUAGAUAAUAUUAUCUUGCACCUACUUGUGCAGCUAGAUCCGUUUGUUUAUUGUUGGGUUUGAUAUGGAGAAUGUUAGUGUACACAAACAUUAGCUUAACAAUGUAGGCACAAUCAACCAACAGAACAGAUGCUCAUAAGGUAGCUAGAAGAAAAGAUCAGAUAAAGACCAGAACACGCUCCAUUUUUACAUUUAUGUCAUUCAUAACUGAGAAAUAAAACCCAUCGGUCAGUAAAAAUCAAUAGCCUUUUCCAUGGCAAAGCCCUGAAUUUGCAGGUUUUGCAAAAUAAUAUAAACUCACAAGUUUGUCUCCUAAUCUAACAAUAGAUUAGAUGCACAUGAACAAUACCCAAAAUGAUGCAAGAAUACAAAAGUAGGACAUCACCUAGGCAACGAUGUGUGAGGUGACGAUGAUGUGUGCGUGGUUGCUCUGCUACGAUGCUCUGAUUUCGAACCCUCGUUGACUGAUUUUGAUUCUAGAGGAAAAAUGGUGUAUUGGAUGGCACAUAGAGCUCACGAUCUUAUCUGGAUCUUGCGAGCAUAAUUACAAAUAGUGUUUCAAAAUAAGAUAAUUUCUGAUGUACGAUGAUACGAGCGCGAUAAACAAAGCUUGUCCAGUCAUACAAGUGCAGCCUGUUUGUGACCUUAGAAUUGGGAAUUUGGUCUAGAAUGGUAAAAGAAAGGUUUUUUUCACGCAAGUAUAAUAAUGACUUUUAUCAUUUUCUCUAAAUCCAAUAUACACUAAAUUGUUAAAUUUAUAAAGGAUAUUAAAAAGAAAAAAAAUCCAGAACUUUGACCAUACUUAUGAAAAAAAAAUUAUGUGUUUUUUAAUGGAAAAACAGAAGAUCAAGUAAUUUACUGGGUUACCUCUAAUUCAAUUAGUUGAUUUGUUAAGAUGGAUCCCGACAACCCUAAGUUGUACAAGGAGGAUGGAAAACGGAAUCAUCUUCUUUUGUGGGAAACCGAAGUCUAUGAAAUGAAAAUUGAUCAGCUUGUCAUAGUGUAAGGUAUAGCUGUGAUUGUGGAUAUCAAUGUCCAAAAUGGGUUUCGUGGACUCCGAUGAUGUAGACUCGUUGGUUGCCCUAAUUUAAGGGUAAAGGAAGUAAAUUUUGCACAUGUUAAUAAUGAUUUUACUUUUAAAGGAUGUAAUGGUCUAAUCUACUCGAUAAAGAGAAGAAUUUCAAAUAUUUUUCUUCGAUACACCUUGCAUUACCCUACAUGACCCAACAAGUAGUACAAAGAUUAAAUGUUGGAUUUGUACAAGUUUGCAAAGGCUAACGAUACUGAAAUUGAAGAAUAAGAUGUAGAAAAUAAAGUUGGCAUGUUAAGGGAAUGCAAAUAAAUUUACUAUCCAAUUUCAAAGAUCAACUCGGAAAAAAAUGAAAUCACAAGGAAAUAAGUUCCGGUAUUAGGAAGUUAAAUAUCCAUUUCCAACCAAUUAAAAGUCAACGCCAUUUACAAUAUAUUACAUAUUUCAUAAAUAUGGAAUGCAAUAUAUAGAUACAAUUAUUCUCAACUCGAGUGAAUCUCAUAAUCCAACUCACCAUGUUGACAACCACAGACCCACUUUGUGGUGUACCAACGUCAUCUUUUCCAGAUAGUUUCAUCGUAUUUAAACCACAUUCUUUUUUCCUAGCCUAAUAAGCUCUAUGUAGUAUUUUACGACGCAUAUACACGUCUUCUUGCUCAUCAAAUCCCAAUGAGUUCACCGUAGUACUUAAUGACAUAUGUACACAUCCUCUUGCUCGUUACAUACUAGGUUUUAGUAUUUUACCCACAUGUGUGAGUUUACACACAUAAGUGAGACAUUAAUGGAAUGUCAUUACAAACCCUAAGUAAAAUUUAAGGAUCCUAAUCCAAGUGAACUCUCAAGUCAAACCUAGUAUAAGUGAACACACUCAGACUAGAAAACCAUUUUGUCAAAAACUAUGAUGCUCACAUAACUUAAACUCUUGAAAAUCUCUUUUUUGUGAAUGCACAAAAAGGUACAUAUAAUAUCACACAUAAAGUAUUAUUCAUAUCUAAAAGUAAAUAUAAAACCAUGUACGGGUGUGUGUCCGGGUAGAAACUAACCUCAGUAACUUCAUAUCUUACUUAUUUCAAACUUAUAACACCUUAUAUUAACCACUUGCUGAUUAUAAUGAAAUGAUUAUAAAGUGAAGAAAUUACUCCAAUAAAGGUGUUAAGUUUUCUAUGCAUUAAAUACACUUUAAACGAGGUAGCGGAAAACUCAAUUUAUGAUAUACCUAAGUGUACAUGCAACCGCAGAUCUAAGUUUCAUAUUAAUUAUAGUUGCCUUAUGAAAAACAUAAAUACGAAAGAAGAACCACAUACCUCUCUUGCAGCCAACGAACUUCUAGCUUGCGUCCUUAUGCAUGCCACCUUAUUUGGAUGAAAAGGAUCCAAACCACAAUCUAUGUCUUGCUUCACACUCAAUUAACUUAAAAGAGCAGAAUAAAAAAUAACUAGGAGGGGUCAAACCCCAAGAGAGUUCAUCUACAAGAAUAUAAGGGAGAAGAUGGCAAGAACUUCAAGCCAAUGAAACCCCUAAGGCCCUAUUCAUAGUCUUGGAUUUCUUCCUAGGUUUUUUACUCUAUAUCAUGUGGGAUGGGAUAAAAUUUUCGAAAUUCUCUCCUAUCCAAAAUGAAUUUUGUCCACCCCUUACUCCAAUAAGGGUUCUAGAACAUUCCUGAUUAAUCAACUAUUUGAUUAAUUUAUAUUCAACUAUUUAAUUAAUUCCUAAAAUAUUUUCCAAUUAGUUUCUAAUUAAUUAUUAAACCAUAAUAAUUAAUAAACUAAUUCAUCCUUUAUUAAUUCUACUUAAAUUUAGUUUUGAGGACAACCCAAAAGUACCCUGUUAUUAUUAUAAAAUUUACUAAUAGAUAAUGACCUUGGACAUCCUUUCCAACAGUCUCUCACUUAGAUAAGUCAUCAACUAUAUGAGAACAAUAAUUCUCCAAUAAUAAACAAAGAGAAUGCCAUUUAAUCCAUCUGUUAAACUCUGGUCUAAUCAGCUCUAACCCAUAUAACCCGUAGAUAAGUGAUCAACUAUUCCUUCAUUCUACAAGAUAUUUUUAUGAAUUCGAGAUAAGGAUAACGGUCAAUCUGAUAACUCAAGAUUAUGUUUCCUGAUAAAGAUUCGUGAUGCCUGCAUCUGACUACUCAAUUGAACACAUCAAUUCCAGUCAGGAUGUGGCCAAAUAUUUAAGAUGUCAGCACCAAAUCAUUGAGGGGCCCCUAGAUAUCGCUUCUCCAGUUAAUGUGAAAAGUUAAUGUGAAAGGAACAAAUAACCUUUGACUACAUAGUUUCUAUUUACUUGAUCAUAUCAUACAUGGACAUACCCUAUAUUGCUACCAGUUAUGGAUAACGUUGGAGUAAGCCAAUACACAAUAGAGUCAUAGAUUACAAACCCCACAUGUAUCUUGGUUUGAAAAACAUAAGAUAUUAUCGUUUUAGAACUACCCAUGACUAUAUCUAUUAGGUAUUCUCUAAGUGAGAGUUGUUCCGACACUUAAAUCUUUAUUAAGUAUUUAUGAGUGUUAGCAUAAUCUUUAUGCUAUGCCCAAUCACUAUGAUCAAUCCACUAAGAGUAUGAGCGAUUGUGAAGGUUUCAGUAAAUUAAUACUCCGGAAGUGGGUUCCAAACAUGAAAAAGUAAAACAUAGUAAUAAAUUAACAGGAAUGAUAGUAUCGACAUCACUUAAUUAAGUCUCUACAAAAUAAACAUCAAUUCAGUUACAACUCAUAAUGCUAAAUGUUUCAAUACUUUAUCAGACUAACAACUAAACAAUUAUACCAUAUCAUCAGUAAAUCUAAUGCCUAUAGAUCUAGUAUGAAUAUCAUGAUUGACCCUUAAUAAUGGCUUCAUGAAAAGAUCGACUGGAUUCUCUUCUAAUGACAUGUUGUUCUUGACAAUUUCUCCAUCCUUGACUUGCAUCCUUACGUAAUGGUAUUCCCUGAUAUGCCAUGGGCCUUGAGUUCUUUAUUCAAUGCGACUACACCCUCGUUGUCAUAGAUGAUUAGAAUCAUUGAUGCUCAGAAUGACACCAAGAUUCGAAGCAUCAUCAUUCGAACACACUUUUAUUUUUAUGAUUAAAUUGUUAUUAUAUACAAUGAGGGUAUUGUAUAAUUGAAGUGUGGGGUAGGGGGCUGAAAAAAAAAAAGAAGAAAACAAGCAUGAUAUAUUUUUAAUAUUUUUAAAAUGUUUGUUAGAUUGAAAAAAAAUGAAAAAAAAGACUUGAAAAAUGGUCUAAAAUAGGAAAAUCUAUAAAAUUUAAAAAUUUUAUUUUGAUAUUAUUGCAUUAGGACUAAGUUUGCUAGUGUUAUGUGGGAUAAUUUGAUGCAAAUUUUAAAAUUUAGUUGAACCUAUAUGUUAUAAUAUACUUAUGGCUUCCCAGCUCUAGUGAAAUCAUUAAACAAAAACACGAACUUAUUUAGUUUGAUGGACAUAAUAUGUUUUGCAUCGUGUACUGUCCAGGAAAAUUUAUGUAGUCAUUGUAAUUUAGACUAAUACCUUUAAUGAAAAAAGGCUGAGGUUAAGUUUCCAAGCUUAAGCAUAUGUUUUUCCUUUAGGUUUUUAGUUGAGAAAAAACAAUUGAAAAAAGUUUUGAAAAAAUAGAAAAAUAGAAAAGAGAAAAAAGUUGUUGAGUUAAUAAAAAUGUGCAAAGUUCAAAAAUCUUGAAGAAGUGAAGAUAUAAGUCAAACUGCCAAAAGCUAGCUUAGUACUCAAAAUUAUAUUUUUUCUUUCUAGGUUAUUUUAUCAUAUGUAUGCUUGGGAACUUAACGAAAAUAGCUCAAGGCCAAGAAAAUUUUAUGAUGAUGUAUUCGGAGGGAUGCAGAAAAUAUGUUUUGUUCAAAAUUAGUGGGAAAUGUUUAUGAGGAUUGUGAAUAUUUUAGAUUUGGGAACUACUUACGAUUUCUUAGACACAAAUAUAUGAAAUGAGGCGAGACAUAAUUGGCAAAUUCAAAUUGAAUUAAUCUGUGUGAUGUUACCGAGCAAGGUUUUGAUGUGGUUUUAUUGAAAUGAAAAUUGUCAUAAUGGAUCUAGUUUUGCUUGGGGAUACGAAAAAGAAUAGUGUGGGAUAUGUUGAUAUGACCUUAAUUAACUAUAUAUUUUAGGCAAUUAUCUUAAUAUAUUUGAUUAAAAUGUUAUAUUUUAAGAUAUAUGAUACUUAUUAUGCGUUGAAAUGUUAAAUUACAGUUAAAAAACAGAGUUGAUAUACAUAAGGAGGAGAACAGAGCUCAAAAAGACCCAAAAAUGAUGUUGCUGGAUAGACUGAUCUCUCUUCAGUGUUGUGUCUAUAUCUAAUGACUCGUAACUCCGAUUAAAGAGAUUUGAGAUGUUCUAAAAAUUAGACAAAAUUUCGGACGAAUUUAGUGUUUGUGCCAAAAUACAAAUUACUGUUCCCACGUCGUGGAAAAAGCAUUUACCACGACGUCAUGGAUCAAAAAAUCACUAAAAAUGCUAGUCUCGGUUUACGUUUUUGUAUAUGUUACGGAUUCCAGUUACCAUCGCAUGGCAAAUGCAUUAACACGUCGUAGUGACGUUGAAACCUAUAAAUUAAGCUGAAAAUUAACACUAAUGAUAUAUGGGAAGAUGAUUCACAAGUGAGUUUCUAUAUUAGUAGUGAAAGAACAAAAGUCUUGAAAAGAAUUAUACAAAGUGAUGGAUGUAGGUUUUUCAAUCCAUGAAUAGAUUUGGUGAUAGAUACUUCAUCAAUUUCAUUGACAACUUUUUUUCGUUAUAGUUGAAACUUUUGAUUUGCUCAAAUUGUUUCAUAGUGAAGAUUCAAACACAGCUUAAUGAGACGGCCGUCAUUAACCUUUUCAUUCUAAUAAAGAAAAUGAGUUUUUUAAACGAAGUCUUCUUGGAAAAUCAUAAGAGUUAUGGAAUUGGUUCACAACUCAUUCCAUUAAAUAACUCUCACUUGUCAUUCGUUCGGUUCUUGUGGCACAUGAUCACCUGGUCGCUUGGAUUUUGUCUUAUGAUGUUCGAGGUAGAUUUCAAAUUCUCUAGUAGGAUAGGGUCACCUUACUACUAGUUGAAUGUCGAUAUUAUAUGUUUUUAAAGAGGAUAAAUCAUACAAUACAAUAUGCUAUAUGUUGUUUUAAAGAUUUCUUUCCUAUAAACUUUUGGAGUUAUGCUCACUACAACGAAUAACAAGUAGAUUAAAUACUUUUGCAAGACUAAGGAUGGAAUUUUCUAUCAUUAUAUAGAAGGUAUAUGGUUAUAAAUUUUAUGUUAGACAAGAAGCUUAUCUCAACAUGGAAUCUACUAAUUGCAUUUGUGUAGACUAUCCUAAAUGAUUGUUUAGGAUGAAGGAUCUACAAUCCCACUGAUUGUCAUUCCAGAAGACAUAUGCUUAGAAAGUUCUUUUUCUAAGUGAGAACAUUACGGAACUUUAAGAGCUAAAGAACCGUAAAAAAUUGCAUCAUUGUUUUGAAGUAGCAAGUUUUGUCAAUAGUUGUUGAACAUGUUUAAUAUGUAACCCUCAGAUUUAGUCAUUAUGUUAACUUUUGGGAGUUUUUACUCUACGCGGGGCAUAGACAUCUCAUACGCAAUGCGUAGGAGGAUACCCAAAGCUUUAAUGAUCUACGUUGGGUGUAGAUGUGUGUACACAACUGUAAUAUUAAGGUUUUGGUCCCUAUUUAAUGGACUUAACCCCUUGAUACCUUCCUUCCAUUAACCUCCAUCUCCCGAUACGUUCCUUUGCAAACCCUAAUCCUUUGUGUGUGCUUUUGAGCUUGAUAGUGUGAGUUCUUGUGCCCUUAAAGGAAGAAGAAGGUGGUGGAAAAAUCUUGGAAGCUCAAAUUGUCUUGGAUCCAAAAACUUUUUUCCCUUUAGCAUCUUUAGGAGUUAUAAAGUUCCCACUUUGUUAUGUUUUUAUGUUAGAUCUAGAUUAGCUCUAGGUUUUCAUGCUUUUUGUCCCCAAAACCAUGGUGUAUAUUUUUAGAUUAGGUGUCUAAUAUAUUAACUAAAUUAUAAUAAACCUGAAUUAUUAGCAAAGUCCUUUUAGGUUGUCCUCAAACCUAGAAUUGACUGGAAUGUUAUUUGGAGAGAAAGGAUGAUUUAGUAAUUUAUUAUAUCAUUAAUAAAUUAAUUAGAAAUCAAAAUAAAUAAUUUAUUAAUAUGUUUUGAGUACAAUAUAUUAAUUAGAAAUAAUAUUAUUUAAUUAAGAAUUAAUCAUAAAUUCAUUGGUAUUAAUUUGAUUAAUUAAAAGUAGAAGGACUAAAAGUGACAAUGUUCAAAAGUUGAGCAUCAACCGAUUCUAGAACCUCCGUAGGAGNNNNNNNNNNNNNUAAGGGAGCCUUUAUUGGGCUAUUAUUACGGAAAGCUAGGGUUGCUUUGGGAGGAAGAAAAGGAUUAGGGUUAUCUAAAAGGGAACAUGCCUUUUAUACACCUCCUUAAGCCCUAUAAAUACCCUAAGGCUUUAGGGUUUUCGGCCAUUUCAUUCUUCCAACAUCCAAGGAGCCGAAAAUCAUACCUUCUACUCAUUUCUCCUCAUUAGCCUCUAACUUCUAGGGUUUAGGUGUGACCCAUUAGAGGCACGACGCUUGUGGUGCUUGCUUUCUGAAGAUCUACAAAGAAGGAUUAUUAGGUUAUUUACAAUAAUAAACUAAAGGUAUGUUUUCUAUUAUCCAUUCUCCUAAAUCGAAAAUAGUAAUGUACUUUAGGGUUUCUUGAAUUCAAAUUGUUUUUUACAUAUCAUAGUGAGAACAUAGAUCUUUUAAGGUGUAUGUGAACUUAGGGUUUAUGUUUUUCCGCCAAAAUAGUUUUUUGUAACUUAUAAAACUCAUCAGUGGUAUUAGAGCCAUUGCUCUCUAUGAUCUUUCACAAAGUUGAAUAAGAUCAAAAAUCCUUUUGAUGGUUUUCGAUUUGGGCAAGGGUUUUAGAAGCCCUAGCCUCAUUUUUGUUUUUUUUUUUUCGAAAUUUGCUAGGGUUUUGGUAAGGUUUCCUUGUUUUGAUAAUUAUUAGUUUUAAAUGCUUUAAAAUUGGAUAACUAUUACUUUGGUAAAACCCAAAACCUAAUUUCGAAAUUAGAGGGUAUUAGAUUAGGAUUAACAUCUAUAUGAUUAAAUUGUUUAAUGGUAGUUAAUUAUUUAAUCCCAAGAAGAUUUAAAUUAAAUUAAUUAAUUGUUAAUUAAAUGAUAAAGAUUAAAUAUUGAUUAGUUUAUUUUAAAUUAAUUAAUUUUUUUAAAAAUAAUAUUAAACCUAGUAUUUUAGAAAAGUUUUAAAAUACACCUCAUAUAUAUAUAUAUNNNNNNNNNNNNNNNNNNNNNNNNNNNNNNNNNNNNNUCUAUGUAUAAGACUAAGUCAAUCAAGUCGCUAGUAUGCCUCAUUCACGAAGUCGGUCUAUAAGGGGGGUAUAAGGAAAUGCCUAUAAAAUGAUAGUUGAAUGAGUAUCCACUCUCACCCACUGCUUCCUUGAUUGGUAGAGGGUCGUUAGCAAAACGGACUUUAUAGGACAUUAACUUCAUCAAAAGUAUAAUGCUAUUAAAGUACUAUAACUCUUUUAUAAAAUCUCAAUCUAGUUACUUUAGGAAAAAUGUGAAUUUUUUAUGCUACUCCGUGAAAUUGCACAUUGUGCUUUAUAUGUCGUUACGGGAACAUGUGUGAUUAACGGGCACACUAAUAGGGACUAUAAAGAGUAAUAAUGGGCAUUUCAUAAAUUAUCAUUAUUGAUGGAGUGUGUGUGGUUUACCGACACAUCAAUUAGAGAUAAUAAAAGACAUCGAGGUUGCCAAGCAUAUUUUAUAAAAAUCUUAUUUACAGUAAACGAAAGUGAUUUUGAAAUAACUAUUACUUUAAGACCAUUGCAAACAAAGCCACCAAGGUUCCUAUUACAUGAUAUAGAAAAAUUAUAAACAAUACAUAGGAUAUUUAGAAGAUAAUCCUUGAAUACUUUGAUCCCUCUUGGAAAUUACGGAGUUGAUGAAGAUGGCAAACACUCAAAAUAGAACUUAUCUAUAAUGUAUCUAGCAAGAAGAUAAGUAACCAAGAUUGUAAGUUCUUGCUUGUAAAAUACUUCUUAGGCCUUUAAUACAUUUUCAUAAAUAGUUAUUAAAGGAUAAUCACCUCAUAAGUACACCAAAUCUACACUAAAAUUCAGAAGAUAGCAAGAAAGAGAUAGUGAAACAUAUCCACGGUUAUGGAAAUAAAGAGUAGAGAUUAAAGAAUAGCUUUUAAAUGAAACCUCACUUUCUUUAUAUACAAACUCAUAAGAUCUAAAUGACAUACCCUUACACAAGUCAAAGUUAAGGCAAGUUUAGAAGCAUGAAGUGUGUAAGAGAGAGAGGUUGGCAAGCAACCUCCCAUGCCUCUUAAUAUAUGUGGCUUUGAGAUAGAGAAAGAGGGAUGUGAUGUGUCAAACUCAACCAACAUUAUCUCUUAUUUGUACAUCUUUAUCUAGUGAAAUGAAAAGAGUCCAAAAACUUGUACAUGCUUUUAUUAAAUGGUACCGUAUAAUUUAAUAGCUAGUCUCUACUCUUUUGACAUAUUAUUUUUCAUAAAAUAUUAAUUAUUCCCUAGUUAAUUACAAGGAUUGAAUAUAUUUAUUAAUAAUCAAAUUACUAAUAAAUAUUCAAUAAGUGACAACUUGCUAAACGCAUGACCCUAUAGGAUCAUACGUUAUUGGAAAACAUCAUUAUAAAAUGAUUCUUGAACAUANUAUAUAUAUAUAUAUAUAUAUAUAUAUAUAUAUAUAUAUAUACACAACAAUUUCCUACUUGCACAAGAUUCAUCAAAGUUAAACUCAUCACCUUAGGGCUUUCAUACUGCUAAAUGUGAUACGAAGAAAUUGAGUGGGUCAUGCUAGGAAACUUGGUGAAUACAUAGGGUUUUCAACCCACAAUAAUGUAAUUAAUUUUUUUUAAUUAUACAUUUUACAUCAAACAAAUAAGCAAAUUAUCCAUCCCCAUUAUCUUAAAUAUUCAUCCCUGGGGACCUCUCAUAAGGAUCAUCACAAGCAAUGAGUAGAUAGUACUACAUCAGGGAUUCAUUAGCAAUACUUUUCAGUAAGGAAACCAUGCGGGGAUAGAGUACAUUGUAUGAACUUAUAGUUCAUCACUUACAGGUUGUGAGCCUACUAGUGUUCCACUGGGUUGUCUAGAAUAGUCUGUGGCCGUCCUUUAUACUCUAUUAGACAACUAGAUCGCAAUGUUAUGACCUCUCAUCAUCAUUUUCAUCUCUCAUCACCCUUUGCUACCCAAUACAUUAUAGGUAAGGAAAUAUGUAUAUAAUCAAAUUAAGUAAAAUAAUAUUUCACUUAACACAUAUUCAAAUAGUUAGCACAUAAGGAUUUUAAUGAUCUAAAUACUUCAUAUUUGUAUGUAAGAUGAAAGUAACUAUGCACUCACUAGCUAAAAGUGGAUGACAACACUUUGCCUAGCACUUUAGCGUUUCCUUUGUAAUGACCUUGAUAAAAAUAUCAGUAACUCUUAGUCUUAUAUAUCAUGUAAAUAAUGAUAUUCUAGAUUUCUCAAUAAUCCUAUUGUCUAUAUCAAGAUCUAUCAAGUAACGAGUAAUCAUGUUUAAUCAUAUCAGAGCUAGGGUCUGUUUGGUAUACAGACUAUAUUGUUUGUAAAUCCCAUUUUAAACACCUCACUAAAUCUAUCCUAGACUUCACCCACAGUAAGUAGAUCAAUCAACAUUUUGACAUGGAAUCACUGAUAAAUCUUAUGUAUAGAUUUAUAAUAAUGAUUAUGAAUAUAAAUAUAAGUUAUGCUUGAAAUAGAAUAAGUGCAGCUUAACUUACAUACUUUUCUGUAGAGAAAAGUCUAAAAUUGCACUGACAAAACUCCUAUUCUAACCCUUUUAUUUGUUGGACUCUCCGAUGACUUGUACCCUACUAAUUACUUAUAGAAUCUAGGAAAAGUUGGAUUUUAACAGGGGAAAAUAUUUACUUAGAGAGAAUAAGGUUUGGUUUGUGAGGAGAAGUGAGGGAAAACUUCUAGUAUCAAGCAAGGCACGCCGCGCCUAGACAAGAGGUGUGCUACACCCUUCAAAUGAUGUUGCUCCUGCCCCUGCUACCACGUGUCGAAAUCCAGUUAGGUCGCAUCCCACCUUCUAGAAGGCACGUGCCAUGCCUUGUACCCCAAUAUUUUAAUAUUUUCUAAAAAUUCGUAUAUUUCUCAUAGGAGCUCUGCUUUUACAUUCUUUAUAUCCACACAUAGCUAUCGACGAAUACUACAACUUUUAGUUAGAGUCUAUCGGCUAAUUCUCACUUUAUUUUUAAUUUAUAUUUUUAGAGAAGCUUGGACUGUUAAAGUUCUUAUAAAAAGCAUAAGUUAUUCAUACGACAUCCGUUCUGGAAUGUCUUUAUAUUGAUGGAUUCCUAUUCACGAGAUCAUCAACUCUAAUUUAUAUUGUUUUGGCUAACAACCAACUGAUUUCCAUUUCGAUUUCAGUGUCACACAGUGCUGUUAUAUAGAGAAAACGCUUGAUUUGUAUAGACAAACUGGAUUUGUAUAAACUUUGCGAAUAUUAACAUUUUCAGUUUUAUUUAUAUCUCAUAUAUAGAGAAAACGCUUGAGAAUAUUUUAGGUGAUUAAAUAUGACUUAAACACUAAUACUAACGUAAUGAUAUUACUCAUAGUCAUAAAUGAACUAAUUAUCUAAGCAUCUUUAUAUGUGGUUUCUGGAACAAUAAUGUAUUCUGACUCUGUGACAACCCUAAAUCUAUUCCCGUUACAAAUCCCAUUUUCACUAACGGAAUACGUUAACGUACGUUAUUUUAUGUAAUAUUUGGAAUCGUUAAUAUCCGAAUAUCUAAUUAUAUGCAUGUCCUAAUAUCAUUAUAAGUAAUAUAACUCAUACGUGUUAAUCUAGUUUAACCUAAUAGAGUUGUAUUACUGUUUCAACCACUUCACCCGGGUAAAAAGUUUUAACCCCGUUAAACUUUAGCAUCGAGUAGCCGUGUAUCGGGUACAAUACCCGAGACAUAUAAAAACACUUGAACACUUCAAUUGGACUCUUUUACCACAAUUACACCUCUCUCUCACUACUUUCUCUCUCUAGACCCGAAAUCGACUCCAAAUCCGCGAAUUUCCGACUUCCAAACGUAAGGAUUCAUCCCCUAACUUAAUCUAAUCAUACUUUACUGCUUUUAGAGUCCAAAAUCAUGAGAAUCAAGGACCAUAAAGGAGUUUACGGCCUAAGAAGCUCCUUAGGCCGUAAACCCCCAAAAUCAUGCCAAAGAUCAAGUUUUUCCUCAUGUUAAGCUAGUAUACUAAUUAAGGCAUGUAUCUAGAAGGGUUUGGACACUAAAACACAUGGAUUAGACAUGUAAAAAGGAGUUUACGGCCCAAGCAUGUGCUUAGGCCGUAAACACCUCAAACACCCCAAAAACACUUGUUUAAAGUCCCAAAAACUCUUCUAAGAUGUUUGGUAAAUUGGACUUGACGCUAAGGAACACUUAAAUGCAUCAAACAACUCCAUUUGAGGACAAAAUGAGGAGUUUACGGCCUAGCUUAAGCUUCGGCCGUAAACACCCAAAAAUUUGUGUCAAACAAGUCCCUAAACUACCCUAGUGCUUGUAAGGAAUUUAGUUAAGGCCUUUGGAAGUGUGUUGUACCGUUUAACUUCACAUUUGGACACAAAAUGAAGAGUUUACGGCCAAGGGUGUUCUUGGGCCGUAAACUCCCCAAAAAUACAUGCCAAAUUGUCCCAAACUCACUAUAGGGCCUUCUAGGAUUUAUCUAAGGUGUAUGAGACCUUGUUGUACCAUUAAAACAUACAUCUUGAAGGGUUUACUUGAGUUUACGGCCCAAGAACAAGUCUUGGCCGUAAACUCCCCAAAAAUGUCACAAAUUAUGAUGUUUAAUCCCUUUCUAAUAGUCCAAUACACAUACCAUUAAAUUAAGGAAGUGAAAUAAGGCCCUAAUCAUACAUUUUGGAGUGUCACAAGAGUUUACGGCCAAGCCUAGGGGGCUUACGGCCGUAAACUCCCAAAGGAUGGCCUUUGGGCCAUAAAAUCCAAGGGAGUGAGCUCGUGGACCCUCCCGUAAAUCAUUCAUGACCUUGUACCACUCCCGGGAACCCUUUCUAGGCCUUAAAACCCCGAAAACGAUGCUAGAAUGUCCAAAUACUAUAAUGAAAAGCAUAAGAUGAUUAACUUCUUGUAAAAUACAUAUUUCAUAUGACAUUAGGGUCCUAGGAGGUGCUCAAGUGGUUAUUGGGUACCAAACGCUCAAUCGACACUUUUACCCGAUUUACCCAAUUUCCGCGAUUUCAGGUGAGUUCAUACCCCUUAAAUGAACCUUUCAAAUGUUUUAUAUGUUUUAGGGGGGAGAUACAAGUUGAAUAUACAUGUUUAUGAAAAGUUAUACAAGACUAUUUUUCAGAUUACAGAAUUAAUCACAUGUGAUUCACAACCUGUAGUUCAAAUCACAUGUGAUUAAUCACUAUGCUUUAUAAAUAAAUCAAUUGUCUUCAAAACUACUUUGGAUUAAAUAACAAGUUUUUAAUGUUCCUUUCGUACAAUACUUUUGUUAAAUAAAACUCUUUAUAAGAAUGUAAUCAUACUAAUAUAUUUAUAUAAGUAAGACUUGAAAGACUUAGGACCGAUAGCUCGCCUUAUUUCCUGUUUCUUGUUUGAUUGUGGACUUAGGGUAGUAGUUAUCCAUCCGACUGUCAUUGAUUUCUUAAUUAUAUAUCUCAUAUAUUAGUACAGAUUAUGAGUACUUCUUAAUUCAUUAAUUACCUGAAUCACUACUUGAUUAGAACCACAUACACUAAAUUAACUAUAAUGGGUAUAGUUAAGGACUCUAUCCCUUGUUUCCACUAUUACUCUACACUACUAUAAUUCUCUAUAUUAUGAAGCAAUACACUAAUAAGAGAAUACAAUACAAGUUAUACGAAAGAUUACUACACUAUAAUACAAGAGAAUGCACUAAUCAAGAGACAACUCACUAAUCCACUACGGGAUACUCUAUACGCUAUACACUAUGCCCGAAGUUUUCCGAUAGGAAGACGACACUAUAUGUAUAGAUCUAUACGGGGCAGACGCUAUUACAUCCCGACUGAUAACUUCAGUCCGAGCCGCUCAGGCCCAGGGAUGCUUUUACUCUACUACACUAUGCAUGACUGGGAAGGUCAUGGGGGUUCGCUAUUACUCACACUAUUGGGAAUAUACUAGAAAGACACUAUAACCGCACUAAAAUACUAAAAGAAAGAUGAAGUAAUAUCCCGAAGUAAAUAAGUAUCUAAUAUUAAAGGAUGCUGCACCACUAUUAUAUACUCUAAGAAUAACUUACUAUAUUACAUUACUUAAUGGUGAGUCACUAUUACACUUCUAUGAUAAAUGACAUUCAAAGAUAGAAACAACAGAUUUCUUAAGGAUUUUCAUUUACUAUGCAGUUCUGGAGAAUAUGGGAUUUUCUAGGUUUCACCACUAUUUAUGAUUUCAAACUUCAGUUUUCAUAAUAAUGACUCUAAUGCUUUUAUACAAGUACUCACACUAAAACUCUUAUGAACUCACCAGCUUUAUGCUGAUAUUCUUUUCAAAAUAACUUGUAUCUUCAGGUCAAAGAUAGACAGGUACAGCAGCAGCAUUUUUGGAGAAGAUGGAGGAUACAAGACCCAUCUCUUAUUUUUGUUUACUUUUGGUGUUUGUCAAACAUUACAAAACACACUUGUAAAUACACUUACUAUAUAAAUGAAAUGGUUGUAUGUUUCUUGUUUUUACUAUUAUACAAUUGUGAUGAUACUGUACACUACGUCAUCCACCCCGAAACGUAUUCCGCCGUUAUCGGUUUUGGGGUGUGACAGACUCUGUCCUGAAACUAGAAUUAAAAUCUAUAUGGAACUCGUAUCCAUGCAAUGUUUUCUUCAUUCUUAAUGAGGAAAUGCCCUGAUAAUGACCGAGGAUUAUCUUAACUUAUUAGGAAGUUAGCAUACAUGUAACAGUUUUGUUGGUCACAAACCAACAUAUUGAACAAGUAAAUAAUACGAAUGCAAACAAGAAUGAUGAAACCAAACUACAUUGAUUAGAAUAGUUUCAAUAACCAAGAGAUAAUUAGAUAAUAGACUUUGAUUACUUGCACACUCUUGAUCGAUAACCCUUUACAAAAUAUGGUAUCGAUAUAUAUAAUUAAAGAAUAAAGUUCUAUCUUAACUUAAAUAUAAACAUGUAUAAGGAAACAUAAUCCCCUACUAAAAGGGAGUGUUUUGUUAUAUGGAAAGCCCAAUAUUCAUUACUAUCCUUAACAUAUAAGGACUUUAUCUUUAAUCUUUAGGGCUUCAUCUACUAUCAGAUCUUCAUAAAGCUACCUGAUGACACAUCAGGGGAUGCAACCUAUGAUGAGCGUGAAUGGCAGAAACCGCUGAAACACAACUUUUGAAUUAUUAAAUCACAAGGAUCCUAAUAAUUCCUCCUAUUUGAUAAUGUCAAUAAUAAUAUACAAACUAAUAAAUCUCUAUAUUUUAUAUAAAGUACGCAAAAGAAAAUACAAACUUUAAGGAAAGACUCAAGCAGUUCUAUUAUCAUAUUCAACACCUUCUAACGUAAUCUCAAGCUUAACAAAGGAAAAGUAUCUUAGAGCUCCUGUAUUCUCUUGCUUUGUUCCACUUAUAUAUUUAGCAGGUGGCUUGCCCUUGAUUAAGUGUCUCAGACAGACUAGAUGAUGUGUUGGAGCCCUGUGCAAAUAUGCAUGCCUUUGAAAGCACAUCCUUUGAUUUUUGUCUUGAUAAAACACCACAUAGAUAGGUUUGUUAACAGUCUUAUAAAACUCAGGAACAUUUGUUUGUGGUAACUUGUUGUUUAUUAGUCUGGAACCAUCGGGAAUAAGACCCUUGAUGUGUUCAUUUUCACACUUCUGCCUUCUCCUUAUUUGUCUUUGAGAAGGUUCAGGAGGAGGAGGUGGAGCAACAAUAUUUAACUUAUGAACCUUCUCCAUUAGUUUUCCCAUAGCCAUUCUGGUAAAUUAUAUCGUCAAGUGCAAAAUUUAGUAUAUAAAUUAGUUAAAUUCCGUUCAAAUCAGUCAUAAAUCCAUUAGAAAUCAUUCACAAUCCGUUGGAAAUCCGUCACAAAAUCCUAAUAAGUGUAAUUUUAGUGUAAAUACUUCUAUGGAACCCUUUUAGUGACGGAAAUUGCCAUUGAAUUUUAUUAUUAUUAUUAUUAUUAUUAUUAUUAUUAUUUUCUAGUAAUGCAACCCUUAAAAAACUUAUAUUUCUUUUUGUGUCUGCUACUGCGACUUAGUCUCCUUGGCAACCUAUCUCACCCCUCCGCUCCCUCUUCCCACUUCAAACAUUCUCUCUCUUUCGCUUCCUCUUUAAUCAUAAACACAUAAGUCUUUAAUAGAAAUUUAAUAAUAAAAGCUAAAUCAAACCAAAAGCCAGUUCCCGAUUUGUCCAACUCAAGGAUGAAAAGUAUAAAUAAAUAAAAGAUGAAAAAUAAUAAAAAUAUAAAUAAAAUAUGGAAACUAAAAAUUAAUAAAAUAUUUAAAGGCAAAAAAGUCAUUUUAGGUUUGAUAGGGACAAAAAAUAAAACAAAAUCAAACUGUAAGGACUGCUCCGCUAAAAAUGAAAACAAGUGGACUUAAUUCAAAUAAACUACAUAACCAGCGGGAACAAAUUUGUAGUUUAGUCUUAAAAUAUUGUGUUCAAAGUCGUCGAAAGUUAUCCUCUACUCCACUCGCAAAAGUCCAUUCAACUGUACAUCACAUCUUUAACUUUUUGAUCCGUUGAUACUAUGUAUGAUGGAAGUUUGUUGAGCGAGGUCAAGUGAUAGAUCACAAACAUAAAAAUUUCAUUGUUAUUUAAAGUCAUUGAUAACAUCAGAAGAAACAUACCUUCAUUCUAAGUCUUUCCAAGACAAACUGCUCUCUGCGUUUCCUUGUUUACACCCCCUUCGCAUACAAAACAUACCUUCAUUCUAAGUCAUGGAUCGGUAUGUAUAUAGCAUUUGCAUCUCUUUUAUGCAUCCUUGCAAUGGUGGCCGAUUUAUUACAUGGUUUGCGGAAGAGAAAACUCUGGUUUCCAUGUAAAUAUUUCAGUCUGAAUGCUGCUUCUCUCACUGUGAUAGCUGCUGCAAUAAAGCUACCCAUGGAUCUUAAUAAUCAAAUGCCAGGUAGUGUCGACAUAACAGCAAAGUAUGGAAGUAUGUGCUUUAUGUGCACCAUGAUGGCGAAUUUAUUGCUUUCUAUAGCGACCAUGAACAGCAAGGAACUUCUCACAGACAUCAUAGCGUUGGCUGUUUUGGUGAUUACCUUGGUUGUUAAUGUUUGCAUUCAAAUAAACACAGGAAUUCUCGACUCUUCUGACCAGAAUGCUGCGUGGAUUUUGUUAGAUGGUUCUAUAUAUGUGCCGUAUGAUAAACUGUUCAACCCAGAUAGCAAUUGUGCGGUCAUUUAUUCGUAUAUGUUACUCAUGUUGCUGAUGAUUUAUGUCUGUUUAUCUUUAGCACUUCUAAAGUCCAAACAGAUUCUAGAAUGGAAAUACCAAAGAGCUCAUCAAACAACUUUAAGGGAUCAAGAGCUGCAACAACCAGGAAGAGUAUUAACUGUUGAGAAGCUAAAGCAGCAUGUGAGAAACUACUGGACCAUGGCCGGAACUGGAAGCCCCCAAUUUAUGAUACCCUGCUCUGCUACAACAUGUGCUUCUGGCGUAAUAUGUGUUUUAAGCGGUGUCGUGCAUACUGUCUAUAUGAUCGGUAAUUUUAAAAAUCUAGGGGACUAUAAGUCGGAUUAUAAUUGGUCGAUGCCAGUGAUUUUCAUGAUACAAUUUAUCGGAGUGAUACUGGGUACAAUUGCUCCGGUUGCCAGAUGUUUUGCAGCCUUAAACUUUAAGUUGUCACUUAAAUGGAUUUGGAAGCAUGUCAAGGUCUCUCAAGUAGAGUGCUACUGGACUCAGACGUUAUAUGAAUGAAAACAGAGUAGCAUACCAUUCCCAUUCAGUAGCCGCACCUGCAAGAUUGUCAUACAGUAUUUGAAAGUCCUAACUGUCAGCAUUCUUAUAUCAUUUCAACAGCAAGUCGUGAUGGCAUGCAAGAUGAUAGCAGUGAUUCCGAUUUUGAUAGCAGUAUUUCCAAUUUUCUUUGUGAUAUGUGUCUUGUAUUGUCUUCGUUGUUGGAAAUGGUUAAAGGCCAGUUUUAGCGCUUCAAGCAUCGUGCUGGUACAAAAUCCUGCACAUCUAGGAGAAGAUAACGAUCGAAGACAGUAUGUUUUACAACUUGAAGACGAUAUAGAGUUUGCUGAGAGAACAUUGAAAGGCAUUUCGAAAUCCAUGAAUCGUUUGAUCCAAAAGGCUGAAAAACAACAACCCAAGAAUCUCAUGAGGCUACUAGCAGAAUCUAGAGGUUUUUGAAGGAGUUGAAAAGUUUGACAGCCAUCAUGUUCCGUCUUUACUUUCAGAAGAAUAUCUCAACUGUUGGAGCUUGCCAUUGGUAACUCUCACAACCAUCGCUAUGUCUCUUCCUAACAUCACAAAGAACCUACUUGACUGCUUGCUAAUUAGUGGUGUGAGGGAAGGUCAUGUUUAUGUCACACUUGUGGAAGAAAGCCUCAAUGCUUCUAAUGACCAUGUACUCAUUCAAAAAGCGGCUAAAAUUUCGUGGCUACAAGUUGAAGUCUACAACAAAUGGUACGGAAACAAGCUGCAAAACCCUGAUUCUCAACUACAUACAGCAGGACAGAUUCUUCAAUGACUGAGGGAUACAGCUAAAAACAUGGUUACCGAGAUGGAAGGUACAAAUUAUGGUGUCCAAUGUUGGGUUUAAUUCUGACUUUUAGUCAAAGGAGGCGACUGAUUCAAAGCAUACAAUUUUAUUAGGGGUAGUUUAGUCUUUUGCUUAGAGUAUGAAUAAGUAAAGGCCAUGUUGGCCACGUUUUUAGAAUAGUUGAGAUAGGUUUAGUUGGCUCCUGUUUUAUUGCUUUGACUAGGUGAGUUUGUUUCCCUUUAAAAGUGGAGCAGGCAGCUAGGUACCUGUGUGUGUGUAUAUAUANNNNNNNNNNNNNNNNNNNNNNNNNNNNNNNNNNNNNNNNNNNNNNNNNNNNNNNNNNNNNNNNNNNNNNNNNNNNNNNNNNNNNNNNNNNNNNNNNNNNNNNNNNNNNNNNNNNNNNNNGGUACUUAAUGAAGAUGCAAGAGGUUAGAAAGAUGUAGUCCUAUGUAUGUUUGGGUUUGUUCACAGGGGGAAUGUUCCAACGUUUGAAAUUGUUGGUUCAGGCCUGGACUCACUCCUUUUAACCCCGGUCAAAACAGUAAAUUUGUAUACACAUAACUUUCAAAAAGACUGAUUACACACAUUUAAAUGAAACUACAUAUGCGGCUAUAUAAAGCUGAAAGAAAACGUGAUAACCCUAAAACUUUGUAGGUGCAUGUGCUCCUAUUAAAGUGGUUUGAGAGGGGUUGUGUUUUUUCAAGACACGAAUGCACUCCUAUUUAAGGUUCAUUUGGAAGAUUGCUUUAAUAGUAUUAUCUUAUAGAGUUUGAUAUGCAAAAUUCUCUUAUUUAUUUAUUCAGGCAAUUCCUGCAGCAUUGGGAGUUAGUGCAACUAAAGAGUACCAUGUUAACUCUCUUUUUGUUCCUCGAAAAGCCAAAGAAGCUAUUGGAGGCAUUACAAGCCUUACUCAUUCAGAUGCUAAGUUUUGUUGAAUUAUCUCGUUAUUGAGUCAUGGUUUUUAUAUUAUUUUUAUAUUGACAAAAAUACCCUCAGGAAUAGAAAUGGUGAUUAAUAUAGAAUACAAUCAAUUGGAUACUCUUCUUAGAGCAACAAGUCAUCUUAAUGGAGAUGUCAAUUGUGACACUGGCUUUUCUCCAUACCCAGGCAACAUAAACCAAGUAUAAUAUAUCACUUUAUAUUUUAUUAUUAGAGUGAUUUUCCUGAUAUUAAGUUGUGAUUUUUUAUGAUUACAUUUUAUUGUAGUUAAUUCUUGAGGUUGGGCCUUACAUGGAUGAACUCUCAAAAACCGGUGGUGCUAUAUAUAAAGGAAUUUGUUAACCCCAAGUAACUUCUCUCAUACCUCAUGCAUUCUUUCUAUUUCCUAAAAGUGUAUUUAAAUGCUAACCUUAUGAAUCACUCUAUUUAAAAACCUAAGACUAUUAAGAGUUUCUAUUAAAGGAAACUGCCAAAAUGGUCCCUAUCGUUCAAAAAUUUUCUUUGGUUCAAGUCCAACAAAGAUUUUUUUGUUUAAUUUUUUGUCCCUAUGUCAAGGUUUCAUUACUCUUGGUCAUUGUAUCGUUAAAUGUAACUAGACAGCUAUUUGGUUUUUCAAAAUGACCAUUUUACCCUUCGACCAAACUCAAAAAAGACUCUAUACCACAAGGAUGAAAUUUGUAAUCUACCCAUCGUUUUAUUAAUUAUACUAUGUUCUAAUUAUAGGGAUUGAUAUUUUUAAGUGUGGAUUUAAUCUUGUUUAUAUAAUUUAUAUUUAAUAUACAUAAAAUCCACAAUAGAUUAUUCUAUUGUUCUUUAUAAUCUAAAAUAAAUAUACAAUUAAUUCUUGAAUUAAAUAUAUUAUAUAACAAAUUCAAGAUUUUUUUUAAAAAUAUUUUGUAUAUUUAUAUUAUAAUUAAAACACGUUAUACUUUCUAGAAAAAGAUUUCCAUUGUUGAUCCUAAGUCUAAACCCAUUUUGACUAUACUUUCAAGACUAAAACUACAAAUUAAUUUGGUCCCUGGGUUUAUCUUUUUUUAGUUUAGGUCCAAAAAGAUAGUUUUUUUUUUUUUUUUUUUUUUUUUUUUUUUUUUUUUCAAAUUUUGUCCCUAUUUCCGGGUUUCGUAACACUUUUGAUCCCUGUUCCAUGUAAACUAACUAGUAACUACACCUAUCCUCUUUGCUUAUGGAAUCAUCUCUUAGGAUACAGAUAAAAAGAUUCAACAAAUUAAAACUACAUUCAAAUCAUCAACCAGGUUAGAAUGUAUGAUGCAAGAUUAGCCUAAAACAUUGCCUCCAUCAGCAAGAGUUGCAUUUACUGUAAGUAAAGUGAUUAUUCCAUCAAUUUACAGUGUUGCCAUUCUGACCAUCUUUUGACUUGUUUGGAGACAGAUCCAUGGCUUGCAUAUGCACCUGUGAAGAACAAUCCUGAUGAUGAUGCUGCAAAGGUUCUCUUGUAAUUUUUGUCCCUAUUUGACGUUUUUGGUAAUUUACCAAGUAAAAUUAUCAUAUUUUUGUAUGAUCAAAAUUGCAAAAAUCAGCUAUACCCAGAGGACAAAUAUGUUGCAAGAACCUCAAAUAAGGACUAAAUUACUAAUAGAACUUUUUGGGACCAAAAAUUUAAUUUACUAUAAAAUUAAUAAUCAUAGAGUAGAUUACAUUUUUGGUCCUUUAGUAUUAUAGUUUAUUUUCUGCAAUUUUGGUCCUUAGUUUAUGUUUUUGGUCUGUGUCAUAAUUAAAAUGAUUCUUUUGGUCCCUAACUAUAGCUGAUUUUUUUUCGAUUUUGGUCCCAAAAAGAUACUCAUUUUACUUGGAAUAGGGACCAACAACAUUACAAAAACCUCCAAUAAGCACCAAACGACAAAAGAGAAAACCUUUUGGGACAAACAAUGCCAAAACUAGUUAUGCUCAGGGGCCAAAAUGUAAUUUACUCUAAUAGAAUAAUCUAAUUUUUUUUUCUUCAGGCGGGUGUUAAGAUAAAUGAUCCAGUUUUAAAGGUGUUUAAUGGCCAAGAGGUGGAGGUUUGGUCACGUGUUGUGUGGAAGCCAAAAUGGGCUGUUACAUUUUCUGAUGUUAAAAGGAAAGUCAAAGGAAACAACAACUCUGUUUCAUAAUGCUCUUAUUGAAGAUUUGUCACUGGAUGGAACCCUAGUUAUCGAUUCAGUUGAGGAUGCUGAGGUAUGUUAGAAAUAGCAACAUGCUUUCAUUUCUUCCUAUUACAUCAUUGCACAUUUUGUAUCCAUAUCAACUUAGGUUAUGUUUGGCACACCAUAACUAGCUUACUUUUUUAUUUAAUGUCUGUGGGGCAUCCCUGUGGCGCUGAUAUGGUGUUGAUGUUGACUUUUUUUUUUUAUUUAAUUCAAGUUUUAUUUGAUUUUAAAUUAAUAUAACACUUAAAAUUGUAAUUACUCUUGAAAAAAAAAAUAGAGAACCAUUGCCUUCACCAACAUCAUCUUCAUGAUUUCAUCACCCCAAAGUACUUCGUCUUCUUCACAAAACAUUCGUUUCAGAUUUGAUUUUUAUUCUUAUUUAUUUAUUUAUUUAGUACAUGGCCAUUUUUAGCGCUUCAAGCAUCAUGGAGAAGAUAACGAUCGAAGACGGUAUGUUUUACAACUUGAAGACGACGUUGAGUUUGCUGAGAGAACAUUGAAAGACAUUUCGAAAUCCAUGAAUCGUUUGAUCCAAAAGGCUGAAAAACAACAACCCAAGAAUCUCAUGAGGCUACUAGCAGAAUCUAGAGGUUUUGAAGGAGUUGAAAAGUUUGACAGCCAUCAUGUUCCACCUUUACUUUCAGAAGAAUAUCUCAACUGUUGGAGCUUGCCAUUGGUAACUCUCGCAACCAUCGCCAUGUCUCUUCCUAACAUCACAAAGAACCUACUUGAUUGUUUGCUAAUUAGUGGUGUGAGGGAAGGUCUUGUUUAUGUCACACUUGUGGAAGAAAGACUCAAUGCUUCUAAUGACCAUGUACUCAUUCAAAAAGCGGCUAAAAUUUCGUGGCUACAAGUUGAAGUCUACAACAAAUGAUAUGGAAACAAGCUGCAAAACCCUGAUUCUCAACUACAUACAGCAGGACAGAUUCUUCAAUGGCUGAGGGAUACAGCUAAAAACAUGGUUAUCGAGAUGGAAGGUACAAAUUACGGAGUCCAAGAUGAUAAUUCCAAAUGCAGGUCUAUUUCUGCCAACUCAAUGUAUCGUAUCACCGAAACAAUCUUGCUUUCUUACCACACCAACAUUGACGAGCUUAGCCAAGAGGAACUAUUUGUUCAGCUAUCAUUAAUGAGUGCUGAUAUAUUGGCUGCAUGUCUCACCAACUUUCCCCAGGUAAUAUUAAUGAAAUGCCACACAAGUGCCAUAGAAAGAAGGGAGGCGAAUGUCCAAGCUGCAGCUCAGCUUCUCGGUGAGACUACAAAGAUAAUCAACACCCUUCAAGAACGUGAACUUCCAUGUUUGAAUACAGACGAUUUGGCGUCUAUUGACAAGUGGCGUGCUUACUUAAUGGAUCACAUUCCUUAAAAAUCAUUUUUACUUUCGAGUGACAAACUUCGUUUCAUAAAGAUUUUUUGCAAUUUCUUUUCAUUUUCCUAGAAGAUUAUGUAAUUGUUAUUGUGAUUCCUUUAAUGCUUGUUUUAAGAAGUGAAUAUGAGUAGAAAAGAUGGUGGGUAUCGUACUUUGAUUUUCAUGGACAUCACCCUUCUCAUAUUCUAUAAUGCCUCAUAUUCUAUAAUGCAAGGCCACACACCUUCAACAAGUCUUCAUCAUUAUCAUUCGAAAUGCUUGUUGAGUUUGUGUUUCUAGUUAUUUUCAAAAGAUGACUACAACUUGGGACAAACUCCGGAGAUGAACAUUAAAUCAAUGAUGGUUGAGUGAGAGAAUGAGAUUCAGAAGUAGCUACAAGUCCAUAUCAAUAGCAUUCAUCGUGAUUUUCCAAACUAGCAUUGAAUGAUACAGACCAAGCAGAAUAAAUUCAUGAAGGCAGCUAUGAAUGAAACAAAAUCCAAGUCGACGUUUAUAUCUGUUAGCUUAAUGAGAUUUUGGGCUUAAUUUUGUAUUGGGUAUUAUGUUGGCCCAUUAGCUAGUUAACCCUAAUUAGCUAGUCUAUAACUUAUGUCUUUCCUUUUCAUUAUAAUUGUACUUCUCAUUCGAUAAUAACACAAAACCCUAGUCGUUCUAUGCCUUUUAGUUGUUAGUUCACAUUGUAUCAGAGCUACAUUUGAUCCUUUGUUUAUCAUAGUUGGAGCGAGUUAUAUAUAACAUGCAAACAAUUAACGGAACGAUUUCAAGGAAAUUUUUGUUAUUUUGGGUAUGGUUUUCUUGCUCAUUUCUUUAUUCCGCUUGAUUUGAUUUGUUCAUUUUUGUCAAUUUUGAGGUUUCGUUUCGUCAGUUCGUUUUGGUGAUUAUUGUUGGAGUUUUGCUUUGCUUGCUGUUGGGUUUUGUCUGUUGGUUUUGAUUUUGCCAUAUCUGGGAAUAUGACACGAGAUGAUUCUUUUCAGUCACGUAGUAUACAACUCGAUGGCAAGAACUAUGCCUAAUGGAGCUAUGUUAUGAAGAAUUUCUUGCCGGGAAAGAAUAUGUGGGGUAUUGUGAAGCAGGGCAAACCAACAUAUGGCAUGGCUGUAAAUUAUGCAAUCUUACUAGAUUCAUGGGAGACUGAUAACUCCAAGAUCAUUACUUGGAUUAAUAAUUGUGUUAUCCAGUCUAUUGGUACUCCAUUGGCGAAGUAUGACACAAAAAAUGAGGUUUAGGAUCACUUGGAUAUGCUAUAUACUAGGUCUAAUUUUGCAAAGCAAUACCAAUUAGAGUUUGAUAUUUGAGCCCUCCAACAGAACAAUCACAAUGUUAAGGAAUUCUAUGAAGUUAUGUCAGAUUUGUGGUAUCAGUUGGCUCUUAUAGAUUUAUUAAGCUGAAGGGUUUUAAGCCUUAUAUUGAUAGAAAGGAAGAGAAAUGUUUAGUUUAGCACUUAAUGGAAUUAUGUUUAGGCUUUGAAGGCUUGCAUGGAUCAAUCUUGCAUCACACACCUCUUCCCACUGCUGAUUUGGUUGUUCACGAGGAGAUAGCUAAAUGAACUCGCAUUAAGUCCCAUGCUGAUAAAGGUCCCAAGACAACCACUCCUGUUGUCUUUGCUACUCUACAAUGACCUCAAUAUGAAAACCAUAAUCAUCCCAAAUUUCCAUUUGAUGAGUUUUCUUUCUGUAGGAAGAAGAAUAAUUGGAAGGCAAAUUAUCAUUUGUUGUUAAGAAAGGGAAAUCAAAAGCAAAAACAAACAAGAUCACAUGCAUAGUCUCAACUUUCACAACAGAACAUGUUGUUUGGAUUACGUUUGUCAUUUCAACCUUUUAGGCUACCACAAUACGUUGCUACUGCACUUUCAGUUGAGAAUGAGACAUUUCACACCACCAUCAGCUUUGGAUCCCCAGAUUGUUGAGUAGUUUAGACAGCUCAUUUUUUCCAAUCCAGCUUCCAUGUUAGUUUCCAUAUCUCAUUCAGGUCUGUCAUCAUCCAACACUUCAUGUAUUCCUUCAUCCUUGUGGAUAUUGGAUUCUGGUGGAUCUCAUCACAUGUCACCAUAUUUGUCAUAUUUUUCCUUGUUAUCACCUUGUUCACCUGUCUCUGUUAUGUCUGCUAGUGCUACACAUAUGUCGAUAGAGGGUUUUGGUUCUAUUGUGUAACAUCCCAAAAAUCAUGAUAAAAAUUUUAAUUUUGAAUUUAGAUAAAACCCGUUGUUUUCAUAAGACCCAAGUCACAAAAUCUAAAUGUCAAAUACAAGCAUCCCAAAACUAGAGUAUCCAAAUCAGGUAGAAAAUCACAAUGGUAGAGAAUGUGUAGGAUCAAGCCUUCUCCAUUCCCUGAUAAGCCGAAGGACCUGACACAAUAAAUCCAUAACUAUAAUGCCAAACUUAGCGAGUUUCCUAAAAUACCAAAAACAUCAGAAUUAGUAAACCCUAAUCCCCAUUCUCUCUCAUUUUGUGAGCUAGAGUGACUUUUGAAGCUUAAGAAGAAGGAGACAGUAAGAAGAAGGAGAAGAUCCAGCAAACCAAGCCCUCACUCUUGAGCUUGAUCAUCUUGUGGACUGUGUAAGUCUUCAAGACUCGAUUUUUAUCUUAGAAUAUGGCUAGAUCUUGAGUUUACUCUUCAUUUCCCAUUGUUCUUGUUGAUUGCAUGCAUGAGGUCCAUAAAGUUUGCAACUUUAUGGAAUUUCAAGGCAAAAUAGUCCCUAGGUGGGCUAGAUCUAGUUUUUGAUCAAGCAAGGGUGCCAUGCAAGAGUUCUAAAAGUAUAUUUCCCCUUUUUGACCAUCUUGACCUAAAGUGUAACAACUCGAAAUUCCGUAUCAUUGCUUAUAACCCUUUUCGUAACCCAAUUCUAUCAACCGAUCAUCGUUUCCAAAUUUAUUUCCGAUUUCGUCAUUUAAUUAAGUCAUUAAUGUGUAUUUUAUAUUAUGACUUAAUGGGAAUCCUAAUACCUUUAGAACUCAUUCAAACACCCCAUAUUAGUGAUCGGAUCAUUUCUAGAAUCAACCACAUCGAGUUACGGCAACUUGAUCGGGUGCGACCAAAAGCCCCGUCUAAAGCCGAUAUUGGGUAGAAUAUCACCGUGUCCAAAUCCCGAACACUAUUUAAAGUGUUCUAAGACUUCAUUUGAAGCUUUUGCUUCAUCUCACUACUCUCUCUCUAACCUCUCUCCUCAACCAAAGAUUCAAGGUCCAAAACAUUGAAUUAAGGCUCCAAAUCUUUGAGGUAACAUCCCCAACUUGUUGUUUAACCUCUUAGGCCUUCAAAUUCGUGUUUAAUUUAUCAUUUUGGACCUGGAACAUGUGUUUACGGCCAAGGAGCAUGCUUGGGCCGUAAACACAUAAAAACAUGGGUUUUUGAACAAUUUAACCCUUCCAAACCAUCAUUGGGACUUAGAUAUGACCUUAAGGCUUGCAAAAAUGGACUUAGAACACCCUAGACAUGGAUUUUGAGGGACAAAUAAGAGUUUAUGGCCAAGGAGCAUGGUUGGGCCGUAAACUCCUCAUUCAUGGGGAGUAAACUCAUUUAAACAUGUUAGAAAGCCAUACAACUCCACCAAAAGCCUUGUAAUAAAUCCUAGAAUCAUCUAAAAAUAGUUUGGGGACCUUAAACAUGUCAAACACCCUCCAAUUAGGUGUUUACGGCCAAGGCACCCCAAGAACAUGUUCAUGGGCCGUAAACUCCUUUAUACAUGUCAAAUGAUACCCUAAAUUCAUACCAAGGCUUGGAAAAUUAGUUAGAAUCGCAUGUGAUUGUCCUAAGCCUCACAAAAUAAAUAUGGUUUGAACUUGGGGGAGUUUACGGCCGUAAACUCCAUGUUUACAGCCGUGAACUCCCAUAAAUGGUGUAUAUGUUCAUACAAUCCAUUCCUAGGCUUUAGAAAAAUCCAUUCCAAAAUUCCCCAUGUGCAUUGAAGCCAUUUAGCAUCCUAAAUCACCCAACCAUGAGUUCACGGCCGUGAACUCAUGUAUGUAUGGGAUAUAUGGCCGCAAACUCCAUUAGGAGUUUACUCUUGAAGAGUAAACUCAAUUCCCAAGUCCCUCGUAUCAUUACACGUCCGUAGAUGUCACCCGGGUCACUCCAAACACUCGUUUUGAAGUGUUUUCGCUCAUUGGAGUGUAAUAUCAUAUCUAAUUAGAGUUUAUAAAUCUAAUUAGAUAUAUUUGUAUACCAUUUCAUAUUACAUAGGAACCUCGCGUGUUAUCAAGCCUCGAUUCGACACUUAGCAUCCGGAACGUUGCAUUUUCUCGUUUGGUGAGUUCAUACCCCUACCCUUUUUCAAUGGUUUUUAAAUGUUUUCAGGGGGGAAUACAAGCAAAAGUACAAGAAUAUCUUGUACUUAAAUACAUUAUUUCAUUUAAAUGGUUUCAUUAUUCGUACAUUUUUAAGAAUUGAAAACCUUUUAAUAAACUGUUUUUAACUUGCUGAGUUGUUGUUCAAAUCGAUUUUCAAUUCUUAUUAUAUACUGUUAUGUGGUAUACUUCACAUUUGAUUGUUCACACUUAUAUUGAUAUAAAACAUCAAACAUUUGUAAUAUCUGUAAUAAAACACCUAGGCUCGAGUGUAAAAGACAGACAUCAUUAGAAAACAUAAAACAUCAGUAUUGUCCUUAAUAAAACACCUAGGCUCGAGUGUAAAGGACAGCCACCAUUAGAUAGCAUAGAACAUUUGUGAUGUCCUUAAUAAAACACCUAGGCUUGAGUGUAAAGGACAGGCACCCUUAGAACUUAGUUAGUCAUAGAUACUACUUCCCUAUACGAGAAGUAAAGAGUAAUCUUAAAGAUUGGAGACACGUCCUCUGUAACACUUCCUUGGCACGAGAGAGUGGAGGACUAACCCUGUAACCAGAAUCUCCAGGAGGGAGAACGUGACUUGAGUGUAUAGAUCAAUACGGGACUGAAAAUCUCGCACCUGGCUGCUAGCUACAUCCGAACCGAAAGGUUCAAGGGUGACGAAAGUCAUAAAAAGGAUACUGGCCCUGGCCCGAGUCAUAUCUAGUCUGAGUAUGGUUAAGGACUCGCAAUCAAGAUUAUUAACAUUUUACACUUAUUUAUUAGUUUUAUGUACGUAAUAAAACUAAUGUACAUUUAAGGAUAAUCGGACCUUCAGGAGACUUCACACACACACAUUCAGGAAAACAUGGGGUUUUCCUGGGGAUAACAUUGAACAUAAUCGGAACCGGUAACAGUUCGCACACACAGAAUCGGUAACAGUUCACACAAACAUGUAGGAAAAUAUAGGAUUUUCCUGAGUAACAGUAGUACGUAACCAAAAAAGUGUAACAAGUUAGAUAACUAAACUUAACGAUUCACAAGAACAAUCAUGGUUUUUAAUCUAUAUUUUCAUGUAUAUCAAACUAUCUUGUAUCUAGUUCGGGAUGGUAGUCCCAUGGUAUUCAAUCUAUAUUUUCACGUAUAUCAAACUAUCUUGUAUCUAGUACGGGAUGUUAGUCCCAUGGUUUUCAAACUACUUUCCAUCUACAAUUCACGUAUAUCAAAGUAUUUUAUAUCUAAUUCGGGAUAGUAAUCCCAUGAUUCUCAAUAUAUAGUUUUGUGUAUUAAACUAUACUCUGUGAUAUUCAAUCGGUCUUGUAUUUAAGAAAAUAUGGGAUUUUCUUGGACAGCCACUUUUUCAGGAAACCAAAGGAACUCAUACAUUUUUCACAAAACAAAACCGCUUAUGAACUUACCAGCUUUAUGCUGAUUUUCAAACCGCUUGUAUUCUCAGGUUCACAUUAGACAGGUACCCGACGAUCUCUUUUGGCGAAGACGAAGUGCGUAGAAGACUCGUCACAUUUUGUUCAUAUAUACUAUGUAUCACACUUGUACAAUUUACUUUUGAAACAAAUGUAAACUAUUAUAUAUGUAAUGUAAUGGUUGUCUACUUUGCUUACUAUGUGCAUUAGAUUUGAUACUCAAUGUGGAGUCCGCCCCGGAAAUGUUUCCGCCUUCGGUUUUCGGGGUGUGACAUAAAGUCAUACUUUGGACAUGUAAGUCCAUAAAGCCUCCAUCUUUGGAACAUUUUGAGGAAUAUAAACUUUUCUGGAAAGGAGGGAUUCCAGAUCCCUAGAGUCUUGGACCAAUUGGCAAAGCUUUUGAGCUUUCCAACCUUUGAUAAGGCCCUAGGAGCGUUUGGAGUAGUUCUAGACGGUAAAGUUGGAAAAUUUAUCCUUCUAGGCACUUUAGGGCUUCAGAUCCAAGCCCUGGAGUUCCUAGAUUCGGUGUAUCAUUACAUCAAGCAAAUAGGAAUGGGGACUCGACAAGUUGCUCUAGGAACUGGACGAGUUGGAUCGGGUCUCCCCACCUUCUGAAUAUCAAGUAAACUCGUCGAGUUGCUGAAACAACUCGGCGAGUUGGCUAGGGUUUGAGCAGAUUAUCUGGACUCGGUAGGAACUCGACGAGUCGCUAGAUGCACUCGACGAGUUGAGGUCAACAUAGACUAUUGACUUUGACUGUUGACCUUGACUUUGAUCAAGGUUGACCAGGGUUGACCUUGAGGGUAAUUCUGGGAUUUUGACAAGCCCAUCUUAUAAUGAUUACAAGAAGUUGAGUUAGAGAAACAUGUGGGACAUAUCUGGUUCUAGCAUUGUCGGUUUCAGCAUUCGAGAGAGGUGAGUCUCCUCACCAUACCAAUGGGUCUAAGGCACCAAGGCGGUCCAUUUUAUGUUAGGUGGUACACUAGCGUUGUAGAUAUAUGUGGCAUGAUAGUUAGCUUUGUGCUAAGUAGUAUGCUAGUGAUUGUAUGUUAUUGCAUGGAAGACCGUGGGGGGAGCCCGUGGCAGUUGGGUAUAAGACCAUGUGGGGUAGCCCAUGGCGCGAAGGUGUAGGACCCUGGGGGAGCCCACGACAUCCUUACAGGUCUAUGUAUGCAUGUCUUAUGUGGUAUAUGUAGCUUCAUAGCUAAUACAAUUUAUGUUAUGUGGAUUGUGUGUGGGGUAUGCUCUGGGGAACUCACUAAGAAUUAGCUUACAGGUUGUAGAUUUGUUUCAGGUACAUCGGAUCCCAAGGGCAAGGGCAAGGCGUGAUGGCGCGAAGUGCACUCUCACACAUGCUUUUUAUGGACACUCUGAUAUUUUAAAUAAAAGUUGUAAUUGUUAUGAGUUUGAAAACAAUUAUAUAUGGGAUUUUGUAAUUUAUUGAAAUGAGUUUAGAUAAUCAAAAAAUGAAAAUUUUCCUUUGAAAAAUCCGGUCGUUACACCAGAAAUUGCAAGAACAAGAUGUUACAUUGUAUGUUGCUUGAUCCCGAGUACGUAUUCCAUCUGAAAUAUUUCCAAUAAUGUGAUCAAACGGGUGACCUGGAACAAUACAUAAAUUAAUCAUUGAUGAACUAGUUCCAUUUGAAUCACUAGGAUGUUCUUUAGAAUUUGAAAGAGGAGCUUCAGGAUUUUCAGUUGGAGGAACUUCACAUAAUUUUUCAUGAGCAAAAUCUUCGAUUUGGACAACAUCUUUUAAGAGGUUUGAAGAUUAUAGAAGAGAAUUUUGAUCAAAUGGGAUGACAGUUUCAGUGAACUCGUAGUCCAUAGAUGGAUAGUAAGCAAUCUCAUCUAAUAUCACAUGAAUUGAUGUAGGAAUUAACGUUGAAUACUCAAAAGGAUUUAGACUCAUUUGAAUAUCCCAGAAAGAAACCUUAAUCAACUUUAGCUUUUGUAGGAUGUUUUCCAAUGACGCUUAACAGUGAUUGAUUGAUUUUGAGUAUAUGCUUAUACCCAAAAGGAAGGUGGUUAACCAGCUUCAAUUACCCUAGCGCAUCCAACUUUAAUCAACAUCCAAUUACAUCUUAUAGUGAAUCCAUUUUGGUGAGGAGUUUGGACCGAUGAGAAGUUUUGAGAGAUUCCUUUUUCAUUGCAGAAAUCCUCUAGAUUGUAAUUUCUAAACUUAAUUCCAUGAUCACUUCAGAGUUGGCUUAUCUUUCGAUCAUAUGAUAAUUCAUUCUUUUUUACAAGAGAGAUGAUUUCUUCAGUUGCAUGGACAUUUUGUCGAAGAAACAACACCAACGUGAAUCUAGAAAACUCGUCAACAAUUACAAGAGUGAACCCUUUGCCAAAUCUUAACUUGAUAGGAACUCGUCCAAACAAAUCCAUGUAAAGAAGGUUGAACAUAUCAAUGAAAGAGAAACAUGAACUAGGUUUAAUUGAAGACUCGGUUUGUUUGCCUUUGACACAUGUUGACCAAAUCAUAUCUUUGUGAAACUUCAUCUUGGGCAUUCCUCGGACAAGUUCAUUACCAGAAAUCUUUGAAAAGAGUUUUGAAAUUCAGAUGAGAUGGCUUCUUCUUCCACAACCAAUAUAAGUGAGAUUGGAUCCGGAGUAGAAGUAGUGUCUAGGAGUUGAAUCAACAGAGAGAACAUAUGUAACGCCCGUAGAUCUAGGCUCGUCAAUUUAGAGGCAAUAGGGGUCGAAAACGACUUUUUCGACAAAAGAUUAUUUAGAUUAAUAAAUCUUAACCAAGUUGUAGAAUAUGUCACAAGGUUUCCGUACAUAUAAAGAACGCCGAAAUCCGAGUUAUAACGAAGAAGUUAUGACCCGUCGAAGUUUCGCGACGGAACCGGCCCGGCACCGGGAAGCGUAAAUAGUGAAUUUACGAUAGAACGAGAUUUAGCCUUAGCGCUCUAAACGAAACUCUUAGAAUAUGUUAAACUAAGAACUUCGAUAAAAAGAACGCCCAAAUCUGACUUCGUAUGAAGAAGUUAUGAUUUUUCGAAGUUUCGGAUUAGCAAUGUACAAACCGAAAUUCGAAUAUUAGAUCGAGCGAUUUUUAGCCGACACGACCUGAACAAGAAUCGAAGAUUUCGUUAAGAGAAGCAUAACAAGAAAAAAACGGGCGAAAACGGACGUCGGAUGAAGAAGUUAUGAGGAUUUAACGGACCAGUCCUGUCCCGGCCUGUUAAAAAUAUAACUUUAAAAAUAAAGUCAAAAUUAGCCGACAGAGUCUAAACGAAAGUUGUAGAGUACGUCUCCACCUACGCGUGGAUAUAAAGAACGUCAAAAACGGAGUUCGUAUGAACGAGUUACAAAUUAUAAUAGCAUAUUUGUGUAUUAAAAUAAAGUAUAAAUCAUAUAUACGUACACAUAUAUAUACAUAUGUAUAUAUCAUUAGAAAGGUAUCGACGAUGCGGUCAUUAUAAGACUAAUGUUGAGUUCUUUCGACAUUAGUUUAGUGCAAAUAUCGUUAAAUCUAUUUAAAAUAGUAUUAUAAAGGGGUGUUUAGUUGUUUAUAUAACUAUAAGGUCAUUAAGUAAUUAUGGAGGGUAGUUUUUGUAAAUUCAAUUACAAUAAAUAAGAGGCUUGGUCUCUCAUAUUUCUUGUACCAUUCUCUUGAUUCAAGAGUCUUUCUCUCCUUAUCCCCCGAGCAUUUCGGUCCCUCGUGAUUCGACUUCUAUUUCUGUAGUUUUAGUAUAGUAAGGUGAGCGCUGAGCGCUGCAUGAAUCUUUCUUAGAAAGAUACAGCGACGAAGUUCUAGCCCUGCAGAGCCCGACUCCUAGCUAAAACCCCUUGUAAGUAAGUUAUGCUUACCCUAUUUUAAUAUAGCUUACAUUUAAAAUUAGUAUUGUUAUUAUGAACUUAUAAUAAAUAUUUGAGCUAUUAUUAUAACUUAUAUAAGUGUCGUUAUAAUAUUUUUUUUAAUACUUGCGGUACGGGGAAUCUGGUUUAAAAAGCCGCAUAGGGUUGUUGGAUUUCAGAAGUGCUAUAUGCCAAAAUGGUCCUGCCCUCCGGUGUUUUAUGUCUGGCCCCUGUCUGUACAUAGUGGUUGGAAAGUAUUGUUUAAACGCUUAUAUAAUAAUAAUAAUAAGACUAAUAAUUAGUCACGGUAAAUAUUAGACUAAAAUCUAGUGGUAAUAAUACUAGGUUUCGUCGAAGGAAAUUAUUUUAAAGUAAACGAAGCGCUGUCCGAGUACCGAGUCACCACCUUCUCAGGUGAGUGCAUAGUCCCUUUCAUCUUACACAUAGAUAUGAAGUAUUUUAAUAUAAAUUACGUGCUGUGUGUGCAUAUUGUCUGAAUACUUGCUGUCUAUGCUGGGUGAAAGAUUUUUAUACAUGUUUUAAAUGAUUUAAAUUGUAUAUGUAUUUUAUAUCUACAAAAUGUGUUGGGUAAAACAUGGGUAGAUGAAAUAGUUGUUUUGUGAUAACACGAUGGGAGACAUCAAUGUUGUCAGUGAUCCAGUCAUCUAGUGGAGUAUAGAUGGUGACCAUGGGCGAUACUAGACGGUCUGGUGGAACGCUACUAAGCUCGUAACCUGUAGGUGUUUUUGAACUAGGUGCUCAUUAGGUAUUUUGAACUGAGUGUGUUCACUACGUAUCUUUGAACUGAGUGUGUUUACUAGGUAUUUUGAACUAAUGUGUUCACUAGUUCCUUAGGAUAAUCCUUAGGAAUGAAUGAACGAGAAAUAGCUGAUUCUUAGGGUAGAUCCUUAAGAGUAAAGAAGAUAAUGGGGAUGGGUAAUUGGGUUUAAUUGCUUGAUUGUUUAAACAUAAUAAUUAUAUUAUUGUGGGUUGAAAACCCUAUGUACUCACCAGGUUUCCCAACCUGACCCACUCAGUUUAUUUAUAUCACAGGUGUUGAUAUGAAGUCACAUUACACUGAGAGAUUAAAGAGAUGUAGAUCACUAGUGUAAAUAAAUGUAAGUUAUGUUUAUGCUUAUGUUUCUGUAUUGACAAUGACCUCCCAAAUGUUUUAAAAUGAAUACAAUACGUUUCUUCGAAAAUGUUUUAAUAACGUAUUUAUCGUGUUUUUCUGGGAACAAAUUCCACAACAUUUUUAUUAAAAGUACUCUGAUUUUUAUAAAUCAUAAACAAAAUCGGUCUUUUCUGGCCGUGAAAAUGGGGAUGUCACAACAUAUCCAACACGUAGAUAUCAUUUUUCAGUUGGCAGUGAGAACAACUAAUUUCUUUGAGUCAAUGAUGUUUCCUUCCUUUUAUUGAAAUGAAACUCAUGACCAGCGUCACAGAGCUGACUAAUUAAAAUAAUAUUAUGUUUGAGACCCUUGACAUAUGAACCAUUUUUUUUAAUUCGAUGGAUUUGCACUCAAUUGUUCCAAAGCCCUUUUCUUCCCUUGUUAUCAUCUCCAUGAGUUACUACGAGGCCAUUUUUUCUAACAAAAUCAUUCAGGAGGGAUUUGAAUCUUUUCAUGUGCCUAGAGCAUCCACUAUCAAGAUACCACAAAUGCUCCUAUUCCUGUAGUGCUAUGAAAAUAUGUUAGGACACGCCGACCCUUUUUUCAAUCUCACUGAAGAAAGAACAUUAUAACAGGCAAUAGGAAGAUACUUUAAUGAGUUUUUCUUUUUUGUCCAUUUCUCAUUUCUAAUGCGAAUACUGUCAUUUCUUUUAGUAUUUUCUUCAACAGUACAAUCGCUUAUCUUAUGAGAAGUAUCUCCACAUCUAUAACACAUCGUUAUACCUUAUUUUUUGUUUUUGUUAGCAUUAUUCCAACAUUUGAGUUUCCAAUAGGUUGACACUUUUUCAUUAAUCUUACAAAUUUUUGAACAAGCUUUAGAAAAAAAGGAUCUAUCCUCAUCAUAAGGUAUCGAAGUGGAGAGAUGACAUGCUGAUGUACACAAAGAUUCAUUAAUGUUAGAGAAAGGAUCAUCAACUAACAGUGCAAUUUGGAGAAACAAUGAGUGUUUUCAUGUAUGGAGUGAAAUUCACCAUUAGAAAUGAGAAAUUUGAGGUACCAAUGAGUGGUAGGAGUAGUAAUGUCAAGGGAAAGAUUUUUAAUGGUGGUAUCCAAGGCAUUUAAAUGGGUGGUACAUUUUGUAAAACCAUCAUGAGAAGUUGUGCAAUGUUUGUUGUUUGUCAAUAAAACACUGAUUUAUAUAAGUGGUACCGACAAACCUAGAUUUAAAAUCUCCUUCAAGUUCACUGAGAGUAAAUAAAUUUGGUUUAGUGUCAACUUUUUUAUAGAUUUUGAUAGCUUCAUUUAUAUUUUCGCGGAGAAUCUUUUCACACCGAGCAGGUAUCUAGGCAUUUAUUAUUUUAUUUAACUUAAGGUGAGAGUGAGCCGAAUUAUUUACAAUACCUUGUAACUUACUUGAGAGCAACUCACUUUUAUCCUUUUUUUUAGGGGUGAGCAUAAUAACCGGAAAACCGAACCAUAACCAAAUUAACCAAUAUAACCGAACCAUAAUAACCGAACCGUUUUAAAAACCAUUGGUUCGGUUUCUAAUUUUUGUUAACCGACAACAAACGGUUCGAUUAUGGUUUUAUAGGUUAACCGAACCAUUAUUAACCGAACCGCUAACUUUAUAUUUUAAUACAUAAAAAUUAUGGAUUAUAUAUAAAAUAAUAUAGUCAAACUUAUUUAAGACCCAUUAAAAUUUCAAAAUAUAAUUCAUUAAUCGUAACUUAUUAGGAGACGAAUGUGCAAUCAAACCAUCAAAGGAUGAUCACACAGAUCAUGUAGACGCACAUAAUUUUCCAAUCAUACAUUGAGUGAGAUUAUUGAUUAAUGUUGUAAUUCCUAAUCGGCUAAUUCUAUAACUUGUAAACAUUAUUCACAAUUAGUUUAAUCUUCACACUCAUAAUCCUAAUUGGAGGUUUCUCACACCGUUAAUCCUAAUCAAAGAUUUUUUUGACUUUAUAGUUCUAUUGAAGGAUUUUAUUAAUUUAUAGUCAAAACUUCUAGGUAAGUUAAGUUUUGGUUCUUCUUCACUUCGUGAUAUUUUAAAAAUGUAUUUUUUUUUUUAAAAAAAAUUGUCUUUUUUUAUUUACUGUUUUUGACUUAAUCACAUUGAAUGUAUAUAAGUGAUUGUUUUUUUAUCCAGAUAACAUGUAAUAUAAAUGAUUAGUUAUUUUAUUUUAUAGUUUUUGAUUUAAUCGCUUUGAACGUGUAUGGAUGUUUGACUUUAUUUUAAUGUUAAUAUCAAUUAUCAAUAUAUGAAGUUAUUAAUGUCAAUUUUUUUUAAUGUUUUAUACUUUUUAUUGAAUGUUUUUGAUUUUGAAUGUGACUAUGUGUUAUCUCACUUUGAGUAUCAAAUGUACACAUUUUAUUCUAUUACUAUAAAUUAGGUUACAAACAUUAGUGUCGAUGACUUUUUGUAUUCUCUUUUCAUUUUUUUAUGCAACUAUACUUUCCUCAUUUAUAUUAUUUUGAUCAUUAUGGUUAACCGAUAUUAACCAUUAACCAAAACCGUUAACCAAGAAAAACCAUUAACCAUAACCAAUAUUAACCAUACCCAAUGGUUAUGAAAAUGCAUUAACCAAUCAUAAUGAUUAUGGUUCGGUUUUGAUCAAUAACCGAACCAAACCGCCCCAUACACACCCCUAUUUUUUUUAGUGAAGAUCAAUAUUUGUAAGAGAUAGGUUUGUGACCUUAGUAUUUGUUAAAACAAGAGUUUUCUAAAUUUUAGUGACAUUAUUCAUCAGUGUCUUAAUUUCUAUCCUAAGCGAGUUCUUUUCUUGAUUAACUUUUGAGAGAUGAAGAUAAAUAAUCAAACAUCAUGCACUUUUCAUUAUCGUAAUAUGUGACAAAUUUGUUUACAUUGAUAUAAGGAUGAAGAAACCCAAUCCUUUAAAUUUAAUUCCUAGGCAACUUUAGUUAGACCGACGUCAAAAGUAAUCAAUCCGUUGCUUCUUCCUUCAUCAAUGAAAAAUGUAUAGGUACGUGCCAUCAGAAACCUUUCCUUUGUUGUACCUUCAUUAGAUGAAUCCUCAUCAUCUUUGUGACUUUCCACCUCUGCAGUCAAUACUUUUACAUCAAUAUUUUGUCUUUUUAGAUAUGCCAACAACUUCUUAUAUUUCAUAAAAUGAUAGAUAUCGUAGGGAAGAGCCUUCCUUAUAAUAGCAUGAGCCUUCACAUCAAGAGCAACAAGACACUUAUCUUCAUGAUCGAUAAGAUGAGGAAGAAGAAGACAAUUUUAAUCGAUCAAAGUAUCCUACUCUGAUACCCGUUGCACAGAUUCCCUUGACCGAUGUUGAUUAACAAAAGAUAAGCGAAAGAACACAAAAAUAUUUCGCAAAGGUUUUUCACUAAGAAAAAUAUUCUCACUAAGAGAACAAGCAUAAAGCUUUAGGGUUCGAUAAUCAACUCAUGAUACGAACCCUAAUACAUGAUUAUACAGUUAAAAAAUACGAUGUGAAUCCUUACAAAACUAGGGAUAUCACCUAAUCUAUAUACAAAUAAAGUAUAUCCGGUAUCCCUAAGAUAUCAGAUCUAUUAACUAACUAUAUAUACAACAUAUUACAUUAAUAUAGAUAUCAUACUGACAUGACUUUGCAUACAAUUCUUUACACCGGCGCUGGUGAAACGUUGGCGCUCAUAGGCGCUCAUAGGAGUGAGUGUGACUAUUUUACAUCAUCAGAUUCUAUGGCUUGACCUUACAAACCCUGGUAAGUUUUCCCCAGUCCAGUCACAUAUUACCACAAAAUUUGUUGGCCCCCAAAUUCACGAGAUUAAACUUGUGUAAAAUUGUAAAGAGAAAGGCAAAUAUAAAACAUUAUGCUUGAUAAGAUAUUAAACAGAGGGAGUACGACUACCAAAGAGAUUGUUGUGUCCGAGAUUAAGGAUUAUUACCUCUUUGAAAUGCCAUAAACAAUUCCCGAGUUAUCUGAUUAAUGAGUGAUGAGAGAGGUCAAGAAAUUUAAGAACCCAUCAACAAUUUGGCAUAUAAUGGAGAUUCCUCUAGAGAAUUUGUUUUUGGAAAAAAUUAAUGAUGACAAAGUGGAAGGAACAUUCAAUAUUGGAUCACAAAAGCUAUUGCAACUCAAAUCUGGGAAAAUUUGAUAAUAAAUCUGGUAUUUUCCCAAUAAUGUUGUUGGAAAAGAGAUUUGGAUAUUAAUUGAGAAGGUGACAUGUACCAAACACCAGAGGAAUUGUGUUUGAAAUUCCAGUAUUGGAAACAUCAAGAAAGGUAUGGUUUUUGAGUGUCUAAAUUGAUUUUGGGUAAGCAAGCCCUAGCAACUUGCAAGAGCUCAGAUCAAUUUUCUUUACAUAAGAAAUGUUUGAAAAGUGAUAUUUGGAUGGAACUGUAAGAUUAUUAAAAGAAACGUCAAGAAUUUGAAACAUGGGUAGUUCUUGCAUUUUCUCACUUAUACUUCCAUUUAAGUGAAUAUGAAAUAAGUCAUAGAUUUCUAAAGAUGAAAGCUUUUCGAUCUUAUGGGGAAAUGACCCUGUAAAUUGGCUUCCAUAAGAAGACAACUCUAUUAAUAGACGCAAUGUGCAUCUAGACAAGUUGUUGAGAAAAUCAGCAAAUUUGAUAACAGAGUUAUCGAAUAUCAAAACGUCCAAAUCACAGAUGUCACCAAGAUACUUGGGUAUCCCAUUUUACUUGAUACUACAUAGAACGAUAGCAAAGCUUAUUUCUGGUUAAUUUAGAAUCAUCACAUGAUUUACAUAAUUCACAGCCUUGGAUAAAGAUUCCACAUUUACAACUGUAAAUAGUAUUUUCCAUCUUUUAGGAGAACAUAGAAAAAAGUGCAAGUUCAAAUGGUAUUUAUUACCUUUCAUAUCCAGGGCCAUUAUAAACUCAAAGAGUAAAUUACACUUCAGAUAUUCAUUUAUAACUUGGGGAGUGGGGUAUCAAACCGUUUUUUCUACACCGGUCCGGUUCGGUUUCUGAUGCACCUCUAAUUUUAAUCUUGUUUUUAUAUGCUACAAAUAUAUGAAUUUUUUCAAGAUAUCUUAUUUUCAGACAACAUAAGGAAAAUAGCCACUCAUGGUGUUGGUGGCAAAUAUAUAUUGAUAUUGGGGACUUAAAAACCCCACCCAAAUUAGAUAUUGCAUAUCGGAAAAUAAAAAAUAAAAAAUAGAUGACAAACUACAUCUGUCCACCCCUUCGCAAACUUGAAACGAGAACAACCACCUUGACAUAAACCCAAUCUUUGAAGCUAUCAAAAAAGUGAAAAAAUGAAUGUCACCAUCGGCGGUUGAGAAGUAAACUGCCACAUGCUAUCCAAAAUCCAGUAGCAAAACCCAUGCCCCCACCAAUAUAAAACCAUUUCUCAAGUUCAUCUAUGUCUUCCUCUUUACCCUCACCUUUACCAAUAAGAGGCGGUACUUUUGAUUCUUCUUCUCCAGGACAUUUUUUGGUAAGGGGAGGUCCACAUAGACGUGCGUUUCCACUGUAUGUUGAAGGUGGAAAGGACUGGAGUUGUGUGCUAGAUGGGAUUCUCCCUGACAAGUUAUUAAAUGACACGUCUAGGUCAUUCAGUAAACUCAUCUGAGACAUGCUUGAUGGUAUCCUCCCUGAAAAAUUGUUUCUAGAUAAAUCCAAAGUCAAAAGGUUUUUCAUCUCACCAAUUUUCUGUGGAAUCUCUCCAGAUAGGACGUUCUUCGACAAGUUCAUGGAAAUCAAGUCAUGAAGACUGGUAAUUUCAUGUGGGAUUUGUCCUGUUAAAUUGUUGCUUGACAGGUCAAUGCUCUUCACCAAUUUCAAAGUGCUGAAGAAUUCACGUUCAUAUCCUUGCCACUCAAUCAUCGCAUGGUCAACAUAUAUCUGGUGGUCAGAUGCAUAAUUUCCUACAUCUCUAUAAUAAUCCACAUCUUGUAAGAACCCUUGUUGAACCAUGCUCGUAAGAUUACUUAAACAUGAGGGGAUGGCUCCAUGGAGAUUGUUCAUUGACAAGUCUAGAAGUUGAAGAUUAGCUAAUUGACAUAAGUGUAAGGGGAUGGUUCCAAAGAAGUUGUUUGAUCUUAGGAUAAGAACAUACAACUUUGAUAAGUUUUCCCCAAUCCAGACAGGCACAUUACCAGAAAACUUGUUGGCCCCCAAAUUCAACGAGAUUAAACUCGUGCAAUUUGUUAAAGACAAAGGCAACUCUCCAGAGAAGUUGUUAUUGUAUAAAUACAACACGUCGAGUUGUAUCAAAGAUCCAAUUGAAGGAGGAAGCCUUCCAAAGAGAUUGUUGUGUCCGAGACUAAGAACUUUUAGCUCUUUAAAAUGCCACAAACAGUUCGGGAGUUGUCCAAUGAAUGAGUUAUGAGAGAGGUCAAGAAAUUCUAACAACCCAUCAACAAAUUGGCAUAUGAAGGAGAUUCCUCCAGAGAAUUUGUUUCUAGAAAGAUUUAGUGACGACAGGGUGGAAGGAAGAUUCGGUAUUGGACCAUAAAAGCUGUUAGAACUUAAAUCUAUCACCGACUCAUUGUCAAAAUUUGAUGAUAAAUCUGGUACUUCACCGCUAAUGUUGUUGGAAGAGAGAUUCAGAUAAUGUAAUUGAGAAGACGACAUGUCCCAAAACUCUAGAGGAAUUGUGUCUGAAAUUCCAUUAUUGGAAAGAUCAAGGCGGGUAAGAUUUUUGAGUGUAUGAAUCCAUUUGGGGAAGCCAGGCCCUAGCUUGCAAGAGCAUAGAUCAAUAUCCUUUACAUAAGAUAGGCCUGACAAAUGAUAUGUGAGAGGAACUCUAAGAUCAUUAAAAGAAACGUCCAGAGUUUGGAGCCUGGGUAGUUCCCACAAUUUCUCACUUAUGCUUCCAUUUAAGUGACUGUGAGAUAGGUACAGAGAGUGGAGGGAUGAAAACUUUUGGAUCUCAUCAGACAAUGAUCCUGUAAAUUGGCUGUUGUAAGCAACCAACGAUUGUAAUGAAAGUGAUGUGCAUCCAGACAAGUUGUUGAGAAAAUCAGGGAGUUUGACAACAACAGAGUUGUUAUAGAAGAACAAAUAUUCCAGAGUACAGAGGCUACCAAGGUAUUUGGGUAUCCCAUCUAACAUGUUGCCAGAGAGAUGAAGUUGAUGAAGCUUAUUGCUGGCUAACAGGCGCAACCAUCGAUACAUGGAUGAGUUGAGAUUGUUGUUUCCAAGAUGAAGGGACUCAAUAGAUGAUGAAGAAGAAGAAGAGUUGAGAAAUGAAGAAGAAUAUGGAUACAUCACCUGUGACAGCUCACAUCCACCUAAAGAUAAAUAUGAGAGUUUCCGGAGACUCAGAAUUACAUCUACCCAUUCAUUUGCUUUGGCUAAGGAAAUCCCAUCCAUUGUUAGCCACUCCAAAAGAGAGAGAUGAGACAACCACUCUAUGUUUUCAACUCUACACAUUCCAACAUUUGAAAGGUCAAGGUAUUGCAAGUUGGUGAGGUUUCCUAACUCUGGAGGAAUCGUUCCAUAAAAAGAGUUAUCAGAAAGGUAAAGAUAAGUUAAGUUUUUCAAGGAGCCAAUGGACCUGGGAAUGGUUCCAUUAAGUUUAUUUUGGCCAAGGUUAAGGUAGAUUAAUCGAGUCAAGGAACCAAUGAAGGUGGGAAUGGUUCCAUGAAAAGAAUUCCCAGAAAGAUCAAGAAGAUUCAAGUAGGUUAAGUUAAGCAGUGAAGGGCUAAUCUCACCUUCAAGGUCACCCAAGCUAAUAUCAAGUCUUGUGACAUGACCUGUUUGUUUGCUGCACAUGACUCCAUUCCAAUUGCAGCAGUCAUGGUCGUCAGGUGUCCAUGUAGACAGAGUAUCAGAGGGGUCAUAAAGGGAAGCUUUGAUAAGAAGGAGAGCAUCUCUCUCCUUAUCCAAACACUUCUUUUUCAUAACAUCAUUUGUAUCAUCUCCUCCUCCUCCCAAUUGGCUUGCAGUUGUAGUCACAAAGAGUGGCAAGAGAAGUGAGAAAAUUACAAAAAUACAAGGAUUCAUAAUGUAAAUAAAAAGCUUGCUGAUUUUUGUUUUUUGUAUUGAUGUCUCUAUGAACUGCCCCCAUGAGGGGUUAUAUAGUCUGAAAGUGAAGAUGAAUGAUUCUAAAGUGUGUGGCCUCAAAUUUGCGGAGCAUACAAUGCUAUAAGAAAAAUCAAAGAUGAAGAACUGGAAUUAAUGACCCCAAAUUAGACGUUCGAAGACUUACAAGUCUUGCCAAUUAGUAUUUAUUAUAGAUACCUUUUUUCAUCUUGUGAUGUCUGUCCCUAGGUAGUGCUCAACAAUGACUUUUUUUUUUUCUUUUUUGGAGUGAAUGAACCUUUAUCGGAUACGAAAAGAAUCAGAAUGUACAAAUAAUGAAUCAACCCCUAAUUUAACACAAUUCAUGAAUUUCAUAUUUCCCCUCCAUAAUUAAACAAUUUAUGUUCAUGCUCAGAUAGCACACUGCCACACUUUUCCUCAUAGGAUUUCAUAUGUUAAAAAAGAUCAUGAAAUCAAUCAGAUAAGUUUCAGCAUAAACAUAUCUAAUUUAUGGUAUCAAUUAAAAGAAUCUCAACAGAAACAUAAACCCACUAUUCAAUAUAUUUGAAAAAAACAAAAAUCAAAAGAAAUGUCAUUCAACCGAAAAUAGAGAACAGAGCUUAGUAUCUGUGAUGCCCAAAAAUUAGCAAGUUUUGCUGACAUGGAACCUUAUGUGGAAACUUUUAGUUGAUGUGGAAAGAUUAGAACCACCGCCAACCAACUCCAUAUACUUAACAUCCAACUAAUUUUGGGGCAAAUUUGUACAAAAAAAAAAGUUUGGACAAACUGUGUAAUAAAAAAUAAAACAUGGGCCAAAGUUAAAUAAAAAACAAAAGUUGGCAACCUGUUGUACUGGGUAUAGGACGUUAUGGGGACUAUUUCAUAGUUGAUGACAUCUUGAUGUAAUAAAAGGCGUAUGUUGGUCAUCUGAAGAUAAUCAUGAUAGUACAAUAAAAAAAAAAAAAAAAAAAAAAAAAAAAAAAAAAAAAAAAAAAAAAAAAAAAAAAAAAAAAAAAAACCUUGUUAACUCUAAACUUCAUAGCUUCUCAGGUUUAUAAUUUCCUAACAAAGCUUCAAAUUUGUUUAAAAGUUGGUAUUUUGCAAGAAAGUAAGAGCAAUGGAAAAAAAACAUAAUGCAAUAUUAGUAGUAAUUUUAUUCUAAAUUGUUAUUUAAACAACUAAAUCUGGUUGUUUGCUUUCAAUUUUUAUAAAAAAUAUCCCAUAACAAAAAAUGUCAUAUCACAAGAUGGAAAAAAAAAUAUAGAUAAUAAAUACAAAUUGAAAUAUAUCAGAAGAUGGGAAAAAAUAUCUAUAAUAAAGACAAAUUGACAAGACUUGUAAGUCUUCGAACGUCUAACUUGGGGCAAUUAAUUCCAUUUCUUCAUUUUUCAUUUUUUUCUUAUAGUUUUCAUUCAAAUUUCAUGGAAACUAAAUAUAGUAUGCCCCACACUAGUGGCCACCAAUUGGAGGCCAACCAUUUAGAAUCAUUUUAUCUUCAUAGAGAUUAUAUAAAACCUCAUGGGACUGUUUAUAUAAACCCUCAUGGGGCUGUUUAUAUAAGCAUCAAUACAAUAAAAAUUAUUUUAAUAGAGAAUAAAUGAAAGUACAAAGCUAUAACAAACAGAAUAAUGUUAGUACAUUGCUGUUUCUUACAUUUAACCCAUCUGCUUUUGACCAAAUGAAGUAUCAUUUAAUUCCAAAUACACAUGAUCACAGAGUGUAGUAGAUUAUGGUUUUAAUGAGAAGCUGAAUAAUUGCCUUCAUCCAAAACAAUUGAAAAACUUAAUCACUGGUGAUUUUAGCAUUACGGUUUUCUAUAAAAGCUAACUUUGAAAAUAUCAUCAGCAACUAUAACUGAACAGUAAUCGAAUAAUAUUUAUGAUGCAACUACUUGUUUGACAUGGUCAAUUUUACAACUUGUGCAUCUAUAUCUGUUAGUUAGUUCAUUGCUGGUUUUGAUAUGGAGAGUUUUAGUGUACUCAAACGUUAGCUUAACAUUGUGAGCACAAUCAACCAACAGAACAGAUGUUCAUAAGGUAGCAUGAAGAAAAAGAUAAGAUACAGACCAGAACACGCUCCAUUUUACAUUUAUAUCAUUCAUAAUUAAGAGAUAAACUUAUCGAUCAGUAAAAAUCAAUAGCCCUUUCCAUGGCAAAAACAAGGAUUUACAGGUUUUGCAAAUAAUAUAAAGUCACAAGUCUCCUAAUCUAACAUUAGAUAAGAUGCGCAUGAAGAAUACCAAAAAUGAAACAAGAAUCCAUAAGUAGGACAUCACCUAAGCAACGAUGUGUGAGGUGACGAUGAUGCGUGCGUGGUUGCUCUGAUUUGGAACCCUCGUUGACUGAUUUUGAUUCUAGAGGAAAAAUAGUGGAUUGGAUGGCACAUAGAUCUCACGAUCCUAUCUGGAUCUUGCGAGCAUAAUCACCAAUCUUGUUUCAAAAUCAGAUCAAUUUUUGAUCUAAGAUCAUACGAGCGAGAUAAGCAAAGCUUAUCCAGUCAUACAAGAGCAGCCUGUUUGUGACCUUAGAACUGUGAAUUUGGUCUAAAAUAGUAAAAGAAAGUUUUUUUUACAGGCGAUGACUUUUAUCAUCUUCUCUAAAUCCAAUAUAGUGUAAAAGAGGGUAUUAAAAAAGGAAAAAAGAAGUCCUGAACUUUGACCAUACUUAUGAAAAAGUCAUGUCGUUUUUACAGAAAAACAGAAAAUCAAAUCACGUAAUUUAUUAACUUUGAGAUAUUACCGGGUUACCCUAAAUCAAUGGGUGUAUUUACAAAGCUAGACGUCAGGGGAGUAAACCAGAUGCUUAGUGGCUAGUAGGUAGGGGUGGUAAUUUAUGACACGAUACGACAAAAAUAAACGACACGAAACGAAAUUGGGACGAAACUAAAAUUUGAAUUUGUGUUCGUGUCGUGUUCGUGUUAGCUAUAAAAACAUGAUGUCGUGUCGUGUCGUGUUCGUGUUCGAAAUUCGACACGAAAUUGAAACGAUUUAGUAGUUCUUUAUCGUGUUUGCGUGUUUGUCGUGUUAUAUUUGAUAAAUUAUUCAUUAAAUAAACUAGUUUUUAGUAUAUGUUAUAUUUGUCGUGUCGUGUCGUGUUUGUCGUUUUUUACUUCAUUCGUUUUCGUGUUAGUUAAAAAAACACGACAUCGUGUCGUGUCGUGUUCGUGUUACAAAAAACAUUGUCGUGUCGUGUCGUGUCAGACAGAAACACAAAACGAUAGCACGAUUUGCCACCCCUACUAGUAGGGUUAUAUUGAAACCCAAUGCACCUUCUUUGAUGAUCUCAACAGCCCUAAUUCGUCGAAGGAGGGAAAAGGGAAUCAUCUUCUUUUGUGGGAAGCCGAAGUAUAUGAAGUGCAAAUUGAGGCUUAUCAUAGGGUAAGGUAUAGGUGUCAUUGUGGAGAUCAAUGUCCAAAAUGGGCUGGGUGAACUCCCAUCAACCCUCCUCCAUGUACAAUCAUUGGUUGCCCUUUUAGGAUAAGGGAAGUAAAAUUUGUACAGGUUAAUAACGAUUUUAAUUUUAAAGGAUGUUAUGGUCUAACUGAAGAGAAGAAUUUCAAAUAUUUUUCUUGGAUACAAUUGCAUUAUACCUAAGCCGUACAAAGAUAAAAUGUUGGAUUUGUACAAGCUUGCAAAUGCUAACAACUCUAAAAUUGAAGCACAAGAUGUAGAAAAUGAAAUAAGCUCCCACAUUAUGAAGUUAAAUAUCCAUUUCCAAUCAUUUAAAAAGUCAACGCCACUUACAAUAUAUUUACAUAUUUCAGAAAUGGGGAAUGCAAUGCAUGGAUAAAAGUAUUCUCAACCCAAGUCAAUCUCAUAAUCCAACUCACCAUGUUAACAAUCAAUUUUUGAUGUACCAAUGUCCUCUUGCCCAAAUAGGCUCACCUUAUGGUAACCCAUGUUGGUAAUUUAAGUAUUGUCAAAAUAUUUUAGUGUAACUAUUAUUUUUAUCGAGACAUCAGUUAGCUAUCUGAGAUUGGAGGUGUAGAGUGCACACUCGGAAUGUUAAAUGUGAACUCGGGUAAAUGGGGUCCGUGGCAGCGCCCCUGGUGCGAGUGUAACACCCCAUUUUUACCGUUUCGUAUGAUUCAAUAUAAACCAUUAUUUAUAAAUUUCAAAGUAGAGAGUGUGUAUAUAAAAAACGUUCAAAUCUGACUUCGUGAGAAGAAGUUAUAAUUUUUCGAAGUUUCAGCGUCGCAGCAUGGGCCUAGAAAUCGAAAUUCAACUCGGUUGAUUGUUAGCCAAAAUAAUCUAAACAAGAAUUGAAUAUCUCAUAAAUAUGAACAUGUCAAUAUAAAAACAGUCAAGAACAAAGUUCGUAUAAAGGAGCUAUGAAUUUCGCAUGGACCUUAACACUCUAAACAAGUCUAAAUAUGAAUUUUUGUUAGAGCGAGAGUUAGAUGUUGAGACCUUAAUGAAAGUUGCACAGUUCGUCGAGAGGAAUCUGGGGGUAUAAAAACGUCGAAAAAGGAGUUAGUAUGUAAAAGUUAUGGUCGUACAAAGAUCUGCGAGAAACCACAUGAGCUUAUGGCAUGGCAGCAUCAGAGUGCGCCACGUGGUAAGGUCGGCCUCUCACUACUCCAAGAGACAAGCGAUGUUGAAAGAUACGGAUGUGCCAUGUGGAUACAAAAGAGUGUGACACGUUUCACCUUCUAGAAGAAGGAGAUGCGGGCUUAUCGGAUCGCAACACAUGGCAAAAAGAAGGGAGGAGCCAACAAGGAUCGAAUGCGCGGCGCGCCUCCCUGCACCCUAUAUAUACGCCUCCGAAAAUCCUGCAUUCUCACCCCUGCAUUCUCACCCCAAAAUCCCAUAUCUCUCUGUACAAUAUCUCUGGUCCUUUAAGGUUCGACUUUUCCAUAGUUUUAGAAUGUUUUAGUGGGGCUUCGGAAUAUCUAAGAGGCCAUAAAAACAAGUGUUCAUGUCGGGAUUUUGCCCAUGUAUUUUUCUUGGUUUUCUCUAAAACUUUUGUAACUUAAGCUACACUAUUUUGCUUUCAGUGUAACUUAUAUUUAUAGUCAUAAUUCAUCACUAUGGACCUAUAAAUAAGAUUCAUCAGUAAUUCCAGUUAUAAUAUUGAUUUAUCUACUUAUGGGAGAUGUGUCUUGAAACAUUCAAAAAUAUGGUCCCAAAAAUUUCAUUUUAAUAAUAGAUAAAAUAGUAUUUUCCAAUAACAUCCAAACAUUUAGUUAAAAACCAAUGUAUCAAUAUGCCAUAAAAUCAGAGUAAAACAUCAUAAGCGGAAUCUCAAUGGUGGAUAUGAUGCAGUCAUCCCGAAAUCUUCCCUUUACAACCCGAACUACUUGAAUCAUGAACUAAAAACGAUAAGCACAAAGCUUAGUAAGUUUCCCCAAAAUACAACAUAGCAACCAUACAAUAAACAUAUAGUAAACAUAUAGUGAGCCCCGCCCUGUCAUCGGGCCCCACCCGACAUCGAGCUGAUUUCGGUAAACGGUCCCCGCCCAAUGUACAAUAAAAUAUAUUAAAUAACCACAUACACAUGCAAUAAUCACAUAGCAUACAAAUAUCCAUCAGGCUCCGCUUGGCAUCGGGCCUUAGCCUAGAAAACAUAUAAACACAGGCGCAUGUAAGAGUCACAAAGAUAACUAGCAUACUCACAACAUAACAUUAACAUGGGUCGACAUUGGUGCCUUCGCCCCACUAAACCCGGUAAGGAAGCUCACCUCGAACACAGAAAGGUAGCUGAACGGAUCCCGACUCUGAAUAUCGACUAUACUCAACCCUAAAACAGAAAAGAUUUCCUUAAAUAUAAUUCAAAAUGCCCAAAAGCCCCUUAUAGCACAAAAUUGGUCAAAGACUAAAGUCAAAGUCAAAGUCAAAGGCCGAGUUGACCCAACUCGCCGAGUUGUCCUUCAACUCGUCGAGUUUUUCCAUUAGUCUGCAAAUUCGGGAAGAAACCGAUCCAACUUGCCGAGUUUAUCCAUAAACUCAUUGAGUUCACUAGAAAACCAAUAUCUUAAUUCAUUAAAUCGACCUAAUCGAAACUAAGAGCUUCAUAACUCAGAUCUUAACUGAUAUGACAUCUAGAAGGGUAAAGUUUCCAACUUUACCCCUAAGAACCACCAAAAUGUGUUCAAAACCCAAACCCUAAGCUUAAAAGGGUGAGGGCUUAAUCAUUAAGCACUAAAUCACCAAAAGCAUAGCUCCAAACUAUAGAUCUGGUCCUAAAAGCUGAAUGGCCACGUAAAGUUUCCAACUUUACACUCAUGCAUGACUAGGAGAGGCUCAAAUGUUCAAAAGAUGCCAAAAGAAGGACUUAAUGAGAGCAUGAAGCCCUUAAGACCAUAAAGUUGGCACCUUUAUGCCAAAAGAGCUCAUGAAAAUUUUAGAUGUGAAAUGAUAACAUUUUGGAUGUCCUAUAUCCCCAUCAUCCACCCAAACAUGCCUAAAAGCAUACUAACUAAUCGAAGAAGAGAUCUAAGCAACUAUUAAGCAAAGUAAUAACUUGAUACCUCAAAAACUUGACAAAUGAGCUAGUGAUUUUGGAUCCAAGACUCCUUCUUCAAGCCAAGAAACUCCCAAUUCCUUAGAUCCUUCAAUAUGCACCAAAAUCGACAUUUAGGCUCUCCUUAAGCUCACACACUCAAGAAUGGAAGUAAAUGCUGAAUUUUAGGGUUUCUGGAUAGAGGAGGCUGGUAAGGAGGCCAGCUGUGACAACCGUCAAAAUUCGAGUUGGUUCUAGAUUUGAAUAAACUUAGUUGCACAUAUAGGCACGAAACAUACUAGAUAUAGUAACUAGAAGCUAAGUUAUAACCUAAUAGAAACUUGGAAACAGAUAGAAACAAUGGAUGAUGUACUUAGAUUUCAUAUUGAUAUGUGAAUUCCGUAACUACUUAACUGUAGAGACUAUCCAUAUUUAGGUCACUCUUUGACUCGAACACCUUUUUAUGAAUCAUAUAAACACAUCAUGCACUUGACCUAGAAGUAGAAAUUAGCUCAAUGUCUCAUAGAAACUUAAGUCAAUGUUGAAAACUAUGACUAGUAUACUUGAUUCCUCAAUUUCGUUUAAAUCUCGAAAUCACUACAUAGAAUGCCAAUAAACCGAUAAAAAUAAAUUACAAACAUUAUUUCUAACUUGAAUAACAGUUAGGAAACACAAAAAUAAUUAGAAGUCUCAAAGAUUCAAUCUAUUUUGAUAUUCAAAGUUUAUUAAACUCCAAAACCCUAAAAGCCAUAAAAACUCAUCUUUAUAAACUUUAACCUUAAAAAUUCUAUAAAAAUAAUUAUGAAAAUUAUAAUAUGAUCUUAUAAUAAUAAAAAUUAUGAAAACUCAUUUAAGGAAAAUAAAGUUUAGGUCAUUACCAAUUACCCUUAAUUUAUAAGCCAAAAAUUAAGGUAUUGUGAAUAAAAGUAUGUUAAGUAGUAUAUAUUAUAAAACAUUGAUAUUUUUAUAAAAUAUACUUAUAAAUUUUAUAAAAUUUAAAAGAGGGAACCCCUCUCUCCAUUCAAUAGUCGGAUCUCUCCUCCGCAUACCUCUCUUCCUCAAAAUCAUAAUCACAUCCCUCAUCUCCCACACUCUUCUCUCAUGUCUCUUAUUUCUCUCUCACACACACCACCACAUUUUCUCUCACCCUCAUCCUAAACCACGAAUUUUGGUAGAAAAUUUCAUCCAUCUCUACUCAAAAACAUCAACAUUUGAAGUUGUUCUGGAGGUAAAAUGAAAAUCCUUCAUCCCCCCUUAAAUCUUCCUUCAAAAUCUAAAGUUUUCUUACAUAUCUUCUUCUUCUACACCAUUCUAUGGAUGAAUUAUGAAUCAUAUGUUCAUAAACAUGAUUUUUAUGAUAUUAGAGGUCGCAUUUCACCCAAAAACCAACAUGCAUGUGAUGAUCUUCAAGCUUAGAGGCUUGAUCAUCAAAGUUUGUUGUUAAAAAGCAUUCAAAUAGGUUCAUAAAGGAUUUAUUUCCAAAUAAAUAUCUAAAACUUCCUUUCUGAUCAAAUCCGAUUUCUCCAGAAUUCCAUCAACAAAAUGAUAUGUUCCACAAAUUUUCAGAAAAUAAUUCAUUUUUCUCGAAUUAUUAUAAUUAUUGCAAGUAAAUAGGGCAAUAAUUCAUAUAAAAUAAUUUCUGAGGUCUAUAAAUCCUAGGUAAAUUCGUGGAUAACCACUAAUGUAAAUUCGUGGAUAACCACUAAUGUGAAUGAUUUUUGUUACUGUUUUCUAUGGUUUUGAAUUUUCUUUUUGUUUAAAUAAAAUAAAUCAGAAAACCACUUUAAGGAAUGUGAAAAGGAUAUAUACGCUUUUUCGCAGAUUCUACCUAAUGUGGAGUAAUUAGAAAAAUAUUUUCAGAAUUUUUCAUAAUGCAUUCAUAUUUUUUCCCGAUUUUUGUAUUUAUAAUGGACUAAUAAUGGGAAAAAUAUUUCUACUCAUCCAAAAUUCAUGAAAUUUACCGGAAGACCUUAAAUUGUAUUAUAACACUAAAUAAAAAAAUUGAUGAUGUUUCUAUUCGGUAUACUAUUUUUCUCCUAUUUUCUAAGAUUAAAUACACUUAAAUCCACAAAAUCGGAUUACACUAUAUAAAAAUCACCAUUUGUAUUUUUCCCAGAUUAUGUACACUAUAAAUAAAGUUUACAAUAAUUUUGGUAAUUUACUUUAACUGUUUGAUAAUUAUUCACCAAUUAUUGAUUAUUAAAGAGAAUAAAACAAUGAAAAAUGGCAAAACUAAUUGACAAAUACCUUUUAUAUUUUUCACAGAUUCUAUAUGUAUAAUAAUAGUGUUAAACAAUGUUUAGGAAAUUUUGGAAACUGUUUUCUAAUUAUUUCUAUUGUUGCAACAAUAAAUGCACAAAAAUCAUAAAAUAUGGUUAAACAGUUUAGAAAUCUAUUUUUAUAUUUUUCCCAGCUUAAGUAUGUGUAAUGAAAGUAUUAUAAAGAAUUUGGGAAAUUUUCUUAACUGAUUGCUUUUUUUUCAUGAAUUUUUAUCUAUUUAGAGAAUUAAAUAUAAGAAAAAUGGUUAUACAUAUCUAUUAUCCAUGAAAAUUUAUCUGGCAACUCUUUAAUGCAGUUAGAACCAAAAUCUGAAGUUUGGUAAUUUUUUAUUAAAAUUUUAGUAUUUUUCAUAAUUUUAUGGUUAUUCAAGAAAUUGAAAUGGUGAAAAAUAGCUAGACAUAUCAAAAAUGCAAAAAAAAAUUAUCUUGACUUCAUUUGAAACUAAAACACAAAGUUUGGGAAAUUUUAGAACUAAAAUGAUUUAGUUUUUCAAUAUUUAAUCAUUGGAACACCUCUAAAAAUGUUAAAUAUGUUAAAUAUUAGCAUUUCAAUAAUGAGAACUUUUCCACUAAAAUUGUUAUAUAACAAUUGAUUCAUUGAAAUUAAAUUUUAAUAGAGAAGUGUUUGUAACUUAUCAAUAUUAAAUUUUGACACAAUAUUGGCAUAAUUCUAUUGUAGUAGUAAGUAUACUAGUAUUAGAUUUCAAUUAGAGACUCAUUAGUGUGUAACAUCGUUGUAGGAAAACGAUAGUGGUACGAGUGGAGCGUAGUUCAAGGCACCAUUUGCAUCAUCUCAAUACAUAUUGUGAGUAUUCACGACUCCCCCUAUUUUCGGUUUUUAUGUUUUGGGGUGGAAAAGCAUGUCCGAAAUCUGUUUAUGAUUCGUUGUAUUUUAUUUCACUUGUAUCAAACUUGGUUGUUAUAUGUUGUUGUGUAUGGGUAUGCUAUUGUUAAUUCACGAGGCCUUAUCGCGUUUAAGUCCCUAGAAUAAGUUCACACAACUCAUUAACUCAUUUGAGCCCAUGGUCAUUAUGGAUAGCGCUAUUAGGAGGUUGACAACUCCUCACUCGCACGAUUCGCUUGAGUGCAUUUGACCAUAUUUCCCUAUGUUAGCGAUAGACAUAGAAGAGGGCACCCUCAAUCAUUAGGCUUGGGUUGUGAGCUCAUGAUAUAUUCAUUAAGCACAUACGAACCUUGUAUCUCAUUUUAGCAACAAACUUUAUUUCCCAUGAGAAUAUGAACGUUGCAUCUCAUUUGGGCAACAUACUUUAUCUCUCAUGAUGACAACGAACUUCGUUUAUACAAAUUUAUUUACUCAUUUUUGCAAUAUAUUUCUAUUUAUGGAAACUUUAUUUCCCAUGAGAAUAUGAAAGUUGCAUCUCAUUUGGACAACCAACUUUAUCUCUCAUGAUGACAACGAACUUUGUUUAUGUAAACUUAUUUACUCAUUUUUGCAAUAUAUUUCUAUUUAUGGAAACUUUAUUUCCCAUGAGAAUAUGAAAGUUGCAUCUCAUUUGGGCAACAUACUUUAUCUCUCAUAUGAUGACAACGAACUUUGUUUAUGCAAACUGUAACGCCUGUGUUUCUGGGCUUGCCAUUUUUAGCAAUGUAAUAGUCUAGAUUAACCUUUGUAACCCAUUUGAAAUAAUAAGAAUGUAUUAUUUGAGUAUAAUGUGUUUUGUGCUUAAUUGUGUGUCUUAAUUGAAUAAAGAAUANUAUCUCAUAGAUAUGAUUCAUUAUCUAUGAAAUACGUGUUAUGUGUAUGCGUCUCAUUUGUUGUUUGGAAUAUGUAUUGAAUGAGAAGGCUAUACAGGUUUUAAACUAUGUAUAAAAAUAUAUAUUUUUAUCUACUAAUAUGUUUCACGACAAAACCGGUGUGGCACAGCGUGACGUAAAUAGUGAAUUUACGAAGAAGUGAUAUUUAGCCUUAGCCGUCUAAACGAAAGUCGUAGAGUUCUUUAAACCGAGAGCGUGCAUCAAAAGAUCGUCUAAAUCUGACUUUGUAUGAGGAAGUUAUGAUUUUUCGAAGUUUCAGCUUAGCUGUAGAUAGCCUAAAAGUUCGAAUUGAGAUCGAGCGAGUUUUAGCCGAAACAAUCUAAACGAGAAUCGAAGAUCUCGUUGAUAGUAGUGCGUUGGUGAAAAGACAGACGAAAACGGACGUCAGACGAAGAAGUUAUGAAUUUCUAACGAAGUUUUUCUGUCCCGGCCUACUAAAAAUAAAUAAUAAAAAUAAAAGUCAAAAUUAGCCAACGGAGUCUAAAUGAAAGUUGUAGAGUAUAGUUUGAUCUAUGCGUGGAUAUAAAGAACGUCAAAAACAGAGCUCGUAUGCGAAAGUUACGCAAUUUAGAAGUUUGAUGAGUCAAAUUACGCCGAGCGUAAUUUGAGUACGCCCAGCGUACUCGGAUGAGUGCAACUUGCCUGACCAAUACUCGAGUUCCACCAAAUGACGCAUGCAGUGACGUCAAAGUAUGCCCAGUGUAACCAAGAUUACGCCCAACGUACUUGGAAAUUACGCCCAGCGUAAUCCCAGACCCAACAGCCUAUAAAUAGAAACCGAGAUCAGCCAUUUUCCUUGCCAAUUUUCUUCCUUUCUUUCUAGUUUUUGCCUCGAUUUGCAUGCCAAUUAUAUCCCGAAGCCCCGGUAUCAUUCCCGAGCCCCGAAGCAAGUUCCGAAGUCCCGAAGAUCCCGAGAAGUGAGAUUCUCGAGCCGAAGCUCUGCCCGUGAGGAGCCCGGUUUUUGUGUAGAUCUUCCAGAUCUACCAAAGAAUACUACUUCUACAAGUCGUAGUGUUGUCCGAUCAUCUUCUGAUCAAGUGAGUGUGUAGUUACCUUCUUCUAAUGCAUAAUUAUGAAGUAUUUUAUAUAAAUUACGUGUUAUGUGUAUAUUAUGUUGUUAUAUGUGUGAAUGUAUAUUCACUUUCUUUUAUCUCAUAGAUAUGAUUUAUUAUCUAUGAAAUACUUGUUAUGUGUAUGUGUCUCAUUUGUUGUUUGGAGUAUGCAUUGAAUGAGAAUGCUAUACAGGUUUUAAACUAUGUAUAAAAAUAUAUAUUUUUAUCUACUAAUAUGUUGGGUAGAACAUGGGUAGAUAGUUGAUGUGUGAUAAACAGAUGAGAGGCCUCGAUGUUGUUGUUGUUGAUCUAGUUAUUCAGCGGAGUAUGGAUAACGACCACAGACUCUUUCUAGACAGUCCUGUGGAACGCUAGCAGGUUCAUAACCUGUAGGUGUUGUGAACGAUGUGUUCACCGGUGUACUCUAUCCCCCUCAUGGUUGCCUUUAGGAUAUCUAUUGUUGAGGAAACCCCUUAGCAGUAAUGUCCGUCCCGAUGAAAAUCCUAGAUUAGGUCCCUUGAGAUAGAUGUUAUUUUAGGGACGUAAAGUGAGGAUAACGGGAAUGGGUAAUCGGGUUAUUGUUGAUUGUUGAAAUUAAAUAUAAUUAUUUAUUGUGGGUUGAAAACCCUAUAUGCUCACCAGGCUCCCAAGCCUGACCCACUCAGUUUUAUUUGUAUUACAGGAAGUGGCGCAAGGGCAUAAGAUGGUUGAAUCAUCAAGUUGUUUUGUUUACAAGUCUGUAUAUGUAUAUAUUUGUUGAAUGACUUGUAAUGUUAUCGUUUAUGCUUUAUCGUCUGUAUCGGAACAUGACAUCCCGAGUUUUGAUUAUAUAAUGAAAAUGCAUUUCUUGAUGAAAUGCUUUGAUAAAUAUUAUUUUAUCAUGUUUUGUUUUUGGGAACAAAUUUCGCAUCUCUUUUAAAAUCAAAAGGAUUUACUCUGAAAAUGUUUAAAAAGCAUAAAUGAAACCGGUCUUUUCUGGCCGAGAUUUUGGGGAUGUCACGCAAACUUAUUUACUCAUUUUUGCAAUAUAUUUCUAUUUAUGGAAGCUUUAUUUCCCAUGAGAAUAUGAGCGUUGCAUCUCAUUUGGGCAACAUACUUUAUCUCCCAUGAUGACAACGAACUUUGUUUAUGCAAACUUAUUUACUUAUUUUUGCAAUAUAGUUCUAUUUAUGGAAACUAUAUUACCCACUUUAGCAACGAACUUCUAUUCAUGAAAACUUAUUUACCUAUUUUAGAAAUCAACAUUGUUUAUGGAAAGUGUUAUCAAUAUUCUAAUUAUCAUGAUUUCAAACUAUAUUAUGCUAUAAACAUGUGAGUACUCACCAACUAUUUUAUAGUUGACGCUCGUUUUACAUGCUUUUUCUGGAAUCAUCGAGUAAGUGACACUUAGGGACACAUCACCUUUAGGAGCAUUCGCAUGCGUUGUAUUUCAGUUCACAUUAUAAUAUUUUUUAAAAGUUGUUCAAACCCAUUGUAAAUUUGUAAUGAUUUUUAAUACUAUGGUUGGUGUUGUCUUUUAACUUUUGCUAUGAAACCCUUUGUACUGCCACGCCUCGUGUUUCCGCUUUACCGGGGUGUGACACUAACUAAGGGACUUAAGGCAUUUUUGCAAUAUAUUUCAACCAUCACCGAGAGGGCUUUGUCAACCGGUCCCCCAUGGUUGAGGUCAUUGCAACCUCGUUGGUCUCCAAAUGGCGAUUGCUGUUGCUGAUGGCGACUCCACCUCUCAAUCAAUUUUUCCCAACAGGGCACAGGUUCGAUGUUGUCGAAACGAUUCGCGAGAGUCCUGGCUAUGUAAGGAGAGUUGUCGGCCUCUGGCUCUACUUCCGAGACUUUUCCCAAUCGCCCACUAACUCUCCGGGUUUAGGAAGCAGGGGUCUCCUGGUAAGUAAAAUCUUUCCAUGAUGUCCGUGUGAGAAUAGGGGUGAGGUAAGAGGCAUAUAAUAAUCAUAUUCCUAGAAAUAAUUAUAGGGGUUUGAUCCUCCUUAGUUACUUCUAUAAUGACAUGGUGCAUACCAGUUACAUAUAACAAAAGAUAUGAUAGACCUUCGAAUAAGUGAUCAUACUCCAAAACCACAACUAAAGAAGGAACAGGAAGUAAAACAAUUAUCACAGAUUCCAAGUCUAUGAUAUCUAAGUUAUAUAUAACUUUAGCGUAUCCACUUAGAGAUUGUAGAUCUACUAGCAAGAAUCUGUUUAGUUUUCACAUAAACUGCAGUACCAAAAAAUACUCCUAUAGUAUUUUAAAUGUUAUGUUUGAUUCUUAACGAUUUUCUGCUAUGGGUGUUGGUAAGUUGAUAGACUUGUUGUCCACUAUGACCAUCCCUCGGCACAUACUAGUCACUUCUCGGACGAAUAUAGUUGAUCAUGCUAUAUUCCUCCCAGACUUGAUAGCAUAUCCCAGGGCAUAUUCACAUUGCACAACUCCUCUAUUUUUAACUUUUGUGUUUUCCUUAGACGUGACACUAUACCGGUAUGCAUGUAUGUACUCAUACUUUUAAUCAAGAAACUAUGUAUUUCUAAAAGCAUAGUUAUUUAAAAAUGUUUAAUCAGAGACUUUAGUCCCAAAUGCAUUUAUAGUUUGGGUAUCUUAUGUGGUUCGAUAUACUUAGUUCACUAUAAACAAUGCUCUGAUACCAAUCUGUCACACCCCCAAACCAAGGAUGGCGGAAACGUCCGGGGGUAGAGGACUUCAUGUAUAGUAUCACAAGAACAAGUAUAAUAGUGCUCUAAGUAAACACAACCAUCAUAAAUAUAAUUGAAAAAGUUACACCAUAGUAUGUGUUUACAUGUUUCAAAUCAAUUACACUAUGAUGACAAAAUGAAAAGUUUGACGAUUUAACGACCCACCAUCAAAAGCUGUUGAUUUCUUGUUUCACUGAUUUCCUGAGAAUACAAGUAGUUUUGAAAGUGUGUCAACAAUUAAGUUGGUGAGUUCAUAAGCUUUUGAAUGUAGACUUUUAAAACCCUGGUUACUACCAGUAUGUAUAGUAUGUUCCGUUCGAAAACCCUUGUUUACAAAUGAUAUGUAUAACCAAGAAAAAUCCAAUAUUCUUCCUUAUAAAAUGUCAUGUAAUAUUAAAUCCCAAGACCGAGAAUACGUGUGUUUUGCACUUAUAAUGUUUAUAAUAGUGAUGUGUUUCCAAAGAAAAUCCAACAUUUUCCUUAUAAAAGUCAUGUAGUCUUAAAUCCCAAGACCGAGAGUAUGCAGUUUUAGAUAAAUAAAACCCCUUUUUAAAGUAGAAUUUUCCCUGUUGGGCUGAAGAUUAUUUUGAAGAUUGCGUCUUUUGGGCUCGAUAGAAUAAGUUAUUUUGUAUUCCGGUUUGGGCCUGUCCAACCGAGAGCCUUUUAUGUUUUGUAUAUAAGUUUAUGCUUGCAUGCAUAUUAGGUUAACGAUUUAGAGAUUAACGAAAUAGCGAUUCAUCUAGAGCAUAACAGGUUUCUUUAAUCGUUCUUGUAACCUACCAAUCCUCUACAGUUGAUGUUCUUAAUCGAGCUCUUCUGAGGAUUUUGUUUAAUCAUUCGACACGUUUGAUUCAAUCUUGUCUUGUUCUUAUUAUUGCGUUCAUACAGUUUUAUAUUUACAUACUUGUUCAAGAUCUAAUCGAUCUUCAUAGAUUAAAGGUUGUUUUAAUCUCAUCAAUUGGUAUCAGAGCAGGAGGCUGUGUAACCGAUACACAUCUUUUCUGUGAAAAAGAUUUCCAUUAGGGUUUUUCCGCAACUAUCGAUAUUUAUUGAGCCGUCAUCUCUUUAUUGACGUAUCUUGAUAUUUAUUGUUUUGCCCUAAUCUGCUUUAUUACAAGUCUGAUCUUUGAACAGGUUUUUACGAUCAUAAUGGACGCGACGCAAUCAAACCCUAUUAAUAUUUCCAACAGCAUCGGUUCGACGACAAAGAUUCCAAUCUUAUACACCCAUGACUAUGAAGUAUGGGCGCAUCACUUUGAAGACUACGUGAUUGGAUCGGAGGAUAAUGGGUACCUCAUAUGGGAAGCCAUCAUCAAUGGACCGUUUUCUCAUUCUGCAACGUCCAGAAUCAUUAAGACACAAAAGGAGUACAAUGAUCUGCUAAAGGACGUGAAGGAUAUUGCACAAGAUGAAAAGGACAAAUUCCAGUGCAAUAUUAAGGCGUUAAGGUUGAUCAGAUUCGCCCUUCAGUCCGACACAUUCAGAUUGGUCAGCUCAUGCACGACGGCAAAGGAAGUUUGGGAUAGACUUCGUGAACUGUAUUCUACAGACGAGGAUCUUGAACAUUCUAUCCAAACUUUGCUUUUAUCUGAGUUUGGAGAAUUCAGGCAAGGGGCCGAAGAAACGGUGACCCAGACGUUCGAUCGCUUCAAUCAUCUUCUCAGCAAGAUGAUCAAACACGAUAUUGAAAGGAAGCUUAUCGAACAGAAGGUUACUUUCUUGAAUGGACUGAGGUCUGAAUGGAGAGCAGUGGUUUCCACAGUCAAAGCCCAUGAGCAGUUUAAAUCAUACUCUUUGGCGAAACUGGUGGGUAUUCUCAAGUCCCAAGAGAAGAUUGUGCUGCAAGAGAAGAACGUCGUUUCGAGUCUUGGUUCGUUGGCCCUCCUAUCUAAAAGUAAAGCUGUGAUGGAGGAUGAAGACCUCAACUUGGAGGAAUAUGACCUCACGUCUGAGGAUUAUGCCAUGAUGGUGUCCAAUCCUAAGAGGUUCAUAAAGAAGAGAUUCCCCAGCAACAAAAACCGAAACUGGCAGGGGAGUUACAGCUCUGAAAAGGUGAACAAUGAACCGAAGGCUGAGGAGCCCAAGAAGGAACCGAAGGUGGAUGGCGAUUCCGGAGUAAGCUGUUUCUACUGUGGUGGGAAAAACCACUAUGCUAAGGACUGUGUCCUUAAGAAGAUGGCUGAAAAGGAUGAUGGAAAUGAUGAGGAAGCUGUGUUGCAGAAAAGAUUGGAUGAGUUGAGAAAGAAGAAGUCUACCGCUAACCCUUCUAUUAAUGCUCUUAUUGUGCAGGGUUCGGUUAAUGAUGACGAGUUCGGUAGCACGGAAGUUUGGUCUACCGACUCAGAAGACGAUGAAGUGAGGAAGCCUACCCAUGGAAAGGCUUAUGUGGCUAAGGAGGAAAGCAGUGGAGGAAGAUGCUUCAUGGUGACUGACGUAUCUCAAAUGAGGGGAUACAACACCGAUGGUGGAAGCGAUGGACCGAAGGUGCAGGAGGACAUGUGCUUUACGGCCAAACCACUCAGCCAGCAGUUCAAUGAGCUCGAUGAACUGAUAAAGAAGGUACAAUCNNNNNNNNNNNNNNNNNNNNNNNNNNNNNNNNNNNNNNNNNNNNNNNNNNNNNNNNNNNNNNNNNNNNNNNNNNNNNNNNNNNNNNNNNNNNNNNNNNNNNNNNNNNNNNNNNNNNNNNNNNNNNNNNNNNNNNNNNNNNNNNNNNNNNNNNNNNNNNNNNNNNNNNNNNNNNNNNNNNNNNNNNNNNNNNNNNNNNNNNNNNNNNNNNNNNNNNNNNNNNNNNNNNNNNNNNNNNNNNNNNNNNNNNNNNNNNNNNNNNNNNNNNNNNNNNNNNNNNNNNNNNNNNNNNNNNNNNNNNNNNNNNNNNNNNNNNNNNNNNNNNNNNNNNNNNNNNNNNNNNNNNNNNNNNNNNNNNNNNNNNNNNNNNNNNNNNNNNNNNNNNNNNNNNNNNNNNNNNNNNNNNNNNNNNNNNNNNNNNNNNNNNNNNNNNNNNNNNNNNNNNNNNNNNNNNNNNNNNNNNNNNNNNNNNNNNNNNNNNNNNNNNNNNNNNNNNNNNNNNNNNNNNNNNNNNNNNNNNNNNNNNNNNNNNNNNNNNNNNNNNNNNNNNNNNNNNNNNNNNNNNNNNNNNNNNNNNNNNNNNNNNNNNNNNNNNNNNNNNNNNNNNNNNNNNNNNNNNNNNNNNNNNNNNNNNNNNNNNNNNNNNNNNNNNNNNNNNNNNNNNNNNNNNNNNNNNNNNNNNNNNNNNNNNNNNNNNNNNNNNNNNNNNNNNNNNNNNNNNNNNNNNNNNNNNNNNNNNNNNNNNNNNNNNNNNNNNNNNNNNNNNNNNNNNNNNNNNNNNNNNNNNNNNNNNNNNNNNNNNNNNNNNNNNNNNNNNNNNNNNNNNNNNNNNNNNNNNNNNNNNNNNNNNNNNNNNNNNNNNNNNNNNNNNNNNNNNNNNNNNNNNNNNNNNNNNNNNNNNNNNNNNNNNNNNNNNNNNNNNNNNNNNNNNNNNNNNNNNNNNNNNNNNNNNNNNNNNNNNNNNNNNNNNNNNNNNNNNNNNNNNNNNNNNNNNNNNNNNNNNNNNNNNNNNNNNNNNNNNNNNNNNNNNNNNNNNNNNNNNNNNNNNNNNNNNNNNNNNNNNNNNNNNNNNNNNNNNNNNNNNNNNNNNNNNNNNNNNNNNNNNNNNNNNNNNNNNNNNNNNNNNNNNNNNNNNNNNNNNNNNNNNNNNNNNNNNNNNNNNNNNNNNNNNNNNNNNNNNNNNNNNNNNNNNNNNNNNNNNNNNNNNNNNNNNNNNNNNNNNNNNNNNNNNNNNNNNNNNNNNNNNNNNNNNNNNNNNNNNNNNNNNNNNNNNNNNNNNNNNNNNNNNNNNNNNNNNNNNNNNNNNNNNNNNNNNNNNNNNNNNNNNNNNNNNNNNNNNNNNNNNNNNNNNNNNNNNNNNNNNNNNNNNNNNNNNNNNNNNNNNNNNNNNNNNNNNNNNNNNNNNNNNNNNNNNNNNNNNNNNNNNNNNNNNNNNNNNNNNNNNNNNNNNNNNNNNNNNNNNNNNNNNNNNNNNNNNNNNNNNNNNNNNNNNNNNNNNNNNNNNNNNNNNNNNNNNNNNNNNNNNNNNNNNNNNNNNNNNNNNNNNNNNNNNNNNNNNNNNNNNNNNNNNNNNNNNNNNNNNNNNNNNNNNNNNNNNNNNNNNNNNNNNNNNNNNNNNNNNNNNNNNNNNNNNNNNNNNNNNNNNNNNNNNNNNNNNNNNNNNNNNNNNNNNNNNNNNNNNNNNNNNNNNNNNNNNNNNNNNNNNNNNNNNNNNNNNNNNNNNNNNNNNNNNNNNNNNNNNNNNNNNNNNNNNNNNNNNNNNNNNNNNNNNNNNNNNNNNNNNNNNNNNNNNNNNNNNNNNNNNNNNNNNNNNNNNNNNNNNNNNNNNNNNNNNNNNNNNNNNNNNNNNNNNNNNNNNNNNNNNNNNNNNNNNNNNNNNNNNNNNNNNNNNNNNNNNNNNNNNNNNNNNNNNNNNNNNNNNNNNNNNNNNNNNNNNNNNNNNNNNNNNNNNNNNNNNNNNNNNNNNNNNNNNNNNNNNNNNNNNNNNNNNNNNNNNNNNNNNNNNNNNNNNNNNNNNNNNNNNNNNNNNNNNNNNNNNNNNNNNNNNNNNNNNNNNNNNNNNNNNNNNNNNNNNNNNNNNNNNNNNNNNNNNNNNNNNNNNNNNNNNNNNNNNNNNNNNNNNNNNNNNNNNNNNNNNNNNNNNNNNNNNNNNNNNNNNNNNNNNNNNNNNNNNNNNNNNNNNNNNNNNNNNNNNNNNNNNNNNNNNNNNNNNNNNNNNNNNNNNNNNNNNNNNNNNNNNNNNNNNNNNNNNNNNNNNNNNNNNNNNNNNNNNNNNNNNNNNNNNNNNNNNNNNNNNNNNNNNNNNNNNNNNNNNNNNNNNNNNNNNNNNNNNNNNNNNNNNNNNNNNNNNNNNNNNNNNNNNNNNNNNNNNNNNNNNNNNNNNNNNNNNNNNNNNNNNNNNNNNNNNNNNNNNNNNNNNNNNNNNNNNNNNNNNNNNNNNNNNNNNNNNNNNNNNNNNNNNNNNNNNNNNNNNNNNNNNNNNNNNNNNNNNNNNNNNNNNNNNNNNNNNNNNNNNNNNNNNNNNNNNNNNNNNNNNNNNNNNNNNNNNNNNNNNNNNNNNNNNNNNNNNNNNNNNNNNNNNNNNNNNNNNNNNNNNNNNNNNNNNNNNNNNNNNNNNNNNNNNNNNNNNNNNNNNNNNNNNNNNNNNNNNNNNNNNNNNNNNNNNNNNNNNNNNNNNNNNNNNNNNNNNNNNNNNNNNNNNNNNNNNNNNNNNNNNNNNNNNNNNNNNNNNNNNNNNNNNNNNNNNNNNNNNNNNNNNNNNNNNNNNNNNNNNNNNNNNNNNNNNNNNNNNNNNNNNNNNNNNNNNNNNNNNNNNNNNNNNNNNNNNNNNNNNNNNNNNNNNNNNNNNNNNNNNNNNNNNNNNNNNNNNNNNNNNNNNNNNNNNNNNNNNNNNNNNNNNNNNNNNNNNNNNNNNNNNNNNNNNNNNNNNNNNNNNNNNNNNNNNNNNNNNNNNNNNNNNNNNNNNNNNNNNNNNNNNNNNNNNNNNNNNNNNNNNNNNNNNNNNNNNNNNNNNNNNNNNNNNNNNNNNNNNNNNNNNNNNNNNNNNNNNNNNNNNNNNNNNNNNNNNNNNNNNNNNNNNNNNNNNNNNNNNNNNNNNNNNNNNNNNNNNNNNNNNNNNNNNNNNNNNNNNNNNNNNNNNNNNNNNNNNNNNNNNNNNNNNNNNNNNNNNNNNNNNNNNNNNNNNNNNNNNNNNNNNNNNNNNNNNNNNNNNNNNNNNNNNNNNNNNNNNNNNNNNNNNNNNNNNNNNNNNNNNNNNNNNNNNNNNNNNNNNNNNNNNNNNNNNNNNNNNNNNNNNNNNNNNNNNNNNNNNNNNNNNNNNNNNNNNNNNNNNNNNNNNNNNNNNNNNNNNNNNNNNNNNNNNNNNNNNNNNNNNNNNNNNNNNNNNNNNNNNNNNNNNNNNNNNNNNNNNNNNNNNNNNNNNNNNNNNNNNNNNNNNNNNNNNNNNNNNNNNNNNNNNNNNNNNNNNNNNNNNNNNNNNNNNNNNNNNNNNNNNNNNNNNNNNNNNNNNNNNNNNNNNNNNNNNNNNNNNNNNNNNNNNNNNNNNNNNNNNNNNNNNNNNNNNNNNNNNNNNNNNNNNNNNNNNNNNNNNNNNNNNNNNNNNNNNNNNNNNNNNNNNNNNNNNNNNNNNNNNNNNNNNNNNNNNNNNNNNNNNNNNNNNNNNNNNNNNNNNNNNNNNNNNNNNNNNNNNNNNNNNNNNNNNNNNNNNNNNNNNNNNNNNNNNNNNNNNNNNNNNNNNNNNNNNNNNNNNNNNNNNNNNNNNNNNNNNNNNNNNNNNNNNNNNNNNNNNNNNNNNNNNNNNNNNNNNNNNNNNNNNNNNNNNNNNNNNNNNNNNNNNNNNNNNNNNNNNNNNNNNNNNNNNNNNNNNNNNNNNNNNNNNNNNNNNNNNNNNNNNNNNNNNNNNNNNNNNNNNNNNNNNNNNNNNNNNNNNNNNNNNNNNNNNNNNNNNNNNNNNNNNNNNNNNNNNNNNNNNNNNNNNNNNNNNNNNNNNNNNNNNNNNNNNNNNNNNNNNNNNNNNNNNNNNNNNNNNNNNNNNNNNNNNNNNNNNNNNNNNNNNNNNNNNNNNNNNNNNNNNNNNNNNNNNNNNNNNNNNNNNNNNNNNNNNNNNNNNNNNNNNNNNNNNNNNNNNNNNNNNNNNNNNNNNNNNNNNNNNNNNNNNNNNNNNNNNNNNNNNNNNNNNNNNNNNNNNNNNNNNNNNNNNNNNNNNNNNNNNNNNNNNNNNNNNNNNNNNNNNNNNNNNNNNNNNNNNNNNNNNNNNNNNNNNNNNNNNNNNNNNNNNNNNNNNNNNNNNNNNNNNNNNNNNNNNNNNNNNNNNNNNNNNNNNNNNNNNNNNNNNNNNNNNNNNNNNNNNNNNNNNNNNNNNNNNNNNNNNNNNNNNNNNNNNNNNNNNNNNNNNNNNNNNNNNNNNNNNNNNNNNNNNNNNNNNNNNNNNNNNNNNNNNNNNNNNNNNNNNNNNNNNNNNNNNNNNNNNNNNNNNNNNNNNNNNNNNNNNNNNNNNNNNNNNNNNNNNNNNNNNNNNNNNNNNNNNNNNNNNNNNNNNNNNNNNNNNNNNNNNNNNNNNNNNNNNNNNNNNNNNNNNNNNNNNNNNNNNNNNNNNNNNNNNNNNNNNNNNNNNNNNNNNNNNNNNNNNNNNNNNNNNNNNNNNNNNNNNNNNNNNNNNNNNNNNNNNNNNNNNNNNNNNNNNNNNNNNNNNNNNNNNNNNNNNNNNNNNNNNNNNNNNNNNNNNNNNNNNNNNNNNNNNNNNNNNNNNNNNNNNNNNNNNNNNNNNNNNNNNNNNNNNNNNNNNNNNNNNNNNNNNNNNNNNNNNNNNNNNNNNNNNNNGUCGAAGUUCACUUCGUAAGAACCACUGAUCAACUGGCUGACGUCUUUACCAAAGCUCUUCCUGAAGCAUCAUUCAAUAAAAUAUUGCAAGGGCUAGGUAUGAUGGAAUCAGAGUCAGUACCUCACACUACCUCUCAACCUCAAACGUAAGAAGCGAAACCAACCGAACGUUCGGGUUCGGUUCAACCAUCUGACUCGCUCAUUACUUCAAAGGUAGUUUUUCUCUGUUGUAUAUUUCUUGUACAAUUUUGUUUUUCUUUGUGUUAAAAGUAUUUUUCACUUGCAUGUCUAAAUUCCUUGGUUUCUCAAAAUUUUCCAAAACCGAAACCUACCGAAGGUUCGGGUUCGGUUUUUCAAAAUUUUGUUGAACCGAAACCAACCGAAGGUUCGGGUUUGGUUUUUCAAAAUUUUCCUAAACCGAAACCAACCGAAGGUUCGGGUUAGGUUUUUCAAAAUUUUCUAGAACCGAAACCAAACGAACGCUCGGGUUCGGUUUUUCAACUUCUCCCAACCGAACCCAACCGAACGUUCGGGUUCGGUUUUUCAUAUUUUUUCCAAAGUUUUUUUUAAGUCUUAUUUUUUUCUUCUUACUUAUUUUUUUUAUUUUUCUUUUAUUUUAUUUUUUUUAUUAUUCUCCAAAACUCCAAAAAUAUUUUUUUAUUUUAUUUUUUUAUUCUUAUUUUCUUGUGUGUUCGUUCGUUUAUGGGGAUAUAUUUGAUGAAUUACUUAAGUGUCCCUAGAAGCAUGCUGCUGUAUGUGUCCCAAGCCUCAUAAGAUUUUGAAUAAUAGCCUUCAUGACCUGGUAUACACAAACCUUGUCUUCCCAAUAAGGCUAACACAUUUAUUCUAAUCGUGAGCUACCUCACUCUUUUCUCACAUGAGUUAAGAGUUUCCUGCUUGGUCCUUAUUUUCGCAGCAGAGGUACUAUCUCUUCUUACACCAUCUCCAUAACUCUUCUCCACUACAUUCGUUUCAUCAACGUAACCCUUGAGACUCUCAGAAAUUACCACUGAGGUUUAUGGUUACACAACAUCUGUGUUUAUGAUCUUAGUUUCGUGUCACUACGAGCUGAGUGAAACCCAAAAUUCAACACCAAAUCUGAAUUGACGGUGAACAAUUAAUUUGCUCAAGUUUUCACCAAAGAAUUGAUGAAUGUACCCUAAUGAAAUCUCAAAUUUUAUUUUGUGUGAUUCCUAUGAAAUUGUUAAACACCAUAACAUUUCUUCCCUUGGGAUCCAGAUUUUAAUAUUUUUUUUCUGAGAUUUUAUAUUUUUCCAAGCCAAUUUAAAAUGAAUUCCUACCUACUUGUUCAACAGGCUACACCGGUCUCACAAGUACUUUGUUCACUUUCUUUCUUAUUUCAAGAAUAGAAUUGAUGAAUCAAAGCGAAAGCCACCCCUAUUUAGCCUAAUUAAAAGAAGCCUUUCAACAUUUAUUAAUAAGUGUUUGAUCGUAAUUCAACGGGAAUCCACACUAACACUUUAAGGUCUCUCUUGACCUUGAAGGAAGAGAUUCGUGCCCGGGAUCAUCAGUUUCGUGUCAUUAUUGACAUCACAGAAUAUCCUUAAAAGAGUUGCUUUAUUUCUUUUUCUUUUACACUCUUUGCACGAAAAUCUUUGAUUUUCCCAAAUUCCGUUGCUUAUUAUUUACAGGCUGUAUUAUUACUCUGUGGUUAAUCAUGAAGUUGUGGUCAAAAACAAUCCACGUGGCAAUUUAAUUCAAAAGCUGCCGUUUAAAAGGAUAAGAUGAAAAGUUGCUGACUGGGCGGGAGUUAAAAGGAUCGAAAUUCAAACGACGGUAAAAGUGGGCGCGUGUGAAUUUGAAACGGCCGUGCUUUUACUGACACUUGUGGACGCGUGUGCGAAAUCCAAGCGUCAUCACUCUGGCAUUAAAGGCGCGUGUGGAAAUGGAAACGGUUUUUCUCUCUGAAACGGCGCUUGUUGGGCGGCGUGAUCCUAGGAACCUGACACUCUCUCUCCUACGUGAUCAUCGCACGCCUCAACUGUCAUCCAUCUGUCACUCAAGAACCCGUUUCGUAUUUCCAUAAGGGAUUUGAAACGAUUUUUCUCUCUCCUAUCACCCACUAUAAAAAGCCGUCUACACCACCUUUAACCUCUUUACUGCCUCCAAAAUUUCCAAAGCGCAAAUACUCCCAAACAGUUUCCUGUUCAUCAUCUUCUUCCUACCUGCAAAAAUGGCUGAAUCCUCUUCCGUUCAUGCUACUUCAUAGAUCCUCCCCAUCCGGCCACAACAAUGUCUGGUUAUUGAUCUUAACCCACUGGCGUACGACUGCUACAUGUCGCCGGUCAUAGAAUGUUUGAAGUACUCCCAACUUGCUCCGGCUCUUUCAAGAAUUGAAUUUGUGCCAAUGGUGGCCCUAUCGCAGGUUUACGCGACUGCCUACUACGACAAGGCCGUCGACCGGGUGUUUUUCGAGCUUGCAGAACACAAGACCUCAGUCUCUCGCCAACGUUUCUGCACUAUGCUGGGGUUUGCAGUUGACCCUUCAAGAGUCCAUCCGGAGACGAUUCCGAUCGGCCAUCUGUAUAACAUGUUUUACAACAUGGGAUACACAGAGGUUCUCACCUCUGUCGCUAAGUUUUAGAAGUCUUGCCUGCCGCCACAGUGGAAUGGCUCAUUUACAGUCCUUUUCAAGGGCUUGUCGGAAAGAAGCUCAGGAUCCGACGGUGCAAGUCGUCUCUUCCUGUCUAUAAUGUACGGGGUCUACAACGGGAUUAACCUGGACUAUGGGUUGGUCCUAUGGCAACAGCUCAUCCAGAGCCUCUCUUCAUCAUCCCGACACUCUGAGGUGUCGUUGGCCCGGUUCUGGAUCUUGAUUACAAGAUGGGCCAUGGACAAGUUUGAUGUUCCCACUGCUGACGGUGCAUCAAUGUCUUCUGUUGGUACGUUCCAUACCAAGAAGAUCAUCGUCUCAGAUGCAUCGAAAUUUUCCUUCAUUGGCUCCAUCCCGGAGACAAUGUAUGGCGACGUGCCAUCUGACAGCAGAUUGAUUCGGACAAUCAAGGAGUUUAGGCCAACUGGUCCAAGGGAACUGACACCGGAGAUGCUCAGGUCGAUUCACGAUGCAGACAAACCGGUGAGCAGGGGCAAAAAGGCAGAAAAAGGGAAGCAAGUGUCCAAAGAUCCAAAGGGACCUUCUCCCAAAAAGAGGAAACAACCGAAGGCUGCACAGUCCCCACAGCCGAAGAGGAGGAAGACUCAACAGAAGCGAAAGCUUGUAAUUCCCUCUUCUUCCAGUGACUCUGAGGGUGAGAGUUCGGGUUCUGACGGCUCUCAAGGAGACGAAUCUCCUCAACGAGGCAACACACCACCUCGGUCCCCUACCCCAGAGAUGGAACUUCAUAAUUCCCCAGUUCCUUCACCUCCACCAACCAUUCCUACUUCCAUUCCGACCAUAAUCCCCACUACCACUAUUCCACAAACAUCUUUCCUUAUACCACCACCCAUUUUCACAACCGUAACCGAAACACCCCCAGUAACCGAAACCCCUCCCGUAACCGAACUAUCGCAAACCGAAACCCAUACAACCGAACCUACCCACACUCAACCACCACCCAAAACUACCCCACCCAAUACUCAACCUCAACAUACCCCAACCACAACACCCCCAGCUUCACCACCCCCUCCAUCUCCAGAAAAUGCCUCUGAUGGAGACAACCCUUACCUUGGUGGUGAACACAUGAACUUUGAUUCGGUCUACUAUAGUCCGUUUCAGGUUCAGAGUGACGAGGAGGAUGAUGCUCCAGUGACGAAGAAGCAUCUCAAAGAGCUUAACGAGAAGGUUGAUCUACUUCUCGCCUCCUCUUCCAACCAGCAGUCCUCUCUUUCUGAAGCUGCCCUUCAGAAAAUUGUUGACGCCUUCUCCAGGGCUCAACAUGAUUCGGUGGCCUCAGCAACUGCUGCGAUUGAUGCCUCCACCAGAGCCUGUGAGGCUGCGACCGAAAAAGUCGAUAAACUAUUCUCCGACGCUUCUGUCCUGUUGAAGUCCUUGCAGGAAAGCGCCGACGCCACCAAGACAACUUUGGAACCAAUUGUUCAGCAAUUGGCCAAGUUCGUCUCAACGGAGUUGACUUCGUUCGCUACCCUACGCCAAAAUAUAAGCGACGACAACUCGGCACUUCGUGCCUCCAUCGAUGCUCGCCUCGCUAAGCUACAAGAGGAUCUUGCAGCUGAGAAUUCUUUGAUGGACGUUCUGGCGAGCAAAACAACCGCCCUCAAGGUCAAGAGCACGCAACUUUCCAACUCCCAACAACAACUGGAAGCUCUUCGAUCCGAAAGGGAGGUGAUCAAAACGUGUGUUUCGGAUGUCCACGCAGCAUUAUCCAACAUCCUGGAAGCACACGAUCCCAUUCUUAACCAUUCGGUGAGGCGUACCCUCGCUGAAAAGCUCUCUCCGGCCAUGGACCUUCUCAGCAAAAUCGAAGGCCUACCGAGUUUCGUGUCCAUUCCGAAACAAGGGGGAGAUGAGAAGACUGGAUCGAAACCACCUCCUUCCUCCAAAGCUACUCACACAACCGAACCACCUCCGACUGGUCAUGCUUCGGGUUCGGGUGUGAAGAACAAAGGCAAAAACUUAGCUGAGGAAGAAGAUGAAGAUGAAGACAAGGAGACCAUUGCCGACAUGUUAAAACAGAAGAACAGUCGCAAUGCUAACGAUGAUGCCAGUCGUGUGGCGCGAGAGGCUGAAGAAUCCGAACGCAAGCAAAAGGAAGCCCACGAUCUCCUUGAGAGCCAAAAUACUCUCUUCCCUGCCUGGACCAGGGAGCGUAUGAUUAAAGAGGCCAUAGAAACUCCCAGCAUAUUAUGGCUCGGCCGGUUAUCUCGUUCGACUGCAACAACACUGUCGAUUCGCAGUUCGAUAUGCCGCUAACUCGAAAGGCGUUCAUCUUCCACGCCUUCUCUAACAUAUUUGAAGUCCCUCACCCGAACGCUGAGCUUGACAGGGAGCUCAUUGACUUCUAUCUGGCGGCUGCUCGUCCUCAAUACCUUACUUGGAGCGCCCAGAAGAUUGUGAACGUUCGGGUGCUGAAACCUUACACCGAAGGUCGUUUUAUAAACGUUCGGUUCAAGCUCAUUCGGGGAUCUGCAAGAACUGCUCAUAUUAUCUCCCUGGCAGAUCUACCGAAUCUAAAUCCUCAUGAUUGGAUUGUCCUGUAUAAUAUCCUUUUGACUGAUGAAGCCGAAUAUGGUCCCAUUAUAGACCAUGUCAAAAGGAUGUUAGCCUGCUACAUCAUGGAGGUUGCCCUAAUGGAUCAGGAGGUCGCCACAGUCUUCAAGAAGAAACCGAAGAUUGCUCCUGUGGGAUCGGCCAGUGAUCUCAACCAAAUGCAAAUGGGCAGGAUCGACCCGAGACGCAACUCGGUUAUGUUCACUAGAGCGGAAGGACAGAAAUUUCUCUUCGCUUUAGCUGACAAACACCUUUACACCACAGCUUGCUUGGAGCAUGUGUUAUCGAUUGUCAAACGGUGUAAAGAGAACUCGGCUGAUGACAUAAAGUACUUCAACGACAUGAUCAAUUGGUACAUCCGGUUUAGACAGACCAUUCUCUCCAUCACCAAAUGUCUGUUUAGCACCGUGAAGAAGAAGGUACCUGCUUCAGUUGCUGGCCCAAGUAACAAGUGAAGGUCUCGCUCCAAAUUGACGCAAAGGGGGAGAUUGUUGGGCUGAAGAUUAUUUUGAAGAUUGCAUCUUUUGGGCUCGAUAGAAUAAGUUAUUUUGUAUUCCGGUUUGGGCCUGUCCAACCGAGAGCCUUUUAUGUUUUGUAUAUAAGUUUACGCUUGCAUGCAUAUUAGGUUAACGAUUUAGAGAUUAACGAAAUAGCGAUUCAUCUAGAGUAUUACAGGUUUCUUUAAUCGUUCUUGUAACCUACCAAUCCUCUACAGUGGAUGUUCUUAAUCGAGCUCUUCUGAGGAUUUUGUUUAAUCAUUCGACACGUUUGAUUCAAUCUUGUCUUGUUCUUAUUAUUGCGUUCAUACAGUUUUAUAUUUACAUACUUGUUCAAGAUCUAAUCGGUCUUCAUAGAUUAAAGGUUGUUUUCAUCUCAUCAUUCCCAUAAACUUGAAAGAUUGUUAACUCCCUAUGUGAUUCGUUAUAACCAUACUACAACAAAAAACAACCUGCAACAAUGUUUUCCAGACGUUAGGAUCAUAUGACUCUUGUCAUUCGUAGACCUGCAGGUUCGACUGUAGCUAGCACAGAGUUGUGGGGUGUCAAUCCUAAUAUAGAUCUAUACACAAUUAUCACGUUCUCCAUACAAGAGACUCUGGUUAUAACUUACAGGAAUUUGAACCCCUACUCUAAGAGUACGAUGGAAGAAUUGUCUCACAACUUAAGUUAACUAGUUUACAUAUAGUUUGAGUAUAAAGCCUCUUCUGUGGUGGAAGUGAAAUCACCUAUUAUGAAAUAAAUUAGGGAUAUGAAAUCCAUAAACUACUACUAUUAUAGUUUAUCGUGUAGUAUAUGAAAAACCCAUUUGUUUUGAAAGUAAAACCUUUUUCAUGUGGUAUACUUUUAUCGUAAAAUCCAUAAACUAUACUUAUUGUAGUUUAUUAUAUGUGUUCGAAAUGAAUAGAAAAACCUUAUCAUGAAUGACUAAUUUCUGUUUAUGAUUAUAAACUAACAAGAAAUAUAUUCAACAUUUAGAAACUUAUUGUUAUGCACUUUGCUCAACAUGUUACAAAGUGUUAUGAAAGUUGUAAGCUGUUAACUAGUUUUUAACCUUUCUGUAUUGUUUUAGAAAAAUCAUAGAAAAAUCGUACGACAUCAAAAGCUGAAACCGUAAACUCUGAGAGUUUAGAAAAUGUGUCUAGUUUAUUCAUAAUUUUUAUUAUGAUUUUUAGAAGUCCCUAACUUGUGUGAAAAUGUUCAUAUUCACAGACUGGUCCGAAUUUGUUUCUGAAAUGAUAGGCCGUUUUGUAAAACUCGUCAUAAAUUGUAGAAAAAACGUAUGGAGAUGUGCUAGUAGUCAUUUUAAAGGUAUGAACCUGAAAUAUUUUCAUAUUAAACAGUUUUGAAAGAUAUUAAGUCUACGUUGGUCAAAACAGUCCGUGAAUAGGACUCAAGGUUUCUGAUGAAAGUUGUUGUUUGAAUUUAGUUAAGUUUUUGGUAUUUUAACUUGUAUUCCCCUCCUAAAACUUGAAGAAAAAUUGAAAAUGUAGGGGUAUGAACUCACCUUGUGUGAUUUCAGGAGAUGGAUGAUGAAGAAAAGAAGUCUCCAAGUCAAGAACACUUGAGAGAUGCUUGAAGAUUUGAAGAUCUAGCAACAAAUAUGAACGAUAUUUGUGUGAUAAAUCCAUGGCUUGAAUGAAGAAGUAUGGGAUAAUAAGGUGAAGAAUGAAAUCUACUUACCAAAACUGAAGUGAAGUGAAAAGCUCAAGAACAGCCUUGCAAUCUCGAGUUCUAGAGAGUGAAAGUGAGUGAGAGAGAGAAAGAGAGGUGUUUGCUUUUUGGUGAGAGAGAGUGAGUAUAGUGGAAGGGGAUAUGAGAGUUUCCAGCUUUUGAUGAUGUUAUGUAGCUGGAGGAGGGGUGUUAAAGGACAAAUAGUUGCCUAGGUAGGGAGGAAUAGUGACUGAGGGUUAUCCUAUGAGGGUAUGGCUGUUAACCUGUGUCAUACAUUAAAGUAAAGUCAACACUCCACCUCAGAAUCUUAUCUACUAGAUUUUAUUCUUAGGCAAUGAUUUUCCUCCAAAAAUAAUUAAAAUAUGAUUAUAUAGGAUCUCCAAUGCCAAAAUACGAGUUUGGGUGAAAAUCCCGCGUCGAAAUCAUGAAAAAUGGGCUUAAAAUGAAGUUGGGGCGAAAACCGGGAAAAAGCUGCGAUUAUCCGAAGUCUGGGCUGGAGGUUCGGUCCUUGGUGCUUAGAACCGAAGGGAGUGUUCAGCUGAUGGUCUCGCAGGCGAAGCCGUCAGAAGGGAACCGAAAGCGAGAGUAGCGAGAAGCGAAGGCAAAGGGAGGUUUCGGGUUCAGUCUCGGAUCUGCUCGGUUCGCUCGGAUCAAUUUGGUUCUUCAUGGUUUCGGUCUGAAAGGGACCUUCGGCUUCGGCUCUUAGUAGAUUCGCUUCUUAGGGUUCGGCUCCUAAAGGAGGCUUCGGUUCCUAAGAGGCUUCAGUUCUUUAAGGCUGUUUUUCCAUUAAACUUCCCGUUUUGCGCGGUUUUUGACCAAGUUAAGGGUCGGGAUGCCCCGAAUGAUUAUAAAAAGUUGAGGGAGGUUACACGAGAGAUUUGGGAGAGAUUUGAGAUAGAGAGAGAUAGAGUGAGAGAGAUUGAGAGAGGCUUUGUUUGUGACCUUUGCAAGUGUUUAACUUCGAAAUGCAAGGUUGGUAAACCCUGUUUUGCCUUAUUAUGAGCGUUAUAUGCCCCAAAAGGUAUGUAUUAAUGCUUUAUUGAGUUGUUCCAUUAGUUACCCUGAUUAGGGUUUAGAUUUUUCUGAACGCGUGAAGACUCAAAGUGAUACUUUGCAUUAAGAUAGUGUGUUGUACAAUAGUAAGCACGAUGUAAACCCUAAUAUAUAAGAGUUAAUUGAGUUGACCGGUUUGACUUGUUGACUUUAUUUGACAUUGACUUGACCGGAAAUUGACGGUUGUCACAUCAUCCCCCCGUUAGAAGAAUUUUUGUCCCGAAAUUAGCACUUUGACCGGGACUUUGAGUGUAACAACGCAAAUUUUCAAACAAAUUUUUCAUUUCAAAAAUAAAGUAUUUUCAUUCAAACAAGGCAUAAUUAUUCCAAGUGUUAUGUCAAAAUACAAUUCAUAGAAUUCCCAGGAUCUCAAAACGUCAAUCAGUGUGUACAGAUCACGCCGGCGCCUUCCCACGGUCCUCGCUAGUACCUGAAACACAUACAUAACAACUGUAAGCAUAAAUGCUUAGUGAGUUCCCCAAUAUACAACUUACGCACAUACGCCUUUCCAGGCCCUGACCUUCCGGUCCAUGUGUCUCAGGGGACUUCCGUCCCUGCUGGGUAAACCUUCCGGUCCUACCCACGCCGACCUUCCGGUCCAUAACACAACGCCUUCCGGCCCAUAACAUAAUCGCCUUCCGGCCCAUAACAUAUUGCCUUCCGGCCCACAUAACAUACAUAGCACGUAUAACAAUUAACUUAUCACAUAUAGCACAUAUAUCUCAUAUCAUAUCCGACCUUCCGGUCACACAGUCAAACCCUUCCGGGUACAGUAUAGUGAGAAGACUCACCUCGUGAAUAUCGAAAGCUAGCAAAUCCCGAAAUCACUCGUGCUCGAUCCGCCGAGCUACAAUCUCCCUAUAACAUCAUAUAUCUCUUAUUAACACUUUUAUCUUCUAAGUUUGACUAUCCCUAAGAAGUCAGACAUAGGUCAACUCUGGUCAACGGUCAACGGUCAACUGUCAACUUGACCGGACUCGGCGAGUGCUAUGGCGACUCGGCGAGUCUAGACGUCCUCACCAAUUCUCUAAGAUUCCCUUUCUACUCGUCGAGUAUCCCUCUUGACUCGACGAGUUCCUCCUGGAAGAAUCGCGGGGCCACCCCGACUCAACUCGCCGAGUCUGAAGAACAACUCGACGAGUCCCAGUUAAUCUUCAAGCUACUCGCCGAGUCUGUUCAUCGGACUCGGCGAGUCCAUGCCAUGCAACCGCUCAAACUGCUUUCUAAGGUCAGAACUGCUCCGACCAUUCAUAGGUCUGGCCUUCCUAGACUGAUUCAUCACGUAAGGUCCUCAUUUCGGUGCUCAUAAUACACCCCAUGACUCAUAAUUUACAUUUUGACCUAAGGCAUAAGGAUUCCAAUCCAAAACCUCCAUUGAUUCCCGAAAUGCUCAGGCAUGGGACAUUCUGGACCUCCAAAGGUCCCAAUACAGGGUUCCAAUCGUUUGGGGGACUAAGGUAACAUUCAAUCUAGCCACAAAAGGGUUCCAUAAACCCUAAAUCCAUAUACACAUCAACAUAAGGGAAUGCACUCGAAAUAUUACCUGAAUAACGUGCUCUCUGUGUCCCCAAAUCCUCAGAACGUGGCUUCUCCUGUUGUUCCCUUAACCAAGCCUCUUCUUCCUUCCAAAACAACACUUCCAAAAUCAACAAUGGUCUUCAACCUUGCUCCAGAUGCUCACAAUCGAAAUAGGGUUUCUCUCAGAGGACUAGGGUGAACAAUGACGGCCAUAAAGUCCCUCAUAUACGUCCCAAACCUGAACGGUUAGGGUUUUCGCUAAACAGCGCAGACUCGCCGAGUCCAUAUCCGGACUCGUCGAGUCCAGUCGCGAACCCGCGACCAGAUCCGCGAUCCUACUCGGCGAGUCUAGGCUCCAACUCGCCGAGUCCCCUCUUAAAACACCCAAAAACAUAAUUAUAACAAUACCUGAAAUUCCGGGCUGUUACAUUGAGAGUUGGGGAAAGGUGCAUGUAUUUUUGUUUCACUUGAUCCUCACGUUCCUAGGUGAAUUUGGGUCCUCGUUUUACUUUCUAACGGACCUUCACAACAGGGAUGCGUCUUUGAUUUCGUUCUUUUGAUCUUUCGAUCCAUGGUUUCUAUCGAUUUUUCCACGAAGUGGAGACUCUCUUUGAUUUCGAUUUCGUCGAGGGGGGAGUAUUACAAGAGUCUCGACGGACAGAGACUUCUUUAAGUUUGAUACGUGGAAGGUCGGGUGUACGUUAUUAAGUUCUUGUGGUAGUCGAAGCUUGUAUGCCACUGGGCCAAUCCUGACAAGGAUUGCGAAUGGCUCGAUGUACUUUGGAUUUAGUUUUCCCACGUUUACUAAAAAGUAUCAUUCUUGUCCACGGUGAGACCUUCGAUAGUACUUGAUCACCAACCUGGAAAUUCCAAGGGUCUGCGUCGCUUAUCUGCAUAGCUCUUUUGUCGAUCUCGAUACACUUUCAGUCUUUCUCGAAUUUGUAUGAUCUUUUCCGUUGUCUCCCUUAUGAUUUCAGGGCCAGCGAGGGUGCUGUUAGGGACUUGUCCCUUUGCUAGUUGUGUAUCUCUCCUUUCAGCCAAGUGCAACGGUGAUAUGCACUUGUGGCUAUAGAGAGCUUCAAAUGGUGCAAUCUUGAUGCUAGUGUGAUAACUGUUAUUACACGAGAAUUCGACAAGUGGUAAAUGGGUAUCCCACGCUUUAUCAAAGUUAAUCACACAAGCUCCUAGCAUUUCUUCCAAGGUUUGACCAGUUCUUUUGAUCUGCCCGUCGGUUUGUAGGUGGUAGGCCGUACUCACAUCCGGCCUAGUUCCCAGAGACUUUUGGAGUGAUUGCCAAAAUUGCGAAAUGAAUCUACUAUCACUUUUGGGGGUAAUGGAUAUUGACACGUCAUGCAUUCGUACAAUCUCUUUGAUGUAUGAUCUAAUCAAUUUCUCUAUCUUAUCGGUUUCUUUGAUUUGUAGGAAGUGCGUGGUAACUUGGUUAUGAAUUCCAUGAUUAUCUGUUUCCACUUCCUUUCGGUUAUCAUUGGUUGUUGUACGAAACUCGAAGGCUUCUGUUGUUCUACCUUGACCUUGGCACAAGUCCGAUACUUGCCCACAUGUGUAGCGAUGUCAGCUUUCCUAUUCGGCCACUGAUGUUACUUUUUGAGGUCCAAAUACCUCUUGUCUGAGCUUGGAUGAAUGGAGUAGCGAGUUUUCAUGUGCUUCAUUCAUGACGUCAUUUCUGAUUCCAACAAAUUCGGUGUCCAGAUCCGGUUCAUGGGAUAACACGCCUUGCCGCUCUUGCCUUCUAGGUUCUUAUGAUCGGUGAAGAUUAUACAUUUCGUGUCGUGGAGAUAGUGCCUCCAGAUCUCUAUGGUGAAUACUACUACUCCUAGUUCGAGGUCAUGCGUGACCUAGCCGACCCCGUACGUCUUUAGCUGUCUUAAGUCAUAAGUAAUAACUUCUCCUCGGAUCGCUGCAUAGGACCUGCUGUAGUGUUUCUCGUUUGAUUAGAUCGGUAGGGAGCAUAUGGGUUCGGUUUAUGCGACUAGACUUAUUCGGAUGGUAGAACGUUCAUUCGCACUCCUGGGUAGCCUUGUCCCGAAUUUCAUGGUAGGACUCGUACCUGGUCCAUCUAUCUUUAACUUGCGCAUAUAGGUCGUAUGUAAUUAGGGUUCGUAAUAUAGUUGGAAGGGUGACUCUGCCCCAAGUCCACAACCAGACAAGGAACAGGAAAUAGGGCAGAAGCACACAUCCAAUGUCCGUAGAAUCUUAAUUAUAUAUUUUAUCCUUGCGUAUACACAUAGUAGUGAUACACUAACCGUAUUCGUCCCAAGCUUUUGUGCAUCUUGACCUGCUAUACGAGUGGUAUUCUCGAUGGGUCUUCUGGAAAUACUUGUGGAAAGGUUUCAGAAGGUAUAAUAGUCCUCUGGUGAGUGUUUUGGGGUUUCGCAAUGAGAGAUGACCCAGAGGUCCGUGUUGGAUUUGCGUUUAUGAGAGACGAGGGUUUCGAUAUCCAGCUGGUUAGGUGGAGGGUCUUCUCGUAACAUAUGCAAUUGAUAGGGUGAUGACCCAAACCAAUCCAUAUCAAAUGACGACAUCGGAUUUUCUCGAUGACACAUGUAUUAAGUCCUAUUCGUAAGAGGUAUUCGUGAGAGUGAUAGUGCAUCGUGUGUUUCUCUUCAGUGUGUUCAAUUUUGAUUGAUGUUAUUGUUACUGCAAAUGAUUUAUACCACACAGUAGCUAGUACUGGUAGUAAGUGUGUUCGGAUAGCAAGUAAUGAUACUUUAUAUCAUGAUCCCUGAUAGAUCUCUCUAUGAUCGAUCAGUAUAUGCAAGUCGUAUGUGAUUUGGUACGGAUAAAACCGUCGAGUGAGUGGCUCUACCCUAACCCCACUACUAGACAUGGAACUGGAAUUAGGACGGAAUUUUUCACUUUAAGCCUGUAAUAUUUUAAUUAUAAGUAACCCUUAUGUAUACACCAAGUCAUCACAGCUCAUCGGUAAUGAUCCUAAGGUUGUAUAUGAGUGUCUUUGAUUUGAUUUGAACGAGAGAGUAUUUUAACUACUUUUUGAAAGACGGUAAUCUUAGCAAACAUAGCAAAUUCAUUACAAACAUACGGUACUUAAACAUUUUUGUUGUUGGAAGCAUUACAAAAGUCCUAAUAAGGUUCCUCGUUGCUCUUGCUGGUUUGUUUGUCACGCUCCUCCUGUUCCCCCGUCAUUCCUCUCAGUUGGACAGUCCCUCUUGAAGUGUCUCGUUUCACCGCAUAGGUAGCAUACUGGGCUUACCCUGGUAUUGGUGAUUGAAGCGAUGCGCCGGGUCUGGGCCCUACAGAAGUGGGAAGUAUGUACGUUCUUGUUGCGGUUUUUACAGUGCGGCGCCCAGCAAACCCCAUUGUGAUGGUAGCCACACUUGUCACACCUUGGGAGUGUUCCCAUAUAUCGUCUGAUCGGUGCUUGAGUGAUAGACGUUGUGGCUAAUGUCGAGGCAUGUGUAGUAGCUGCAGUUGUAAUUGCAGGGGCAGCCACGGAUUUUUGUCUUUUAGCGAGUUUUUGAGAUAGAUUGCGCUUCUUUUUGUCCCAAAACUUUCGUUUCUUGCUCUUGGGCUUGUGGUCUGAGGCGUUUACGUUGGUAGACACCCGAUGACGUUCUUGAUUGUUAUUGCGGUUAGUAUCGCCAACACCAUCUUUGCCUCUGCUGGCGUUGUUAGCAUUGAGCUGCACCAUGAUGGCUGUCACGGCUGCCGUGACCACAACUUAAAAAGUAGCAGAGUCUAUCUAUAGGAUUGGUGCCUUGCUUGUUGGCUGGUUACCUUCUUGUGAAGACAUAACUCUGUUGCAUGGGGGAGAAACGAUCUUGUGAGUGAGGAUAAUUAUCUGUAGUUAUAUCCCUACCCUACACAUAUACAAAUUUCGCACUUUACUGAACUAUUCUUGAUGUUUCUGCUAACGUUCCUUAGAUGGAGUUUUGGUAGUGCGUAGAAGUAGGUUUUGUACGACUAUUAAGUUUUACCCAUCCUAGAAUUGUCUUUUCCCAAACACACUUGGGUAAGGAGUUAUGAUGGGAUCCGGUGCAUUAGUGCUGGUAUGAUCACACUCUAUAGGUCCACAGAAAAAGGCACCUUUCAACUAUGAGGUUUAAAAAGGUGAGAUGAUAAUGAGUCUUGAAUAAGGGCUUAUACGUCGGGAGUUAUCUCACUAAGUUUAUCUUAGUUCUGAGUGUAUCGUGUUCCAAUUUUUUUAUGGUGUUAUGAAAAACAAUUCAUAAUGAAAGUUUAUAUGAAAUAAACUUAUGAAUUUUUGGUAGUAUUGCUCCUAAUGAAAAAAUACGCACGACCAUUUCAUUUGUAUGUUUCUAGUAUAUUUAGUUUUUAGAGAAAGGUUUUGAGCCUGAUGCAGGCCUACACCACAUCAUUGCAAGGAAAAGUUUGGACCGCAAUAAAUUUCUCGACUAGUGUAACCACUAACUCGCAGGGUCGUGCCUACACAUGGAGGAGAUUAGCACCAAUGCAUACACAUAAACCUAAUCUACAAGGUCUGGUGAGUAAAAUGAACUCUGCUCACGACAAUACAUCCCCAGUGGUGUUUGAAACGAAGCCGAUGCGUCCUGUAGUUCUGCCAACCUAUGCUCCGCUGUGACCACUCUCUCUUCGAGUGUCGAGUGUCUCUCCUGAUAUUUCUUUGCCUUCGCCUGAGUGGCGAUAAGGUCCUUAAUGAGUUGGUCUCUGAAAUGGCAGUCUCUUUCUAAGUCUCGAGUUUGUGAGAUGGUAGCAUCUGCAGCAGUGCGCAGUUCCCUAACUCGAUGUUGGUGAUCUGCUGGGUCAUCACCGGGAGGGCUCUGUCAACCGGUCCCUCAUGGUUGAGGUCAUUGCAACCUUGUUGUUCUCCAAAUGGUGAUUGUUGUUGCUGAUGGCGACUCUACCUCUCGAUCAAUGUUGCCCAACGGGGCACAGGUUCAAUGUAGUCGAAACGGUUAGCGAGAGUCCUGGCUAUGUAAGGAGAGUUGUCGACCUCUGGCUCUACUUCCGAGACUUUUCCCAAUCGCCCACUAACUCUCCGGGUUUGGGAAGUAGGGGUCUCAUGGUAAGUAAAAUCUUUCCAUGAUGUCCAUGUGAGAAUAUGGGUGAGGUAAGAGGCAUAUAAUAAUCAUAUUCCUAGAAAUACUUAUAGGGGUUUGAUCCUCCUUAGUUACUUCUAUAAUGACAUGGUGCAUACCAGUUACAUAUAACAAAAGAUAUGAUAGACCUUCGAAUAAGUGAUCAUACUCCAAAACCACAACUAAACAAGGAACAGGAAGUAAAGCAAUUAUCACAGAUUCCAAGUCUAUGAUAUCUAAGUUAUAUAUAACUUUAGCGUAUCCACUUAGAGAUUGUAUAUCUACUAGCAAGAAUCUGUUUAGUUUUCGCAUAAGUUGCAGUACCAAAAAAUACUCUUAUAGUAUUUUAAAUGUUAUGUUUGGUUCUUAACGAUUUUCUGGUAUGGGUGUUGGUAAGUUGAUAGACUUGUUGUCCACUAUGACCAUCCCUCGGCACAUACUAGUCACUUCUCGGACGAAUAUAGUUGAUCAUGCUAUAUUCCUCCCAGACUUGAUAGCAUAUCCCAGGGCAUAUUCACAUUGCACAACUCCUCUAUUUUUAACUUUUGUGUUUUCCUUAGACGUGACACUAUACCAAUAUGCAUGUAUGUACUCAUACUAUUAAUAAAGAAACUAUUUAUUUCUAAAAGCAUAGUUAUUUAAAAAUGUUUAAUCAGAGACUUUAGUCCCAAUGCAUUUAUAGUUUGUAUAUCUUAUGUGGUUCGAUAUACUUAGUUUACUAUAAACAAUGCUCUGGUACCAAUCUGUCACACCCCCAAACCAAGGAUGGCGGAAACGUCCGGGGGUGGAGGAUUUGAUGUAUGGUAUCACAACAAUGAGUAUAAUAGUGUUCAAAGUAAAGACAACCAUCAUAAAUAUAAUUGAAAAACUUACACCAUAGUAUGUUUUUACAUGUUUCAAAUCAAUUACACUAUGAUGACAAAAUGAAAAGUUUGACGAUUUAACGUCCCAUCCUCAAAAGCUGUUGAUUUCCUGUUUCACUGAUUUCCUGAGAAUACAAGUAGUUUCGAUAAAGUGUCAACAAUUAAGUUGGUGAGUUCAUAAGCUUUUGAAUGUAGAGUUUGAAAACCCUACCAGUAUGUAUAGUAUGUUCCGUUUGAAAACCCUUGUUUACAAAUGACAUGUAUAACCAAGAAAAAUCCAGUAUUCUUCCUUAUAAAAUGUCAUGUAAUCUUAAAUCCCAAGACCGAUAAUACGUGUGUUUUGUACUUAUAAUGUUUAUAAUAGUGAUGUGUUUCCAAAGAAAAUCCAACAUUUUCCUUAUAAAGGUCAUGUAGUUUUAAAUCCCAAGACCGAGAGUAUGCAGUUUUAGAUAAAUAAAACCCCUUUUUAAAGUAGAAUUUUCUCGUAAACUUGAAAGAUUAUUAACUCCCUAUGUGAUUCGUUAUAACCAUACUACAACGAGAAAUAACCUGCAACAAUGUUUUCCAGACGUUAGGAUCCUAUGACUCUUGUCAUUCGUAGACCUACAGGUUCGGCUGUAGCUAGCAGGGAGGUGUGGGGUGUCAAUCCUAAUAUAUAUCUAUACACAAUUAUCACGUUCUCCAUACAAGAGACUCUGGUUAUAACUUACAGGAAUUUGAACCCGUACUCUAAGAGUAUGAUGGAAGAAUUGUCUCACAACUUAUGUUAACUAGUUUACAUAUAGUUUGAGUAUAAAGCCUCUUCCGUGGUGGAAGUGAAAUCACCUUUUAUGAAAUAAAUUAGUGAUAUGAAAUCCAUAAACUACUACUAUUAUAGUUUAUCAUGUAGUAUAUGAAAAACCCAUUUGUUUUGGGAGUAAAACCUUUUUCAUGUAGUAUACUUUUAUUGUAAAAUCCAUAAACUAUACUUAUUGUAGUUUAUUAUAUGUGUUCGAAAUGAAUAGAAAAACCUUAUAAUGAAUGACUAAUUUCUGUUUAUGAUGAUAAACUAACAAGAAAUAUAUUCAACAUUUAAAAACUUAUUGUUAUGCACUUUGCUCAACAUGUUACAAAGUGUUAUGAAAGUUGUAAGCUGUUAACUAGUUUUUAACCUUUCUAUACUGUUUUAGAAAAAUCAUAGAAAAAUUGUACGAAGUCAAAAGCUGAAACCAUAAAAUCUGAGAGCUUAGAAAAUGUGUCUAGUUUAUUCAUAAUUUUUAUUAUGAUUUUUACAAGUCCCUAACUUGUGUGAAAAUGUUCAUAUUCACAGACUGGUCCGAAUUUGUUUCUGAAAUGAUAGGCCAUUUUGUAAAACUCGUCAUAAAUUGUAGAAAAAACGUAUGGAGAUGUGCUAGUACUCAUUUCAAAGGUAUGAACCUGAAAUAUUUUCAUAUUAAAUAGUUUUGAAAGAUAUUAAGUCUACGUUGGUAAAAACAGUCCGUGAAUAGGACUCAACGUUUCUGAUGAAAGCUGUUGUUUGAAUUUAGUUAAGUUUUUGGUAAUUUAACUUGUAUUCCCCUCCUAAAACUUGAAGAAAACUUCAAAAUGUAGGGGUAUGAAUUCACCUUGAGUGAUUUCAGGAGAUGGAUGAUGAAGAAAAGAAGUCUCCAAGUCAAGAACACUGGGGAGAUGCUUGAAGAUUUGAAGAUCUAGCAACAAAUAUGACGAUAUUUUUGUGAGAAAUCCUUGACUUGAGUGAAGAAGUAUGGGAUAAUAAGGUGAAGAAUGAAAUCUACUUACCAAAACUGAAGUGAAAAGCUCAAGAACAGCCUUUCAAUCUCGAGUUCUAGAGAGGGAAAGUGAAUGAGAGAGAGAGAGGUAUUUGCUUUUUGGUGAGAGAGAGUGAGUAUAGUGGAAGGGGAUAUGAGAGUUUCCAUAUUUUGAUGAUGUUAUGUAGCUGGAGGAGGGGUGUUAAAGGACAAAUAGUUGCCUAGGUAGGGAGGAAUAAUGACUGAGGGUUAUCCUAUGAGGGUAUGGCUGUUAACCUGUAUCAUACAUUAAGGUAAAGUCAACACUCCACCUCAGAAUCUUACCCACUAGAUUUUAUUCUUAGGCAAUGAUUUUCCUCCAAAAAUGAUUAAAAUAUGAUUAUAUAGGAUCUCAUAUGCCAAAAUACGAGUUUGGGUGAAAAUCCCGCGUCAAAAUCAUGAAAAGCGGGCUUAAAACGAAGUUGGGGUCGAAAACCGGGAAAAAGCUGCGAACACCUGAAGUCUGGGCCGGAGGUUCGGUCCUUGGUGCUUAAAACCGAAGGGAGUGUUCAGCUGAUGGUCUCGCAGGCGAAGCUGUCAGAAGGGAACUGAAAGUGAGAGUAGCGAGAAGCGAAGGCGAAGGCGAAGGGAGGUUUCAGGUUCGGUCUCGGAUCUGCUCGGUUCACUCGGAUCAGUUCGAUUCUUCAUGGUUUCGGUCCGAAAGGGACCUUCGGCUUUGGCUCUUAGUAGAUUCGCUUCUUAGGGUUUGGUUCCUAAAGGAGGCUUCGGUUCCUAAGAGGCUUUGGUUCUUUAAGGCUGUUUUUCCAUUAAACUUCCUGUUUUGCGUGGUUUUUGACUAAGUUAAGGGUCGGGAUGCCCCGAAUGAUUAUAAAAAGUUGAGGGAGGUUACGAGAGAGAUUUGGGAGAGAUUUGAGAUAGAUAGAGAGAGAGAGAUAGAGCGAGAGAGAUUGAGAGUGACUUUGUUUGUGACCUUUACGAGUGUUUAACUUCGAAAUGCAUGGUUGGUAAACCCCAUUUUGCAUUGUUAUGAGCAUUAUAUGCCCCCGAAGGGUAUGUAUUCAUGCUUUAUUAAGUUGUUCCAUCAGUUACCCUGAUUAGGGUUUAGAUUUUUUUGAACACGUGAAGACUCAAAGUGAUACUUUGCAUUAAGAUAGCAUAUUGUACAAUAGAAGCACGAUGUAAACCCUAAUAUACUAGAGUUAAUUGAGUUGACCGGUUUGUCUUGUUGACUUUAUUUGACUUUGACUUGAACGGAAAUUGACGGUUGUCACAGCGUUACACCCGAUUCAUCAGGUCCAUGAAUACUUCCGGUGCGUUGAUUAGACCAAAGGGCAUUACUACAAACUCGUAGUGUCCAUAGCGAGUUCGGAACGCUGUCUUGGGCACAUCAUUCUCGUGAACUCGCAACUAAUGGUACUCUGAUCUUAGAUCUAUCUUCGAAAAGUAGCCGGCUCCCUGAAGUUGAUCGAAGAGGUCGUCGAUUUUGGGUGAGGGAUAUCGGUUCUUGAUGGUCAGCUUAUGCAGUUCUCGGUAGUCAAUGCACAUCCGAAAGGCUCCAUCUUUCUUUUUUACGAAUAAGAUCGGAGCUCCCCAAGGUGAGGAACUUGGCCUUAUGAAGCCCUUGAUGAUCAACUCAUUGAGCUGGCUGGUAAUUCUUGUGUUUCUGCUGGUGCUAAACGAUAGGGAGAUUUAGCUACAGGAGUAGCUCCGGGGAUUAAUUCGAUACAAAACUCGACUUGACGCUUGGGAGGAAUUCCUAGAAGGUCUUCUGGGAAGACAUCAGGAAAGUUACAGACUUCAGGGAUGCUCUCAAGGUCUUUAACUUUUUGCGUUUCGUCAACAACAUGAGCUAGGAAUGCAUGGCACUCCUUUCGUAGAUAUUUCUGGGCUUUGAUGCAUGAAAUGAUACGAAGGUUUGAACUAGGAUUAUCACCGUAAAUCAUGAGAGCUUCACCAAAGGGAAGAUUGAGAUGGAUGGCUUUCUCGUAGCAAAGGAUAUCAGCACGAUUGGGGCUUAACCAAUCCAUCCCGAUAAUGACAUCGAAACUUUUAAUGUAUACAUGCAUAAGGUCAAUAGGAAAGGAAUGACCCUCUAGGAUAAGAGUACAGCCUAUGAAUAUAUCGUUAGUGCUCUCUUUCUUUCCGUUAGCCAUCUCGACGAUGAAUGUUUCGGUUAAAGGUUGGGAUUUACAUUUGAUUAGAUGUUUGAAUGCAUGACUAACAAAACUCCUCUCCGCACCAGAAUCGAAAAGAAUGCAUGCAUAAGAGUUGUCAAGGAGGAACGUACCUGUAACAACGGUUGGAUCAGCGACCGCUUCCUCCUGGCCCAUUGCCAGCACCCUUCUUGUAUUGCAACAUGUUGUUGCCUUGGGACAAUCUCUCUUGAAGUGCCCAACCUCUCCAUAUCCAUCACAGGCUUUACCAGCACCCGCUCCAGGAGCCUGAUUGGUUGGUUGGACUGGUCCUUUGCAGAAUCGAGCUGUGUGUCCCUUCUUGCCACAGCUGGUCCACGACAUCUCCCGGCACUGUUCCUGAUGAUGGUAGUUGCACUUGUUGCACAGAGGUAGUUUUCCAACAUAACGACUGGGAUUCGUUGGAGUAACGGGGACUACAGUAGGAUUAGUAGCAGCGUGGACUGCCACUAUUUGUUUUUUAUUGGAGGGCUCCUGAGAGGACUGGCCCUUGCGCUUGUUCCAAAAUUUCUUCUUCCCACUACCCUCCUUCUUUGGUUCAGGAACGGCUGUCACCUCAUCAAGAUCGACUCCAUGAUCGAUCAGAGUCUGCGUCAGACACUUGGCACUAUCAAAUGUAGCUGGCUGAGCAGCCAAGACAUUUCAUUUGGUUGGUUGUGUCAGUCCCCAAAUGUACCUCUUUAUUUUCUUGCUUUCCGGGGUGACCAUUCCCGGACAGAGAAGAGCCAGAUCAUAGAAUCUAGCGGUGUAGGCAGCGAUGUCGUAACCCUUCAUCUUCAAGCUCCAGAGUUCAUGCUCCAACUUUUGCACUUCACCCCUCGGGCAGUAUUCUGCAAGCAUGAGUUCCUUCAGUCUUUCCCAACCCAUGGCAUUAGCCACUGGCAGGGUUAGGGUUUUGACUUGACCAUUCCACUAGGUCAAAGCUCUGUCGGUGAAGGUACAGGCGGCGAACAACACCUUGUUUGCUUCGGGACAGGCGCAAAUUUCGAAGAUGGAUUCGAUCUUCUCGAACCAUCGAUUCAGAGCGAUAACACCUCCAUUUUCGUCGAAGGACUUGGGUUUUAAGGACAUGAAGUCCUUGUAGGAACACUCCUUUUGAUGUCCUUGACUUCCGUCUUGCCGUUGUGAGUCGGUUCCACCUCCAGCCCCACCAGAGUUCACUUGUGCCAUUGGUGCAGUCACGGUGGUUGUAACCGCUGCCUGGAACAUGAUAGGGUCGAACUGAGGGGGUGGUGGUGGUGGUGGUGUGUCAUCGGUUCUUCUGAUGGGUCUUCUUCGGGGAGGCAUCUUGUUCUAGAAACAAUCAGGAAGAAGAGGAUGGUAAGUCCUCGAGAUAUAUGAAACAAGACAUAUCUCAUCCUGAUAAUAAAAAUAUUCUACCAAGCGAUAAGCACAGAAAGGUUACUAACGCAAGUAAGUUAUUGCUUAAGAAAGAAGAGUUAGCAACACUUGGAAUGAAUCUGUAUACAAAUUUUGGCUCUAGCUAAAAUACUCCUAUAGUAUUUUAUGUUGGAUGUUUUUGUUCUUGGUAAGUUGGAUGUUUUUGUUCCUUGGAAAACCCUGGUUACUCCCAGUGAGGUAUAUUAGCCUUAUUACAUAAAUAAAACUAAUAAAUAUGUGGUGAAUUAAAUCCUGAAGGUAUUAUUAAUACCCUCUAGUAAUUAAAUCAGUUAUUACUUUGAGGUUAGUUCACUUGAUUCAUUAUUACAAAAGUAAAUCUCUACUAUCUAGGUUGUGAGUUUUAUAACCAUACAUUAACUUGAUAUGGCACGUAUCGGGGCCAGUAUCCUUUAUGACUUUGUCACCCAUAGACCUGCCGGUCCGGCUAUAGCUAGCAACAAGGUGCGGGAUUGUCAGUCCCGUAUAGAUCUAUACACAACAGUCACACUCUCCCUACAAGAGAUUCUGGUUACAAGUGCUAGUCCUACACUUUGUUUUGGUGGUGAGUGUUACCAAGGACGUGUCUCCAACUUAGACUAACAAAUUUACAAUUAAUAAUAUAGAAAAUCCUUUUGUGAUUAACAUGAAUCCUUUAUAAAACGAUACAUUUUACUACAUGAUUCAUAAGUUCCUUGCUCUAGUUUUGAUAACUAUUUCUACGAGUUGAUUUCUUAAUCGUUUGGUAAAACUGUUCUCCGUGUUAAAAGCAUAUUGAAAAUAUAAUUAUCUUAACAAAAUAAUAUAUUUUGAGAACAAGUUUCCUUGUACUUUUGCUUGUAUUCCCCCCUGAAAACAUGAAAAACUCGAAAAAACAUACGGGUAUGAACUCACCUUGAGUGAGUGGUCUAAUUGAAGGAUCGAUACGGAAAGCUAGAUGUUCAAGUGAAGCCUUGAACACAAUUUGAUCCUAAUUAACACGUAACGACACAUAAAUGAGUCAAAUGAGGGUAUUUCACUACUAGAUGUGAUGGAGAACCACUCUACGGACUUGGAACUACUUGCACUAAGUGUUAGGACCUUAAAGGAUUGCAUGAGGGAGGUGUAUGGCCACCUUAAAGGUGUGUGCGGCCGUACACUCAUGAUGAGAGGUGCCUUUGUGGUAUUUUCAAGGUCCAUACUUGCAUCAAUGAAGUGUUCUAGGUCUAUACUCGAUUGUAGUGCACGUUAAGGGUUCUAGAAGUGGGUUUAUGGUCCUAGGGUGUGUGUGUGGUCGCACACAGGAGUGUGCUGCCCCACACAAGGAGUGUGCUGCCGCACAAGGGUGUGUGCGGCCGUACACAGGUGUGUGCGGUCAUACACCCCACAUGAAGAUGUCCAAAAUGUCAAUUCCAAGGUGCAAUAAGGCUAGGGCCAUGUCUAUCUCGAGUAUGGAAGUCAAACUCUCACUUUGGAGGGUGUUUUAAGAGUGUGCGGCCACCUUAAAGGGGGGUGUACGGCCGCACUCACUUCCAAACACGAAGAAUAUGAUGAAUAUUGCGUACUUAAGGCUUAUAUAGAGUGGUCUUUCAUGGAUAUCAAGUUAGAGGAUGAAUUACUCACGUUCUUGAAGCUUUGGAGGGUUUGUGGUUGAAAACACUUGAGAGGAAAAAGUGUUGUGUGCUGCCAAGGUGUCAAAGGAAUGAAAGGAAAGGGGGCUACCCUUUAUAUAGAGGUGGGUGUACUGCCUAGAAGGGAAUGUGCGGCCAAGAGGUGAAUGUGCGGCCGCACACCCAUGUGUACGGCCGUACACUCCCCCUAAGGGUGUGUAUGGCCCGAUUUUGUCACCCUAUGGCUUGCUGACUCUUUCCUAACCUCAACCUUGGCUAUGCUCAAGCUUAGAAUGCUUAAAUGAACCCUUAAACAAUACGAAAAGUCAACAAAACAAUUUUAACAUUGAUUGAAUUUGACUAAUAGAAGUUUCGGGUUGUCACACUUUAUCUCUCAUGAUGACAACGAACUUUGUUUAUGCAAACUUAUUUACUCAUUUUUGCAAUAUAUUUCUAUUUAUGGAAACUUUAUUACCUGCUUUGGCAACGAACUUCUAUUCAUGAAAACUUAUUUACCUAUUUUAGAAAUCAACAUUGUUUAUGGAAACUGUUAUCAAUAUUCUAAUUAUCAUGAUUUCAAACUAUAUUAUUUUAUAAACAUGUGAGUACUCACCAACUAUUUUAUAGUUGGCGCUCGUUUUACAUGCUUUUUUAGGAAUCAUCGAGUAAGUGGCACUUAGAGACACAUCACCUUUAGGAGCAUUCGCAUGUGUUGUAUUUCAGUUCACAUUGUAAUUUCUUUUAAAAGUUGUUCAAACCCAUUGUAAAUUUGUAAUUGUUGUAUUUCUUUUAAAAGUUGUUCAAACCCAUUCGCAUGUGUUGUAUUUCAGUUCACAUGAUGAAGUGUUUUCAAAAGGAAUUUUGACAGCAAGAAUUAGCCAAGAACACACCUCACAUGGCUGGAAAUCGGACAUAUGAUAAUUCACUAGAAUUGAAGUGAAAAGAAGAAGAUUAUGUGAACCAAAUCACUAGCAAUUGAAGUAUGGACACAAGAGAAGGAAGAAUCAAUACAUACCACCACUUGGGACCGAUUUCAAAACUCCAAUCCUCUUCACGAAGUCGAUGAUUGCAGCCCUUGUUCCCUCCUUCUCCUCUCAGUUCACGUCACCUCCCCCUUUCCCACUUAGUGAUCGUCACUGCCUUCUUCUCUUCUUUCUCUAUUAUUUGCCGCACGCUCCAAGCCUAAGAACCGAUUGGAUUCUGUUUUCUUCCUUUGUUAAUCGACGCAAGCAACACAAGUUGAAGAAUGAAUGUACGUGGCCUAAGGAAAAAUAAUGUCCAAUGCUUUAAUCUCCCAUAAUUGUGUCGAUUGAAACCCAUGGGGGUUUUAAUCCGAUUUUUUUUUUUGCAUUAUAGCCCCUCAAGUAUAAAUCUUGCAACCCUUUCAACCUAACCCUAGAUAAAUUAACAUUUUCAGUUUGUUUAAUGACGUUUUGGCCCUUCUAUUUCAUUUAAACCCUUUUAAGGAAUUAUUUUAACCUUAUAAUCCCACAAACCCAUUUAAUUGAAUUAUAUAUAUNNNNNNNNNNNNNNNNNNNNNNNNNNNNNNNNNNNNNNNNNNNNNNNNNNNNNNNNNNNNNNNNNNNNNNNNNNNNNNNNNNNNNNNNNNNNNNNNNNNNNNNNNNNNNNNNNNNNNNNNNNNNNNNNNNNNNNNNNNNNNNNNNNNNNNNNNNNNNNNNNNNNNNNNNNNNNNNNNNNNNNNNNNNNNNNNNNNNNNNNNNNNNNNNNNNNNNNNNNNNNNNNNNNNNNNNNNNNNNNNNNNNNNNNNNNNNNNNNNNNNNNNNNNNNNNNNNNNNNNNNNNNNNNNNNNNNNNNNNNNNNNNNNNNNNNNNNNNNNNNNNNNNNNNNNNNNNNNNNNNNNNNNNNNNNNNNNNNNNNNNNNNNNNNNNNNNNNNNNNNNNNNNNNNNNNNNNNNNNNNNNNNNNNNNNNNNNNNNNNNNNNNNNNNNNNNNNNNNNNNNNNNNNNNNNNNNNNNNNNNNNNNNNNNNNNNNNNNNNNNNNNNNNNNNNNNNNNNNNNNNNNNNNNNNNNNNNNNNNNNNNNNNNNNNNNNNNNNNNNNNNNNNNNNNNNNNNNNNNNNNNNNNNNNNNNNNNNNNNNNNNNNNNNNNNNNNNNNNNNNNNNNNNNNNNNNNNNNNNNNNNNNNNNNNNNNNNNNNNNNNNNNNNNNNNNNNNNNNNNNNNNNNNNNNNNNNNNNNNNNNNNNNNNNNNNNNNNNNNNNNNNNNNNNNNNNGGGAGCCAAUAAAGGCUAAGAAUAUUGACUCAAGACCGCGAGUCAACCAGUCAACCCGUGUGUGUGUGUGUGUGUAUAUAUAUAUAUAUAUAUAUUAAUUAUUAACUACUCUUUUUAGAUAUUAAUUAAAAUCAUUUUAAUUUAAAUUAUUUCACUAUAUAACCUUACAACCGAAAUAAUAUUUGUCUAACGGAAAGUAAUAUAGAUGAUGGAAAAUAAAUUUGGGUUGUUACAGAAUGCGACUUAAGGAUCAAUGCGGAUUUAACGCUCAAUGCAGUUGGUGCUUCAACAAACACUUAUACUGCUCUUUUAAGUUAGAUAAUAUCUAACUAGAUAAUAUUUUCAACUAGGUCGCCAUAGUCGGAUCAUGAUUUCCAUGAUCCUAAUUUCUCGCAAUCUAGAUUGUAGAACUCGAAUUAAGGAAACAUUACUUUGAUUAUAGCUAAAGAAUUAGGCUCUUCACUUAAGGAAUUAACCCAAAAUAAUCAAAGAGUUCUCCAACUCACCACCUCUCCAGCUAUACAAAUGUAGUCGGCUGAGUUCUAAUAGAAUAUGUCACGAAUUGAAUUUUGGGACGAAAUUCUUUCAACCGGGGGAGACUGUGACAACCGUCAAAAUUCGAGUCGGUUUUAGAUUUGACUAAACUUAGUUGCACAUAUAGGCACGAAACAUACUAGAAUUAGUAACUAGAAGCUAAGUUACAACCUAGUAGAAACUUGGAAACAGAUAGAAACAAUGGAUGGUGUACUUAGAUUUGAUAUUGAUAUGUGAAUUCUGUAACUACUUAACUGUAGAGACUAUCCAUAUUUGGGUCACUCUUUGACUCGAAUACUUUUUUAUGAAUCAUAUAAACACAUCAUGCACUUGACCUAGAAGUAGAAAUUAGGUCAAUGUCUCAUAGAAACUUAAGUCAAUGUUGAAAACUAUGACUAGUAUACUUGAUUCCUCAAUUUCGUUUAAAUCUCGAAAUCACUACAUCGAAUGCCAAUAAACCGAUAAAAAUAAAUUACAAACAUUAUUUCUAACUUGAAUAGGAGUUAGGAAACACAAAAAUAAUUUGAAGUCUCAAAGAUUCAAUCUAUUUUGAUAUUCAAAGUUUAUUAAACUCCAAAACCCAAAAAGCCAUAAAAAUUCAUAUUUAUAAACUUUAACCUUAAAAAUUCUAUAAAAAUAAUUAUGAAACUUAUAAUAUGAUCUUAUAAUAAUUAAAAUUAUGAAAACUCAUUUAAGGAAAAUAAAAUUUAGGUCAUUACCAAUUACCCUUAAUUUAUAAGCCAAAAAUCAAGGUAUUGUGAAUAAAAGUUAUGUUAAGUAGUAUAUAUUAUAAAACCUUGAUAUUUUUAUAAAAUAUACUUUAAAUUUUAUAAAAUUAACCCCUCUUUCCAUUCAAAAGUCGGAUCUCUCCUCCUGAUACCUCUCUUCCCCAAAAUCAUAAUCACAUCCCUCAUCUCCCACACUCUUCUCAUGUCUCUCAUUUCUCUCUCACACACACCACCAUAUUUUCUCUCACCCUCAUCCUAAACCAAGAAUUUUGGCAGCAAAUUUCAUCCAUCUCUACUCAAAAACAUCAACAUUUGAAGUUGUUCUUGAGGUAAAAUGAAAAUCCUUCAUUCCCCCUUCAAUCUUCCAUCAAAAUCUCAAGUUUUCUUACAUAUCUUCUUCUUCUACACCAUUCUAUGGAUGGAUUAUGAAUCAUAUGUUCAUAAACACAAUUUUUAUGAUGUUAGAGUUAGUAUGUCACCCAAAAACCAACAUGUAUGUGAUGAUCUUCAAGCUUAGAGGCUUGAUCAUCAAAGUUUGUUGUUAAAAAGCAUUCAAAUAGGUUCAUAAAGGAUUUAUUCCCAGAUAAAUAUCUAAAACUUCCUUUCUGAUCAAAUCCGAUUUCUCCAGAAUUCCAUCAACAAAAUGAUAUGUUCCACAAAUUUUCAGAAAAUAAUUCAUUUUUCUCGAAUUAUUAUAAUUAUUGCAAGUAAAUAGAGCAAUAAUUCAUAUAAAAUACUUUCUGAGGUCUAUAAAUCCUAGGUAAAUUCGUGGAUAACCGCUAAUGUGAAUGAUUACAUUUUAGUGAGUUUCAUCGAUUUUUGUUACUGUUUUCUAUGGUUUUGAAUUUUCUUUUUGUUUAAAUAAAAAAAAUCAUAAAACCACAUUAAAACGGUGAAAAAUAGCUAGACAUAUCAAAAAUGGAAGAAAAUUUAUCUUAACAUCCUUGACUUCAUUUGAAACUAAGACACAAAGUUUGGGAAAUUUUAGAACUAAAAUGAUUUAGUUUUUUAAUAUUUAAUCAUUGGAACACCUCUAAAAAUGUUAAAUAUGUUAAAUAUUAGUAUUUCAAUAAUGAGAAUUUUUCCACUUAAAUUGUUAUAUAACAAUUGAUUCAUUGAAAUUUAGUUUUCAUAGAAAAAUGUUUGUAACUAAUCAAUAUUAAAUUUGACACAAUGUUAGGUGCAAUUUGUGCACCUUUUUGCACACUUUUUAGUCACAUUUCAUGCAUCUAUUUAGCAUAAUUGUCCUUCAUUUGUCUUGCAUUUCAUCAUAUUUUAUGUUAGUCUCUAGAACAACCUUGUUUGCACAUUUUCAUGUCUUUUUCAGGUAAACCAGAGGUUGGAACGCGCUUUGGGAAGUGUCGGGAAGCAUUGGUCAAUAUUUCGUGAUGAUCGGACGAAGAACGAAAAAGUUGGAAAAAUCGAGUUUGGCUUCGGAGUCAGAGGGGAACACGGGCCGUGUCAGAUUUACUCUAUGUCCAACACGGACCGUGUUGACCAAAAAUGAAAGCUGUUGACCAAGCUGAACACGGGCCGUGCCCUUUUUGCCUUAUGUUGAACACGGGCCGUGUUCGGCCCAAGAAAACUAACUUUUGCCAGUUUUUCUAUUUUUCAUAUUAUGGAAAAUUGGACCAUANNNNNNNNNNNNNNNNNNNUGUGGGGGGGGGGGGGGACACAACAUAUCAGAGCACUUUUUGAGAAGGAUUUUCGAAGGUUUUUGCAAGGGUUUGAUUAGCAAUUAUUUGGAAACAUUAUUUCUAGUAUUUAUAAGUUGUAAUUGCAUACAUUUCCAUCUUUUAAACUUGUGAUCUAGUUCUAGCCAUGUGUGGCUAGAACCCUAGUUUCUCCAACUUCAUGUCUUGACUUCUUAGUUGUGAUUUCAAUCAUAUGACUUGAUGUUUGCUUUUAAUUUCUAUCUAGUGAAUUUGAUUUUGAUUUAAUCGAAUGUUUAAUUCUGAUUGUGAUUCUUACUGGCCAAUUGAAUUAGGGUUGGGUCAUUCAAGUUAUCUCUUUUACAAAAUCCGUAAUUGUUUUGUGAAAUUGAACAAGUAACAAGCACUAAACUGAUUUCCAUUAAAUGAAUUUAGUGUAAAUCUUAUUCACACACUUUUACGCUCCCAAGCUUGUGAGGAGUAUUGGGUGUUGUUGGGAACAUUCACAUAAAGUUUAAUGCAAUAUUUCAAUCUAAUUCUAAGAGCGUGUUUAGAUUAGGUUAGUAAGGUUAGGGUUAAUCAAAGAGCUUGUUUUGGUUAAUUAAUGUGGUGAAUGGGAAGUGUUAGAGCUUGUUAACACUUUCAAGUACCAACUUAGAUAGAAUUGAGCAAAUAUCAUGUUAUCUUGGAAUUACAUUGCUAAGUUGUCAUACAUGAGGUUGGAGUCCUUACCAUUUCUGAAUUUAAUUCACUCUUUUAGUUGAUUACUUGUGUUUUUAAUUGUUUGUUUUAAUUAUUGCAUUCAAAACCCCCCUCUUUACUGUUGGUGACCAUAGUACCUUGCGCAAAGAGGUAUAGACUAAUUAUCAUGUGUCUCUGUGGAUCGACCCUGCUUGCCUUGUACUACCUUUUAGUGCAAUAUAGUGAGAUUCUUUUGGAGUAUAUUGUACCCCUUUAUUUGUUGGGUCUGACAUGCCUAACAAUUGGCGCCGUUGUCGGGGACACGGUAUUUCUAAUUGUUUAUGCCUAGAUCUUUCCGUACAGGUACACCAUUGUCAGUUGACUUAGAGAUAGAGAACACUACAAAGAAGUUAAGGAAGCAAGCCAAGCUUCGUAAGAGGCAACCGGUUUCCGGUACUUCUUCAUCAUCUACUCCCCCAGUCAUCAACAUUUGGUAGGAUAUACCCCUCUCAAGUGUAUCAGCCUCAGAAAAAGAAAGCCCAUCACUCUCAUCAAAACCAUCCUCACCCAUAAAUACCACUCCACCUUCUUCACCUGUUCAAAAUAUCCUAAACACUUCACCUACAGAAACAUCACCCACUUCUCAAGCCAUGCCAGACAUCCCUGGAGGAAAUCCACCUCCAAACCCACCACCCGAACAAACUCUCCGUCAAUGGUCAAGACAAGAGGUUACUCAACAACCUCUUUGCAUCACAUACCCAGCCGCCACCAACUUAGAACUAAAAUCCGGGCUUAUCCACUUACUCCCAACUUUUAGAGGAUUGGAGAAUGAAGAUCCUCACAAGUUCCUCACCGAGUUCCAUGUAGUAUGUGUGGGUAUGAAACUACACAAUGUCACGGAGGAUCAACUUUUAAAGGUACUUUUUGUUUCCCCAUGAACAUGUUAUCUUUAUUCUCGUAGGCACAAUAGAAACUUAAAAUCAAUAUAUUAAAAACUGGUAAAUUGUCCAAUUGUAGGUGAAUGUAGAAGAGAAGCACCUUUUGUGAUAAUGACUUCAGAUGACAUUUAUGCAAAAACAUUACAACUCCUAGAAUCAAAUUCUUAUUUUGGGAUGAAAUCUACACAAGUAAAACUUUUAAAACAAGUAAUUGCAUCACAUUUGGGUAUUCUUUUCGCUACAGUAGAAGGGCAUAAUUGGCAUUGUAAAUUCAUGGUACCAUGUUUCAGGAAAAGGUGGCUUGCUUGGCUGAUAAUGAUGCUAGGCUUGCUGUUAAUCCACACAAUAAGUACAGAAUACAGGUGCAGUUUGUAAUUAAUGCAUAUAUAUGUAUUUGUAAUCUUCCAAAUUAUAAACCCUUUUUAUUUCUCUUAUAAGAAAAAACCUCAUUGUCAUGGUGAUGUUCAUUCACUUCUUUAUUCAAGUGGUCUUCUUAAAGAAUGGUAUGUAUGCAUUUUUUUAUUUGAUUGGUUUUUGUUUUUAUUAAAAUAUCUAUCUCAUUAUACUUUAUGGAACCAUCUCUUUUAGGAAAGAUUAUGGUUUAAGAGGGGUUGUGUUUUUUCAAGACACGAAUGGACUCCUAUUUAAGGUUCAUUUCAAAGAAUGCCUUAAUAAUAUUAUCGUAUAGAGUUUGAUAUACAAAAUUAUUUAAUUUAUUUAUUUAUUCAAGCAAUUCCUACAGCAUUGGGAGUAAGUGCAACUAAAGAGUAGCAUGUUAAUUCUCUUUCUGUUCCUCAAAAAACCAAAGAAGCUAUUGGAGGCAUUACAAGGCUUACUCAUUCAGAUGCUAAGUUUUGUUGAAUUAUCUUGUUAUUGAGUCAUGGUUCUUAAAUUAUUUUUAUAUUGACAAAAAUACCCUCAGGAAUAGAAAUGGCGAUUAAUGUGGAAUACAAUGAAUUGGAUACUCUUCUUAGAGCAACAAGUCAUCCUGAUGGAGAUGUCAAUUGUGACACUGGCUUUUCUCCAUACCCAGGCAACAUAAACCAAGUAUAAUAUAUCACUUUAUAUUUUAUUAUUAGAGUGAUUUUCCUGUUAUUAAGUUUUGAUUUUUUAUGAUUACAUUUUAUUGUAGUUAAUUCUUGUGGUUGGGCCUUACAUGGAUGAACUCUCAAAAACCAGUGGUAGCAAUAAAGGAGUGUGUUAACCCCAAGUAACUUCUCUCAUACCUCAUGCAUUCUUUCUGUUUCCUAAAAGUGUAUUUAACUGCUAACAACCUUAUAAAUCACUCUAUUUAAAAACCUAAGACUAUUAAGAGUUUCUAUUAAAGGAAACUGCCAAAAUGGUCCCUAUCGUUCGAAAUUUUUCUUUGGUCCAAGUCCAACAAAGAUUUUUUUGUUUAAUUUUUGGUCCCUAUGUCAAGGUUUCAUUACUCUUGGGCCCUAUAUCGUUAAAUGUAACUAGACAGCUAUUUGGUUUUUCAAAAUGACCAUUUUACCCUUCGACCAAACUCAAAAAAGACUCUAUACAACAAGGAUGAAAUUUGUAAUCUACCCAUCGUUUUAUUAAUUAUACUAUGUUCUAAUUAUAUGGAUUGAUAUUUUUAAGUGUGGAUUUAAUCUUGUUUAUAUAAUUUAUAUUUAAUAUACAUAAAAUCCACAAUAGAUUAUUCUAUUGUUCUUUAUAAUCUAAAAUAAAUAUACAAUUAAUUCUUGAAUUAAACAUAUUAUAUAACAAAUUCAAGAUUUUUUUUUUAAAUAUUUUGUAUAUUAAUAUUAUAAUUAAAACACGUUAUACUUUCUAGAAAAAGAUUUCCAUUGUUGAUCCUAAGUCCAAACCCAUUUUGACUAUACUUUCAAGACUAAAAUUGCAAAUUAAUUUGGUCCCUGGGUUUAUCUUUUUUUAGUUUAGGUCUAAAAAGAUAGUUUUUUUUUUCUUCGAAUUUUGUCCCUAUUUCAGGGUUUCGUAACACUUAUGAUCCCUGUUCCUCUUAAUUUGCUUAUGGAAUGAUCUCUUAGGAUUACAGAUAAAAAGAUUCAACAAAUUAAAACUACAUUCAAAUCAUCAGCCAGGUUAGAAUGUAUGAUGCAAGAUUAGCCUAAAACAUUGCCUCCAUCAGCAAGAGUUGGAUUUACUGUAAGUAAAGUGAUUAUUCCAUCAAUUACAGUGUUGCCAUUCUGACCAUCUUUUGACUUGUUUGGUGACAGAUCCAUGGCUUGCAUAUGCACCUGUGAAGAACAAUCCUGAUGAUGAUGCUGCAAAGGUACUACACAAAUUUAUUAACACAAUAUUCCAAGGAGUAUUUAAAUUAAUUACUUUAUAUAAAAAUGAUAGGUGCCUAACACUUCUGGAGAAACAGCAGUUUACAGAUCUAAUAGCGUGAUUCUAAGAAAGGUCAGGCAAACUAAUUUGAUAAUUAUCUAGAUAUAUAAGAGUUAUUUACAGUUUUGGUCCCUGGGUAUAGCUGGUUUUUUUCAAAUUUGGUCCCAAAAGUUUUCUCUUGUAAGUUAUGUCGCUAUUUGACGUUUUUGGUAAUUUACAAAGUAAAAUUAUCAUAGUUUUGCAUGACCAAAAUUGCAAAAAUCAGCUAUACCCAGAGGACAAAAAUGUUGCAAGAACCUCAAAUAAGGACUAAAUUACUAACAGAACUUUUUGGGACCAAAAAUUUAAUUUACUAUAAAAUUAAUAAUCAUAGAGUAAAUUACAUUUUUGGUCCUUUAGUAUAGCUUAUUUUCUGCAAUUUUGGUCCUUAGUUUAUGUUUUUGUAAUGUUUUUGGUUUGUGUCAUAAUUAAAAUGAAUCUUUUGGUCCCUAACUAUAGCUGAUUUUUUUCGAUUUUGGUCCCAAAAAUAUACUCAUUUUACUUGGAAUAGGGACCAACAACAUUACAAAAACCUCCAAUAAGCACCAAACGACAAAAGAGAAAACCUUUUGGGACAAACAUUGCCAAAACUAGUUAUGCUCAGGGGCCAAAAUGUAAUUUACUCUAAUAGAAUAAUCUAUUUUUUUUUCUUCAGGCGGGUAUAAAGAUAGAUGAUCCAGUUUUAAAGGUGUUUAAUGGCCAAGAGGUGGAGGUUUGGUCACGUGUUGUGUGGAAGCCAAAAUGGGCUGUUACAUUUUCUGAUGUUAAGAAGAAAGUCAAAGGAAACAACAACUCUGUUUCAUAAUGCUCUUAUUGAAGAUUUGUCACUGGAUGGAACCCUAGUUAUCGAUUCAGUUGAUGAUGCUGAGGUAUGUUAGAAAUAGCAACAUGCUUUCAUUUCUUCUUAUUACAUCAUUGUACUUUAAAGUACAUUGCCUGAAUAAGAAACAUUGAAAGUAUGAUGUUAUAAUUGUAGUUUUUUUGUUUUUUGUCAGGUGAAAGUGGGAUGAGCAGUGCAAAAUAAAGGUUGGGGAAUUGAAAGUGUUGAUGAAGAGAAUAGUGGAUUGCCAGAGGAAGUAAGGAUUAGGGGUUUUAAAAUAAACAAAAUGGAGGACUUGGAAAAAUGCUACAGUGAAUCAGGGAAGCACUGAUUGAAGCCUUGAGGCAAAAAUCUUUGCACAUUUUAUAUCCAUAUCAACUUAGAUUAUGUUUGGCACACCACAACUAACUUACUUUUUUAUUUAAUGUCUGUGGGGCAUCCCUGUGGCGCUGAUAUGGUGUUGAUGUUGAGUUUUUUUUAUUUAAUUCUAGUUUUAUUUGAUUUUAAAUUAAUAUAAAAUAAUUAACAUUUAUAUUAUAUUUUAAUAAAACACUUAAAAUUGAAAUUACUCUUGGAAGAAAAAAUAGAGAACCAUUGCCUUCACCAACAUCAUCUUCAUGAUUUCAUCACCCCAAAGUACUUCAUCUUCUUCACAAAACAUUCGUUUCAGAUUUGAUUUUUGUUCUUAUUUAUUUAUUUAUUUAGGGAUGAAGAUGAAGGUAACUGCAGGUGGUGGGAUAGAUAUGAAGACGACAAUGAUGACAAGUUAAUGAAGAUGGUAUGAUGGUAUCUAUGGUUGCUGUUGUUUGUUUGAUUUUAAUUUCCCUCACCAUCAACUCUAAAAUUGCAAAAAAAAAAAAAAAAAAAAAAAAAAAAAAAAAAAAAAAAAAAAAAAAAAAAAAACAUAAAGAAAAAACAAAAACAAAAACAAAAACAAAAAACAACAACAACAACAACAACAACAAAAAACUAACUAACUAACUAACUAACUAAACCCUCUAUACAGGUUUCUUGCAUUUGAUGAGGGAAAGUUGCAUAUCCAAAAUUUCGUAUAUGCAUUCAGACAUUGAGUUUCCAAUGUUUCAUAUAUUUGGAUUAUCCUUUUUUAUUUUUGGUUUUUGAAAAUUUUUCUUCAUGAUUUUGUAAUCGUUCGGAUAUUUGGAUUAAACAGUUGGAGAGACUUUAUAGAUGUAUAUUUCUAGCAGUUUUUUAUAUAUGUUUUGAGUAUAAAAUGGAUAAUUCAAAUCCAAUGGCUUCUAAUCCCAUAUAUGAAGUGAGAUCUCAAGCAAAUAAAUCUGUACACGGUUGAUUUAUGUUAAAAAGAGUCAUCUAAGUGUUUUUUUUCUUCAAGUUACAUUAUUUUGUAUUAUGUCCAAAAUUUCGGAAAAGUUCGAAAAUUUCAUAUACAAAUUUGGAUAUCAAAAUCUGUUAUCCUAAUUAUUAGACUAGACACUUAUAAUAGUUUAUGGUACUAAAGUGUAAUAUUAUCUAAUAUAUAUCCCUAUGUAUUUUGUACUUCUAAUAAAUAAUACAACGUGUUUACCAAGUUUAUUGUGGUAUCAGAGCCUGUUCGCCAAAACCCUAAUCGGCCUUCCUACUCCAAUCGGCUUCCUGUAAGACACAACCUUUUUGUCUCUCUCAUCUCUUCCGAUUAUCACACACACAAUGACAACUCUCGUAGCUUUAACUCAAGCCGAGAAAACCAUUCACAACACACACAAGUUUGGUUUUACUUUAUCUUCUACUAAUUAUGGGUAUUGGAAAACGAUGAUCCAACCCUUCCUAGUAACAAACAAACUGUUUGGCUAUGUUGAUGGCUCCAUCCCCUGCCCUCCAUCUACUAUCUUAUCGAUCGACACCAACAUCUUCAGAAAAAGGCAAGGAACAAGCUGUCACAGCACAAGUCAACCCAGAUUAUACAACUUGGGUACUCAAUGAUGCCCAUGUCAGGAUGCUUCUUUUGUCUACAAUCUCAGAAACGGCUUUCCAACAUGUACAGGGAACCACCUCAAGGGAGCUAUGGCUGGCUUUGGAACGUGCAUUUGCCCCUCGCACAUCCUCCAGGGAGUACACCUUGAAGACUCAACUUUUGAAGAUUGAAAUGAAACCUGAUGAAUCACCCAUCGCCUAUCUCACUAGGGCUCAAGAAUACUCAGAUGCUCUUGCUAACAUAGGUGAACCUAUGAAAGAAAAAGAUAUCGUUAUGCUUGUGUUAUCUGGUCUCCGUGAUGAAUACAAUGGUCUCAAGUCCACUAUCCUUGCUCGACAAACACCUAUUUCCUUCAUUGAUCUUCACUCUCUUUUAUUAGAUCAUGAUUAUAUGGUCUCCAAAACCUCUACAGAGGUCCCUCCUGCACAAGCCUUUGCUACAGUAGCAUCCAUUCGCAAACCAGCCACCAUACCAGGCUCGUCACAAAACUCUACAGAGGCUGUUCAAGCCAUCCAAUAACUUGCUGCCCAAUUAGGUUUCCAACUGCAACCCCUCGGUUCUUCGCAACACCAAGCACACUAUACGAACCGAUUCCAAAAUAACAGUGGCCGUUCUCAAAACAACAGAUCAAGGGGGGCAUGGAAACUACAACAACCAAAAUCAAGGUACUCGUAAUCAAUUUAGUUGGGCAUCUAAUCCGAACACUGUGUAUGGGACAUGUAACAGGUGUGGCAUAGGACAUGUACCAUCACAAUGUCCAAAUCGUGAUCCUAAUACAAUUAGGACUCGCUUGUCGCCAUCAGCGAACUUUGCUGACUCUCGCUCACAUGCUUCAAACUCUUAGCUUCUGGACACGGGGUCGAGUCACCAUGUUACCUCCAAUCUCUCUAAUUUUGACCAAUCUAAAGCUUACUAUGGAGACGACAACCUUCAUAUAGGCAAUGGUAAGGGCUUACCAAUUUUACACAUUGGCUCAUCUCGUUUCUAUUCACCUAACAACACAUUUAAUCUUAAUCAUGUCCUCCAUGUUCCUUCCAUUACACAAAAUCUUAUUUCUGUUCAACAAUUUUUCCUAGAAAAUAAUGUUUAUUUUGAGUUUCACUCUACCUAUUUUACUGUGAAGGAUGCAACUACCCACAAGAUCCUUCACAUGGGUCCAAAUAAUGGAGGUCUCUACUCCUUCAUCCUUCCACAAGCUCCACCUAAAGUCUCCCUUUCUACUGUUCGUGCGUCCUCUUACACAUGGCAUCAUCGACUGGGUCACCCUCAUCCACAACUUUUAAAUUCUAUGUUAUCAAAGUUUAAUUUACCUUUGUCAAACAAUAGUUCUAGUAUUUCUUGUGAUUCAUGUCUUGUAGGAAAAUCUUCAAAACUUCAUUUAUUACCAUCUCCAAUUAAAAGUACUCAUAUUCUAGAUGUUGUGUUUUGUGAUGUGUGGGGCCCUGCACCGGUCCCAUCGGUUGAUGGUCAUCGGUAUUUCUUGUUAUGUGUAGAUCAUUUUACCAGAUUCAUGUGGUUUUUUUCCUUUGGAACGUAAAUAUGAUGUUUUUGCAACUUUCAAACAAUUUCUUAUUACUAUUGAGCGACAAUUUAAUACUAAGCUUAAAUCUAUCCAAACCGAUUGGGGGGGGGGGGUGAAUUUCACAACCUUAACUCAUUCUUUUCUACUCUUGGCAUCACACCUCGUCUUUCCUGUCCACAUACCAGUGAACCAAAUGGUUAUGUUGAACGUCGUCGCCGACAUGUUGUUGAAACCGGCCUUGCCUUGCUAGCUAACUCUUAUGUACCACACAAAUUUUGGCAUUUUGUGUUUGAUACCACCACUUACUUGAUGAAUCGCAUGCCCACCCGAACUAACUCCAACACCUCACCCUUUGAACUUGUCUUUCACCAUCCUCCUGACUACCUUUUUCUUCGAGUUUUUGGGUGUCAAUGUUUUCCUCAACUUCGCCCUUACAAUAAACAAAAAAUGGAGUUCCGCUCUACACCUUGUGUGUUUCUUGGAUACAGUAUCUCUCACCAUGACUAUCGAUGCUUUGAUGUACAAUCCGAACGUCUUUAUAUUUUUCGCCAUGUGAGAUUUAACGAGCAAUGCUUUCCUUUUACCAAACCUGUACCUCUUCCCGAUACCUCCCACUUCACUGAACCCUAUUACUCUUCAUAUCCCGACCCACCACCCACAAACAUUUUUACUCCACCAACUACAAAUAACUCGCCUUCAGCAUCAGAACCUUCAGACACAUCUAAUUCACCUACACCGCUACUUGUAACAUAUCCACCCAAAACAUAUGCACGCAGAUCAACCUCCAAUCCCAUCUCCACUCCUGCAUUUGAUCGGUACACUCACACUCAACCCGUGCUCACCUCACCUACAUCCACUUCUUCUUUAUCAUCCGACCCACUCACCACUGAAACAGUUCCAAUCCCACUAAUCACCAACUCAACACCUUCUAACUCUCACCGUACUCGACCUCCAAACCUAUGGCCUCACCCUAAACCCAUUACUAAAUACAAUCCUUCUUACUUUCACACCAUCUAUAACAUCCGGAUUCCCAGGUAUCUUAUUUAAGUAUUUAUAUUGAGUUUUAGAGAGGGACUCGAUGAGUAGGCACUCAGACUCGCCGAGUGGGAUCGCGCAUUUCUGGUCUGAUUUAAUGACGGACUCGACGAGUCGAUGCGUGGACUCGACGAGUCCGUGCUGUUAAGUGAAACCCUAAUUCUCGGGGCCUGUGCCCUAUUUAAAGGCCUUUAUAGCCUCCAUUGCGGCCACUUCACCCCUGAGAAACCCUAGAGAGCAGAGAGAAGGCUUGUAGUGCAAGAGGAGGGCCAAUUCAUCAUUCUAAGUGUAAUUUUGCAAGAAAGAAGGAAGGAGGACAAACAAGGAAGGUUGAGGAGCUCAAAUUUAUCACCCAUUUCAUCAGAGGAGGCUGCUAGAGGUACUAAUUUGUGUUCAAGCUCGUGUAUUUGGUGUUCUAGUUGAAUCUAGGGUUUUCUUAUGCCUUCUUUGGCUUGGAUUCGAAGUAUGUGAGGUCCCAAGGUGGAGUUCUUCUUAGAUCUGGACCUUAAGAGGUCCAGAGAGUCCUAUCCAUCUUGCUUUUUGUUAUUCCAUUAGAGAUAUGACCCUAGGUUGCCAUUUUAGAGGUUAUUUCACCCAAAGAAGCUUUAUGGUCAUUGCAUGAGUGUAAAGGUCGGACCUUUACGUGAUUAUAGUGGUUGGGAAGGCCAAAUCUAUAGAUUAGAGAAGUAGAUCUGACCUUAGAAGGUCAUUUGAGUGAGAACAUGGAAGCAACUCGCCGAGUCCAUAAGUGGACUCGACGAGUCGAGUCGGGGUUGCCCCGCGAUUUGUGACAGGUGUAACCCAUCGAGUGGAAGGAUGACUCGACGAGCCAAGAGAGGCUGAAAGGAUUUAGAGGACCCGCAUGGACUUGCCGAGUCGCCUAUGUGCACUCGACAAGUCGGGUCAAAGUUUGACCGUUGAAUUUAGGGUUCUGGUCAAGACUGAUUCAGGAGAGUUCAGGGAAGGGUAGAAUGGCCUUCUACCUAGUCUGUAGAGAUGAGAUCAAGAAAGAGUAUUGAUCGGGAAUGUUAUUUGAAUAAUAGGAGGCUAAGUCGGGACGUUGAGCACGAGAGUUUAUCCGACUUCAUUGAGGUGAUUCUUCUCACUAUACAUUACCUAGAGAGGUAUUUAUGUGUAGACCAAAGGGUCUCAUAUGCUAUGUGUAUAUAUGAGAUUAUGUGCAUUGUGUAAUAUGUAUGCUAUGUGUGGUAUAGACCGGACCAGAGGGUCCAACGAUAUAGACCGGACUGGAGGGUCCAACGAUACAGACCGGACCGAAGGGUCCAACGAGCUAUGACCCGACAAGAGGGUCCAACGAGCUACGGGACUGGAGGGUCCCGCUGAGAAACAUCGACCGGAGGUUCGUACUGUAGCCUCAAGUGGCGUAUGUGUUGUAUGUGGUAUUUUGGGGAACUCGCUAAGCAUUUAUGCUUACAGUUGUUAUGAUAUUUGUUUCAGGUACCAGUGAGGACCGUGGGAAGGCGCCGGCAUGAUCCGUACACACUUAUAGAGUUUAUGUUGUUGAGAUUUUGGGACAUGUUUUGUUAUGAGACAAUGAUACAUUAUGUUUUGUGAUUAUCAUGUGAUUGAAAGUAUGAUUUAAAAAUGAAAAGUUGUUUUGAAAAUUUAUGUCGUUACAAGUUGGUAUCAGAGCCUUGGUUUGCAGGAUUCGGGUGCAUCUUCGGAUGAAUCUGAACUCAAACUAAGGAAUUGAGAAAGUUUUGCAUAAAAUAAACAAUUUUUCUAAGAGAGUAAAAGAUUUUGAGAAAGGCAGAAGGAAGCAGUGUGUACGAUCAGCCAGCGCCGAACGGUGAUUUCCCAAAAUACCCUUAUAGUAUGUGUUAUGAGAUAUGUUAUGAUAUGUUAUGCAUGCUAGAGUAGGCUAGGUAUUCAUAUUAGGACUAGAGUGGCCUGAUCUGUGAUGCCUUAGCCUAGGAAGGUUUCUGUUGCCAUGAGAUGCUUGAGAGCAAGUAGGUAGCGGUGAGGAGCUUAUGAGAGGUCUACCGAAGGGUAGCCUAUGCCAGCAAGAUGUAGAGUACUUGUGAUCUGGGAUCCAAGGAGGAGGACUUGGGGUGAGCACGGAUGCGGUGUGGACGGUAGUAUAGGGCCCGUACUACUGUAGACAUCGGAUCAGUGAGCAAUCCAGGUAAGAAACCUUAGGGUACCAAGGAAUAAGUGGGGUUGGGCGAUCGAGUGCGAGUACACUCGAUUGAGUCUCUGGUAUCUUCAUGUUGUCUUUCAGAGACAUCAUGGUUGGUACACCACACACGCCGGAGAGCAGCGGUGUUAGCGAUGAUGAGAUUCGCCGUAUGAUUCAUGACGAGAUGACCGCGACGAUCCGGAAGGCUAAUCCGGAGGAUUUUGAGUAGCAGAUUGCGAAGUGAUGUCAUGGUUUGAGUACCAUGAUAAGUAGCGGAUUGAGAAGUAAUGUCAUGGUUCGGAUACUAUGAUAAGUAGCAGAUUGAGAAGUAAUGUCAUGGUUCGAGUACCAUGAUAAGUAGCGGGUUGAGAAGUGAUGAAAUGAUUUAAGUACCAUGAGUUGUAGCAGGUCGAGAGGUGAAGUCAUGGUUCGAGUGCCAUGAUGUGAGGUGGAAUGAGAAGAGGGAACGUGGUUCGAGCACCAUGAUUCAUAGAAGAGUAAAAGGAGAUAACAUGGUGCAGGUACCAUGAUACAUAGCAGAUCGAGAGGUGGCCACGCGAUUUGAGUACCAUGACAUGUAGCGGUUAGUAUUUCUGGUUUUAACCGGUUGUUCCGUGGGGAUUGUCUAGACUAAGGUCAGAGGUGAAGACCUUGAUGAACAAGUUUUAGUAGAGCAUCCUUUGAAAAAGGGAAAUCGAGUGACCUCCGAGGGAUUGUGGGUGAUAUGCCAGUUGGAGUCGCAAGACUCAGGGAUGAGCAGGGAUGGUGCAUUAUGGGAGAAUACGGUCUGGGCUGGGUGACCGGCCAAUAGUGGAGAUGUCACUUUCUGUGACCGAGUGGUGCUAUUUCCAUUUCCUGGGGGAGACGUAAGAGGUAAUGAGAUUUCGGUUUUUGAGUUUGGGGGUGAGCCCUAUGGGAUUGCACGGAUGGUGAUCUCCAACCAAAGUAUACGGCAGUAGGUCUUUCGCGAGGUAAAGAUAUAGCCUGAACAUGUUGUCAGUAGGGACUGAGAUGGUCAAGGACCAGUAUACACCCUAAUUGAGUAUAGUAGGGCAUGUGUUAGCUGCGACGUUGGAUGAUCAAGAGGAGUAUAUCAGGGCGGUGACCCUUAUUGUCCGUGACGGGUAUCAAGAGUGGAAAUAUGGUUUCUGUUCUUAUGAUAAGUGACAUGAUGGAACGUUGAUCGAGGAGUCGAUGAUGAGGAUUACGGUAGAUUAUUACUUCCAGAAUAAGAGCCAGGGUUAAUUCUGGACAGUUGAGAGGCCUGGUGAUUUAUUGAUGCGAGGUUUUGAAUGACUAAGAGGCAGUCAUGGUGGGAAGUUCUGAGGAUUUCACCUGAGUUUCAGGGCAUUUGCAGCUGCUCGGUCUCUGUCAGGAGAUCAUCGAGCGUUGCGUAACACCUUCCAAGAGUAGGUGCGAUGAUUACUGGUGGAAACAGUCGGUGUGAUAGAUUGCUGGUACGCCAAUUGGGGAUGGUUCAGAACCGGGUAUUUUAUUUGAGGGGAUCCGCACCUGCUGCUAGAGCUACCGAGACCAAGCCAGCGAGGGUCGAGGCACCCAAGGCUCGCGGGAGAGCCUUCCAGUUAAUAGCGGAGGAGGUCCGCACAAUGCCCGAUGUCGUGGCUGGUAUUUUUCUUGUGAGUUCUGUACUAGCUUUAGUGUUAUUUGACUCGGGAGCGAGUCAAUCAUUUGUGUCGAUAGCGUUUGGUCGCCACACCAGUAGCCGACGAGAGGCGUUGAGUCGACCUUUACAAGUUUCCAUAGCUGACAAGCAAGCGGUGUAUGCUGCAGAUGUGAUUCGAGGAUGUGUACUUGAGAUCUUCGGUGUUGAGUUCCCGAUAGAUCUGGUCCCGAUAGCGAUGGGGGACGUGUGUGUCAUAGUGGGUAUGGAUUGGUUGAGACGAUUUGGGGCUGUCAUAGACUGCGAGCGACAGCUGGUGAUGAUACGAGACCCUAAUGGGGGAGUUCCUACGGUGUAUGGCGAGGGUAACUGUUCUUGGUCAGCAUUUCGGUCGGCUACUAGAGCGAGGCGGAGUCUACAGCAGGGCUGUAGCGGGUUUGUGGCAUACGUGAUGGAUUCACGAGGGGCCAAGUUCGAUUGAUGAUGUGCCGAUAGUACGUGAGUUCUCGGAUGUGUUUUCCCGAGGAGUUGCCGGGUGUGCCUCCCGAGAGGCAGGUGGAGUUUCGCAUUGAUUUGAUUCUGGGGGCAGCGCCUAUCGCCAAGGUGCCUUAUCGCCUUGCGCCGCAAGAGACGCAGGAGUCAUCCUCGCAGCUUUAGGAGCUGCUGGGGAAGGGUGUUUUGUUAUGACGAUUGUAGUCAGAGGUUGUUGUGAUGCUACGGGAAGCCGUAGUACUCACUAGUCAGAGGUUGUUGUGAUGCUACGGGAAGCGGUAGUACUCACUAGUAAGAGGUUGUUAUGAUGCUACGGGAAGCCGUAGUACUCACUAGUCAGAUGUUGUUGUGAUGCUACGGGAAACCUUAGUACUCACUAGUCAGAGGUUGUUGUGAUGCUACGGGAAGCAGUAGUACUCACUAGUCAGAGGUUGUUGUGAUGCUACGGGAAGCCGUAGUACUCACUAGUCAGAAGUUGUUACGAUGCUACGGGGAGCCGUAGUACUCGCUUGUCAGAUGUUGUGGUAAUACCACGGGAAGCCGUAAGAAGUUGAUGUGAUGCUACGGGGAAAACAUAGUUCAUGCUAGUCAGCGAUAAGUUGUCAUUAUAAAGUACUCUUUGAUCAGUGCAUGGUGCAGAAGAGUUUUAGGCGUGGGAUGACCCUAAUUUAUGAGUUUUUGGGCACCUGGUGGUCGGACCAGGGGCGAGACCGGGGUCUCCUCAAUGAUAGGGAGUCACUAUGGCCUGGGUGAGGUGUGUUCAUCGCAAUCCGAAAGAAUGGGAUAAGUGAGGUACGCAUGGGUUACGAGAAAUGAGUUAUGGGUUGAGUGCUUCGUUGGGACGAGUGGUUCCAACUCUUGGUCGGACCAAAAUCUCGAGUUGAGUUUGGCUCUGGUGGUGCGUUGGAUAGGUGAGAUGAGAUUCUGGAUUCUAAGGUAGGUUCCAUGUUGAGGAAUAUUGUUUGUCAUAUGAUGUCUUCGACCUGUGUCGGUCAGUACUCGGGUACGGGCGGUAUUGCAAGUUGCAUGGAACGAUGGGUAUCAGAUGAUAGAGGUCGGGGUUGAGUUGAUCUCCAGUUGGGAAGGUAGCAUUCAUUUAGGGUUAAGCGAACUUCGUGACUUGAGUGCCACUGGGCCGAGGUAGUUGUUGUAUAGGAGGAGGUGUCAGACUCCUGUUUGCUGGGGAGAGGUAGGGCAGCGCGUGAUGGGUAGCACUUGGAUAGUGAUUCAGACGAUAGAACAGAUACAACAGGUCAGACAGAGGUUAUUAACGGCUCAGAGUCGCCAGGAGAGUUAUGCGGUUGGGCGACGAUCCGAGCUUGAGUUCCAGGUGGGAGACUUCGUACUCCUGAAAGUGUCCCCUUGGAAAGGAGUGAUCCGAUUCAGGAAGAGGGGCAAGUUGGGGCCUCGAUACAUCAGUUCGUUCAGGGUGACCGCGAGGGUGCGAAAGGUAGCAUAUCGGUUGGAGCUACCUGCAGAGUUGAGCCAGAUUCAUGAUACCUUCCACGUGUCUCAGUUGAGGAAGUGUAUAGCCGAAGAGUCGGCGGUAGUACCGCUGGAGGAUAUUCAGGUGGAGGCGAGGCUGAAUUAUGCUGAGAGACCAAUCGCGAUCCGGUAUCGGAAGAUCAAGGUUCUAAGGAACAAGGAAGUGUCCCUGGUGCAGGUCCAGUGGCAACAUCGGAAAGGGUCCGAGCUGACCUGGGCGCCGGAGUUGGAGGUGCGGGAGCAGCAUCCAGAGUUGUUUGUCGAGCAGGACUUCGAGGGCGACGUUUGAUUCUAGUGCGGGAGAAUUGUAACAUCUGGAUUCCUAGGUAUCUUAUUUAAGUAUUUAUAUUGAGUUUUAGAGAGGGACUCGGCGAGUAGGCGCUCAGACUCGCCGAGUGGGACCGCGCAUUUCUGGUCUGAUUUAAUGACAGACUCGACGAGUCGAUGCGUGGACUCGGCGAGUUCGCGCUGUUAAGUGAAACCCUAAUUCUAGGGGCAUGUGUCCUAUUUAAAGGCCUUUAUAGCCUCCAUUGCGGCCACUUCACCCCUGAGAAACCCUAGAGAGUAGAGAGAAUGCUUGUAUUGAAAGAGGAGGGCUAAUUCAUCAUUCUAAGUGUAAUUUUGCAAGAAAGAAGGAAGGAGGACAAACAAGGAAGGUUGAGGAGCUCAGAUUUAUCACCCAUUACAUCAGAGGAGGCUGCUAGAGGUACUAAUUGUUGGAUUGGUGUCUAAGUCCAUAACUAUUUUGGUAUGUACUUGACCCGAUGGUGCAUGGUCCUUUUGGGUUGCCUUCACCAAAGCAACUUGAUUGGAGAAAUGAAUAAAGAGAGAGAGGAUAAUAUGAUUUAUUAAUAUGUUAUAAGAAUAAUAUAUUAAAGGAGAAAUCAUAUUUGUUUAAUUAAUAUUGGUCGAUAAUUAAUUAAGAAUUAGUUUUGUGAUCAAAUGUAAUUAAUUAAACUAGAGGGGCUGAUUUGUAAUUAUGUGAUAGUUACAAAAUAAGGUAAGGAUUAUCUUAUAUAUAUGGUGGACGAAUUUAAGGUUGGAAAGCCUUAGAAUUCGAGUAUGAUAAGGAUUCAAGGAUUAUCUUAUUGGUUGCUUUGUGGAUAAUCAACUAGAUAAGGAUAAUGACUGAAACCCUAUCUCUACACCUAUAUAAACACCCCUAGGGUCAUGAAUUCGUGUAUCCCUUCCCAAGAGGUCCUAGAUACGAAUUCUAACCUCUUUCCUCUCUCUUUAUACCUUCUACAUUUGCUUAUGGUGUUCGUAAGCCAUUAGAGGAGUGACACUUGUGACUCUAAGCAUUCCAAAGUCAAUCCAAGGUGGAAUUGUGAUUGUUAUUGCUAUAUAACAAUCAAGGUAUGUUCUUAAACCUAAUUUCGAUUUCCAUAUGCUAGAAUUAGGGUUUAUAGUCUUGGAUUCAAAGCAUGUACAAUAGAGAAACCUAGAUCCAAGCAUUAGGGUUUGUAUGAGCACAUAGGAUGUCUUAUGACCAAAACCCAUCAGUGGUAUCAGAGCCUUGAUUGGUUUCAAUUGUAUUGAUGCUUGACAUAACUGAAAAAUUCGAUUUUUGAUGUUUUGGAAGAUGGACUCGCCGAGUCCAUGGCUGAACUCGCCGAGUCCAUGCUAACUCGACGAGUCCAAUGCCUGACUCGACGAGUCGAAUCGUCAGAUGGAGGUUUUCUCGGAUUUUCUUGUUGUUUUGCUUAUGGAUAGUUUCUUUAUCAUGUUAGAUCAUUAUUAAUCCGAUUAUAUGAUAUAUUUGACUAUAUUUGUGAUCUAAAUAAAGAUAUUUAUCAAUUAAUAAGAUAAUUGUUUCCUUAUAAGAUAAUUGAUUAAUUAUUUUAAGUAAAUUGAUAAAUUAUUUUGCAAGAAAUCAUCAAAUAUGGAUAAUUAUGUGAUUAAAUGUUAAUUUGAAUUAUUUGUUAUUUGAUCCUUGUUGUUGUGAAAAGUUUCAUAUUUGGCCCUUUAGGUUUUAUAGUUUAAAUUUGAACCCCAAAAGUUUUGUUGUUUUGAAAUUUAAAUAGUUGAAACCCUAAUGUUUUGAAAAAGGUUUCAAAACUUGCCCUCAAGUUUUGGAAUUUAAAUUUUGAUUAAAUAGUUUAAUUUUGAUGCAUAUUUAAAUUCUAAACCCUAAUGUGUUGAAAUGUUUCAAAACUUGCCCUCAAGUUUUGGAAUUUAAAAGUUGAUUAAAAGUUUAAUUAGGAAUGUUAAAUUCUAAAACUCUAGUAUAGUUUUGAAAAAGUUCAAAUCACACCCUUAUGGUUUUAUUAAUUAAUUAAGGUGUAUAAUUAAAAGAGGUUUAAUAAAUCCAUAAAAGUUUAGGUUUACAAUUUAAUUGAAUUAAAAGUAUAAUUGUUAAAUUAGACCACCUAGUAUUUUAAAAGUAUAAAAUACACCCUAUACUAUAUAUAACAUUAAAAGUCUAACAUUAUAUAUAUGUAUGAGUAAAAGUCAGUCUUACCGUUAGUAGGCCUCAUUCACGAAGCUGGUCUAUAAGGGGUGUUUAAGGAAAUUGCCUAUAAAAUGGCGAUUGAAUGGGUAUCCACUCUUACCCACCGCACUCUUGACUAGUGGAGGGUCGUUAGCCGAACGGGUAGGAUAGGACGAAACCUUCCAUUAUAAGUAUAAUGAAUUAUUAAAGUAACUAAAUGUUUUCAUAAAAUUCCCAAUCUUAGUUACUUAGGCAAAAGUGAAUUGAUGCAAUUCCAUGAAAUUACACUUUGUGCCCUUGCGAAGACGUUAGUGGAGCGUGUGUGGUUUACCGGCACACUAAAUGGUUCUAAGCAAAGGUAGCAAAGGGUGACUCAAUGUUUGUCAUAGUUCGGUGGAGCGUGUGUGGUUUACCGGCACAUCGAAUAGGUGACUGUAACAUGUGAGGGCACCAUGUAAGUUUGCAUGGUUAUUCACACCCGCUUUGUGAUCCUCGGCAUCCCAGUCACAAACAAGAGGGGCAUAUCGAGAUUUAAACAUGCCAUUGAAAGUUCAAUGAAUCUCAAAGGAUCUAGGAGUUUUCAUAGAUUUAAAACUUAAAUUUCUUUUUCGUUUUUCAUGGUGGAAAUUAGUGAAUCGUCAUUCACUUACCUUCAAAUAUUCUGCAAUUAGGGUUACGGCAUCCCUCUCCCGAGUUGUAGAAUAUUGUGUUGGGUCCUAGCCUUAGUAUCUCAUUUGGGUGAUUUACUAAGGACUCAAUCAAUCAACUAACUUGAAUUCGUUUUCUCCCGUUUUGUAGAUGUCAAAGUUCGACAACUAUGGUCUUCCCAAAUCCCGUGGAACAAGCAUUCCACAUGAAGAUGAUAUUCCACGAUUCGAUCGAGGAACAAGAAAUCAUGCUUCACUUCCUCCUCCUCCUCCAAUUAUUCUCCCUAACCCACAAGUUCAAAGGCUUGAAAAGUUCAAGAUCACUCAAGCCCUUUUGGCAAGUAAACAUAAAGAAGGAAAGUCGGUGUGUGCACACGUCCUAGGGAUGAAGUCACACAUUGAUAGGUUAAGAAUGUUGGGAUCCGUUGUCUGUGAGGAAAUGGCUGUUGAUUGGGUUCUUCAGUCACUUCCUAACUCAUAUAGUGAGUUCGUAAGAGAGUACUAUAUGAUGAACCGCGACGUGACCCUUAUAGAUCUCACCUAUAUGCUUAUUGCUGCUGAAUCAGCAAUGGUUUGGCGCAAUAGAAAAGCAAAGUUGAUUGGUGAAUCUGCCUUCAAGACCUCUAUGGAUAUAGACAAUGGCAACGAAAGACAUGCUAUGAUCGAAAAGUUUGAUCAUAAGAGAAAGGCAAUGUCUGAAGUAGUUCCAUGUCAUGUUCCAAAAGAGUCAAUUUGCUUUUAUUGCCAAGAGAAAGGGCAUUGGAGACGAAGCUGCCCCAUUUACCUAAGAGAUCUAAGAGAUGGGAGAGUCGAAACGUAUGGCUCUAAUAUAGGUAAAAUCCAUUAACUAACUCUUUUAAGCUUCUAUUCUAGAUUCUUAAUACAUAAUGUGAUAAGAUUACAAUUGAUGUUUUGUAGGAUCGAAGAAAAGAAAGGAAGCUUAAGGGAAGAAGUGAGCAGAAUCUAACCGUGAAGGAAUGGAUUUCGAUCGCAUUUCUCGAAGAUUAGAUUCUUGAGCUACUACUUAGAGUUAGAAUUAGAUUGCUAAGAAAGAUGUAUUAGCAUAGUUUUUCAAUGAAUUGCAUUGUAAGGACAAAUUUUUUCCGCAAUAAAAUAAAUUUUGAUUUUAUAUUAUUUAUUUAUCCUUGCAAUGGCGUAUAUGAAAAAUUGAUGUUUGAAUGUUUCUAUUAUUAGCAAUAAUGGAUUUGGUUCUUAUUAUGUUAUUUAUGGAAAGUCGAGAAUUUACCAAAUAGGGAGAGUUUCUCAUCGCCCAAGUUUCAAUUGGACAGAAACUUGGAAUCAUGCAACUUGGUUGCACGAUGAAUGAGAAAUUUCAUAUUUGGAAAUUAGACUAAUUCAUUGACAAAGUGUCAAGUGAAGGACUAGGAGAUCGAGUACACAAAGUUGCGUGUUGAUCAAGUCCACCAUAAGAGUAACAAAGAUAUUCGUCAUGAUUUACUAAAGGUUUAGUAAAUAUGAUUAUACUUAUAAGAUUAAGUGUAAUUAUGAAUUGAUUGAAAAAGUUUAAAUCAAUAGCAGAACGAAUAAGAAGAAUCAAGUAGGCAGAAAGAUAAAAGUUUCUCCAUUCUAAGAAGAAGGGAGAGUACCUUUUAUGCUUUAUGAUAGGUCUUAAUGAUUAAGAACCAUAUCUCAAUUGAUCCUCUAAGUGAGUCUUAGUACAAUUGUAUGUCUAAGAAGAGGAAUCAAGAAUUGAAGAAAUGGUUAAAUCAAGAAGUCAAUCAUACUUCGUUCCAAAACAAGUCUUAGAGUUAAGAUUGUGACAUUGAGUGAUAAGUAUUAAGAAGGUUUAUAACAUUCAUCAAAUGUGGAAAGUUGUGAUGUCUUGGAUAAGACAAAGACCAACUAGGACCAAUUUAUGAAGUGUUUUGAUAAAAGCUACACUAACUCUUGAAUAUUUGUUUGUCAAGAAAUGUUUAUUGACAAGAGAAUCUUAUAUGUCAAGGAGUCAGUGGGAGUCUUAAUGGUCUUGAAAGGUUUCAAGAACAAAUCAAAUAAACCUUAUCGAUCAUCACUAGCACACGAGUUGAGGUUUACAACCUAUCGUGUUGACAUUAUUUUGUUUCUGUGCCAAUCCAAUCGAGUUAAUUAUGCAUGUGAGUUCUAUGAGUUCUCAUUUUGAACGCAUAAAAGGCAAAGCACCUUAAUCAAUGAAAGGUACAUUGAUAGGAAAGGGUGAGCUGCUUAACUACUUGGAAGACAUGGUGGGCAGCUGUGCUACCAUAAGGCAAGAAAUCAAGAUUAAGAAAGUUCGGUCCAUAUGAGUUUGAAUUUGUCGUAAACUUUGGUUUUAACAAAUUCACAUGGAUAGGAACACAUACACCGUUUAAAUCUAAGUGUCAUAAGAUUUCCUCCUUCAUGAAAAUGAUUGUGAGGAAAUGCUUUCACUAAGAAAGAUUUUAAGAAGAUAGUGAUUGUAAAAUUGCAUUCUCGAAUUCGAUUAUGGUUACGGUAUCCCUUUCCAUAAUUUGAAUUGUGAGGUUUGGCAAUUAGUCUUAAUUGUUUAGACACACAUAUGAACUAUCGAAGGCAAAGGUGUAUAAGUUCAAGAAGCCUUGAUAAAAGAUUAUCAAAGCACUAAGUAUUAGAAACAUGAACUUAAGAAAUUCAAUAAGUAUUGUUUUUCUGAAAGUUAAGAUGUUUAUGAAUACAUGUCGAAGCUAGUGGGAGCAUAAGUGUUAUGUUUUAUAAUAAUCAUCAUGAUAGUGGGAGCAUAAAUGUUAUGAUUGUAUGAUUAUUAAGGCACGUAUUGCAAGUUGGCAAUAUUAAUUAUAGAAAACAAGAGUUAUACCUUGCAAAGUCGUAAGGGUUGUAAAGUUGUUUUGCUAUAAUUAAGGGAGAGAAUAUUAUGCUUCAUUUCAAAUCUAAAGGAUUAGGUUGAGAAAUGUUAAUAAAUUUAGUCAAAGGUACAUAGUGUGUUCUUAAAAUUUCGAUUAUGAUUACGGCAUCCCUCUUCACAAUUCGAAUUUUGAGAACAUAGCAAAUAAAACAUUAUGCGUCGUGUCCCAUACGCUUCGGGUAUAGGAUCGAUUGCAAAUGCUUUAAUGUUUGACCAUUCUAAAAUUUUCCAAAUGUCGAGCGCAUUUAGAGGGAAAAGGGACUAGAAUUGGUUUUGACUAAAAUAAUUAAACAACUAUCAAAGGACAAUCCAAAGUUCGACGAGGAUUGGUCGCUUGUGAGUAGUUGGAAGUAUAGUAUUGGAAAAUAUGGAAAUGUUUCCAUAUUGGAUGGACCAUAUCGACAUCAUUACGAAUAGAUAAGAUUCUAUUAAGAAUGAGUUGUCAUAUGGAACAUAUGGAAGUGUGUCCAUAUUGGGAAUUGAAUAUUGAGAAAUCUAUGACUAGAUUAGAAACUUCUAUGCAAAAGGAUGUUCAAAGAAUGUACUUUGAGUGAGAGACAUCACGUCUAUGGAAUUGUCUUGUAACAAUCUCCGAUAGAGGACUUUGUAAUAUCAUUGGCAAUAGUCUUUGUGACUUUGGUGCAGUGACAUUACGAAAGGAUAGUUGCAUAGAAUGUUAGAAUCUAGCAUAUUCUAUAAGUAGCAAGAAUUUGAUAUUCUUUCACUUAUGAAAAAGGAUUUGGAGUUGUGAAAUGAGAAUGAUUGGAAAUGUGUUCAAUGUGAUCUAUUUCACAAAGUAAGAACCAUAGGUAAACAUUGUGUGCAUGCUAGGAGCAUGGGACAAGUGUUGUAAUUCAAGUAAGAAGUUGAUUACCCGAAACGACAAAUAAUGAGUAAUCAAUAUGGUGAUAAAUAAAAGGUGUUUUAUUUAUACUCAAAGGUUUGAGGCCAUAUGGGAUUAGUAUUAUUCUUGUGUUUCACAUUUGCAUGUUUUGACUUCCAGAAUAAUUGAGUUUAUUAAGAAUAAUCGAAUUAUUCAAACGGGCCACAGUCGUUCAUAUGUUGGAAGUAGAUAUGAAUGAAGACUGUCGUGAAUUGGUGUGUGGAUUGUCUAAAAGAGUAUUAGACAUAAGCAAAUGUUUGCUGCAACGUUCAUGAGUGCUUAUGAAUAUGAUUUGAGCAUUGGAUUAAACCCACGCUCACUUGGAUCACUCCAUGAAUUGUAUCACGAGUGAUUGGUGAGACGAUAACAUCUUAUAUUCUUGAAACCGAGAUGUGUGAGUUGUAUCUUGCAAAUCGGUUGCACAUUGAUAAUAUGUAAACGCACUAGUAACUUGGUGUUAUAAAACAUAUUGUUGUGUGUGAUUCGGUGAGUGAGUGCAAGCAAGCAUUGUAUCAAAGUUUAUCCGUUCCUUUUAUCCAAAGUAGGAUAAAAGCGAUAUCUUUGGGCCCCUCGAUGAUUUAGUGAUGACAAACGUAAAUGCUCGGCCGGGCUAGGGCUAAUUUGAUUUGUUCAAUUAGUCAGUCGUCAUAAAUCGGGAAUCGAGAUAUAGUACAAAGAGAAUGAUUUGAAAUCAUAUCUCAUAUGAUAUCUAGAAUGGAGGAAUAUAUGAUCCCUUAUCUAAGGACACGCGUAUCUGAUAUGAUCAGAGUUGACAGCGGCUUUGGAAAGCUACGAUUGCAGAUCAGGAUCUGAAGUCAUACGCAGAAUAGUUAUUAGACUUAUCCAAGUGGGAGACUGUUGGAUUAGUGUCUAAGUCCAUAACUAUUUUGGUAUGUACUUGACCCGAUGGUGCAUGGUCCUUUUGGGUUGCCUUCACCAAAGCAACUUGAUUGGAGAAAUGAAUAAAGAGAGAGAGGAUAAUAUGAUUUAUUAAUAUGUUAUAAGAAUAAUAUAUUAAAGGAGAAAUCAUAUUUGUUUAAUUAAUAUUGGUCGAUAAUUAAUUAAGAAUUAGUUUUGUGAUCAAAUGUAAUUAAUUAAACUAGAGGGGCUGAUUUGUAAUUAUGUGAUAGUUACAAAAUAAGGUAAGGAUUAUCUUAUAUAUAUGGUGGACGAAUUUAAGGUUGGAAAGUCUUAGAAUUCGAGUAUGAUAAGGAUUCAAGGAUUAUCUUAUUGGUUGCUUUGUGGAUAAUCAACUAGAUAAGGAUAAUGACUGAAACCCUAUCUCUACACCUAUAUAAACACCCCUAGGGUCAUGAAUUCGUGUAUCCCUUCCCAAGAGGUCCUAGAUACGAAUUCUAACCUCUUUCCUCUCUCUUUAUACCUUCUCCAUUUGCUUAUGGUGUUUGUAAGCCAUUAGAGGAGUGACACUUGUGACUCUAAGCAUUCCAAAGUCCAUCCAAGGUGGAAUUGUGAUUGUUAUUGCUAUAUAACAAUCAAGGUAUGUUCUUAAAUCUAAUGUCGAUUUCCAUAUGCUAGAAUUAGGGUUUAUAGUCUUGGAUUCAAAGCAUGUACAAUAGAGAAACCUAGAUCCAAGCAUUAGGGUUUGUAUGAGCACAUAGGAUGUCUUAUGACCAAAACCCAUCACUAAUUUGUGCUCAAUCUCAUGUAUUUGGUGUUCUAGUUGAAUCUAGGGUUUUCUUAUGCCUUCUUUGGCUUGGAUUCGAAGUAUGUGAGGUCCCAAGGUGGAGUUCUUCUUAGAUCUGGACCUUAAGAGGUCCAGAGAGUCCUAUCCAUCUUGCUUUUUGUUAUUCCAUUAGAGAUAUGACCCUAGGUUGCCAUUUUAGAGGUUAUUUCACCCAAAGAAGCUUUAUGGUCAUUGCAUGAGUGUAAAGGUCGGACCUUUACGUGAUUAUAGUGGUUGGGAAGGCCAGAUCUAUAGAUUAGAGAAGUAGAUCUGACCUUAGAAGGUCUUUUGAGUGAGAACAUGGAAGCAACUCGCCGAGUGAAUAAGUGGACUCGACGAGUCGAGUCGGGGUUUCCCCGCGAUUUGUGACAGGUGUAACCCGUCGAGUGGAAGGAUGACUCGACGAGCCAAGAGAGGCCGAAAGGAUUUAGAGGACCCGCAUGGACUCGCCGAGUCGCCCAUGUUCACUUGACGAGUCGAGUCAAAGUUUGACCGUUGACUUUUGUUGACUUUAGGGUUCUGGUCAAGAUUGAUUUAGGAGAGUUCAGGGAAGGGUAAAAUGCCCUUUUACCCAGUCUGUAGAGAUGAGAUCAUGAAAGAGUAUUGAUCGGGAAUGUUAUUUGAAUAAUAGGAGGAGGCUAAGUCGGGACGUUGAGCACGAGAGUUUAUCCAACUUCAUUGAGGUGAUUCUUCUCACUAUAUAUUAUCUAGAGAGGUAUUUAUGUGUAGACCAGAGGGUCUUGUAUGCUAUGUGUAUAUAUGAGAUUAUGUGCAUUGUGUAAUAUGUAUGCUAUGUGUGGUAUAGACCGAACCGGAGGGUCCAACGAUAUUGACCGGACCGAAGGGUCCAACGAUAUAGACCGGACCGAAGGGUCCAACGAUACAGAAUGAAUCGAAGGGUCCAACGAGCUAUGACCGGACCAGAGGGUCCAACGAGCUACGGGACUGGAGGGUCCCGCUGAGACACAUCGACCGGAGGGUCGUACUGUUGCCUCGAGUGGAUUANGAAGUCAUACGCAGAAUAGUUAUUAGACUUAUCCAAGUGGGAGACUGUUGGAUUAGUGUCUAAGUCCAUAACUAUUUUGGUAUGUACUUGACCCGAUGGUGCAUGGUCCUUUUGGGUUGCCUUCACCAAAGCAACUUGAUAGGAUGAAUUAUGGAGAGAAAGGAUUAAAUAUGGUUGAUUAAUAUAUUAUGAGAAUAAUAUAUUAAAGGAGAAAUCAUAUUGUUUAAUUAAUAUUAGUCAAGAAUUAAUAAGAAUUAAGUUUGUGACUAAAAGAGAUUAAUUAACUUAAGGGAGUAGAAUUGUAAUUAUAAGAUAAUUACAAUUGGGCUAUAGAUAACCUUAUUAUAUUAGGUUGGACGAACUCUAUGGGGAAACCCAUUAGAAAUCGUCCAAUGCUUGUUAAGGAAGGGUCCAUGGGUUGCUUAGGGCCUAAGCAUCCAAAUUAGGGUUUCCUAGUUCAAAACCCUAAUAGCCUACAUGUAUAAAUAGUACCCUUAAGGCUAAAAAACGCGGGGAACUAAUUAGUUAGGGUUUCCACACAUUUUGGGCAGCCUCCUUCUCUUCUCUUCUUCAUCCUCUUGCUCUUGGUGUUUGUGAACCAUUAGAGGAGUGACAUUUGUGACUCUAAGCUUUCUAAACUUAAUACAAGAAGGAUUUGAGAUUGUUGUUGCUACAUAACAAUCAAGGUAAUAUCUUAAACCUAUUAUUAUGUUAAUAUGAUUGCUUGUAUGCUAGAAUUAGGGUUUUAAGUCUUGGAUGAACAGCAUGUACAAUAGAGAAACCUAGAUCCAAGCAUUAGGGUUUGCAUGAGCACAUAGGAUGUUCUUAUAGCUAAAACCCACCAGUGGUAUCAGAGCCUAGAUUGGUUUCUAUUGUAUUGAUGCAUAUUUGAUCGAAAUCAGCACUAAAAAUCGAAUUUUUUGGCUUCUGAGUGUUUGACUCGCCGAAUCACUUGGUGCACUCGCCGAGUCAGCUGUACUCGAUGAGUCCAAGUCCAGACUCGACGAGUCAAAUCGUCUGACAGCUCGUUUUCGCAAUUUUCUUCCUGUUUUGGCUUUGGAUAAUUACCAUAAAUAUGUUUUUGUUAUAAAAUCCGAAUUUUAUCAAUAUUUGGUGAUUAUCCUUACCUAAAUAGAAGAUAAUUGUCAAAAUUUAGAUAAUCAUUUGUUUUAUUAGAUAAAGUUUGAUUAUUUGUAAUUUAGAUUUGAAUUAUCUUGUGAAAAGUUUCAAUUUUUUCCCUUUAGGUUUUAUAGUUUAAAUUUGAACUUAAUAGUUUUGUUUUGAAAUUUAAAUAGUUAAAACCCUAAUGUUUUGAAAAGUUUCAAAACUUGCCCUCAAGUUUUGGAAUUUAAAUUUUGAUUGAAAAGUUUAAUUUUGAAAUAUUUAAAUUCUAAACCCUAAUGUUUUGAAAUGUUUCAAAACUUGCCCUCAAGUUUUGGAAUUUAAAAGUUGAUUAAAAGUUUAAUUUAGAAAUGUUAAAUUCUAAAACCCUAGUAUUGUUUUGAAAAGUUCAAAUCACACCCUUAUGGUUUUAUUAAUUAAUUAAGGUGUAUAAUUAAAAGAGGUUUAAUAAAUCCAUAAAAGUUUAGGUUUACAAUUUAAUUGAAUUAAAAGUAUAAUUGUUAAAUUUGACCUCCUAGUAUUUUAAAAGUGUAAAAUACACCCUAUACUAUAUAUAACAUUAAAAGUCUAACAUUAUAUAUAUGUAUGAGUAAAAGUCAGUCUUACCGUUAGUAGGCCUCAUUCACGAAGCUGGUCUAUAAGGGGUGUUUAAGGAAAUUGCCUAUAAAAUGGCGAUUGAAUGGGUAUCCACUCUUACCCACCGCACUCUUGACUAGUGGAGGGUCGUUAGCCGAACGGGUAGGAUAGGACGAAACCUUCCAUUAUAAGUAUAAUGAAUUACUAAAGUAACUAAAUGUUUUUCUAAAAUUCCCAAUCUUAGUUACUUAGGCAAAAGUGAAUUGAUGCAAUUCCAUGAAAUUACACUUUGUGCCCUUGCGAAGACGUUAGUGGAGCGUGUGUGGUUAACUGGCACACUAAAUGGGUCUAAGCAAAGGUAGCAAAUGGUGACUCGUUGUUUGUCAUAGUUCGGUGGAUCGUGUGUGGUUUACCGGCACAUCGAAUAGGUGACUGUAACAUGUGAGGGCACCAUGUAAGUUUGCAUGGUUAUUCACACCCGCUUUGUGAUCCUCGGCAUCCCAGUCACAAACAAGAGGGGCAUAUCGAGAUUUAAACAUGCCAUUGAANNNNNNNNNNNNNNNNNNNNNNNNNNNNNNNNNNNNNNNNNNNNNNNNNNNNNNNNNNNNNNNNNNNNNNNNNNNNNNNNNNNNNNNNNNNNNNNNNNNNNNNNNNNNNNNNNNNNNNNNNNNNNNNNNNNNNNNNNNNNNNNNNNNNNNNNNNNNNNNNNNNNNNNNNNNNNNNNNNNNNNNNNNNNNNNNNNNNNNNNNNNNNNNNNNNNNNNNNNNNNNNNNNNNNNNNNNNNNNNNNNNNNNNNNNNNNNNNNNNNNNNNNNNNNNNNNNNNNNNNNNNNNNNNNNNNNNNNNNNNNNNNNNNNNNNNNNNNNNNNNNNNNNNNNNNNNNNNNNNNNNNNNNNNNNNNNNNNNNNNNNNNNNNNNNNNNNNNNNNNNNNNNNNNNNNNNNNNNNNNNNNNNNNNNNNNNNNNNNNNNNNNNNNNNNNNNNNNNNNNNNNNNNNNNNNNNNNNNNNNNNNNNNNNNNNNNNNNNNNNNNNNNNNNNNNNNNNNNNNNNNNNNNNNNNNNNNNNNNNNNNNNNNNNNNNNNNNNNNNNNNNNNNNNNNNNNNNNNNNNNNNNNNNNNNNNNNNNNNNNNNNNNNNNNNNNNNNNNNNNNNNNNNNNNNNNNNNNNNNNNNNNNNNNNNNNNNNNNNNNNNNNNNNNNNNNNNNNNNNNNNNNNNNNNNNNNNNNNNNNNNNNNNNNNNNNNNNNNNNNNNNNNNNNNNNNNNNNNNNNNNNNNNNNNNNNNNNNNNNNNNNNNNNNNNNNNNNNNNNNNNNNNNNNNNNNNNNNNNNNNNNNNNNNNNNNNNNNNNNNNNNNNNNNNNNNNNNNNNNNNNNNNNNNNNNNNNNNNNNNNNNNNNNNNNNNNNNNNNNNNNNNNNNNNNNNNNNNNNNNNNNNNNNNNNNNNNNNNNNNNNNNNNNNNNNNNNNNNNNNNNNNNNNNNNNNNNNNNNNNNNNNNNNNNNNNNNNNNNNNNNNNNNNNNNNNNNNNNNNNNNNNNNNNNNNNNNNNNNNNNNNNNNNNNNNNNNNNNNNNNNNNNNNNNNNNNNNNNNNNNNNNNNNNNNNNNNNNNNNNNNNNNNNNNNNNNNNNNNNNNNNNNNNNNNNNNNNNNNNNNNNNNNNNNNNNNNNNNNNNNNNNNNNNNNNNNNNNNNNNNNNNNNNNNNNNNNNNNNNNNNNNNNNNNNNNNNNNNNNNNNNNNNNNNNNNNNNNNNNNNNNNNNNNNNNNNNNNNNNNNNNNNNNNNNNNNNNNNNNNNNNNNNNNNNNNNNNNNNNNNNNNNNNNNNNNNNNNNNNNNNNNNNNNNNNNNNNNNNNNNNNNNNNNNNNNNNNNNNNNNNNNNNNNNNNNNNNNNNNNNNNNNNNNNNNNNNNNNNNNNNNNNNNNNNNNNNNNNNNNNNNNNNNNNNNNNNNNNNNNNNNNNNNNNNNNNNNNNNNNNNNNNNNNNNNNNNNNNNNNNNNNNNNNNNNNNNNNNNNNNNNNNNNNNNNNNNNNNNNNNNNNNNNNNNNNNNNNNNNNNNNNNNNNNNNNNNNNNNNNNNNNNNNNNNNNNNNNNNNNNNNNNNNNNNNNNNNNNNNNNNNNNNNNNNNNNNNNNNNNNNNNNNNNNNNNNNNNNNNNNNNNNNNNNNNNNNNNNNNNNNNNNNNNNNNNNNNNNNNNNNNNNNNNNNNNNNNNNNNNNNNNNNNNNNNNNNNNNNNNNNNNNNNNNNNNNNNNNNNNNNNNNNNNNNNNNNNNNNNNNNNNNNNNNNNNNNNNNNNNNNNNNNNNNNNNNNNNNAUGCCGAGAACCACAGGAUAACCUCCGCAGCCAAGAGUACUUGAUCAAAGUGCGAAAGUAGUUGCGGUAAGCCUCAUGACCCAGAUCCCAAAGAGAUUAUAGACUUGACACCAGCCUUGGUGUUAGUCGAGGGGUUAUGCAGGAGCAUGUACUUUCCGCACUAGAAUAAACCAAAGUCUUAGAGUUUUAUUGGACUAUUAGGUGUUCCACGAAUACUAUCUCACGCAGAAAUAGUAGAACCACCUCCCGAGAUAGUCCAACACUCGUCUGGGGAAACCUUAUCUCCCUGACCCUGAGGGUUUCCGUGUUUCAAGGAUCGUUAGUGCAGGUUCAUUUUGCACGAGCUUGAGAUAGAAACUCUACAGCAAACAGAUACCCGUAGAUAGGCAACCCCUCUGAUGAUCUAGAAAGUCUCUAAAAGCCAAUUGACAGGAAACGCAAAAUCAAACACAACCCGAGCUUCCUAAGAACCAACCUAAUGGACUACACUACCAGUAUGAGAGAGAACGUUAGGAACUUCGGAAUGGCGAUCAUGCCAGUGAUGAUCUUGCCAUAGAAGUACACUAUGUUCAAAGUACUGAAAAGCUCUACCCUCCCGAGAGCAUAGGACCACCCGAGAUCCUUUACGGAAAUUGGUCCAACCCUUGUCAGACCACUACUACUUUCGGGUAUUUCACAAGUUUCACACCCGAUCGAUCCACUCCUUAGACUUGAUAUGUGGUUACCCGAAGUCACUCUUCGUAUCCCACUCAUCUUGAUAGUGACCAUUGAGAACCAUAACCUCGUAGAUACACCGAUCGGAACCCACUAACUACACGAGACGGAAUCCGCAUCCCGUAGGUGAAGGUUUGUUUGAAUGACAAACACAGACCAAAGAUUCACAGGGGAAUGCGGGGACAAAUAGAAUAGGAAGUACCCUCCUUCCUCUACUCGGUAAUUCAUACCUAAUUCCUUGCCUAGACCUGAAUUUCGGGACGAAAUUCCAUCUAACGAGGGGAUGAUGUGAAAACCCAAAGUUAUUCCGUUACAUCACCCCGUUACCGUUAACGGAAUAUUCCACUUUAUAAAAGUUCCGUUAAUUAGAGGUCGCAAAAUAAAUAAAUGUUUUAUUUAUAUUUUUAUGUCGUUAUAGUUGUAAUAAAGUAAAUAAAAACACUUAAGUUGCAUUUCCAUUUAAUUGGAAAAAGUUAGUUUUUAUUAUUACGACCACUAAAUCGGGUGCGACCAAAAGCCCCAUUUAACGGCAGUAUCGGGUAAAAUCCCUCGGAGCCCCAACUCCAACCCCUAUAUAAGGGUGAGUGGAGUCCAUUGGAUAUUUUUUACACUCUCCCCACUCUCUCUCUCUCUAGAACUUAAAUUCGAGCCAAAAAUUGUCCGUUUCGAGCCCCAAACGUGUAGGUAAACUAUCCUAACUCGUUGUAUAACUUAUCUAGCGUACAAAUUCGAGUUUAAAACAUAAAAUAGGGACAAAAUCAUGAGUUUACAGCCCAAGAACACUCUUGGGCCGUGAACACCAUUUAAUGGGGUUUUUAAGCCCCAAAACCCCUCCAAAUUGUCCCUAAGGCUUAGAUAUGACUUGUAGGCUUAUGUAAUCGGACUUAGAACACCUUGAACUAGCAUUUUGAGGAGUAAACAUGAGUUUACUUCCCAAGAACAUUCUUGGGCCGUAAACUCCCCUUCAUGGGGAGUAAACUCAUUUUCUUGUGUUAGAAAUGCCCUCAACACCCCCUAUGGUCUUGGAAAAAUAGCUAGAAUGCAAUACCAUAGUUGUAUGGGCCUUAAACUUAAAUAAAACCAAGGGAGUAGGAUUUCACGGCCGUGAACUCCCAUAGAGGUGGUUCAUGGGCCGUAAACUCCCAUUUAGUGCCCAAAUGGUGCCCAAACUCCUUCAUUUGACUUGGAAAAUGCAUGGGAUUUUAUCCUCUACCAUUUAAGCCCUUAAAACACCAAAAGAUAUGUGUAUAGGAGCUUACGGCCGUAAGCUCCCUUGCUUAGGGCCGUAAACUCCUCAAAUGGUCCAUGUGAAGCCUUAAAUCCAUUCAUACAAUUUAUUCUUGGACCUAGCAUAAAUCUACAAUUAAUAUAAAGCCAUUAAGCAUCCUAGAACACCCUCACCAUGAGUUUACGGCCGUAAACUCAUGGGGAGUGUACCAGGGCCGUGAACUCUAUGUAUAGAGUUUACUCUUGAAGAGUAAACUCCAUUCCUAAGCCAUCCAAGCCCUUAGAUGUUACCCGGGACACCCCAAACACUUAACCAAAGUGUUUUCCGCCCCUUAGGGUGCGUAUACUUGUUUAAUUAGUAUUAUAUAUACUAACUGUAUGUAAACAUAUGUUAUCAUAUGUUAAAUAGGUCACUAAGUGUGUCCAAGUUUUUACUUGACACCGAGCACCCAACCGGCACCUUCGUCGGAUCCACUUACACCAGGUGAGUUCAUACCCCUGAAUGAACCUUUUAAAUGUUUUUACAUGUUUUAUAGGGGGGAUACAAGUUAAACAUGCCAGUUAUCAUAUCAAUCACAUGUGAUUGAUAACCCGCAUGCUCAAUGAUUUACCACACUGUAAACCGUUUUACCGAGUAUCAUUCAUUUGAUACUGUAUGGGGUCUGUAUUCACUGUAUUCAGUGUUUUAGACCUUGCUAGACGUAUCAUUCAGUUGAUACUGUCUGGGGUAUGUGUUCACUGUUUUAGACCUUACUAGCUGUACCUUUCAUUUGGUACCGUCUGAGGUCUGUGUCUCUUUCUGUUAGUCUGAGCCAGGCGUGUCGUUCAUUCGAUACUCUCCUGGAGUCUAUGACUCCUUUUGCCUUAGUCAGCAGUCCUCACUGCUGAGGCAUAUGUUAUUUUCCCUGAUAUUCUCCGACUUUCUUAAAAAGCAAAUCCCGUAUUUUGAAAAUGAAAGUGUUUAAGGGAAAACUACUUUUUACCACAUAACUCUGACCAGUCUUGGUAGAAGACUGCAUUUUAAAUAGAAAAUAUAGGAUUUUCUGGAAAGGACACUAUUUCACUGUAUACUUGAAAACUACUACUUAUAUAAAGUUAUUUGAAUAAAAUGUCACUAAAUGCUUAUGAACUCACCAGCAUUUGUAAAAAUGCUCAUACUCGCUUUUCAAAUAACUUGUAUUCUCAGGUCAGCAUUAGACAGGUACAAUCCAGGAGCUUCUGUUGAAGACUAUUUUGUGCCAAGCUGCACCUAUAUAUUUACUUGUAUUACCUUGAUGUAUUGUAAAGUAAACCAUGUAAAACUAUUACUAUUCAUGCAAUGUUUUGUUGUACUUUGAUUACUAUAAUGCAUGUGUUGUGAUACUUGACAUGACGUCAUCCACACCAGAACGUUUCCGCCGUUCCGGUUUUGGGGUGUGACAGAUUGGUAUCAGAGCAUUGUUUAUAGUGAUCUAAGUAUAUGAAUUCAUAAAAGGUAUAUAGCCUUUAAAUACAAAGGGAUAAAACACUCUGACCAAGAAUUAUACUUUAAAAUAUAACCAUAUUUUACCAAAGUAUAAGAACAUCCAAAACCUAAACACUCGAACACAAGUAUCACAAGAAGAACGAUAAUAAAAGUCUUCGGAUGUUGAGCAUUGCCGUCAAACCUGGGCAGUUAUGUAAUCGUAAGCUGGAAUAAAUGUAACCUGAUCAACUACAUUUAUUCGAGAUGCGAUGAACGUGUGCUUGGGAGUGAUAGUGGUGUUGCAACAGGUCUGAAACUUACCAACUAGGAAUGCUAGAGCCAAACAUAAAGUUUAAAAUACUAUGGGAGUAUUUUGGAAUACUAAAAGACUCACAUUAAUCCCAGAAUCAUAUUCAGAAGAUAAGAAUCAAACAAGAAAUUAAAAUACCAUAGGGGUAUUUUAGGAUCCAUAGAUAACCUUGUGUGAAGAACUAAAAAGAUCCUUAUUGAUAUACCUACAAUUACAGAGGGUAUACUCCCAAGGUUAUAUAUAAUAAGGAUCCCAUAGGCUAAGAAUGUGUGGUUUCGCUCUACUUCCUUUUCCUUUUUUGGAUGUGGAUAUAGAGUAGUAUCACAUAUUCAAAGGCCUAUCGGAUCUAAGCUAUAUAUGAUUUGUAUACCCUUUGUAAUCGUAGCAGGACUCAAUAUGGAUCACCCAGUGAAAUGUUAAUAAUCUCUUAGGAUUCUUUAGACAUUUCCAUUCUCGCACGAACCCUGUAGACGACCCUACCCACUUCAGUGCUUGACAAAAGAGUUGAUGCAGACCCAUAAGAGGUUCAUUGAGAAGAUUUCCUGUUCGGAAAUAAAUAAACCGGGUCGAGACUAUUGAAUUCACCAAGUGCCUAUAUCUUUUUAGGGACAUCGGUGAGAAAUUCGCCUAAACUUCCGAGAUUUCCAGUCAUCCAUCAUGAAGUGAUGACACCCAGAGAUGGAUUCGGAAGUGAGGCGGAGUAGAAAUUCAAUAUGUCUUCACAAGAGAAGAACCCUAGGUAACUACCCGAAGGAAACCAACGUCGAUUCCAGACGAAGAUACGAGGCAGACAGAGGGAGCCAGUACAUGGAACCCGAGAAGUGUCUUUUCCUCUUGUUCAUCACGCUAAUACACCCUUAAAAUAAUACAAUUUAGUGAGUUAGUGAUUACACUACUCACGCUAUGUGUUAGGUAAAUCAUCGUUUCCCGUUGCCAGUAGCACGUUUAGAGCGAAUCCCCACACCUUUGUUAAGGUUGUUUAGCCAUGAGUCUUCAUGAGCCUCUCUUUCCGCGGUGUUCGUUCCGAACUGUUCUCAAAUUUCUUCAGACCGGAGAGUGAAACCUUUCCCAGUAUAAAGGUAACGUAGUAGGAAUGACUCGCAUCUUAUGGCCUUUUCCGAUACUCACACUCCUACCUUGGACACCAGUACUACAUCAUAGGGAUGUAGGUCGACACUCAGACAACCAACAUCCGAGGCACAGGAAAGUUUAUGCCUAAUACAGUCAGGACAGCUAUGUCCAAGGCUAGCCAUCGUCUCUCAUCAUCUUAUAUUCCUUUCUGUGUAGGAAAAACCAUGCCACCGAAGAAGCGCAACCAGUCUGCAAGCAAGAAACCUACUCUUUUAUUCAAUGAAGCUACGUUCCAAGCUGCAGUCUCGGCAGNNNNNNNNNNNNNNNNNUCCCCGCCAGCCGUAGCAGCUGUCAUGGCUCACCUGAAUGCUAACAACGCCAAUGUUAGCAAGGGCCCUAUCGGGAAUCCCGAUCCUAGCGAUGGACAACAACAACCAACCCCUGCAUACCCAUCCACCCAACAACCUCAACCGAUUCCACUAAAGAGAAAACUCAAGAUCGAGGAGGGAAGUACCUUGGCUCAAGGACCUUCCGAAGGGCAACGAGCUGAGAUGGUCAAAUUCCCUACCAACCCUUCCAUCCCUACACCUAGGAGACCAUACUUAGGAAACCUUCCCCAUUGCAGCAAGUGCAGCUACCAUCAUCAUGGUGUCUGCCGGGAGCUCUAUUGUGCUAGGUGCCACAUGUUGGGGCAUACUGCUCGCGUUUGCAGAACCCCAGUUGAGUUUAUUACAUCAACCACCAAUGUGGCGACCCAUACAGUUUGCCACCUAUGUGGUGAAGUGGGACACUUCAAGAAGGACUGCCCAACCGAAGGGAAAGACAAAGACACGGGAGGAGCCUAACUCUAAUGCUUAGGGAGAAGCAUCAAGGGAACCUGGUAGAUUUUGGUACGUCUCUCGAUCCCAGAUAACUAACGCAAAACAUUAAAAGGCUAAUUCAAUGUAAAUGCUUCCUCAUUAAGGCGAAAGUCACAGCACUGUUAUAAAAUUUAAAAAUUCAUCAGGUAAAACUAUAAUGGCUAAACAUAUACGUUACGGCCAUGUAUAGUUAAGAUGGAUAGACCUAGAGUGAGUGAAUGCCGCCUCAUUUCUUGUUCCUCGUUUGGUUGUGGAUUUAGGGCGGAGUCGUUCAAUCAAUAGUCCUCCCCACCUUAAUUAUACAUGACUAGUAUAUGUUAGGCGAUUAUAGAAAUGCCUCGUGAAAAUCCAUUCAUGAAAAAGGUACUCUAUUUAGAACACUUAGGACUCUUUAUAGUUCCGCGUCGACUCUAUCGCUCCAAGUAUGCACGGCAGUGAUACACAGGACGAAACUCGAGAUGCCUAGAACAGGUGUGCCUGUUCGGCGCAUGACUCUAUCGAUCUUCAUUUUAUAUCAUGUCGAGGUAUGCCAACUACGACGACUCUAUUGAUCAUGGUUUGACUUCGUUCAGCCAUGUGUAUAUCCUUAAUGUUGUGUAAAAAGAACUUUCUCCAUAGCCCUUUCGGCAAAUAAAGGUUCUUCCGAACCUAAACAAAAUAAAAGUAAUAUAGACCAAUGCGAUCCGCCAGUCGUUACUUUUAUUUCAAACCUUCCGAGGUACCCAUGAGAAGGGUACCGCGCGCUGUUAACCAACCCUCCUUAGACAAAUAAGAACCGAAGCGAAAGGCACUGCAUGCAUUACAUAAGACGAUAACCACCCGAAGCAUACCUAAUAGAUUCCCUAGAAAGACCCUUCAUCCUAUCCCAUGGAAUGGGAACUAGAGUCAAGAGAACCCCUACGGAAUGAGCUACUAUAAUGACCACAAAUCCGAAGUUGUUGUCAUUCUGCUUGAGCCAACAUAGUAGCUAACACCCUCGGUUAGUAAAGAAAUCUGAGUCGUAGGAGUCAAGACCAUUGACUACGACCAUCCAUUCACGCUCAAUCCCCCGAUUUAAGCAUCGCAGCAGAUAUCCCAGAAAUCCGAAAGCUGAUGAGUCAAANACUCUGAGAAGAAUGGAUGAAGAGAUUAAAGUUCCGAGUAAUGGAACCCUAUACUCACUAGAUUUGACCUAGACCGGGAAAACUCAGAACCUUCGGAAGAGUAGUUGCAGUAGAUGCUCGCACUACUCAGGCACUUCGUCCACCCCGUUAUAGACAAGUAGUGCCUAGGAUCCUCCACCCUCUCGCAUGGAGGAAAUCGUCGUUGCCUUGUGGACAAUAGGCUUCAUUCUUCGAAGUGAACACUAGAAUGCCGAGAACCACAGGAUAACCUCCGCAGCCAAGAGUACUUGAUCAAAGUGCGAAAGUAGUUGCGGUAAGCCUCAUGACCCAGAUCCCAAAGAGAUUAUAGACUUGACACCAGCCUUGGUGUUAGUCGAGGGGUUAUGCAGGAGCAUGUACUUUCCGCACUAGAAUAAACCAAAGUCUUAGAGUUUUAUUGGACUAUUAGGUGUUCCACGAAUACUAUCUCACGCAGAAAUAGUAGAACCACCUCCCGAGAUAGUCCAACACUCGUCUGGGGAAACCUUAUCUCCCUGACCCUGAGGGUUUCCGUGUUUCAAGGAUCGUUAGUGCAGGUUCAUUUUGCACGAGCUUGAGAUAGAAACUCUACAGCAAACAGAUACCCGUAGAUAGGCAACCCCUCUGAUGAUCUAGAAAGUCUCUAAAAGCCAAUUGACAGGAAACGCAAAAUCAAACACAACCCGAGCUUCCUAAGAACCAACCUAAUGGACUACACUACCAGUAUGAGAGAGAACGUUAGGAACUUCGGAAUGGCGAUCAUGCCAGUGAUGAUCUUGCCAUAGAAGUACACUAUGUUCAAAGUACUGAAAAGCUCUACCCUCCCGAGAGCAUAGGACCACCCGAGAUCCUUUACGGAAAUUGGUCCAACCCUUGUCAGACCACUACUACUUUCGGGUAUUUCACAAGUUUCACACCCGAUCGAUCCACUCCUUAGACUUGAUAUGUGGUUACCCGAAGUCACUCUUCGUAUCCCACUCAUCUUGAUAGUGACCAUUGAGAACCAUAACCUCGUAGAUACACCGAUCGGAACCCACUAACUACACGAGACGGAAUCCGCAUCCCGUAGGUGAAGGUUUGUUUGAAUGACAAACACAGACCAAAGAUUCACAGGGGAAUGCGGGGACAAAUAGAAUAGGAAGUACCCUCCUUCCUCUACUCGGUAAUUCAUACCUAAUUCCUUGCCUAGACCUGAAUUUCGGGACGAAAUUCCAUCUAACGAGGGGAUGAUGUGAAAACCCAAAGUUAUUCCGUUACAUCACCCCGUUACCGUUAACGGAAUAUUCCACUUUAUAAAAGUUCCGUUAAUUAGAGGUCGCAAAAUAAAUAAAUGUUUUAUUUAUAUUUUUAUGUCGUUAUAGUUGUAAUAAAGUAAAUAAAAACACUUAAGUUGCAUUUCCAUUUAAUUGGAAAAAGUUAGUUUUUAUUAUUACGACCACUAAAUCGGGUGCGACCAAAAGCCCCAUUUAACGGCAGUAUCGGGUAAAAUCCCUCGGAGCCCCAACUCCAACCCCUAUAUAAGGGUGAGUGGAGUCCAUUGGAUAUUUUUUACACUCUCCCCACUCUCUCUCUCUCUAGAACUUAAAUUCGAGCCAAAAAUUGUCCGUUUCGAGCCCCAAACGUGUAGGUAAACUAUCCUAACUCGUUGUAUAACUUAUCUAGCGUACAAAUUCGAGUUUAAAACAUAAAAUAGGGACAAAAUCAUGAGUUUACAGCCCAAGAACACUCUUGGGCCGUGAACACCAUUUAAUGGGGUUUUUAAGCCCCAAAACCCCUCCAAAUUGUCCCUAAGGCUUAGAUAUGACUUGUAGGCUUAUGUAAUCGGACUUAGAACACCUUGAACUAGCAUUUUGAGGAGUAAACAUGAGUUUACUUCCCAAGAACAUUCUUGGGCCGUAAACUCCCCUUCAUGGGGAGUAAACUCAUUUUCUUGUGUUAGAAAUGCCCUCAACACCCCCUAUGGCCUUGGAAAAAUAGCUAGAAUGCAAUACCAUAGUUGUAUGGGCCUUAAACUUAAAUAAAACCAAGGGAGUAGGAUUUCACGGCCGUGAACUCCCAUAGAGGUGGUUCAUGGGCCGUAAACUCCCAUUUAGUGCCCAAAUGGUGCCCAAACUCCUUCAUUUGACUUGGAAAAUGCAUGGGAUUUUAUCCUCUACCAUUUAAGCCCUUAAAACACCAAAAGAUAUGUGUAUAGGAGCUUACGGCCGUAAGCUCCCUUGCUUAGGGCCGUAAACUCCUCAAAUGGUCCAUGUGAAGCCUUAAAUCCAUUCAUACAAUUUAUUCUUGGACCUAGCAUAAAUCUACAAUUAAUAUAAAGCCAUUAAGCAUCCUAGAACACCCUCACCAUGAGUUUACGGCCGUAAACUCAUGGGGAGUGUACCAGGGCCGUGAACUCUAUGUAUAGAGUUUACUCUUGAAGAGUAAACUCCAUUCCUAAGCCAUCCAAGCCCUUAGAUGUUACCCGGGACACCCCAAACACUUAACCAAAGUGUUUUCCGCCCCUUAGGGUGCGUAUACUUGUUUAAUUAGUAUUAUAUAUACUAACUGUAUGUAAACAUAUGUUAUCAUAUGUUAAAUAGGUCACUAAGUGUGUCCAAGUUUUUACUUGACACCGAGCACCCAACCGGCGCCUUCGUCGGAUCCACUUACACCAGGUGAGUUCAUACCCCUGAAUGAACCUUUUAAAUGUUUUUACAUGUUUUAUAGGGGGGAUACAAGUUAAACAUGCCAGUUAUCAUAUCAAUCACAUGUGAUUGAUAACCCGCAUGCUCAAUGAUUUACCACACUGUAAACCGUUUUACCGAGUAUCAUUCAUUUGAUACUAUCUGGGGUCUGUAUUCACUGUAUUCAGUGUUUUAGACCUUGCUAGACGUAUCAUUCAGUUGAUACUGUCUGGGGUAUGUGUUCACUGUUUUAGACCUUACUAGCUGUACCUUUCAUUUGGUACCGUCUGAGGUCUGUGUCUCUUUCUGUUAGUCUGAGCCAGGCGUGUCGUUCAUUCGAUACUCUCCUGGAGUCUAUGACUCCUUUUGCCUUAGUCAGCAGUCCUCACUGCUGAGGCAUAUGUUAUUUUCCCUGAUAUUCUUCGACUUUCUUAAAAAGCAAAUCCCGUAUUUUGAAAAUGAAAGUGUUUAAGGGAAAACUACUUUUUACCACAUAACUCUGACCAGUCUUGGUAGAAGACUGCAUUUUAAAUAGAAAAUAUAGGAUUUUCUGGAUAGGACACUAUUUCACUGUAUACUUGAAAACUACUACUUAUAUAAAGUUAUUUGAAUAAAAUGUCACUAAAUGCUUAUGAACUCACCAGCAUUUGUAAAAAUGCUCAUACUCGCUUUUCAAAUAACUUGUAUUCUCAGGUCAGCAUUAGACAGGUACAAUCCAGGAGCUUCUGUUGAAGACUAUUUUGUGCCAAGCUGCACCUAUAUAUUUACUUGUAUUACCUUGAUGUAUUGUAAAGUAAACCAUGUAAAACUAUUACUAUUCAUGCAAUGUUUUGUUGUACUUUGAUUACUAUAAUGCAUGUGUUGUGAUACUUGACAUGACGUCAUCCACCCCAGAACAUUUCCGCCGUUCCGGUUUUGGGGUGUGACAUACUGUUUUUUUUUUUUGUAAGUUAAGUUGUUUUCUAAAUACAUGUCAAAUCUAGUAGGAGCAUAAGUGUUGUGCUUAUAUUAUAAUAAUCAUCAUGAUAGUGGGUGCAUAAAUGUUAUGAUUAUAUGAUUAUUAAUGCAAGUAUUGCAAGUUAGCAAUAUUAAUUAUAGAAAACAAGAGUUAUACUUUGCAAAGUAGUAAGGAUGUAAAGUUGUUUUGCUAUAAUUAAGGGAGAGAAUAUUGUACUUCGUUUCAAAAUCUAAAGCUUAGAUUGAGAAAUUUUAAUAAAUUUAGUCAAAGGAUACAUAGCGCAUUCUUAAAUUUCGAAUUAUGAGAACGUAGCACGUGAAAUAUUAUGGCAGAAGAUUGAUAAAGUAUCAAAAAAAAUUUGUAAGACAUUAUGCAUCGUGUCCCAUACGCUUCGGGUAUAGGAUCGAUUGUGAAUGCUGUAAUAUUUGACCAUUCUAAAAUUUUCCAUAUGUCUAGCGCAUUUAGAGGGAAAAAGAACUAGAAUUGGUUUUGACUAAGAUAAUUAAACAACUAUCAAAGGACAAUCCAAAGUUCGCCGAGGAUUGGUCGCUUGUGAGUAGUUAGAAGUAUGAUAUUGGAUAGAACAUAUCGACAUUAUUAUGAAUAGAUAAGAUUCUAUUGAGAAUGAGUUGUCAUAUGGUAAGUAUGGAAAGGUUUCCAUAUUGGGAGUUGAAUAUUGACAAUCUAUGACUAGAUUAGAAACUUUUAUGCAAAAGGAUGUUCAAAGGAAUGUACUUUGAGUGAGAGACAUCACAUCUAUGGAAUUGUCUUGUAACAAUUUCCGAUAGAGAGCUUUGUAAUUCAUUGGCAAUUGUCAUUGUGACAUUAGUGCAGUGACAGUAAAAAAGGAUCAUUGCAUAAAAUGUUAGAAUCUAACGUAUUCUAUAAGUGGCAAGAACUUGAUAUUCUUACACUUGUGAUAGGAAUUGGGAGUUGUGAAAUGAGUAUGAUUGGAAAUGUGUUCAUUUGAUCUAUUUCACAAAGUAAGAACCAUAGGUAAACAUUGUGUGGUUGCUAAGAGCAUGGGACAAGUAUAGUUAUAAUUCAAGUAAGAAGUUGAUUACCCGAAACGACAAAUAAUGAGUAAUCGAUAUGGUGAUAAAUAAAAAGGUGUUUUAGUUAUACUCAAAGGUUUGAGGCCAUAUGUGAUUAGUAUUAUUCUUGUGUUUCACUUUGUCAGUCGUCAUAAAUCUGAAUUCGGGAAACAGCACAUAGACAGAGAGAAUGAUUUAGAUCCAUGUCUCAGUUUAUACGAUAAUAUCUAGAAUAGAGGAAUAUAUAUGAUCCCUUAUCUAAAGGACACGCAUAUCUGAUAAGAUUAGAGUUGACAGCGGCUUUAGAAAGCUACGAUUGCAGAUCAGAAUCUGAAGUCAUACGCGGAAUAGUAAUUAGACUUAUCCAAGUGGGAGACUGUUGGAUUAGUGUCUAAGUCCAUAACUAUUUUGGUAUAUACUUGACCCAAUGGUGCAUGGUCCUCUUGGUUUGCCUUCAUCAAAGCAACUUGAUAGGAUGAAUUAUGGAGAGAAAAGAUUAAAUAUGGUUUAUUAAUAUAUUAUGAGAAUACUAUAUUAAAGGAGAAAUCAUAUUGUUUAAUUAAUAUUAGUCAAGAAUUAAUAAGAAUUAAGUUUGUGACUAAAAGAGAUUAAUUAACUUAAGGGACUAGAAUUGUAAUUAUAAGAUAAUUACAAUUGGGCUAUAGAUAACCUUAUUAUAUUAGGUUGGACGAAUUCUACGGGGAAACCAAUUAGAAAUCAUCCAAGGCUUGUUAAGGAAGGGUCCAUGGGUUGCUUAGGGCCUAAGCAUCCAAAUUAGGGUUUCCUAGUUCAAAACCCUAAUAGCCUACAUGUAUAAAUAGUACCCUUAAGCCUAAAAAACGUGGGGAACUAAUUAAUUAGGGUUUCCACACGUUUUGGGCAGCCUCCUUCUCUUCUCUUCUUCAUCCUCCUGCUCUUGGUGUUUGUGAACCAUUAGAGGAGUGACAUUUGUGACUCUAAGCUUUCUAUAGUCAAUACAAGAAGGAUUUGAGAUUGUUAUUGCUACAUAACAAUCAAGGUAAUAUCUUAAACCUAUUCUUAUGUUAAUAUGAUUGCUUGUAUGCUAGAAUUAGGGUUUUAAGUCUUGGAUGAACAACAUGUACAAUAGAGAAACCUAGAUCCAAGCAUUAGGGUUUGCAUGAGCACAUAUGAUGUUCUUAUGGCUAAAACCCAUCAUACAGUUGUUAUGAUAUGUGUUUCAGGUACCAGUGAGGACCGUGGGAAGGCGCCAGCAUGAUCCGUGCACACUUAUAGAGUUUAUGUUGUUGAGAUUUGGGGACAUGUUUUGUUAUGACACAGUGAUACAUUAUGUUUUGUGAUUAUCAUGUGAUUGAAAGUAUGAUUUAAAAAUGAAAAGUUGUUUUGAAAAUUUACGUCGUUACAGCAUCACUUCCACUCAUGACAGUGAACGUACCUCCUUUACCGAAGCAAAUAAACAUUCUCAUUGGCGUAAAUCCAUGACUGAUGAGUACUCAACCCUGUUACGAAAUGGUACAUGGUCUCUUGUUCCUCGUGUUCCAGAAACUAAUGUGGUUGAUUGCAAGUGGGUAUAUAAAGUGAAACGUGAUCAAACUGGAGUCAUUACAUGUCACACCCCCAAACCAAGGAUGGCAGAAAUGCCCGGGGGUGGAGGACUUCAUGUUUAGUAUCACAACAAGGAGUAUAAUAGUGCUCAAAGUAAAUACAACCAUCAUAAAUAUAAUUGAAAAGGUUACACCAUAGUAUAUGUUUACAUGUUUCAAAAUCAAUUACAUUAUGAUGACAAAAUAAACUGUUUGACGAUUUAAUGUCCCAUCCUCAAAAUGCUGAUGUUUUCUUAUUUCACUGAUUUCCUGAGAAUACAAGUGUAGCACCUGGUUCUUGGUACGUAUUUCUUUCUAAGUAUUUUUCAUUUUUGGCCUUGGACUCGGCGAGUCGAAGGACCAACUCGCCGAGUAGAAGCGGGACGGGAUGCGGGACUUAAGUGAUGUACUCGGCGAGUCAGGUCCCGGACUCGGCGAGUAGGUGUUGUUCGGACAAAAACCCUAAUCCGAGGGUUUGCACCCUAUUUAAGCAAUGAUAUGACGGCCAUAUUCUCCGUUAUGCUCCCAAAACACUUCUCAUUGAAACCCUAGCCGUUUGUGCUUUGUUGAGGCCAUUUUGGUGUUCUUGUGUGGUUGUAAAGCUUGGAAGGAAUAAAGGAGCUUGGAACCUGAGUUGGGGACAGUAGAUCUAGGGAUUUUACUUCAUUUUCAGCAGCUUCAAGGUAUAAUGUCGUUGUCUUGACUCUUUUAUGUGUUUAUUCAUCUUUAACUUGGGGUUUCUUUGGAUUGCUAAGUCAUGUUUCGGUAUUGGAAGUGUGGAGUGGGUUUUGACUUCAGAUCUGGGCCUUAAGAGGGGUUUCAUGGCAUAAAGGUGCCAACUUUAGGGCCAUGAGAGCCCCAUGCACAUUGUAGGACACUUUAUGUGGAUUUUUGAGCUAAAAACCCCAUGCAUGUGCAUCAAGUUUGGAAAUUUAUGGUUUUAGUGUGUGCAUCAAAUUUAUGGUUUUACCCUAAGAGUAGAUAUCAGUUUUUAACUGAGUGUUUGUGGGGCUUGUAGCUGGAGGAUUUCCGGAGCAGCAGCGGACGGAGGAUUCCCGCACAGAUUACCAACAGCUUCUUGUACGAGGUGAGUUACCUUCCAGUAAGGGUGGGUCUAAGGCCUCAAUGCCGGCCCACCAAUGAGGAGUAUUUAGAAGAUGAUUGUCUUUGUGAUAAUUAUCUUGGUCUGGUUAUGUGUUUGGUUAUGAGUUAUAUAUGUAUGAUAUGUUACGUGCAUGAUAGGGAUAGUUUCCCUGAUAGUGGUCCUUAGGACCGAUGGGUAGGUCAGUACCCGAAUAUCCCUGACUAUAUAAUUAUAUCUUGUUGUUGUAUGCUAGUGGUAGGGGUGGAAUAGUCCCCAGUUACCGGUUGAAAGAUAGAUGAGGAUUNGGUUGAAAGAUACCGAUGAGGAUUACCGGUUGAAAGAUACCGAUGAAUGGUUACCGGUUGAAAGAUACCGAUGAUGAUUAUCGGUUGAAAGAUACCGAUGAUGAUUACCGGUUGAAAGAUACCGAAGAUGAUUACCGGUUGAAAGAUAUCGAGGACUCGUGUGGUAUGUGGUAUGAUGGGGGAAGUCACUAAGCUUUGUGCUUACGGUUUCGGUUUUUGGUUUCAGGUACCUCUUCGUCGAAGGGGAAGGAGCCGGCGGCGUAGCAUCACAUCAUACACACACACAUGAUUUCCGCAUGGAGUUUUCUGGGAUUGUACUCUGAUAUAUUAUUAUUCUAUGGCUUGGUUUUUUAGACAUCAAACGUUGUUUUAUAAGAUGAUGUGUUUUCACAAUGUUUUCUUAUGAAUGUUUUUAUGUGUUGGAUAAUUAAAAAGAAACUUUUGGACCUAAAAAUUGGGAUGUUACAAGUUGGUAUCAGAGCCCUGGUUUGAGGGAUUCGGACACACCCUCGGAGGUGUCUGGACUCAAACCGAGGGACUAAAAGAUUUUUGCAAAGAAAAACCAUUUUCUAAAAUCUAAAUGGAAGGAUUUUAAAAAAGACAGGAUGUGUGAUGCAUGCGACCGGCGGGGCUCAAGUAAGUUUUCCCCAAGAUACCCAUACUUGCUAUGUUAUAUGGUUUUGGAUUUAGAAAACUGCAUGCUAGAAUAGGACUAAGGAUCUAGGAAGAUGCCUUGUGUGCCUGAUAUAUGAUUCUGAGAAUUGCAUGCUAGUUAGGGCUAAGGAUCUAGGAGGAUGCCUUAUAUGCCUGUUGUAUGAGCUGUAUGCUAGGACUGUUUAGUCAGCAAUAGGAUGGCCUGUAUAGGUUAUGCCUGAUUUGGUUACCCAAUGCACGAAUGAUGCUUGCUUUGUGCUAUAGGGGUCCUGGCCAUUUCCGACUAACUAAGGAGCGGAUAUGUAACAGUAUCUGCAAGUUAGUUAGGGGGAAGUAGUGGGGACUCCUAGUGCAGCUGAUGGCGGAGGGUAGGUUGGAGAGUGCCCUAGGGAAGCCUAGGAUGAGGUCAGUGGAAUGGGUAUCGGUAAAAGGGACUUGGUGAAGUCGAAGCAAUCCUUGAGGAAAAGUAAAGGUAGAUAUGGAAGGUAGUAUGGGCCCGUACUACUGAAAGCAGAGGACCCGUACUCGAAUCAAGGAGGGCCUAGAUGGAACCGGGAACCUUGGAGAGUGUGUUAGACCUCUCGAGAGUAUGUAUGAUCCUAACAUGUAUGCGUGUAUUUUCAGCAUGGUGACCACGCGACAUGGAGCAGGAGGUUCCGUAUCAGGAUCAGGAUCAGGCUCGGGUGUAGGAUCCGAGAAGGUUGAUGAGGGGCUGCACGAGUUCAUCACGUCUGAGAUCACGAGAGGCAUCCUUGAGUCUACCACUAUCAUUUUCGGGUCGUCCAGGAAGGGAUUGUUGAGCUGAUGGAGGAUCGCCUCCGAGCAUUCAAGAGUUAUAUGGCGUCUAGCCAGGUGGCUAUGCGCACACUGUCCUUUAAGGACUUUCGAGGGAGUGGUGCGCCAGAUUUCCAUGGGAUGAAAAACCCCAUUGCUGCCAGGAGAUGGAUCGCAGACAUCGAGUCUGCGCAGCUGACGAGCUUCUGCCUGGAGGGGUUGAAGGUGAGAUAUGCAGCAGGAUGCUUGCGAGACAGGGUUAGAGAUUGGUGGGAGUCGGUUGGUGACUCGUUGGGAGCCUCGGCUGUUGAGGCUAUGACCUGGUCAGACUUUGUGACCAGAUUCAGGGCUGAGUUUGUGCCAGCUGUGGAGCUUCAGUAGCUGGCCAGGGAGUUCUUGGACAUGAGACAGACCACGGAGAAUGUGGUAGAGAUCACCGCCAAGUUCCGGGAGAGGGCAUUGUUAGUGCCCCAGUAUGCGGGAGAUGAGGAUAUAAGGAGGACCCGCUACCAUGACAUGCUACGAGCCGACAUUCAGGAGCAUGUUAGUUUUUCAGCCUGCCCUACCUUGGAUUCCAUGAUUGCCAGGGCUAGGAGAUAGAGAUUGAUCGGGAGCACAUCCAGAAGAGGAAGGCAGUGGAGGGGCUGACGACUGGGGCUUUGGGGAAGAAGCCCAAGGGAUCCGAUGGUAGGCCGAAAGGCCAGUCUGGAUGGGACCGUUGUGGAAAAUGUGAUCGGUCACACGAGGGAGCUUGUCGCACUGGGCCAGGUUCAGGAUGCUAUAAGUACGGAAAGGUUGGGCAUUUUGGCAGGGAUUGUACUGCCCCCACCCCCGCGGUACAGAUGACAAACCUGAUUUGCUUCCAUUGCAAUCAGAGGGGCCACAAAAAAGGGCUAACUGCCCGAGAUUGACAGCAGCGCCAGCAGCGGCGCCGGUCUCAGCAACGUCACGGAUUACAGAUGGCCAAAAGGCCAAGACAGAGGCCCCAGUGGUGCGAAGCUGAGCAUUUCAGCUGACAGCCAAGGAGGCACGCGCUGCACCUGAUGUAGUGACAGGUAUGAUUCCUUUCUUAUGCUUAUAUGUUAUGGCGUUGUGAUCUUGAUAUGUUAUGUGUGUGCACGGUUCAGGAUCGUUCCAUGUGAACGGUAUCCCAGUUCAGGUAUUGUUUGACUCGGGUGCCACCCGAUCAUUCGUUUCUCUUAUGCUUAGCAAGAAGUUCCCAGAGUCUUCGGGCAUGUUGGAUUGCCCUCUAGAGGUCGAGAUUACGGACGACCGGUCAGUACGAGCAUCUAAGGUCUUCCGAGAUUGUGUUUUGAGAUUGUUCGAGGAGCGCUAUCUGGUAGACUUGGUUCCUAUUCCAUUGAGAGGGAACAAGGUGAUUAUAGGCAUGGAUUGGCUGAGCCCCAAUAGGGCAGUGAUUGACUGUGCACAACAGUUGGUGCGAAUCAGGACCCCAAGUGGGGGAGAGCUGGUGAUUCAGGGCGAGAGGCUACAACGAGGACCAGCUUUAUGUUCAGCAGCAAGGGCUAGGCGCUACCUCCAGCAGGGUUACAUAGGUUAUGUCGCCUAUGUUGUGGAUACCCGGGAUGCGGGUAGGGAUACGAUGGUCGAUGUGCCUGUGGUACGAGAGUUUGCGGACGUAUUCCCCGAGGAGCUGCCUGGGAUACCUCCGGAGCGACAGGUAGAGUUCAGGAUCGACCUAGUCCCUGGUGCGGCUUCGUUAGCCAAGGCACCAUAUCGGUUGGCUCCUCCUGAGAUGCAGGAGUUAUCUACAUAGCUGCAGGAGCUGUUAGACAAGGGUUUUAUUAGACCGAGCAGCUCACCCUGGGGAUCCCCGAUUCUAUUUGUGAAUAAAAAGGACGGGUCGCAUCGGAUGUGUAUAGACUAUCGGGAGCUGAAUAAGUUAACGGUGAAGAACCGUUACCCACUCCCGAGGAUUCACGACCUCUUUGACCAGUUACAGGGAGCAUCUUGGUUCUCCAAGAUCGAUUUGCGUUCAUGGUACCAUCAGAUGAGGGUCAGAGAGGAGUAUGUGUAGAAGACGGCGUUUCGAACACGUUAUGGCCACUAUGAGUUCUUGAUGAUGCCUUUCGGGCUCACCAAUGCUCCUGCCGCGUUCAUGGACCACAUGAACCGCGUGUGUAGACCGAUGUUAGACCGUUAUGUGAUAGUGCUCAUCGACGAUAUCUUGGUUUACUCCAAGACGCGAGAGCAGCAUGAGGAGCAUCUACGAGAGGUUCUGGAGACUUUGAGACGGGAGAGCUUGUAUGCCAAGUUCUCCAAGUGUGAGUUCUGGUUGCGCGAGGUGCAAUUUCUUGGAGCUGGGGGCUGUUGUGUUCGCCCUCAAGAUUUGGCGUCAUUACCUCUAUCGGGUUCGUUGUAUGAUUUACACGGACCACAAGAGCUUGAGGUCCCUCAUGGAUCAGCCGAAUCUAAACAUGAGGCAGCGUCGGUGGUUGGACGUGGUGAAGGAUUACGAUUGCGAGAUCCUUUACCACCCGGGGAAGGCCAAUGUCGUGGCCGAUACGCUUAGCCGCAAGGCAGCGCCGAUCAGGGAUAUAUGUCUGAGGAUGAAAGUGGUGACUCCGCUUUUGGAGCGGAUCCGGGAGACUCAACAGGAGGCUAUGAGGGAGGAACAUUGGAAGAGCGAGCAGAUUGUGGGACAGGUUUCCUCCUUCAACUAUGAUAGUCGGGGGUUAUUGACCCUUCACCGUAGGAUGUGGGUCCAUUAUCAUGGAGGUGUGCGCCAGAUCCUAAUGGAGGAGGCACACAAAUCCAGAUUUUCUAUCCAUCCUGGAGUGACGAAGAUGUAUAGGGAUCUUCGUCCCGAUUAUUGGUGGCCCUGAAUGAAGCGGGACGUAGCAUGGUAUGUGGAGCGGUGCUUGACCUGCAGGAAGGUCAAGGCUGUUGGAUUAGUGUCUAAGUCCAUAACUAUUUUGGUAUGUACUUGACCCGAUGGUGCAUGGUCCUUUUGGGUUGCCUUCACCAAAGCAACUUGAUAGGAUGAAUUAUGGAGAGAAAUGAUUAAAUAUGAUUUAUUAAUAUAUUAUGAGAAUAAUAUAUUAAAGGAGAAAUUAUAUUGUUUAAUUAAUAUUAGUCAAGAAUUAAUAGUAAUUAGUUUUGUGACUAAAAGAGAUUAAUUAAACUUAAGGGACUGGAAUUGUAAUUAUAAGAUAAUUGCAAUUUGGGCCAUGGAUUGCCUUUUAUUAUAAGGUGGACGAAUUCUAUUAGGGAAGCCCAUAUGAAGUCGUCGAAGGCUUUAAGAAAGGGUUCCAUGGGUUGCUUAGGGCUUAAACAUCCAAAUUAGGGUUUCCUUGUUAGAUAACCCUAAUAGCCUCACUAUAUAAAGAACCCUUAAGGCUCAAAAACGUGGGGAACUUCUUUUCUAGGGUUAGAACACGUUUUGGGCAGCCUCCAUCCUCUCUCCUCUUCAUCCUCUUGCUUAUGGUGUUUGUGAACCAUUAGAGGAGUGACACUUGUGACUCUAAGCCUUCCAAAGUCAAUUCAAGGAGGAAUUGGGAUUGUUAUUGCUACAUAACAAUCAAGGUAAUAUCUUAAACCUAAUUAUAUGUUAAUAUUGAUUUCCAUAUGCUAGAAUUAGGGUUUAUAGUCUUGGAUUCAAAGCAUGUACAAUAGAGAAACCUAGAUCCAAGCAUUAGGGUUUGUAUGAGCACAUAGGAUGUCUUAUGACCAAAACCCAUCAGUGGUAUCAGAGCCUAGCUUGGUUUCAAUUGUAUUGAUGCAUUGUAUAACUGGAAAAUUCGUUUUUUGGGUUUCUGGAGGCUGGACUCGCCGAGUCCAUAGCUGAACUCGCCGAGUCCAUGCAGACUCGACGAGUCCAAGCCUGACUCGACGAGUCAACUCGUCAGAUGGAGGGUACUUCGGGAUUUCUUGUUGUUUUUGCUUAUGGAUAGUUACCUUAUCAUGUUAGAUCAAUAUUAAUCCGAUUAUAUGAUAUAUUUGACUAUAUUUUUGAUCUAAUUGAAGAUAUUUAUCAAUUAAUAAGAUAAUUGUUUCCUUAUAAGAUAAUUGAUUAAUUAUUUUGACUAAAUUGAUAAAUUGUUUUGCAAGAAAUCAUUAAAUAAAUCAAAUAUGGAUAAUUAUGUGAUUAAAUGUUAAUUUAAAUUAUUUGUUAUUUGAUCCUUGUUGUUAUGAAAAGUUUCAUAUUUUCCCCUUUAGGUUUUAUAGUUUAAAUUUGAACCCAAAAGUUUUGUUGUUUUGAAAUUUAAAUAGUUGAAACCCUAAUGUUUUGAAAAAGGUUUCAAAACUUGCCCUCAAGUUUUGGAAUUUAAAUUUUGAUUAAAUAGUUUAAUUUUGAUGUAUAUUUAAAUUCUAAACCCUAAUGUGUUGAAAUGUUUCAAAACUUGCCCUCAAGUUUUGGAAUUUAAAAGUUGAUUAAAAGUUUAAUUAGGAAUGUUAAAUUCUAAAACUCUAGUAUAGUUUUGAAAAAGUUCAAAUCACACCCUUAUGGUUUUAUUAAUUAAUUAAGGUGUAUAAUUAAAAGAGGUUUAAUAAAUCCAUAAAAGUUUAGGUUUACAAUUUAAUUGAAUUAAAAGUAUAAUUGUUAAAUUUGACCACCUAGUAUUUUAAAAGUGUAAAAUACACCCUAUACUAUAUAUAACAUUAAAAGUCUAACAUUAUAUAUAUGUAUGAGUAAAAGUCAGUCUUACCGUUAGUAGGCCUCAUUCACGAAGCUGGUCUAUAAGGGGUGUUUAAGGAAAUUGCCUAUAAAAUGGCGAUUGAAUGGGUAUCCACUCUUACCCACCGCACUCUUGACUAGUGGAGGGUCGUUAGCCGAACGGGUAGGAUAGGACGAAACCUUCCAUUAUAAGUAUAAUGAAGUAUAAAAGUAACUAAAUGUUUUCAUAAAAUUCCCAAUCUUAGUUACUUAGGCAAAAGUGAAUUGAUGCAAUUCCAUGAAAUUACACUUUGUGCCCUUGCGAAGACGUUAGUGGAGCGUGUGUGGUUUACCGGCACACUAAAUGGUUCUAAGCAAAGGUAGCAAAGGGUGACUCAAUGUUUGUCAUAGUUCGGUGGAGCGUGUGUGGUUUACCGGCACAUCGAAUAGGUGACUGUAACAUGUGAGGGCACCAUGUAAGUUUGCAUGGUUAUUCACACCCGCUUUGUGAUCCUCGGCAUCCCAGUCACAAACAAGAGGGGCAUAUCGAGAUAUAAACAUGCCAUUGAAAGUUCAAUGAAUCUCAAAGGAUCUAGGAGUUUUCAUAGAUUUAAAACUUAAAUUUCUUUUUCGUUUUUCAUGGUGGAAAUUAGUGAAUCGUCAUUCACUUACCUUCAAAUGUUCUGCAAUUUGGGUUACGGCAUCCCUCUCCCGAGUUGUAGAAUAUUGUGUUGGGUCCUAGCCUUAGUAUCUCAUUUGGGUGAUUUACUAAGGACUCAAUCAAUCAACUAACUUGAAUUCGUUUUCUCCCGUUUUGUAGAUGUCAAAGUUCGACAACUAUGGUCUUCCCAAAUCCCGUGGAACAAGCUUUCCACAUGAAGAUGAUAUUCCACGAUUCGAUCGAGGAACAAGAAAUCAUGCUUCACUUCCUCCACCUCCUCCAAUUAUUCUCCCUAACCCACAAGUUCGAAGGCUUGAAAAGUUCAAGAUCACUCAAGCCCUUUUGGCAAGUAAACAUAAAGAAGGAAAGUCGGUGUGUGCACACGUCCUAGGGAUGAAGUCACACAUUGAUAGGUUAAGAAUGUUGGGAUCCGUUGUCUGUGAGGAAAUGGCUGUUGAUUGGGUUCUUCAGUCACUUCCUAACUCAUAUAAUGAGUUCGUAAGAGAGUACUUCACGAUGAACCGCGACGUGACCCUUAUAGAUCUCACCUAUAUGCUUAUUGUUGUUGAAUCAGCAAUGGUUUGGCGCAAUAGAAAAGCAAAGUUGAUUGGUGAAUCUGCCUUCAAGACCUCUAUGGAUAUAGACAAUGGCAACGAAAGACAUGCUAUGAUCGAAAAGUUUGAUCAUAAGAGAAAGGCAAUGUCUGAAGUAGUUCCAUGUCCUGUUCCAAAAGAGUCGAUUUGCUUUUAUUGCCAAAAGAAGGGGCAUUGGAAACGAAGCUACCCUAUUUACCUAAGAGAUCUAAGAGAUGGGAGAGUCAAAACGUAUGUCUCUGCUUUAGGUAAAAUCCAUUGACUAACUCUUUUAAGCUCCUAUUCUAGAUUCUUAAUACAUAAUGUGAUAAGAUUACAAUUGAUGUUUUGUAGAAUCAAAGAAAAGAGAGGAAGCUUAAGGGAAGAACUAAGCAGAAUCUAACCGUGAAGAAAUGGAUUUCGAUCGCAUUACUUGAAGAUUAGAUUCUUGAGCUACUACUUAAAGUUAGAAUUAGAUUGCUAAGAAAUAUGUAUUAGCAUAGUUUUUCAAUGAAUUGCGUUGUAAGGACAAAUUUUUUCGCAAUAAAAUAAAUUUUGAUUUUAUAUUAUUUAUUUAUCCUUGAAAUGGCGUGCAUAAAAAAUUGAUGUUUGAAUGUUUCAAAUAUUAGCAAUAAUGGAUUUGAUUCUUCGUUAUAUUGUUUUUGGAAAUGUCAAAUAUUUACCAAAUAGGGAAAUUUUCUCAUUGCCCAAGUUUCAAUUAGACAGAAACUUGGAAUCAUGCAACUUGGUUGCACGAUGAAUGAGAAAUUUCAUAUUUGGAAAUUAGACUAAUUCAUUGACAAAGUGUCAAGUGAAGCACUAGGAGAUUGAGUGUAACGACCCGUCUCUGGUAUGUUGUUUCCAUGUUAUUUAUUUAGAAGUUUUAAUGAGGGACUCGACGAGUCUAUAGCCUGACUCGUCGAGUAGAGACGGGAUUUUGAGCACGUGUAAAUCGGCAACUCGACGAAUCCAUAUUCGGGACUCAGCGAGUCCGCCUGCCAAGAAGAAACCCUAAAUCCCCCGGUUUGCUCACUAUUUAAGCAAUGCUAUGUGCCCUAACUCGCCUCCUUCACCCUCAGAGAGCUUGUGAGAAAACCCUAAAUCAUUCCUUGUGUGAUUAAAGUGUUUUUGUGUGGAUUCUUGAAGGAUUGAAGAGGAGAAAGAAGAAAGGACCCAAAAGAGGAAGUGUAGAGUAAAGAUCCAAGGCCAAGUUAGAGUUUAUUGAGGUGUGUUUCGGAAUUAUUCUGUUUUAUGCUUAAAAUCUCCAUUAGAACACCUCUAAGGCUAGUUUAAUGUAUUUUCCAAGCUUAUUAGUUGUAUGGAUGCCUUGUUGGGUCGAGUUAUCCCCAGAUCUGUCCAUUUAGAAGUUUUAGAGCCCGGAUCUAUUGCCUUUUUCGAAGUUGUCUUGCAUGAGAACCCUAGAUCUAGCCUUAUUAUGCCUUUUGAGCCUUUUAAUCUUCAUGGAUGCUUAUGGGCACGUAAAGAUAGAAUCUUUACAUGUUAAUCGAGCAUAAGGAGCCCAGAUCUACAAGUUAUAUACGUUGGAUUCAAGCAGAAUCGAGUUAUUAGUAACUGCAUGCAUGCGACUCGGCGAGUCGUUCUUCGGACUCGGCGAGUCGAGCCGCGAGUCCCCGAUUUUCCCCCUUUUGAGUGAUUCCGAGUGGGGACCAGUGAGUAGUUGAAUGGACUCAGUGAACCGGAGGUCAGACUCAGUAAUGGAGGGACUCGACGAUUUGUUCAUACAACUCGGCGAGUCCAAGGCAAUCUUCAUAGAUUCAAGAACAACUCGUCGAGUUGUUCAUACAAAUCGGCGAGUCGGAUGCAGAUAGCCUGAGUUCUAGAAUCGAAAGGUAACUCGGCGAGUUGAUGCCAUACUCGACGAGUAGCAGCGAGCAGGGUUGAGAAGUGAGAGUAGGGAGUCGGCGAGUUGACGGCCCAACUCGGCGAGUCAGGUCAACUUUAAGUUGACUUUGACUGAGAGAGUUGACUUUAGCUAGGGGUAAAAGAGUCAUUUUACCCCAAAGCGGUUAUUAGUAUUGAUUGAGUGUGUUUGUGGAAUUGUAGCUGGGGAGAUACCGGAGCAGCAGCAGAUAGCUUCCAGAGCCUUACACUCAGCAGCCAGUUACGAGGUGAGNUCCUUCCAGUAGGAACGGGUCUAAGGCCACAAUGUCGGCCCGAUUAGCUAGCAGUAGUUUCCGGACCUCGGUCCGAUGCAGUAGUUAGUAUGUCUGACGCCUUCGUGGCUCAGACAGGUUUGUGUGUUAUAUGUUCCGGUUUAUGGCCCGAAGCAGUAUGUAGUAUGUUUUGUUGAGUUAGUUGAUAUGUUAUAAUAUGCUAUGUUCAGUAGUUCCGGACUUCUCUCCGAUGCAGUCAGUUCCGGACUUCGGUCCGAUGUAGUUAGUUCCAGAUUUCGGUCCGAUGCAGAGGGCAAGGCCCUGGUUAGUUUCGUACUUCAGUCCGAUGCAGUUUCCAGACUUCGGUCCGAUGCAGAGGGCAAGGCCCUGGUUAGUUUCGUACUUCGGUCCGAUGUAGUUUCCGGACUUUGGUCCGAUGCAGUGGGCAAGGCCCAAUAGUUGUUAUAUGUUUGUAUGGUAUGUGGUAAUUUGGGGGAGCUCACUAAGCUUCGUGUUUACAAUUUCAGUUUUGGUUUCAGGUGCUUCCGCCAGUAAAGGGAAGAGCUCGGGAUGAUGGCAUCGCACACACCACAACUUCAGUUUUUGUCCUGGGAGUUGAUUCAGUAUCUUCGAUAUGUUUUGAUACAGUUGUGAUACAGUUUUUCUCACAGUGUUUUGUUAUGGUUUUGAGAUACACUACGUAUGAUUUUAUUAUGUGAUACUCAGUUUUAUGAUCUUUGUUAUAUUUAAAAAUGAAAUUUUCGGGUCGUAUUUUUGGGACGUUUCAAGUUGGUAUCAGAGCAUUGGUUUGAGGGAUUCGGGUACACUCUCGGGUGUGUCUGAACUAAAACUAAGGGAAAGAUAAAAAGAUUUUCAAAAGGAAAAUGUUUUCGAAAGAAAUUUUUGAAAAGCGCUUAGAAAGAAAAGGGUUUUGAAAACAAGAUAAGGGUGUGGUGCAUGCGAUCAGCCGAGCUCAAGUAAGUACUCCCAAGUUACCCAUACAAGUUUUUAUUAUGAUCAAUUGUUUCAGUUUCGGUAGAACAGCAUGCUAGGAUAGGACUAAGGAUCUAGGAGGAUGCCUUAUGUGCCUGCUUUGUGUGUUCCAGCUUUAUGAGAAUUGCAUGUUAGCAUCAAAGUAGACAGCAGUAGGAUAGCCUGUUUAGGUUAUGCCUGAUAGCACGAGCUUAGCAUUGUAUGCUAGUACAGUUUCUCAUUAUGAGAAUAGAUUUGCUUGAGUAGUUUCUUGUGUCCGAAUGUUGCUUGCUUUGUGCUUUGUAGAACUCUUGGUAAUGGGAGUUAGCCGUUAGGUGAAUACGUCACGACACAUGUGAUCAUGGUUGAAUAAUCUCAGAGUGUUGGAUUUGGCCCUAUUACGCAGCUCUUGUUUGAGUCUAACCAUUGUAGAGACGAGUCUUUUACUCGAAGGAUUAUCUGAGCCUCAUCACAUGUGAUGGUAUUCAGGUGAUGGUUAAUUAGCAUUACUAGGAGGCCUUCAGCAGCUGAGGACUGGUUUGAGUGGAGUCAGAGAUUUCCUAGGGCAAGCCUAGGAUGAGAGUAGCAGAGAUCAGUAGUAGUAGAAGUGACUUGGUGGAGUCAAGGAAGUUCUUGAGGAAAGUACGGAUAGAUGUGGAAGGUAGUAUGGGCCUGUACUACUGAAAGCAGAGGAUCCGUACUCGAAUCAAGGAAGGCUAAGACAAGACCAGGAAGCUAGUAUUAGUAUCAAUGAUCCCAUGAGAUAUUUUAGUUUUCUGAUGUUGCUGUGAUGUGUUUCAGAAUGGUGGUUUUGCGUUCGAGGCCAGCAGCAGGCAGUGACAGGACCGUGAGGUCGAGAUUUAGUAGAGCUCCAGGGGAGCUGGAUUGUCCUCUAGAGGUCGAGAUAGCAGAUGACAGGACCGUGAGGGUCGCCAGAGUGCAUAGAGGAAGUUCUCUUCAGUUGUUCGACGAGCAGUUUCCGGUGGACUUGGUCCCUAUUCCCCUGCGAGGGAAUAAGGUUAUAGUGGGCAUGGAUUGGUUGAGUCCCAAUGGGGCGGUGAUUGAUUGCGAGCUGCAGCUAGUGAGGGUUCGCACUCCCAGUGGGGGAGAGUUAGUGAUUCAGGGCGAGAGGCCACAGCGCGGACCAACCUUUUGUUCAGCCGCGAGAGCGAGGCUCUAUUUUCAACAGGGUUGCGCCGGUUAUGUAGCUUAUGUCUUGGAUGCCCAGGAUAAGGGCAAGUCGACACUUGACGAUGUUCCGGUGGUGCGAGACUUCCCAGAUGUAUUUCCAGAGGAUUUACCGGGAAUACCUCCUGAGAGGCAGGUCGAUUUUAGGAUCGACCUAAUUCCUGGUUCUAGAAUCGAAAGGUAACUCGUCGAGUUGAUGCCAUACUCGACGAGUAGCAGCGAGCAGGGUUGAGAAGUGAGAGUAGGGACUCGGCGAGUUGACGGCCCAACUCGGCGAGUCAGGUCAACUGUAAGUUGACGUUGACCGAGAGAGUUGACUUUAGCCAGGGGUAAAAGAGUCAUUUUACCCCAAAGAAGUUAUUAGUAUUUGAUUGAGUGUGUUUGUGGAAUUGUAGACGGGGAGAUCCCGGAGCAGCAGCAGAUAGCUUCCAGAGCCUUACACUCAGCAGCCAGUUCACGAGGUGAGUUUCCUUCUAGCAGGAACGGGUCUAAGGCCUCAAUGCCGGCCCAAUUAGAUAGCAGUAGUUUCCGGACCUCAGUCCGAUGCAGUAGUUAGUAUGUUUGAUGCCUUCGUGGCUAAGACAGGUUUGUGUGUUAUGUGUUCCGGGUUAUGGCCCGAAGCAGUAUGUAGUAUGUUUUGUUAAGUUAGUUGAUAUGUUAUACUAUGUUAUGUUUAGUAGUUCCGGACUUCUGUCCGAUGCAGUUAGUUCCGGACUUCGGUCCGAUGCAGUUAGUUCCGGAUUUCGGCCCGAUGCAGAGGGCAAGGCCCUGGUUAGUUCUGGACUUCGGUCUGAUGUAGAGGGCAAGGCCCUGGUUAGUUCCGGACUUCGGUCCGAUGUAGUUUCCGGACUUUGGUCCGAUGCAGUGGGCAAGGCCCAGUAGUUGUUAUAUGUUUGUAUGNNNNNNNNNNNNNNNNNNNNNNNNNNNNNNNNNNNNNNNNNNNNNNNNNNNNNNNNNNNNNNNNNNNNNNNNNNNNNNNNNNNNNNNNNNNNNNNNNNNNNNNNNNNNNNNNNNNNNNNNNNNNNNNNNNNNNNNNNNNNNNNNNNNNNNNNNNNNNNNNNNNNNNNNNNNNNNNNNNNNNNNNNNNNNNNNNNNNNNNNNNNNNNNNNNNNNNNNNNNNNNNNNNNNNNNNNNNNNNNNNNNNNNNNNNNNNNNNNNNNNNNNNNNNNNNNNNNNNNNNNNNNNNNNNNNNNNNNNNNNNNNNNNNNNNNNNNNNNNNNNNNNNNNNNNNNNNNNNNNNNNNNNNNNNNNNNNNNNNNNNNNNNNNNNNNNNNNNNNNNNNNNNNNNNNNNNNNNNNNNNNNNNNNNNNNNNNNNNNNNNNNNNNNNNNNNNNNNNNNNNNNNNNNNNNNNNNNNNNNNNNNNNNNNNNNNNNNNNNNNNNNNNNNNNNNNNNNNNNNNNNNNNNNNNNNNNNNNNNNNNNNNNNNNNNNNNNNNNNNNNNNNNNNNNNNNNNNNNNNNNNNNNNNNNNNNNNNNNNNNNNNNNNNNNNNNNNNNNNNNNNNNNNNNNNNNNNNNNNNNNNNNNNNNNNNNNNNNNNNNNNNNNNNNNNNNNNNNNNNNNNNNNNNNNNNNNNNNNNNNNNNNNNNNNNNNNNNNNNNNNNNNNNNNNNNNNNNNNNNNNNNNNNNNNNNNNNNNNNNNNNNNNNNNNNNNNNNNNNNNNNNNNNNNNNNNNNNNNNNNNNNNNNNNNNNNNNNNNNNNNNNNNNNNNNNNNNNNNNNNNNNNNNNNNNNNNNNNNNNNNNNNNNNNNNNNNNNNNNNNNNNNNNNNNNNNNNNNNNNNNNNNNNNNNNNNNNNNNNNNNNNNNNNNNNNNNNNNNNNNNNNNNNNNNNNNNNNNNNNNNNNNNNNNNNNNNNNNNNNNNNNNNNNNNNNNNNNNNNNNNNNNNNNNNNNNNNNNNNNNNNNNNNNNNNNNNNNNNNNNNNNNNNNNNNNNNNNNNNNNNNNNNNNNNNNNNNNNNNNNNNNNNNNNNNNNNNNNNNNNNNNNNNNNNNNNNNNNNNNNNNNNNNNNNNNNNNNNNNNNNNNNNNNNNNNNNNNNNNNNNNNNNNNNNNNNNNNNNNNNNNNNNNNNNNNNNNNNNNNNNNNNNNNNNNNNNNNNNNNNNNNNNNNNNNNNNNNNNNNNNNNNNNNNNNNNNNNNNNNNNNNNNNNNNNNNNNNNNNNNNNNNNNNNNNNNNNNNNNNNNNNNNNNNNNNNNNNNNNNNNNNNNNNNNNNNNNNNNNNNNNNNNNNNNNNNNNNNNNNNNNNNNNNNNNNNNNNNNNNNNNNNNNNNNNNNNNNNNNNNNNNNNNNNNNNNNNNNNNNNNNNNNNNNNNNNNNNNNNNNNNNNNNNNNNNNNNNNNNNNNNNNNNNNNNNNNNNNNNNNNNNNNNNNNNNNNNNNNNNNNNNNNNNNNNNNNNNNNNNNNNNNNNNNNNNNNNNNNNNNNNNNNNNNNNNNNNNNNNNNNNNNNNNNNNNNNNNNNNNNNNNNNNNNNNNNNNNNNNNNNNNNNNNNNNNNNNNNNNNNNNNNNNNNNNNNNNNNNNNNNNNNNNNNNNNNNNNNNNNNNNNNNNNNNNNNNNNNNNNNNNNNNNNNNNNNNNNNNNNNNNNNNNNNNNNNNNNNNNNNNNNNNNNNNNNNNNNNNNNNNNNNNNNNNNNNNNNNNNNNNNNNNNNNNNNNNNNNNNNNNNNNNNNNNNNNNNNNNNNNNNNNNNNNNNNNNNNNNNNNNNNNNNNNNNNNNNNNNNNNNNNNNNNNNNNNNNNNNNNNNNNNNNNNNNNNNNNNNNNNNNNNNNNNNNNNNNNNNNNNNNNNNNNNNNNNNNNNNNNNNNNNNNNNNNNNNNNNNNNNNNNNNNNNNNNNNNNNNNNNNNNNNNNNNNNNNNNNNNNNNNNNNNNNNNNNNNNNNNNNNNNNNNNNNNNNNNNNNNNNNNNNNNNNNNNNNNNNNNNNNNNNNNNNNNNNNNNNNNNNNNNNNNNNNNNNNNNNNNNNNNNNNNNNNNNNNNNNNNNNNNNNNNNNNNNNNNNNNNNNNNNNNNNNNNNNNNNNNNNNNNNNNNNNNNNNNNNNNNNNNNNNNNNNNNNNNNNNNNNNNNNNNNNNNNNNNNNNNNNNNNNNNNNNNNNNNNNNNNNNNNNNNNNNNNNNNNNNNNNNNNNNNNNNNNNNNNNNNNNNNNNNNNNNNNNNNNNNNNNNNNNNNNNNNNNNNNNNNNNNNNNNNNNNNNNNNNNNNNNNNNNNNNNNNNNNNNNNNNNNNNNNNNNNNNNNNNNNNNNNNNNNNNNNNNNNNNNNNNNNNNNNNNNNNNNNNNNNNNNNNNNNNNNNNNNNNNNNNNNNNNNNNNNNNNNNNNNNNNNNNNNNNNNNNNNNNNNNNNNNNNNNNNNNNNNNNNNNNNNNNNNNNNNNNNNNNNNNNNNNNNNNNNNNNNNNNNNNNNNNNNNNNNNNNNNNNNNNNNNNNNNNNNNNNNNNNNNNNNNNNNNNNNNNNNNNNNNNNNNNNNNNNNNNNNNNNNNNNNNNNNNNNNNNNNNNNNNNNNNNNNNNNNNNNNNNNNNNNNNNNNNNNNNNNNNNNNNNNNNNNNNNNNNNNNNNNNNNNNNNNNNNNNNNNNNNNNNNNNNNNNNNNNNNNNNNNNNNNNNNNNNNNNNNNNNNNNNNNNNNNNNNNNNNNNNNNNNNNNNNNNNNNNNNNNNNNNNNNNNNNNNNNNNNNNNNNNNNNNNNNNNNNNNNNNNNNNNNNNNNNNNNNNNNNNNNNNNNNNNNNNNNNNNNNNNNNNNNNNNNNNNNNNNNNNNNNNNNNNNNNNNNNNNNNNNNNNNNNNNNNNNNNNNNNNNNNNNNNNNNNNNNNNNNNNNNNNNNNNNNNNNNNNNNNNNNNNNNNNNNNNNNNNNNNNNNNNNNNNNNNNNNNNNNNNNNNNNNNNNNNNNNNNNNNNNNNNNNNNNNNNNNNNNNNNNNNNNNNNNNNNNNNNNNNNNNNNNNNNNNNNNNNNNNNNNNNNNNNNNNNNNNNNNNNNNNNNNNNNNNNNNNNNNNNNNNNNNNNNNNNNNNNNNNNNNNNNNNNNNNNNNNNNNNNNNNNNNNNNNNNNNNNNNNNNNNNNNNNNNNNNNNNNNNNNNNNNNNNNNNNNNNNNNNNNNNNNNNNNNNNNNNNNNNNNNNNNNNNNNNNNNNNNNNNNNNNNNNNNNNNNNNNNNNNNNNNNNNNNNNNNNNNNNNNNNNNNNNNNNNNNNNNNNNNNNNNNNNNNNNNNNNNNNNNNNNNNNNNNNNNNNNNNNNNNNNNNNNNNNNNNNNNNNNNNNNNNNNNNNNNNNNNNNNNNNNNNNNNNNNNNNNNNNNNNNNNNNNNNNNNNNNNNNNNNNNNNNNNNNNNNNNNNNNNNNNNNNNNNNNNNNNNNNNNNNNNNNNNNNNNNNNNNNNNNNNNNNNNNNNNNNNNNNNNNNNNNNNNNNNNNNNNNNNNNNNNNNNNNNNNNNNNNNNNNNNNNNNNNNNNNNNNNNNNNNNNNNNNNNNNNNNNNNNNNNNNNNNNNNNNNNNNNNNNNNNNNNNNNNNNNNNNNNNNNNNNNNNNNNNNNNNNNNNNNNNNNNNNNNNNNNNNNNNNNNNNNNNNNNNNNNNNNNNNNNNNNNNNNNNNNNNNNNNNNNNNNNNNNNNNNNNNNNNNNNNNNNNNNNNNNNNNNNNNNNNNNNNNNNNNNNNNNNNNNNNNNNNNNNNNNNNNNNNNNNNNNNNNNNNNNNNNNNNNNNNNNNNNNNNNNNNNNNNNNNNNNNNNNNNNNNNNNNNNNNNNNNNNNNNNNNNNNNNNNNNNNNNNNNNNNNNNNNNNNNNNNNNNNNNNNNNNNNNNNNNNNNNNNNNNNNNNNNNNNNNNNNNNNNNNNNNNNNNNNNNNNNNNNNNNNNNNNNNNNNNNNNNNNNNNNNNNNNNNNNNNNNNNNNNNNNNNNNNNNNNNNNNNNNNNNNNNNNNNNNNNNNNNNNNNNNNNNNNNNNNNNNNNNNNNNNNNNNNNNNNNNNNNNNNNNNNNNNNNNNNNNNNNNNNNNNNNNNNNNNNNNNNNNNNNNNNNNNNNNNNNNNNNNNNNNNNNNNNNNNNNNNNNNNNNNNNNNNNNNNNNNNNNNNNNNNNNNNNNNNNNNNNNNNNNNNNNNNNNNNNNNNNNNNNNNNNNNNNNNNNNNNNNNNNNNNNNNNNNNNNNNNNNNNNNNNNNNNNNNNNNNNNNNNNNNNNNNNNNNNNNNNNNNNNNNNNNNNNNNNNNNNNNNNNNNNNNNNNNNNNNNNNNNNNNNNNNNNNNNNNNNNNNNNNNNNNNNNNNNNNNNNNNNNNNNNNNNNNNNNNNNNNNNNNNNNNNNNNNNNNNNNNNNNNNNNNNNNNNNNNNNNNNNNNNNNNNNNNNNNNNNNNNNNNNNNNNNNNNNNNNNNNNNNNNNNNNNNNNNNNNNNNNNNNNNNNNNNNNNNNNNNNNNNNNNNNNNNNNNNNNNNNNNNNNNNNNNNNNNNNNNNNNNNNNNNNNNNNNNNNNNNNNNNNNNNNNNNNNNNNNNNNNNNNNNNNNNNNNNNNNNNNNNNNNNNNNNNNNNNNNNNNNNNNNNNNNNNNNNNNNNNNNNNNNNNNNNNNNNNNNNNNNNNNNNNNNNNNNNNNNNNNNNNNNNNNNNNNNNNNNNNNNNNNNNNNNNNNNNNNNNNNNNNNNNNNNNNNNNNNNNNNNNNNNNNNNNNNNNNNNNNNNNNNNNNNNNNNNNNNNNNNNNNNNNNNNNNNNNNNNNNNNNNNNNNNNNNNNNNNNNNNNNNNNNNNNNNNNNNNNNNNNNNNNNNNNNNNNNNNNNNNNNNNNNNNNNNNNNNNNNNNNNNNNNNNNNNNNNNNNNNNNNNNNNNNNNNNNNNNNNNNNNNNNNNNNNNNNNNNNNNNNNNNNNNNNNNNNNNNNNNNNNNNNNNNNNNNNNNNNNNNNNNNNNNNNNNNNNNNNNNNNNNNNNNNNNNNNNNNNNNNNNNNNNNNNNNNNNNNNNNNNNNNNNNNNNNNNNNNNNNNNNNNNNNNNNNNNNNNNNNNNNNNNNNNNNNNNNNNNNNNNNNNNNNNNNNNNNNNNNNNNNNNNNNNNNNNNNNNNNNNNNNNNNNNNNNNNNNNNNNNNNNNNNNNNNNNNNNNNNNNNNNNNNNNNNNNNNNNNNNNNNNNNNNNNNNNNNNNNNNNNNNNNNNNNNNNNNNNNNNNNNNNNNNNNNNNNNNNNNNNNNNNNNNNNNNNNNNNNNNNNNNNNNNNNNNNNNNNNNNNNNNNNNNNNNNNNNNNNNNNNNNNNNNNNNNNNNNNNNNNNNNNNNNNNNNNNNNNNNNNNNNNNNNNNNNNNNNNNNNNNNNNNNNNNNNNNNNNNNNNNNNNNNNNNNNNNNNNNNNNNNNNNNNNNNNNNNNNNNNNNNNNNNNNNNNNNNNNNNNNNNNNNNNNNNNNNNNNNNNNNNNNNNNNNNNNNNNNNNNNNNNNNNNNNNNNNNNNNNNNNNNNNNNNNNNNNNNNNNNNNNNNNNNNNNNNNNNNNNNNNNNNNNNNNNNNNNNNNNNNNNNNNNNNNNNNNNNNNNNNNNNNNNNNNNNNNNNNNNNNNNNNNNNNNNNNNNNNNNNNNNNNNNNNNNNNNNNNNNNNNNNNNNNNNNNNNNNNNNNNNNNNNNNNNNNNNNNNNNNNNNNNNNNNNNNNNNNNNNNNNNNNNNNNNNNNNNNNNNNNNNNNNNNNNNNNNNNNNNNNNNNNNNNNNNNNNNNNNNNNNNNNNNNNNNNNNNNNNNNNNNNNNNNNNNNNNNNNNNNNNNNNNNNNNNNNNNNNNNNNNNNNNNNNNNNNNNNNNNNNNNNNNNNNNNNNNNNNNNNNNNNNNNNNNNNNNNNNNNNNNNNNNNNNNNNNNNNNNNNNNNNNNNNNNNNNNNNNNNNNNNNNNNNNNNNNNNNNNNNNNNNNNNNNNNNNNNNNNNNNNNNNNNNNNNNNNNNNNNNNNNNNNNNNNNNNNNNNNNNNNNNNNNNNNNNNNNNNNNNNNNNNNNNNNNNNNNNNNNNNNNNNNNNNNNNNNNNNNNNNNNNNNNNNNNNNNNNNNNNNNNNNNNNNNNNNNNNNNNNNNNNNNNNNNNNNNNNNNNNNNNNNNNNNNNNNNNNNNNNNNNNNNNNNNNNNNNNNNNNNNNNNNNNNNNNNNNNNNNNNNNNNNNNNNNNNNNNNNNNNNNNNNNNNNNNNNNNNNNNNNNNNNNNNNNNNNNNNNNNNNNNNNNNNNNNNNNNNNNNNNNNNNNNNNNNNNNNNNNNNNNNNNNNNNNNNNNNNNNNNNNNNNNNNNNNNNNNNNNNNNNNNNNNNNNNNNNNNNNNNNNNNNNNNNNNNNNNNNNNNNNNNNNNNNNNNNNNNNNNNNNNNNNNNNNNNNNNNNNNNNNNNNNNNNNNNNNNNNNNNNNNNNNNNNNNNNNNNNNNNNNNNNNNNNNNNNNNNNNNNNNNNNNNNNNNNNNNNNNNNNNNNNNNNNNNNNNNNNNNNNNNNNNNNNNNNNNNNNNNNNNNNNNNNNNNNNNNNNNNNNNNNNNNNNNNNNNNNNNNNNNNNNNNNNNNNNNNNNNNNNNNNNNNNNNNNNNNNNNNNNNNNNNNNNNNNNNNNNNNNNNNNNNNNNNNNNNNNNNNNNNNNNNNNNNNNNNNNNNNNNNNNNNNNNNNNNNNNNNNNNNNNNNNNNNNNNNNNNNNNNNNNNNNNNNNNNNNNNNNNNNNNNNNNNNNNNNNNNNNNNNNNNNNNNNNNNNNNNNNNNNNNNNNNNNNNNNNNNNNNNNNNNNNNNNNNNNNNNNNNNNNNNNNNNNNNNNNNNNNNNNNNNNNNNNNNNNNNNNNNNNNNNNNNNNNNNNNNNNNNNNNNNNNNNNNNNNNNNNNNNNNNNNNNNNNNNNNNNNNNNNNNNNNNNNNNNNNNNNNNNNNNNNNNNNNNNNNNNNNNNNNNNNNNNNNNNNNNNNNNNNNNNNNNNNNNNNNNNNNNNNNNNNNNNNNNNNNNNNNNNNNNNNNNNNNNNNNNNNNNNNNNNNNNNNNNNNNNNNNNNNNNNNNNNNNNNNNNNNNNNNNNNNNNNNNNNNNNNNNNNNNNNNNNNNNNNNNNNNNNNNNNNNNNNNNNNNNNNNNNNNNNNNNNNNNNNNNNNNNNNNNNNNNNNNNNNNNNNNNNNNNNNNNNNNNNNNNNNNNNNNNNNNNNNNNNNNNNNNNNNNNNNNNNNNNNNNNNNNNNNNNNNNNNNNNNNNNNNNNNNNNNNNNNNNNNNNNNNNNNNNNNNNNNNNNNNNNNNNNNNNNNNNNNNNNNNNNNNNNNNNNNNNNNNNNNNNNNNNNNNNNNNNNNNNNNNNNNNNNNNNNNNNNNNNNNNNNNNNNNNNNNNNNNNNNNNNNNNNNNNNNNNNNNNNNNNNNNNNNNNNNNNNNNNNNNNNNNNNNNNNNNNNNNNNNNNNNNNNNNNNNNNNNNNNNNNNNNNNNNNNNNNNNNNNNNNNNNNNNNNNNNNNNNNNNNNNNNNNNNNNNNNNNNNNNNNNNNNNNNNNNNNNNNNNNNNNNNNNNNNNNNNNNNNNNNNNNNNNNNNNNNNNNNNNNNNNNNNNNNNNNNNNNNNNNNNNNNNNNNNNNNNNNNNNNNNNNNNNNNNNNNNNNNNNNNNNNNNNNNNNNNNNNNNNNNNNNNNNNNNNNNNNNNNNNNNNNNNNNNNNNNNNNNNNNNNNNNNNNNNNNNNNNNNNNNNNNNNNNNNNNNNNNNNNNNNNNNNNNNNNNNNNNNNNNNNNNNNNNNNNNNNNNNNNNNNNNNNNNNNNNNNNNNNNNNNNNNNNNNNNNNNNNNNNNNNNNNNNNNNNNNNNNNNNNNNNNNNNNNNNNNNNNNNNNNNNNNNNNNNNNNNNNNNNNNNNNNNNNNNNNNNNNNNNNNNNNNNNNNNNNNNNNNNNNNNNNNNNNNNNNNNNNNNNNNNNNNNNNNNNNNNNNNNNNNNNNNNNNNNNNNNNNNNNNNNNNNNNNNNNNNNNNNNNNNNNNNNNNNNNNNNNNNNNNNNNNNNNNNNNNNNNNNNNNNNNNNNNNNNNNNNNNNNNNNNNNNNNNNNNNNNNNNNNNNNNNNNNNNNNNNNNNNNNNNNNNNNNNNNNNNNNNNNNNNNNNNNNNNNNNNNNNNNNNNNNNNNNNNNNNNNNNNNNNNNNNNNNNNNNNNNNNNNNNNNNNNNNNNNNNNNNNNNNNNNNNNNNNNNNNNNNNNNNNNNNNNNNNNNNNNNNNNNNNNNNNNNNNNNNNNNNNNNNNNNNNNNNNNNNNNNNNNNNNNNNNNNNNNNNNNNNNNNNNNNNNNNNNNNNNNNNNNNNNNNNNNNNNNNNNNNNNNNNNNNNNNNNNNNNNNNNNNNNNNNNNNNNNNNNNNNNNNNNNNNNNNNNNNNNNNNNNNNNNNNNNNNNNNNNNNNNNNNNNNNNNNNNNNNNNNNNNNNNNNNNNNNNNNNNNNNNNNNNNNNNNNNNNNNNNNNNNNNNNNNNNNNNNNNNNNNNNNNNNNNNNNNNNNNNNNNNNNNNNNNNNNNNNNNNNNNNNNNNNNNNNNNNNNNNNNNNNNNNNNNNNNNNNNNNNNNNNNNNNNNNNNNNNNNNNNNNNNNNNNNNNNNNNNNNNNNNNNNNNNNNNNNNNNNNNNNNNNNNNNNNNNNNNNNNNNNNNNNNNNNNNNNNNNNNNNNNNNNNNNNNNNNNNNNNNNNNNNNNNNNNNNNNNNNNNNNNNNNNNNNNNNNNNNNNNNNNNNNNNNNNNNNNNNNNNNNNNNNNNNNNNNNNNNNNNNNNNNNNNNNNNNNNNNNNNNNNNNNNNNNNNNNNNNNNNNNNNNNNNNNNNNNNNNNNNNNNNNNNNNNNNNNNNNNNNNNNNNNNNNNNNNNNNNNNNNNNNNNNNNNNNNNNNNNNNNNNNNNNNNNNNNNNNNNNNNNNNNNNNNNNNNNNNNNNNNNNNNNNNNNNNNNNNNNNNNNNNNNNNNNNNNNNNNNNNNNNNNNNNNNNNNNNNNNNNNNNNNNNNNNNNNNNNNNNNNNNNNNNNNNNNNNNNNNNNNNNNNNNNNNNNNNNNNNNNNNNNNNNNNNNNNNNNNNNNNNNNNNNNNNNNNNNNNNNNNNNNNNNNNNNNNNNNNNNNNNNNNNNNNNNNNNNNNNNNNNNNNNNNNNNNNNNNNNNNNNNNNNNNNNNNNNNNNNNNNNNNNNNNNNNNNNNNNNNNNNNNNNNNNNNNNNNNNNNNNNNNNNNNNNNNNNNNNNNNNNNNNNNNNNNNNNNNNNNNNNNNNNNNNNNNNNNNNNNNNNNNNNNNNNNNNNNNNNNNNNNNNNNNNNNNNNNNNNNNNNNNNNNNNNNNNNNNNNNNNNNNNNNNNNNNNNNNNNNNNNNNNNNNNNNNNNNNNNNNNNNNNNNNNNNNNNNNNNNNNNNNNNNNNNNNNNNNNNNNNNNNNNNNNNNNNNNNNNNNNNNNNNNNNNNNNNNNNNNNNNNNNNNNNNNNNNNNNNNNNNNNNNNNNNNNNNNNNNNNNNNNNNNNNNNNNNNNNNNNNNNNNNNNNNNNNNNNNNNNNNNNNNNNNNNNNNNNNNNNNNNNNNNNNNNNNNNNNNNNNNNNNNNNNNNNNNNNNNNNNNNNNNNNNNNNNNNNNNNNNNNNNNNNNNNNNNNNNNNNNNNNNNNNNNNNNNNNNNNNNNNNNNNNNNNNNNNNNNNNNNNNNNNNNNNNNNNNNNNNNNNNNNNNNNNNNNNNNNNNNNNNNNNNNNNNNNNNNNNNNNNNNNNNNNNNNNNNNNNNNNNNNNNNNNNNNNNNNNNNNNNNNNNNNNNNNNNNNNNNNNNNNNNNNNNNNNNNNNNNNNNNNNNNNNNNNNNNNNNNNNNNNNNNNNNNNNNNNNNNNNNNNNNNNNNNNNNNNNNNNNNNNNNNNNNNNNNNNNNNNNNNNNNNNNNNNNNNNNNNNNNNNNNNNNNNNNNNNNNNNNNNNNNNNNNNNNNNNNNNNNNNNNNNNNNNNNNNNNNNNNNNNNNNNNNNNNNNNNNNNNNNNNNNNNNNNNNNNNNNNNNNNNNNNNNNNNNNNNNNNNNNNNNNNNNNNNNNNNNNNNNNNNNNNNNNNNNNNNNNNNNNNNNNNNNNNNNNNNNNNNNNNNNNNNNNNNNNNNNNNNNNNNNNNNNNNNNNNNNNNNNNNNNNNNNNNNNNNNNNNNNNNNNNNNNNNNNNNNNNNNNNNNNNNNNNNNNNNNNNNNNNNNNNNNNNNNNNNNNNNNNNNNNNNNNNNNNNNNNNNNNNNNNNNNNNNNNNNNNNNNNNNNNNNNNNNNNNNNNNNNNNNNNNNNNNNNNNNNNNNNNNNNNNNNNNNNNNNNNNNNNNNNNNNNNNNNNNNNNNNNNNNNNNNNNNNNNNNNNNNNNNNNNNNNNNNNNNNNNNNNNNNNNNNNNNNNNNNNNNNNNNNNNNNNNNNNNNNNNNNNNNNNNNNNNNNNNNNNNNNNNNNNNNNNNNNNNNNNNNNNNNNNNNNNNNNNNNNNNNNNNNNNNNNNNNNNNNNNNNNNNNNNNNNNNNNNNNNNNNNNNNNNNNNNNNNNNNNNNNNNNNNNNNNNNNNNNNNNNNNNNNNNNNNNNNNNNNNNNNNNNNNNNNNNNNNNNNNNNNNNNNNNNNNNNNNNNNNNNNNNNNNNNNNNNNNNNNNNNNNNNNNNNNNNNNNNNNNNNNNNNNNNNNNNNNNNNNNNNNNNNNNNNNNNNNNNNNNNNNNNNNNNNNNNNNNNNNNNNNNNNNNNNNNNNNNNNNNNNNNNNNNNNNNNNNNNNNNNNNNNNNNNNNNNNNNNNNNNNNNNNNNNNNNNNNNNNNNNNNNNNNNNNNNNNNNNNNNNNNNNNNNNNNNNNNNNNNNNNNNNNNNNNNNNNNNNNNNNNNNNNNNNNNNNNNNNNNNNNNNNNNNNNNNNNNNNNNNNNNNNNNNNNNNNNNNNNNNNNNNNNNNNNNNNNNNNNNNNNNNNNNNNNNNNNNNNNNNNNNNNNNNNNNNNNNNNNNNNNNNNNNNNNNNNNNNNNNNNNNNNNNNNNNNNNNNNNNNNNNNNNNNNNNNNNNNNNNNNNNNNNNNNNNNNNNNNNNNNNNNNNNNNNNNNNNNNNNNNNNNNNNNNNNNNNNNNNNNNNNNNNNNNNNNNNNNNNNNNNNNNNNNNNNNNNNNNNNNNNNNNNNNNNNNNNNNNNNNNNNNNNNNNNNNNNNNNNNNNNNNNNNNNNNNNNNNNNNNNNNNNNNNNNNNNNNNNNNNNNNNNNNNNNNNNNNNNNNNNNNNNNNNNNNNNNNNNNNNNNNNNNNNNNNNNNNNNNNNNNNNNNNNNNNNNNNNNNNNNNNNNNNNNNNNNNNNNNNNNNNNNNNNNNNNNNNNNNNNNNNNNNNNNNNNNNNNNNNNNNNNNNNNNNNNNNNNNNNNNNNNNNNNNNNNNNNNNNNNNNNNNNNNNNNNNNNNNNNNNNNNNNNNNNNNNNNNNNNNNNNNNNNNNNNNNNNNNNNNNNNNNNNNNNNNNNNNNNNNNNNNNNNNNNNNNNNNNNNNNNNNNNNNNNNNNNNNNNNNNNNNNNNNNNNNNNNNNNNNNNNNNNNNNNNNNNNNNNNNNNNNNNNNNNNNNNNNNNNNNNNNNNNNNNNNNNNNNNNNNNNNNNNNNNNNNNNNNNNNNNNNNNNNNNNNNNNNNNNNNNNNNNNNNNNNNNNNNNNNNNNNNNNNNNNNNNNNNNNNNNNNNNNNNNNNNNNNNNNNNNNNNNNNNNNNNNNNNNNNNNNNNNNNNNNNNNNNNNNNNNNNNNNNNNNNNNNNNNNNNNNNNNNNNNNNNNNNNNNNNNNNNNNNNNNNNNNNNNNNNNNNNNNNNNNNNNNNNNNNNNNNNNNNNNNNNNNNNNNNNNNNNNNNNNNNNNNNNNNNNNNNNNNNNNNNNNNNNNNNNNNNNNNNNNNNNNNNNNNNNNNNNNNNNNNNNNNNNNNNNNNNNNNNNNNNNNNNNNNNNNNNNNNNNNNNNNNNNNNNNNNNNNNNNNNNNNNNNNNNNNNNNNNNNNNNNNNNNNNNNNNNNNNNNNNNNNNNNNNNNNNNNNNNNNNNNNNNNNNNNNNNNNNNNNNNNNNNNNNNNNNNNNNNNNNNNNNNNNNNNNNNNNNNNNNNNNNNNNNNNNNNNNNNNNNNNNNNNNNNNNNNNNNNNNNNNNNNNNNNNNNNNNNNNNNNNNNNNNNNNNNNNNNNNNNNNNNNNNNNNNNNNNNNNNNNNNNNNNNNNNNNNNNNNNNNNNNNNNNNNNNNNNNNNNNNNNNNNNNNNNNNNNNNNNNNNNNNNNNNNNNNNNNNNNNNNNNNNNNNNNNNNNNNNNNNNNNNNNNNNNNNNNNNNNNNNNNNNNNNNNNNNNNNNNNNNNNNNNNNNNNNNNNNNNNNNNNNNNNNNNNNNNNNNNNNNNNNNNNNNNNNNNNNNNNNNNNNNNNNNNNNNNNNNNNNNNNNNNNNNNNNNNNNNNNNNNNNNNNNNNNNNNNNNNNNNNNNNNNNNNNNNNNNNNNNNNNNNNNNNNNNNNNNNNNNNNNNNNNNNNNNNNNNNNNNNNNNNNNNNNNNNNNNNNNNNNNNNNNNNNNNNNNNNNNNNNNNNNNNNNNNNNNNNNNNNNNNNNNNNNNNNNNNNNNNNNNNNNNNNNNNNNNNNNNNNNNNNNNNNNNNNNNNNNNNNNNNNNNNNNNNNNNNNNNNNNNNNNNNNNNNNNNNNNNNNNNNNNNNNNNNNNNNNNNNNNNNNNNNNNNNNNNNNNNNNNNNNNNNNNNNNNNNNNNNNNNNNNNNNNNNNNNNNNNNNNNNNNNNNNNNNNNNNNNNNNNNNNNNNNNNNNNNNNNNNNNNNNNNNNNNNNNNNNNNNNNNNNNNNNNNNNNNNNNNNNNNNNNNNNNNNNNNNNNNNNNNNNNNNNNNNNNNNNNNNNNNNNNNNNNNNNNNNNNNNNNNNNNNNNNNNNNNNNNNNNNNNNNNNNNNNNNNNNNNNNNNNNNNNNNNNNNNNNNNNNNNNNNNNNNNNNNNNNNNNNNNNNNNNNNNNNNNNNNNNNNNNNNNNNNNNNNNNNNNNNNNNNNNNNNNNNNNNNNNNNNNNNNNNNNNNNNNNNNNNNNNNNNNNNNNNNNNNNNNNNNNNNNNNNNNNNNNNNNNNNNNNNNNNNNNNNNNNNNNNNNNNNNNNNNNNNNNNNNNNNNNNNNNNNNNNNNNNNNNNNNNNNNNNNNNNNNNNNNNNNNNNNNNNNNNNNNNNNNNNNNNNNNNNNNNNNNNNNNNNNNNNNNNNNNNNNNNNNNNNNNNNNNNNNNNNNNNNNNNNNNNNNNNNNNNNNNNNNNNNNNNNNNNNNNNNNNNNNNNNNNNNNNNNNNNNNNNNNNNNNNNNNNNNNNNNNNNNNNNNNNNNNNNNNNNNNNNNNNNNNNNNNNNNNNNNNNNNNNNNNNNNNNNNNNNNNNNNNNNNNNNNNNNNNNNNNNNNNNNNNNNNNNNNNNNNNNNNNNNNNNNNNNNNNNNNNNNNNNNNNNNNNNNNNNNNNNNNNNNNNNNNNNNNNNNNNNNNNNNNNNNNNNNNNNNNNNNNNNNNNNNNNNNNNNNNNNNNNNNNNNNNNNNNNNNNNNNNNNNNNNNNNNNNNNNNNNNNNNNNNNNNNNNUUGCUCUUGGUGUUUGUGAACCAUUAGAGGAGUGACAUUUGUGACUCUAAGCUUUCUAAAGUCAAUACAAGGAGGAAUUGGGAUUGUUAUUGCUACAUAACAAUCAAGGUAAUAUCUUAAACCCAUUCUUAUGUUAAUAUGAUUACUUGUAUGAUAGAAUUAGGGUUUAUAGUCUUGGAUGAAUUGCAUGUACUAUAGAGAAACCAAGAUCCAAGCAUUAGGGUUUGUAUGAGCACAUAGGAUGUUCUUAUGACCAAAACCCAUCAAAGGCCGAGCACCAAUGGCCGCACGGCAAGAUGCAGCUGUUGGAUAUCCCGCUGUGGAAAUGGGAAGACAUCACAAUGGAUUUUAUCACCAAGCUUCCCAGGACCGCGCGGGGAGUGGAUUCAAUCUGGGUCAUCGUCGAUCAAUUGACCAAGAGCGCCCACUUUAUCCCGAUUCAGGAGAGCAUCUCGUCCGAGAAAUUGGCCGAUAUCUAUAUCGGGGAGGUGGUGGUGCGGCACGGAGUGCCGGUUUCGGUGAUUUCAAACAGAGAUGUGCGGUUUACUUCCAGGUUUUGGAAGAAGUUUCAUGACGAGCUGGGUACUCGUCUGCAUUUUAGCAUCGCCUUUCACCCGUAGAUGGACGGUCAGAGCGAGCGGACCAUCCAGACAUUAGAGGAUAUGAUGUGGGCAUGUGUUUUAGACUUCGGAGGUAGUUGGGAUACCUACCUUCCAUUGGCAGAGUUCUCGUAUAAUAAUAGCUAUCAUGCGACUAUUGACCGUCCUCCCUUCGAGAUGUUAUACGGAAGGAAGUGCAGAACCCCGAUAUGUUGGGGUGAGGUUGGCUAGAGGGUCAUGGGGAGAACCGAAGUGGUGCUCAAGACGAUAGAGAGGAUUCAGCAAGUUCGGAGCAGGCUUCAGACCGCUCAAAGUCGGCAGAAAAGUUAUGCCGACAAGCGCCGAUCGGACCUGGAGUUUCAGGUCGGGGAUAUGGUUCUCCUGAAGGUGUUGCCAUGGAAGGGCGUCAUCCGAUUCAGGAAACGGGGCAAGUUGGUCCCAGGUAAAUUGGACCGUUUAGGGUUAUAGCCCGGGUGGGCAAGGUGGCGUAUAGGUUGGAUUUGUCAGCCGAACUCAGACAGAUCCACAACACUUUCCACGUCUCUCAGCUGCGGAAGUGCCUGGUGGACGACUCAGCAGUGGUACCAUUAGAGGACAUUCAGGUUGAUGACAGCCUGAAUUAUGUUGAACGGCCAGUGGCGAUCCUCGACCGGAAGUCGAAGGAUGCGAGAAACAAGAGGUUUGAGCUGGUAAAGGUGCAAUGGCAGCACCGGAAGGGCUCGGAAUGGACAUAGGAACCGAUGGAUGAGAUGAUGGAGUAUUACCCAGAUAUGUUCCUAGAUCGAGCAGCAGACUUCGAGGACGAAGUCUAAAAUAAGUGAGGGAGAUUUGUAGCACAUAGUUCUUGGUACGUAUUUCUUUCUAAGUAUUUUGCAUUUUUGGCAUUGGACUCGGCGAGUCGAAGGACCAACUCGCCGAGUAGAAGCGGGACGGGACGCGGGAUUUAAGUGAUGUACUCGGCGAGUCGGGUCCCGGACUCGGCGAGUAGGUGCUGUUCGGACAAAAACCCUAAUCCGAGGGUUUGCACCCUAUUUAAGCAAUGAUAUGACGGCCAUAUUGUCCCUUAUGCUCCCAAAACACUUCUCAUUGAAACCCUAGUCGUUUGUGCUUUGUUGAGGCCAUUUUUGGUGUUCUUGUGUGGUUGUAAAGCUUGGAAGGAAUAAAGGAGCUUGGAACCUGAGUUGGGGACAGUAGAUCCAUGGAUUUUACUUCAUUUUCAGCAGCUUCAAGGUAUAAUGCCCGUGUCUUGACUCAUCUAUGUGUUUAUUCAUCUUUAACUUGGGAUUUCUUUGGAUUGCUAAGUCAUGUUUCAGUAUUGGAAGUGUGGAAAGGGUUUUGACUUCAGAUCUGGGCCUUAAGAGGGUUUCAUGGCAUAAAGGUGCCAACUUUAGGGCCAUGAGAGCCCCAUGCACAUUGUAGGACACUUUAUGUGGAUUUUUGAGCUAAAAACCCCAUGCAUGUGCAUCAAGUUUGGAAAUUUAUGUAUAAAGUGGACAUUAAGAGGCCAGAUCUAUGGUUUUAGUGUGCUAGAUCUCAUUUAAAUCAACUGUAUGGAAUUGGUCAAGACUGGACUCGGCGAUUCCGUUCUUGGACUCGGCGAGUCCAAGGCAAUCUUCUUAGAACUCGGCGAGUUGUUCAUCAACUCGGCGAAUCGAGGAUAGAUCUUGGUCAUCAAAUGAAGGUGAACUCGAUGAGUUGUUCAUCAACUCGGCGAGUCGGAUGAGUUUUCAUGUGGUGUUCGUAUGAAAGAAGAACUCGUCGAGUUGACGGCCCAACUCGACGAGUGGGGUCACGGAUGAGGACGAGUAAAGAUUGAGGGACUCGGCGAGUUGACGACCUAACUCAGCGAGUCAGGUCAACUUGAAGUUGACUUUGACUUGGAAUUGAUAAGGGGUAAAAUGGUCAUUUUACCCUAAGAGUAGAUAUCAGUUUUUAACUGAGUGUUUGUGGGGCUUGUAGCUGGAGGAUUUCCGGAGCAGCAGCGGACGGAGGAUUCCCGCACAGAUUACCAACAGCUUCUUGUACGAGGUGAGUUACCUUCCAGUAGGGGUGGGUCUAAGGCCUCAAUGCCGGCCCACCAAUGAGGAGUAUUUAGAAGAUGAUUGUCUUUGUGAUAAUUAUCUUGGUCUGGUUAUGUGUUUGGUUAUGAGUUAUAUAUGUAUGAUAUGUUACGUGCAUGAUAGGGAUAGUUUCCCUGAUAGUGGUCCUUAGGACCGAUGGGUAGGUCAGUACCCGAAAAUGCCUGACUGUAUAAUUAUAUCUUGUUGUUGUAUGCUAGUGGUAGGGGUGGAAUAGUCCCCAGUUACCGGUUGAAAGAUACCGAUGAGGAUUACCGGUUGAAAGAUACCGAUGAAUGGUUACCGGUUGAAACAUACCGAUGAUGAUUAUCAGUUGAAAGAUACCGACGAUGAUUACCAGUUGAAAGAUACCGAGGACUCGUGUGGUAUGUGGUAUGAUGGGGAAACUCACUAAGCUUUAUGCUUACGGUUUCGGUUUUUGGUUUCAGGUACCUUUUCAUCGACGGGGAAGGAGCCCGCGGCGUAGCAUCGCAUCACAUACACACAUGAUUUCCACAUGGAGUUUUCUGGGAUUGUACUCUGAUAUAUUAUUAUUCUAUGGCUUGGGUUUUUAGACAUGAAACAUUGUUUUAUAAGAUGAUGUGUUUUCACAAUAUUUUCUUAUGAAUGUUUUUAUGUUUUGGAUAAUUAAAAAGAAAUUUUUGGACCUGAAAAUUGGGAUGUUACAACAAGUAGUUUUGAAAAGUGUCAACAAUUAAGUUGGUGAGUUCAUAAGAGUUUUGUUUGAGGAAAAAAGUGUUUUCCUUGUAAAAGCGAUAGAGUAUGAUUUCCAUAAAAUCCAAUAUUUUCUUAGUUAAGUGUGAAAUGAAUGCUCCUAUGUUGUGCGAUAAUGAACCCUAGAAAGACCCGAAGAUUUCUCCUAUAAUCACCCAGUGUAUAUAAGUUAUAUAAAAUUUAAGUUAAAUAAACCUUCGAAUAUAAUGGGUCCGCCCUGCCCUAGGUCCACAACCAAACAAAGAACAGGAAGUAAGGCGGGCCCAUCAAUUCUAAGUCAAUUGUGACUAGAUUCUUAUAUAACUCUAGCAUAUACACUUAGCAAUUAUAGCUGAAGUCUAACAAUUCUAGAUAAAAUAUAGUUUUAAUAUCAUAAAAACCAUUUUGUUUAAACCGGUACCUUGUAUUUGUACCCCUUUUUGUAUAAACCCGGUACUUUAUAUUUGUACCCCUUUUUGUAUGAAAACCCGAUACUUUGUAUUUGUACCCCUUUUUGUAUAAACCCGGUACUUUGUAUUUGUACCCCUUUUUGUAUGAAAACCCGGUACUUUGUAUUUGUACCCCUUUUUGUAUAAACCCGGUACUUUGUAUUUGUACCCCUUUUUGUAUGAAAACCCGGUACUUUGUAUUUGUACCUCUUUUUGUAUAAACCCGGUACUUUGUAUUUGUACCUCUUUUUGUAUGAAAACCUUUUGUAAUGAGUUCACAAUGUAAAUGAAAUAUAAACUAUAACUAUUAUAGUUUAUCCUAAUGUUUUUAAUGUAUGUGCAAUCUCACUAUACCUAUUAUAGUUUAGCAUACUUGUUGGUGGUGUAUAAGAACCCUUUUUUUUAUGUAAGUCGAAUGUAUAGCAAAAAUAUAACUAUGUUUAUCAUGACUUGUUUUGUACUAUUGAUAAAGUUGGAGGAUUCUUACAAAUUAGUGAGUAUUUUCUGUUAUAUAAUUAUUACACAACAAGAAACACAUGUAAAAUAUGAAAUCCUCAAAGAUUAACACUCUACUCAACAUGUUACAAAGUGUGAUGAGAGUUAUAAGCUGUUAACUAGUUUUUGACCUUUCUACACUGUUUUAGGAGAAUCAUAGAAAAAUCAUACGAAGUCGAAAACUGAAUCCAUAAAUUCUGAGAGUUCGUAAAUUGUGUUUAGUUUAUUCGUAAUUUUUAUUAUGAUUUUUAGAAGUCUUUAACUUGUGAGAAAACGUUCAUAUUCACAGACUGGUCUGAAUUCGUUUAUGAAAUGAUAGGCAGUUUUGUAAAAAUCAUCAUAAAUCGUAGAAAAAUCGUAUGGAGAUGUGCAAGUAGUCAUUUUAAAGGUAUGAACCUGAACUAUUUGCAUAUUAUACAAUUUUGAAAGAUAUUAAGUUAAAGAUAGUCAAAACAGUCCGUGAAUAAGACUCAACUUUUCUAAUGAAAGUUGUGGUUUGAGUUUAGUUAAGUUUUUGGUGUUUUAACUUGUAUCCCCCCCCCCCUCUAAAACUUGAAGAAAACAUGAAAAUGUAUGGGUAUGAACUCACCUUGAGUGAUUUCAGUAGAUGGAUGAUGGAGCAAAGAAGUGUUCAACUCAAGAACACUUGGGAGAUGCUUGAAGAUUUGAAGAUCUAACAACAAAUAUGACGAUAUUUGUGUAAGCAAUCCAUGAUUUGGAUGAAGGAUAGUAGAAUAUCUAAGUGUAGGAGGAAGAUACUUACCAAAUGUGGAGGAAAAAAACAAGACCAGCCUUUGAAUCUCAAAUUUUUAGAGAGAGAAAAUGGAAGAGAUGUGUUUGUUCUUCUUGAGAAAGAGUGAAUAAAGUGGGAGGACAGAUAAGGAUUUCUCUAGCUUUUGUUCAAGAUUGUGGCUGAAAAAAGAGUGUAAAAAGGACAAUGAUUGACUAGGUAUGUGUAAAUAGUGACUAGGGAUGGUCAUGGAGUGGGUAUGGGAGGUAACUUGUGUCAUAACCUAAAGAUAAAGUCAACACUCCACCGAUAAAUCUUACCUACUAGAUUUUAUUCUUAGGCAAUGAUUUUCCCCAAAAUAUAGUUAAAAUAUGAAUAUUUAGGGUUUAUUAUGUUAAAAUACGAGUUUGGGUGAAAAUCCUGCGUUAAAAUCACGAAAAACGGGCUUGAAACGAAGAUUGGGUCGAAAAACGGGAAGAAAAUGGUAAUUCAGCGAGCCUUCUCGGAUAUGGGCCGAAGGUUUGGUCCCAGCAGCCAGAGCUGAAGGUGAUGGUUCGGUCCGAAGGGACCUUCGGUCUUCCGAGGUUCGGUUCUUAAGCUAGCUUCGGUCCUCAAGGUGCUUCUGACAGCUUGGCUUCUGACAAGCUCGGUUCCUAAGAGGUUCGGCUCUAAUAGAAGGGUUCGGCUCCUAAGAGGUUUGUUUCCUAAGAGGUUCGGUUCCUAAGAAGGGUUUCGGCUCCUUAAGAGGGUUCAACUCCUUAAGAGGUUUCAGCUCCUUAAGAGGGUUUGGCUCCUUAAGGCUGUUUUUCGCGUAGAUUUCCGUUUUCGAACUGUUUUCGUCUAAUUCAAGGGUCGGGAUGCCCCGAGUGAUUAUAAGAAGUUGAGAGAGAUUUGGGAGAGAUUUCACACACUUGGAGAGAUUUCUCAUACAGAGAGAGAUUUGGGAGAGAUUUCACAUGCUUGGAGAGAUAUCUCAUACAGAGAGAGAUUUGGGAGAGAUUUCACAUUCUGGGAGAGAUUUGGGAGAGAUUUCAAAUUCUAGGAGAGAUUUGGGAGAGAUUUCACAUUCUUGGAGAGAUUUGGGAGAGAUUUCACACACUUGGAGAGAUUUCUCAUACAGAGAGAGAUUUGGGAGAGAUUUCACAUUCCGGGGGAGAUUUGGGAGAGAUUUCACAUUCUGGGAGAGAUUUCAGAGAGAUUUCACAUUCUUGGAGAGAUUUCACACACUUGGAAAGAUUUCUCAUACAGAGAGAGAUUUAGGAGAGAUUUCACACACUUGAAGAGAUUUCUCAUACAGAGAGAGAUUUGGGAGAGAUUUCGCAUACUUAGGGAGAUUUGAGAGAGAUCUCCUUUGCGACCUUUUUAAGUGUUUGGCUUUGUAACGCAAGGUUUGUACAUCCCGUUAAGUCUCGUUAUGAUUGUUAUAUGCCCCCGAGGGUUAAGGAAUAAUGUUUUAUCGAGUAGUUUCAUCACUUGCCCUGAUUAGGGUUUAGAAUUUCCAAACACGUGAAAACUCUAAGUGAUACUUUGUAUUAAGAUUGUGAGUUGUACAAUAAGAAACAUAAUGGAAACCCUAAUGUACAACGGUUAGAUGAGUUGACCGGUUUGACUUGUUGACUUUAUUUGACUUUGACUUGGCCAAAAAUUGACGGUUGUCACAUUACACACCAGAAAGCACGCCUGGUUGCUAAAGGCUUUCGCCAACAGCCCGGGAUAGAUUAUCAUGAGACUUUUAGUCCUGUUGUGAAAGCUACUACUAUCAGACUGAUUCUCUCUUUGGCUGUUACACAGAAUUGGAAUUUGAGACAACUUGAUGUACAAAAUGCUUUUCUACCAGGCGAUUUACAAGAAACGGUAUACUUACAACAGCCACAAGGAUUUGUUGAUCCUCAAAAACCUGAUCAUGUUUUCCUUUUACACAAAUCCUUGUAUGGUUUAAAACAGGCUCCAUGGACAUGGUUCCAACACCUAUUAGGCUCCCUACAAGCACUAGGCUUUCAUGGUUCAAAAACCGACCCCUCUCUCUUCAUUUACUCUAAGGCUGAUACUUUGCUUUAUAUGCUCGUCUACAUUAAUGAUAUUAUUUUAACAGGCAAUAAUCUAGCUGCCAAUAAUGAGGUGGUUCAUCGCCUUAGUCACUCCUUUCCUAUUCAGGAUAUGGGUCAACUUUCGUAUUUUUUGGGGAUUGAGAUCACUCACCAAGGUAAAGAUAUUCUCUUGUCACAACAAAAAUACAUCUUGGAGCUUCUUGAUCGUGUCAACCUAUCAAAAGCUCAUCCUAUGCCUACACCUAUUAGCACUAACGCUAACCUUGCCCUUGGCGAUAGUCCUCUACUUGAUGACCCAGUUCAAUAUCAGCGUAUUGUUGGUGCUUUCCAAUAUGUUACCUUGUCAAGACCUGAUAUUACAUAUGCUGUCAACAAAGUCUGUCAAUUCAUGCAUUCGCCCAUUGUUAAUCACUGGUCCACUGUCAAGCGAAUUUUUCGAUAUCUAAAGGAUACUUCGACAUAUGGUCUCCAUAUUCAUCACAACUUUGGCACCUAUCUUCAUGUGUACACUGAUUCAGUUUUUUACAACCUUAUCACUUUCUCUAUGCGGAUUAGGCUGGUUGAGAUGACCGUAGAUCCACCGAGGGAUAUGCUAUAUACAUUGGAUCGAAUCUCAUAUAUUGGUCAGGACGAAAACAAAAUACUGUCUCUCGUAGCUCAACCGAAUCUGAAUACAAAGCACUAGCUGACACAGUUGUUGAACUCACGUGGCUACAGACUUUAUUACUAGAACUUUGUGUACCUAUGAAGAAAGUCCCAAUGUUAUAUUGUGACAAUCUUGGAGCGACUUAUCUUUCAGCAAAUCCAGUGUUUCAUGCACGCAGAAAGCAUGUUGAAGUUGAUUUCCAUUUUUUCAGUGAAAAAGUUGCUCAAGGAAGUUCAUCUAUUCGGUUCAUUAACAAAGAUGAUCUUAUUGCAGAUGUGUUUACAAAGCCUUUGUCUUCUCAAAGAUUUGAGUAUCUAAGGCACAAGCUAAAGGUCGCUCCUCGACAUUAGCUUGUGGGGGAAUAUUAGACUAGACACUUAUAAUAGUUUAUGGUACUAAAGUGUAAUAUUAUCUAAUAUAUAUCCCUAUGUAUUCUGUACUUCUAAUAAAUAAUACAACGUGUUUACCAAUUUUAUUGCUAACUAUCCUAAAGUUUUAGAUAUGUAGCUUUAAACCCCAAUAGAAACAACAACAUAAGGGUUUUAGUGGGGAAGUGUUGAGGUAGAUUGAUUAUUUUGAGCCGAUGUCAAACUUCAAAGAGUCAUGGAUAUUUUAUGAAAAUAAUUUCUGGAUGAAACUCAAAAUCCUUACAUUGAAUUCAUGGAAGUAUAUGAUGGUGGUGCCGAUGGUAAGCUUCAUUUAUUCAGGUAUAUUUGUACAUUAAUACUUGUUAAUCUCUCACCAAUAUUUUGUAGUUGUGCCAGUUUCGUAAUUGGUAUAGGUGAAUUGUCAUAAUGUACGGUUCCCAAACUAAGGAUGACUUCAAUGGCACCAUGUUACUCGCGAUUGCCAUGGAUUGAACAACCAAAACUUUCAUGUUUUGUUUAAAUGGAGCUGGUCGAAAAAAUAUUUGGGAGUUGGUUAAAUUCAUUUCUUCCUAUGACAACAUUCUACUUUGAAAAAUAUACCCCAAUAUAUGAUGUUGUUUAAAUACAAAUCAGUUUUCACUUCUAUAAUGUUAUCGAUUUUCAAAGUAUAAUGCCUUCAUAAAAUAAAUGCAGUAUGAUGUUGUAAUAAAAAGAAAUGAAAGUGAGAUGCCAUAAUACAAAAAUAAAUGAAAUUAUAUUGCUAUUUCUUACAUUUAGCCCUAUAACAUUGUACAUUUGGCUCGACCCUUCCUAACCAUACAAUUGAAACUACAAUAUUCUAAUAGAAAGAAAUGGAAGUAUGACGCUAUAAUAACAUAUAAAUGAAAGCACAUUGAUAUUGAUUGCUUUAAUCUUAAUAACGUUAUAUAUGGUGGAAAUUUGAAAGUGUUGACAAAGACAAUAACACAUUGCUUGAAGAAGUGAGGAUCAUGAGUUUUAAAAUAAAGAAGGUGGAGCAAUUGGAAAAAAAAUCCUACACUAAACCCGAAAAGCACUCCUUAAAGCCAUGAGUGGUUAAACUUUCUGCACAUUUAAUAGUAUAUUACUUUGUAUCUAUCUGCAUUAGCCCAUUAUAAAUAUCAUAUUAUCUUGUAUUAUUUUUCUGUAUGCAUUUUUUAGUAAAUUUGUAGCCUUUAUUAUAUUUGAAUUGGACAAUUAGUGUCUCUAAGAGAUGUAUAUUUUUAGUGGCUUUUUUCUUUUACUAAAUGACAAAUGAAGGAAAGAGGAUAAAAAGAUAAGUGAGGUUGAAGGAGGGUUGAUAGUAAUGGAGUAAACAUUAUGUUCUAAUUGCGUAUUUUAAGGUAUACUGGAAAAAUUAGCUAUAAUCAAGGAAUAAAAUGUUACAAUAACCUCAAAUAAGGACCAAAAUUGCAAGAUGGAAAAAUAAGCUAUAAUCAUUGGUCCCUAUUCAAAGUAAACGAGUAAACAUAUGUCCCUGUUCAAAGUAAAAUAAGUAUAGUUUUAUGGCAAAAAUUGGAAAAAAUAAGAUAUAAUUGGGGAUUAAAAUAGUCAUUUUGCUUGGAACAAUGACACAAAAUGUUACAAUAACCUCAAAUAAGGACCAAAAAUGCUAAGAUUAUCUGAUGUUAAAAGGAAAAUCAAAGGAAACAACUCUGUUCCUCAAAAAUGUACUUUGGUCAUUAAAGGUCGUAAUGUUCUUAUUGAAGAUUUGUCACUGGAUGGAACCCUAGUUAAUCGAUUCAGCUGAUGAUGCUGAGGUGUAUGCCUUCACACACGAUACCUAAGAACACAAAAGAUAGUUUGCAGCCAUUUGCCCACCAUAUGAGUAGAAAAUAGAAUAUCAUACGAAGUAAAAACUCAAAACUAUCUAUAAAGGAACUAACUAAAUUUUUCUGCGUCGCUUUUUAAUUUAGAAUCAUCACAUGAUUCUCAUAAUUUACAACCUUGGAUAAAGAUUUCACAGUUAAAUUUGGAACAUUAGUAAGUCAAAUGUUCCAUCUUUUAGGAGGACAUGGGUAAAAAGUGCAAUUUCAAACGGUAUCUAUUACCUUUUAAUCUCAAACUUUACUUUCUGAAAAGCUUGUUCAUCUAUAGUCAUCCAGGGACCAUGUGCUGCAGAUACAAUAGAGAACUCAAUAAUCUCUCUUCUAAUAAAAGACUUUUUUACUUGCCACUUGUCAUCUUUUUAAACCCAAAACAUACCACGUGUCACUCUUUUAGACCCUCUACGUUAUGUUUUCCCGCUCAUGGAUUUUCCUCUCAAUGGGGUGUUUCAAUCAAUCCAUAAUUAAUCUUCAAAAUCUUCAAUCAUAUCUCGCCCCAAAUCUCACCCCAAAAUUCGUUCCUUUGAAUCAGUCUACAAUUUAAUUUCAAAAUCCCUUACUUCAUUUGGUUGUAAAAUACAUAAAACCUACUUUUUCUCCAUCUCCAUCUCGGUUGCUACAAAAUUCGAGGCAAAGCAGUUGCCCAUGGCUGGCCCUUCCCUUCCCUUCCCUUCACAUUCACUGCAACCUCGAUCCAGGUACGCUUCAUUGACCCUAAGUUACAGUCUACGAACCUCUCUUCAUCCUUCAUUUUCUUUGAAUGAAUCUGACAUUGUAAUUCAAAUUUUUAAAACAUUCUCAUCUUUUCUCUCUCUCAAAUUCUAUAAAUAUUUUGAUGAUUUUUGAAAGAAAAAAGUAUGGGUUUGAUUUCCUCUAUAAAUUAACAGAUCUCCUCUAAAGAGAGGUAAAAUAAUAUGGUUUAGGAUUCAAGGUUUCAUAUAUUCUUUACCAAGUGUGACUAAUAUGUUAUUUUUUCUAUUUAGCUUCGUAACACUCAACAACACAAAUUGCCACUGCCUUCUCUUCUUGAACCAUAUCUGUCAUUUAUUUUUUUUCUUUUCACAGGGAUUUCUUCAUGGAUCCGGUUCUACACCAUGGUUUCAGAAUUGGGUCUCUAUCUCUCUUUAUAAAAUUUGUCUAACAGUGUUGUGUGUAUGUGUGUGCUUGUAUGCGUUUACAACUCCUGAAAAGGGAAGAAAUUGAAGAUGGAACUGUUACGUCCAGAUCUGCUACUCCCCUGCUCUUCCUUCUCCCCCACGUACCACUUCCUUCACCACCGUCACAGCUAUAUGAUCAUCAUGGGUUUCUGAAUUGUGGAUCUAUUUAGGGAUAUGGAUCUGAAUCUGUGAAGCAAGAAACUUUAAGAAGGUACAUUUUCUGUUAAUUGUUAUGUAUUUCUUGAUCUAGAUCUAUAUUGUUAGUAGUUAUGGAUCUUAAUACCUAUUUUAAUCCUACACCAAAAUCACUAUCUUUGACUUUAUUGUUGAUUUUAUUCUCUGUUUCAGUAUAGUAAUGGGACCAAAACUUAAGGAAAUAGAUGAAGUUAUAAAAUUGAUUCACUCUAAGUAGUAUCCAGAAUUAAGAAAGUGAUCACAAAUUAUCUUGGUUUGUACUUCCUUUUUGAUAUAUGUAUUAAACAAUAUUUUCUUGACUUGAAUACCAAUUGUAUAUGUAUAAACUUUUAUUUCUUGAUUUCUAUUUUACUCUUAGGUGGUUGUUAGUGAUCAUCGUAUGCAGGAAAAUGGUAAUUUGAUUACCGACCUAUUUCAUUCAUACAAGGUUUGACUAUUUUCCUCAAGUAAUUCACAAGGAACUGAAUUCAUUGCAGUUGUAAAGGUUACUUCAAGCCCAAACGAUUCAUUCCACAUUUGAAAGUAUUUCAUAUCGAGCUGUUAAGAAAGAUCAUGGUUAUGAAGGUAAUUUAACUUUUAAUACUUCAGUUGAUAAACCAACCUUUUGCUUAUGUGGUGCAUAUGUACAUCUGAUUUGUGCAUUUUUGUUUACUGAAAAAUUAUUUCUUACGUAUUGUAGGUCCAAUUAUUAUGCAUAUAUCAAGAUAUUCUAAAAAAGGUUUAAGGAAAAAGCUUGCGGUCCAAACACUUUUUGAAAAGAUGUUAUAUCCUUUAGAGUUAAAAAUUAAAACAAUCUUCUUUUACUUCUACGAUUCUAUAAUCAAGUCAUCUUUUAGCUUUUGAAGUUCUUUAGCAUACUCUUAUGUAUUGCCACUAACAUUUCUGUUAUUUUUAUUAUUCGUAUCAUUGAUGUUAUGGUAUUCUUACUAAUAAAAUGGGAGAUAAGUAACAAUUGAUUGUGAUACUUACUUUCUAUUUUACAGUUAGAUUAAAGGUUCAAGGUUUAUCUCAAAUGGCUUUUUGUCAUUUCUUAGGCUGUUUACGUUAUAAGCUUCUUGGAAUGAUUGUUGUCUACAGGUUUGUACACAUUAUGAAUAUCUCAACUUUUUUCAUUUUUUCUUUUUUCUUUUACCUUUUUAAAAUGUUACAUUUCAGUUUGAUUUGCCGCUAAAUGAUAAGUUUAAUUUAUUUUUUAUGUCCUAAAUGUGGUUUGAUAGCAUUAUGUGGAGUGGUGCUAUCAUGGUAAGAUUUUCUAUCUAUUUUGUUUCUCUUAUAAUAAACAAAAGUUAUUUAAAUAUUAUUUACUUUUAUAAUUGAAAUUUCUUCGGUUUGUGCCAUUUGUUACAAGCUUAUAAAACACAUAAAUCAACAUUGAUGCAAGCUCUAACUUUUACAUAUUCAGAAACGCAAGGAUGCUAUAGUGAGGUCAUGGUUGUUUUAAUGUUGUUGUCAAGUAUUUGAUGGUGUGUUUUUUGUUUAUUGCUUUUUAUUCUUUUUUUCAAAAAUAUGCCUUUUAGGCAAGAUUUCUAGAAACAAUAUUAUUUUUAUGUAAGAUUUCGGAAAAAUCAGGUCACUGAAAUGCCUUAGGCUGGAAACAUGCCUUCAAUCGUGUAACUGCAUAUGAAUUCAAAAAAUCCAGGUUUGCAUAAUAGCAUUUACCUUUUUACAUCGAAAAAGCGUAUUGACCCUCAUUAGGUAUAUCUCCAACGUCCGUCUUCUAUGUUUCUCAGUCUUCGUUUUCUUCUCAUCUUCCACCACAAUAACACAAAGACAAACAGCAAGCAACAACAGGUUAGUACUUUGAUGUUUCGUUUUUUUUUGUUUAUAAUAGUUAUUAUUAUAGUUUUUAUUCAUAUUUUCGUUAAAGGAAUUGUAGUUUGAAAAUAUAAAGAACAAUUAGCGUUUAAAGAACAUACAAUAAUUUCUUUACUUGUAUAAUCAAAUUUGACUACCAAGUUCCAAUUUCUUUGCUUUAAACUCCAAUUUCACAAGCCAUGUGAAAGUACAAUUUUUUUCAGUAAAUAGCAUUCUACUUUCACAUGAGUUUAAGAUAAAAUUGACCUACUUUUAAAUAAAUAACAUUCUUUUUGCUUCACUUUAGAUGAUCAAAUAUGAUUUUUUUUCUCAUUAAGAGUCGGCAUUCAAUAACACACUUCUAUAAUGUACGUUGCUAUUUUGAUAGCUUCUUGAAGCUAUAAAAUCCAAUAAAAUAGCAAUGUACUUAAAAUGUACAUUGCUAUAAUUUAUACGAAGCAAACCUGUCAAUAUUUAGAACAUUCGAAACACAAAGAAAAACUAAUAAAACAAAAGGUACCGAUCAUACAAGGACAAUUUAUGUAGUUUUGAGUUUAAUAGGGACCAAUUAUGUAUAUUUUGUGAUGUGUGUACCAAUUUUGUAGUUUUAAGUUUAACAAGGACAAAUCAUACAAUGUAUUUUAUGUAGUUUUAAGUUUAACAUGGACAGUUAUUUAUAUUUUGUGAUGUGUGUACCAAUUUUGUAUUUUUCACUUUAAACGGUCAACUACAGAUAUUUUUCUAUCAUUAACAGUCAGUGUUGAAAAUAGCAUUGUACAACUUGUCAAUUUUCUAUCUUUUGGGUAAAAAUAUGAAAAUAGCAGGUAAAUAGAUAAUCUGGAAAAAAAAACAAAAACAAUAACAAAAAAAAAAGAUAAAAAUGGCAUAUAUCUGAUAUUAGAAAAAAUGAUAUUUUUGCUGUUUCUUUAUUAGUUAAUGGGGAUAUAGUUAAUUAAAAUGAUAUUUUUGUUGUUUCUUUAUUGCUUAAUGGGGACAUAAUUAAAAUUUUAAGUUAUAUGUGUUUCUUUUUUACUUGAUGCUAAAAUAGAAAAUGAAUGACUUACAAAAAAAACAGCGGCAUGAGGCCUCAUUUAUUUUGGAAUAGUGAUGCAAAAAACUGAUGCUAAUCAUGUUUUCCAUUGCGAAAUGUAAUGGAAGUGCAAUUAGUACCAAAGUAAAAUUACAUUACAUUACAUAUUAAUUUUUGGUCCGGUUCGGUUUCCAAUUUUUUUAGUGUACCUCUAAUUUUCAUUGUGUUUUUUUUAUGCUACGAAUGUAUGAUUUUUUUAGGAUAUCUUAUUUCAUACAAAACAGGGAAAAUGGCCACCCAUGGUGUUGGUGGCAAAUAUAUUGAUAUGGGGGAUUUAAAAACCCCAACCAAAUUACAUUACAUUACAUAUUAGAAAAUAAGAAAUCAAAAAUAAAAACUAGUUGACAAACUACGUGUGUCUAGCCUUUUGAAAACUUGAAAUGAACACAACCACUUUCACAUAAACCCAAUCUUUGAAGCUGUCAUAAAACUGAAAAAAUGCACGUCUCCCUCGACGGUUGAGAAGUAAAGUGCCACAUGCCAUCCAAAAUCCAGUAGCAAAACCCAUCCCCCCACCAAUAUAAAACCAUCCCCAGAGUUCAACUUCAUCAUCUGUGUCUUCCCCAUCACCCUCACUUUUACCAAUCACCGAUGUUGCUUCUGAUUCUUCAUCCCCUGGACAUUUUUUGGUAAGGGGAGGUCCACAUAGUCCUCUGUUUCCAUGGUAUCUUGAAGGUGGAAAGGACUGGAGCUGAGUGCUAGAUGGGAUUCUCCCUGAAAAGUGAUUAUAUGACAAGUCUAGGUAAUUCAGUAAGCUCAUCUGAGACAUGCCUGAUGGUAUCUUCCCUGAUAAAUUGUUUCUGGAUAAAUCCAAAGUCAAAAGCUUUUUCAUCUCACCAAUAUGCUGUGGAAUCUCUCCAGAUAGAGUAUUCAUUGAAAAAUUCAGGGCAAUCAAGUCUGAAAGAUUGGUAAUUUCAUUUGGGAUUUGUCCUGUUAGAUUGUUGCUGGACAGGUCAAUGCUCUUCAACAAUUUCAGAGUUCUACUAAAUUCACGUUCAUCUCCUUGCCACUCAAUCAUUGCAUGGUCAACAUAUGUCCCCCAUUCAUAUAAACUAUUGUUUACAAAUGUUGGAAACUGUACAUCUUGUGAGAAUCCUCCUUGGUGAACCAUGCUCGUAAGAUUACUCAAACAUGAGGGGAUGCUUCCAUGGAGAUUGUUCAUUGACAAGUCCAAAACUUGAAGAUUAGGUAACUGACAUAACUGUAAAGGGAUGGAUCCAAAGAAGUUAUUUGAUCUUAGGAUAAGAACAUACAGCCACAAUAAGUUUUCCCCAAUCCAGACAGGCACAUUACUAGAAAACUUGUUGGCCCCCAAAUUCAAUGAGAUUAAACCCAUGCAAUUUUUUAAGGACAAAGGCAAUUCUCCAGAGAAGUUGUUCUUGAAUAAAUACAAGACCUUGAGUUGUAUCAAAGAUCCAAUAGAGGGAGGAAGACUUCCAAAGAGAUUGUUGUGUCCGAGAUUAAGAACUUGUAGUUGAUUGAAAUGCCACAGACAGUCCGGGAGUUGUCCGGUUAAUGAGUUAUGAGAGAGGUCAAGAAAUGAUAAUAACCCACCAACAGCUUGGCAUAUGAAGGAGAUUCCUCCGGAGAAUUUGUUUCUGGAAAGAUUUAAUAUUGACAAAGUGGAAGGAACAUUCAGUAUCGGACCAUGAAAGCUGUUGGAACUCAAAUCUAUCGCUGAAUAUUGGUCAAAUUUUGAUGAUAAAUCUGGUACUUUCCCGCUAAUGUUGUUGGAAGAGAGAUUCAGAUAUUCUAAUUGAGAAGGCCAGCUGUCCCAAAACUCUAGAGGAAUUGUGUCCGAAAUUCCAGUAUUGGAAAGAUCAAGAAAGGUAAGAUUUUUAAGUGUCUGAAUAAUCCAUUUGGGGAAGCGAGGCCCUAGCAGCUUGCAAGAGCUCAGAUCAAGAUAUUUAACAUAAGAGAUGUUUGACAAGUGAUAUGUGGAAGGAACUGUAAGAUUAUUAAAAGAAAGGUCAAGGGUUCGGAGGCUGGGUAGUUCCCACAGUUUCUCACUUAUACUUCCAUUUAAGUGAUUAUGAGAUAGGUCCAAGUAUCGUAGGGAUGAAAACUUUUGGAUCUCAAUGGAAAAUGACCCUGUAAAUUGGCUUCCUUGAGCAGACAACUCUUGUAAUGAAAGGGAUGUGCAUCCAGACAAGUUGUGGAGAAAAUCAGGAAAUUUGACAGCAGCAGAGUUGUUAGAGAUGGAUAAAGUUUCCAGACUACAGAGGUUACCAAGGUAUUUGGGUAUCCCAUCUAACAUGUUGCCAGAGAGCAAAAGAACACGAAGCUUAUUGCUGGUUAAUGGGAACAACCAACGAUACAUGGAUGAGGUUAGAUUGUUGUCUUGUAGAGAAAGGGUAUGAAUGGAUAAAGAAGAAGAAGAAGAGUUGAGAAAUGAAGAAGAAUAUGGAUACAUGACCUGUGACAGCUCACAUCCCUCUAAAGAUAAAUAUGAGAGUUUCCGGAGACUCAGAAUGACAUCUACCCAGUGAUUUUGUUUGGCUAGGGAAAUCCCACCCAUUCUCAGGGACUGCAAAUGAGAGAGAUGAGACAACCACUCUACCUUUUCAACUCUACACCUUCCAACAGAAUUAAGAUGAAGGUGCUGCAAGUUGGUGAGGUUUCCAAACUCUGGAGGGAUGGGUCCAUAAAAAGAGUUAACGGAAAGGUCAAGGUAACUUAACUCUGUCAAGGAACCAAUUGACCUGGGAAUGGUCCCAUUAAAAUGAUUCACGCUAAGGUUAAGGUACCUUAAUCGAGUCAAAGAACCAAUGAAGGUGGGAAUGAUUCCAUUGAAAGCAUUCAAGCCAAGGUUAAGGUACCUUAAUCGAGUCAAAGAACCAAUGAAGGUGGGAAUGGUUCCAUAAAAAGCGUUACCGUAAAGGCCAAGAUGAUUCAAGUAGGUUAAGUUAAGCAGUGAAUGGCUUAUCUCACCUUGAAGCCAAUAUUCAUUGAGAUCAAGCCCUGUGACAUGACCUGUUUGGUUGCUGCACACGACUCCUCUCCAUUUACAGCAAUCAUCAUCUUCUGCUGUCCAUGUAGAGAGAUAAUCAUAAGGGUCUUGAAAGGGAGCUUUGAAAAGAAGGAGAGCAUCUCUCUCCUUAUCCAAACACUUCUUUUUCAUAUCAUUUCCUCCUGCAGCUACCAAUUGGCUGCCAGUUGUAGUCACAAGGAGUAGCAAGAGAAGUGAGGAAAUUAUAAAAACACAAGAAUUCAUAAUGUAAAUCAAAAUCUUAUGUGCUGAUUUUUGGUUUGUAUUGAUGCCUGCCUAUAUGAACUGCCCCCAUAAGGGUUUAUAUAGUCUCCACUGUCAAGAUGAAUGACUAUAAGUGGGUGGCCAUUAAUUGUGUGGAAUUUCUUUCCCCAUAUUAAACUUCAAAGACUUGCAAGUCUUGGCAAUUUGUCUUUAUUAUAGUAGAUAUCUUUCCCCAUCUUCUGAUAUGAUAUUGUUUGGUAUAUGAUAUAAAUCCCCAAAUGCAAAACUAAUGGAAUCUUUCAGUCAAAUACAAAUCUACCAAUGAUAUCAAUAAUGAUAUUAUUUGGUCUUUUCCAUUGUUAAAAAUGAUAUUUAAGAUAACACUGCAUUAAUAAUGAUUCGAUUUAAAACAGAUUAGGAUGAUAAUUAAUACAAUUUUUCAACGUUCUUUUGUCCAAAUAAAAUGACUAUAAUUAAUAUCAGCUAUACUCGAUCGGGGACCAAAUAUAGUCAGUUUAACUGAAACAUGGACCAAAGCAUUUCAAGAACCUCAAAUAAGGACCAAAACUAAAAAUUUCAGCUAUACUCAGGGACCAAAAACGUUUUAUUUUACUCAAAAAUAAACAUAACAUACAUAAACAGAAGUUUUCAUUUGCAACAAAUCCUACCUUCUGUUUACCUAAAUUAAGCUCCUGUGAAUCAAAAAUCACAUAUUAAAGGCUCCAAUUCUGCAACUGUCUUUUCUGACCAGCAAUUUGUAGCUUCUGAAGCUCCACUCCAUUCACCUCUAUCAUUUUGCACUACUCAUUUAAAAUUUUUUAAGAAAAUCAUGUUAUUAAUAUUAAUCUCAAAGACAACGUAUUGAUGUAUUAAGUAUUAUAGUAUCCUACUUUCAUAGUUUGCUACCUCUUGAUGUAAUACAAGGGGUAUGUUGGCCAUUUAAAGACAUCCAGGAGAAUACUUUUUCCAAAAAAAAAAAAAAAAAGAAGCCGUUAAACUGGAUACAAAUUACUAAAAAUAAUUAUCGAAAUGAUCAACUUAGAUUCUGCUUCAUAGAGGUAUGUAGAUAACUAGUUCUUAACUGAUAUGAGUAUUAUUAUAUGAAAAUAUAUUUUUGCUCGUGUAUUGAAUGUAAAAAACCGUGAAAGUAUAAUGAUGUUUUAGUUACAAAACCUUAAUUGAGAUGCUCAUUACAAUAUGAUAGAUAAUUUUCUUUGUACAUGAAUUAAUUUUUUUUUUAAAAAAAAUACAUGAAAGUAUAUCCAAUAAAACUUUCAUUUUACUCUCUAUGAUAACUGUUAGAAGAACACAUUAAGUAAUUAGUAAUUAGCCUAUCCAUCAAUUAAACUACAUAGCUUCUCCAGUUCAUACUUUCAAUUUUUUUUUUUAUAAAAAAUACAAAUUGCAAAAUAUCACAAGAUGAGAAAAGAUAUCUACAAUAAAGACAAAUUCCCAAGACUUAUAAGUCUUUGAACGUAUAAUUUGGGGCCAUUAAUUCCAAUUCUGCAUCUAUGAUUUUUCUUAUAGUCUUGUUCUAAUUUUAUGGAGAAUAAGUAUUGAUGGAAAUUGUGUAUGCCUCAUAUAAGUGGCCACCAAUUUGAGGCCACCCUCAUGGGCCCAGGAGCAUGUUUGGGCCUUCUAACACAGACCAAGAAUUACUUGUUGUGGAGCCCACUUUUAACAAUUCUCAUCACAUCACUUUUUUAAAAGUGAUGUAUCUUUGAAAAUAUCACAAGUUUGGAAAAGAUCUUGAUAAUAAAUUCAAAUUGCCAAGACUUGCAAGUCUUUGAACGUCUAAUUUGGGGCAGUGUAUUAUAACUCUUCAUCUUUAAUUUGUCUUCUAGUUUUAGGUUCUAAUUUCAUGGAAAUUAAGCAUUGUGUGUUCCACCCAUUUAGAAUCAUUCAUCUUCAUGGAGACUAUAUAAACCCUCAUGGGCCUGUUCAUAAAGACAUCAACACAAUACUAAAAUGUCUUAAUAGAGAAUAAAUGAAAGUACAAUACUGCAAUAACAAAAAGAUUAAUGAAUGUACGUUGCUAUUUCUUACAUUUAACCCUUUUGCAUUUGACCAAAUGUAUUAUCAUCAAAGUCACAAUACAAAUUAUCACAAAGUGUAGUAGAUUAUGGUGUUAAUGAGAAGCCGAAUACAUUUGCUCUCAUCCAAAACAAUCGAUCAACUUAACCCCUGGUGAUUUUAGCAUUUACCUCUUCUAAAAGCUAAGUUUGAAAGAUAUCAUCAACAACACUAAUUCAACUGCAAUCAAAUAAUAUUAUGUUGCACCUACUUGUGCAGCUAGAUCCGUUUGUUUAUUGCUGGGUUUGAUAUGGAGAAUGUUAGUGAAUGCUAGUGUACACAAACAUUAGCUUAGCAAUGUAGGCACAAUCAACCAACAGAACAGAUGCUCAUAAGGUAGCUGGAAGAAAAGAUCAGAUAAAGACCAGAACACGCUCCAUUUUUACAUUUAUAUUAUUGAUAACUGAGAAAUAAAACCCAUCGAUCAGUAAAAAUCAAUGGCCUUUUCCAUGGCAAAACCCUGAAUUUGCAGGUUAUGCAAAUAAUAUAAACUCACAAGUCUGUCUCCUAAUCUAACAAUAGAUUAGAUGCACCUGAAGAAUACCCAAAAUGAAGCAACAAUACAGAAGUAGGACAUCACCUAGGCAAUGAUGUGUGCGUGGUUGCUCUGCUACGAUGCUCGGAUUUGGAACCCUCGUUGACUGAUUUUGAUUGUAGAGGAAAAAUGGUGUAUUGGAUGGCACAUAGAUCUCACGAUCCUAUCUGGAUCUUGCGAGCAUAAUCACGAAUCUUGUUUCAAAAUCAGAAAUUAAUUUCUGAUGUAUCGAUCACGAGCGCGAUAAACAAAGCUUGUCCAGUCAUACAAGAGCAGCCUGUUUGUGACCUUAGAAUUGGGAAUUUGGUCUAAAAUGGUAAAAGAAAGGUUUUUUUUUUUUUCCAGGUUAAGUAUAAUAACUUUUAUCAUAUUCUCUAAGUCCCAUAUAGGGACAGGAUUUGGCCCGAAAACCCGAAUCGAACCGAAUUAGAUCCGAAUAAGCAAUUCGAUUCAGUUUUCGGGUAUCUAUAUAAGGCUUAUUCGGUUUUCAGGUUAUUUGGUCCGGGUUACCCGAAUAAGGGCUUAUUCGGUCCAAAUUAAAGGAUUGAACCGAAUAUGAAAAGUCACAUUUUUUUCCACUUACACGAUUGCUUAUUCGGUCUUGUGUUCUAUCGAUCGUUACCCAAAAUACCCACGUAAUAUUUAAUAUUUAACUUAUAUACUUAUAGAUAGAUUUUUGGGUGUUUUACAUGUUUAAUGUUUAGUGUUUAAUAUGUUGUUUAAGAAUGUGGUCGUUAGAUUUUACAUUUUAUAUAUCAAUAAUAGUUAAUCUGUGUUAUUUGUCUUUAUCAUAAGCUACAAAAGUCAUACAAAAUACAAUAUUUAUAAUCACAUUGUAAAUGUUAUUUGGAUUAUUUGGGUUAUUCAGCUCCUUAAUUAUCUUCUACAUGUUAUUUGGGUUAUUUAGGCCGGAACCGAACCGAAUUGAAUAAUACCCGAACCGAACCGAACCCGUAUUGCUUAUUUGGUUCGGUUUUCGGUUCAUAUAAUUACCCUUAUUCGGUUUUCGGUUUAUUCGGGUUCGGAUCGGUUCGGUUCCGACCUGAAUAACAUCCCUAGUCCUAUAUAAACAAAAUUAAUAAAUUUAUAAAGGCCUUAGGGUAUUAAAAGAGGAAAAAGAAUGUCCCGAACUUUUACCAUACUUAUGAAAAAAAUUAAAAAUUAUGUCUUCUUUUAAUAGAAAAAACAAGAAAUUAGGUAAUUUAUUCAUUUUUGGGAUAUUACAAAGUUCACUCUAAUUCAAUGGAUUGAUUUGUUGAACCAAAUGUUAGGUGAGUAUACUAGAUGCUUAGGUGGCCGGUAGGGUUAUAUUGAAACCCAAUACACCUUAUUUGAUAAUCUGGUUAACCCUAAGUCGUAUAAGGAGGAGGGAAAUGGAACCAUUUUCUUUUGUGGGAAGGGUUCUACUUUGAACACACCAAUCUAUAUUACCAUCCUGUACCAUUAGGUUUACUUUUUAGUUUAUUAUUACCUUAUUAUUAUUGACUUUACUUUUUAAAUUAUCAUUACUAUAUAAUUAUUAUUUCAUUACUUUUUAAUAUUAUUUCAAUAUAACCUAAUCAAUAAAUCAUUAUUAUUUAAUGAUUAUAAUUUUAGCUUUUGUUAUUUAUUUAUUUGUUUAUUUUGAUACUUCGUGAUCAUUUAGCCAACGAUUUAAGUUCAUAUGUACUGCUAUUUUACUGGACUCCAAAGCAAUUACAUGUCCAUUAUUUUACUACUAUAAUCUAAAAAAAUCUUUUACGUCGUAGUAUAUUGUCAUUAUGAAAUUAAAAUAACGUUAAUUUUUAGACUAAUUUGAAAAUGGCUAACUAAAAAAAAAAUUCUAAACUGACUAUCAUAUUUAUUGUUAUAAAAUAAUAGUUUGUGAAUGACCAUUGGAUUCUUUAUUUCUCUCAUAACUCCCCAUCAUUAUUUAGCAUUAGUAACAACCAUUUCAAUGUGUUUUAUGAAUGUAAUAAUACACCAUCAUAAUGUGCAUUCAUAUUAUAGCUCAUCUUUCAUCUUAUUUGGAUAGUAUAAAUAGUGAGCUAUAUGUAUUAGGCAUCUGAUGAUUUUCAUCACAAAUAUUGGAAUAAAAGUUCUCUCUACUCUCAUGUCUUUCUUUACUCUAUAAAUUAUCUUAUUAUUUGAUCAUAUUUUAUAACACGUUAUCAGCACGACUCUACCAUAGAGCUCUAACUCCUUAUUGUUCUUGUUAUUUUCAGGUAUAUAUUUUUAAUAGUUUUACAUAUAUAAUGCUUACAACUUAUUUUAAGGAAUUUCUUAACUAACAAUUCUUUAACAUACAAGUCUUUAUUUUGACUUUUAUUUUCAUUAUGGAAAAUCAUGCUAGAGAAAACUUUCUCUAGUUUUCAUAUUACUAACAUGCUCCUGCAGUAGCAAUAUCAAGAGAAAAGUUUAAAAUAAAUAUGAAUUAAUCUCAUGUCUUCUUGUGGCUAAACAAAACAAUGAGUUGUUGAUGAAAAAUCACCAAUCAAUCCCGAUCGGUUCUAGUGCAUUUCCUGAAGUGAAUGCCACAUCAUAUAAUCAUAAUAGUCAUGGGUCUAACCGUGGCCGUGGAGGUUAUUAUAAUUAUCAUAAAAAUAACAAGAUUACAAGUAACCACCAGAAGUUGGAAAAUAGCAAAAAUCCACAUCCUAAUGAUAAAGUGGUCAAGGCAAAAAAAAAAGUUUAAAAUGUUUGUCAUUGAUGUUGAAUGACCGAUCAUUGGUCUUGUACAUAUCGCUUGCCAAAGCAUUUUGUUGAUAUUUAUCAAGCUUAUCUAAAAUCUAAAGAAAAAUAAAAUAUCAAAACAAAUUUUAUUCAAAGUGAUAUUCAUGAAGAUCAAACAGAAAUGACAUAUUUGGAUGUUGCCGAUUUUCUUGUCUACCCAGAAGAGACAAGUGGUGAUAUGGAUGGUGAUUGGAGAAUAAUGUGUAGUUUUGUUUCAUGUCAUAUAUUAUGCUUUUAUGUCAUAUUCAUAUUGUGAGAAAUGAUACCAUCACAAUCUUAUUAAUGAAAUAAAAUAUGAAUUUAUUUCUCUAAGAUGAAUGUUUCUUAUGUUUUAUUUAUUUAUUGAAAAGAAAUAUGGAUAUUCGCAAAAGAAAUAAUGAAGAUAUAUUUCUUGCAGACAAUGCAAUAACACAUAGCAUUUUUAAUAAUGAAAAAUAUUUUUCUUACAUAUCAAUUAGAGAGCAAAUGUUAAUAUAAUAACAUGUAAUGGAAAAAUGAUUGAAAGCUCCGGAAGAGCGAAUAUAAUAUUACAAGGGACACUAUUACAAAUUANNNNNNNNNNNNNNUAUUUUCGUCUAAAUCACCAAGAUUGAAGGCUCCGGAAGAGCGAAUAUAGUAUUACCACAAGUGACAAUAAUUACAACUGGUGAUAUAUUAUUUCAUUAAAAUCAUCAAGAAAUUUAUUAAGUUUUAAGGAUAUUCAGUCUAACGGAUAUCAUAUUGAAACAAAUAAUGAUGGUAAUCAAGAUUAUCUCAACAUUACAAAAAUGAUAUCGGGUAAGAAAAGUUUUUGGAAAAAUUACCUGUAUUUUCCUCUCGAUUGUACUAUAAAAAUAUUACAAUUAUUCAUACUAUUGAAAAUAAAAAAGGUAUGAUAAUACCUUCAAAGUUUGGCAUGACCGGUUGGGUCAUCUCAGAUCAAUUAUGGUAUGUAGAAUAAAUAAAACUUCGAGUGGUCAUUCCUUGAAAAACCAGAAGAUUUUUCAAGAUAAUGAAUUGUCUUGUGUUGUGUGCUCUCAAGGAAAAUUAAUUUCCCCAUCCAUCAUUAAACAAAGUUGGGUAUGAAAGUCGUAGUUUUAUAAAAAAAUCAAAGGGAUAUAUGUGGACCAAAUCAACUACCAUGUGGACCAUUUAGAUAUUUUAUGGUUUUAAUUGAUGAGUCAACUAGAUGGUCACAUGUGUGCUUGUUGUCUAGUUGUAAUUUGGUUUUUGAAAGAUUACUUGCAUAAAUAAUCAGCCAAAAGGCACAUUUUCCAGAUUACCCAAUUAUGAAAAUUAGACUUGAUAAUGUUGGAGAAUUUACAUCAGAAGCUAUUAACGAUUAUUGCAUGUCGAUUGGAUUGAACACCCUGUUACACAUGUUCAUAUGCAAAAUGGUCUAACUGAUUCAUUAAUCAAACGUCUUCAAUUAAUUGCAAGACCAUUACAAAUGCGUUAUAAACUUCCUAUAUCGAUAUGGGGGCAUACAAUUUUACAUGCAACAUCAUUUAAAUUCAUAAUGCCAACUAGUUAUCAUUAGUUCUCCCCUAUUCAACUGGUUUGCAGUUAGGAACCAAAUAUUGCACAUCUAAGGAUGUUUGGAUGUAUAAUUUAUGUACCCAUUUCUCCACCUCACCGAACAAGAAUGGGUCCUCAAAGAAGAAUGAGAAUUUAUGUUGGAUAUGAAUCUCCAUCUUUAUUAAAUUAUUUAGAACCAUUAACUGGAUAAUUAUUUAUAGCUAUAUUUGACGAUUAUUAUUUUGAUGAACAUAUUUUCCAACAUUAGGGGAAGAAAUAAAGAAGUUGGAAAAUAAAAUCUCAUGUACUAGCUAUAAUGAUCCAGUUAGAAUUGAUAUCCCAGAAGAAAAAAUACAACUACAAAUGAAUCUAAGUCAUGCCUGAGGCGUGAAAGAACAACUUGUUCUAAAGAUAAAAAUCCUUGAAAAUAAAUGGGAAAAAAUAUAAUGAAUGGUCAAAAAGAGAAAACAAUAUCUUUUGAAAAAAUUAAUGAAGCUCUAGAAGAGCCAAUGACAUAACAAAAGAAUAUAAGGUACCUGAAAAAAAUGAAAAUGAUGAGAUCUCAAUAAAUUAUGUCAUGACAGAAAUAAGAUGGAACCAACAUAAGACAGAAGUCGGCGAUAAUUUUUCAUAUCAUGUUCCGCAUGUGAUUAUAAAGAAAAUGAGGAUCUUGAACCAAAAUCUAUUGAGAAAUGUAUGAAUAGAAAAUAUUGACCAAAAUGGAAAGAUGAAAUAAAUAAAGAGUUCAAUUCUCUUACUCAACGAAAAGUUAUUGGACCUGUAGUCCAUACACCAAACAGAGUAUGAACAGUGCGACACGAAUGGGUAUUUGUGCGCAAAAGAAACGAGAAAAAUGAAGUUGUGAGAUAUAAAACAAUACUUGUUACACAAGGUUUUACCCAAAGGCCUGAAAUUGAUUAUGAAGAAACUCUCGGGUAGUUGAUGCAAUUACAUUCAGUUAUUUUAUAAGUUUAACAAUAUAUGCAAAACUGGAGAUGUGUCUAAUGGAUGUAUUUACCGCCUAUUAUAUGGUUNUUGAAAAUUAUAUUUAUAUGAAAAUCCCAGAAGGGUUUAAGGUGCCAGAAGCACAAACUUCUAAUUCUCGUGAAGUAUAUUUGGUAAAGUUAAAUAAAUCUUUGUAUAGAUUGAAACAAUCUGGCCGUAUGUGCUUCAAUUGUUUUAGUACAUUUCUAUUGAAAUAGUGCUAUAAAAAUGAUCCAUUAAGCCCAUGUGUAUUCAUAAAACGAUGCAGAUAAGAGUUUAUUAUAAUUGAUGUUAUUGUAGAUGAUUUGUACAUAAUUGAAACUCCUAGAGAAUUGGAAAAGGUCACUUCUUGUUUGAAAGAAAUUUUUUUGAAAUGAAUGAUCUUGGGAAGAUGAAAUUCUAUUUGGGUCUUCAAAUUAAGCACACAAAAUGGAGUUUUUGUACAUUAAUAUCUAGAAACGGUGCUAAAAAGGUUUUAUAUGAAUAACUCACAUCCAUGAGUAACCUGAAGGUGGUAAGGCAAUUAGAUGCCAAAUAAGGACCAACUUCAGCAUCAUAAAUAACAUGAAAAUCUUCUUGUUCCAGAAGAACUAUAUCCUAGUGCUAUUGGUGCACUAAUAUAUCUUACUAUUAAUACAAGACCUGAUAAAUCUUUUGUCGUAAACUUAUCAGCAAGAUAUAGUUCUUGUCCAGCAAGAAGAUACUGGAAUAGAGUCAAACACAUUCUUUGAUAUCUUCGAGGUACAAUAGAUAUGAAUUUAUACUAAUCAAAUUCAUAAAAUGCAAAGUUAAUUAGUUAUGCAGAUGCGGGAUAUUUAUCUGAUCCACACAAAGCUCGAUCCCAAACAUGUUAUUUAUUCACUUGUGGAGGUAACGUAAUUUCUUGUCAUUUUGUUAAACAAAAUUUAGUUGCUUCUUAUUCUAACCAUGCAGAGAUUAUAACAAUUUAUAAGGCAAGUCAUGAAUGUAUUUGGUUAAGAAAUUUAACUCAACACAUUUGCAAGAAUUGUGGUCUAACUUCUAAAAGGGAUGUUCCAACCAUACUAUAUGAAGAUAAUACAACUUGUAUAGCUCCAUUCAAGGAAAGAUUUAUCAAAGGCGACAAAACCAAACAUAUAUCACCAAUUCUUUUUUCACUCAUGAUCUUCAAAAAGAACGUGGCAUCAACAUCCAGAAAAUUCAAUCAAGUAACAACUUGGCAGAUUUGUUCACUAAAGCGCUCCCUACAUCCAAAUUUGAAAACAUGGUACGAAAUAUUGGAAUGCGACGCUUUAAGGAAAUCAAGUGAUGUGAUGAUCAGGGGGAGUUGGAACAUAUUGUACUCUUUUCCUUAGCUAUGUUUUUCUCACUGGGUUUUCUUAGCAAGGUUUUUAACGAGGCAAUUGUUCGAAAUAUCUAUUAUUAAUUAUGUACUUUUUUUCCUUAAUAAAUGGUUUUUCCCAUGAGGUUUUACCUAUUAAGGUUUUAACGAGACAUGAUACAAUCGUCAUUAGUUUGUGAAUGACCAUUGGAUUCUCCAUUUCUCCCAUAACUCCCCAUCAUUAUUUAGCAUUAGUAACAACCAUUUCAAUGUGUUUUAUGAAUGUAAUAAUACACCAUCAUAAUGUGCAUUCAUAUUAUAGCUCAUCUUUCAUCUUAUUUGGAUAGUAUAAAUAGUGAGCCAUAUGUAUUAGACAUUUGAUGAUUUUCAUCACAAAUAUUGGAAUAAAAGUUCUCUCUACUCUCAUGUCUUUCUUUACUCUAUAAAUUAUCUUAUUAUUUGAUUAUAUUUUAUAACAUUUAUGAUUAUAUACAUAGUUGAUAAAAACAUUAAAUACGACAAUACGCCAACAUACCUUUGGUUAAGUUAUAAGAAUGAAAUGGAAUUUAAAUUGUACAAUUUAAUAAUCAAUAAAUCAUUAUUAUUUAAUAAUUACAUUUUUUUACUAACUUAAUAAAUAUUAAUGAUUUUAUAUUUAUUUUUUAUUAAGAUAAAAAAACAACAAUAAUAUAGUUUUUAUAAUAUAAUAACAUAAAUACUAUUAUAAAAAAUAAAAGUAUAAAUAAAUUUUUAUCAACCUAAUAUCAUCGAUAUUAUAAGAAAUAAAAUCCGAACAAAUCUUUAUCAUUUUUUUAAUUUUAAAUAUUACAUAACAAAAAUCCAAGACAAAAAAUAAACAACAACUAAUCAUCUAUAGUCAUAACAGAUGUUUUCUAUAGGUCUGAGGCGCUUAUAAAAUUCUAGAUGCAACUUAUAUAUAGUUUCCCAUUCGGCUGCGGAUGAGUCUUUGUGGCGGAUCCAUAUUGCUGAAAUAGGAGGCAUCGGGUACUCUCCUUCUAACUGUGCCAUCACAUAGUGAUUGGUGUAUACGUGUGCAAGUGUAAGGACACGAUGAUUUUGAAACUCACUAUGAUUUUGAAACUUACUAGGACCUCUCCAUAGAGGGGAAAAGGUUAUAGAACCUAUUAUGGUGAAAAAUUGAAAUAUCACACCAAACCUGUUGGCUAUCAGGAUACUUGUCUCGUCUCAGGCAUAAGCAUAUAGUGUUCUGGUGGUGCUAUCCUAUCUAUCAUGAAGAAAGACAAUGAAUCAAGUACUCUAUCGCAUCCAAUGAAAACUCUAGAAUAGUCUUCAUAUGAAGUCAAUAACUCAUCAUACAGUUCUCGUACGGAUGAUCAUCAACAUUAAGAUUUCCAUAAUCCACAAAUACACAAGGCUUAAAAUCAAGCGUUCUCCAAAAAAUAUCAAUUGAAUCCAACGGAAUAGGUGAACGUAUAGUAAAAAAAUCAAAAUGUUAUAAAGUGAUUAUACAUAUAAACAUUGUCAAUUUAAUACAAUACAUUUGACAUACCUGUAUCGACAUUCAUCGCAAGUUUGUGAGCACAUGGUAAACUAAAACAUGUCCGUAGUUAACAGCCACAAUUCUCAGGAGUUGGUACAAAUCUUUUUAACCGAUGAAGCUCUUCUAAGAUUUUAUCCAAAGCAUGCUCUGAAACAUGAUGUCGUAGUGAAUUGAAUAUCUCAUCUUUAAACUUUGGCUUACGAAUGAUUAUGCUCCUUGUGAAACUCUCUUUAAUAGUUGUGUCUUGUGACUGUACAACUCUUUCAAUAACAUAUAUGAAUUUUACGGCAAGGUUUAUUAAUAGAUAUCAUAAAAUUAAAAGGUUUAAAUUAUGAAUUUGAUGUAUCUAAGGGUUAAUUUGUAAAUAAACAAGAAAAAAAAAAGCAAUACAAAAUAUUUUGCAUUAAUAUAUUAUAAAUUAAAUAAAAGUCAUUGGAAAAUACUUUAUUAUAAGCUUAUAGUAAAUAAAAUUAAUUUAACAGUAAGGUUUAAUAAUAAAUGUCGUAAAAUUUAAAUGUUUAAAUUAAGAGUUUGAUGCACCUAAGGUUAGUUUGUAAAUAAAUAGCCAAAAAAGAUAUAAAAAAUAAAGGAAUAGGAAAAGAUAUAAAACAUUAGUGGCAUCUUAGCAGCCAAAAAGGGGGGCGCGUGGCUUUUUUCUUGAAAAAGAAGUGCAUUGGUUUUUGUAGAGUGCAUAUUGAUAUUAGAUGGGCGCCAUUAAAUUUUGUAAUAUUAGAUUGGUGUAUAAUAGGGUUCAAUAGUUUGGUGUGUAAAAUAAAAAACCCUUGUGGGAAUUUGAAGCGAAUGAAGUGCAACUUGAUCGGUUUGUCAUUGUGAAAGGUGUAGGUGCACUUGUGGAUAUCAAUGUCCAAAAUGGGUUUCGUGGAUUCUAAUGAUGUAGACUCUUUGGUUGCCCUAAUUUAAGAGCAAAGGAAGUAAAUUUUGCACAUGUUAAUAAUGAUUUUACUUUUAAAGGAUGUAAUGGUCUAACCUACUUGAUGAAGAGAAGAAUUUCAAAUAUUUUUCUUGGAUAUACCAUGCAUUACCCAAUUGGACCCAACAAAUAGUACAAUGAUAAAAUGUUUGAUUUGUACACGCUUGCAAUGCUAACGAUACUAAAAUUGAAGAAAAUGUAGAAAAUGAAGUUGACUCGUUAAAGGAAUGUGGAUAAAUCGAGUAUCCAAUUUCAAGAUCAGCUCCCAAAAGUUUUUCAAAUCACAAGGAAAUAAGUUCCCACAUUAGGAAGUUAAAUAUCAUUUUCCAGCCAUUUAAAAGUCAAUGCCACAUAAAAUAUAUAUUACAUAUUUCAUAAAUCAGGAAUGUAAUGUACGGAUACAAUUAUUCUUAACCUGAUUCAAUCUCCUAAUCCAAUUUACCAUGUUAACAGCCCUAGACCCACUCUGUGAUGUACCAACGUCAUCUUUCCUAAAUUGGUUCCUCUUAUUGUAACCCACAUUCUUUUUUCCUAACCUAAUAAACUCACUAUAGUAUUUUACCACACAUAUACACUUCUUCUUUCUCAUCAAAUCCCAAUGAGCUCGCCGUAGUACUUAAUGACAUAUGUACACAUCCUCUUGUUCAUUACAUACUAAGUUUUAGUAUUUUACCCACAUGUGUAUGGUGCUGUUUGUUUUUUUGAAAAAACAUCUUCAGACCUGUUAUUGUUGUGCGACGCAACACACGCGGAACACGUUUCAUCUCGCAGCUGUUUGUUUUUCAGAAGUCUUCGGAUUAAAAAAUAUUUGUGCGUGUUCUUCUUGGUGCAACACUUGUUUUGUCUCUUUCUACCUCUUCCAACCUCUUUUUUUUUCUUGCUACAAUAUUGAUUAUAUAUUGCUGAAAUCUUAUUUCAUUUUUUUUCGUUUUUCUUUUCUUGUUGAACUUUUUUCUUUUUUCUAUAUUGAAUAAUAUUAAUUUGGUGAUGAAAUAUCAUUAUUUUAUGCUAAAAUAUUUUUAUUUUUUGUUAAAAUAUCAUUAUUUUUUGUUGAAAUAUCAUAAAUUCUUGCUGAAAUGUCAUACAUUAUUAAAUUUUCGGUACUAAAAAAACUAUUUUCGUAUUAUAAAAUCAGUUAAUUUUAAAUUUUUAAUAUCUGCAGCAGUAUGCAGAUGCUAAAAAAACAAACGCGCUUCUUAUUACAGUCUGCAGCCGUUUGAUCCACCUCUUCUACUACAGAGGGCUACAAAGGUGGUCCGCAGACUUUAUGGAUUUUUUAUUUCAAAAAACAAACAACACUUAAGUUUGCACACAUAAGUGAGACAUUAAUGGAAUGUCAUCACAAACCCUUAGUAAAAUUUCAAGAUCCCAAUCCAAGUGAACUCUCAAGUCAAACCUAGUAUGAGUGUACACACUCAGACUAGAAAACAUUUUUGUCAGAAAACUAUAAUGCACACAUAAUUCAAACUCUUGAAAAUUUCUUUUUAUGGAUGUAACAUCCAUAAAUUUAAACUUUUUCAAUCAUAAAUAAAAACUCAAAUAGCAUUGUUUACAAAAUAUUUUCAAAUCGAUAUCCAUCAGAGUGUCCCAUAAAUCAUAACAUAAGGAUGAGGAGCGGUAGGUCACGCCUUUGCCUUGCCAUGAUCUCCUGAAGUACCUGAAACAAUAAGCUGAAAACUGUAAGCCCGAGGGCUUAGUGAGCUACCCCCAAAAUACCAAUACCACACUGACAAUACCAUAUCAGUAACAAUCAAUCAAUCAACAUGCAUACCGGGCCAUCGGCCUGACUGGACCGCUCUACAGGGCCUACAGUCUAUCUGGAUCUAUCCCGAGCCUUCGGCAUGACUGGUCCGCCACGUGGGCCUACAGUCUCCCCGGACUGCUCAUAAGGUGUGUUGGCCUACAACACAAAGCAGGAUUGCCUCAACCCAACCAACGAGCAAAUAACUAUGUGCGCAUAGCUAUCAUAUAUUGGCAUAUACAAAAAUCAAGCAUAUCUAUCAUUGGUCAUCAAUCAUAGAAUUCUCUCGUAACUAGAGUACCGACCUAGCAGGUCACUAACAUACCAAUCCCUACGGAUCAUAAGAGCAUAGAAUACUGUCUACCCUGAUUCCGAUCUAUCAAACCAUGACCACAUAUAGCAUACCAUAACAAUAACAACUAAAGGGUCGGCCUUGGUGCCAUAUACCCUAUCGAUAUAGUGAGGAUAACUCACCUCGCAGAUGUCGACUCAGAAGGUAAACUCCAACUCUCGGAUCACUUGACACAGGAUCCACCACAUAUUAUCAUAGCACAAUAUACUCGUAAGUCCUUAACCUUAUAAGGUACUUCAUAACCCCUAAUCAACCCCUGAUCAAAGUCAAAGUCCUCAAUCAAGGUCAACAGUCCAUGUUGACCUCGACUCGCCGAGUACCCUCGGCUACUCGUCGAGUUCCUUGAAGCACAUUCCAACUUGCCGAGUCAUCGGGGUGACUCGUCGAGUUCCUUCAAUUCCCGAUCAAACAUUAAGGCCACCCGUCGAGUUUCCCUCAUUGCAACUCGACGGAUACACACGCAUACACAUCCAGGAGAAAACUCAUCCGACUCGCCAAGUUGUUCUUCAACUCCUCGAGUCUAUGGCAAUCAUCAUCGGACUCACCGAGUUGUUCAUCCAACUCGUCGAGUUCACGGCCAUCUUCAUGUGACUCGCCUAGUCAACCUUGCAACUCGCCGAGUCCAUUCAGUCCUUUUUCCAUACAGACUUAUUUUGAGCCAUGCAGCGGCUCCAACUCACAGAUCCAAGCUUCUAGGGCAUGCUUAUCACGUAAAGUUGCAAACUUCACGUGUAUGCAUGGCUUUAAAGGCUCCAAAUGCCAAAUCUAAGCUCUUAAUGGGGUUUCAUGCCCAAAAGGGACCUCAACCACGACCAAAACUAUGACUUUAUGCUUCUAGAAUCCAAAGAGGGUCCAGAUCUGAAGUUACAACUUCAGAUCUCGCCCAUAGCUUAUCAUACCAACUUGAUAUUCCAGGAAAACCCUAAAACUCAACCAAUAGAGGAGAUCUAUAAGGAAAAAGACGGUUUAGGUACCUUUAGAAGAUGAUAUCUAAGAUGAGUGUUGAUUUCCCACUCUAAAUUCUCCAAUCUCCUCCUCCUCCAAGUCUCCCCCUUCCAAAGAUCCUCUUUUCAAGCUCCAACACACACAAGGCACACACACACACACGAAUAAGGGCUCUCACGGACUCUUUAAAACUGUAAAGAGGUCCAAGGGAGGCUAAGAUCCCUUUAAAUAGGGGUACAAACCCCGGGAUUUAGGGUUUCAUCUGCUAGCUCCUACUCACCGAGUCCCAAUAUGGACUCAUCGAGUAGGUCACUUAACACACGAUCCCACCCCACUGCUACUUGACGAGUAGGGCAACCUACUCGUCGAGUAGAGCUUAACCUAAUACAUUUUAUUUAAAACAAUACCUAAGAAUCGGAGUGCUACAACUCUCCCCCACUUGAACUAGACUUCUCCCUUGAAGUCCGCUGGAAUAAACAAUGCCAGGUAAUGCUCGCGCAUCUCCGCCUCCGGCUCCUAUGUCCACUCGGAUCCCCUCCGAUGUUCCCACUGUACCUUUACCAAAGGUAUUUCCUUGUUCCGCAAUAUCUUCUUCUUCUUUUCUAGAAUAGCCACAGGCCUCUCCACAUAGUUCAGGCGCUCAUCGACCUGAAUGUCAUCCAACGAUACCACUGCCUCCUGGUCCAUAAUGCAUUUUCGCAAUUGCAAAACAUGAAACGUGUUGUGGAUCCGGCUGAGCUCCUCCGGAAGCUCUAGCCUAUAAGCCACCCUGCUAACCCUGGCAAUAAUUCUGAAUGACCCAAUGUAACGGGGACCCAAUUUUCCCCUCUUCCUGAAGCGGAUCACACCCUUCCAGGGUGAGACCUUCAUGAGGACCAUGUCACCCACCUGAAAUUCCAACUCAGAUCGGCGUCGGUCGGCAUAACUUUUCUGCCGACUCUGAGCGGUCUGCAGUCGCUGUCUAAUAUGUUGUAUCAUCUCGGUAGUUUGCAGAACUACCUCUAUCCGACCCAUUACCCUGUGCCCAGCCUCACCCCAGCAGACAGGGGUCCUACACUUCCGCCCAUACAACAGCUCAAAAGGCGGGGCGCCAAUACUGCAAUGAUAGUUGUUGUUGUAGGAGAACUCUGUAAGCGGUAGGUGGGAAUCCCAACUCCCACCGAAAUCAAUGACACACGCCCUCAACAUAUCCUCGAGGGUCUAAAUGGUCCGCUCACUCUGCCCAUAAGUCUGCGGAUGGAACACUGUACUAAAAUGCAGCCUUGUACCCAGUUCCUCGUGGAACUUCUGCCAAAAGCAGGAAGUAAAUCUAACAUCUAGAUCGGAAAUAAUGGAAACUGGGACCCCAUGGCGAGAGACAAUCUUGCGGACGUACAUAGCGGCCAACUUCUCCAUCGACGAACUCUCCCGUAUGGCUAGGAAAUAGGCACUCUUGGUCAAUCAAUCCACGAUGACCCAUAUAGCAUCGAACCCCUUUGCUGUCUUCGGAAACUUUGUGAUGAAAUCCAUUGCGAUCCGUUCCCAUUUCCACAUGGGAAUCUCCAGAGGCUGCAGCUUACCGUGCGGCCUCUGAUGUUCGUCCUUGACCAUCCUACGUGUCAAACACCUCUCAACAAACCAAGCGAUAUCUCGCUUCAUACCAGGCCACCAAUAACUCGAAUUCAAAUCACGGUACAUCUUGGUGGUUCCCGGGUGAAUAGAAAACCAAGACUUAUGAGCCUCCUCCAUCACUGUCUGCCGGACCCCUCCGGACAUCGGAACCCAAACCCGACCGUAAAGGAUCAAUAAUCCGCGGCUAUCUUGAAAAAAUCGGGCGCUUUCGCCCUUAAUCCUUUCCAACUUCCGGUUCUCCGGCCACAUACCCUCAAUCUGAGCAUCCCUGACCAAACCCACUAGCGGGGAAUCCACCACUAUCCUCAUACACUUGGCUAGGGUAGAGGACCCAGCUGACUUGCGGCUCAAAGCAUCCGCAACCACGUUCGCUUUACCAGGAUGGUAAAGGAUCUCACAAUCAUAGUCCUUGACCACAUCCAGCCACCUGCGCUGCCUCAUGUUCAGGUUCGGCUGAUCCAUGAUGUGUCUCAAACUCUUGUGAUCCGUGUAUAUAGUACAACAGACCCCAUACAUAUAGUGCCUCCAAAUCUUGAUGGCGAAGACCACUGCUCCCAACUCAAGAUCGUAUGUGGGGUACUUGUCUCGUGCGGCUUCAACUGCCUCGAUGCAUAAGCUAUCACUCGUCCCUCUGCAUGAGGACUGCCCCCAAACCUGUGAUGGACGCAUCAAAAAAUACCACAAAAUCCUCAACUCCCUCGGGGAGUGUCAACACCAGCGCCUCGCACAAACAUCGCCGCAGGGUCUCAAAUGCCCUCUGCUACUCAGGGCCCCACCGGAAAUCCACCCCUUCCUCGUCAGACGAAUGAAUCUCCGAUAAUACCCUGCUAAACCCUAGAAACUCAUGAUGUAUGAGGGAGAUUUCGGAGUCUCCCACUGCAUAACUGCCUCCACCUUGGCCGGAUCAACCAAAAUCCCCUCCUGGUUAAUGAGAUGUCCGAGGAACUUGACCUCUCGUAACCAAAACUCGCAUUUCGAGAACUUGGCAUACAACCGUUCUCGCCUCAGAACCUCCAGCAGCUCCCUAAGAUGCUCCUCAUGCUGCUCUCGAGUCUUGGAAUACACCAAGAUAUCAUCUAUAAACACAAUGACUGAGCGAUCGAGCAUCGGUAUGCUGGCUUGGUUCAUCAGAUCCAUGAACACCGCUGGCGCGUUGGUGAGCCCAAACGGCAUCACCAUGAACUCGUAAUGACAAUAACGAGUCUGAAACGCAUUCUUCUCCACGUCUUCCUCUCUUACCCUUACCUGGUGAUAUCCUGAUCUCAAGUCAAUCUUGGAAAACCAAGAUGCACCCUGCAGCUGAUCGAAAAGAUCAUCUAUCCUCGGGAGCGGAUAACGGUUCUUCACCGUUAACUUGUUCAGCUCCUUAUAGUCAAUGCACAUCCUGUGCGAACUGUUCUUCUUCCUGAUGAAAAGGAUCGAUGCUCCCCAGGGUGAACUACUCGGACAAAUAAACAACUUACCCAUCAACUCCUGCAACUAAGAUGAUAGCUCCUGCAUCUCAGGCGGUGCCAAACGGUACAACGCCUUGGUGAUAGGGGUCGCACCUGGCACUAGGUCAAUCCUGAACUCAACCUGCCUCUCCGGAGGCACUCCGAGUAACUCCUCUGGAAACACAUAAGCAAACUCCCUCACUACCGGGACCUCAGAAACUGAGAGCUGCUCUCUAACCCGCGUAUCUACCACAUACGCCAAAUAACUGGCACAUCCGUGCUGGAUAUACUGUCGAGCCCUGAUGGCCGAACAAAACCCUGAUCCCAACCUGGUACCCUCACCAUAUACUACAAGUUCUCCCCCACUUGGGGUUCGAACCACCACCCGCUGUCCCUCACAGUCGAUCAUGGCGCCAAAAUGGCUAAGCCAAUCCAUCCCUACAAUCACACAUACAUACCUCAUGGAGAUAGGAAUCAAAUCUAUCAGGAAGAACACCCCAAAUAUCUCCAACUCACAUCCCCGGUAGACCGAAGAAGCAGAAACCCCGUGCUUGUUGGCGAUCGAAACUCGUAACGGGCACUCAAGAUCAUCCAUCGGCACACAAAACCCUCUAUUGAAAGUCUGAGAUACAAAAGACCGACUCGCCCCCGAGUCAAAUAAUACCAAGGCGGGCAAGGAAUUCACUAGAAACGUACCUAAUCACAGGUACAAUGAAUAAGCAUAACACAAAUACAAUAACUGAGACAGAGAUUAGAAACGUACCAGCAACCACGUCCGGUGCUGACUUGGCCUCCUCGGCCGUGAGUUGGAAGGCGCGACCCUGAGCCUUUGGAGGCUCCACCUUGACUAGCCUCCCAUCUUCAAUCCUCACAGUAGCUGGCGCGGAACCCUACGUCGGCUUGGCGGCGAGCUGCGGACAAUUGGUCUUUACAUGACCAACCUGAUGACACUGGUAACAAAUCUUCAUAUCUGUUGGAGGGGCGGACUGACGGCAGUCCCUGGCAUAGUGCCCCUCCUUGCCACAUUUGUGGCACCCACCUCUUGCUCGAGAAACCCCCGAAUGAACCCUGCCACACUUUCCACAAGUGCGGCUCUAAUGACCCCCAGACCGUGUAUCAGCGGUCUUAGACCGCUUAGGCGCCGGCUGAGACUGUGCCGGUGCCUGACGCUACUCCUUCAGCUGCAGCUCUAUCUCCAACUCACACCGCCUCAUGGCUUCCUGAAGGUCCAGGAGGGUAUCACAUCGCCGUGUAGACACAAACUGUUGAAUAUCAGUCUUGAGCAUACUCAGAUAACGAGUCAUCUGAGAUUGCUCCGAAGCAAACUCUGGGCAAAACAUAGCCCUCUCCGUAAACAUACUGGUAAUCUCCAUCACAGACUCCCCAUCCUGUCUCAACAUCAAAAACUCCUGAGCAAGUCGCUCCCGCUCGACGCGUGGAACGUAGCGGGUGCGGAACACAUCCCUGAACUACUCCCAAGUAAUAGUAGCCCACUGAUCAUCAGUAUACGACCCAGUCGUCAAUCUCCACCAGUCUUUUGCCCCAAGCCUCAGUAGGUUCAGGGCACACCUGACCUUCUGGUAAACAGGGCAUGAGCAUGUGAAGAAACAACCCUCCACGUCAUACAACCUCCGCAUAGCCCUGAUCGCAUCCUGCGUACCAUCAAAUGUCGGGGGCUUCGUAUUAUCGAAGUCCCGGUACUGGAAAGCCCUGUCGGCUCCUCCACCAACCCCUGCUGCAGUUACAGCCGAAGUGGAUGCAACGACAGCUAUCUCUGCUAGAGCUGCAUAAUGCUCAUCAAAGUACUCAACCAUCGCGGUCUUAAUCGACCCAAACAUCUCUGGCAGCUGCGCUCGAAACGCAACAUCAAUCUCAUUGUGCAUGAUCUCUCGGAUCCUGGCAUCUAACUCCUUGGUCCCUAUCAGUACCACGAGCUCAGGUGCUACCAGCACCUCCAACCCUCCGUCUCCUGACCCCGAUCCUGAUCCUGACCCUGAUCCGGAUCUAGAAGCAACACGUCUUGUCACCACCAUACUGAAAUAUAUAUAUAUAUAUAUANCAGCCUUAGACACUAUUCCAACACACACACACACACACACACAUAUAUAUAUAUAUAUACACACACACACAAGGCAUCAGAUAAAUAACAUAAUGUCGGGAGACCAAAACCCACAAACCCUAGGGGUUGUGAUUUCCUUGCUACGUGUAUGGGUCCUGUGCUUUCAGUAGUAUGGGCCCAUACUACCUUCCACACCUACCCAUAUUUGUCUCAGGUAUCACCACAACGCCCAUAACAAUAUCAUCAACAUAAAAAUGCGCUCAACCCUCACUUCUAGGGGAAUACCAACUGUCUCGCACCUAGUCUCACCACUUAUCAUGACUCACACAUCCAUGAAACUUCCAUCAUCCCCUACAGCGCUAGUGCAUGCUAGCUGAACGUAAGGCUGGACACAAUAGACUUUCGAAUAUCCAAUCCUACCCGAAGGCCGAAUCAACAUUCUCAGGCUAUAAGGUCUUUAUUACGCACAACCGUGAUACAUACACUAAACAUCUACAAUUAUGAUUUCAAUUCCACAUACAAGAAACCCUAGGCUAAUAGGCAUCAUGUAAUCAGGCAAAUCUAUCAUGCGCUUCCUAAAGAUCCCUAGCCUAGCACUAGCAUGCUGUUCUAACAUACUAGAAUAUCAAAUAACUGUAUGGUAUUUUGGGGUUUACUUACAGGCUCCGACUGAUCGUACCCUUUGCAUCCUCCAUCCUUUAUUUUGAAAACCAUUUUUUCAAAAAAAAAACUUACUUUCCGAAAAUCCCCUUGAUUUGCGACUGGAUUCACAAGAUUGCUCCUCCAAUUCACUCAAACCAAUGCUCGGAUACCAACUUGUAACAUCCAUAAAUUAACGCCAAAUUUAAACUUUUUCAAUCAUAAAAAAAACUCAAAUAGCAUUGUUUACAAAAUGUUUUCAAAUCGAUAUCCAUCAGAGUGUCCCAUAAAUCAUAACAUAAGGAUGAGGAGCGGUACGGUCACCCCUUCGCAUUUCCAUGAUCUCCUGAAGUACCUGAAACAAUAAGCUGAAAACUGUAAGCCCGAGGGCUUAGUGAGCUACCCCCAAAAUACCAAUACCACACUAACAAUACCAUAUCAGUAACAAUCAAUCAAUCAACAUGCAUACUGGGCCAUCGGCCUGACUGGACCGCCCAAAAUGGCCUACAGUCUAUCUGGAUCUAUCCCGAGCCUUCGACAUGACUGGUCCGCCACGUGGGCCUAUAGUCUCCCCGGACCGCUCAUAAGGUGUGUUGACCUACAACACAAAACAGGACUGCCUCAACCCAACCAACGAGCAAAUAACUAUGUGCGCAUAAUUAUCAUAUAUUGGCAUAUACAAACAUCCAACAUAUCUAUCACUUGUCAUCAAUCAUAGAAUUCUCUCGUAACUAGAGUACCGACCUAGCAGGUCACUAACAUACCAAUCCCUACGGAUCAUAAGAGCAUAGCAUACUGUCUACCCUGAUUCCGAUCUAUCAGAACAUGACCACAUAUAGCAUACCAUAACAUUAACAACUAAAGGGCCGACCUUGGUGCCGUAGACCCUAUCGAUAUAGUGAGGAUAACUCACCUCGCAGAUGUCGACUCGGAAGGUAAACUCCAACUCUCGGAUCACUCGACACAGGCUCCACUACCUAUUAUCAUAGCACAAUAUACUCGUAAGUCCUUAACCUUAUAAGGUACUUCAUAACCCCUAAUCAACCCCUGAUCAAAGUCAAAGUCCUCAGUCAAGGUCAACAGUCCAUGUUGACCUCGACUCGCCGAGUACCCUUGGCUACUCGCCGAGUUCCUUGAAGCGUAUUCCAACUCGUCGAGUCAUCGGGGUGACUCGUCGAGUUCCUUCAAUUCCCGAUCAAACAUUAAGGCCACCCGUCGAGUUCCCUCCUUGCAACUCGACGGAUAUACACGCAUACACAUCCAGGAAAAAACUCAUCGGACUCGCCAAGUUGUUUUUCAACUCUUCGAGUCUAUGGCAAUCAUCAUCGGACUCGCCGAGUUGUUCAUCCAACUCGUCGAGUUCACGACCAUCUUCAUGUGAAUCGCCGAGUCCAUUCAUCCCUUUUUCCAUACAGACUUAUUUUGAGCCAUGUAACGGCUCCAACUCACAGAUCCAAGCUUCUAAGGCAUGCUUAUCACAUAAAGUUGCAAAAUUUACGUGCAUUCAUGGCUUUAAAGGCUCCAAAUGCCAAAUCUAAGCUCUUAAUGGGGUUUCAUGCCUAAGAGGGACCUCAACCACAACCAAAAUUGUGACUUUAUGCUUCUAGAAUCCAAAGAGGGUCCAGAUCUGAAGUUACAACUUCAGAUCUAGCCCAUAGCUUAUCAUACCAACUUGAUAUUCCAAGAAAACCCUAAAACUCAACCAAUAGAGGAGAUCUAUAAGGAAAAAGACGGUUUAGUUACCUCUGGAAGAUGAUAUCUGAGAUGAAUGUUGAUUUCCCCACUCUAAAUGGUCCAAUAUCCUCCUCCUCCAAGUCUCCCCCUUCCAAAGAUCCUAUUUUCAAUCUUCAACAAACACAAGGCACACACACACACACACGAAUAAGGGCUCUCAAGGACUCUUUAGAACUAUAAAGAGGUCCAAGGGAGGCUAAGGUCCCUUUAGAUAGGGGUACAAACCCCAGGAUUUAGGGUUUCAUCUGCCAGCUCCUACUCGCCGAGUCCCAAUAUGGACCCGUCGAGUAGGUCACUUAACACGCGAUCCCACCCCGCUGCUACUCGACGAGUAGAGCAACCUACUCGUCGAGUUGAACUUAACCCAAUACAUUUUAUUUAAAACAAUACCUGAGAGUUGGGGCGCUACAAUGGAUGCAAAAACAUGUACAUAUAAUAUAACUUAUAAAGUAUUAUUCUACAAACAUGUUCCACAGAUAAGUAUAAAACCAUGUAGGGAUGUGUCUCCAGGUAGAAACUCACCUCAAUAACUUUAUAUCUAACUCAUUUCAAACUUGUAACGCCUUUUAUUCACCACUUACUACUGACUAUAAUCAAAUGGUUAUAAUCAGACAAAAUUACUCCAAUGAAGGUGUUAGGUUUUCUUUGUUGGAAACUAUGUCCAAGGUCAUUAACUAUUAAUAAUAUUUUUAAUAAUAACAUGGUCCUUUUAGGUUGCCCUCAAGACCCAAAUUGAGUAGAAUAAAUAAAAAAGAAAUUGGUUUAUUAAUUAUUAUGGUUAAUAAUUAAUUAGAAACUAAUUUGAAAUAUAUUUUGGGAAUUAAUAAACAAUUUAAUUAAUUAAAGGGUUUAAUAUUCAUUAAUCGAUAGUUGAUUAAUCAGGAAUAAUCCAAAACCCUUAUGAGAUUAGGGCUGGAUGAAAAUCACUCCAUCCCACAUGGGAAAAUGAGUGAAUUUUGUUCUAGGUUCCUUGUCCCACAUGGGAAGGCGUACUAAACCUAGGAAGGGAUCCAAGGCUAUGAAUAGGGCCUUAGGGAUUUCAUUCUUCCUUGUACCUUGGCUUGAUGUUUCGCCAACUCUUCUUCCUUUCCCUAUUAGGGACAAUUUCUAACCUUCUUAGGGUUUGGAAAAUUAAUCAUUCUCCUAGUUAUUUUUAUUCCACUCUUUUGUGUCAUUAGGUGUGAUACCAUUAGAGGGAUUCUGGUGUGGGUCCUCUCAUCCAAGCAACUUCAUGAAGGAUCAAGAUCUCAAUUAUGGAGAUCAUGGGCUACAUAAGAGGUAUGUUUUCUUCUUAUUUUUUUAUUUAUGUUUUGUAGGGUAGAUGUAACUAGCAUGAAUCCAUAUAUCCAUAGGUUGCAUGUACAUUUAAGUAUAUCGUAGUUUCGAUUUUUCCGCUACCUAAUUUAGAGUGUAUUUGAUGCAUAGAAAACCCAACAGUGGUAUUAGAGCCAUUGGUUCAUGAUUACAUUCACCCUAGAUACAUAUUUUAUGUAAACACUUGUUUGAAAUUGAAUGAAAAAGAUAAAUAAAAAUUUCAUAAGUGUAGAACCUAAUUGUUGCUACGACGUGAGAUCAUAGGAGAUGAAUUUAGUUUGGGAUGUUAGAUCAUGUGUGUGCUCGACUUUGGAUGUGAUUGGAUUGUCAAUCAGCGGUAGGACCAUGGUCAAUGGUUGAGACCACGUGGAAAGUGUUGUAGGACUGCGGGAUAGCCUUAGCAUUCACAAGCAGCCAGACAGUGUGGAAAGUGUUGUAAGACUGCGGGAUAGCCGUAUCAUUCACCAGCAGCCAGACAGCGUGGAAAGUAUUGUAAGACUGUGGGAUAGACGUAGCAUUCACUAGCAGCCAGACAACAUGGAAAGUGUUGUACGAUUGCAGGAUAGUCAUAGCAUUCACCAGUAGCCAGACAACAUGGAAGGUGUGGUAAGACUGCGGGAUAGUUGUAGCAUUCACUAGCGGCCAAAUAGCAUGGGAAAUAUGGUAAGACUGCAGGGUGGCCUGUAGCAUUCAUUAGUCAAUAGAUAGUGUAGAAGUGUUGUAAGACUGUUGGGUGGCCCAUAGCAUUCACUAGUUGGCAGAUAUAGUAGAAAUGUUGUAAGACUACGGGGUAGCCCAUAGCAUUCGUUAGUUAGCCGUUAGUAUAAGGGUAUAGUAAGACUGCGGGGUGGCCCGUAGCAUCCACCGGUCCCUAUUCGGCAGUGAGAAUGUGACAUAUAUGUGGUUCAAUCAUGGAUUCCUUCAUAUAGUUUAGACCAGACCGGGACAACCUGCACGAAUGUGAGUAGGCCACAGUAUGAUCAGAUUCUAGGAAUGGUAGGUCCUUGGAGACCAGGCAUGAUGUAAGGCUAUAGUGGUUCUGGUAGCAUUCACUUUUCAUAUUAGAUUCGGGGAUGAUGGGUAGUCGAACUGUUAUGAUUAGGAGGAUCAAAAGGAAUAAUGGAUCCAUGAGUGGCAAUAUGGUUAGGGUAGAUUUCGAUAGACGAAGUUCUUUUUGGAAGUCGUAGGAAGUGACUGUGAGGUUGCUCUUUGGCUCAGCAACCGGGUAGGAAUCUGAUAUUCCGGAUAGCGGAUGUGAUUUGGGAUUUGCGUAGAGUAGAUUGUGGACAUGAAGAUGCUAAGACACUUGUAGUUGGAUUAAAUAAUCUUAGAGUAAUUAAUUUGACCCUGUUGCGCAGCUCUCGUCUGAGUCUAACCGUUGCAGGGAUGAAUCUUCUACUCGAAGGAUUAUCUGAGCCUUCUGUCAAAUAUAAGUAUUUUGCAGCUGGUUAUGGUCAGUGGCUUAGUUUUCGUAGGUUGCAUCAAGAUAAUCAGGGUUGCAAGUAUUAUGGUUGGUCAGUUAUUCGUUGAGGUUUUGGCAUGGUAAUUUUUCAGCUUAGGCGGUCUGUCGGGGAGAUAGACCAUUAUAGAUUUCGGAUCUCGGGAAGGUAGAUGUGGUUUUUUGUAUGAAAGUAAGGAUUUAUCCUUCAUCGGGUUUGGAGAGUCUUGCUUCGUUGGGUUCAGUUGCCUCGGGAAGACCAUUGAAUGCUCUGUAUGAUGGAUGCAUCUUUUAGGCUGUCGGGUGACAGUAUUCGUUGGAUUCAGAAUGGGUUGUCGGUUGUGAGUGGGAACAUCGAUGGGAUCAUAGCAGAAAAUGGGAGCAUGCGAAAGUGGCAUGUGAGUAGUAUCCGGAGUGGGUUGCUGCAGCAGACUUCGAGGACGAAGUCUAGUUUAAGCAAGGGAGAUUUAUAACAUCUUGAGAAUCAUAAGGUUCAUAUUGCAUGCAUGGGCUUGAUCUAAUUAAGUAUGGAGGUUUUUCAAGCCUAGAACGUUUAAUUGCUAGCUUGGUGUUGGAGGUAAGGCUUGCAUGCGGGGCGUUCAUAUCUUGAACGCUCAGCGUUCAGUGCAUGAAGUGGACACAGAGGCCAAGACGAACGCGGGGAGUUCUAGGGAGAAACGCAGGGCGUUCGCCGUCUGUACUCAAAAACCCUAAGUGUGCACUAUUGAAACAAGUUAAGACCCAAGGUUCUUCAUUCUUUCUGCCUCCACUGUACCUUGAGCCUCAUUCCGAAACCCUAACCUUAGUUGUGAGUGUGUGAGCUUGGAAGAUCAUCUUUGAGUGUAUUUUGGUGUUCUUGAAGGAGAGUGAUCACCUUAGAGUCUCAUUGAUCAAGGAAGAGCUUUUGGAUUAAGAUUCUCUAGCUCAUUUGCAAGUAUCAGAAGGUAUAGAGUUUCUAUCUUGAUAUCUUAUAGCUUAAGACCUAGAUUAGGGAUUGUUUUGUGCUUCUUAUGAACAUGUGGAUGCUCUUUGGGAGUUUGAGCCACUCCAAAAGCCUAGGAUUGCAGAUCCUCACAUUUCUGAGUUGUUUGAGUCAUAAAAAUGGUAACUUGAUGGUUGAUGACCAAGCAUUCAAAGGUUUUGGGUCUUGAUUUAUGGAUUGGAAUCUUUAAUGGAUGUUUGGGUCCUUUUUGGGCCAUGCAAAGGUGCCAAGUUGAUGACUUUAUGGCUUAAGACACUGAUAGGAAGCUACUUUGAAGAUUUGAACUUUGGACUUAAGGUAUUAACACAUAAAUGUAAUUUUUGGUCCCUGGUCGGGAACGCAGCAUGCUCAUCUCGGGAACGUUGUACGUUCCGACGUCGAGUCACGAUCGGCGGUCAGGCAACGAACGCCCAAUGUUCGGUCCAACAGUAGGCUUCUUAGGCUUGUUCUCAUUGGGCUUCAGACUUGGAUUGGAGUUUUUGCAUGUUGGGAUUUUUGUUAAGAAGGUUCUUAGAGCUUUGGACUUUUUUUUGGACAUGUCUAGUUGGGCCAAUAUUUCGUAUUGGGCCUUGGUGGUCCCAAUGGUUUUGGACUUUACUUGGCCCAAUGGGCUUGGACCUAUGGGCCAUCGGAGAAUUAUUAUUGGACCAGGAAUUGUUGGCUUUAGGUAAGGCCCAUAUGGGGUUAGGCCCAAUUUGGAAAAUUGGGGCAUUAGUGGGAUCUUAUGGAUCAUAUAGUUUUGGGCCUUUUUGUAACAUCCAAGAAUACGACCCAAAAAUUUUUGUUUUAAAUAAUAGUAAAAUCAUAUUCCAAUCGUCACAUCAUAAAAUCAUGUGUCAAUUAUCUCAACCCAUAAUAAAAUGUCAUGAACAUUUGUGACAAACCAAACUAUGAAUCAAAACAAACAUCCAGGAAAAAGACUGAAGCUGUGGUGUGUGCGAUGCCAUCAUCCCGAGAUCUUCCCUUUACUUGCGGAAGUACCUGAAACCAAAACUGAAACUGUAAAAAUGAAGCUUAGUGAGCUACCCCAAACUACCACAUACCAUACAAUAACAUAUAAAGCAUCUACUGGGCCUUGCCCACUGCAUCGGACCGAAGUCCGGAAACUUACCAGGGCCUUGCCCUCUGCAUCGGACCGAAGUCCGGAAACUAACCAGGGCCUUGCCCUCUGCAUCGGACCGAAGUCCGGAAACUGCAUCGGACCGGAGUCCGGAACUAACCAGGGCCUUGCUCUCUGCAUCGGAUCGAAUUCCGAAACUAACUGCAUCAGACCGAAGUCUGGAACUGAAUGGGACCUUGUCCCUUGCAUCGGAUCGAAGUCCGCAACUGACCGAACGUAACAUAGCAUAAACAUAUCAACUAGCAUGAAAACAUAUACUGCAUACUACAUCGGAACAGAGUCCGGAACACAUAACACAAAACGUGCUUGAAUCACAAAGACGUCAAGCACUCUAACUACUGCAUCGGACCGAAGUCCGAAACUACUGCUAACUAAACGGGCCGACAUUGUGGCCGUAGACCCGUUCCUACUGGAAGGAAACUCACCUCGUGAUGCUGACCGAUGCACUCCUGAAUGAGAAAUCCCUGACUGCUGCUCCGGCUGCUUCCCAGCUAUAAUGGGAAAUAAAUACUAAAUCAGAAUAGGGAUUCCUCUCUGGGUAAAAUGACCAUUUUACCCCUACUAUGGUGUGAGACACAACAUGGCCCAAAACCUCAAUUCCUUCUAAGUUCAUCUAUGGCCCCACUAUAGGCCCACUAAUGGCCCAAUUUGCUAUUUUAGGCCUAGGACCCUUUUAUUGGGCCUUACCCAAGCCCAAUACUAAAUCCUUGGUCCUUAGCAACUGAAUUCUGAUGGGCCAUAAAGGCCCAAGGAUCCUAAGCCUAAAACCCAACCCACAUCGAGGCCCAACACUCAAAGCCCAAACUGGUAGCAUACGCAGGGCGUACACCAAGGUACGCUGAGCGUACUGGCUGCUGGCUUUUACACGGCGCGUACUUCCUUGUACGCCCAGCGUACAACUCUGUUAAGCCAACAUCCCAUUAAGUCCUUAAUAAUUCGAUCCAGAAGCUACAAAUCCAGAUCCUAAGCUUGUUCCAUGACUUAAGCUAUAAAGUUGCUUACUUGAUGGCUUACAAGUCUCAUAAAGGCUCAAACUUACACAAAUAACAUUCUACUUCCAUAAAACCAACAAGAUCUCAGGCAUGGUUCCAUAUAAGCCACAAAGAUCGAAACUUUACUACUAUAGGGACACUUGAGCCUCAAGGAUAGCAAUCCCAAGCUCCAAAAACGAAGUUGCUAGAUAAAGGUCCUUCCUUUGGACCUAAAAGGUCCAAACUUCCAAAAACUCCUAGAUCUAAACUUACAAGAGGAAAGUUGGAAGCUUUAUACCUCUUUUGAAUGCCAAAAGAAAGGAUGAUCCCAGAUCUAUGAGCUCAAGGUGCUCAAGUUCUUCUUCUUCCACUUCUCUUCUUCUUCUUCUUCACAAAAAUAAGCUCAAAGAUCAAACACACACAAACAAGGAGCAAAGGGGGACGAACUAGGGUUUCUAUGGAGUGAAUGAUAAGUGAGGGGUCCAAAUGGAAGGCUAUAACGGGGUUUAAAUACGCCUCAACCCCUAAAAUUAGGGUUUGCCACCUGGUCGCGUACACUGGGCGUACCUUAAGGUACGUUGCGUGUAUGCUCAGCCUCCCCGUGUUUCAUUUAAUCAGUACGCCCAGCGUACAAGGGGGUUACGCCCCGCGUACAGCUUAUGGGCUGCUUACUCUUCGGCCCAAAAUAAAGGUACACUCACAAUAUUAAUUCAGUUAUGGCCCAAACUAAACUAAAGAAUUAAAUAACUUUUAUACCUCGGAAACGAUCGUUACAAAUCUCCCCUACUUGAAUCAGACUUCUUCCUCGAAGUCUGCUGCCACUGAAUCUGAAAAUAACUCCGGGUAAUGCUCCUGCAUCUCCUCCUCUCAUUCCCACUUCUACUCUGAACCCUUCCGGUGCUGCCACUGCACCUGCACUAGCUGAUUUACCUUGUUCCUCAAGGUCUUUGUCUUCCGGUCCAGAAUCGCGACCGGCCUCUCAAUAUAAUUAAGCUUCUAUCAACCUGAAUGUCCUCUAAGGGAACAACUGCUGACUCAUCCACCAAACACUUCCUCAACUGGGAAACAUGGAAAGUGUUGUGGAUCUGGCUAAGCUCUGCCAGAAGAUCCAACCGGUAAGCAACCCGACCCACCCGGGCCAGAACUCUAAAAGGACCAAUGAAUCUGGGGCCCAUCUUUCCCCUCUUCCGAAAUCUGAUGACACCCUUCCAAGGUGAUACCUUAAGGAGGACCAUGUCGCCUUCCUGAAACUCCAAGUCUUAUCGCCUCCUAUCGGCGUAACUCUUCUGCCGACUCUGCGCAGUCUGCAGCCUACUGCGUACCUGCUGGAUCAACUCUGUCGUCUUGAGCACCACUUCGGUGCUCCCAAUGACAUGCUGACCGACCUCGCCCCAACAAAUCGGGGUCCUACACUUCAUCCCAUAUAGCAUGUCGAAGGGAGGUCGGUCAAUACUCGCAUGGUAACUGUUGUUAUACGAAAAUUCAGCUAACGGAAGAUACGUAUCCCAACUGCCACCGAAAUCUAGGACACAUGCCCGAAGCAUAUCCUCCAGGGUCUGAAUCGUCCUCUCACUCUGUCCGUCCGUCUGGGGGUGGAAAGCGAUGCUGAAAUAGAGACGAGUGCCCAUCUCGUCAUGAAACCGCUUCCAAAAUCUGGAAGUAAAACGGACAUCUCGGUCUGACAUCACAGAUUCAGGCACUCCAUGCCGUGCAACAACCUCUCGCACAUAAAUAUCAGCUAGUUUCUCCGCCGAUAUACUCUCCUGGAUCAGUAUAAAAUGAGCACUCUUCGUCAACCGAUCCACAAUAACCCAAAUCGAAUCCUCCCCACGUGCGGUCCUAGGGAGCUUAGUGAUGAAAUCCAUGGUGAUAUCCUCCCAUUUCCACACUGGAAUGUCUAACGGCUGCAACUUGUCGUGGGGCCUCUGGUGCUCUGCCUUGACCUUCCUGCAGGUCAGGCACCUCUCCACAUACCAGGCGACAUCCCGCUUCAUGCAGGGCCACCAAUAAUCAGGUCGAAGAUCCCUAUACAUCUUCGUCUCCCCUGGAUGGAUGGAAAAUCGAGACUUAUGAGCCUCGUCCAUCAACAACUGCCGUAAUCCGCCCCACUACGGUACACAUACUCUCCCAUGAAGAGUCAACAAUCCUCGACUAUCGUAGUCAAAAGAAGCUACUCGGCCCACAAUCCUAUCAUACUUAUGUCUCUCCUCCUUGAGGCCCUCGGUCUGCGCCUCUUUGAUUUGCUCCAACAAUGUAGUAAUCACUGUCAUCCUCAAACAAAUAUCUCUGAUCGGGGCUGCUGCUGCCUUGCGGCUCAGGGCGUCGGCCACUACAUUGGCCCUCCCUGGGUGAUAUAAGAUCUCACAGUCGUAAUCCUUCAACACAUCUAACCAUCGCCUCUGCCUCAUGUUUAGAUUCGACUGAUCCAUGAGGUACCUCAAGCUCUUGUGAUCCGUGUAAAUGGUACAACGGACCCCGUAGAGGUAAUGUCUCCAAAUCUUGAGGUCGAACACCAUUGCCCCCAAAUCUAAAUCAUGUGUAGGAUAAUUAGCCUCGUGAGGCUUCAACUGUCUCGAGGCGUAAGCUAUCACAUGACCUCGCUGCAUCAACACUGUUCCCAUACAUGUGAUCGAAGCAUCACAAUAAACCACAAAAUCCUCUACUCCAUCUGGCAGGGUAAGAAUCGGUGCCUCGCACAAUCUCUGCCUGAGGGUCUCAAAUGCUGCUUGCUGCUCAGGCCCCCAACGAAACACCACCGACUUCUUAGUCAGUCGGGUGAGCGGUACUGCUAUCUUGGAGAAAUGCUGAAUGAACCUCCUGUAGUACCCUGCCAGACCUAGGAAGCUCCGAAUCUUAGAUGGAGACCUCGGGACCUCCCACUUCAUCACGGCCUCUAUCUUGGCCGGAUAUACCAAAAUACCCUUCUGGUUGACGAGGUGUCCAAGGAACUGCACCUCGCACAACUAGAACUCGCACUUGGAGAACUUCGCGAAAAGUCUCUUUUUCCUUAAAAUCUCUAGCACCUCCCUCAGGUGCUCCUCGUGCUACUCCUAAGUUUUGGAAUAAGCCAAGAUGUCAUCAAUGAAUACUAUCACUGAUCGAUCCAACAACGUCCUACAUACGCGGUUUAUGAGGUCCGUGAACGCGACUGGGGCGUUGGUGAGCCUAAAUGGCAUCACCACGAACUCAUAAUGACCGUACCGGGUCCUGAAAGCAGUUUUCUGCACAUCCUCAUCCCUGACUCUCAUCUGAUGAUACCCGGAGCGUAAAUCGAUCUUGGAAAACCAAGACGCUCCCUGCAGCUGAUCAAACAAAUCAUCUAUCCUUGGAGUGGGUAACGGUUCUUCACCGUUACCUUAUUUAACUCCUGAUAAUCAAUACACAUACGGUGCGGUCCGUCCUUCUUCUUCACAAACAAAAUCGGUGCUCCCCAGGGCGAACUGCUCGGCCUAAUAAAACCCUUGUCUAACAGCUCAUGCAGCUGCGUAGACAACUCUUACAUCUCUAGGGGAGCCAACCGAUACGGUGCCUUGGCUAUCGGAGCCGCACCAGGGAUUAGGUCAAUUCCGAACUCGACCUGCCUCUCGGGAGGUAUUCCAGGAAAAUCCUAUGGAAAUACAUCCGGGUAGUCUCGCAUUACCGGAACAUCAUCAACUGUUGUCUUUCCCUUCUCCCGGGCAUCUAAAACAUAGGCAACAUAACCGGCAUAACCCUACUGAAAAUAGCGCCUCGCUCUCGCCACUGAACAUAGAACUGGUCCGCACUGUGGCCUCUCGCCCUGAAUCACUAACUCUCCCCCACUAGGAGUGCGAACCCUCACCAACUGUAGCUCACAAUCUAUCACCGCCCCAUUGGGGCUCAGCCAAUCCAUGCCUACUAUGAACUUAUUCCCUCGCAAGGGAAUAGGGACCAAGUCCACCGGAAACUGCUCAUCGAAUAAUUGUAGGGAACACCCUCUGUGCAUCCUUGCAACCCUAACGGUCCUAUCAGCUGCUAUCUCAACCUCAAGUGGACAAUCUAGCUCCCAUGGAGCUUUGCUAAACCCCUUGCUAAGUGCAAGAGAGACGAAUGAUUGGGUAGCCCCCGAAUCAAACAAUACGGUAGCUGAUAUGCCGUUCACUGGGAACGACCCUAUACAAAACAUAUAACCAUAAGAAACAAUCAAUAAUAAAUGCAGAGGUACGGAGAAAAAAAAUACAUACCCGUCACCACGUCAGGAGUCGCUCGCGCCUCCCCUGCUGUCAACUGAAAAGCCCUACUCUUUGCCACUGGAGUCUCAGCUCGGCCCUGACGGCCAUCUGUAAUCCUCAAAGUAGCAGGGGCAGGGGCUGACACCUUCCCUGCAGCAGCUAAACCCGGACACUAGGACUACUUAUGUCCCCUCUGAUUGCAAUGGAAGCAAAUCAGAUCUGAUGCCGCAACGGCAGUAGUAGUGGCUAUACAAUCUCGGCUCAUAUGCCCAGUCCGACCGCACUUGUAGCAGCCAGCACUCCCUGCUUUGCACGCCCCAUCGUGCAAUCUCCCACACUUGCCACACCUAGCGUGGCUCCGCUGACUCCUAGCUCUGUGAUCUGAACCCUUGGGCUUUUUGCCCGAACUUCGUGAACCUGGAGCCGCCUCCGGCUUCCUCUUUCUCUCCAUCUCAAGGUCAAUCUCUCUCUCUCUCUCUCUCGCCCUAGCAAUCAUGUCAUCCAGCGUCUUACAGCUGGAUCGGCUCACGAACUGGCGGAUAUCACUCCGCAACAUCUCAUGAUAACGGGAUUUGUUCAUUUCCUCAUCAGGUCCGUACUGAGGAACAAGAAGAGCCCUCUCCCUGAACUUGGCGGUAAUCUCCGCCACUGUCUUUAUAGUCUGGGUAAGAUCCUGAAACUCUCUGGCUAACUGCUGCACCUCAAUGAUCGGUGAGAACUCAGCUCUGAACCUGGUAGUGAAAUCAGUCCAGGUCAUAGCAUCCAAAGUUGCGUCAUCCCCAAUGGCAUGACCAACCUCCUCCCACUAAUCCCAUGCCCUGUCCUUCAAGAGACAGCACGCCAAUCUGACCUUGUCCCCCUCAGGACAUCUGCUAGUGCGAAAAGCGUUGGCCACAUCUGCCAACCAUCUAGUACUCGCUAUGGGGUCUCGCGCCCCGUGAUAAUCCGGAGCUCCGCAUGCCCGGAACUCCCUAAAAGUAAGCGUGCGCGACCCCAUCAUGGCCGCUAUCUCAGCACAGAAGGUGCUCAACCUCUCAUCCAUCAACUCUAAGAUACCCUCCCUGAUCGAACCGAAGAUUACAAGAGUCUGCUCAAGUAUGGUGCGAGUAAUCUCUGAAGAGAGAAACUCCCUAGUCUGCUUAUCCAACUGCCCGGCCUCCGGGCCUGGUUCUGAUCCCCCUCCGACACCUGAACUGCCGACUGCUGGUCUAGGGCAUAAUACCACCAUUCUGAAACACAUAAAAAAAAGCAUCAGGAACACUGAUAUAUCUACGUACCCUUGGUCUCAUCUCAGCUUUUCUUGAUUCGACUACAGAUCCUCUGCUUUCAGUAGUACGGGCCCAUACUACCUUCCACAUAUAUCCGUACUUUCCUCAAGUACUGCCUCGACUCCACCAAGUCACUCCUACUACUACUGAUCUCUGCUACUCUCAUCCUAGGCUUGCCCUAGGGAAAUAUCUGACUCAACCUAACCGGUCCUCAACUGCUGUAGGCCUCCUUGUAAUGCCAAUUAACCUUUACCUGAAUACCAUCACAUGUGGCGAGGCUCAAAUAAUCCUUCGAGUAAAAGACUUGUCCUCACAACGGUUAGACUCAAACAAGAGUUGCGCAGCAGGGACAAAUCCAACACUCUGAGAUUAUUUAACCCUGAUCCCAUGUGACGUGACGUAUUCACCUAAUGGCUAAAUCUCAUUAUUCAGAGUCCCACAAAGCACAAAGCAAGAAGCAUUCGGACACAGGAAAUUACUCGAGCAAUUCUAUCCUCAUAACGAGAAACUGUACUAGCAUGCAAUUUAUAAGCUCAUACUAUCAGGCAUAGCCUAAACAGACUAUCCUACUGCUGUCUACUCAAUACUAACAUGCAAUUCUCAUAAAGCUGAAUCACAUAUAGCAGACACAUAAGGCAUCCUCCUAGAUCCUUAGCCCAAUUCUAGCAUGCUGUUCUACUAAAACUGAUAACUCAUAACAUAAACUCGUAUGGGUAAUUUGGGAGUACUUACUUGAGCUCGGCUGAUCGCAUGCACCACACCCCUUUUCUCUUUUCAAAGUCCUUUUCUUUCUACAAAUUUCUUUUCACUUUUCUAAAACUCUUUUCUUUUGAAAACAUUUUACCACUUCCUUAUUUUGAGUUCAGACACACCCGAAAGUGUGUCCGAAUCCCUCAAACCAAGGCUCUGAUACCAACUUGUAACAUCCAAAAAUACGACCCAAAAAUUUUUGUUUUAAAUAAUAAUAAAAUCAUAUUCCAAUCGUCACAUCAUAAAACCAUGUGUCAGUUAUCUCAACCCAUAAUAAAAUGUCAUGAACAUUUGUGCGAAAUCAAACUAUGAAUCAAAAUAAACUCCCAGGAAAAGACUGAAGCUGUGGUGUGUGCGAUGCCAUCAUCCCGAGCUCUUCCCUUUACUUACGGAAGCACCUGAAACCAAAACUGAAACUGUAAGCAUGAAGCUUAGUGAGCUCCCCCAAACUACCACAUACCAUACAAUAACAUAUAAAGCAUCUACUGGGCCUUGCCCACUGCAUCGGACCGAAGUCCGGAAACUUACCAGGGCCUUGCCCUCUGCAUUGGACUGAAGUCCGGAAACUAACCAGGGUCUUGCCCUCUGCAUCGGACCGAAGUCCGGAAACUGCAUUGGACCGGAGUCCGGAACUAACCAGGGCCUUGCCCUCUGCAUCAGAUCGAAGUCCGGAACUAACUGUAUCAGACCAAAGUCCGGAACUGAAUGGGACCUUGUCCCUUGCAUCGGAAUGAAGUCCGGAACUGACCGAACGUAACAUAGCAUAAACAUAUCAACUAGCAUGAAAACAUAUACUACAUACUACAUCGGAACAGAGUCCGGAACACAUAACACAAAACGUGCUUGAAUCACAAAGACGUCAAGCACUCUAACUACUGCAUCGGACCGAAGUCCGAAACUACUGCGAACUAAACGGGCCGACAUUGUGGCCGUAGACCCGUUCCUACUGGAAGGAAACUCACCUCGUGAUGCUGACCGAUGCACUCCUGAAUGAGAAAUCCCUGACUGCUGCUCCGGCUGCUUCCCAGCUAUAAUGGGAAAUAAAUACUAAAUCAGAAUAGGGAUUCCUCUAUGGGUAAAAUGACCAUUUUACCCCUACUAUGGUGUGAGACACAACAUGGCCCAAAACCUCAAUUCCUUCUAAGUCCAUCUAUGGCCCCACUAUAGGCCCACUAAUGGCCCAAUUUGCUAUUUUAGGCCUAGGACCCUUUUAUUGGGCCUUACCCAAGCCCAAUACUAAAUCCUUGGUCCUUAGCAACUGAAUUCUGAUGGGCCAUAAAGGCCCAAGGACCCUAAGCCUAAAACCCAGCCCACAUCGAGGCCCAACACUCGAAGCCCAAACUGGUAGCGUACGCGGGGUGUACACCAAGGUACGCUGAGCGUACUGGCUGCUGGAUUGUACGCGGCGCGUACUUCCUUGUACGCCCAGCGUACAACUCUGUUAAGCCAACAUCUCAUUAAGUGCUUAAUAAUUCGAACCAGAAGCUACAAAUCCAGAUCCUAAGCUUGUUCCAUGACUUAAGCUAUAAAGUUGCUUACUUGAUGGCUUACAAGUCUCAUAAAGGCUCAAACUUCCACAAAUAACAUUCUACUUCCAUAAAACCAACCAGAUCUCAUGCAUGGUUCCAUAUAAGCCACAAAGUUCGAAACUUUACUACUAUGGGGACACUUGAGCCUCAAGGAUAGCAAUCCCAAGCUCCAAAAACGAAGUUGCUAGAUAAAGGUCCUUCCUUUGGACCUUAAAGGUCCAAACUUCCAAAAACUCCGAGAUCUAAACUUACAAGAGGAAAGUUGGAAGCUUUAUACCUCUUUUGAAUGCCAAAAGAAAGGAUGAUCCUAGAUCUAUGAGCUCAAGGUGCUCAAGUUCUUCUUCUUCCACUUCUCUUCUUCUCAUUCUUCAUAAAAAUAAGCUCAAAGAUCAAACACAUACAAACAAGGAGCAAAGGGGACGAACUAGGGUUUCUCUGGAGUGAAUGAUAAGUGAGGAGUCCAAAUGGGAGGCUAUAAUGGGGUUUAAAUACGCCUCAACCCCUAAAAUUAGGGUUUGCCACUUGGUCGCGUACGCUGGGCGUACCUUAAGGUACGAUGCGCGUACGCUCAGCGUCCCCGCGUUUCAUUUGAGCAGUACGCCCAACGUACAAGGGGGUUACGCCCCGCGUACGGCUUAUGGGCUGCUUACUCUUCGGCCCAAAAUAAAGGUCCACUCACAAUAUUAAUUCAGUUAUGGCCCAAACUAAACUGAAGAAUUAAAUAACUUUUAUACCUCGGAAACGAUCGUUACACUUUUGAUUUUGGGCUUGGGCCUCGUCUUUUGGUUUAUGUUAUGUCAGGGGUAAAAUGGUCAUUUUACGCCAAGUGUGGAUUAUGGAUCAUGGUUUGGAAUUCAAUUGCUAACUAGAGGUUGUUUUGGUUAUUCUUAGUUUGGGAAAUCGUCAAGGCAGCAACUAGGGAUUUCGUGCAGUGAGCUUCUGCAUUCGAGGUGACUCUCCUCACUAUUUGUAUGGGUUGAAGGCACCAAAGCUAACUUAUUUGGUUUAUGUAUGGUAGGAAGACCCGGGGGUUAGCCCUUGGCACUAUAUAUGAAAGACCAUGAGGCAACUCCUAACACACUGUAUGCUAUUAGCUAAGUAGAGUAGAUUGUACACUAUUUGUCUUUGUGGUACUUGCAUGGAAGACCCGGAGAUGGUUACUGGCACUUGUCUAUAGGACCCAGGGGGUGGCCCCCGACUUGACAAGAAAGACCACGAGGCGGCCCGUGUCAUAACGGCAAGAGUAUGUGCAACACAUAGCAUCUUAUAUAACUAUGAUUGAUGUAUAGCUCAUGGUUAUGUAUGACAUGUAUGGAUAUGAUUGAUAUGUAUGUUAUGUGGUAUUUGGGGAACUCACUAAGCUUCAUGCAUGCAGUUUUCAGUUUUUGUUUCAGAUACCUCCAGUUUUCAAAUAAAGGAGCUCGGGACGAUCGCAAUGCAUAUACCCAUGUUUUUUUCGCAAUAUGUGAUCUUUGGGAUUAGACUCUGAUAUUAAUUUAAUUGAAAUGUUUUUAGUGUCCGAAACAAAGUUAUUAAGUGUUUUUCCUAUAUUAAAAAUGAAAAUUUUACCUUAGAUUUUUGGGUCGUUACAUUUUAAUUGACGUGGUAAGUGAUGUGGCAAGCUGUUAAUUGAAGUGGCAAAUGAUACCUGCUGACUUCCCUUUCAAAAUAGUGACCUUUUAACCCUUCUAAAUUGGACUUCAUAUCCUUAGAAAGAGAAAAAAAGACAUUUUAAACCAAAAGCUCUAAGUUAGUUGGGCUAUAGUGACAUUUUCCCCUAUAAGAUAUUGUUUAACAUUGGUGUAGUUUUUCUGUUUCUUAAGGUUUUAAUGAGUAAUAUACUUACGUUAGAAUGAAAACGCUCUCUGAUGCUUGAAAGGUUUGUAGAUUGAAACCCAUUUAAAAUGAAGAGGAACACGCAAUAAUUUAAAUCAUUGUAAUGUUAGUCUAGAAGAGACUGUUGAUUUAGUGAUGGCGUGAAAGUUGUUAAUAUAAAUGGUAGGUAGAGGAUUUUUCCCUAUAAAGUUUACCUUUAAUAGAAUCUUGAAUGACCUUUUGCUUACUGCAAUCAUGAUUCUGCCAAAGAAAUACUUAGAGCACAGAGUAGAUGUGGCCGUCUCCCUUGGGAAGAUUUCAAAGGAAACAACUGAAGAUUUACUACAUUGAAUAUUAUCCAGCAUCUAAGUUGUUCAGACAAAAGUUGUUAAAAUCAAAACAAAGAUAAAGAACACGGGCAGUUUAGUAAAUAAACAAAGUUACAAUUAAGAAGCCGAUAUAAACUUUUAUUAUAUAUUGACGACUAAAUAUAUUGUUAUACAUCUUUUGAUAUAAACUUUUAUUAUAUAUUGACGACUAAAUAUAUUCUUAUACAUCUUUUUUUCAUUUACCAAAAUGAUCAAAGCUUGAAAAAAUGUUUUUGAUUUUAUUAAGAAUAAGUAUUUUGUAUUUACACUGUAUUAUGAAAAUAUUUUGAUUUUCUAGUGCUUUAUGUGAUCUUCAAUUUUUUUUCAUGCCUAUCUAAAAUCCCAAUUUCUUAAAAUGACUCCUCAUAUUGUAAUAGAAAAGUAGACAAUAUAUAAUGAAUUAUGUUGUGAUUUGUAAUAUUUACUUCACGAGAUUUGGGGUUUAACAACCCAUAAUAUAAUCAUAAAGAUGUUAGAAACGCGUUAUAAAUUAAACAUGUCUUGACUGAUUUAAAGUUAUUCGCCUUUUAUAAUUGUUAAAUUCUUUGAACAAUAUGUUUGUGUAGUUUUAAAUCAAAACAAUCGUAUUUUCACUUUUUAACAAAAACAAAGUACUUUUCCUUUUAUUUUAUCACCAAAACAACAAUCUUAAUUAGUUUUAAGCCAAAAAUAGCCAUGUACUUAUAUUUUUAAGUCAAAGCAUGAAUGUAUUUAUAUUUUUAAUCCAAUAUAGUAAUGUAUUUUUAUAACAUUCGGCAAUCAUAUUAUAGAAGCAAAGAUAAUUUCCGGAAGUAAUCUUUGAUGAUUUCUAUUAAAAGGAUACUUUUCACAUUUCAAAUAAGAUAAUUUCCAUUAGUUGUAUGUUUUGCGUUUACAAUAAACAAGAGUCUUGGAAAAUCUUUAUCGAAUGUGGGGCUGUUUUUUUACAUUGUUCACUCAUAAGUUAAAAGCAUAAUUGAUUAAAAAUAUUAAUUUUAGAGAACGAUAGUAACUUAGCAAUAGGACAUCUAAUGUUGUAUUAAAAAAAAUCUUUGGAAUUUGUAAGUCAACACAAUUAUUUAAAAUAUCAAUAGUUUUUUUUUUUUUUUUUUUUUUUUUUUUUUUUUUUUUUUUUUUUUUUUUUUUAUUUUUUUUUUUUUUUUUUUUUUUUUUUUUUUUUUUUUUUAUUAUAGAUUGAAUUGCUUACUUAUUCACCAUUUUCUUUGUAUUUUUUUCAAAAUUUUAGUUUUAAAAUUGCUUAAUGUUUACAUCUUGAUAUUUAAUUUAAUUUUAAUCAACAUGUGUAGUAUACAGGUUUCACACCUAGUAUAAUUAAAGAGAAAGUGCCAUGUGGACGCCACUUAAACCUCCAUGUAAGUAAGUUCUAUAUGGAAUGUCACGUCAUCUUAUAACAGGCUAUCCCAUUCUUCCUUCUAAUAAUGACCUUUUUGAUAUAUUUCUUGAAAGUUUAGGACUUUGAAUGACAAAAAGAUAAACGAGUGACCAAAUGAGAUCAAAACCUAUAUAAGUUGUGGGGAAACAGUGACAUCAACCCAAAACACAAAACUAUCAUCCAUAAUAACACUAACAAAACUUUCCGCUUUGCUCUUUAAUUUUGAAUCGUCACAUGAUUUUCAUAAUUCACAACCUGGAACAAAGAUUUCACAGUUAAAUUUGGAAAACUAGCAAGCAAUAUUUUCCAUCGUUUAGGAGAACUUGGAAAAAAUGCAAGUUCAGAUGGUAUUUAGUACCUUUUAAUCUCAACAGUUUCUUUCUGAAAACUAGUUGAUCUGUAGGGGCCAUGUGCUGCAAAUAGAACAGACAAGUCAAUAGUAGAAACUAUAAACUCAAGUGUAAAUUACAAUUUCGAUUUCCAUUUAUAACUGAUGCAAAGAGCCAAAACUAAUCAUGUUUACAUUAUGAAAUGUAAUGGAAGUGCAACUGCUAUCGAAAUAUGAUAUCUAAUGGAUUCUAACUUACACCAUUACUAAACCGGCGACUCGGUUUCAAAUGAAAUCGAUUUGUAUGAAACCAUUUUUUUCUACACCAGUCCGGUUCGGUUUUUGGCUUUUUAGUGUCCCUCUAACUUUCUUCUUGUUUUUUAGAUGCUACGAAGUGUAUUGAAUUUUGUAGGAUAUCUUAUUUCAUACAAAACAGAGAAAAUGGCCACCCAUGGUUUUGGUGGCAACUUUAUUAAUAUGGAGGGCUUAAAACCUCCAGCAAAAUUACAUACUGGAAAAUAAGAAAUCAAAAAUAAAAACUAGAUGACAAACUGUGUUUAUCUAGCUUUAUGCAAACUUGAAAUGCGCAUCAGCACCUUCACCUAAACCCAAUCUUUGCAGCUAUCAAAAAAGUGAAAAAAUGCACGUCUCCCUCGGUGGUUGAGAAGUAAAGCACCACAUGCUAUCCAAAAUCCAAUAGCAAAACCAGUUCCCCCACCAGCAUAAAACCAUCCCCAAAAUUCAUCUAUGUCUUUCGCAUCACUCUUACUUUUACCAACGAUUGGUGGGACUUCUGAUUCUUCGUCUCCAGGACACUUUUUGGUAAGGGGAAGUCCACAUAGUUGUGAAUUCCCAUCAUAUCUUGAAGGUUCAAAGGACUGGAGUUGAGUGCUAGAUGGAAUUCUCCCUGAAAAGUUAUUAAAUGACAAGUCUAGGUCAUUCAGUAAAGUCAUCUGAGACAUGCUUGAUGGUAUCUGCCCUGAAAAACUGUUUCUAGACAAAUCCAAAGUCAGAAGUUUUUUCAUCUCACCAAUUUUCUGUGGAAUCUCUCCAAAUAGAGAGUUCUUUGACAAGCUCAGGGCAAUCAAGUCUGAAAGAUUGGUAAUUUCAUAUGGGAUUUGUCCUGUUAACUUGUUGCUUGACAGGUCAAUGGUCUUCAACAAUUUCAGAGUGUUAAAGAAUUCAUGUUCAUCUCCUUGCCACUCAAUCAUUGCAUGGUCAACAUAUAUCCCCGAUCCAUAUGCAACACCUCUUACAAGUGUAUAAAACUUUACAUCUUGUGAGAAUCUUGGUUGAAUCAUGCUCGUAAGAUUACUAAAACAUGAGGGGAUGGUUCCUUGAAGAUUGUUCAUUGACAAGUCCAAAAUUUGAAGAUUAGCUAACUGACAUAAUUGUAAAGGGAUGGUUCCAAAGAAGUUGUUUGAUCUUAGGAUAAGAACAUACAGCCCUGAUAGGUUUUCUCCUAUCCAAACAGGCACAUUACCAGAAAACUUGUUGGCCCCCAAAUUCAAUGAGAUUAAACUUGUGCAAUUUUUUAAAGACAAAGGCAAUUCUCCAGAGAAGUUGUUAUCGUAUACAUACAACACCUGGAGAUCUGUCAAAAAUCCAAUAGAGGGAGGAAGCCUUCCAAAGAGAUUGUUGUGUCCGAGAUUAAGAACUUUUAGCUCUCUGAAAUGCCACAAACAGUCUGGGAGUUGUCCAAUAAAUAUGUUGCGAGAGAGGUCAAGAAAUGAAGAGAACCCAUCAACAAUCUGACAUAUAAAGGAGAUCCCUCCAGAGAAUUUGUUUCUGGAAAGAUUUAAUAAUGACAAAGUAGAAGAAACAUUUAGUAUCGCACCGUGAAAGUUGUUGGAACUCAAAUCUAUCUUUGAACCGUUGGCAAAACUUGAUAAUAAAUCUGGUACUUUCCCGCUAAUGUUGUUGGAAGAGAGAUUCAGAUAUUUUAAUUGAGAAGGCCAUGUGGCCCAAAACUCGAGAGGAAUUGUGUCUGAAAUUCCAGUAUUGGAAAGAUCAAGACGGGUAAGAUUUUUGAGUGUCUGAAUCCAUUUGGGGAAGCGAGGCCCUACCUUGCAAGAGCUUACAUAAAUUUCCUUUACAUAAGAAAGGCUUGGCAAGUGAUAUGUGGAAGGAACUGUAAGAUUAUUAAAAGAAACGUCAAGCAAUCCAAGCCCCGGUAGUUCCCACAGUUUGUCACUUAUAAUUCCAUUUAAGUGAUUAUGAGAUAAGUCCAAGUACUCUAGGGAUGAAAACUUUUGGAUAUCAUUGGACAAUGAUCCUAUAAAUUGGCUAUCAGAAGCAUCCAACCAUUGUAAUGAAAGGGAUGUGCAUCCAGACAAGUUGUUGAGAAAAUCAGGAAAUUGGACAGCAGCCGAGUUGUUACUGAUUUCCAAAUACUCCAAGCUACAGAGGUUACCAAGAUAUUUGGGUAUCCCAUCUAACAUGUUGUAAGAGAGAUCAAGAUAGCCAAGCUUAUUGCUGGUUAAUAGGAACAACCAACGAUACAUGGAUGAGGUGAGACUGUUGUUUCCAAGAUAAAGGCCUUCAAUAGAUGAAGAAGAAGAAGAAGAGUUGAGAAAUGAAGAAGAAUAUGGAUACAUCACCUGUGACAGCUCACAUCCCUCUAAAGAUAAAUAUGAGAGUUUCCGGAGACUCAGAAUUACAUCUACCCAGUGAUUUUGUUUGGCUAGGGAAAUCCCAUCUAAUUCAAGUUUCUCCAAAUGAGACAGAUUAGACAACCACUCUAUCUUUUCAACUCUACAUCUUCCAACGUAACUAAGUUGAAGGUGUUGCAAGUUGGUGAGGUUUUCAAAUUCUGGAGGAAUGGUUCCAUAAAAGGAGUUAUGGGAAAGGUCAAGGUAAAUUAAUUGGGUCAUGGAACCAAUGAAGAUGGGAAUGUUUCCAUGAAAAGAAUUGAUGGAAAGAUCCAAAUGAUUCAAAUAGCUUAAAUUAAGCAAAGAAUGGCUAAUCUCACCUACAAGACCAGAGUUGCUGAUUUCAAGCUUUGUAACAUGACCUGUUUGGUUGUUGCACGUAAUUCCUCUCCAUUUACAGCAGUCAUGUUCGUCAGCUGUCCAAGUAGAGAGACCACCAUCAGGGUCUUUAAGGGGAGCUUUAAAAAGAAGGAGAGCGUGUAUCUCCUUAUCCAAACACUUGUUCAUCACAACAUCUGCAUCAACCCCUCCUUUUCCCACUCUUACCAAUUGGCUGGAAGUUGUAGUCACAGUGAGUAGCAAAAGAAGUGAGAAAAUUAUAAAAACACAAGGAGUCAUAAUGUCUAAAUGAAACUCUUGCUGAUUUUUUGGUUUGUAUAUCAACUGCCCUCAUGAGGGUUUAUAUAGUCUCAACUGUGAGGAUGAAUGAUUCUAAGUAGGUGAUCUCAAACUGGUGGCAUACGUGUUUGGAGCAAAGAGCAAGGCAAAUUAAAAAUGACGAAUUGGAAUAAAUUGCCCCGGAUUAGACGUUCAUAGACCUAGAAGUCUUGGUCGUUUGUAUUUAUUAUCUAUUAUAAUACCCAAGAAAACAAAGUAACGAAAUCAAAUGCCAAUCUACCAUGAAAAUAGUAAAAAUAUUAUUUGGGUCUCUUUAUAAAGUGAUGUUGAAUACAGAUUACUUUUUAUUUUAGUAGUGUUAUCAGUAGAUAGAGCAAAAACUUUAUCGACAUACAAACAAAUCAAAAUUUAAAAGCAAACACUCAAUUAAACCCCAAUUCAACAGCAAUCACGAAUCUCGCAUUCCCCCUUCAUUAUUAUACAAUUUAUGUUUCUGCCUGGAGAUAUAGCACGCAAUAAAAUAGAGAACAGAGAUAAAGAGAACAAAUGCGCUGAGUACCUGUGAUCUGCUGAUAAUUUACCUGAUGGAAAACCAAGAAGAUGACAACGGUAGCGGCAAGGUGGGAGAUAAAAGCAACGACUUCGGAUGUAAGAAUGCGAUAAAUUCAAAAUCCGCUAAAUAUUCUUUUAUGAUGAUUAUUCAUUUUAUAAUUAUAAGUCGAUAGUGACUUAAAAAAAUUAAAAAUGUAUUAUAUAUAUAUANCAUAUUAAAACACAUUUAAAGAAUCUUAGGUACAACUUAAUUAUAUAUAAAACUAGGUUAUAACCCGUGGACACAACGGGUGAAAAUUUUAAAAUUAAUUUUAAUUUAUUUAUAAAUUAAUUAUUGAAAAUUUUAAAAAUAAUUUAAAUUAAUUAAUAACAUAAUUAUUGAGUGAUGUUUUGUCAGUAAUUUCAUAAUAAUAUAAUGUUCGGUUGAAACUAAGAAUUCAAAAAUGUUUAAAUAUCCAAUUAGCAAUUUGUAUUUGUAGAUAUGUUAGAAAAUUAUCAUUUUGUAUAAUGCAAUAAAAUUUAAAUAAAAUGGAAAGAUAAAUUGAUAUACAUAAUAAAAGUAUACGCAGUUUUAUAUAUUUGUAAAAAGUAAUUUAACAUAACAUUGGAUAGUUUAUUUGCAUGACAAAUUUGAUAUAUGACAAUCUGGUCUCCAUGAUCCAAGUAAUCUGUUGAAUCUCAUAAAUAAAUUAAAAAUAAUGAAUAUAAUUAAAUAUAUUAAAUAAAAAUAUUAAAUUUUCUAUAUUUAUGAUCACCUUGUGAAGUACCGCGAAAAACAUAUUCAAUAAUAUGGUCAUCAUUAAUUUCUUCAUCUAAUGUCAAGUCAAUCAUAGAUAUAGCAGAUAUGUGUGUAGUCUUUCUUUUUAAUUGAUGUUUUUCCUUUUGGUAACUUGAUUGAUGAAGAUUUUUGAGUGAUGGUUGAAUGACCGGUAGAUGUCAUGCGAAUACCCAACAAUGGAUUAUCAUUGUUAAUAAAUAGCGGUGUUUGAAUGUUAUUAUGAAAAAUAUAAUUUCCUGAAAAAAUAAAAAUACAAAUUAUAACGUUAGGAGUUUGUAUAAAUUAUAUAACUGGUAAACAUAUAUUUUAGAAUCUGUCUAUAAAGAAAUGCAUACCAUUUGAAAUGUUAGAUAAAGGAGUUCUAACAUUUAUAUCUGCAGACUGAGAAUGAAUAGCUUUAUGUUGAUAUACAAAUGAUUUGACUGAGUUUAGAUUUUCGUUAUCUGAUGUAACGUUUCUGUAGUUAUCUAUAGAUACUAAAUGACUACAACGAUUGUAGAUAUCUGUUAUGAAAUAUUGUUAGUAAUAAAAUCAAUAAAAUUAAUUAUAAAAAAACAAUUAAACUUUAGAAUUUAGCAAUUUGAUAUAAUUUAUAUAGUUCAAAAAGAAUUAUAAAAUAAAAGAAUAACAAUACCGUUAUUUAAUAUGUAAGAAACAUGUGUAAUAGGUGAUUUUUGAUGGGUAGAUGUGUUAGAAUUUACUUUGGAUUUUUUAUUAUUCAAAUAUGACUUUCUAAUUUUUCUCCUUUCUUUAGCGUUUAUAGAAGCUGUAGUGUUAAUUGAACCUGUAAAAUAAUAGUAAAUAAUUUAAGAACAUUUUUUAUAUAAAAUUAAAUAUAUUAUAUUUUAUAAAAAUUUAUUUANNNNNNNNNNNNNNNNNNNNNNNNNNNNNNNNNNNNNNNNNNNNNNNNNNNNNNNNNNNNNNNNNNNNNNNNNNNNNNNNNNNNNNNNNNNNNNNNNNNNNNNNNNNNNNNNNNNNNNNNNNNNNNNNNNNNNNNNNNNNNNNNNNNNNNNNNNNNNNNNNNNNNNNNNNNNNNNNNNNNNNNNNNNNNNNNNNNNNNNNNNNNNNNNNNNNNNNNNNNNNNNNNNNNNNNNNNNNNNNNNNNNNNNNNNNNNNNNNNNNNNNNNNNNNNNNNNNNNNNNNNNNNNNNNNNNNNNNNNNNNNNNNNNNNNNNNNNNNNNNNNNNNNNNNNNNNNNNNNNNNNNNNNNNNNNNNNNNNNNNNNNNNNNNNNNNNNNNNNNNNNNNNNNNNNNNNNNNNNNNNNNNNNNNNNNNNNNNNNNNNNNNNNNNNNNNNNNNNNNNNNNNNNNNNNNNNNNNNNNNNNNNNNNNNNNNNNNNNNNNNNNNNNNNNNNNNNNNNNNNNNNNNNNNNNNNNNNNNNNNNNNNNNNNNNNNNNNNNNNNNNNNNNNNNNNNNNNNNNNNNNNNNNNNNNNNNNNNNNNNNNNNNNNNNNNNNNNNNNNNNNNNNNNNNNNNNNNNNNNNNNNNNNNNNNNNNNNNNNNNNNNNNNNNNNNNNNNNNNNNNNNNNNNNNNNNNNNNNNNNNNNNNNNNNNNNNNNNNNNNNNNNNNNNNNNNNNNNNNNNNNNNNNNNNNNNNNNNNNNNNNNCACAUAUAUAUAUAUAUAUAUAUAUAUAUAUAUAUAUAUAUAUAUAUAUAUUGAAAAUUCCACUAAAGCUAAUGUAUUCAAAUGUUUAAGAUAUUCGGGUUGACAUUUAAAACCGUAUUUAUGCAUAAAGUAAAUCAAAUACAUGAGAAAUUAAAUAAAUUUAAUUUUAACCAUUUUAAAGAUUAUUCAUAAUUUUUUAUUUAUAAUAAAACCCACCUACAAGUUAUCACUAUUCCCCAAACUUUCCCCUUUCCCUUUUGUCUGUAACACACACGAUGAAACAAAAAACCCAACCUAGAAUUUUGAUUACAUACACAUUUCCAUAGCCACAGUUCGAUUUCUUAAAGAUUGUGAACAUUUAUCCAUGUAUAUCGAUAAAGGAAGAUACUAAUAUACCACCGAUUAGAAAUGUGAAGUGAAGAAAAGCUUACGUUGAGUAAUCUUGCUGUCGAACUCAGAGACUGGUUGAACGCAACAUUGGGGUUUGAAGAAAGCAAGAUUCAAGGUAAGAGAUGAUCAACUGAUGGUUAAUCUUAGUUUUUUUAACAGAAAAUAGAUUAUGUUGAAGAAAAUUUACAUGUUUUUCUUUGUUCCAGAAAUGUUGUGACUGAAGAUAUAAGCGAAAAGUUAAGCCGUUCAAAAGAAUAAACUCACAUUCGUUAAUAGCGGAAACACAAUAAGGUAGAAAUGGUUUUGGUUCGAUUUUUGAAAUUUGAGUGUUUGUUUAAACAUUUAAAUUUUGAAAUUGCUAAAUUUUAGACAAAAUCUCGUUAAUGAUUAUUUAGGGGAUCAUAUGAGUAAAUAAAACAAUUAUUUUCUUUGAUAUACCUUCUAAAUUAUAUAAGUUUUGUAUCAUUGUAUAGUAAGGUUUUCAAUUUUAUGUAUAAUACAAAUAAUCCAUAUCUGAUCCAUAUUUCAGUUGUGAUCAAGAAUCGAUGUUUUGGUGGGUCACUGUGUGUCAAGAUACUUAUAUUAGUUUAAAUCAUUGUUCAUUUUUAUCAAACUUUAUCUUUUUGCAUACCUUUAAUCCCUAUUUCAAUCAAAAUCACUUAGUUUUUACUACUGCUUCAUUAUCUUGCAGGCCAAUAAAAAUGGUAUGUGAUAAAUUACAGAAAUCCAUAUAAGUUAUAUUAGAUUGCAAUAUACCAUAGCCAAGGGCAACGAACAUUGAAAUGUAAUAAACUUAAAAAGUGAGUUAUUUUAUGCACCAAUCCAUGUCUAAUUGUCUAAUGGUAUAAUUCUGCUAUUGAUAAUUAUUUAUUAUCUAUAUAUCACAUUAGAUAUUAUAUUAUUUAAGUAUUUAUAAUACAGAUGAAUAGUUAAUUAGAUUAAAAGGUUAGGAAGGGAAAGAUUCCAAACUCCAUUAUUGAAAAAGGAAUGGUUUUCCCUUUUUGCUUUCACGUAGCUGGUUGGAAAAGUGGACAGUGCUCAGCUUAUUUGACAACAAAGUGUAUUAGUAAUAUGAUUCAAAUGGUUGAUUGAUGAUAUAGUUUAUUAAAACUCUUAUUACUUGAUGUAUAAGUGCAUGCAUAGAUGUUUAUUUAGGAUUUUAUGCAGAAGGGUUAAAAUGAAAAAUAACAAUGCUUCUUUUAUUAAUUAGAUUUGUUUAUCAUUAAUUAUAUUGCCUAAAACAUAGCAAUCGGUACAAUUAAUUUAUAUGUUAAAUUCAAUUAUUUGUAUCAAACACAUUUUAAUUGAAUAUCGAAACCUUGGGGGCUAUUUGAGUUGCAUAAUAUUUUAGAAUGUAUUGAAUCUGUUAAUACACAAUUCUUUAUUAAAAGACAACCCUAAGNCACAAUUCUUCAUUAAAAGAUGGCAACCCUAAGAUGAUAUUUAGUUGAGAUAAAAAUUUUGUGUUUUAUUUAUUUAUAUUUCUUAUUAUUUAACAUAUCUUUUAAUCAACAUAUGUAAUACACAAUAUUUAGUAUUUUAUACCCAAUAUUCUUAAAUUGACAGGUAGGUGGUAUGUGUAGCCUAGACAAAUGAUAAUUGGACAAAAAUGGUAAUGAACUUUAAUUAUGUUAAUUUUUCGUUAGGUAUCGUACCUUUAUUUAUUCCUAUUAUAACAUUCUACUAUCAAAAAAUUGUUGUUUACACUUUUAUAGCAAUAUAUAUUAAUUUUUCUCUUAAACCACUAAAUCAAUAACUGUUUCUCUCACUCCAGGAGGAAUAAUUGGUUCCAAAAUAAGCAUUGUAUUUUGAAAUGUGCUAUAGGUAGCAAUAUAUAUUACUUAACUAACAAAAUUAAUAAUUUCUUGUUUUCUUUAGAUAUGGAAGAAUCUAAAGUUGUGGGCACCAUUCUUGAAAUGUGGUUAGCUAACAAAACCUCAAUCUUUUAGGGCUUUACUUCAGGUAAUAAUAAUAUGAUUGAAAUUUUUUGUAUUUGUUUUCGUUUUUGUAAAUAUUUGAUUUGUGAAAUUUAAAUUGUGUUAUUUUCGUCCUCCUACAAAGCUGGAAAUAUCAAUGAAUAAACAACCUGUAAUCAACCAGAAUUAAGAUCUUCGGUCAAUCUCAUUUUGAAGCACAAUCACAAUCAAAGACUAGGCUACUUUAGAAUAGGAAUAAGAAACACCCAAAUUCAAAGUCAAAUGUAAACAACUGCUACAAAUAGAAGUCUAUAUAAUAUAUGUUUGAAAAUUAAAAAAUAAAUGUGGUGUAUGUUAAAUAACAAAAUUAUUCCAAGAUCAUAAGUGACUUAAAUAACAAAAUUAUUUCUAAAUCAUAAAUUAACAUUCAUAAUAAUAUAUUAUGAAUGUAGGUUAAACAUACUAAUAAAAAACAAUCAUCCCCAACAAAUGUUUGAAAAUUCUAAAACAAAACGUGAAAGUACUUAAUGAAAAGUAAAAUGCAUAAUCAUUGUCUAUAAAUCAUAAUCCAAUACCUAAUGAAACUUAAACUUAAAAUAAAAAGCCAACCACUUUUUUCCAACUUUACCUUCACAAUUUGGUUAAUGCGUCCUUCUGGCGAUAUUUUAGGAGUUUUUGAUGAUGAUAAAUGUUCGUUCAACUCCAGAUCAAACACUUCUUCCAGAUUUCUCUUCAAAACAGUUGGUAUAUUGAAACCCUUCAUGGGACUUGUUGCUGAGUUUUUAUCAACAGUGUAAGGUGUUAUGUUGUCGUCUGUCCUAGAAAUUGCAUCCUAAAAAAAUUUGUACUUAAUUAAUUUAUAAUCUGAACUUAUAUUUAUAAAAUAAUUAUAUGUUAUUAUAAAGUGUAUAUAACCUUCAAAAUCUUAUUAUCUUGUGAUUCAGAAUCAGCUUCACCAAUAUCAAAUGAUUGUGAAUUACCUACCUGCAUAAUAAAUAAUAAAAAAUAUGAACACAUAUAAUAAUAAUAAUAAUAAUAAUAAUAAUAAUAAUAAUAAUAAUAAUAAUAAUAAAAUAAUAGUAGUUAUAGUAAUACAUAGUAUAAUGAUAAUAAUAAUAAUAAUAAAUCUUUUUAUAAGAAUAGUAAAAAUAUUAAGCAUAAUAAUAAUAAAUAAAUUAAUGACCUGUGAAACGGUAAACUUAUUUUCGAGUUCUUCAAUCAAUUUUUCAUCAUCACUGACUCUACAUAUACUGUAUUGGUUGUUUUUUUCGAGACAUUGAAGGGACUGAUUGAUAUUUUAAAAGCCAACUUCAAACCUUUCAAUGCAUUUAUCUCUCCGGGAUAAAGUUGAGUACUAAAACCAAGCUACAAUAAAAAAAAAAGUAAAAAAAAAUUAGUUAAACUAAAUAUAUUAAGUAGAUGUAUCAUUUAAUUUUAAUCAAGGAAGACGACCUUGACUGUUUUUUUAAACAGAUCAUGGGCUGAUUUUUUCAAAAGAUACGUUCCAUCUCUUUCAAACAUGGUUAAGGUAAGAGUACCAGUAUUGUCUUGCACACGUAUCGGAAUCUUAUAUCUAUAAAAAAAGGAAAAUCCAAAAUAUAUUUAUUACAAUAUAAAAUAUAAUAUAGGUUUUAAUGAUUCAGGAGGAAAAUAAUAACCUCGGAAUAACCGUAGUUUUGUUUUUUGUGCAAUCCUUAUUAUGACAUUCAUAACCGGUUAAUCCUUCAUCAUCAACUUGAUCUUUUGGACCAGGAGGCCGAAUUGCUUUGUAGUUGCAAUUUGUACAUGCCAAAUAAUGCCAUGGUUCAUUUUGUAAAAUUCCCUUUAUAGUGCCCAUGAUAAUGAAAGUAUUUUUCUGCAUAUUAAUUUUAUUUUGAUUAUGCAAUAUACAUAACAAAAAAGUAGGUUUAUAAAUAUUAUAAAAUAUAUAAAAACCACACCUCCACAGGUUCUGAAACAUCAACAAUUGUCUUCAACUGAAACUUAACCAUGAAAUCAUCGUGUUCAGAAACUUAUUAGACUUCAUAAGUGUGAAUGUAUUUGUGGAUGAAUCAGGACGAUCAUCUCCAUCCAAAUUGUUUGUUAAAAAAAAAUUAACUAAUAUUAGUCACAUAAAAAUUAAUUGUAGAAAUUUGAAUGAAAUAAAGAAAAGUAAAUAAUAUUAAUCACAUAAAAGAUAAAUAUAGAAAUUAUAAUGAAAUAACACAAAUGACUAAUAUUAAUCACAUAUAACUAAUAUUAGUGACAUAAAAGUUAAUCGGAGAAAUUAGAAUUAUAUAACAUAAAAUACAUUUUCUUAAAAACAUUGAUUUCAUCAAUGUUUGUGUUAAUGAAUAGCUUCGACACGGAAAAAUAGGUGUUAACUGUGGGACGAUCUAUAAAAAAGAUUUUAAUAAGUGUUAAUUUAAUGAUUAAAAAAAUAAUUAAUAACAAAAUACUAUAGUAUACCUCUCCAAAUACUAAGUUUCGCAAAUUGAAUGAUAACGAUGAUACGAAGAUUGUGUGGAUUGUUAUCAAGAAACCCUUGCAUUUUGUAAGAAAAAUCACCCCACAAAUUGACACUUAGUUGGAAACCAUGCCAAAUAAAAGUUUUAAAUUAAAUGAAAUUAUAAUUAGAUAAUCUAAUAUCCAAAAAAAUAAAAUAAAAUAUAAAAUAACAAACUUUGCAUCUUGGAUUUGGAUGUUGAGUCUGUGUUUUUUGAUAUCAUCAUUGUCUCUCCCCAUCUCACCAAUUGCAACGACCAAUCCAAUAACAUCUAUGAACAUCAAAAAAGAUGAAUUAAAUUUUGUUAUGAUUUUAAAAAUAUGAUAUACUAUUCAAACCAUAAAAUUGACAAUAAUUAAUCUAUAACAAAUUGCAACUAAUCGAUAGCGGUGUUUUCAGGAUGGGUCAAUGAGAUAAUAGACUGGUAAUCAAUAAAUUCAAAACCAAACGCAGGUCCAGAAAAGUCAUGACACUCCGUAAGAACGAUGUUAUGGACAAAAGUAAGUUUAUGAUGUUGCCGAGUUAAAGUAAAACCACCCAUCCUUUGAGAUUCAAAGCUUGAACAUUGUAUGUAAAAUGCCAAGCCAUCUUUUAGAAUGUUUUUGAAUCGAUAGAUGUUUUUUCUUAAUACAUUUACUUGGAUCUUAGUACCCUAAAAGAAGUAUGAUAUAUAAAAUUAUCAUCAAAUCAUAUUAAACUUUGAAUGUGUAAUGAAUAUAUAGUGUGAAGUUGUAAAAUACCUGUUCAUCUAUUAAGAUUAAUUCAAUCGAGAAAAAUUCAUCCUUGUUAUACAAUGAAAAAAGGUUUCAUAGGUUUAUCACUUUAACUUUGAUAGUCAAAUCAUCUUUAAAUAUAUCUAAAUCCGAAAUCAAAGUAACAUUUGGCUGUGCCAUUUCUUUGCACAGAAAAAUCAACAUAUAUAAAAUGACACGGAUGGAAAAACAAAUGUAAAACAAGUUGAACUAAUUAUCAAAGAACAACCAAGCCGAUAACCUAAUGUAAAAUGACAGGAAAUCAAAAUACAGUAAAAAUAGUAAUGAAAUGAAAUUCAAAAUAAUGAAUAUACAGAUCAAGUAAAAUCUAUAUCCAUACUCUUUUAGUUGUGUUAUACAAUUUGUUGCUGAAAAACCAUAAUCUUUUAGUUCUGUUAUACAAUUUAUCAAAAAAAGACAAAUUAUAUAUAAUUUUGUUAUAUAAUUUGUUGCUGAAUAAAAGUUGUCAAAAAAAAAAAGACAAAAAUUAUAUAUAAUUCCAUUAUAUAAUUUGUUGUUGAAUAAAAGUUGUCAUGGGACUAUUCACGUAAAAAUAACCAAUUCGUUUAUCCACUCAUAAAAUGCAUAGUUAUCAUGGUUUUCGUGUAGCAUUAGAGUAGAUAGCAAUUGCCAUGUGAAACAGUGAAAGCAAUGAAUGGAUUGAAUGAAAUGUAAAAUCAAAUUAUUGAAACAUAUUGUGAAAACAUAUAAUAAAAAAUAACAACUUUUAAAACCGUACCUUCAUUGCGUGCAAAUAUAGCAAGAAUGACAGUCAAUUAAUUGAUGUAAACAUAUGUUCAAGAAACAAAGGCAAAGAAACGAAUUACAUUCUAAACGAAUUACUAUUCUGCAACUAGAUUACGGCAUCACUCUUCUAGGAUUGUAGAGUAUUGUGUUGGAUCCUAGACUCAAUGUUUCAUUUGGGUGUCACAUCGAGGAUCCUGAUCAACUUGACUUGAAUUUUCUCGCAUUUUGUAUAUGUCAAAGUAUGACAACUAUGGUCUUCCCAAAUCCCAUCGAACAAGUUUUCCACAUGAAGAUGAUAUUUCACGAUUCGAUCGGGGAACAAGAGAUCAUGCUUUACUUCCUCCACCUCCUCCAAUUAUUCUCCCAAACCCACAAGUUCAAAGGCUUGAAAAGUUCAAGCUCACUCAAGCCCUUUUGGCAAGUAAACAUGGGAAACCUAUGUGUGUACACGUCUUAGAGAUGAAGUCACACAUUGAUAGGUUAAGGAUGUUGGGUGUCGAGAUUUUAGGUAAGUUGGCUGUUGACUGGGUUCUUCAGUCGCUUCCUGAAUCAUAUAGUGAGUUCGUUAGAGAGUACUAUAUGAUGGAUCAUGACGUGACCCUCAUUGAUUUGACCUAUUUGCUUAUAGCUGCUGAAUCAGCAAUGAUUUGGCAAGUUAGUCGAGCAAAUUUGUCCGGUGAAUCAAAAUCCCAAACUUCAAUGGACAUUGAAAAUGGUGACAUUGGAGAACCAGAAAAAGUAGAUUCUGAGAUUGUUUCUUGUGCCAUUCCAAAAGAGUCCAUUUGCUUAUAUUGCCAAGAAAAGGAGCAUUGGAGACGAAGCUGCUCUAUUUACCUAAGAGAUCUAAGAUAUGGGAGAGUCAAAACAUAUGGCUCUACUUUAUGUGAAAUCCAUUAACUAACUCUUUUAAGUUCCUAUUCUAGAUUCUUGAUACAUGAUGUGAUAAGAUUACAUUUUGAUGUUUUGUAGGAUCGAAGAAAAGAAAGGAAGCUUAAGGGAAGAAGUGAAGCUGAAUCUAAUCGUGAAGAAAUGGAUUUCGAUCGCAUUGCUUGAAGAUUAGAUUCUUAAGCUACUACUUGGAGUUAAAAUAGAUUGCUUAGGAAUAUGUAACAACAUAGUUUUUCAGUUAAAUUGCAUUGUAAGGACAAAUUUUUCCGCAAUAAAAUAAAUUUUGAUUUUUAUAUUAUUUAUUUAUCCUUGCAAUGGCGUAUAUGAAAAAUUGAUGUUUGCAAGUUUCUAUUAUUAGCAAUAAUGGAUUUGAUUCUUAAUUAUGUUAUUUGUGGAAAUGUCAAAAGUUUACCAAAUAGGGAGAGUUUCUCAUCGCCCAAGUUUCAAUUGGACAGAAACUUGGAAUCAUGCAAUGUGUAUUGUAUGAUGAAUGAAAAACUUUCACAUUUGGGAAACUUAGACUAAUUCUUUGACAAAGUGUCAAUUGAAGGACUAGGAGAUCGAGUACACUAGGUCGUACGUUGAUCAAGUCUACCACAAGAGUGACAAAGAUAUUCGUCAUGAUUUACUAAAGUUUAGUAAAUAUGGUUAUACUUAUAAGAUUGAGUAUAAUUCUGAGUUAACUGAAAUAGUUUCAAUCAAUAGCAGAACGAAUAAGAAGAAUCAAGAAGGCAGAAAGAUAAAAGUUUCUCCAUUCUAAGAAGAAGGGAGAGUACCUUUUAUUGUGUUUUAUGAUGAAGUCUUAAUGAUUAAGAACCAUAUCUCAAUUGAUCCUCUAAGUGAGUCUUAGUGCAUUUGCAUGUCUAAGAAGAGGAAUCGAGAAUUGUAGAAAUGGUUAAAUCAAAGAGUCAAUCAUACUUCGUUCCAAUAUCAAGUCUUAGAGUCAUACUCCAAGAUUGUGACAUUGAGUGACAAGUCUUAAGUAGGUUUAUAACACUCAUCAAAUGUGGAAUUUGGAAAAGUUUUCUUAUUCUUGCACAUUAGAAAUUGGUAAGUUGUGAUGUCUUGGAUAAGACAAAGACCAACUAGGACCAAUUUGUGAAGUGUUUUGUCUUGAUAAGAACUACACUAACUCUUGAAUAUUUGCUUUGUCAAGAAAUGUUUCUUGACAAGAGAAUCUUAUAUGUCAAGGAGUCAGUGGGAGUCUUAAUGGUCUUGAAAGGUUUCAAGAACAAAUCAAGAAUAUACCUUAUCGAUCAUCACUAGCACACGACUUGAGGUUUGCAACCUAUCGUGCUGACAUUAUUUUGUUUUUGUGCCAUUCCAAUUGAGUUAAUUGCGUAUGUGAGUUCUAUGAGUUCUCAUUUGAAUGAAGGCAAGCACCUUGAUCAAUGAAAAGUACAUUGAUAUGAAUGGGUGAGCUACUUAACUACUUGGAAGACAUGGUGGGCACUCGUGUUACCAUAAGGCAAGAAAUCAAGAUUAAGAAAGUUCAGUCCAUAUGAGUUUGGAUUUGUCGCAAACCUUGGUUUUGGCAAAUUCACAUGGAUAGGAACUCAUACACCAUAAAAUCUAAGUGUCAUAAGAUUCCCUCCUUCAUGAAAAUGACUGUGAGGAAAUGCUUUCACUAAGAGAGAUUUUAAGAAGAUAGCAAUUGUGAAAAUUGUAUUCUCAAAUUCGAUUAUGGUUACGGCAUCCCUUUCCAUAGUUCGAAUUGUGAGAUUUGGCAAUUAGUUUGAACAUUUGGAACUUAGUAACAUAAGUUCUGAAUUGUUUAAACACACAUAUGAGCUAUCUAAGGCAAAGGUGUAUAAGUUUAAGAAGCUUAGAUAAAGGCUUAUCGAAGCAUCUGGUAUUAGAAAUAUGAAUUUCAGAAAUUCAAUAGGCAUUGUUUUCUGAAAGUUCAUUUGUUUUCUGAAUACAUGUCAAAGCUAGUGGGAGCAUAAGUGUUAUGCUUAUAUGAUAAUAAUCAUCAUGAUAGUGGGAGCAUAAGUGUUAUGCUUGUAUGAUUAUUAUGGCAAGUAUUGCAAGUUAGCAAUAUUAAUUAUAGAAAAACAAAGAUUCAAUUUGCAAAGUUGCAUGGGUUGAAAAGUUGUUUUGCUAUAAUUAAGGGAGAGAAUAUUAUACUUCGUUUCAAAAUCUAAAGCUUAGAUUGAGAAAUUUUAAUAUUUUCAGUCAAAGGAUACAUUGUGUGUUCUUAAAAUUCGAUUAUGAUUACGGCAUCCCUCUUCAUAGUUCGAAUUGUGAGAACAUGACACAUAAAAUAUUAUGGCAGAAGAUUGGUAAAGUAUCAUAUCUUUAUGUAAGACAUUAUGCAUCGUGUCCCAUACGCUUCGGGUAUAGGAUCGAUUGCAAGUGCUAUAAUAUUUGACCAUUCUAAAAUUUUCCAAAUGUCUAGCGCAUUUAGAGGGAAAAAGGACUAGAAUCGGUUUUGACUAAAAUAAUUAAACAACUAUCAAAGGACGAUCCAAAGUUCGCUGAGGAUUGGUCGCUUGUGAGUAGUUGGAAGUAUGGUAUUGGAUGGACCAUAUCGACAUUAUUAUGAAUAGAUAAGAUUCUAUUUAGAAUGAGUUGUCAAUUGACAAAUAUGGAAAUGUUUCCAUAUUGGGAGUUGGAUAUUGAGAAUCUAUGUCUAGAUUAGAAACUUUUAUGCAAGAAGGAUGUUCAAAGGAAUGUACUUUGAGUGAGAGAAAUCAUAUCUAUAGAAUUGUUUCUGAUAGAGAUUGGCCAAGUCUUGAUGAUUUUGAGCUAUGACUUUACGAAAGAAUCAUUGCAUAAAAUGUUAGAAUCUAGCAUAAGUAACAAGAAUUUGAUAUUCUUAUACUUAUGAUAAGGAUUGUGUCACAACUAGAAAUUUUUGUGUCUUGUAAUCACUAUACUCAAGUAAGAUGUUGAAUCAAAAACUUAAGAGCAUGUAUGAUGCUUACUUUAUGACAACAAAAUUUCAAUCCAAUACACCAUACAAGUACUACAAAUAGUCAACAAGUAGUUGGAAACCCUAGAAGUUCUUGUUUAGGUCCAUUUUGGACUAGGAAUUCCUUAUUGGACUCAACGGACCAAUAAGCUUCCAAUUUUGACUAUCAUGGGCUUAGAACCUUUAAAUGGGCUCUAAUUGGACCCACGUUCAUUUAUUUCAACAUUUUGGGCCAUAUUGGGCCUAGAAUGAAAUAAAUUAAAUAUUAUGAACCAUAAUUAAUUUAAACUAGCCCAACAAAGUAUAAAAAUCACACUUAUAUCUUACAAUCAUCAAACCUAACUCUAAUAUUGGGCUUAGGGGCAUUAAAGCCCAAUACUCUCUUUUUCUUUCCAAAUUUCGGCCCAAGACAAGCCCAAGAGGAAGAAGUUGACUAUUACCAUAACACCUCGCUUUUACAUGGGGGAUAUCCAUGUUUUACACUCCAAACAUCCAUACAAUCUCAUCUUUCCAUGCAAACCCCUCUCUUCUUCUCUUUUCUCUCUCAUUUUCGGCCGAAAACACACACACACAUCACAAAAAUCUAUUCCAAUCUCUCUAAGUCAUGAAGAGCAUUCAUCCCUCCUCCUUCAAAAAUUUCGAGAAUCAAGAGCUUCACAAGGAGAAUUCUUCACUAAAAUCAUUAUCUAGGUAAGUUAAUGCUUGGAUCCAUACUUUAGACUUCUUCUUAUAUCCAAAAAUCUCUUCUUAACUCUCAUGAAAUCAUAAACUUGUGUAUUAGAACCCCUCAAACUCGAGACCUUCAAGAAAAGGGUGCUAAGGCCAAAAAUCACCUCAUUUCUUUCCAUUUCUCCUCCAAAACCGAAACAACACCCUAAGGUGAGCUUCAUACCCCCUAUUUUUCUGUUUUAUAAGUUUUGUGGGGGGGGGUGGGGAAUACAAGUCAAAGUGUAGAUCUAUGUGUAUUUGUAUGCCUUGUAUGAUUUCUAUGCUUAUAUGUGUGUUUUUGUGUGAUUAUGAUGUUGGAUCUAGUCAAAAGCCCCUAAAAAUCGAGAUUUACUUUGUGUUAUACGUUAUUAGCAUAAAUUUUAUUACUACAUACAAUUUAUUUCAAGAAAAAUAACCAAGUUGUAGGAUAACAUCUUCUUUGGGCUAAAAACUCAUUUUUGGGCUCAAAAUGUUAAAAAUAUAAAAUUAAAGGGCCCAAAAUGACAAAACACGAAUUCUGAUGGGUGUAAUGAGUCAAAACAGUUUUGAUAAUGUAUUUUCUGGAAAUAUACUCUUUUAAAGGAUUAAAAUGUAAAAUUUUAAGCAUAAGAAUGUAAAUUUACAAAAAGAAAAGGGGCUGUAGACAGAAAAACUUCAAUGUUUUAAAUCAAUAAAUCCGUUGCGAUAAAACACUGACACCGUGACUACCGAGAAAUCACAAUACACAAUCAACACCAAAAAUCGUUAUCAAACGAAUUCAUUCGGUCUCGAAUCAAUAACAAACCUGAAACUACUAACACGACGACAACUCGAUACAUACACGGAAAAUUCGGGAAUUCAAUACACACGUGGGAAUGCACAGACGUCGAUACACCAUCUUUGGGCCCAAAAGUGUCAAAUCUUGCUUGUUGGGCCUAGCUAGCCCAAUGACCUGAUCUUUAGGCCCGAAGACAACAACCUUACGAGUUGUUGGGUCUUACAUGAUCCAACACAGCGUAAAAGGACUUUCAAUGGCUUUUAUACUAUUGGUCCCCAAGGGUCCUUUGGUACUACUAGUAAAGUCGAGAAUUCACCAAAUGCGAGUCGGGCCAAGGGCUCUUCGCAUUCACUAUAGCCUCGACCGACUAAUGGGAUUAUUAAGGUCUUCGUGCCCUCUUUUCUCUUCGGUCGUGGGGCUACACGAAGUCAGGGCGUUGGGUUACGUGAAUAGUACGGGCGAGGCCUAAGGGAUCGUUAGUAUAGUUGUAAACUGGUCGUUUGUGUAACGCGUGUUUAUAACAAUUCACCAUGCGCAAUAACCCAGUGUCGCCUGGAAUCAAUGACAACUGGAAUCAAUGACUUCACAUACCGCGAUGGUACAACAACUAUACGGAAUUCAAAGUGUUAGGAAAACAUCGGGUUUUCCUAGGGUUAUUCAAUACACACAUUUACGAGAUGUACACCAAGUUUAAUAAAUUCUUUUUACAAUUAUAGAAACAAACAAGCAUACUUAUGGAUCUUCACAAACUUUUUCAUAAACUUUUUUCAGAAAAUAUCGGAUUUUCUGGUAGUUUUCAAAACAAUACAAAACAUUGCUUUUCAAACACCGCUUAUGAACUCACCAACAUUUCAUAUGUUGACGUUUUUCAAAAUACUUGUAUUCUCAGGUAACAGGUAAAGCAAGGGGAAAAAUGUACUCAGUGAUGGUGGCUUGCAGAUUGUUUAUCUAUGAUCGAACAAUUUAUUUUUUGGAAUGUAAUGUUAAAACAAUGUACUUAGUGUAAACUCUACCAGUUGUACUAUCUCAACGCAUGGUAAUGAAUGAUGUUACGUUUCAUAUAUACUCAAUGUUAUGGUAUUCAAUUACGUCACGACAGCCCUCAGACGUUUCCGCCGUCUGGUUCGGGGGUGUGACAGAUUGGGAGUUGUGAAAUGAGUAUGACUGGAAAUGUGUUCAUUUGAUCUAUUUCACAAAGUAAGGACCGUAGGUAAACAUUGUGUGCAUGCUGAGAGCAUAGGACAAGUGUAGUAAUAAUUCAAGUAAGAAGUUGAUUACCCGAAACGACAAAUAAUGAGUAAUCGAUAUGGUGAUUAAAUAAAAUGUUACCCAGAGUUUGGGGUUAUAUGGGAUUAGUAUUAUUCUUGUGUUUCACUUUGUAUGUUUUGACUUCCUGAAUAAUUAAAUUGGUUCAGAACAAUCAAAAUUAUUCGAAUGGACCACAGUCGUUCAUAUGUUGGAAGUAGGUAUGAAUGAAGACUGUCGUGAAUUGGUGUGUGGAUUGUCUAAAGUGUAUUAGAGAUAAGCAAAAUUUUGCUGCAACGUUCAUGAGUGCUUAUGAAUAUGAUUUGAGCAUUGGAUUAAACCCACGCUCACUUGGAUCACUUCAUGGAUUUUAUCACGAGUGAUUGAUGAGAUGAUAAUAUCUUAUAUUCUUGAAACCGAGAUGUGUGAGUUGUAUCUUGCAAGUCGGUUACACAUUGAUAAUAUGUAAACGCAGCAGUAACUUGGUGUCAUAAAACAUAUUGUUGUGUGUGAUUCGGUAAGUGAGUGCAAGCAAGCAUUGAAUCAAAGUUUAUCCGUUCCUUUUAUCCAAAGUGGGAUGAAAGCGAUAUCUGUGGGCCCCUCGAUGAUUUAGUGAUGACAUCCUAAGCGCUUGGCCAAGCCGGGACUAAUUUAAUGUAUUCAAUUGUAGUCUGUUGUCAGUCGUCAUAAAUUAGAAAUUGGAAAACAACAUAUAGACAUAGAGAAUGAUUUAAAUCCAUGUCUCAUUCUAUACAAUAUCUAGAAUGGAGGAAUAUAUGAUCCCUUAUCUAAAGGACGCAUAUCUGAUAAGAUAAGAGUUGACAACGGCUUUUGAAAGCUACGAUUACAGAGAUCUGAAGUCAUACGCAGAAUAGUUAUUAGACUUAUCCAAGUGGGAGACUGUUAGAUUAAUGUCUAAGUCCAUAACUAUUUUGCUAUGUACUUGACCCGAUGGUACAUGGUCCUUUUGGGUUGCCUUCACCAAAGCAACUUGAUAGGAUGGAUUAUGGAGAGAGAAAAUUAAUUAUGAUUUAUUAAUAUAUUAUGAGAAUAAUAUAUUAAAGGAGAAAUCAUAUUGUUUAAUUAAUUUAGUCAAUAAUUAAUUAAGAAUUAGUUUUGUGGCUAAAAGACAUUAAUUAAACUUAAGGGACUAGAACUAUCAAUUGUAUAAUAGUUUAAUAUUGGGAUAAUAAACUCCAUAUUAGAGGGGUAGACGAAUUCUAUGGGGAAACCCAUUAGAAAUCGUCCUAGGCCUCUAAGGAGGGAGUUCAUGGGUUUCUUAGGGCCUAAGCAGUCAAAUUAGGGUUUCCUUGUUAGAUAACCCUAAUAGCCACACUAUUUAAAGGACCCUUGAGACUCAAAAACCUGGUGAACUAAUUGAUUAGGGUUUCCAGCCGUUUUUGGGUGUCUCCUCUCUUCUCAUUCUUCAUCCUCUUGCUCUUGGUGUUUGUGAGCCAUUAGAGGAGUGACACUUGUGACUCUAAGCUUUCUAAAGCCAUUACAAAGGAGGAUUUGAGAUUGUUAUUGCUACAUAACAAUCAAGGUAAGAUCUAAACCCCAAUCUUAUGUUAAUAUGAUUAAUUGUAUGCUAGAUCUAGGGUUUAUAGCUUUGGAUAUUCAAUUGCAUGUUCAUUAGAUAAACUAGAUCCAAAAGCUAUUAGGGUUUACAUGUACACCAUAGGAAUGAUGUUUUACUCAUAACCCAUCAGUAUUUUCUUAUUCAGAUCACGAAACUUCUCUAUAUCACCGGUCAUGUGAUUGCUUGCACCUGUGUCGAGAUACCAUAACAUCAACUAAUUUGAGUCCCCACCUUUAGUUUUCAGUUUUGGGUUCACCUUCUCUUCAUUUAGGAAUACUUCACCAACCUCUUCUUUAUCUUCAAGGGAGGAAAAUAGCAAUGCAGGUUCGUUGUCUUCCUGUAUCAAGUUGGUUUCAUGGCUCCUCUCCUUUCUUGGAUUCUUACACUCAGCUGCGUAGUGCCCGAAUUCCUGGCAGUUAUAGCAUUGUAUCCCACUUUUAUCUUGACUGCCAGAUGCUCCAUUACCUCCUUCUCGUUGGUGAUGUGAGCCACCUCUUCCUCGACCGCCACGACCACCACUAUUUUGACCUCUACCUCUGCCUCGACCUAGUGAGCCUCCAAAUCCUCCUCGAUUCGACUUAGAUUUGGAGUCACCUUCUCCCCUUUUCUUUGUUCUUUUGGACCACUCUUGAUGAGUCAAGAGCAGUUUUCGAUCAUCAAUUUCUCCAUGCCCUUUCAAUCUCUCUUCAUGAGCUUUCAAUCGGCCUAUUACUUCUUCCACAGUCAUUGUGUCCAAGUCCCCAAAUUGCUCAAGAGUUGAGGCAAUUUGAAGGAACUUUGAUGAUACUGCCCUGAGCAACUUCUUCACUACAUAGCCUUCUUCUACAGUUUCUCCCAGAGUGCGCAUGAUGCUCACUACAUUGGUUACCUUCACGGAAAAAUCGUCAACACUUUCUGUCUCUUUCAUGAUCAUGGCCUCAAACUCAGCUUUCAAGGUCUGGACUCUUGCAGUCUUCACUCUAUCUGCCCCUACAAACAUCGUUCGCAGGGCUUCCCAUGUUUCUUUGGCCGAUUUCUUCUUAAAUAGUGACAUUACAAACUCCUCAGGAAUCCCUUGGUAAAUGACCGCUAGUGCCAUCUUGUCCUUCUUUACCUCCACCACCGUGUUGGCUAUUCGCAGCUCAACAACAUCCCAUACACCAUGGGCUUGCAUGAACAUGCGCAUCUUGAUUUCCCAUGCCCCGUAAUUACUCCUAGAUAACAUUGGAUAGUGGAGGGUGAUUUACCCAUCUUUUUCACCAUUGUCAUUGCUUCCCGACAUCUCUUCACGAAAUUGAUACUUGGGCAUACACGAGGUUAGGCUCUGAUACCACUUUGUUGGUUUUGACAGGCUCUUCACAAGGUUCCUGCAGAAGAGAAGUAACAGGGGACAAAAGAAAUUUUACAGAGGGGUAAUUUAGGUAAAGGUUUUGUGAUGUAUUAUUCAACUAAAAGAGAUGAUUCCAACGUACACAAUGCCUAGGUAUUUAAACCAAUGAAAAAUUCAGAAAAACAGGGAAUACUAACUACUAGCUAGAGACCAGGUAAGACAUUCUUACAUGGCCUUGAUUUAUUCUUCCUAAACAAAAGAAACGUGCUUAAUAAUAAAACAACUUCUGAAUUACUUCAACAGAGACGGCCCGGAUGGUGGCGUGCUGGUUAUGACGGUAGGGCCAGAAAAUGAAAUCGGUCGAAUACUUGAACUGAAGCUCUCUUCUGGUGGGUUUUUGUUGGGCAUCACCAGUCAUCCUCGUUUUACCGGGGCCCAUGGCCGAUGUUCAGUUGGUGGCCGCACCCUGACGCCGACGAUGGGGGUGAUAAUCGAUGGAGCAUUCAGAGGCAGCAAUUUCCAAGGUUAGAUAGAAGGGAUGCCGAUGUCGAUGCGUUCAGGGAGAGACAUCGGGAUUUGGAGGUUACAUAGAAGGGAUGCCGAUGCGUUCAGGGAGGAGACGGGGGGUUUUGGAGAGGCGGUGGGAAGCAUCCAGAAUUCAAUGGAGGCGAUGAAGUGAAAACAGAAGGAAAACCGAGGCUAAGAGUCGGUGAAAUCAGCUGAGUCAACAGGAGAAACGAAGAACACCCAACACGUAGAGAGUUUCUGUGUACUUGACAGCACGUGUAAUCCACUAUCUCCAAAAAGAGAAAAGGGAAAACAAAAAAAGAAAUUAAGAGAAAAAAAAAGAGCCAAUGAAAUCAAUUUACAGCUCCCUAAAGGGGUUUAGAUUUAGUAUAUUAUAUGAUUAGGGUUUUUUUUUUUUUUUUAGGAAAAACGGUUACAUGUAUAAUAUAUCAAAACAAUACUAAACCGCUUGGUUUUUUCCUGAACAUUUCCGGUUUGGUUUCCGUUCUUUUUCAAAGCGGUUUUUUUACACCUCUAAUUUUCAUCUUGUUUUUAUAUGUUCCAAUACAGAACAUAUAAAGUUUUGUGGAUGUCUAAUUUCAUACAACACGGGGAAAAUAGCCACUCAUGGUGUUACUAGCAAAUUUAUUGAUAUCAGGGACUUCAAAACCUCUGCCAAAUUACAAUGAAUACCCUUUUUACAAAUUUGCAAUGAAUAAUUGAAUACCAUCACCUUCACAUAAAUCUAGUCUUUGAAGCUAUCAUAAAAUAAAAAAUAAAAAAAACAAAAAAAAUGUCUCCCAUGACGAUUGAGAAGUAAAGCCCCACAUGCUAUCCAAAAUCCAGUAGCAAAACCCAUCCCCCCACCAAUAUAAAACCAUCUUUGAACUUCAUCUAUGUCUUCCUCAUCACCCUCACUUUUACCAGCAGGAGGUGGUACUUUUGAUUUUUCAUCUACAGGGCAAUUCUUGGGAAGGGGAAGUCCACAUAGUCCUGUGUUUCCAUCAUAUCUUGAAGGGUUAAAGGACUGAAGUUGAGUGCUAAAUGGGAUUCUCCCCGACAAGUUAUUAAAUGACAAGUCUAGGUAAUUCAGUAAACUCAUAUGAGACAUGCUUGAUGGUAUCCGCCCUGAAAAACUGUUUCUAGAUAAAUCCAAAGUCAAAAGGUUGUUCAUCUCACCAAUUGUCGAUGGAAUUUCUCCAGAUAGUUUGUUCUUUGACAAGUUCAGGGCAAUCAAGUCAUAGAGAUUAGUAAUUUCAUACGGGAUAUUUCCUGUUAAGUCGUUGCUUGACAGGUCAAUGCUCUUUAACAAUUUCAAUGUGCUAAAGAAUUCUCGUUCAUCACCUUGCCACUGAAUUAUCGCAUGGUCAACAUAUGUCUCAAUUUCAUAAGAAUAAUUUACUGAAGUUUUAUAAAACUCUACACCUUGUAAGAAUUCUUGUUGAACCAUGCUUGUAAGAUUACCCAAACAUGAGGGGAUGAUUCCAUGGAGAUUGUUCAUUGACAAGUCUAGAAUUUGAAGAUUGGAUAAUUGACAUAACUGUAGUGGGAUGGUUCCAAAGAAGUUGUUUGAUUUUAGAAUAAGAACAUACAAACCUGAUAAGUUUUCCCCAAUCCAGAGAGGCACAUUACCAGAAAACUUGUUGGCCCCCAAAUUCAACGACUUUAAGCUGGUGCAAUUUUUUAAUGACAAAGGCAAUUCUCCAUAGAAGUUGUUCUUGGACAAAUAUAACACCUCAAGUUCUGUCAUAGAUCCAACAGAGGGAGGAAGUCUUCCAAAUAGAUUAUUGUGUCUGAGAUUAAGAACUUUUAGUCGUUUGAAAUGCCACAAACAAUCCGGGAGUUGUCCGAUAAAUGAGUUAUCAGAGAGGUCAAGAAAUAAUAACCCAUCAAAAAUUUGGCAUAUAAAUGCGAUUCCUCCAGAGAAAUUGUUUUUGGAAAGAUUUAAUGAUAACAAAGUGGAAGAAACAUUUGUUAUUGGACCAUAAAAGUUGUUUGAACUCAAAUCUAUCGCUGAAUAUUUGGCAAAAUUUGAUAAUAAAUCUGGUACUUUCCCGUUAAUGUUGUUGGAAGAGAGAUUUAGAUAAUCUAAUUGAUAAGGCCACAUGUCCCAAAACCCCAGAGGAGUUGUGUCUGAAAUACCAGCAUUGGAAAUAUCAAGACGGGUGAGACGUUUGAAUGUCUGAAUCCAUUUGGGGAAGCGAGGCCCUAACAGCUUGCAAGACCUCAUAUCAAUAAAAUGUAAGUAAGAAAGGCUUGACAAGUGAUAUGUGGAAGGAACUCUAAGAUUAUUAAAAGAAACGUCAAGAGUUUGAAGCCUGGGUAGCUCCCACAGUUUCUCACUUAUACUUCCAUUUAAGUGAUUAUGAGACAGGUCCAAGGACUUUAGGGAUGAAAACUUUUGGAUCUCAUCGGAAACUGACUCUGUAAAUUGGCUUCCAAUAGCAUACAACAGUUGUAAUGUAUGUGAUGUGCAUCCGGACAAGUUGUUGAGAAAAUCAGGAAAUUUGACCACUGCAGAGUUGUUAUUGAAGUACAAAGUUUCCAGACUACAGAGGUUACCAAGAUAUUUAGGUAUCCCAUCUAACAUGUUGCUAGAGAGAUAAAGAAAACGAAGCUUAUUGCUGGUUAAUGGUAGCAACCAACGAUACAUGGAUGAAGUGAGAUUGUUGUCACCGAGAUAAAGGGACUCAACAGAUGAAAAAGAGGAGUUGAGAAACAAAGAAUAUGGAUAUAUGAUCUUUGACAGCUCACAUCCCUCUAAAGAUAAAUAUGAGAGGUUCCGGAGACUCAGAAUUACAUCUACCCAGUAAUUUUGUUUGGCUAGGGAAAUCCCAUCCAUUCUUAGCCACUCCAAAUGUGAGAGAUGCGACAACCACUCUAUGUUUUCAACUCUGUACCUUCCAACGGAUCCAAGGUUAAGGUAUUGCAAGUUGGUGAGGUUUCCAAACUCUGGAGGAAUGGUUCCAUAAAAAGAAUUAUCGGAAAGGCCAAGGUGCCUUAAUUCGGUCAAGGAACCAAUGGACCCGGGAAUGGUUCCAUUAAGAUGAUUGUAGGAAAGAUCAAGAUACCUUAAUCGAGUCAAUGAACCAAUUGACCUGGGAAUGGUUCCAUUCAACAAAGAAUUGUAGGAAAGAUCAAGAUGAUUCAAGCAAGUUAAGUUAAGAAACGUAUGGCUAAUCUCACCUCCAAGAUCAAAAUGACUGAUAUCAAGCCCUGUGACAUGACCUGUUUGGUUGCUGCAGGUGACUCCUCUCCAUUUGCAGCAGUCAUGAUUGUCAGCUCUCCAUGAAGCUAGAAUGCCUCGGCGAUCAUAAAGGGGAGCUUUGAAAAGAAGGAGAGCAAGUCUCUCCUUUUCCAGACACUUGUUCAUAUUAGCACCAUUUCUAUCAUCUCCUCCUUCUUCUCCCCCUGCUACCAAUUGGCUGGCAGUUGUAGUCGUGAGUAGCAAGAGAAUCGAGAUGAUUAUAAAAACACAAAGAUUCAUAAUGUAAAUGGAAAAUCUUGGUGAUUUUUGGAUUGUAUUGAUGCUUAAUUGCUUAUAUGAACUGCCCCCAUCAGGGUUUAUAUAGUCUUGAUGUGAAAAUCAUUGCUUAGUAAGUGUGUGGCCUCAAAUUGCAGGCCUACUUGUGUGGGGCAUACAAUACUUAAUUUGGUUGAAACUGGAACCAAGCUAUAAGACAAAUGAAAGAUGACGCGUUAAAAUAAAUUGCUUCAAAAUUUUGAUUUUUGUAGACAUAUAUGAAUGAAACCAAGUUUAUCCAUGCAUUACUUAAUUGUGGUCUUUUUCAUUGAUAAAAAUGAUAUUACCAUGCUACCCUGAUUGAUACUCACUCGAUUAAAAACAUUAGAUUACAAUCAAUACACUUAGAUGAUUGGAGACUUAAUCAAGAAAACGCCAAUAGUUCAUGGCCAAAAUAGUGACAUUAAACCUUAUAUAAAUAUCAAAAUCACACAACUUAAAUAGUAGACAAAGUAGCUGCCUUGGAAAAAAAAUGUUAUUUUUAUACUGAGAGGAGUUUCCCUAUAAGACCAGAUCUUUUCAGCUGCCCUAUGUGGACCAAAUGAUAUUCAUUGUGAUUCUUUGUCAACGUUUUUGGUCAACAGAAGCUUAAAUGCUUAACCAUCUUCAACCAUCUUAACAACUUCAAUCUCAAACAAGUUUUCAUUUUCUUGAAUCUAAAUCUAGCCACACAACGUCUGAACCCAAAAAAAGAUAAUUUUUUAUUUUCUAUUCACCAUAGCAAUAGCAAAUAAAUAUAUACAAAAUAAUCACACAAAGUGAAAAAUCCAAAAUUUUCUAUAAUACCAGCAACCAACCUUUAUGCGUCACUCUUUUACUUCGCAUCAUCAUAUGAUUGUAAUAAUUUAAGAGUAAAUUACGUUUUUGGUCCUUGGCUAUAGCUGAUCUUUUCAGCUUUGGUCCCCAAAUGUUUUGUAUUGUAAAUUUGGCCUUUAUUUGAAGUUUUUAUAGCGUUUUUGUUCCUAUAGCAAGUAAAAGAUGACUAUUUUGGGAUCAAAAUUGCAAAAAUCAGUUAUACUCUGGGACCAAUAUAGUAUUUUACUUUGAACAUUGACAAAGAACAUUAGAAGAACCUCUAAUAAGGAGCAAAUUGCAAGAGAAAACUGUCUGGUGUAUACUUAGGGACCAAAAAUGUUACUCUAAUUCUAAACAUUCUACUCUCCUAGCACAUAUUGAAUAAAGAUUUCAUAGUAAGUUUGGAACAUUAAUAAAUAAUAAGUAAUAUAUUUUUCCAUCUUUUAGGAGAAUUGGAAAAUAAUGCAAGUUCAUAUGGUAUAUAUUCUCAGCUGUUUCUUUCUCAUAAACUUGUUCGUCUGUAGUCAUCUGUAGUCAUCCAGGGGCCAUGUGCUCCAAAUACGAAAGACAACUCAAUAACAAAAACUAAAAAAACCUAACUUAUCCAUAAUUCAGCCUUUAGUUUUUGUAGUAUUUACAUUGGCUUCUUUCUGGAUGAAUACGUCUAUUUGCGGUGUUUUUAUCUGUUAUGAAGAAAAAAUAUAUAGAAUAAAUUACAAUUUUGGCCCGUGAUUAUAGUUGAUAUUUUUUUCAUAUUCGGUCUCAAAAAGGUUUAUGUUGCAAUUUUGGUCCGUGUUCCAAAAUAAAAUGACUAUAUUUCAAAUUGGGUACGAAACAUAGUUGUUUUACUUGGAACAUGGACCAAAAAUGUUACAAAAACCUCAAAUAAGGACCAAAAUUAUAAAAAACAACUACAGUCAUGGAACAAAAAAUGUUAUUUACUCAAAAUUAUAUAUACGAGACAUAGAAGUUUUCUUUUUGCAAAAAAAAUUGAGCAUCUGAAAUAUGUUACCUUCUGUUUUCCUAAAUUAAGCUCCUGCAAAUUAAAUAUCACACAUUAAAGUUGGCCUAAUUCUUGAAAAAAAAAUAUUACUUCAUUUACUAUUUAUUUCAUAAAAUCUACAAACUGCCAUCAUAUGGCUGUUUGAUUGAGCAGGUCUCUAGUUUUGCAACUUUGUUUUCUGAACAAUCACUAUUAGAAAAAUGUUUUCCUUGACAGACAAUGUCUAUCGUAAAUGCCUAUACAUGACAAAUAUUUGUCUGUCAUUGAAAGCCAUGUCGUAAAGAAAAAUGACAAACAUUUGGUUUGUUAAAAUAUUUACGACAAACCUUUAUGACCGACAAUCAAGACAUACAUACACGACAUGCGUUUUCGACAUACAUUUAUGACUGACUUUGUAUGUCAUAAUUCGUAACAUUUUUGUAAAUUACCGAGAGACAUAUACGACUUGAAAUAAUUAAGAUAUUCUGUAUGUCAUGAUUUUGACAUAGUUUUACAACAUACUUUGUAUGUCAUGGUUUUCCAUUAUAUAUAUUUCAAAUUUGUAACAAAUCUAAAUUUAAUUAAAUUACACAUUUAAUGUCUAAUAAGUAAAAUAAAAUAUCAUACUUACACAAAGAUAAUUCAUUACACGAACUAUAUUGCCAAAUUCAAAAGUAUAUUUCAAAUUCAUCAAAAAAAUAAUUGUCAAAUACAUAUCACCGAUUAAAUAAAGGUUGUGACAUAAGUAGCACAUUCUUCACGGACCUUAUCAUUCUUGAAGUUUGUAUAUUCCUUCUUCCUCCAAAUCCGAGACAACCUAAUAUAUUAGCAAAAAAAAAAAAACAAUUAAACAAUUAUAUAUGUGAAAAUUCUACAACACUUCAAAUAACUAAUACAUUUACUAACAUAGUUUACAUGCACCUAAUGGCCACUUUAAACCCAAAAACGAAAUAGAAAUUAAGAUAGAUAAGUGUAAAAGAAGCUUAAAUGUAAGAAAUAGAAAAGUACCAUAUGGUUAAGGAAGCUUAAAUACAUGAAAUGACAACUUACUUUCUACUUCUUUAUGAUAAAGGAAACUUAAAUGAAAAAAAUAGCAAAGUACAUUGCUAUUUCCUACACUUGCAGUCAUAAAUGAACUUGUGUAGUAAAAAAAGUAAAUUAUGUUCUUUCAGUAAAAUCAAUUAAAGUAUGCUGCUAUUUCUUGCAUUUUUAACGAAAAACAGCUAAAUGCACGAAAUCGCAACUUGCUUCUACUUAUUUUUGGUGAAGGAAGCUUAAAUGCAAGAAAUAGCAAAGUAUAUUGCUAAUUCUUUCCCUUGGGAUAGAAAAAGGACUUGUGUAAUAAAAAAAUUAUGUCUUUUUUUUUUCCUAAGUAAAAUCAACUAAAGUAUGUUGUUAUUUCUUGCCUUUUAAUCAAAAAAUAUCUAAAUGCAAGAAAUAGCAAGUUACUUCUACUUAUUUAUGGAAAAGAACCUUAAAAAUAAAAAGUAGAAAAGUACACUACCAUUUCUUCCACUUGUGACAAAAAUGGUUUAUGUAAUAAAAAGAGAUGUUUUAUUACUAAGCCAAAUCAAUUAACCUGUCGAGUUAAAAUCGAGAUAAAAAAAUUUAAAAAAAAAAACAUAUGAGAAAAUCAUUGAAUAUUUACAUGUCGGGUUAAAAUAGAAAAGUACGGCAUACAUGUUGUUGUAGCCUAUGUAUUUAAGUAUCAAUCUAUAGAAAAUAUAUUUUAAAUGAUUAGUAUUAUUUAUGGCAAAUUAAAGAUUAAAAAAGUGUAACGACGUAAUUUUUCAACCAAUUUUUUUUUUCAUUUUUAAAACACAUAAAACUCAUAUAUUAUAUUUCAUAAAAAUCAUAAGUGUCUCAAAGUAAACAUAAAUCCAUAACAAAGUCAAAUCCCAGAAUCCUCAACAUAAUCUCGAACAGGUGUACAAUCACACAGGUGCCUUCCCACGAUCCUCGGAAGUACCUGAAACACAUAACACAUAACACAUAACACGGUAAGCAUAAAGCUUAGUGUGUUCCCCAAAAUACCACAUACAACACAUUAGCCACUCGAGGCUAUAACUAUGUAAGACCCUCCGGUCAAUGUGUCUCAGUGGGACCCUCCAGUCCCACAACUCUGAUGGACCCUCCGGUCCUAACUCUGUGGACCCUCCGUCCCUAAAUCUGUAAACUCUAAAUACACAUAGCAUAAAUCACACAAACAAAAUGCAGUAAUAUAACAGUACUCAAAUAAACACAUAGGACCCUCUGGUUACAUAUAAAUACCACUCUAGGUAAAGUAUAGUGAGAAGAUUCCCCUCGUAAGCUAGUAAGUAAAAGUCUCAUGCUCGAAAUCCUCGAUCUAUCUUCUGCCUAUCAUAAGGAUAAUAUCUCUAAUUAAUACUCUCUUCAUUCUCAAAUGUGCCAAACAUUGAUCUCUCUUACACUGUAGCCUUAAAAAUGGGUAAAAGACCAUUUUACCCCUUCCUGACCUCCAUCACUCAUUUGACCAACCCUAAAGUUAACCAAAGCCAAUUCUAGUCAACAACCCAAAUUGACCAGACUCGCCUAGUGCGCCCAUGCGACUCAUCGAGUCGCACCGAUUCUUGACAAUCUUAUGAAGGUCCAGCCCGUCGAAUUAACCCCUAACUCUUCGAGCUUUCGCCUGAUCCAGCUAAUCGGGACAACCCUAAUCUUCUCGCUGAGUCAGCUCAUCAACUUGGUGAUUCCAUUCAGACUCAACUUGCAUUCAGACGACUUUAAGGCAAGAUACUUUCCCAAACUCCAGAUCCAUACUCUCAGGGCUCAUUUAUAUCGUAAAGUCAUAGACUUUACGUCCAUGCAUGGCAUUUUGGGCAUGAAAUGCCAAGAACACGAUCUAACUGGGUUUUUCACUCAUAAAUUCCGUCAAGGCUAAAUAAAGCAUGAACCUUUAGAUGCUAGGGACCUCCUAAGGUCCAGAUCUGGAGUUCAAGCCUCCUCAUGAACCCUAAAUCCUCAAAGUCCUGAAAUAUAAAGAAAAGAAGCCCUAAUCUUCAAAAUGAGAGAUCUACUCAAACAAAAGAGAAAGGUUCGAACUUGAUACCUCUAACGGAAGCUCUUGGACGUAUAAGCAAUAGAUCUAACAGCCGCUUCACAAUCCUUGCUUGGAAUCCUCCUUUCCUCUAACAAAAUGCACCCACAAAUCUCGACUAAGGCUUAAAACUCUCUCAAAACUCAAGGGGGCGAUUAGGGUUUCUUCUCAAUGAGGUGUGGCCACAAAUGAGGCUAUAAGUGCCUUUAAAUAGACCACAAGCCCAAGAAAUUAAGGUUUCCUUCAGCAACGCUGACUCGACGAGUCGCCUUACAGACUCGUCGAGUCCAUUAAUUAAUCCACGUCACCAGACGCGACUCUACUAGACGAGUUAAGGCACCAACUCUUCGAGUCACUCCACAAAUCUCAAAUUAAAUGAUAAUAUAAUUACUUGGGAAUCCGGAUGUUACAAUUCCCCCCCACUAGAAUCAGACUUUGUGACAACCCGAAAUUUCCAUUCGGUCAACCCUAAAAGUCAACCACUUCGUAUCAUAAGUCAAUGUCAUUAUGUAACAACCUGAAAUUUCCGUAUCAUUUCUUGUAACUCUUUCGUAGUACAAUUCACGCAACCAAACGUCGUUUCCAAAUUCGAUUUCCGAUCUUUCGUUUAAUUAAGUCAUUAACUGGUAUGUAUUUAUAAUGACUUAAUGGGUGUCUUAAUAUAUUUAGAAAUCAUUUUAGCACCCAACUUUAGUGAUCGGAAUAUUUCUAGAAUUUACCGUAUCGGGUUACGGCAACCUAAUCGGGUACGACCAAAAGCCUCGUCUAACGCCGGUAUCGGGUAGAAUUUCACCGUGUCCAAAACUUAAACACUAUAUAAUGUGUCUUAAGCCUCCAUUUCAAGCCUUUGGCCAUUUUCUCAUAGAACUCUCACAACCUCUCUCCUCAUCCAUAAUCAAAGGUCCAAAACAAAGAUUUAAGGCUUCCAAUCAAAGAGGUAACACUCCUAACUUGUUAUUCAACCUCUUAAGCCUUCAAAUUAAUGUUUAAAUUAUAUUUUGGGACCAAGAACAUGAGUUUACGGCCAAGGAUCAUGCUUGGACCGUAAACUCCUCAACAUGGGGUUUUUGAGCCAAUUUACCCUUCCAAAUCAUAGUUGGGACUUAGAUAUGACUUUAAGGCUUGCUAAUUUGGGACUUGGAACACAUUAAACAUGAAUUAUAUGGGACAAACAAGAGUUUACGUCCAAGGCAUGUGCUUGGGCCGUAAACUCCAUUAAAUUGGGGAUUUAGUGCCUUAAAUCAUGUCCAAAUGCCUUGAAACUCAACCAAUGGCCUUGUGGUAAAAUCUAUAUGCAUUUAAAUAUAGUUUAAGGGUUUGAAGCAUAUCAAAAAUGUCAUUUAUAGGAGUUUACGGCCUAGGAACAUACCCUUGGCCGUAAACUCAUAAAACCUUGUUAAUGAUGCAUCAAAUACACUCUAAUGGUUAGCAUAAAUUUCUAGAAUCACAUGUGAUUGUUUUUAAGCAUCAAAAACUAACUUUUCAUGAGUAUAAGAGAGUUUACGGCCAUAUAACAUGCCUCUAGGCCGUAAACUCCUAAAAGUAUGUUUAAUGGUGUUCUAAAUUCAUAACAAGGCUUGGAAAAUUAACUAGAAUCACAUAUGAUUGUCCUUUGUAGCUUAAAUCCAUUUUUCUUGGCCAUGGGUGAGUUUACGGCCGUAAACUCUUAUGGUGUGGCCGUAAACUCCCUUUUAAGUGUUAUAAUUCCAUUCAAUCCAUUCCAAGGCAUUUUAGAAAUCCAUUCCAACAAUCCCCAUGUCCAUUUAAGCCAUUAAACACUCAAAACCACACCAACAUGAGUUUACGGCCGUAAACUCAUGUGUGAGUNGGCAUUUUUAGAUAUCCAUUCUAGCAAUCCCCAUGUCCAUUUAAGCCCUUAAACCCUCAAAAUCACACCAACAUGAGUUUACGGCCGUAAACUCAUGUGUGGGUGUGUUUUGUGGUUGUAAACUCUUUAAAAUGUUUACUCUUGGGGAGUAAACUCAAGUCCCAAGUCCCUAGUGCCAUUACACAUCCGAAGAUGUCACCCGGGUCACUCCAAACGCUCGUUUUGAAGUGUUUAACCUCGUUGGAGUGUAAUGUUCCAUAUGAUUAGUGAAUGUAUCUCUAAUUGAAUAUAUAUGGACAUUAUUUCAUUUUACAUAUGGACAUCGCGAGUAAUCAAACCCCGAACCAACGUCUAGUAUCCGAAACUUACACAUUUUCGAGUCCGGUGAGUUCAUACCCCUACCCUUUUUCACUGUUUUCACUGUUUUCAAGGGGGGCACACAAGCAAAGUACAAGAGAAUUCUUGUACUCAAAACAUGUUUUCAAAUGUGUGAUUCAUAUUCCAUAUGCUUUUAUUACUGAUUACCACAACUGAUAACCAUUUGAACAUGCAGAUCACGUAACAUUUAUUUGUGAAAUAGGUAUUUAAACUGUUAUGUUUUACAUAUAUUUCACAAAUGGUUUUCCACAAUUUAUCAGUUAAAAGCAUGAAAUUAGACAUUUGAAUAUAAUACCUGUACACUGUUUUGUCCUCGGUAACACUCCACACACAUACACGAGUGGAGGACUAUCAUAUUAUUACUAGUAAAUUUGUUAAUCCUGUAUGAUUGGAGACACGUCCUCGGCGAACACUCCACAGAGAUACGCGAGUGGAGGACUACACCCAUAACCAGAAUCUCUGGUAUUUAGAGAGCGUGACUUGAGUGUAUAGAUCUAUACGGGGCUGACUACCCCACACUUGGCUGCUAGCAACAGCCGAACCGAAAUGGUUCAAGGGUGACGAAAGUCAUAAGUAUGUGGACUACUUAUUGCCACAUGUUGACUACUUAUUGCCACAGGUUUAGUCUAUCGUAUGGUUAUGGAACUCGCAAUUAGGAUAACAGAGAUUUACUUAUAGUAAUAAUAAACCACUUAUACAUCUUUUACAUCUUUUACAUCUUUCACGUACAGUAAUCAACAUUCAGGAAAGUAUGGGACUUUCCUGGGGAAAACAUGGAACCUAACCACAUUUACAUCUUUUACAUCUUUUACAUCACUCACAUUGGAAACCAACAUGCAGGAAAGCAUGGGGCUUUCCUGGGUAACACUUACAUAACUAGAAAGAGUAACAAACUGGAUAACAUUACAUCUUUUACAAUUAGUAAUAUACAAUAAGGAAAGUAUGGGACUUUCCUGGGAAUACACGAUAAGUAAACAGAACAGUUUAACAAGUCGGAUAACCAACUAUACAUUUUCACAUGAGCAGACAUGUUUUCAGUGUACAAACUUACUAUACUUUACUUUUGUGAAACAAUAACCAACUUUUAAGAUAAUACGGGAUUUUCUUGGUAUACAUAACAUUUCAGAAACAGAAAGGAAACUUGAAACAUUUUCACAAACAAAAACCGCUUAUGAACUCACCAGCUUUAUGCUGAUUUUUAAACCGCUUGUGUUCUCAAGUCAGCGUUAGAACAGGUACCCGAAGAUCCCUUUUUGAUCAGAAGACAGAGUACAUGAAGACCCGUUUCAUUUUGUUUAUAUAUACUAUGUAUCACAACUGUACAAACUUUACUUUUGAAACAACUGUAAAACUUUAUUAUGUAAUGUAAUGGUUGUUUUACUUUACUUACUAUGUGCAUUGGAUUUGAUACUCAACGUGGAGUCAACCCCGGAAAUGUUUUCGCCUUCGGUUUUUGGGGUGUGACAGAUUGGUAUCAGAGCCCUUGUUUAUAGUGAAUGAAGUAUACCAAACCUUACAUGGUAUAAAACUAUAAACACUAAAGGGCCUAAGUGCUCUGAAUUAAAAGGAUCUUCAAACUACAAGUAUUUUCAAAAGUAUACAAGUAUACCGAACCGUCGUCAUCCAUAACCACAAGUAGAACAGAACAUAAGUAAUUGGGUGUUGUGUACUAUGGUUAAACCUGGGCAGUUAUGUAGUCGUGUCUAGGGUCAAUAUAGCCUGGCCAACUAUAUUCAUUCGAGACACGACCAACAUGUGCUUGGGAGUGACUGUGGUAUGCGGCAUGCCUAAAAAUUACACUAAUAUCCCAAACAUCGAAUCAUUGUCGUAAACAAUUCAUGAAAUACUAUGGGAGUAUUUCUCGAUCCCAAUCCUCUGAAGAAAUCCUUAUUCGAGUGGCUUUCUGUGAUUAUUCUUAGCGAUAAAUUAUCUGUUUCGAUAACUCUUUCCUAUUUUAUCGCUUAUUCGGAUCAUAUAACUGCCAUAUCUAGCGAUUCAAUAUAGAGGACUUACCAUCCUCUCUUUCUUGAUCUUAUUAGAUCAAGAUGCCUCCCAGAAAGAGACCCAGCUCAAAGAACAACAACAAUCCUUCUUCGCCGCCACCUCCUCCCCAAUUUGACCUAGCGUCACUCCAGACGGUCAUGACAGCUGCAAUGGUGGCAGCCAUGUCACAAAUGAACCCUAGUGGUUCAGGAGGUGGUCCCCAAUCUCAAAACCCCGACGUUAGCCAGGGACACCAAAGAGGGGGUUCCUAUAAGGAUUUCAUGAACGCAAAACCAACAUCCUUCAAUGGCGCUGGAGGUUUCAUUUCCUUAUCCCGAUGGUUCGAGAAAAUCGAGUCCAUCUUUGAAAUCUGUGCUUGCGCGGAAUCUGAUAAGGUUAAGUUCGCGGCCUGUACCUUCGUUGACAAAGCCCUGACUUGGUGGAAUGGCCGAGUCAAAUCUCUAACCUUACCCGUAGCCAAUGCCAUGGGCUGGGAAGCCAUGAAAGAACUCCUUAUAGCCGAGUACUGCCCCUGUGGUGAAAUGCAGAAACUAGAACACGAGCUCUGGAACCUGAAGAUGAAAGGUUCCGACAUUGUUGCAUACACUUCCUGAUUUGAUGAUCUUGCACUUCUCUGCCCGGGAUUAGUCACUCCUGAAAACAAGAAGAUCGAAAGGUUCGUUUGGGGGUUAUCCCAACUGACAAAGAGUCAUGUUUUGGCUGCUCGUCCGGAUACCUAUGAUAGUGCCAAGACUUUAGCUCAAACUUUGAUUGAUCACAGCGACGACGUUAAGGAAAUCACUACCACCUCUGAGCCGACUCAAAGGAGUGGCAAAAAGAGAAAAUUCUGGAAGAAGAAGAAGGGUCAAUCUUCUCAAGGAUCUUCCAAGAAACAGCAGACGAUAGCAGUCCAUGCUGCUACUACCCCUGUUGCUGCUGCUUCUGUUGUGGGAUCCACAACUCCAACUCCUACCAGUAAAUAUGCUGGUAACCUUCCUCUGUGUGACAAGUGUAAAUACCAUCAUCAUCCUGGUCCCUGCCGAGAACUAUCUUGUACCAACUGUGGUAAGAAAGGGCACACAGUUCGAUUCUGCAAAACUCCUACCCAAUCAGCCAACCAAUCAUCUGGAGCAGGUGUUAGUCAAGCCUGCUGCAAUUGUGGAGAAGUUGGGCACUUUAAAAGGAACUGUCCCAAGAAGUCAACUGCUGAUAACAAUGGAAGGAUUCUAACCAUGGGACGGGAGGAAGCAGUCGCUGAUCCCACUAUUGUUUCGGGUACGUUCCAUCUCGACAACUCAUAUGCUAGUAUUCUUUUCGAUUCGGGUGCUGAAAGGAGUUUUGUUAGUCAUGCAUUCAAACAUAAUCUAAAACGUAAUCCCCAACCACUAACUAAAACGUUUACCGUCGAGAUGGCUAACAGUGAGAAAGAAAGCGCUAACGAUGUAUUCAUAGGCUAUACACUUACCUUGAAUGAUCACUCAAUUCCUAUAGAUCUCAUGCCCGUUUCCAUUAAGAGCUUCGAAGUUAUCAUUGGCAUGGAUUGGUUGAGUCCCAAUCAUGCUGAUAUCCUUUGUUACGAAAAAGCCAUCCGUAUCAAUCUUCCUUCGAAUCAAACUCUCGUAAUCUAUGGUGAUAAACCCAAUUCCAAUCUUCAUAUCAUUUCCUGCAUCAAAGCUCGAAAGCUCCUUCGAAAGGAGUGCAUUGCAUUCUUAGCCCAUGUGAUCAACGGGAAACAAGAAGUUAGAGACCUCGCGAGCGUCCCCAAAGUCUGUUACUUUCCUGAUGUAUUUCCCGAAGAGCUUCCAGGAAUUCCUCCCGAACGUCAGGUCGAGUUCCGUAUUGACCUAAUUCCUGGAGCUACCCCCGUAGCAAAGUCUCCAUAUCGCUUAGCUCCAGCAGAAAUGCAGGAGUUAUCCAGUCAACUCAACGAGUUGCUCAGUAAAGGAUUCAUUAGACCGAGUUCCUCACCCUGGGGAGCUCCGGUACUGUUUGUCAAGAAGAAAGAUGGAUCCUUUCGUAUGUGUAUCGACUACCGCGAACUGAACAAGUUGACCGUUAAGAACCGAUAUCCUCUUCCACGAAUUGAUGACCUCUUCGAUCAACUCCAGGGAGCCAGCUACUUUUCAAAGAUAGACCUUCGGUCAGGGUACCAUCAGUUACGAGUCCAGGAAAAUGAUGUUUCCAAAACAGCUUUUAGGACUCGGUAUGGACACUACGAGUUCGUAGUGAUGCCCUUCGGUCUAACCAACGCACCGGCUGUGUUCAUGGACCUGAUGAACCGGGUGUGCCGUCCCUUCUUAGACAAAUUUGUCAUCGUGUUCAUUGAUGACAUCCUUGUCUACUCCCGAAACGAAGAAGACCACAAACAACACUUGAGGUUAGUGUUGGAGACCCUUAAAUCCGAAAAGCUAUAUGCGAAAUUUUCCAAAUGUGAAUUCUGGAUACGAAAGGUAACUUUCCUCGGUCACAUGGUAAGCGAGGAGGGUAUUCAUGUAGAUCCUUCCAAGAUUAAACCGAUAGAGAAUUGGUCGGCACCGAAGACACCCACAGAAAUUCGUCAAUUCUUGGGUCUCGCCGGCUACUAUCGAAGAUUCAUUUAGAAUUUCUCCAAAAUUGCCAAACCUUUAACCACUCUAACACAGAAAAGUUUACCAUUUUGUUGGAGUGAUAAACAAGAAACUGCAUUCCAAACGUUGAAGAAAGCCCUAUGCAGCGCGCCUGUUCUGUCUCUGCCCGAAGGGACAGAGGACUUCGUUGUCUACCGCGAUGCGUCUAAUCAAGGUUUAGGCUGUGUGCUUAUGCAAAGAGGAAAGGUGAUUGCCUAUGCCUCAAGACAGCUGAAAGCACACGAGGUCAACUAUACCACACAUGACUUGGAACUAGGAGCCGUAGUCUUUGCAUUGAAGAUUUGGAGACAUUAUCUUUACGGAACCAAGUGCACGAUCUUCACUGAUCACAAGAGCCUGCAGCACAUAUUUGAUCAGAAAGACUUAAACAUGAGGCAACGGCGAUGGGUAGAAUUACUCAGUGAUUAUGAGUGUGAAAUCCAUUACCAACCCGGCAAGGCCAAUGUGGUAGCAGGUGCCCUUAGCCGAAAGGAUAGUGCAGGCCACAAAGUGAAGAACUAGACGAUGACCAUCCAUUCCAACCUACCCAUGCAAAUCCGAGAAGCUCAGUUAACAGCCCUCAAAUCCGAGAACGUGUCGAAUGAAGCCUUGAGAGGAAUGGAAAAGAAACUUGAGAUCAGAGGUGACGAAGUUCACUAUUUCAUGAAUCGUAUCUGGAUUCCCAAAUCCAGAGGAUUCAGGGAAAUAGUCAUGGAGGAAGCGCACAGAACCAAAUACUCUGUUCACCCAGGUUCUGACAAGAUGUACCUGGAUCUCAAGAAACAAUAUUGGUGGCCAAACAUGAAAGCUGAGAUAGCUACUUUCGUGGGCAAGUGUCUGUCUUGCGCCAAAGUUAAAGUUGAACACCAGAAACCCUCAGGUCUGCUCCAACAGCCCGAGAUCCCCGAGUGGAAAUGGGAGAUGAUUACCAUGGACUUCAUCACCAAACUGCCCAAGUGGUCUAGUGGGUACAAUACCAUUUGGGUAAUUGUUGAUCGUUUGACAAAAUCCGCUCACUUCAUUCUAAUCAAAGAAUCAUACAAGAUGGAAAGACUCGCGCGAAUUUACAUCCAGGAGGUAGUACGUCUACACAGCGUACCUGUAUCCAUUAUCUCUGAUCGAGAUAGCAGGUUUACCUCUAGAUUCUGGCAAUCCCUUCAGAAAGCCCUUGGAACCAAACUAGAUAUGAGCACGGCGUAUCAUCCUCAGACCGAUGGACAGAGUGAGAGAACAAUCCAAACCCUGGAGGACAUGCUUAGGGCAUGUGUCAUUGACUUUGGAAAGUCAUGGGACACACAUCUAUCUUUGAUCGAAUUCUCGUACAACAACAGUUACCACACCAGCAUUAGGGCUGCUCCGUUUGAGGCCCUAUACGGUCGUAAGUGCAGAUCCCCUCUGUGCUGGGCCGAGGUGGGUGAUACACAAUUAGCCAGGAGUCGAGUCCCCGACAGUGCUCUCACUGGUCCUGAAAUCAUCCGCGAAACCACCGAAAAGACCAUUCAAAUCCGUAACCGAUUGAAAGCUACACGAGAUCGCCAAAAGAGUUACGCUGAUAAUCGUCGGAAACCACUAGAAUUCCUGGUUGGAGACCGUGUACUGUUGAAGGUCUCGCCCUGGAAAGGCACUGUACGCUUUGGUAAGCGUGGGAAACUUAAUCCAAGGUACAUUGGACCCUUUGAGAUUCUCUCCAGGAUCGGUCUAGUUGCCUAUAAACUUCAUUUACCUCAUGAACUCAGUAACAUUCAUCCUGUCUUCCAUGUUUCAAAUCUCAAAAAGUGCCUAUCCGAUGAAACCCUAACGAUUCCCAUAGACGAGAUCGAAAUCAAUAAAAACCUCAACUUUGUGGAGGAACCGAUCGAAAUCAUGGAUCGAGAAGUCAAACGUACAAAACAAAGUCGCAUCCCAUUAGUGAAGGUUCGCUGGAAUGCCAAGCGGGGACUGGAAUUCACUUGGGAACGGGAAGAUUCAAUGAAACAGAAAUAUCCACAACUCUUUCCAGAUCCAUGAUGUGUAUCUUGUCUUGUGUUUUAAACUUUGAAUUUCGGGACGAAAUUCCCUUUAACGGGGGGAUAAUGUAACAACCCAAAAUUUCCGUAUAAAUUAUUGUAACUCUUUUGUAGUCCAACUCGCGCAACCAAUCGUCAUUCCAAAUUCGAUUUCCGAUCUUCCGUUUAAUUAAGUCAUUAACUGGUACGUAUUUAAAAUGACUUAAUGGGUGUCUUAAUACAUUUAGAAAUCAUUUUAACACCCAACUUUAGUGAUCGGAAUAUUUCUAGAAUUUACCGUAUCAGGUUACGGCAACCUAAUCGGGUACGACCAAAAGCCUCGUCUAAUGCCGGUAUCGGGUAGAAUUCCACCGUGUCCAAAACUUAAACACUAUAUAAUGUGUCUUAAGCCUCCAGUUGAAGCCUUUGGCCAUUUUCUCAUAGAACUCUCACAACCUCUCUCCUCAUCCAUAAUCAAAGGUCCAAAACAAAGAUUUAAGGCUUCCAAUCAAAGAGGUAACACUCCUAACUUGUUAUUCAACCUCUUAAGCCUUCAAAUUAAUGUUUAAAUUAUGUUUUGGGACCAAGAACAUGAGUUUACGGCCAAGGAUCAUGCUUGGGCCGUAAACUCCUCAACAUGGGGUUUUUGAGCCAAUUUACCCUUCCAAAUCAUAGUUGGGACUUAGAUAUGACUUUAAGGCUUGCUAAUUUGGGACUUAGAACACAUUAAACAUGAAUUAUAUGGGACAAACAAGAGUUUACGGCCAAGGCAUGUACUUGGGCCGUAAACUCCAUUAAAUUGGGGAUUUAGUGCCUUAAAUCAUGUCCAAAUGCCUUGAAACUCAACCAAUGGCCUUGUGGUAAAAUCUAGAUGCAUUUAAAAAUAGUUUAAGGGUUUGAAACAUAUCAAAAAUGUCAUUUAUAGGAGUUUACGGCCUAGGAACAUACCCUUGGCCGUAAACUCAUAAAACCUUGUUAAUGAUGCAUCAAAUACACUCUAAUGGUUAGCAUAAAUUUCUAGAAUCACAUGUGAUUGUUUUUAAGCAUCAAAAACUAACUUUUCAUGAGUAUAAGAGAGUUUACGGCCAUAGAACAUGCCUCUAGGCCGUAAACUCCUAAAAGUAUGUUUAAUGGUGUUCUAAAUUCAUAACAAGGCUUGGAAAAUUAACUAGAAUCACAUAUGAUUGUCCUUUGUAGCUUAAAUCCAUUUUUCUUGGCCAUGGGUGAGUUUACGGCCAUAAAAUCUUAUGGUGUGGCCGUAAACUCCCUUUUAAGUGUUAUAAUUCCAUUAAAUCCAUUCCAAGGCAUUUUAGAAAUCCAUUCCAACAAUCCCCAUGUCCAUUUAAGCCAUUAAACACUCAAAACCAAACCAACAUGAGUUUACGGCCGUAAACUCAUGUGUGAGUGUGUUAUGUGGCUGUAAACUCUUUAAAAUGUUUACUCUUGGGGAGUAAACUCAAGUCCCAAGUCUCUAGUGCCAUUACACGUCUGAAGAUGUCACCCGGGUCACUCCAAACGCUCGUUUUGAGGUGUUUAACCUCGUUGGAGUGUAAUGUUCCAUAUGAUUAGUGAAUGUAUCCCUAAUUGAAUAUAUAUGGACAUUAUUUCAUUUUACAUAGGGACAUCGCGAGUAAUCAAACCCCGAACCAACGUCUAGUAUCCGAAACUUACGCAUUUCCGAGUCCGGUGAGUUCAUACCCCUACCCUUUUUCACUGUUUUCACUGUUUUCAUGUGGGGAACACAAGCAAAGUACAAGAGAAUUCAUGUACUCAAAACAUGUUUUCAAAUGUGUGAUUCAUAUUCCAUAUGCUUUUAUUACUGAUUACCACAACUGAUAACCAUUUGAACAUGCAGAUCACGUAACAUUUAUUUGUGAAAUAGGUCUUUAAACUGUUAUGUUUUACAUGUAUUUCACAAAUGGUUUUCCACAAUUUAUCAGUUAAAAGCAUGACAUUAGACAUUUGAAUAUAAUACCUGUACACUGUUUUGUCCUCGGUAACACUCCACAUAUAUAUGCGAGUGGAGGACUAUCACAUUAUUACUAGUAAAUUUGUUAAUCCUGUAUGAUUGGAGACACGUCCUCGGCGAACACUCCACAGAGAUACGCGAGUGGAGGACUACACCCGUAACCAGAAUCUCUGGUAUUUAGAGAGCGUGACUUGAGUGUAUAGAUCUAUACGGGGCUGACUACCCCACACCUGGCUGCUAGCUACAGCCGAACCGAAAUGGUUCAAGGGUGACGAAAGUCAUAAGUAUGUGGACUACUUAUUGCCACAUGUUGACUACUUAUUGCCACAGGUUUUAGUCUAUUGUAUGGUUAUGGAACUCGCAAUUAGGAUAACAGAGAUUUACUUAUAGUAAUAAUGAAUCACUUUAUACAUCUUUUACAUCUUUUACAUCUUUCACAACACUGUAACUAACAUUCAGGAAAGUACGGGACUUUCCUGGGGAAAACAUGGNNNNNNNNNNNNNNNNNNNNNNNNNNNNNNNNNNNNNNNNNNNNNNNNNNNNNNNNNNNNNNNNNNNNNNNNNNNNNNNNNNNNNNNNNNNNNNNNNNNNNNNNNNNNNNNNNNNNNNNNNNNNNNNNNNNNNNNNNNNNNNNNNNNNNNNNNNNNNNNNNNNNNNNNNNNNNNNNNNNNNNNNNNNNNNNNNNNNNNNNNNNNNNNNNNNNNNNNNNNNNNNNNNNNNNNNNNNNNNNNNNNNNNNNNNNNNNNNNNNNNNNNNNNNNNNNNNNNNNNNNNNNNNNNNNNNNNNNNNNNNNNNNNNNNNNNNNNNNNNNNNNNNNNNNNNNNNNNNNNNNNNNNNNNNNNNNNNNNNNNNNNNNNNNNNNNNNNNNNNNNNNNNNNNNNNNNNNNNNNNNNNNNNNNNNNNNNNNNNNNNNNNNNNNNNNNNNNNNNNNNNNNNNNNNNNNNNNNNNNNNNNNNNNNNNNNNNNNNNNNNNNNNNNNNNNNNNNNNNNNNNNNNNNNNNNNNNNNNNNNNNNNNNNNNNNNNNNNNNNNNNNNNNNNNNNNNNNNNNNNNNNNNNNNNNNNNNNNNNNNNNNNNNNNNNNNNNNNNNNNNNNNNNNNNNNNNNNNNNNNNNNNNNNNNNNNNNNNNNNNNNNNNNNNNNNNNNNNNNNNNNNNNNNNNNNNNNNNNNNNNNNNNNNNNNNNNNNNNNNNNNNNNNNNNNNNNNNNNNNNNNNNNNNNNNNNNNNNNNNNNNNNNNNNNNNNNNNNNNNNNNNNNNNNNNNNNNNNNNNNNNNNNNNNNNNNNNNNNNNNNNNNNNNNNNNNNNNNNNNNNNNNNNNNNNNNNNNNNNNNNNNNNNNNNNNNNNNNNNNNNNNNNNNNNNNNNNNNNNNNNNNNNNNNNNNNNNNNNNNNNNNNNNNNNNNNNNNNNNNNNNNNNNNNNNNNNNNNNNNNNNNNNNNNNNNNNNNNNNNNNNNNNNNNNNNNNNNNNNNNNNNNNNNNNNNNNNNNNNNNNNNNNNNNNNNNNNNNNNNNNNNNNNNNNNNNNNNNNNNNNNNNNNNNNNNNNNNNNNNNNNNNNNNNNNNNNNNNNNNNNNNNNNNNNNNNNNNNNNNNNNNNNNNNNNNNNNNNNNNNNNNNNNNNNNNNNNNNNNNNNNNNNNNNNNNNNNNNNNNNNNNNNNNNNNNNNNNNNNNNNNNNNNNNNNNNNNNNNNNNNNNNNNNNNNNNNNNNNNNNNNNNNNNNNNNNNNNNNNNNNNNNNNNNNNNNNNNNNNNNNNNNNNNNNNNNNNNNNNNNNNNNNNNNNNNNNNNNNNNNNNNNNNNNNNNNNNNNNNNNNNNNNNNNNNNNNNNNNNNNNNNNNNNNNNNNNNNNNNNNNNNNNNNNNNNNNNNNNNNNNNNNNNNNNNNNNNNNNNNNNNNNNNNNNNNNNNNNNNNNNNNNNNNNNNNNNNNNNNNNNNNNNNNNNNNNNNNNNNNNNNNNNNNNNNNNNNNNNNNNNNNNNNNNNNNNNNNNNNNNNNNNNNNNNNNNNNNNNNNNNNNNNNNNNNNNNNNNNNNNNNNNNNNNNNNNNNNNNNNNNNNNNNNNNNNNNNNNNNNNNNNNNNNNNNNNNNNNNNNNNNNNNNNNNNNNNNNNNNNNNNNNNNNNNNNNNNNNNNNNNNNNNNNNNNNNNNNNUAAACUCAUGAGUUUAAGGUAGUAAACUCAUGAGAAAUGGUCCUUAGACCAUAAACUCCAUUUAGGAGUGUUUUGAUGCCACACAACACUUCCUAAGGCAAAUUUGUGAAGUAGGAAUGCUUGGAAUAGCCUAGAAGACUUCAAAUCACCAAAUGGUCAAAAGGUUAGGAGUUUACGACCGUAAACUCAAGAGUUUACGACAAUAAACUCAAGGGGUGUUGAUCAUAAUGGAGUAAACUCAUUUUAAGAGUGUUCCUUGAACCCCAAACACACUAGCUUUUCCCUACAACACUUAGAUGCAACCCUUGAGACUUAUAANAAAGUGUUUGUCAUGCCUUAGAGUGUCUUAACUUUGUUUAUUAGUUGUUUAAAGACUAAUUGUGUAUAUACAUAUAUCCUUUUAUGUUAUUAGGAUCUUUGUGCGUGUCUAAGUCUUCACUUAACACCAAGCACUUAUCCGACACUUCCUUCCGAUCCACUUACUAUAGGUGAGUUCAUACCCGUUAAUCAAUGUUUUAAACUGUUUUUAAAUGUUUUAUGGGGGGGGGGGAUACAAGUAGAACCAUGCUACUUAUUAUAUCAAUCACAUGUGAUUAAUAAGCAACAUUCAAAUGAUUGGCUACUCAUUAGCCGUUUUACCAAACAGUUUCCUUCAAAUGUUUUUCAUAAACACUUUAUGUGUUUAAAACUCCCUAUUACACUGUACAUUUUACUCUGUAUAUUACAUUUCAAACUUACUUUCAAUUGUGUUUCAAACAAAUGUUUCUUUAUACUAAACCGUUUUAUCAAACCCAUGCCUUCAAAACCGUUUUAUAGAUUGACAUCAAGUCGAUCUUUUCUUAGAAAAUGAUUAUGCUCAAAGGUUUUACAAAAAUUAUUUUAUGUUUUAUUAUUAUAAAUUGCAUGCCUAUAUAUGUAUAGUUAUAUAAGAAAUGUUGAAAGGACAUAGGAAGGCUAUCCACCCUAUUUCCUUUUCCUCGAUUUGGAUGUGGUCUGGUGGGAUAUCGGGUACCCGUACGAAGGUCGUUUAAAUAUUAAUUAUAUAUCAUGUGUACAUAUAUAGUCAUAAAAGUCCUUCCAGUUCAUCAAUUGCCCUUGGGUAGCAAGGGUAUACAUCCAUGUUCAUACGUGCCAGUUAGAUUACUAGUAAACUACCAUAGGGGUAGUUUAGGAAAAUACUAGAACAAUACUAGAACUAUUACUAAAACGCAAUAACAUACAAUGAGUCAAUUCAUUCAUGAGUCAAUACUUGCUAGAACACUACAGUACUUUACUAUACUUGUUAGAUAGAGAGAACAUACAUUACAGCUAGAGCAUUUCAGUACAUUACUAUACUAUUACGUAGAUAAGUUUACAUGGUCACACUUACAUGAGUACAAUUACAUGAUCACACUUACACGAGUACACUUACAUAUACAUAGAACAUAUGUCACUAGGUGCUAUAGCAUGGACCCAGUUCAGGAUCUAACUAUACUGAUGAAUCACAACGCAAUUGUGAUAGUUAUAUCGAGUAUACAUGAUCAUAGUAAUGUGGAUGCUCACGGCUUGUAGAUAUGCAGGGGUCGUGGGUAGGUCCCAAAAUCCCUUUGAUAGGGGAGCGUAUAGCCUGGGAUCUAGACAUCACAUUAUACCUUAUCCCUCAAAUAAGGUAGCUGAGUACCGAUGUAGUUAUUUAUUACAAAUGCUACAAUACUUACAAGAUUACCCUAGACUUAAGGUAAUUGGUACGGUUGUAGUUCGACACUAUACCAUAGUACUAUUUCAUUUUCCCAUUACAUUCACUUCGUGAACAUUCACACGACGCACGGUAAUGUGGAAACUAUAUUUUUGGUUAAUGAUAGUCAUACUUGGGAAAAUACAUACUUUUACAAGAGACACACACACAGGCACUAGAUGGCUUGGUAGAAGGCUACAUUCAGAGCAGUUAGGUCUUGGUAUAAGACUACAUAGAGAGCAGUCAGGCCUUGGUAGAAGGCUACAUUCAGAGUAGUUAGGUCUUGGUAGAAGACUACAUUCAGAGCAGUUAGGUCUUGGUAGAAGACUACAUUCAGAGCAGUUAGGUCUUGGUAGAAGACACCUUCAUAUAAUAGUAGAAAUCAUAGGGAUUUCUAGGGUUUUUCAAACAUUUAAAGUUGAUUUACAAACAUUUUCAUACUUACAGUUCAUAUACACUUUCAAUACUUACAAUUUAUAUACAUACAAAUUCUUACGUACAAAUUCAUGCAUACAAAUACUUACUUACAAAUUAAGACACUAAAAUACUUAUGAUCUCACCAGCUUUAAAGCCGAUACUCGCUUUCAUAAUUACUUGUAUCCUCAGGUCAUCUAUAGACAGGUACAGAUGCAAGGUUUAGAGAAGAUGGAGCUCGUUCAAGACUCAUCUUUCAUUUUGAUUUAUGCUUUAGUCUCUAUUAUAUUUUGACAGAACACACUUGUAUAAUAAUUAUUUUAUUAAUGCAAUGGAUGAUGUUGUUGCUUGUUUACUACUUUACAUUGUUGUGAUACUGUACAUGACGUCCUCCACCCCAAAACGUUUCCGCCAUUAUUGGUUUUGGGGUGUGACAGAUUGGUAUCAGAGCAUUGUUUAUAGUGAAUUAAGUAUAUCAACCCAUAAAAGAUAUACUAUCUAUAAAUACAUAAGGGAUUAAAAAUACUCUGACCAAGAGUUUAUACUUUAGAUAAUAAAAUAUUUAAUUAGUAUACGUGCCUGCAUUUAUACUAAAAUCGGUGUCACUAGAACAGUACAAAAGAAUUACAAUUAAUGGGCAACGCAAGUGGGCUUAGAGACAUAUGGUCAAAACUGGGAAGAUAUAGCCUGAUCACCUAUAUUAUCCGAGGGUUGACUUGCAUGUGCUUAAGUUUAGUUGUGUGGUUGCAACAAUGCAAAAAUCUUACCAACCCUACCACAAUGAGAACAGUAGAACAUAACAUUAAACUUAAAAUACUAUAGGAGUAUUUGGUAUUACUAUAAGUACUUUAUACUUGAGAACUAAAACAGGAUCUUCAUUACUAAGUUGAUAGUUGCUAAGUGGAUACACUAAGGCUAUAUCUAAUUAGGAUGUUAUAGACUUAGAAUCCGUGAAAGUUUUACUUUACCCCUAUUCUGUGUGAAUUUGGAGUUAAGGUCACUUAUUCGAAGGCCUAUCCUGUUUCGAUUUCAUAUAACCGGUAUGCACUUCACAAAUAGCAAUGUAACUAAAGAAGAUUUUCUAAAUAAUUAUCUAGAUAGUUCGUCUAAUGAUUAUUCUCUUACCCCAAUUCUCGCGUAGAUAACAUGGCUGGACUCCAUCCUCACGACAACCCGUACCUUCUGAAUGAGGUCAUUGCUGGAUGGUUUGAAGAAGAGCCAGAAAAUGAUCAUCCUAUCCCUGUGAAUGAUCACCAUGAUGAAGACCUUUCGGAUGGUGCUAAUUCCGAGCCCGAGGUUGAGGAUCUACCCCAGGCAGCUCCUGUUCCAAUUCCUAACCCUCGUCCGGCUUUUCAUGGCCCGACGCCUCCAUGGGUGGAAUGUUUGGAAACAUGGAGCGAAGGUCAAGAUCAACCCAUGUCGUUUAAUGGAGACCAAAGCUUCUACAACAUAAGUAAAGGGAGCUUAGCAGAUAGAGUUCUACCAAUUCUGAUCCAUAGAGUUGCCCGAAACGAGAUUCAGGGCAUGACAGCCCUACAACGUAUCGCGGAAGUUGAUACAAAUUAAGGAAUGCAUAUGCUUCGCACCAGUCGGCUUGAACAUGCUCGUGAGAGGUCUGAGAGAGACAAUGAGACCUUGCUGCAAGCAGUAGCUAAAACUCGAGCUGAAGUCAUAGAGCUCCGAGUACACCAGAGGGUGUACGAAAGAUACCUUCUUGAUAUGGAACGACAACUGGCUGAACUAAGAGUUCACCAGAGGGAUGACCGUCGCCAGGAGUAGAUGCUUUACUUUAUUUUUCCUGGUUAAAAUAAAUCGUUCUUCUAUCUAUGCCCGAUGUGGCAUUUUCUAUGAAACUUUCUGGUACUGUAAGUACUGUUGUUAGGUCUUUAUGCUGUCAGGAACUAUCUUCUUUGUUUAUGAUGUAAGACCUAUUACAAGGUCAUUUUCCCGAACUUUUACGUAAUGAAAAUCAAAAAUAUUGACAGUCGGCUAACUUCUGUUCCCUUUUUAGUCAAGUACUCUCAUCCUACUUUCCUUGGAGUCAAUCUGAAACAUGCUUUAGUCAAGUCAUUGGACUAUAGUAAUUUAACUCCGGAGACAUUUCCAUGUCUAUUUCAAUGGUUGGAUCAUGUUAUUCACCAACCAACGAUACCUCGGCUUGAACGACAAACGUCUUGAGACCAUUCUACAAACUCACUUCCAUUCCGUACUUGGACUGCAUCAUAUGGAUGUAGGUCAACCUUUCGAGAACAUACUCUUACUCCUUGAUUGAGCAAUCGAAGUACAUCUAGGUUCAACCAGAAUCGAUCACAAAAUCCUUAUCUUUUGUAUUACAUAACCAUGUCGUCAUCCGGAAGCAAUCAGUCGAACAACGAAACCUCCGCUUUUCCCAUGGAUGCAGCUACUUUCCAAACCGCAGUUACAACGACUGUGAUGGCUUCCGUGACAGCUGUCCUUGCGCACUGUAGCGCGAUCAGCACAAUCAAUACUGAUGAUAGGGUUGAAGUUUCCAAUCGUGGUAUCCAUCCAGGAAAUCGCCAAACAGUAACAGUCACAGGCUCGCCAAGCCGAAAGACAGAGAAAAAGAAACUAANGUCAAGCUCAGAAAGAACGCAAGAAAUCCCAAAAACUUGCCAUGCAACAGCAACAAGUGGAAACCACUGCCAUUCCCGUACCGAGCAGGCCAUACGAGGGAAAACUCCCGAAGUGUGAUAAGUGUAGUUUCCAUCAUCAUGGGGCCUGCCAUGAGAUGCAGUGUUGCAAUUGCCUAAAAAUAGGGCACCAUGCUCGUAAUUGUGGAGCACUGACACGACCCAUCACUCAAGUCCCUUUCAUCGGGACCAAACCUACACACGAGAGUAGUGAUAAAGCUGAGCGCUUUAGGAAGCAAUUUCCAAGGUGGAGUAAUGAGGAAGGCACUCGUGUCCACAUAACACUGGCUAAACACCUCACUUCCACCACCAAUGUUGGUGCUGUCCAGAUAUGUCACCAAUGCGGUGAAAUUGGACACUUCAAGAAAGAUUGCCCUAUAACAAAGAACUCUGGCGCAGACGGGAAGUUUCUCAAGAUCACAGCUGCAGGAGAACCCACUCCGGACCCUCGUUAAUGUAGUUUAGGCGUUUUGUUGUAACAGACUUAUAAACUAUUCAAAACUAGUGUAACUAGAGUCUUACCUUCUGCGAGAUCAUGUCUGUAUAUGGAUGCUCGUGCUGCAUAUACUUGUCUUUUGUAGUAUACCUUAUUCACAGCAAUAGCCUUGUAGUAAAACUAAAGUACUGUAACUCUACUCAUGGUUGCACGGUUGUGUUUUGUCUGUAAACGACUUAUGUUCAAAUCUAAUGUCUUUAAGUUUCUGUAUGAUUCCGACAUUAUCAUGCGACCCGAUUCAACUUGAUCCUCACAAAAACAGCUUCAUACAUACAUCUCUUUGUCAGUAAACGUCGUCUCAGCGAAACCGUCAUAUCAGAACACCAAAGUACUCUUGCAUGGAGUACCUCAUAGUUCUUUUCUUUUCCGAAGAAAUCCCUGAAGUACCACUCACGCAGUACGUCAAGUUCAAUCCAAGGAUUCAUGCGGAUGAUCUAUCACUGAGGAUUGUAUACAUAAGAGUGAUAUAUAAUCAAGGUUCUACAGGUUUAGAAUUAAUGAUUUCGCUUUAACUCAUUUCCUCGUUGGGAUGUGAGGGUAAAGAAGAAUCAGUUAUUCGACUACCUUUUCAAUCUUAAUUAUAUACGACUCAUAUAAACGAGAUUGUGAUUGUGAAACCAUGUAUGAAUUCUAAUAUGAACUUCAGGACGGAGAACUGCCUAAGUCUACGAGUAAUCACAUCGUCAUGUGAACAAACUUAGAACCCAGUAUGACUCCCAUAAACAGAUCGCCCUAUAGUCUAAACAUCUACGGAGAUACAAGAAAAGUACAGACGACUUAACGAACUACAAAGAAAUAGAAUUAGAAGACUAGGCUUCUGACCCUGGAGAACCCCGAUCUUAUUCUUCUAGAGAUCGACGGAUUGCAUCGUAUGUACCUCGGAUAUCGAGGACUCCGUCAAGAAUUUUCAUUACAAAUCGUUAUCUCUGCCUCACAUAGAUGAAAUGGUUGAGCAAACGCAAGGAAAGAAUUACUUUCAGAAAUGGACCUGAGAUCCGAAUAUCACCAGUUCGAGUGUUAAGGAAGGAUGUCCGGAAGACUAUCUUCCGAACUAGAUGUGGACACUUCGAAUUUGUAGUGAUACCCUUCGGAUAGGACCAAUACGCCCAUAGUUUUCAUGAGUUUAAUGAAUAGAGUUCGUCUUUCCUACUUGGAUCAGUUCGUCAUUCUCCAUGUAAUGACUUACUUAUCUAUCCUCGUAGUAAGAAGGAACCCAUGGAAACAUUACCUUCGGAGGAACUUACGCAAAGCUCUCUAAACACGAGUUUUGAAAUUGAAGGGUCAGAUUUCCCACGACGCACUAUUAGUGAUGUGGAAAAUUUUGAGCACUCUUCCAAUUUGUCAAAACCGUUGAGAAUUUGUCGACACCAGAGACGCUGACAGAAAUUCGCCACAUUCUAGGUCUUACAGACCUACUGUCAUAGUUCAUUCAGAACUCCUCGCAAAUUACAGAAACCCUUUCGACUUUGACCUAGCAAGGGGUGGCCCUUGAAUGGGAAGUUUAGUAAGAGAAAGAACCCUUGGAAGUUCCAAGUGAGAGACCAAGUUCUUCAGGAAAAGCUCACUUUGGGAAUGGCUUAAUACGCUUCGUAAAGCGUGGAAAGCUAAAUCCAAGAUUGAUAGGACCUCCGGGAUUCUUACCAAAAUCGGUCCUGUACCUCGCACAAACGAGACCUACUCCGCGAACUCAGUAACAUACAUUCUACUCUUCAAGUCUCGAUCGUGAAACCGUACUUUUCCGUUAGGAGUCUUGUAAGCCCACUCGUCGAGAUCCUCGCCUUCGUAUUAGAACCGCAGUGACCCUCGACCGAGAGGUCAAGCGGACGAAGCAACGCGAUCGCCCGUUAGUGAAGGUUCGUUGGGAUACCAACUGAGGAUCCGAUUUCACUUAAGAGCUCUAGAACCAAUCGAUUAGGAAGUUCCCUCCUCUCGACUCGAUUAUUCAUACCUACUUCCUUACCUAAAUUCUAAUUUCGGGAUGAAAUUCCCUUUAACAGGGGGACGAUGUGACAACCCGAAAUUUCCAUUCGGUCCAACCCUAAAAGUCAACCAUUUCGUAUCAUAAGUCAAUGUCAUUAUUUCUUAUUUUUAAGAAAUAUAAAAUUCGUUUGAUUAUUUUAAUAUUAUUUUUAAGCGAACGGGUGAAAGAAAGUGUUGUCUCGGUUUUUGAUUUUUGAAAACCGCAAACACUUCGCGUAUUAGAAACACCCGACCAAACUUUUAUUUUUGGGUUGAAAAAUCAUCCAAAAAUCGUGAACUCAUACCUAUGUAUGAGUUUACUCCCCAAAAACUAGUCAUUUGUGUUUACUCCCCAAAAGUCAAAAAGAGUAAACUCCAAAAUAUCCUCUCAAGUAUCAUCCAAGUUUUUAUUCUAGAUCUUCAAACUAGUAAGUGUUUCUAGCCUUUCAAGUUAGUAUAUCACUUAAUCUAGUGAUUUUACACCCUUUAAUCCAUCCAUUUUUAUGUUUUGAUUAGUUUUUCCAAAACACCAAGAACACCAAGAACACACACUAGUGUUCUUGGACUUAAAGUUCAUUUCAAGCUUCCACAAUGUAAGUACUUCUAUCCUAGAGUCAUUUUAAGCUAGCUAUACAUGUUUAUACCAAGGAAAAGUCCCAAGAACACCAAGAACAAGGUGUUCACGGUUUUGGGAGGCUCCCAAAACCGUAAACACCAAAUAUAGUGCCUUAGGGUGCUUUAGGGUGUUUAGAUGCUUCUUUAUGCCUUAAGAACUUGUAUAGAUCCACCCUUGAUGAGUUUAUCACCCAAAAGUACCAAAACCUUCCAUUUUUAUGUGUUUACAGUUUAGGGAUGUCCUUAAACCGUAAACACCCCAAAAGGUGUGAAAAUGUCCCAUAAAAGUCCCAUGGUUGUUCCUUACGGCUAAAUCUAACCUAGACUAGUGCCAUGAUUGAGCUAAGGACUUGAAAACCCCAAAUACCAUAAACUUAUGAGUUUAAGGUAGUAAACUCAUGAGAAAUGGUCCUUAGACCGUAAACUCCAUUUAGGAGUGUUUUGAUGCCACACAACACUUCCUAAGACUAAUUCAUGAAGUAGGAAUGCUUGGAAUAGCCUAGAAGACUUCAAAUCACCAAAUGGUCAAAAGGUUAGGAGUUUACGACCGUAAACUCAAGGGGUGUUGAUCCUUAGGGAGUAAACUCAUUUUAAGAGUGUUCCUUGAACCCCAAACACACUAGCCUUUCCUUACAACACUUAGAUGCACUCCUUAGCACUUAUAACACUUAUACAAAGUGUUUGUCAUGCCUUAGAGUGUCUUGACUUUGUUUAUUAGUUGUUUAAAGACUAAUUGUUAAUAUACAUAUAUCCUUAUAUGUUAUUAGGAUCUUUGUGCGUGUCUAAGUCUUCACUUGACACCAAGCACUUAUCCGACACUUCCUUCCGAUCCACUUACUACAGGUGAGUUCAUACCCCUUAAUCAAUGUUUUAAACUGUUUUUAAAUGUUUUAUGGGGGGGAUACAAGUAGAAUUAUGCUAAUUAUUAUAUCAAUCACAUGUGAUUAAUAAGCAGCAUUCAAAUGAUUGGCUACUCAUUAGCCGUUUUACCAAACAGUUUCCUUCAAAUGUUUUUCAUAAACACUUUAUGUGUUUAAAACUCCCUAUUACACUGUACAUUUUACUCUGUAUAUUACAUUUCAAACUUACUUUCAAUUGUGUUUCAAACAAAUGUUUCUUUAUACUAAACCGUUUUAUCAAACCCAUGCCUUCAAAACCGUUUUAUAGAUUGACAUCAAGUCGAUCUUUUCUUAGAAAAUGAUUAUGCUCAAAGGUUUUACAAAACUUAUUUUAUGUUUUAUUAUUAUAAAUUGCAUGCCUAUAUAUGUAUAGUUAUAUAAGAAAUGUUGAAAGGACAUAGGAAGGCUAUCCACCCUAUUUCCUUUUCCUCGAUUUGGAUGUGGUCUGGUGGGAUAUCGGGUACCCGUCCGAAGGUCGUUUAAAUAUUAAUUAUGUAUCAUGUGUACAUAUAUAGUCAUAAAAGUCCUUCCAGUUCAUCAAUUGCCCUUGGGUAGCAAGGGUAUACAUACAUGUUCAUACGUGCCAGUUAGAUUACUAGUAAACUACCAUAGGGGUAGUUUAGGAAAAUACUAGAACUAUUACUAAAACGCGAUAACAUACAAUGAGUCAAUUCAUUCAUGAGUCAAUACUUGCUAGAACACUACAGUACUUUACUAUACUUGUUAGAUAGAGAGAACAUACAUUACAGCUAGAGCAUUUCAGUACAUUACUAUACUAUUACGUAGAUAAGUUUACAUGGUCACACUUACAUGAGUACAAUUACAUGGUCACACUUACAUGAGUACAAUUACAUGAUCACACUUACACGAGUACACUUACAUAUACAUAGAACAGAUGUCACUAGGUGUUAUAGCAUGGACCCAGUUCCGGAUCUAACUAUACUGAUGAAUCACAACCCAAUUGUGAUAGUUAUAUCGAGUAUACAUGAUCAUAGUAAUGUGGAUGCUCACGGCUUGCAUAUAUGCAGGGGUCGUGGGUAGGUCCCAAAAUCCCUUUGAUAGGGGAGCGUAUAGCCUGGGAUCUAGACAUCACAUUAUACCUUAUCCCUCAAAUAAGGUAGCUGAGUACCGAUGUAGUUAUUUAUUACAAAUGCUACAGUACUUACAAGAUUACCCUAGACUUAAGGUAAUUGGUACGGUUGUAGUUCGACACUACACCAUAGUACUAUUUCAUUUUCCCAUUACAUUCACUUCGUGAACAUUCACACGACGCACGGUAAUGUGGAAACUAUAUUUUUGGUUAAUGAUAGUCAUACUUGGGAAAAUACAUACUCUUACAAGAGACACACACACAGGCACUAGAUGCCUUGGUAGAAGGCUACAUUCAGAGCAGUUAGGUCUUGGUAUAAGACUACAUAGAGAGCAGUUAGGCCUUGGUAGAAGGCUACAUUCAGAGCAGUUAGGUCUUGGUAGAAGACUACAUUCAGAGCAGUUAGGUCUUGGUAGAAGACACCUUCAUAUAAUAGUAGAAAUCAUAGGGAUUUCUAGGGUUUUUCAAACAUUUAAAGUUGAUUUACAAACAUUUUCAUACUUACAGUUCAUAUACACUUUCAAUACUUACAAUUUAUAUACAUACAAAUUCAUGCAUACAAAUACUUACUUACAAAUUAAGACACUAAAAUACUUAUGAUCUCACCAGCUUUAAAGCUGAUACUCGCUUUCAAAAUUACUUGUAUCCUCAGGUCAUCUAUAGACAGGUACAGAUGCAAGGUUUAGAGAAGAUGGAGCUCGUUCAAGACUCAUCUUUCAUUUUGAUUUAUGCUUUAGUGUCUAUUAUAUUUUGACAGAACACACUUGUAUAAUAAUUAUUUUAUUAAUGCAAUGGAUGAUGUUGUUGCUUGUUUACUACUUUACAUUGUUGUGAUACUGUACAUGACAUCCUCCGCCCCAGAACGUUUUCACCGUUCUUGGUUUUGGGGUGUGACAGACUUUGCCCUCGAAGUCAUGCUCAGCAAAUAACUCAGGAUGCUGCUCCCGCAUCUUUGACUCCGGCUCCCAAGUCAAAUCGGACCCUCUCUGAUGUUGCCACUGAACCUAAACCAGGGACACUUCCUUGUUUCUUAGAACCUUCACAUUUCGAUCCAAGAUCGCUAUCGGCCUCUCAAUAUAAUUUAGGCUCGCAUCUACCUGAAUGUCCUCUAGCGGUACCACUGUCGUAUCGUCGGCUACACACUUCCUCAACUGGGACACGUGGAAGGUGUUAUGGAUCUGACUCAACUCCGCAGGUAGCUCCAAAUGGCACGCUACCCAACCAAAUCUGGCGGUCACCUUAAAAGGACCGAUGUAUCGGGGUGCAAGCUUGCCCAGGUUCCUGAGUCGGAUCACCCCUUUCCAAGGGGAUACCUUUAGAAGGACAAAAUCUCCAACCUGAAACUUGAGAUCAGAUCGUUGCCUGUCUGUGUAACUCUUCUGGCAACUCUGGGCCAUUAGUAACCUCUGCCUGACUUGCUGAAUAUGCUCGGUCGUCUUGAGUACUAUCUCCGUGCUACCCAUCACUCGUUGUCCCACCUCUCCCAAACAGAUAGGAGUUUGACACCUUCUCCCAUAAAGGAGCUCGAAAAGAGGCAUACCAAUGUUGGAUUGGUGACUGUUAUUGUAAAAAAACUCAGCCAAGGGUAAGUAAGUGUCCCAACUUCCUCCGAAAUCCAUCACACAUGCACGCAUCAUGUCCUCCAGCGUCUGAAUCGUUCGCUUGCUCUGUCCUUCUAUCUGUGGGUGAUAGGUAGUAUUGAAAUGCAAGAGCGUGCCCAAAUCCUCAUGAAAUCCAAAACCUGGAAGUAAAACGCAUGUCUCGAUCCGACACUAUCGAGACCGGCACUCCAUGUCGCGCUACCACUUCUCUCACAUAGAUCUCGGCCAAUCUCUCCGCAGAAGAGCUCUCACUAAUAGCAAGGAAGUUAGCACUCUUCGUCAGUCGGUCCACAAUCACCCAAAUCGCGUCAACCCUUCGCGCAGUCUUCGACCACUUGGUGAUAAAGUCCAUUGAGAUCUGUUCCCACUUCCACUGGGGAAUCUCAAGAGGCUGCAAUGGACCAUGUGGACGUUGGUGCUCUGGCUUGACCCGAAGGCAGGUCAAGCACCUCUCAACUACCCAAGCAACAUCCUUCUUCAUACAUGGCCACCAAUAGUCUCUUUUUAGGUUUAAAUACAUACUAGUAGCCCCGGGGUGGAUCGAGAAGCUCGAUUUAUGCGCCUCUUCCAUCAUUAUACGUUGGGCUCCGCCCGUAUAGGGCACCCAAAUCCACCCUCAGGAAGUCAUAAAUCCUCGGCUAUCCGUCACAAACUCGAACACCUGCCCAAUCACCCUCUCCCUCUUGUGGUUCUCCGAUUUCACGGCCUCCGCCUGGGCCUCUCGAAUGGUAUCCAAGACCGGAGCUGUCAUUGUUAUCCUCAUACACACAUCUCAAAUUGGGGUACUCUCUGCUCUACGGCUCAGGGCAUCGGCUACUACGUUAGCCUUCCCCGGAUGAUACAGGAUCUCACAGUCAUAGUCUUUCACCACAUCCAACCAUCUCCUAUGCCGCAUAUUCAGGUUAGGUUGAUCCAUGAGAUACUUCAGGCUCUCGUGGUCCACGUAUAUGGUACACCGAACCCCAUACAAGUAGUGGCGCCAGAUCUUGAGGGCGAACACAACCGCCCCUAACUCCAGAUCGUGGGUGGGAUACCUUGUCUCAUGAGGGUUCAACUACCUCGAGCAUAUGAUAUCAUGUGAUCCCUCUGCAUCAACACUGCACCCAUCCUUGAGAUAGACGCAUCACAAUAAACCACAAAGUCCUACACUCCCUCCGGAAGAGCUAGUACACAAUCUCUAGCGAAGAGUCUCGAAUAAUGGAUACUCCCAACAAGAAUAGAGGAUAUGCUAUAAGUUUAUAUCAUAUCUCUUCAUGUUCUAAAGGAGUAAAGUAUUGGUCUUUUUUCCUACACAAGAGUAAAAAAAAAAAUCUUUAGUAUCCAUAAAAUAAUAACUUUUAUCUACUAACAAAGCAAAAACAAGAUUACUAACCAUUUUAGAAACUCCAGGUGAGAUUUCACAAAAUGCUUUAUGUCUUCUUUUAAAACAAGUGCAUCAGAUGAAAAGUACAUCAACUCCUGCAUCAACAAAAGCCGUAGAUCUCCAAAGAGCUUCUUGUAUAGCAAUGCCUGACAAGAAUAUGUUCUUGUUACAAUAACAAUGUCAUAACCACUCUCUUUCAAAGCAUCAACAAUUAUUUUUAUCUUCAUCACAAGUUCUACUCUAGAUACCACUUAACUGCCUUAUGUAUGACCACAAGCUUUUGAGGAUACCUUGCAGUUUCAACAUUAUCAGCAAUCUGCAGGACCUACAUAUGAAUCCUAUGAUAGUUGAUGUUAGGAAAUGAAUUUGAUCUUCGAGAAUUAUUUUAACAAAUCCUGCUCUGAAAUAUUUGGCAAGCUUUUAUAAUGGACAAUGCUUUUGUAAUGUCCUUGCUUCACAAUCUCUCCAUAAGAUAUUAGUCCAGUAUUAUCUAGCAGGCCUAAUCGAGCCAUCUGUAUUCCAAAACCUAGCGAGAGAACAAAUCAAAGGCAAAAUUACAGGAUUGAUCAGACGAGGUUGCACAUUAAUACCAAUUUCAACAUUCUAGCCAUCUCUCUCUAUUAGCUUCACAUCAAGGUCAUUGAAACAAGCAGGGGCUUAGUGAAUUCGAGGAGAAUCAAGUAGUUAUCGUAACUUCUUCGUCGGAGAAAAAUCUGAAGUGGCGUUGUUUAGGCUGUUUGUCUCCUCCAUAAGAACUUAUGGUGAUAGAAUUGGGUGCCGAUAUAGCCCUAGAAACUGGUGAAAUAGAAAUCGAUGAAAGGGAAGGAGUUUGAGGUUUUCAAUGGGAGGUAAUUAUAAGACAAAAUCGGGGGAGGGGGGCACAAAUUCCAAACUGUGGGAAGCGUGUUUGACCUAGAGGAGGUGAGAGAUACAUACGAUCUUGAGAGUUGUGGUGACGGGUGAGAAGAUGUAGACGGGCUGGAGGAGUAGGCGACACAAAUUGUGUUCGCCAUUGACGGUGGUGGUAACCGAUGUUGAUGGCAGAGAAGGGAGACGGAACCCUAGAUCACCCAUGUGUGUGUUUUGAACCAAAACAUUGAAAACAUAACGGUAUCUUUUUCCGUCAUUUUAGACACUAAUUCACAACAAACAUUGUUUAUUUCAUUAUUUUUUAUAAAAGAUAACAUUACGACGUACAAGCGUUAAUCCUGAACAUUUUACAUACAUAACUUUUUAAGAAAUAUCUUUUUGUCUGUCAUAAAAUUAGUGUAUGUCAUAAGUCUGUCAUUAAAAGUCUUUUCUAGUCGUGUCAAAGACUAUGUCACCGUACAUCCAAAGUAUGUCGAAACAUUUGCUAUCCUUUAGAAGUUAAAAAUAACAUUUUUCUAGUUUACUUAAAAAAAAGUAUUUAUCGGGCAUAAACCUUUCUUAGAAAUCCUCCAAAACCUUGUAUCGACAACAAAUUGAAGAACUGAUAGAUGGAAAAAACAUUUUUUUAAGGAAAAAAACGGUAUUAAAACCCCUGUCAAAUUUAUUGAUAUGGAUGUUGAACUUAAAACCCCCUCAAAUUACAUUAUAUACCGAAAUUAAAAGCCAAAAAUAAAAAAUUAGAUGAAAACUACAUCUGUCGAGCCUUUUGUAAAUUUGAUAUGAAUGCCACUAUCUUCACAUAAACCCUGUCUUUGAAGUUAUCAUAACAGUGAAAAAAAGCAUGUCUUCCACGACGGUUGACAAGUAAAGCACCACAUGCUAUCCAAAAUCCAGUAGCAAAACCGGUCCCCCCACCAAUAUAGAACCAUCCCCAAAUUUCAUCUCCACCUUCCCCAUCACCCACACUUUCACCAACGACAGGUGGCACUUUUAAAUCUUCAUCCUCAGGACAUUUUUUGUUAAGAGGAGGUCCACAUAGUCCUACAUUUCCAUCGUAUCUUGAAGGUUCAAAGGACUGGAGCUGUGUGCUAGAUGGGAUUCUCCCUGUCAAGUUAUUAAAUGACAUGUCUAGGUAAUUCAGUAAGCUCAUCCGAGACAUGCUUGAUGGUAUCUGCCCUGAAAAAUUGUUUCUAGAUAAAUCCAAAGUCAAAAGAUUUUUCAUCUCACCAAUUUUCUGUGGAAUAUCUCCAAAUAGAUCGUUGUUUGACAAGUUUAGAGAAAUCAAGUCAUGAAGAUUGGUAAUUUCGUAUGGGAUUUGUCCUGCUAAAUUGUUGCUUGAAAGGUCAAUGCUCUUCACCAAUUUUAGAGUGUUAAAGAAUUCCCGUUCAUCUCCUUGCCACCUAAUCAUCGCAUUGUCAACAUAUGUCGUCCAAACAUAUGUUUGACCUCCUUCAGUUCUAUAUACCUUUAUAUCUUGUGAGAAUCCUUGUAGAACCAUGCUCGUAAGAUUACUCAAAUACGAGGGUAUGGUUCCAUAGAGAUUGUUCAUUGACAAGUCUAGAAUUUGAAGAUUUGCUAAUUGACAUAAUUUUGAAGGGAUGGUUCCAAUGAAGUUGUUUGAUCUUAGGAUAAGAACAUACAAUCCUGUUAAGUUUUCCCCAAUCCAGACAGGCACAUUACCAGAGAACUUGUUGGCUCCCAAAUUCAACGAGUUUAAACUCGUGCAAUUCUUUAAUGACAAAGGCAAUUCGCCAGAUAAUUCAUUCUUGUAUAAAUGCAAUACCUUGAGAUUGAUCAGAUAUUCAACAGAGGGAGGAAGCCUUCCAAAGAGAUUGUUGUGCCCCAGAUUAACAAUUUUUAGUUGUUUGAAAUGCCACAAACAGUCGGGGAGUUGUCCAGUUAAUGAGUUAUGAGAGAGGUCAAGAAAUGACAAGAACCCACCAACAAUCUGGCAUAUAAACGAGAUUCCCCCAGAAAACUUGUUUCUGGAAAGAUCUAAUGAUGCCAAAGUGGAAGCAACAUUUGGUAUUGGACCAUGAAAGUUGUUGGAACUCAAAUCUAUCACAGAAAGGUUGGCAAAAUUUGAUAAUAAAUCUGGUACUUUCCCACUAAUGUUGUUGGAAGAGAGAUUCAGAUAUUCUAAUUGAGAAGGCCAUGUGGCCCAAAACUCGAGAGGAGUUGUGUCUGAAAUUUCAGUAUUGGAAAGAUCAAGACUGGUAAGAUUUUUGAGUGUAUGAAUCCAUUUUGGGAAGUGAGGCCCUAUCUUACAAGACAUCAGACCAAUAACCUUUACAUAAGAAAGGCUUGACAAGUGAUAUGUGGAAGGAACUGUAAGAUUAUUAGAAGAAAGAUCAAGAAUUUGGAGCCUGGGUAGUUCCCACAGUUUCUCACUUAUACUUCCAUUUAACUGAUUAUCAGAUAGGUACAGAGAUUCUAGGGAUGCAAACUUCUGGAUCUCAUCGGACAGUGACCCUGUAAAUUGGCUACCUCGAGUAAUCAACAUUUGUAAGGUCAAGGACGUGCAUCCAGACAAGUUGUUGAGAAAAUCAGGAAAUUUGACAACAGCAGAGUUGUUAACGAUGUACAAACGUUCCAAACUACAGAGGUUCCCAAGGUAUUUGGGUAUCCCAUCUAACAUAUUGCCAGAGAGAAGAAGAGAACUAAGCUUAUUGCUGGUUAAUGGAAGCAACCAGCGAUACAUGGAUGAGUUCAGAUUGUUGUUUGUAAGAAAAAGGUAUUCAAUAGAUGAAGAAGAGUUGUGAAAAGAAGAAUAUGGAUACAUGACCUGUGACAGCUCACAUCCAUCUAAACUUAAACUCAACAGUUUUGGGAGACUCGAAAUUACACCUACCCAAUUAUUUGCAUUCGCAAGGGAAAUCCCAUCCAUUCUCAGAUCCUCCAAAUGAGAGAGAUGAGACAACCACUCCAUGUUUUCAACUCUACAACUUCCAACAGAAUCAAGAUAAAGGUAUUGCAAGUUGGUGAGGUUUCCAAAGUGUGAAGGAAUGGUUCCAUAAAGAGAGUUACUGGAAAAGGAAAGGUGCCUUAACUGGGUCAAGUAACCAAUGGACCUGGGAAUAGCUCCAUGAAAGGAAUUGUAGGAAAGGGAAAGGUACCUUAAUCGAGUCAAAGAACCAAUGAAAGUGGGAAUGGUUCCAUGAAAUGAAUUGUCAGAAAGAUCAAGAAGAUUCAAGUAGGUUAAGUUAACCAAGGAAUGGCUAAUCUCACCUCCAAGACCACCCUGUGAAAAGAAGUUGUUGAGUUCAAGCUUUGUGACGUGACCAGUUUGGUUGUUGCACUCGACUCCACUCCAUUUACAGCAGUCAUAUUGGUCAGAUCUCCAUGUAGAGAGAGUAUCAGAGGGGUCGUGAAGGGGAGCUUUGAAAAGAAGGAGAGCAUCUCUCUCCUUAUCCAAACACUUUUUCAUAUUUCUAUCAUCUCCUUCCAAUUGGCUGGCAGUUGCAUUCACAAGGAGGAGCAACAGAAGUGAGAAAAUUAUAAAAACACAAGGAUUCAUAAUUUAAUUAAAAAUGAAAAUCUUGGUGAUUUUUGGUUUGUAAUGAUGCCUGCCUAUAUGAACUGCACCCGUGAGUGUUUAUAUAUAUAGUCUCGAAUGUGAGCAUAACUGAUUCUAAACGGGUGGCCUUGAAUUAAUUAUGUCGGGGAUACAAUAUUUAAUUCCCAUGAAAUUAGAACCAAACUAUAAGAAAAAAUCAAAGAUGAAGAUUUGAAAUAAAUGUCCCAAAUUAGUCGUUCAAAGACUUGCAAGUCUUGACAAUUUGCAUAUAUUAUCUAUAUCUUAUCCGAUUUCAUGAUAUAUUCAAAGACUUUAAAGUGAUGUUUACCAUAACCUUUAUUAAAUACAAACAUAUAAGAAUGUAAACGCAAACAUUGAACUGACCACCAAAUUAACAACAACUAUUUAAUAAAUCUCGUAUUCCCAUUCCGUUGUUAAACAAUUUAUGUUUAUGCUAUCCUAAGAGUAUUUUUAUGAAAUCAAUUAGAAAAGUUUUAGCAGAAACAUAUAUCUAAUUUAUCAUAUCAAUUAAUUCAAAAUUUUCGAACAGAAACAUAAACCCAGUAUUCAACAGAAACGAAAAAAAAUUCAAACAAAAUCAAAAGAAACGUUAUUCAACAGAAAAAAUAGAGAACAGGGAUGAAGAGGAGAAAUGCGUUGAGUAUUAGUGACGGAAAACCAAGAAGAUGACAACGGUAGCUAGGCGGCGUCUUCGACGACAGUGGGGAGGUAAAAAAGCAAAAAAUUUAUGGAUAUUUUUUAGCAAUAUAUUAUAUUAUAUGGACUUGUUCGCGAAAACAUUAUUAUAUUUAUUUAUUGGUUAUGUAUAUAUCAACCUGAAAGAUAUUUUUAUAUUUUUAUCAUACAAUAACCAUUUAUAUUGCUAAAAAAUAUCCAUAAAUUUAUGUGAUUAUUUUUUUCCCACAUUAAUAAAAAAUAACCUCAUAAUUUAAGUUAUUAUUCCCUAAUUGCAGUACUUGACAUCAGAUCAGUGAUAAUUAAUGUUUUGCAAAAACGACAGUUUUGAACCCUAAUCCAAGUUUGAACCUUGAGUUUAUUAUGCUUGGAAAAUAUAAAAUCUAUUCAUAAUUACAAAAGAGUUUCUAAAAAUAAAAUAUUUAUAAAUUUCUAUUUGUAAUCACUAACCUCUCUAGUCUCUAAAGACUUUGAGUGUGUUCUUGGUGAACGUGUAUGUGAGGUGACGUUAAGCAAGAAUUGAAGAUAAAACAAAGAGUUUGUUUGUAAUCUCCAACAUAAGAAAACAAGGUAUUACAUCAAAGUUGAAUAUUAUGAGCAAACUCAAGAACCUUAAGUUUAAGGUUUGGACAAAUGAUGACUUUGUUCUUAAAUAAUCAUUCAUUGAUCAUGCAUCAGCCUAUCAUUAAGUGGGAUUGGUGGUUAAUUAAAGAACUAUCAUAGAUUUAAAAAUGAUACAAGUAUUUGAUGCAUAACAUGAAAAGUAUAAGUUGUAUAGUCUGGUAAUAUAGAAUUUCAAAUCAUGUUUAUGAGUAAUUAAAAUGUCAUUAGUAGAGACUGGGAAACUAAUCAUGUAUUAGUAUGAGUUUGAAGUUGGUUUUAGUAGUGAUGUAUAGCUUAUAUUGUUACCCUGCAUGAAAAGCAUGAUCGGGGAUUAUAAAGCAAAGGUUUCGUGCAUGAUCGGGGAUUAUAAAGCAAAGGUUUCGUACUACUGUAACACCUAGCUUUUUUUAUAAAAUACAUAACAAAUUACUAAAAUCGUCCUUAUGGUUUGAUUAAAAUUGCAUUUUUGGUUCUUAACUUUUUUUUUUUUUUUUUUUUUUUUUUUUUUGCAUUCGGACUGUUCUCAAAAUAUGAUUUUAUUGCGUUUUUCGUCUCUAUCCGGCCUGAAAAGACUAUACUUCCCUCUCUAAUUUAUUUUUUACUUGUUUCUAUUAUUAGUUUUAUAUUUUUUUAAUAAAAAAAUAGAAUGGGCCCACACUCAACUCUUCGUCUUCUCACAUGUUCAACCAUCUUUCACUUUACUACCAUUCACUACCAAUACUAUGCCAUUACUCACCCACUAAGACUCAUUAUCACCAUCUCCAGCGAGACUAGAAAUCCGACAAGACCAGAACGCCGACGAACAUCACACAUCAUCACCCACCACAUGUCACCCACCUCCACCAUCUCUCCCCGUAAAUCGGUAAAUCCUCAUCAAUAAAUCGGUAAACCACUCACCUCCACCAUUUAACCCCCUAAAUUCUUCGGCGAGUCCAUAACGACGACCAACACCACACUCACCCUUACUGUGCUUUUUCCAUAUCUUUCCUCCAUUGGACUACAGAUAAAGAUCUUAAAUAAAAAAUCAGAGAUCUACAACACAAGAUCUUGAACUCAAAUCAAAAUUGGAGAUCUGCAAUAUAAGGUCUGGAACUCAAAUCGAAGAUCUUCAUUGUACCUGUAUCAUAAAUCUCCCAACACCAUCAUCUUCUUAUUAAAAUUGGAGCCACCACCACCACUGUGUUACUGAAAUGGGUGAUUUUCUGAAAUAGAAGGCACCACCACCAUCGCCUUACGUAAACCAAGCCAGAACCAUCAACGCUUCUGAAAAUCAUCUUUCAUUUAUAAGAUAUCAUCAAAUUUUUUCUUUCAUCAUUGACUUGAGGUUGGGGUUUACGUUUUGGGUUUUGAUUUCUAUAUUUGGUUUUGAUUUCAUUUUAUGUUCUCAUUUAACAAUUUCGGGAGUUGACUUUGGUUAGAUUUUGAUUUCGGGAUUAGACGUUGGUCUAGUUUUGAUUUCUCGGAUUUGAUAUUGGGUUGUCACAUGAUGAAAUUGAUGAUGUGGGCGAUGGUGGUGUCAGAAUAGGUGUAUGGUGGUCGUGUCAGAAUCGUUGAGUGGUAGUUGUCAGCAACUGUGGUGGUUGUCGAUGAACGGUGAAUGAAGGUGGUUGUGGUGUAAGUAGGAGUAUGAGUGGGUCCCAAUAAAUCACUUAAUUGAUUUUCAUAAAUCAAUUAAUAAUAAACAAAUAAUAAAAAAAAAUAAAUAGAAAAUACAAAGGGCGAUAUAGUUUUUUUUAUCUCUACAAGGGACAAAAAACGCAAUAAAAUCAUAACUUAGGGACGGUCCGAGUGCCAAAAAAAUAAUACUUAGGGACCAACAAUAGUUUUUACCAACCAUAUGGACUAUUUUAGUAAUUUGUUCUAAAAUAAAAUAUUAUAGUUUUAAAACACUUUAUGGCAUUAAACCAUAUUUAUUAAAAUAUUGCCCCGAAAGUUUUCAUUACAAAACAAAUUGUAAUACUUUAAACCGGGUAUUACAACUGAUACAACCAAAGCCAUAGUAAAUAAAUAAUUAGACAUACUCAUAGAAACUAUGUCCAAUUUCUAUCCUUCAAAGCUCAUUUUAUCGGUGCAAACAAAAUCUUAUACAUUUCAUAUCGGACUUGGAAUACAUGGCAUUUAACAAAACAUAUGUAAGACAAUAAUGUCUCGUAAGUCAUAUGGGGUUAGACCCAAAAUAUUUACAAUAUAGGUAAAAAUUACCACUUUUCAUAUCUUGAAAACACUUUCAUAACUUGUAAACUUUUUUAUAGCCUGAAAAUACUUUUAUAACUUGUAAACUCUUUUAGAGCUUGAAAAUACUUUUAUAAGUUGUAAACUCUUUUAUAUCUUGAAAAUACUUUCAUAAAUUGUAAAAUCUUUUAUAGCUUGAAAAACAUUGAGACUAUACAAUGCAUGUCCUCACUCAAUGCAAACUUGUGGGACUUCACAAAUCUUUUAUCUUUUUUUAACUCAUGGAUAUGUGUUGAAUAUGGUGUCGAAAAGGACAUAAGUUGUGAGAAUAUGUCGAAUCUGGCUUAUCAUGAUAGAUGAAGAAAUCAAUCUACCAUGAUAUAUGAUUUGAAGUACGAGAGGUAUUAUCCGAGUAGUAUCUUGCUAAUCCCUUCCGUUAUGGCUCGCUUUCUAUUCAUUUUACUCAUUUACUAUGCAAUUUACUAUUAUGAUGCACGAUUACACUUUUCUUGCCAAGAGUUGAUCACACAUGAUGCUACGCUUUAAACUUAAUCAUAACAAUUUGGAUAGUAAUAACAUUUUCAUAUAAAACAUAUAAUCAUAUAAAACAUAUACCGGUAGGGGGGCAAGCUGAGACGUCGCCUAGGGCCCAACUUCCAAUCUGUUAGUAUCUAUAUAUAAAUUACAUUGUCAAAACCAUUAAACAAACAAGUUACAGGCUACUUGGUAAGGCGCUUCACAUCUUUAUAAUCAACCUUGGUUCAAUUUUAGCCUGGAACAUAAUUGAUUACUUUUUGCUAAAUUUAAUGUUUCUAAUAUUACAAUGAAUUUUAAAAUGAUAAUACAUAGAGCUUGUUCAACAAAACUAGCAGGUAGCGGGUAGCAUUUGCUUUUGGAGUGUUUUGUUGAAAGCUCCCAAACAAGGCUUUUUUUUUUUUACUCCAUGUAGCUUUUGAUUUUGGAGCGUUUUGUUUAGGAUAAAAGCUAAACGCUCCUGUCGCCAAACAAGGCUUUUUUUACUAGCGUUUUCCUAAAAGCUAGAAGCCAAAAGCUCCCAAACGGUGCAUGUCGAACACACCCAUAAUUUGUAGCCACCUUGGUAAGAACCUAUGAAAUAUGCACACAAAUNACUCAACAACCUCAACUAUUUAUUUGUGAUUCUAUAUAUAUAUAUAUAUAUAUAUAUAUAUAUAUAUAUAUAUAUAUAUAUAUUAAACUAACUUAAUUUAUACUUAUACAAACAUAUUUAAAACAAUAAUAAACAUUGUGUACAAGUUACAUUUUGUUGGAACUGAUUUAUACAUAAACCUAUUUUUAUAAAGAAAAGAAUAACUCAGAAAACAAAUUACAAUAUUUGAGUUUAAUUUAUUAAUUUGUUUUCUAUAAUAAAAAUAAUGUGUAGUUCAAUUAGUCAAAAAAGUUAAAUACCUUGCUCGUUAACAACAAUAUUAUACUUAACUUAGCUCAAAUUUAAAAGUGAGUUUUUGAUAUAUUCAGGGGCACUUUAUUUAGUUUUUCUCCCAGGCCCCAAAUAUGUAUGGACCAACUUUGGUCAAAACAUAAAUCAUAAAGCUUGUAAAAUACUUUUUUCCUUACAAUACAUUUUGAUAUGUGCAUAUUUUUAAUCAUGUAUAUCGUGCAUAUUUAUAAUAGUUUUAGCUACAAUUAUGCUUAUUUUGGGACAUAAGGUACUUAUUAUGUUUAAAAUAUGUUUUGUAGUAGCAAAAACAUGCUCGGGAUGAAAAGGAAAAAAAACGAGGAGCUAGAAGCAGGAAAAUUUGGGCUAAGUUAAAAAGAAGACAAAGAAUGCAUGAAUUCUGAAGCCCACGGCAUGGUCACUAUAUUCCAUGCCGUGGUAAAUGGAAGAAUCACGAUCAAUCAUCUGACUUGGAGAAUAUGAGAUUUAAGAGAAGACCACAAUGUGGUGCCUAUUCACCACGCUAGUGAUCAAGUUUAUGGAAACUAUAUAUAUUCAAACAUUAGAUCGAAUGUAGAAACUUCUGGCUGAUUUUCUGAGAGGGAUUGUGACUAAAACCCUCUUGAAAACCUUAGGAAAAUCAGGACUCAAUUGGAGCUCAAGAGUUGAAGAGAUCCAGAAGAAAUCAACAUAGAUCUAUUAAGUUUGCUAGCAUUACUCAUGUCUAAUCUUAAUUACAUUGAUUUAGUGUGCUUUUCUGUUGUGAUGAAAGGCUAAAAACCUUAUAAUUCUGUUUGGUGAAGAUGAACACAAAUCUUAUGUGUUGAUUUCAAUUUAUGGAUGUUUUACAUUGAUUUUACUUGUGUUUGAUAAUAAAAACCCUAACAUGUUUUAGUUCUAGUAUGUGAAUGCCUUGCUAUGAGUUUAGUGUAGAUGAACUCAAAUCUUAUGUGUUGAUUUCAAUUUACGGAUGUUUUACAUUGAUUUUACUUAUAUUUGAUAAUAAAAACCUUAACAUGUUUUAGUUCUAGUAUGUGAAUGCCUUGCUAUGAGUUUAGUGUAGUAGAUGAUCAUUCUAUUUGCAUGAACUUGUUUACCUAGUGAUUUAUGAUCAUUAAAUUGCUAUAGCUAGGAUUAAUCACAUCUUAGAUAAGGUAAUUAAAGCUAGUAACUUUAAUUGUGUUAGAGAGCAUAAUAUAUCUUAAAUUGUGCUUGCUUGCUUAACUUGAUCAUAGCAAAGUAACUAUUAGAUUUAUCAUUCAUAGUCCAAUUUGUGCUUAUAUCGAUUUUGUGUUUAACCUAUGCUUGAUCAUUACAUGGUAAUUCAUAAAUUGGUACAUCUAGGUAUUUGAUCAUAAUAACUAGUAAAUUAACGAAUUGGUAUAUCCAAAUAGCAUGUGUUUGCACCAUAAUCCAUUGACAAAACAUUGUGAAGUCUCAUCAGCUUAUGGUUUUUUAUGUUGAAUCAAUAACUACUUUUAUUAGAAGAAUCAGGAGAAGAAUGUUAUGAUACAUUUAAUACACUCUAGUGUUUUGGUGUACCCAUCGACAUAGAGUUUCCAAGCUCUCAUCAACAUUUGUUAUUAAAUGUAGAAUCAUAAAACUUUAAAAAAGAAAAUUGGCCAAGAAUGGAUUUAUGCAUGUGAUAGUCUACGGUACAUAGACUAACCAUUUGCACAUAUUUUCAAGAUCUCAUCAAUGUAUGGUACUUUACACUGAAUCAUUAAACUUUAAAGAAGAAAAUAGGGCGAUAAUGGAUUGGUGCGUGUGAUAGCCUACACUACAGUAGUGCAUAGACUAACCAUCGACACAAAAUUUUCAAGCUCUCAUCAGUGUAUGCUAUUUUACGCUGAACUAUGAAAAUUUUAAAGAAGAAAAUCAGGUCAAUAGUGGGUUGAUGUGUAUGAUAAACAACAAUACAUAGUUUAACCAUCAUCAUAGAAUUGUAAACUUUCAUCAGUAUGUGGUUUUCAUAGUGAGUUGUUAAGUUCUCGUAAGAAGAAGUUGAGAGAAAAGGAUGUUUCAGUCACACUGAAGUGAAAUCAACGUGAAUGAUAAAAUAGUUUAAACUCAUAAAAAAAAAGUGUUUUCAUCUUCCAUAUCAUAGAGUUAAGUUUCAGUCCAGAAUAUUCAAUUCACCAUCAAUUUGUUUAAUAUGGUACAAUACAAGAAUGAAAGAAGAUAAGAAAAAGAAAAACAACCAGGAUACUUUAAACAGAAAAUUUCAAGCUUUUGCAGAAUAAUCAUAAAAAUGAUGGCAGCAUUUUGCAAGAACAUCAUAAAAGUUUAUACGAAAAAUAUUUUGACUUGAAUACUUAUAAAAGAGUUUCCUUUUUCAAAGAUAUAUCUUAUUAGGAAUUAACUUUAAAAGAUAAGAAAUUAGCAUCUCAAACCAUAAAAAAAUACUACAAACAAGGGAAUAGACAAAAUUCUUAUCCAUUGAUGGGAUAAGAGAAUUGAUGAUACGGUCUUUGUAACCAUCGAGUUAAAAGUUUCUAAUAUGUGGGAGCUUCGAGAUGCCGAAAUCAACAGGGAGGUACUUGAGGUUUUAUUGAAGGUACUUGAGGUUUCAUUGGAUUAUGAGCCAAUAGAUGCACGUAAGAGUAAAUGUAAUAUCAGUGACUGCUUGUAACCAUGACAUAGGAUGGAGGGGUAGGAGAGCAUCGUCAAGAAGAAGAGGACAUGAUUCCAUCUUUCACUUCAUAUCCUCAUUCGCAUAAGAUGAAGGUGGCUGAGGUGACAUCAAGGGCAAUCAGGAAAUUCACCAAGCCUCUAGCUCUUUUAAUAUGGAGUCAAGUGACAAUUCUGAGUGUAAACAUCACCAUUCAUUACUUACGAAUUGAUAGUUGCAUCUGUUUCAAGAGUAAGAAGAUGAUUCAAUCUUGCAACUUCGGGGAUGUAAGAAUGAUAAGUGAUGCACAAGAAUGAAGAUACAUGAGAAAGAAAUUAGAGAGGCAAAGAGAUGAAAGCAAUGUAAUUACUAGAUAUAUAUAGAAAAGGAAGCAAGCAAUGUCAAGAAUUUUUCUAAAAAGAAAGAAAAAGAAUAAAAGCAUUUUGACUUUAUGUUUUUGUGUUUUAAUAAAAGCAUUAAGAAAAUAAGCAAAGAGAAAUUAAGUCAUUAACAACAUGCCAAGAUCAACAACCAAUUUGUUUAAAGUCUUCUCAUCUUGGGCCUUAGUGAAAAUAUUCUCCAAUUAAUCAACGGUAGGGAUGUAUAACAAGUCUACUUUGCCUUUUUGAACAAUUUCCCUGAUAAAAUGAUGGUGGAUAUCAAUGUGCUCUGUCUUUGAAUGUUGUAAUGAAUUUUGAAUCAUUUGGAUGGUACUUGUGUUAUCAAAGCAUAUGAGAGUCUUUGAGAAAGAAAAAACAUAGUCUAGGAGCUGAUUCUGAAUCUAAAGAAUCUGAGUAUAACAUCUUCAAGUGGCUAUGAUUUAGCUUUAGCGGUAGAGCAUGCCACUAAUGUAUGUUUCUUGCUGGACCAGCUCACAAGCCUAUUUCCUAGCAUUUGAGCUCCUCCAUGAUCACAGUCUAUAAAUCCCACUAGUUUGAACUUGGAGUCAUGAGGAUACCAUAACCCAAGAUUAGGUGUAUGUUUUAAGUAGUGAAAGAUCCUUUUUACAGCCAAGAGAUGGGACUCAUUUAGGGUAGCUUGAUAUCGAGCACACAAUAUCGUAGUAAACAUAGAAAUUAUCACUCCAUGAUACAAUGUUGCAUUCACAUGAGUGCCAACUUGAUCAUCAAAAAUAGACGUUGAUGGAGACAUUGGAGUUUUUGCCGGUUUAGAGUUAAUAAAACCAUAUCUCUUCAGCAAAUCUGAGAUGUAUUUUUCUUGGAAAAUUUAAGAUUCCAUCAGUGAGUUGCUUAACAUAAAAAGAAUGUUAGUUCACCCAUCAUGCUCAUUUCAAAAAUUUUGGCAAUACCAUUAGCAAACUCAGAACUCAGUUUCUCAUCUGUGGAUCCAAAAAUGAUGUUGUCGACAUACACUUGAGCAAGAAUAAUGUAAGAUCUAGUUGCUUGACGAACAAAGUGUUGCCGAUUGGUCCAUGUUUGAAUCCAUUCUCUAGAUGAUAACUAGCUAAAGUGUUAUACCAUGUCCUGGGAGCUUGUUUCAAGCCAUAGACGACUUUAUCUAGAAGAUACACAUGAUCAGGGAAUUCUUCACUUUCAAAUCCUAGAGGUUGUUUUAGAAAAACUUCGUCUUGAAUAUCCCCAUUGUAACAACCCAAAAUCCAGGUAAGCUUAUGACCACUUUUAUUUUGGAGAGUUGGCAUAUUAGUCCCUCAAAGUUGUAUGGUGGAUUAGUGAGUACGUUGGGCGUACUGAAGUGUACGCCGCGCGUACUCACACGCUUAAAUUGGACGCGGACUCGCCCGGGUACGCUGGGCGUACCCAGGGGUUACGCUGGGCGUAGCGAACCAAGAAGCAAACCCUAAUUCCUGGCUUUUGCACUAUAAAAGGAACAUGUAGUCCCUUGCCCUAGCCACCAUAUCUCCUUGAGUAAGUCCUUUGAGAGCUGAGAUUCGUGCUUUAGCUUGUGUGUGUGUUUUUGAGCUUGAAUUUAUCUUUUCAAGGUGAAAAAGGAGAAGAAGGAGCCAUUGUUGGAGCUAGAAGUUGAAGAACAAGUGUAGAUCUGAGUUCUACAGUGGUUGGAGAUCUUUUCUGAUGUAAAAAGCUCAAAGCUUUCCUUGUUCUUCAUAAGUUUUGCUUUUUGGACCACUUUUUGGGUUUUUGGUUCAAAGUUGGAGACUUUAUGUGCAAAGAGUCUCCAUAAGCUUAGAUCUGACCUUUUCUAGUGUAUAAUGUGUUGAGGAGUCAUAAAAAUCUAGUCUUGGAUGUGGAUCUUGUGUCAUGCAUGAGUUAUAGUCUCAUUAUGGAAAGAGGAAAGGUGUUUUGAGCACAAAGUGACCUUUACAACCAUGCAAAGGCUUAAAGGUUUCAACUUUAUGGAUUAAGUCACAUUAGAGGAGUUAGAUCUGAAGUUUGGAUGCAAGUCUUAACUAAUUAAGACCUGAAUGAGAUGGAUAAGGAAACUGGGCAUUACGCUUGGCGUAAUCCCAGUACGCAGCGUAAGCAGCUGCGCACCCCGUUUCUGUGAAGGCUCCGGGUGCUCCCAGCGUACACAUUUGGUACGCGCAGCGUAACCCGGGGGGUUGAAUUUUGUUGACUUUUAGGUUUUGGUCAAUUUUAGUGUAAUUGAGCCAAGUAAGGGGUAAAAUGGUCUUUUACCUUCCUGGGAGUGAUUAGAGGGAAUGGUCUAGCCUAGGGAAAUGUAUUGAUGUUGAGUGUUGUUUCAUAUGAUUAGGCGGAGGUUAGAUCUUAUCCCACGGAGUCCAAGAUUUCUGAGAUUUACGAGUUACCAAGCUACACCAGGUGAGUCUUCUCACUAUACGUUACCUAGAGUGGUAUUUAUGUGGACCGGAGGGUCUUAUGUGUUAUGUAUGAGAUUAUAUGAAUCUAUAUGCUAUGUGAUAUUUUCAUGUUAUGUGAUUGUAUAGACCGGACAGGAAGAUCCAAUGAUACAGACGGGACCAGAGGGUCUAACGAUUCAGACCGGGCCAGAGGGCCCAACGAGCUACGGGACUGGAGGGUCCCGCUGAGACACAUCAACCGGAGGGUCGUAUUGUAGCCUCAAGUGGCGUAUGUGUUGUAUGUGGUAUUUUGGGGAACUCACUAAGCAAUUAUGCUUACAGUUGUUGUGUUAUGUGUUUCAGGUACUAGCGAGGACCGUGGGAAGGCACCGAUGUGACUCGUACACACUAGAGUAGGGAUUUGUUUUUGUGAUCUUGGGAUAUGUUAUGUUUUGAUAACUAUGGUUGAAUACUUUUGAGAAUAUUUUGUAUAAAUUUGGUUGUUGAAAAAUGAAAAAUUGUUUUGAAAUUCACGUUGUUACAAGUUGGUAUCAGAGCCUUGGUUUGAGGGACUCGGAUGCACCUUUGGGCGUAUCUGAACUCAAACUGAGGAUUUGAGAAAUUUUCAACAAUAAAAACUAAAUUUUCUAAAAAAGAAAACAGUUUUGAAACAAACAGAGCAUAGCAGUGUGUACGGUCAACCAGCGCCCGAACGGUGAAUCCUCAAAAUACCCUUACAUUAUGUGUUAUGAGAUAUGCUAUGUUAUGUUAUGCAUGCUAGAGUAGGCUAGGUAAUCAUAUUAGGACUAGAGUGGCCUGAUUUGUGAUGCCUUAGCCUAGGAGAUUUCUGCUACUAUAAGAUGCCUUGAGAGCGAGUAGGUAGCAGUUCGGAGCUCUUGAGAGGUCUAUCGGAGGGUAGCCAAUGCAUAGUGAGAGUAGAGUACUUGCAAUCCGGGAUCCAAGGAGGAGGACUUGGGGUAAAUGCUGAUACGGUGUGGUCAGUAGUAUAGGGCUUGUACUACUGAAGACACCAGAUCAAUAAGCAGCCCAAGUAAGAAUCCUUUGGGUAUUGGAGGACGAGUAGGGUUGCGUUAUCGAGUGCGAGUAUGCUCGAUCGAAUCUCUAAUAUUUUAUGUUGUAUUUCAGAGGCAUCAUGGUUGGGACACGACACACACCUGAGAGCAGUUGGGUUAGUGACGAGGAGAUCCGUCGUUUGAUUCAUGAGGAGGUGGUUGUUGCCAUCCGGGCUGAGAUUCCGGAGAUGUUCGGGGACAUCAAGACCACACUGAUUGAGACCUUUGAUGAGCGGUAUGCAGCGGUGACUGAGGCUGCAGCUACUGCAGCUACUGCUGUUGUGGCUGCUGCCAGACCUCAGGGAGGUGACUCAUUGUUGUUUCGGGAGUUCAGCAACACGAAGCCACCAGAGUUCGAUGGGACGCAAGACCCGAUUGUUGCGAUGAGAUGGAUCUCUGACAUCGAGGGAUGUUUCUAUACGUGUUCUUUUCCAGAACACUUGAGGGUGCGGUUCGCUCUGAACCAGCUCCGCUUCGGAGCGAUGGAUUGGUGGAAGUUCAUGAUGGCGAGCUUCACUCUGGCAGAGAUUUCUGAGGUGACUUGGGAGAGGUUCACCGCCAUUUUUAGAGAUGAGUAUGUUCCCCCGGUGGAGAGGGAACGAUUGAUUCAGGAGUUCUUGACCCUCAAGCAGGGUACUGAUUCUGUUACAGUCAUUACCAGGAAGUUUCACAAGAGAGCGAUGUUUUGCCCUGAGCAGGUGUCUACUAAGCAGGCUCGCAUGAGCCGGUAUCUGAGUGUUCUGAGGAGAGAUAUUCGGGAGUUCGUGGCGAACUCGACUUACCGGACAUUUGCUGAGCUCCAGGCAAAUGCCCGAAAGAGGGAGAUUGAGUUGGAGACUCAGGCCAGGGAGGAGGCCGAGUCCCAAAGGAUGGAUCGGCGGUAGGCUCAGUCUCAGCCGACAGCCAAGUGGGCUAAGCCCGCUGAUUCGAGAUCUGGGGGCGCGAAGGGCCGCACUUGUGGGAAGUGCGGCAAGAGUCACAAGGGGUCGUGUCGGGCAGGAGUAUGCUACAAGUGCGGGAAGGAGGGGCAUAUCGCGAGGGAUUGCCCCAAGGGAUUUUUGGUUUGCUUCCGUUGCAACCAGACCGGCCAUCGGAAGGCCGAGUGCCCUCAGCUUUAGCAGGGAUCUAUGCCUGCGACCAGGACUACCGAGGUUUGGCCAGUGAAGGCCGAGGCGCCAAAGGCUCGUGGGAGGGCCUUUCAGUUGACAACGGAGAAGGUCCGUGCAGCACCCGACGUUGUGGCCGGUAUGUAUUCUUCUCUCUAUUUAUUUAAGUCUGAGAUAUUAUUCUUAUAUUAUGUUAUGCGUAGGUACUUUUCUUGUGAAUUCUGUACCUGCCUUAGUGCUAUUUGACUCGGGAGUGAGCCGAUCUUUUGUGUCAUUAGCCUUCAAUCACCAUAUUAGUAUUUGUCGAGAGGCCUUGAGUCGACCUCUGCGAGUUUCUAUAGCUAAUGAGCGAGCAGUUUAUGCCACAGAUGCGAUUCGAGGAUGUAUCAUUGAGAUCUUCGAUGUGGAGUUCCCGAUAGAUCUGGUCCCGAUUGCGAUGGGGGAUGUGUGUGUUAUAGUGGGCAUGGAUUGGUUGAGCCGUUUUGGAGUUGUGAUAGACUGUGAGCGUCAGUUGGUGACGAUAAGAGACCCUAGUGGGGGAGUACUUACGGUGUACGGAGAGAGUACCCGUCCUGAGUCAGCAUUUUGUUCAGCUGCUAGGGCGAGACAGAGUUUACAGCAGGGCUGUAUAGGAUUUGUGGCCUAUGUGAUGGACACGCGAGUGGCCACUGGGAGGCCAAGUUCGAUUGAUGAGGUCCCAACUGCGUGGGAUUCCCUGACGUUUUCCCCGAGGAGUUGUCGGGCGUGCCUCCCGAGAGGCAGGUGGAGUUUCGUAUCGACUUGGUGCCAGGGGCGACACCUAUUACCAAGGCACCCUAUCGCCUUGCGCCAUCCGAGAUGCAGGAGUUAUCCUCGCAGCUUCAGGAGCUGUUGGGAAAAGGGGUUUAUUAGACCGAGUAGCUCACCUUGGGGAGCGCCAAUCCUUUUUGUCAUGAAGAAGGACGGUUCACACCGGAUGUGUAUCAAUUACCGGGAGUUGAACAAGUUGACGGUCAAGAACCGUUAUCCAUUACCGAGGAUUGACUAUCUGUUUGAUCAGUUGCAGGGGGCGUCUUGGUUCUCCAAGAUAGACUUGAGGUCGAGAUAUCACCAGAUGAGGGUGCGGGAUGAGGACAUCCAGAAGACAGCGGUCAGAACUCGUUACGGACAUUACGAGUUCGUGGUGAUGCCAUUCGGGCUCACCAGUGCACCAGCAGCGUUCAUAGAUCUCAUGAACCGGUUGUGCAGGUCGAUGUUGGAUCGAUCGGUGAUUGUAUUCAUCGAUGAUAUCUUGGUAUAUUCGAAAUCCAGAGAGCAGCAUGAGGAGCAUUUGAGGGAAAUCCUCGGAGUUCUGAGAUCGAAGAGGCUUUACGCCAAAUUCUCCAAGUGUGAUUUUUGGUUACGGGAGGUCUAGUUCCUAGGGCAUCUCGUUAACCAGCAGGGGAUAUUGGUCGAUCCGGCCAAGAUUGAGGCUGUGAUGAGCUGGGAGGUGCCGAGGUCACCUACUGAGAUCAGGAGUUUCUUAGGGCUAGCAGGUUAUUAUCGGAGAUUUAUCAGGGAUUUCUCCAAGAUCACCGUGCCACUCACCAAGUUGACCCGGAAGGGUGUUACUUUUUCUUGGGGUCUGGAGCAGCAGACCUCAUUCGAGACACUUCGCCAGUGAUUAUGCGAAGCCCUGGUGUUGGCCCUUCCGGAGGGAAUGGAGGAUUUCGUGGUGUAUUGUGAUGCAUCAAUAUCAGGGUUGCGAGCAGUGCUUAUGCAGAGGUGGCAUGUGAUAGUAUAUGCAUCGAGACAGCUAAAGCCUCAUGAGUCGAGGUAUCCCACUCACGAUCUGGAAUUAGGGGCAGUAGUGUUCGCCCUCAAAAUAUGGCGGCACUAAUUUUAUGGGAUUCAGUGUACGAUAUUCAUGGACCACAAAAGCUUGAAGUAUUUAAUGGAUCAGCCCAAUCUGAACAUGCGCCAGAGGAGAUGGAUGGAUGUGGUGAAGGAUUACGACUGUGAGAUCCUGUACCACCCAGGCAAGGCUAAUGUUGUAGCUGAUGCCCUGAGCCGAAGGGCGGAGGGCGCCUCGAUAAGAGAUGUUUGCAUGAGAUUGAAAGUGAUGACUCUGGUAUGGGACACCAUUCGAGGGGCCCAGGCAGAGGCGGUGAGACCGGAGAACCGCAAGAGAGAGCGAGUGACUAGGUAGGUAUCAUAGUUUGUUACCGAUAGUCGAGGACUUAUGACCUUCCAGGGUCGGGUUUGGGUAUCGUUUGUGGGCGGAACGCAUACCGUCUUGAUGGAGGAGGUGCAUAGAUCGAAGUUCUCGAUCCACCCCGGGCCACUAAGAUGUAUUUGGACAUGAAGAAGGAGUAUUGGUGGUCCUGUAUGAAAAAGGGAUGUUGCAUGGUUCGUAUAGAGGUGCUUGACCUGUCGCAAGGUUAAGACCGAACACCAGCGCCCGCAUAGUAAGUUACAGCCGUUAGAGAUUCCCGAGUGGAAGUGGGAACAGAUUACCAUGGAUUUUAUCACCAAAUUGCCGAGGACUGCUAGGGGUGUUGAUGCAAUUUGGGUGAUUGUGGACAGGUUGACGAAGAGCGCUCAUUUCCUUGCCAUCAGUGAGAGCUCUUCUGCGGAGAGGCUGGCAGAAAUGUACAUGAAGGAGGUGGUAUCGCGGCAUGGAGUACCGAUCUCGAUUGUCUCAGAUCAAGAUGUGCGUUUCACUUCCAGAUUUUGGAAGAAAUUUCAUGAGGAAUUGGGUACGAGACUACAUUUUAGUACCGCGAACCACCCACAGACCGACGGGCAGAGCGAGCGGACGAUUCAGACGCUCGAGGACAUGCUUCGGGCAUGUGUAUUGGAUUUUGACGGGAGUUGGGAUACAUAUUUUCCCUUGGCUGAGUUUUCCUAUAACAACAUCCAUCACUCGAGCAUUGGUAUGCCACCUUUUGAGCUGUUGUAUGGAAGGAGGUGUCGUACCCCCAUUUGCUGGGGCGAGGUAGGGCAGCGUGUGAUGGGUAGUACAAAGAUAGUGCUUCAGACGACAGAUCAGAUACAACAGGUUAGACAGAGGUUGUUGACCACUCAGAGUCGCCAGAAAAGUUAUGCAGAUAGACGACAAUCUGAACUCGAGUUCCAGGUCGGUGAUUUCGUGCUCCUGAAGGUAUCUCCUUGGAAAGGAGUGAUCCGAUUCAGGAAGAGGGGCAAGCUGGUACCCGGUAUAUUGGGUCAUUUAGAGUGAUCGCGAGGGUGGUCAAGGUAGCGUAUCACUUGGAGCUACCUGCAGAGUUGGACCGGAUUCAUGAUACCUUCCACGUGUCGCAGCUGAGGAAGUGUAUUGCCGAUGAGUCGGCAGUGGUACCCUUAGAGGAUAUCCAGGUGGACGCAAGUCUAAAUUAUGCUGAGAAGCCGAUCGCAAUCUUGGAUCGGAGGAUCAAGGUUCUGAGGAACAAGGAAGUGCCCCUGGUUCAGGUCCAGUGGCAACAUCGGAGAGGAUCCGAGCUGACCUGGGAGCCAUUGUUGGGGAUGCGGGAGCAGCAUCCGGAGUUGUUCGCAACAUGAGACUUCGAGGGCGAAGUCUGGUUCUAGUGAGGGAGAAUUGUAACAGCCCGAAAUCCAGGUAAGCUUAAGACCCCUUUUAUUUUGGAGAGUUGGCAUAUUAGUCCCUCAAAGUUGUAUGGUGGAUUAGUGAUUACGCUGGGCGUACUGCAGUGUACGUCGCACGUACUCACGCGCUUAAAGUGGACACAGACUCGCCCGGGUACGCUGCGCGUACCCAGGGGUUACGCUGGGCGUAGCGAGCCCAGAUGCAAACCUUAAUUCCUGGCUUUUGCACUAUAAAAGGAACAUGUAGUCCCUUGCCCUAGCCACCAUAUCUCCUUGAGUAAGUCCUUUGAGAGCUGAGAUUCGUGCUUUAGCUUGUGUGUGUGUUUUUGAGCUUGAAUUUAUCUUUUCAAGGUGAAAAAGGAGAAGAAGGAGCCAUUGUUGGAGCUAGAAGUUGAAGAACAAGUGUAGAUCUGAGUUCUACAGUGGUUGGAGAUCUUUUCUGAUGUAAAAAGCUCAAAGCUUUCCUUGUUCUUCAUAAGUUUUGCUUUUUGGACCACUUUUUGGGUUUUUGGUUCAAAGUUGGAGACUUUAUGUGCAAAGAGUCUCCAUAAGCUUAGAUCUGACCUUUUCUAGUGUAUAAUGUGUUGAGGAGUCAUAAACAUCUAGUCUUGGAUGUGGAUCUUGUGUCAUGCAUGAGUUAUAGUCUCAUUAUGGAAAGAGGAAAGGUGUUUUGAGCACAAAGUGACCUUUACAACCAUGCAAAGGCUUAAAGGUUUCAACUUUAUGGAUUAAGUCACAUUAGAGGAGUUAGAUCUGAAGUUUGGAUGCAAGUCUUAACUAAUUAAGACCUGAAUGAGAUGGAUAAGGAAACUGGGCAUUACGCUUGGCGUAAUCCCAGUACGCGCGGCGUAAGCAGCUGCGCACCCCAUUUCUGUGAAGGCUCCGGGUACGCCCAGCGUAACCCGGGGGGUUGACUUUUAGGGUUUGGUCAAUUUUAGUGUAAUUGAGCCUCGAGUGGCGUAUGUGUUGUAUGUGGUAUUUUGGGGAACUCACUAAGCAAUUAUGCUUACAGUUGUUGUGUUAUGUGUUUCAGGUACUAGCGAGGACCGUGGGAAGGCGUCGGCGUGACUCGUACACACUAGAGGAGGGAUUUGUUUUUGUGAUCUUGGGAUAUGUUAUAUUUUGAUAACUAUGGUUGAAUACUUUUGAGAAUAUAUUUAUAUAAAUUUGGUUGUUGAAAAAUGAAAAUUUGUUUUGAAAAUCACGUUGUUACACCCAUGUAAGAAAGCAAUUUUUACAUCCAUCUAAUAGACCUUGAAGUUCUUGAUUGAAGCAAAAGCACGAAACACUCUAAUUUCCUUAAGUUGAGCAAUGGGAGCAAAGGUUUCAUCAUAGUCCAAACCUUCUAGCUGACAAAAUCUCCGUGCCACCAGUCUAGCCUUGUUUCUUACAACAAUCUCAUAUUUAUCCAUCUUGCUUCUGAAAACUGAACAAGUACUAAUGAUAGUUUUUUGUUAAGGCUCAGGGACAAAUGUCCGUACGUGAUGACGUUCAAACUCAUUCACUUCGUCUUAUAUGGACUUUCAUCAGAAUUUUGUUCACCCUUUAAUCCAUUAGGUUUUCCAGCCCAAAAACCAACUAUCACCCAUUUGACAGUUUAAGCCCCUAUAUUUAAUUAAUCUCUUUUGGCCACCAAAUUAAUUCCUAAUUAAUUUAUGACUAAUAUUAAUUUAAUAAUAUGAUUUUCCUUUUAAUAUAUUAAUCACACAAUAUAUUAAUAAAUCAUAAUUUCCUCUCUCUCUCUCUCUCUAUAAAUUACCUUGUAAAGUUGGUUUGGUGAAGGCAACCCAAAAGGACCAUACACAACCGGGUCAAGUUUAUACCAAAUAUAGUUUCGGGAUUAGACACUAAUCCAACAGUCUCCCACUUGGAUAAGUCUGAUAACUAUAUCUCACAUAUGACUUCAGGAUCCGAUUAGCAAUCGUAGCUCUUAUACGCUGUUGUCACCUCUGAUCAAAAUCCUAUCCUUUAGAUAACGGAUCGUAUAAUCCUCUGUUCUAGAUAUCAUGCUGACAAUCACAUGGAACUUAGUCAUACUUAUUAUUCAGCACAUUGUUCCUCGAUCUCCGAUUUGUUUGACAUGGAACUUAGUUGAACACAUCAACUUUUUCCUGACCGGGCCCAGCACAUAAGUCAAACCAAAUCAUCAAGUGGCCAGAUAUCGCUUUCAUCCUCUUGGAAUAAAAGGAAAAGAUAAACUUCGACUCAUAUGCUUUUAUUAUUCACUGGCUAACUCAUACACAACAAUACGUUCUAUAACAUCAAGUUACUGAUGCGUUUACCCAUUAUCAAUGCACAACCAACCAACAAAUAAUAACCAUAUCUCUAGGUUUAAACGUUAUAUGAUAUUAUCGUCUUGCGAUCAUUCGUGAUAAAUUCCAUGAAGUGAUACCAGCAAGCGCGGGUUUAUUCGAAUUCUCAAAUCAUAAUUCAUAAGCACUCAUGAGCUUUGCAGCAAACCUUUGCCAUGCCUAAAACCUUUUAGACAAUCUUCAAACAAAUUCAUGACAGUCUUCUUUCAUAUCUACUUCCAACAUAUGAGCGAUUGUGGACUGUUUGAAUAAUCUUAUUAUUCAGGAAGUCAAAACAUGCAAAAUUGAAACAAUAGAUAAAUAAUCAACACAAGAUAGUAGCUUUACUCAUAAACAAUACACCUUUAUUUAUUCAUCAAAUGUCAAGUACAAAUUAUCUAUUACACAUUUCCUAUUUAUCUAAUUUAAACUUAUAUCGUCCUUCAGCCCUAUGCUCCUCGCAUGCCGCAAGUGCUUAACCCUACUUAGUCCCUUUGUAAGGGGAUCUGCUGGGUUAUCUUCUGACGAUACCCUCUUCACCACGAGGGGUCCAGCUUCUACCCGAUGUCUAAUGAAGUGAUAUUUUCUGUCAAUAUGUCUGGAUCUGCCGUGAUCCCUUGGUUCCUUGGUCAAGGAAACCGCACCUUCAUUAUCACAGAAAAUCUCCAUAGGCUCCUUUAUGGAUGAAAAAACUCCAAGGUCUCCAAUGAAGUUAUUCAACCAUAUUGCCUCCUUUGAUGCUUCACUUGCCGCAAUGUAUUCUGAUUCACACAUUGAAUAAGCUAUCGUCUCUUUCUUGGAACUUUUCCAACUCACUGCCCCUCCGUUAAGGGUAAAGACCCAGCCAGACUGCGAGCGGUAAUUAUCCCGAUCCGUCUGAAAACUAGCGUCACUGUACCCUCGUACCCUUAAGUCAUCACUCCCACCGAGGACUAGAAACCAUUCCUUGGUCCUCCGAAGGUACUUAUGAAUAUUCUUAACUGCAGUCCAAAGAGCUCUACCGGGGUUUCCCUGAUAUCUGCUUACCAUGGUUAAAGCGAAGGCCACAUCAGGGCGAGUACAAGUCACAGCGUACAUGAUUGAGCCAACUGCGGAAGCGUAAGGUACUUGGCUUAUCUCUACUAUCUCUGCCUCUGUACUUGGUCUCUGAGUCUUAGCUUGGUAUUGCUUUGGAUUGGCAAUUCCCCUUUCUUGGAAUUUUCCUUCCUAAAACGUUUUAGUACCUUAUCCAAGUAUGUAUCCUGACUGAGUCCUAUCAGUCUCUUAUUCCUGUUUCUUACUAUCCUUAUUCCCACAAUAUACACAGCUUCUCCGAGGUCCUUCAUAGCGAAGCACUUCCCAUGCUAGGACUUGACUUCCUGCAAGGGUGGGAUGUUGUUUCCUAUGAGUAGUAUGUCAUCGACAUACAAUACGAGGAAGCUCACUAUACUCCCACUGGCUUUGACAUAUACACAUGACUCAUCUUCGCUUCACAGAAAACCAAAAUCUUUGACCUUCUCGUCGAAACAAAGAUUCCAUCUGCGAGACGCUUGCUUCAAUCCAUAGAUGGAUUUCUCAAGCUUGCACACUCUAUUGGGGUGCUUCGCAUCGACAAAAUCCUCUGGCUGUUUCAUGUAAACAUCCUCAGCUAACUUCCCAUUAAGGAAAUUAGUUUUAACGUCCAUCUGCGAUAUUUCAUAGUCAUGAAAUGCAGCUAUUGCGAGCAUCACCCUAAUUGUCACAACUAGCAUUUUUAGCUAGGAAAUUCUAUUCUCAUAUUAACAUCAUCCAUUGUAAGAGCAUGUACUCUAAGUGAAUACCAUACUCUAUCCUCAUUCAAAAUACACCUCAUAUGUUCAACUAAGGAUUGGAAACCUUAGUAAUCCCGGUCCAAGUUCCUUAUGAACUAAAAUUCUCCUAUUGGGCCUAGAAGCCCUAAGUGGGCUCUAUAUAGACCACAUUCAUAAAAAUUUAGCAAUUUGGGCCAUGUGGGCCUAAAAUAAUCCAUCUUACCUCUAAUGAGCCUUGUUGGGCCAUAAAAGAUUUCGUUUGUCCCAAUGGGGCCGAAAAUUUACCUUUGGGCUUCAUAAAUUCGAGUAUGGGCCCCAAGAUGAUUCCUUUCCUUUCUCCUUAGCCCAAAUCAGCCCAUGUUUUUUAAAAAAAAAAAAGAGAAAAGAAUGGAUAAAUGAAGACUAGACAUGCAUGUGACAACUCAUGUUUAACCACCAUGUAUCUAUGGUAGCAUCUCAUGUUUCAAGGCAAACUAUUACCUCACAAAUAACAAGGUUAUGAUCUCUCUCUCCUCUCUCUCCAUAUUCUCGGCCAACCCUCUCACCACCUUCAUUUUUCAUUCAAAAACUCUCUUAAACACUCUCAAAUACCUCUUCCAUCCUCCAUCAAAAAUCUCGAGUUGGUGUGUGCUUUCAAGAGGAUUCUCCACCAAAAAUCACCAUCCUAGGUAAGUUUUUACUUAUAUCCAUGGUUUAGCUUCUUGAUUUCUUCAAAAAUCUCCUCUUAACCCUCUCCAUUUCGUGAAUCAUACAUCCUAGAGCCAUCUAAGUUGUAAAGCUCCUCAAGAAGCUUGCUAGGGCCGAAAUCUUCUCUCAAAUCUUCAUCAAAAUCAAAUCCAAAUCUCAAGGUGAGCUUCAUACCCCCUAUUUUCUGUUUUUAUGAGUUUUGUGGUGGGGGGGGGGGAAUACGAGUGAAAGUGUAGAUCUAUAUGUGUUUUGUAUGCCUUGUAUGAUUUCCAUGCUUAUAUGUAUGCUUUUGUGUGUUAUAAUGUUGGAUCUAGCCAUAAAACCCCUCAAAACCGAGAUAUAUCUUAUGUUAAAUGAUUUUAGCAUCAAAUAUAUUUCUACAUACAAAGUGUUUCAAGAAAAAUAGCUAAGUGGUUUAGUAACAAUUUUCUUUGGGCUAAAAACACAAAUUUUGGGCCUAAAAUGUGAAAAAUACAAAAUUAAGGGCCCAAAUUGACAUAUCACGAAUUCUGAUGGAUGAAGUGUGUCAAAACAGUUUCAAUAAAACAAUUUCUGGAAAUAUACUCAUUUAGAGGAUUAAAAACAUAAAUUUCAAGCUUAAUGGGCUAAAAAUGACAAUUUCGGCCCAAUGAGGCCCAUUAUGCGAAUUUUUCUGUUUUGGAGGGCCAAAACUGUGAUUUUCUGUAAAACAGUGGACCAUAAGUGAUCCAAGUCCUUUUCAAAGGUUUAAAAUGCUUUUUAAAUUUAAAAAGGACCAAAGUUGCAAAAAUUUUACAAUUUGGGCCAAAAUUGUCAAAAUUGCGAAAAGAAGGGUUAUAACCGAGAAAACUGAAAUUUCAGGGACUUAAGCUGUUUUCUAUGAAAAAUAUGCUGGAAAAUAUUUAUUUCAAUAAUUUUUGGUGUUAAAAUGUCAAGAAAAUUGAUUUAAGGACCAAACCGGAAAGUAUUUAAAUAAAGGGUUGAAAAAGUAAAUUUUACAAACAAGGAGGGGCUGAAAACAGAAAAUUUUCAAGACUAAUUCAAUACAUGCAAUUUGACCAAAUAAUGGUACCACGACUAUCGACAAAAUACAAUACAUUACAACACCAAAAGUCGUUGUUAAACGAAUUGGUUCGGUCUCGAACCAAUAAAAAUCCGAAACUACUAACACGACGACACUAUGAUACUACAACACUACGAUUCAUACAAAUAACGAUUUGGAAUUCAUUAUACAUGCGAAUGUGCACAGACGUCUACGCACUAUCUUUGGGCCCCACAAGUGUAAAAUCUUGUUCGUUGAGCCUAGCUAGCCCAACGACCUGAUCUUAAGGCCCGAAGACUUCAAUCUUACGAAGUGUUGGGUUUUACCGAUCCGACACGACGUAACCGGACUUUCAAUGGCUUGUAGACUACUGGUCCCCAAGGGUCCUUUAGUGUCGCUAGUAGAGUCUGCCUUUUAUGCGAGGCGGGUCUGGGACCCCUCGUACCUUUUUAUCCCCAACCGGCUAAUGGAGUCAUCGAGGCCUUCGUGUCCUCUUUCUCUUCGGAUGUGGGACUACACGUAGUCAGGGCGGUUGGAUAACGUGAUUAGUACGGACGACGCCUACGGGAUCGUUAGUAUUGCUAUAGACUAGUCGUUUGUGUAACGCGUGUUUGUAGCAGAUAAUCAUGCUCAAAAAUAAUCCAAUGUCGCCUGGUAAUGAUAACUUCAUGCGUUGCAAUGGUUUCAAUGUAAAUUCAUGGAAUUCAAAGAAUUAGGAAAACAUCGGGUUUUCCUAGGGUUUUCAAUACAUACAGAUUCGAAAUACCUACAAUUUCAAUAAACAAUUUUUACAAGUAUAGAAAACAAACAAGCAUACCUAUGGAUCUUCACACCUUUUUGACUAUACUAUUUUCAGAAAAUAUCGGAUUUUCUGGUGGUUUUCAAACGAUACGAAACAUUGUUUUCAAAUACAACUUAUGAACUCACCAACAUUUCAUAUGUUGACGUUUUUCAAAAUGCUUGUAUUCUCAGGGAACCAGUGAAUCAAAGGAAAUCAUAUUCAGUGAUGGCUUGCAGUUUAUUUUUUUACCAAUCGAACAAUUUAUUUUGGGGAAUGUAAUGUUUAAACAAUGUACUUCAUGUAAACUUUACUGGUUGUACUAUAUUAAUGCAUGGUGACGAAUGUUGUUACGUUUCAUAUAUAUACAAUGUUAUGGUAUUCAAUUGAGUCACGACAGCCCCCGAACGUUUCCGCCGCCUGGUUUGGGGGUGUGACANNNNNNNNNNNNNNNNNNNNNNNNNNNNNNNNNNNNNNNNNNNNNNNNNNNNNNNNNNNNNNNNNNNNNNNNNNNNNNNNNNNNNNNNNNNNNNNNNNNNNNNNNNNNNNNNNNNNNNNNNNNNNNNNNNNNNNNNNNNNNNNNNNNNNNNNNNNNNNNNNNNNNNNNNNNNNNNNNNNNNNNNNNNNNNNNNNNNNNNNNNNNNNNNNNNNNNNNNNNNNNNNNNNNNNNNNNNNNNNNNNNCUAGGAACCUAAAAUCAUACCCCUUAAUCUCCAAGAAGGGAACCUCAACUGAAUCUAUGCAAUAGUCGUAGAGCUCUAGGAGUAAUUGGUAAGCUAUUUGUUUCUAGUAUUCAUAGCCCAUCGUGCAAUACGCUAUAGACGAGUAUCAUUAGCCAGGAAACCCUAUCUCCUUAGCCAAGGAAUAGUCGGGUGGCUCGACCCAGAGGAAGAACCCCAGGAGGGACAUGAAGUAGAACUCGCAGGUGAACCCGCUGAGUCAAUAGUGGACCUCGAAGAGGAAGAGCCGGAGGGCAAUGACGAUGACGACACGGAUGUAGAAUCCAAUGACAUCAAUCCUCCAUGUAAAUCCAGGGCACCGACUUAUAGUGUGGGCCCCGGUGACCCCAUGCCCCCUCGGGCACCCGAUAUUUGGGGAUAAAGUCACCAGUAGGGAAUACGACCACACCACGGUAAGAGCUGAGGUCUCUUUAAUUUUAGCCACAGAGGACCAGCUGACCAGGCCCUCCCAGUCGUGGUGCAACGCACUCGAGGUAUUGAUAACCAAGCUCAGGACAUCCCAAAUCGAACGAAACAAAUAUGGUUUGUUACUAAGAGGGACGAAAGGAAAACACGGGAGGUGAAUGGAGACUCUCGAGCGGGACAGUUAGUUGGGAGGCACACCUACGAGAUACCGAGCAACAAGUAGCUCGUCUCCGAGGUGCAUCCACUUCAUCAGCAUCACCACCAGACACUUCUCGCCACGACUAGGAUCAGCCUUUUCUAAUUUCCCCUACUAUCCGACAUGACUCUCUUUCGUGUACUAAGAUGGUACAUACCCCUGAAACGAUUAUGUGUUAUAUUUAUUUCAUAUUGCUGCAAAGACUCAAUUAUAUGCACAAGCGAACCCUCGGAACCACUAGAUACUUAAGGAUCUCGAAACUAAAACAACCCAUAUAACCUAAGGAUAGACGUAACAAUCGUGCCAAAUCAAUGAUUACCUAUUACCGCAAAUACAUCAUAGGGAUGUAGAUGGAGGCAGUAAGAAUUAUACAACAAGAUGCAAAAGAAAAAUUUAUAGAGUACAACCAGUAAUGACGAUCAUUACUUACGAUCUGGGUUAUCAAUGUGCAUCAGGAAAAUGCCAUCCCGCAAGAAUAACAAGCGCACCCGCGAGACACCACUCCUGCAGAUGGACUCUGCUACAUUUCAAGCUGCUGUAAUGGCAGCAGUAACCGCUGCUAUGGCACAGAUCAAUGCAAACAACCCUAAUGGAGGCAGGAAUAGCAUUGACAACUCCAGCCAAAGGAACAAACAUGGAAACCAACAAGUGACAACCUGUCAAGGAACUCCAAACCCCAAGCUUAAGAGCAGGAAGCUGAGGUCUGGAGGUAAGAGAAAGGGACAACACACUCAAGGGUUCUCAAGGGAGCAACGUGUUGUUGCUGUUCAUGCGACCACGACCACUAUUACACCAGCAACCAGGAGACCAUAUGCUGGAAACCUUCCAAAAUGCAACCAGUGCAAAUUCCAUCAUAAUGGAGCCUGCAGGGAGAUGCAUUGUAACAAAUGCAACCGAAAGAAUCACAUCGCCAAAUUCUGUAGAACUUAUCCAUGCCAGAAUCGUCAGCCAAAUGAAAACGACAACAAUCGCAACAACCCUAACAACAACACCAAUGAUGAGACCAGUCGCACCUGCUAUAGGUGUGGAGGAACUGGCCACAUCAGGCGCAAUUGCCCUAGGAAUAACGAUCGAGGAGCAGAAGGAUCAGAAAUGGUCCUGACCUUGGGUCAAGGCGAAGCAAUCCAAAACCCAACAAUUGUUACUGGUACGUUCCCACUUGACAACUCUUUUGCUUACCUCUUAUUCAAUGGUAAAUCCGAGUGAAGUUUUGGUUAGUAACAACUUCAAACACUUACUAAAACAACAUCCCCAAAGCUAAGCUAAGCCUUUUCAAUGGACAUGGCCAAAGGGGAAAAAUGAUUUAAUCUAGGGUACUCAUGUGGAGUACGCCUUAACACUAAACGACCAUUCAUUACAAAUAGAUUUCAUGCCAGUAAAUAUUAGGAGUUUUAAUGUGAUAAUCGUCAUGGUUGGGUAAGCCCCCACCGUGCUGAUACUAUGUGCCGCGAGAAGGCCGUUUGCCUUCACCUUCCUAAUCACGAAAACUCUAAUAAUCCAUGGUGAUAAACCUGGCGCUAAUCCUCUUCCUAUCUCGUGCAUCAAGGCACAGAAGUGCCUGCACCAGAAGAACUACGUUUUCCUCACUCAUGUUGUGGACAAGACCAAAGAAGAGGUAGGCAUACAGGGUAUUCCAGUAGCUUGUGAUUUUCCCAAAUGUGUUUCCUAAGGAACUUUCGGGAAUACCCCAGAGAGACGGGUUGAAUUUCGAAUCAACCUCAUAUCGGUAACCACAUCAAUUGCCAAUUCACCCUAUAGGUUGACUCCCGCCAAAAAUUCNUUCACCCUGGAGAGCUCUGGUCUCGUUCUUCAAGAAGACGGAUCCUUCAAAAGGCACAUCGAUUUUAGGAAAUUGAAUAAGCUCCCUAUAGAAAAUCGAUACCCACUUCCUCGGACUGACGAUCUAUUUGGCAAGCUCCAAGGAGCUAGUUGCUUCUCUAAAAAUAGAUCUAAGAACCGGUUAUCAUCAACUUCGAGUCCGAGAAGAGGACAUUCCAAAAACUGCCUUCCGAACUUGUCACGACCAUUUCAAAUUCAUUGUGAAACCCUUCGGUCUAACGAAUGCUCCCAUGGUUUUCAUGAGCCUUACGAACCAAGUUUCCCAACCAUUCUUAGUUAGCCCUUUCACUAUUUUCAUCAAUAACAUACUUAUCUGCUCACAAAGCGAGAACGAAACACUAUCAUCAUCUACGACCAGCCUAGAAAGCAUCAAGGCUGGGAAUGUCGCGAUGAAAGCACUACAUGGAUGGAUAAGACUCUCGAAGUCGAAAGACGAAGCUUUUUGUUAUAAGAGUUGAGUUGGGCGUUAUCUGGGUGAUCGUCGAUAGGUUAACCCAAUCUGCUCAUUUCCUGCCAAGACAGAAAUCAAACAAAAUGGAGGGAUUAGCUUGGAUCUAUAUCCAGGAAAUCGUGAGACUCCAUGAAAUAUCGGUAUCUACUAUCUCGGAUCGAGAUAACAGAUUUUCUUCAAGACUAUGGCAGUCAUUUCAGAGGGCUAUGGGAACAUAACUAGACAUAAGCGUUGCUUACCACCUUCAAACCAAUAGCCAAAGUGAACGAAAUAUUUGACCACUCAAAUUCAUGCUACAAGUCUAGGUGUGGGAAUUCAACAAGUCAGGGGAUACCCGGUUUCCCUUGACUAAAUUCUCAUACAAUAACAACUAUCGCACGAGCAUCAAGGAUGCUCCUUUCGAAAACUCAUUAUAGUCAUAAAUGUAUAUCACUCGGUGGUACUUUCAUGAGACCGGAAACCACUAACGAAACAACAGAAGAAGAUAAUCCAAAUCAAAGCUGGAUUUCAAUGCAUCGCGAGACCGACAGAAGAGCUAUUCUAAAAAGCAGCGUAAGCCAUUAGGAUGUCAAGUCGGGGAUCGCGUGUUAUCAAAAGAAUCUCCUUGGAAAGGGAUGAUUCGCUUUAGGAAACGAGAAAACUAAACCCACGAUACAUCGGACUGUUCGAGCUUCUUGCUAGGAUUGAAGACAUAUAGACUGUAGCUGCUUGUAGAGCUUAGCAACGUGAACCCUGUGUUCUGUGUCUUGAAUCUGAAAAGAUACAUAUCAUAUGAGUCUCUUAUCAUUCCUUUACGAGAAAUCAGAGUAAGCGAGGAUCACAUGUUCAUCAAAGAACCAGUCAAGGUAUUGAAUAGGGAAGUAGAACAUACAAAACAAAGCCCCAUUAUGAAUGCGAAGAUUCCAUGGAAUCCUAAGCUUGGACCGAAAUGCACAUGGGAAACGUGAAGAUCAGAUGAAGUGCCUAUUCUCUCAUUCACGAACCUAUCCUUAGAAAGAAUUUCGGGACGAAAUUCCCUCUAACGGGGGGAUGAUGUCACAACUAGCAUUUUUAGCUAGGAAAUUCUAUUCUCAUAUUAACAUCAUCCAUUGUAAGAGCAUGUACUCUAAGUGAAUACCAUACUCUAUCCUCAUUCAAAAUACACCUCAUAUGUUCAACUAAGGAUUGGAAACCUUAGUAAUCCCGGUCCAAGUUCCUUAUGAACUAAAAUUCUCCUAUUGGGCCUAGAAGCCCUAAGUGGGCUCUAUAUAGACCACAUUCAUAAAAAUUUAGCAAUUUGGGCCAUGUGGGCCUAAAAUAAUCCAUCUUACCUCUAAUGAGCCUUGUUGGGCCAUAAAAGAUUUCGUUUGUCCCAAUGGGGCCGAAAAUUUACCUUUGGGCUUCAUAAAUUCGAGUAUGGGCCCCAAGAUGAUUCCUUUCCUUUCUCCUUAGCCCAAAUCAGCCCAUGUUUAAUAAAAAAAAAAAGAGAAAAUAAUGGAUAAAUGAAGACUAGACAUGCAUGUGACAACUCAUGUUUAACCACCAUGUAUCUAUGGUAGCAUCUCAUGUUUCAAGGCAAACUAUUACCUCACAAAUAACAAGGUUAUGAUCUCUCUCUCCUCUCUCUCCAUAUUCUCGGCCAACCCUCUCACCACCUUCAUUUUUCAUUCAAAAACUCUCUUAAACACUCUCAAAUACCUCUUCCAUCCUCCAUCAAAAAUCUCGAGUUGGUGUGUGCUUUCAAGAGGAUUCUCCACCAAAAAUCACCAUCCUAGGUAAGUUUUUACUUAUAUCCAUGGUUUAGCUUCUUGAUUUCUUCAAAAUCUCCUCUUAACCCUUUCCAUUUCGUGAAUCAUACAUCCUAGAGCCAUCUAAGUUGUAAAGCUCCUCAAGAAGCUUGCUAGGGCCGAAAUCUUCUCUCAAAUCUUCAUCAAAAACCAAAUCCAAAUCUCAAGGUGAGCUUCAUACCCCCUAUUUUCUGUUUUUAUGAGUUUUGUGGGGGGGGGGAAUACAAGUGAAAGUGUAGAUCUAUAUGUGUUUUGUAUGCCUUGUAUGAUUUCCAUGCUUAUAUGUAUGCUUUUGUGUGUUAUAAUGUUGGAUCUAGCCAUAAUACCCCUCAAAACCGAGAUAUAUCUUGUGAAAAAUGAUUUUAGCUUCAAAUAUAUUUCUACAUACAAAGUGUUUCAAGAAAAAUGGCUAAGUGGUUUAGUAACAAUUUUCUUUGGGUUAAAAACACAAAUUUUGGGCCUAAAAUGUGAAAAAUACAAAAUUAAGGGUCCAAAUUGGCAUAUCACGAAUUCUGAUGGAUGAGGUGUGUCAAAACAGUUUCAAUAAAACAAUUUCUGGAAAUAUACUCAUUUAGAGGAUUAAAAACAUAAAUUUCAAGCUUAAUGGGCUAAAAAUGACAUUUUCGGCCCAAUGAGGCCCAUUAUGCGAGAUUUUCUGUUUUGGAGGGCCAAAACUGUAUUUUUCUGUAAAACAGUGGACUAUAAGUGUUCCAAGUCCUUUUCAAAGGUUUAAAAUGCUUUUUAAAUUUAAAAAGGACCAAAGUUGCAAAAAUUUUACAAUUUGGGCCAAAAUUGUCAAAGUUGCGAAAAAGAAGGGUUAUAACCGAGAAAACUGAAAUUUCAGGGACUUAAACUGUUUUCAUUGAAAAAUAUGCUGAAAAAUAUCAAUUUCAAUAAUUUUUGGUGUUAAAAUGUCAAGAAAAUUGAUUUAAGGACCAAACCGGAAAGUAUUUAAUUAAAGGGUUGAAAAAGUAAAUUUUACAAACAAUGAGGGGCUGAAAACAGAAAACUUUCAAGGCUAAUUCAAUACACGCAAUUUGAUCAAAUAAUGGCACCGCGACUAUCGACGAAAUACAAUACACUACAAUACCAAAAUCGUUGUGAAACGAAUUGGUUCGGUCUCGAACCAAUAAAAAUCCGAAACUACUAACACGACGACACUACGAUUCAUACAAAUAACGUUUGGGAAUUCAAUAUACAUGCGAGUGUGCACAGACGUCUACGCACCAUCUUUGGGCCCCAAAAGUGUAAAAUCUUGUUUGUUGGGCCUAGCUAGCCCAAUGACCUGAUCUUAAGGCCCGAAGACCUCUAUCUUACGAAGUGUUGGGUUUUACCGAUCUAACACAACGUAAAAGGACUUUCAAUGGCUUGUAUACUACUGGUCCCCAAGGGUCCUUUGGUAUUGCUAGUAAAGUCUACAUUUCAUGCGAGGCGGGUCUGGGACCCCUCGUACAUUUUUUUCUCCAACCGGUUAAUGGAGUCAUCGAGGUCUUCGUGUCCUCUUUCUCUUCGGAUGUGGGACUACACAUAGUCAGGGCGGUUGGAUAACGUGAUUAGUACGGACGAUGCCUACGGGAUCGUUAGUAUUGCUAUAGACGAGUCGUUUGUGUAACACGUGUUUGUAGCAGAUAAUCAUGCUCAAAAAUAAUCCACUGUAGUCUGGUAAUGAUAACUUCAUGCGUUGCAAUGGUUUCAAUGUAAAUUCAUGGAAUUCAAAGAAUUAGGAAAACAUCGGGUUUUCCUAGGGUUUUCAAUACAUACAGAUUCGAAAUACAUACAAUUUCAAUAAACAAUUUUUACAACUAUAGAAAACAAACAAACAUACCUAUGGAUCUUCACACCUUUUUGACUAUACUAUUUUCAGAAAAUAUCGGAUUUUCUGGUGGUUUUCAAACAAUACAAAACAUUGGAUUUCAAACACUACUUAUGAACUCACCAACAUUUCAUAUGUUGACGUUUUUCAAAAUGCUUGUAUUCUCAGGGAACCAGUGAAUCAAAGGAAAUCAUAUUCAGUGAUGGCUUGCAGUUUAUUUAUGUACGAAUAGAACAAUUUAUUUUGGGAAUGUAAUGUUUAAACAAUGUAUUUCAUGUAAACUCUACUGGUUGUACUAUAUUAAUGCAUGGUGACGAAUGUUGUUACGUUUCAUAUAUAUACAAUGUUAUGGUAUUCAAUUGAGUCACGACAGCCCCCGAACGUUUCCGCCGCCUGGUUUGGGGGUGUGACACUAAUAGACUUUAUUUUCGCGACUGGUGAAAAGGUCUCAUCAUAGUCAACCCCUGGAGUUUGUGUAAAUCCCUUCGCAACCAAUCGUGCUUUAUAAGUGUGUACUUUCCCAUCCAUGUCCGUCUUCUUCUUAAAGAUCCAUUUGCACCCGACCGUCUUACGACAUGGUACAUUAUCAAACAAAUUCCAAACUUGGUUGUCGUACAUAGACUGAAUCUCACUGUCCAUUGCUUCUUUCCAUUUAGCAGACUUCGGGCCUGCCAUGGCUUCCUUGUAGUUGCUAGGUUCAUCCAAAUUUACUAGUGUACUAUCACUAAUAAAUGUAUCCCCUUCAGUAGUAAUAUGGAAUCCAUAAAACUGGGGUGGAACACUAGCCCUACUUGAAUGUCUAAGAGGUAAUUACUCGUCAACAGGUUCAAUAGGAGAUUCCUACUCAGGUUGAUCGCCAGUGUUAGAGGUUCCUUCAUCACUCGACUCAUGAAGCUCUUCAAGAUCGAUUUUCCUCCCACUGUACCCUUGGCCUAUGAGUUCUCUCUCUAGGAGAACCCCUCUCCUUGCAACGAAGACAACAUUGUCACUCGGUCUAUAGAAGAGAUAUCCGAAGGAUGUUUGCGGGUAGCCGAUGAAAAUACAUCACUCAUUACGAGGUUUGAGCUUGUCGUGAGUCUCUCGUCUUACGAAAGCCUCGCAACCCCAAACCUUGAUAUGUGCCAACGAGGGAGCUUUCCCUGUCCACAUCUCGUGAGGUGUUUUGGCAACCUUCUUCAUGGGAACUAGGUUAAGGAUAUGGGUAGCAGUCUCUAAGGCAUACCCCCAUAAAGCUAUUAGUAACGAAGUCCGACUCAUCAUAGAAUGAACCAUGUCCAACAAGGUCCGAUUACAUCUCUCAGCCACACCGUUCAAUUGUGGCGUCCUAGGAGGCGUCAAUUGCGAAACAAUUCUACAUUCCUUUAGAUAGUCGUGAAACUCAAGACUUAGGUACUCUCCUCCUCGGUCUGACCGAAGCAUCUUGAUUUUCCUGCCCAGCUGAUUCUCCACUUCAUUCUUAAACUCUUUGAACUUUUCAAAGGUUUCUGACUUUUGCUUUAUUAAGUAUAUAUAUUCAUAUUUGCUAUAAUCAUCUGUAUAAGUCAUGUAGAAGCGGCAAGCAUCCCUUGUGGUGGAUCUAAAGGGCCCACAAACAUUUGUGUGUAUGAGAUCCAAUAGACCCUCACCCUUUGAACAAGUGCCAGUAAAGGGUGACUUGGUCAUCUUCCCAAGUAAACAAGACUCACAUGUGUCAUCGUCCCUAAGGUCGAAUGACUCCAACACUCCAUCCUUUUGGAGUUGGGCUAUUCAUUUCUUGUUGACAUGGCCAAGGCGACAAUGCCACAAGUAUGAUUUGUCCAAACUAUUGGACGAAUCAAUAUUCAACACAUCAUUUCCUAAGUUGUCCACAACAAACACAAAUUCAUAUAUUCCAUUACAAGGUAGUGCAUUAAAAUAGAAAACACCAUCAAGAUAAACAUUAAUAGAACCAAUUAUAUUGUCAAAUGAAUAUCAAAACCCUUGUCUAUAUAAUCCAUGAAAAGAAAUGAUGUUCCUUGCCAUGUCUGGCGAAUAGCAACAAUUAUUUAAAUCUAAACCUAACCCAUUACUCAACACUAAGGAAUAAACUCCGAUCUUAGUAACUGGUGACGAUCUUCUGUUUCCCAUGACCAAGUUUAUCGUUCCAUGCUCCACUUCCCUACCUUUUCUUAGGCCCUACAAAUCAGAACAAAUGUGGAAACCACAUCCAGUAUCAAGAACCCAUGAAGUAGCAAGUGAUGAGUUAUUAGAUUUAAUUGAAUACAUACCUGCGAAAGUGGGCUUUAUCUUCCCAUCCUUAAUAUCUUGCAAAUAUUUUGGGCAACUUCGUUUCCAGUGGCCCUUCUCAUGGCAGUAAAAGCACUCUACAUCCUUAGGGACAGAAGAUGGUUUAGCAGAACCAACUUUGGUCCCACUAGAAGAGGAACCAUCUUGGGACUUCCUAUUUUGGUGGCUCUUAGAAGGAGCCUUCCUCUUCUUACACUUUCCUUGCCCAAUUGCUAAUAUAGGGACCGAUUCAGUAGGAAUAGAUGCAAUAGAUUUAUCCUUUAGGUUGCUCUCAGCAGUUCUCAACAACCCUUGAAGCUUGCUCAAAGUGACCUCCUCUUUGUUCAUGUGGUAUGUCAUUCUGAAGUAUUUGUAGCACGAAGUCAAGGAGUGGAGGAUGAUGUUGAUAGCCAAAUCCUCAUCAAAGUUAACAAUUAACUUUAGAAGAUGAUCAACAUACCUCUGCAUCUUCUGCAAAUGCGAGGUUAGGGAUUCUCCACUCCCCAUCCUAGCGGUCAUCAUGUUAGUGAUGAUCUCAUAGCGCUCUUGCCUCAUGCUUUGGUGGUACCUAUCCAUUAAAUCUUGAUGUAUCUCGAAUGGAUACAUGUCCUCGUAGGACUUUUAGAGUUUUGCAUUCAUAGUCGCGAGCAUGAUGCAAUGAACCUUCGUAGUAUCACGCUCAUGUGCCUCAAAGGCAACAAUUUCUUCAGGAGUGGCAAUGUCUGGAUUGAUCUUUUCAAGCUUCUCGUCGAGGACAUACUCCUUGUCCUCGUAGCGAGUGAUCAUCCGAAUGUUUCGGAUCCACUCGUUGAAGUUGUUGCCAUUAAAGAUCACUUUCCCACACAAAUUCAUGAGUAAGAAUCACCAUUAGCCGCAGGAGCGUUGUUCUUGUUUGCGUUAGACAUCUGAAAAUAGAAAAGGACAAGUUUGAUUAGAAUGAAUCCCCAAUUAAUCACUAAAAUGAGAAAUUAGGGCUAGGAUCCAACAACAUUAUUUACAACUUAGAAAAGAGAUGUCGUAAUCUAAAAGCAAAUAAUCUGAAGGUAAGUGAAUGACGAUUCACUAAUUUUCCACCAUGAAAAACAAAAGAAGAUUAUGUUUUAAAUGUUUUAUGAAAAACUCCUAGAUCUUUGAGNUGGAUUUGAAAUUCCUAGAUUCUUUUGAGAUUCAUUGAACUUUUCAAUGGCAUGUUUCAAUCUCGAUGUGCCCUUCAAUUUUGUGACUAGGAUACCGAGGAUCACAAACAAGGUGUGAAUAACCAUGCGAAUCAACAUGGUGCACUCAAUGUCACUAUCACCUAAUCAAUAUGUCGGUUAGCCACACACAUUCCAUUGAUCUAUGAUAAACAUUGAGCCACCCUUCGCAACUAAUGUCAACCCCAAAUUAGUGUGUCGGUUAACCACACAUGCUGAACUAACGUUUGAUAAGGGUACGAAGCGUAAUUCCAUGGAAUAACGUCAUUUUCACAUUUUACCCUAAAGUAACUAAGAUUGGGAAUUUGAAAAACGUUUAGUUACUUGUAAUAUUCAUUAUACUUAUAAUGAGGAAUUAAAUGCCCUAUCAUAUCCGUUCGGCUAACGACCCUCCACCAAUCAAGGAAGCGGUGGCUGAGAGUGGACACCCAUUAAGCACCAUUUUAUAGGUAGCAACCUUAUACCCCCCUUAUAGACCGGCUUCAUGAAUGAGGCCUACUAGCGAUAAAAGUAGCUUAUUCUUAUACAUAUAUAUAUAUAUAUAUAUAUAUAUAUAUAUAUAUAUAUAUAUGUGUGUGUGUGUGUGUGUGUAUUAAUCUUAUAAUAAAUAAAGUAUAAGGUUUGAAUUUUAAACUUGUAAAAUUCUAAGGGUUUGAAAUUUAAAUAAUUCAAAAUUAAACUUUUAAUCAAAAAUUUAAAUUCCAAAACUUGAGGACAAGUUUUGAACUUUUCAAAACACAAAGGAUCAAAUAACAAAUAAUAUAAAUUAAACAAUUAAUUUUGUGAUUAUCUAUAUAUGACCUCAUCCAAUGUUAUUCAUAAGAUAAUUACCAAAUAAUUUAAACAAUCAACAUUUAUCAUAUAAAGAAACUAUUAUUCAAAUGAUUUAAAAUUAUCUUUUGUUUUGGUAAGGAUAAUCAUUUAAACACAAUAAAAUUCGGAUUUUAUCAUUAAAAAACAACUUUGGCAUUUAUCCAUCAGCAAAACAGCAAUAAAUCCCGAAAAUCUUUCUGUCUGACAGCUAAACUCCUCGAGUCCACCUUGGAACUCGUCGAGUUCAACCUGCUCGUCGAGUUUAUCAGGCAGUUUGCAAUAAAAAAACGAUUUUAAAGCUUGAACAAAUAAACUAGGCAUCAAUACAAUAGAAACCAAACCAGUCUCUGAUAACACUAAUGGGUUUUACACACAAGAACUUUCCUAUGUGCUCAUGCAAACCCUAAUGCUUGGAUCUAGGUUUCUCUAUUGUACAUGCAUUGUAUCCAAGACUUACAAACCCUAAUGUAGAAUACAUAUUUCGAAAAUAUCAAUAUAUACCAGAUCUAGAUGUUUACCUCUUCAAAAAUCUUGGAUCUUCUUCUUCUUGGAGCUUAGAGUCACAAGUGUAACUCCUCUAAUGGCUUACAAACACCACACAAGCAAGAAGUCAAUAUGAGAGAGGGAAGAGACGCUAAAAAUCGGCCCUAGGGUUUCCUUGGAAUCAAGUGGCCGAAAACUGCAUGUAGGGGUCUCUAUUUCAACUGUAGGUUUCUAGGGUUUUAGUCAAAAACCCUAAUGGACAGCUUAAUCACCAAGCAGCCCAUGGAAUCUUCUGGAAUAAGGCCUAUGGAUGAAAUUAUGAUUUUCAUCAUAAUUUCGUUCACCCUUUAAUCCAUUAGGUUUCCCAACCCAAAAACCAACUAUCACGCAUUUGACAGUUUAAGCCCCUAUAUUUAAUUAAUCUCUUUUGGCCACCAAAUUAAUUUAUGACUAAUAUUAAUUAAAUAAUAUGAUUUCCCUUUUAAUAUAUUAAUCACAUAAUAUAUUAAUAAAUCAUAAUUUCCUCUCUCUCCAUAAAUUACCUUGUCAAGUUGUUUUGGUGAAGGCAACCCAAAAGGACCAUGCACAACCGGUUCAAGUUCAUACCAAAUAUAGUUUCGGGCUUAGACACUAAUCCAACAAGUUAUCGAUUCAGUUGAUGAUGCAGAGGUAUGUUAGAAAUAGCAACAUACUUUGAUUUCUUCCUAUUACAUCAUUGUCCUUUAAAGUACAUUGCAUGUAUAAGAAACAUUGAAACUAUUUCUUACAUUCAGCCCAAUACAAUUUUUGUUUUUGUGUCAGGUGAAAGUGGGAGGAGAGGUGCAAAAUAAAGGGUAGGCAAUAGAAAGAAAUGAAAGUGGUGUUGUGUGAUGUUGUAAUAGAAAGAAAUGAAAAUGAGAUGCCAUAAUAAUCAAAUAAAUGAAAUUAUAUUGCUAUUUCUUACAUUUAGCCCAAUAACAUUAUACAUUUGGCUCAACCCUUCCUAACUAUACAAUUGAAACAACAAGAUUCUAAUAGAAAGAAAUCGAAGUAUAACGCUAUAAUAACAUAUAAAUGAAAGUACAUUGAUAUUGAUCGCAUUAAUCUUAACAACAUUAUAUAUGGUGGACAUUUGAAAGUGUUGACAAAGACAAUAACACAUUGUUUGAAGAAGUGAGGAUCAUGGUUUUAAAAUAAACAAGGUGGAGCAGUUGGAAAAAAAAAUCCUACACUCAAUGUGAAAAGCACUCCUUAAUGCCAUGAGAGGUUAAACUUUCUGCACAUAUAAUAUCUAUAUUACUUUGUAUCUGUCUGCAUUAGCCCAUUAUAAAUGUCAUAUAAUUUUUGUAUUAUUUUUUUGUUUGCAUUUUUUAGAAAUUUUGUAGCCUUUAUUAUAUUUUGAUUGGACAAUCGGGAACACCUAAGAGAUGUAUAUUUUUAGUGGCUUUUUUCUUAUACUAAAUGACAAAUGAAGGAAAGAUAGUAAUAAGAUAAUUCAAUUUGAAGGAGGGUUGGUAGUAAAGGAGUAAACAUUUGGUUCUGAUUGCAUAUUUUAGGGUAUAUUGCAAAAAUUAGCUAUAAUCAGGGAAUAAAAUGUUAAAAUAACCUCAAAUAAGGACCAAAAUUGUAAGAUGGAAAAAUAAGCUCUAAUCAUUGGUCUCUAUUCAAACUAAAGGAGUAACACAGGCCCUAUUCAAAGUAAAAUAUGUAUAGUUUUAAGACAAAAAUUGGAAAAAUCAGCUAUGAUCGGGGAUUAAAAUAGUCAUUUCACUUGGAAUAAUGACACAACAUGUUACAAUAACGGCCGAUACGUAUAGUUUUAGGGUACGCACUUUUGCGUAUCAUAAAUCACUGCGUGUCAUAGUUUGCGCGUCAUUAAAGGCCUAUAUUCUAAAAGUGAACCUCAAAUAAGGACCAAGAAUGCAAUGAUAAAAGCUUUCUGGGACCAAAAUUGAAAAAAUAUAUACUCAUGGAUCAAAAUAUAAUUAAAUCAUAAUCUUAUGUUUCUUUUCUUUAGCAGGGUGUUAAGAUAGAUGAUCCACAAGUGUUUAAUGGCCAAGAGGUGGAGGUUUGGUCGCGUGUUGUGUGGAAGCCAAAAUGGGUAGUUACAUUUCUGAUGUUAAAAGGAAAUCGAUGGAAACAACAACUAUGUUUUUCAAAAAUCUACUUUGGUCAUUAGAGGUCGUAUUGUUCUUAUUGAAGAUGUGUCACUUGAUGGAACUUAGUUAUCAGUUCACUUGAUGAUUUUGAGUUAUGUUAGAAAUAGCAAUGUACUUUCAUUUACCCCAACCUAACCUAUUUAAUGAGCAGGUUGAACCUGAGUUGAUUUAUUUAAAUUUCCAAAAAUAUACCCUUGAAAAUCAACUAAGCCUUCAAACACAAUUACAUAAAACUUAAAAACUCCGAUAAUUGUUCACGUUUGAAAAUAAUACAACGAUAAGUCUCUAGUAGAAACACAAAUCAAGUGUUUACAACCAUAAAAACAUUAUACACGUUUAAUCUUUAAAUGCUAGACAGCUCAACUUUCAAUAACGAUCACCAAUCCACAUUUUUUGAGUAAUAAAAAUAACAAAACUAUAAUAAUCAAUUAAAUAAUAAUACUAUAUAUAUAUAUAUAUAUAUAUAUAUAUAUAUAUAUAUAUAUAUAAGAUAAUAUAAAAAAAAUAUAAGNNNNNNNNNNNNNNNNNNNNNNNNAUAUAUAAGAUAAUAUUAAAAAAAUUUAAGCAGGUUCACUGGUUGUAAGCAGAUUGAGAAUUUUAACCCUAACAUAACCCAUUUAAUUAAAUAUAUUAGACGGGUUAAGCCGUUUAGUUAAACGUGUUAAAGAUCUCAACCAAACCAACUAAUUACCAACCCUAAAUAAAGGGUGGAUGAUUGAAAGUGUUGAUAAAAACAAAAGUGUGUUACCUAAAGAAAUGAAGAUUGGGGAUUUCAAAAUUAAUAUAAAUGGAGCAAUUGGAAACAUCUUAUAGUGAACCUAGGAAGCAUUCCUUGAAGGCAUGAGGUUAAACUUUUUGUAUAUUUGAUUCUAACCGACAAAAAUGCAAAAAUGGUCCCUAUGGUUUGUCAUUUUUUGUGGAUAUGGUCCAAACCUUUUAAAAAUUGGAUUUCUGGUCCUUAUUGAAAGGUUUGUUUGUGGAACAAGUCCCUGGGGUUAACAGCCGUUUGUUUGUGGCUGUUAAACCCCUCACGUGCAUUGCACACGAGGGCAUAAAUGUCAUUUUACUUGAGGGACCAUUUUUACAAUUCCUGAAAUAAUAUAUAAAGACUUCCCCAACGUUCUUCCCCAACGUUCAAGUUAUUCCCCAAACGUUGUUCUGCAACUUUCAAGUUGUUCUUCCUUCUCUCAUCUCAUGGACACCGAAGAACCCAGGCAGAUGUUUCUAUGCUUGCCCUCAAAAGGUAAAGAAAUUCGUUUGCACCCAUUUUGAUAUGUAAUCAAAUAACAUUUGUUAUUUUCCCCUUUUUGAAGGAUUCUGCUUGUCGCUUCAUCGGAUGGGUUGAUCCCCCUAUGUGUGAAAGGUCUAAAGUCAUUAUUCCUGGACUAUUGAGAAAUAUUAACCGAAUGCAAGCUUGGUGCACAGCUCUAAAGAUCAUGUUGCUGGCUAGAUGGGUGUUUUUUGUGAUUUUGUUCAUAAGGUCUGUUUAGGUUUAGGUAAUAGGUCAAUGGGGUGGGUUUUUAUUUGUUGAAGAUCGAUAAAAGUGUGGUUUUUUGGUGAAUUAAUGGUUUUUGGUACUUUGACCUAGGUUCUUUGUAGUUGUUUGUAAGGUCAAAGUAAGUUGUGUAUGUAGUAAAUGACUUCCUGGUAUAAAUAUGAAUUUUAUGGAAUUGCUUAUGUUGUUUGUAAGGUUCUUUGUAGUUUUUGUAAGGUGAAAGAAAGGUUAAUGUGAAUAAUUGACUAUAAUGGUUAUAAUAAACAACAAUAACAAAAAACCAUAAUAACCAAGGCUGCAAUUACAUAAUAGACUACAAGCAUAUAGUGCAAUUACAUUAUCCCAAAAUAUGCAACCAUAUAUAUAUGUUCUAAUACUUAUCAUACUAAUGAAAACCAAAAUAACCAUAAGUCAUAAGUUUUUUAACAUCAAAACACUUCCAAAAGUAGCAAAUAACAUCUGCCAAAACAAACACAACCUUGAUCUUCAACUUCCACGUAACUUCCACCUCCUUGACCUUUGCAUGUCCUUGAUUUGUGACCUUUGUUUUUGCAUUUUGCACAUGUUACACUGACAUAUUUCCUUGUUAAUUUCUGAACUCCAUCAGGACCCACUUUACAGCCUUCUUCCUGACAUACACCAUGAGUACCAGUCUGACUUUGACUCCCUCUUUGACUCUGACUCAAUUUUUCAUCCUCACUUUUCUUCCUCUUCUUUGUAGGCCUACCUGGUUGCUUAUGAUGUAUUGGAGGGAUAAGUGUGGUGGGACACAAACUUUUAGGCCACAUUAUUCUUCCUUUUAUGGGCUCUACCUUAUAGGAAUAUGCAUUCUUCCAUGUAUCCAACCAGUAUACCUUAUUGACCCACCUGUAAAUGUCACCAACAUCCUCUGAGUUCUUGGUCAUUUCAUAAAGGGUUGCAAUGGCAUGUUUACAUGGGAUGCCUAUUAGCUCCCACUUUCUGCAAGUACAUGUGUUGUUCCUAACAUCUACAACAUGUUGGUCUUGCCAUGCCCCAGUGACUUGGUAUUUCUCACCCCCAUUCCACCUAGCAAUGUAAUGUGAUGCAUGAGACUUGUUUACAUCCAAUAUGGUUGUUGCAGUGGGUGUUAAAGGCCCUUUUGCCUUAUCCAUCACGUUCAUAACAUUACAGAUUCUCUUCAUCAGGUAUUGUCUAGUAUACUCCAAACAACCUAUGAUUGGCUUAUCUCUUCCCUCUAUUAUCUUGCUGUUAAAUACCUCACAAAGGUUGUUUAACAGUAUAUCAGAGAUUGCUCUGCCUGUUAAAAAAAUUAACAUAUUGUUUUAAGUACAAGUACACAUUUAACAUAUAGUAAUUUAUGGUAAUUUAUGUACCUGUAAAAUGGCUUCUUGCCCAGUGUUUUGGAGGAAUCUUUCUAAGCCAUUCACAUGCCUCCUUGUCAUAGUUGCUAAAUUCUUUCAUGCAAUGUUCAAAUUCAGGUACAGUGGUUGCAGUUGCACAUCUCCAUAAAUGAUCCUUGUACUCUUUCAAUUUCCAUUUCACUCUCAUGUUCUGAUGUAUGUGCCUGAGACAAUACCUGUGCUCAGCACAUGGGAAUAGUUGGGCUAUUGCUGGUAUUAAACCCUAUAACAAUAACAAUAAUUAAGUAUUUAGUUUAUAUAAUAAUAAGUAAUUAAUAAUACAAGUUAGAAAGAGAUACCUUUUGUCGAUCUGUGAUAAAAGUAAAGUUAGAGUUUGAACCAAGAUCCAAGUCUUCUCCUAAACACUGCAAGAACCAUACCCAACUACUUUUGUUCUCUGUCUCAACAAUGGCAUAAGCAAGGGGGUAAAUACCAUUGUUAGAGUCCAACCCAACUGCUGUUAGAACCUGUCCAGGAAAUGGUCCUUUCAUAUGUGCACCAUCGAAACCCAAAAGAUCCCUGAGGCCAGCCUUAAAACCUUUUUUCAGGGGACCUAAGCAAAUGUAGAUUCUUUUAAACCUCCUCGUUGGGUUUGAUGGGUUUUGUUCACUGUAAACAUCAAUCUUGACAGUUGUGUCAACAUUGGUUGCUUGCAAUUCAAGGACAUAGUCCCUCAAGAUCUCAUAUUGUUUUGUAUAGUCACCCUCCACGAUCUUAGUUGCAAUAUCCUUGGCCCUGAAUACUUUGUCAAUAGAAACACCAACCUCGAAGUCCUUUUGAAGUUGUUCCUGCAAUGCUCGAAGAGGAAUCCUUGGAUUCGUGUCGAUUUGGUCCAUGAUUCUCUUGGAUAUAAAAGUAGCAGUGUAAGCUCUAAUCUUCCUACUUUGAAGGCAAGUAUGGUUGUCAUUUAAUGUCCUUACAAACCAGGGAGAUUCUGUGUUUGACCUAGAAGCAUGAAGGAACCAACUACAGUUUACUUUUUCUGAAUUUACCUCUUUGCCCUUGCUUUUAUUUUUGGUAUUAAGGCCCACCACCCCACUUGCAUUGAUGACAGGGACUACACCUCUACACAAUGCCCGAAGUCUAAGCUUGUCAUUCUUUUUAUAAUAUAAAUUCCUCCUAGUUUCUAGUGCGUGCAUGUCAAUUUUUUCUUUCAAUUCUUUCUUUGAUUUAAACUUUUGCCCAACAUAAAAACUGGCCUUAUGGAUAUUGCCAAGACUGCAUCUUUUCUCCUUAGCCAGAUUUUUAAGAACACAUCUUCUUUUCCUUUCAUCUUCUGACCCUUCAUCUAAAGAAUCCCAUCUAUCAUUGUCAAUGACUUCUAUGUCCUCAUGUUCAUCAUUUGUCCCAACCCCGUUAUGAAACCCAUCCAUUUGAACACAACCAUAAUCCUUAUCAAGAUUGAGGUUAAAGUCAGUCAUAUCCACCUCCACUUCUGAUACAUUGUUUUCAUCAUCAACAAGUUCAUCAUAUUGUUCUUCUGAUUGUUGCCCAAGAUCAUCACUGUCAGCAGACUUUUCAUGUUCAGACUGAUGGUCUUCAACAUUCUCAUCUUCUGGUGGUUGAUAAUGUUCUCCAUCAAAAGGAUCAAAGUGAUCAUGAGAAAAGUUCUCAUAAUGAAAGUCAUCAUAAUCAAAGUUAUCAUGGUCACCACCUUGAUCUUGUACCACAUCAUCCAUGUUAGCAUGCUCAACCUCUUGAUCUUGAACCACAUCAUCCAUGUUAGCAUGCUCACCAGCUUGAUCUUGUACCAUAUCAUCUAAUUUAGGAUUCUCACUACCUUGAUCUUGUACAACAUCAUCCAAUUUAGCAUGAUCACCACCUUGAUCUUCUACUACAUCAUCCAAUUCAACUAAACAAAGUUUUUUGGCACAAGAACUUUGACCAACUAUUGAGUUCACCCUUACAUUUCUUCUAUACUGUGGUGAAACUUCUGUAGGGACUUUGUCAUAGAGUAUCAAGGACAUAUACCCUGCCAACUGUGUUUGAUCAUCAGCUUCAUCUAUCAUUGGGGUUUUAUGCUUUGCUGGUAUUUGAGGUACAUUUGCUUCUUUUGGAAGAUCACCAUCACAGAGCUCCUUAAUAAUAACUUUUUGCUUUCCUUUUGGAGACAUAAAAUAGGUCAGCAAAUUAGUUUGUCCAUGUUCUGUAUACACUUCAAUGACCUUGUUAUCUCCAAUAUACUGAGCCAAAUUCAAGACAUCAUCAUCAUUCCCUAAAGCUCUGAGGCCAAAAUCCAAGUCUUCAUGAGGAAUCCUAAAAUGGUAAUAUAUUACUGGGGGUACAGAGUAACCUAGCUCAACCAUCAUUGCGUCUAGUUCAUGAACUGAGAACUCAUCAAUGUCUACUAAAUCAAUAUAUCUCACUUCACCUUUAACAUAUUUCGUGUUUGGAAGCUUCGUAAAAUUUCCACCAUGGUGUAGCUUUAUGCUGAACAUUGUUGGUACACGCUCUACAAGAUACAAAAAACAUUAAGUAACAAAUUAUCAGAUGUUUGCAUUUUUGGCUUAAUUCUUCAGAUCAUCAAGAAACCUAACAAAAUUUCGUAAACAGAGGAUAACUGAAACUAACCAUAUUCAUUUGUGAUGUCAUACGUCUCGCCUUUUGGCCUAAUCGCCCACAUUACGAACACCAUUUACAGUUGAAAAGCAANUUCAGUUGCUCAUUUAUUUCAGAAUCAUUGAUGCAGAAAACCGAUACUAAUUACGUUUUCCAUUGCGAAAUAUAAUGGAAGUGCCAAAGUAUGAUAUCUAAUGGAUUUACCAUUACACCAUUACUAAACAGGUUGUUCGUUUCAAACAAAAUUGAUUUGUAUCAAACUAACUUUUUUUCCAUAAUGGUCCGGUUCGGUUUCCAAUUUUUUUAGUGUACCUUUAAUUUUCAUUGUGUUUUUUAAUGCUACGAAUGUAUGAUUUUUUUAGGAUAUAUUAUUUCAUACAAAACAGGGGAAAUGGCCACCCAUGGUGCUGGUGGCAAAUAUAUUGAUAUGGGGGAUUUAAAAACUCCAACCAAAUUACAUUACAUUACAUACUGGAAAAUAAGAAAUCAAAAAUAAAAACUAGAUGACAAACUAUGUGUGUCUAGCCUUUUGCAAACUUGAAAUGAACACAACCACUUUCACAUAAACCCAAUCUUUGAAGCUGUCAUAAAAUUGAAAAAAUGCACGUCUCCCUCNUUUACAGUUGAAAAGCAAAAACAAGUAAACACCUUGGACCAAAUCUUGAUUAGGGUUUUUGCGUUAAAAACGAAUGACGAAGAAGAUGGAAGUGGAAGAGAUAACUAAAUAUUUUGUGAUUUUGUGUGUAAUAUGGUGCUAAGACGGUAACAAGCGGGUUUAUUUCAGGAAUUGUAAAAAUGGUCCCUCAAGUAAAAUGACAUUUAUGCCCUCGUAUGCAAUGCACGUGAGGGGUUUAACAGCCACAAACAAACGGCUGUUAACCCCAGGGACUUGUUCCACAAACAAACCUUUCAAUAAGGACCAGAAAUCCAAUUUUUAAAAGGUUUGGACCAUAUCCACGAAAAAUGACAAACCACAGGGACCAUUUUUGCAUUUUUGUCAUUCUAACCAUAUGGUGCUAAUAUGACGUUCAUGUGGACUUGCUCUUUUAUUUAAUUCUUAUUUUAUUAAAUGUUAAAUUUAUUUUAAUCUAAAAGAAUAAUUAAUAUGUAUAUUUUUAUUUAUUGAAAACCUUAGAGUGAUAUUAUGGGCAAAAAGUGCAAGCUCAAACGGUACCUAUUACAUUUUAUUCUCAACCUUUUCUUUCUAAAACAACUUGUUCAUCUAUAGUCAUCUUGGGGUCAUGUGUUGCAGAUACAAUAGAGGCCAUUUGUUGCAGAUACAAUAGAGAACUCAAUAAUAGAAAUGAUAAACUAGAGUAAAUUAAGCUUUCAAUUUCCAUUUAUAACUUUUCUUAUUGGGGUGNCUAAACAGGUUGUUCGUUUCAAACAAAAUUGAUUUGUAUCAAACUAUUUUUUUUCCACAAUGGUCCGGUUCGGUUUCCAAUUUUUUUAGUGUGCCUCUAAUUUUCAUUGUGUUUUUUUAUGCUAGAAUGUAUGAUUUUUUUAGGAUAUAUUAUUUCAUACAAAACAGGGAAAAUGGCCACCCAUGGUGUUGGUGGCAAAUAUAUUGAUAUGGGGGAUUUAAAAACUCCAACCAAAUUACAUUACAUUACAUACUGGAAAAUAAGAAAUCAAAAAUAAAAACUAGAUGACAAACUACGUGUGUCUAGCCUUUUGCAAACUUGAAACGAACACAACCACUUUCACAUAAACCCAAUCUUUGAAGCUGUCAUAAAAUUGAAAAAAUGCACGUCUCCCUCGACGGUUGAGAAGUAAAGCGCCACAUGCUAUCCAAAAUCCAGUAGCAAAACCAAUGCCCACACCAGUAUAAAACCAUCCCCAGAGUUCAUCAUUUGUGUCUUCCCCAUCACCCUCACCUUUACCAAUAAGAGGUGGUACUUUUGAUUCUUCAUCUAGAGGACAACUUUUGGUAAGAGGAGGUCCACAUAGACAUGCAUUUCCAUUGUAUCUUGAUGGUUGAAAGGAUUGGAGUUGAGUGCUGGUUGGGAUUCUUCCAGACAAGUUAUUAAAUGACAAAUCUAGGUCAUUCAAUAAACUCAUCUGAGACAUGCUUGAUGGUAUCCUCCCUGAUAAAUUGUUUCUGGAUAAAUCCACCGUUAGAAGCUUUUUCAUCUCACCAAUAUGCUGUGGAAUCUCUCCAGAUAGAGCAUUCAUUGAAAAAUUCAGGGCAAUCAAAUCUGAAAGAUUGGUAAUUUGAUAUGGGAUUUGUCCUGUUAAGUUGUUGCUUGACAGGUCAAUGCUCUUCACCAAUUUCAGAGUACUUAAGAAUUCAUGUUCACCUCCUUGCCACUGAAUCAUUGCAUGGUCAACAUAUAUCCCUGAUGCAUAUACAAUAUUGUUUAUACUUGUUUGAAAGUAUACAUCUUGUAAGACUCCUCCUUGGUGAACCAUGCUCGUAAGAUUACUCAAACAUGAGGGGAUGGUUCCAUGAAGAUUUCUCAUCGACAGGUCUACAAUUUGAAGAUUACCUAACUGACAUAACUGUAAAGGGAUGGUUCCAAUGAAGUUGUUUGAUUUUGAUAACAACANNNNNNNNNNNNNNNNNNNNNNNNNNNNNNNNNNNNNNNNNNAAACUUGUUGGCCCCCAAAUUCAACGAGAUUAAACCCGUGCAAUUUUUUAAGGACAAAGGCAAUUCUCCAGAGAAGUUGUUCUUGUAUAAAUACAACACCUGGAGUUGUAUCAAAGAUCCAACAGAGGGAGGAAUCCGUCCAAAGAGAUUGUUGUGUCCAAGAUUAAGAACUUGUAGUCCUUUGAAACGCCACAAACAGUCCGGGAGUUGUCCGAUUAAUGAGUUAUGAGAGAGGUCAAGAAAUGAUAAGAACCCAUCAACAAUUUGGCAUACAAAUGAGAUUCCCCCAGAAAAUUUGUUUCUGGAAAUAUUUAAUGAGAACAAGGUGGAAGGAACAUUCGGUAUUGGACCAUAAAAGUUGUUGGAACUCAAAUCUAUCUCUGAAUAUUUGGCAAAAUUUGAUGAUAAAUCUGGUACUUUCCCGCUAAUGUUGUUGGAAGAGAGAUUCAGAUAUUCUAAUUGAGAAGGCCACAUGUCCCAAAACUCCAGAGGAAUUGUGUCUGAAAUUCCAGUAUUGGAAAGAUCAAGACGGGUAAGAUUUUUGAGGUCUGAAUCCAUUUGGGGAAGCGAGGCCCUACCUUGCAAGAGCUCAGAUCAAGAUACUGAAAAUAAGAGAUGUUUGACAAGUGAUCUGGGGAAGGAACUGUAAGAUUAUUAGAAGAAAGGUAAAGAGUUCGGAGCCUGGGUAGUUCCCACAGUUUCUCACUUAUACUUCCAUUUAAGUGAUUAUGAGACAGGUCCAAAAGCUUUAGGGAUGAAAACUUUUGGAUCUCAUCGGACAAUGAUCCUAUAAAUUGGCUAUGAGAAGCAUCCAACCAUUGUAAUGAAAGGGAUGUGCAUCCAGACAAGUUGUUGAGAAAAUCAGGAAAUUUGACAGCAGCAGAGUUGUUGUAGAAGGAUAAAAUUUCCAGACUACAGAGGUUACCAAGAUAUUUGGGUAUCCCAUCUAACAUAUUGUCAUAGAGAUAAAGUCCAUUAAGCUUAUCGCUGGUUAAUGGGAGCAACCAACGAUACAUGGAUGAUGUGAGAUUGUUGUCACUGAGAUAAAGGGUAUGAAUAGAUGAAGAAGAAGAAGAGUUGAGAAAAGAAGAAUAUGGAUACAUGACCUGUGACAGCUCACAUCUCCCUAAACUUAAACUCAACAGUUCUGGGAGACUCGAAAUUACACCUACCCAAUUAUUUGCAUUCGCAAGGGAAAUCCCAUCCAUUCUCAGAUCCUCCAAAUGAGAGAGAUGAGACAACCACUCUACCUUUUCAACUCUACACCUUCCAGCAGAAUCAAGAUGAAGGUAUUGCAAGUUGGUGAGGUUUCCAAACUGUGAAGGAAUGGUUCCAUAAAGAGAGUUACUGGAAAGGGAAAGGUACCUUAACUGGGUCAAGUAACCAAUGGACCUGGGAAUAGCUCCAUGAAAAGAAUUGUAAGAAAGGGAAAGGUACCUUAAUCGAGUCAAAGAACCAAUGAAAGUGGGAAUGGUUCCAUUGAAAAAAUUGAAGGAAAGAUCAAGAUGAUUCAAGUAGGUUAAGUUAAGCAAGGAAUGGCUAAUCUCACCUCCAAGACCAUCCUGUGAAAAGAAGUUGUUGAGUUCAAGCUUUGUGACAUGACCAGUUUGGUUGCUGCACUCAACUCCACUCCAUUUACAGCAGUCAUGUUGGUCAGAUCUCCAUGUAGAGAGAGUAUCAUAAGUGUCGUGAAGGGGAGCUUUGAAGAGAAGGAGCGCAAGUCUCUCAUUAUCCAAACACUUUUUCAUAUUAACACCAUUUCUAUCAUCUCCUCCUUCUCCCACUGCUACCAAUUGGCUGGUAGUUGCAGUCACAAGGAGUACCAAGAAAAGUGAGAAAACUAUAGAAGCACAAAGAUUCAUAAUUUAAUUAAAAAUGAAAAUCUUGGUGAUUUUUGGUUUGUAAUGAUGCCUGCCUAUAUGAACUGCACCCGUGAGUGUUUAUAUAGUCUCAACUGUGAGCAUAACUGAUUCUAAACGGGUGGCCUUGAAUUAAUUGUGUCGGGGAUACAAUAUUUAAUUCCCAUGAAAUUAGAACCAAACUAUAAGAAAAAAUCAAAGAUGAAGAUUUGAAAUAAAUGUCUCAAAUUAGUCGUUCAAAGACUUGCAAGUCUUGACUAUUUGCAUAUAUUAUCUAUAUCUUAUCCGAUCUUUGUGAUAUUUUCAAAGACUUUUAAGUGAUGUUGACCAUAACCUGUAUUAAAUACAAACAUAUAAGAAUGUAAACGCAAACAUUGAACUGACCCCCAAUUUAAUAACAACUAUUUCAUAAAUCUAGUAUUCUCAUUCCAUUGUUAAACAAUUUCUGUUUAUGCUAUCCUAAGAGUAUUUUUAUGAAAUCAAUUAGAAAAGUUUUAGCAGAAACAUAUAUCUAAUUUAUCAUAUCAAUUAAUUCAAAAUUUUCGAACAGAAACAUAAACCCACUAUUCAACAGAAACGANAAAAAAAAAAAAAAAAAAAAAAAAACGUUAUAAAAAAAAAAAAAAAAAAAAAAAAAAAAAAAUAGAGAACAGGGAUGAAGAGAGAAAUGCGUUGAGUUUAGUGAUGGCCAAUUAUUUACCAGACGGAAAACCAAGAAGAUGACAACGGUAGCAAAAAAAACAUAUUUAAAAGAAUAAUAAAGAUUGUAUACAAGUUACAUUUUGUUGGAAGUCAUUUAUACAUAAACAUAUUUUUAUAAAGAAAAGAAUAAUUUAGCAAAAAAAAUACAAUAUUUUAGUUCGAUUUAUUAAACCGUUUAUUAAUAAAUUUUGUUUCUAUAAUAAAAAUAAUGUGUAGUUCGGUUAGUCAAAAAAAGUUAAAUACCUUGCUCAUUAACAACAAUAUUAUACUUAACUUGGCUCAAAUUUAAAAGUGAGUUUUGGAUGUAUUCAAGGGCACUUUAUUUUGUUUUUCUCUCGGGCCCCAAAUAUGUAUGUACCGACUUUGGUCAAAACAUAAAUCAUAAAGCUUAUAAAAUACUUUUUUCUUACAAUACAUUUUGGUAUGUGCAUAUUUAAUCAUGUAUUUUGUGCAUAUUUAUAAUACUUUUAGUUACAAUUAUGCUUAUUUUGGGACACAAGGUACUUAUUAUGUUUAAAAUAUGUUUUGUAGUAGCAAAUACAUGUUCGGUAUGAAAAGAUAGAAACCGAGAAGUUGGAAGUAAGAAAAAUUGGGCAAAGUUAAAAAGAAGACAAAUAAUUCAUGAAGUCUGAAGCCCACGACAUGGUCACUCUAUUCCACGUCGUGGUAAAUGGAAGAUUCACGAUCAAUGAUCUAACUUGGAAAAUACGGGAUUUAACAGAAGACCACAACCUGGUGCCUAUUCACCAUGCUAUAGAGAUCAAGUUUAUGGAAACUAUAUAUAUUCGAACAUUAGAUCGAAUGUAGAGACUUUUGCCCAAUUUUCUGAGAGGGAUUACGACUAAAACCCUCUGGAAAACCUUGGGAAAACUAGGAAUCAAUUGGAGCUCAAGAGUUGAAGAGAUCUAGACGAAAUCAACAUAGAUCUAUUAAGUUUGCUAGCAUUACUCAUGUCUAGUCUUAAUUACAUUGAUUUAGUCUGCUUUUCUAUUGUGAUGAGAGGAUAAAAACCUUAUACUUCUAUUUGGUAAAGAUGAACCCAAAUCUUAUGUGUUGAUUUCAAUUUACGGAUGUUUUACAUUGAUUUUACUUAUGUUUGAUAAUCAAAACCCUAGCAUGUUUUAGUUCUAGUAUUUGAAUGCCUUGCUUUGACUUUAGUGUAGUAGAUGAUCAUUCUAGUGAUUUAUGAUCACUAAAUUGCUAGAGCUAGGAUUAAUCACAUCUUAGAUUAGGUAAUUAAAGCUAGUAACUUUAAAUUUGUUAGAGGGCAUAAUAAAUCUUAAAUUGUGCUUGCUUGCUUAACUUGAUCAUAGCAAAGUAACUAUUAGAUUUAUCAUUCAUAGUCCAAUUUGUGCUUAUAUCAAUUUUUUGUUUAACCUAUGCUUGAUCAUUGCAUAGUAAUUCAUAAAUUGGCACAUCUUUGCAUUUGAUCAUAAUAACUAGUAAAUUAAUGAAUUGGUAUGUCCUGGUAGCAUGUGUUUGCACCAUAAUUCAUUGACAAAGCAUUGCGAAGUCUCAUCAGCUUAUGGUUUUAUAUGCUGAAUCAAUAACUACUUUUAUUAGACGAAUUGGGAGAAGAAUGGUAUGAUACAUGUAAUACACUCUAGUGUUUUGUUGUACCCAUUGACAUAGAGUUUCCAAGCUCUCAUCAACAUUUGUUAUUAAAUGUUGAAUCAUAAAACUUUAAACAAGAAAAUUGGGUAAGAAUGGAUUGAUGUGUGUGAUAGUAUAUGGUAUAUAGACUAACCAUCGGCAUAAAUGUGUCAAGAUCUCAUCAGUGUAUGGUCUUUUAUACUGAAUCAUAAACUUUAAAGAAGAAAAUAGGGCGAGAAUGGAUUGGUGCGUGUGAUAGCCUAACGUACAUAAACUAACCAUCGACAUAAUUUUUUUCAAGCUCUCAAUAGUGUAUGGUAUUUUACGCUGAACUACGAAACUUCAAAGAAGAAAAUCAGGGCAAGAGUGGGUUGAUGUGUAUGAUAAACAACAGUACAUAGUUUAACCUGUUGGAUUAGGUGUCUAAACUCAUAACUAUAAUUGGGAUGUACUUGACCCGAUAGUAGCAUAGUCCUUUUGGGUUGCCUUCACCAUAGCAAUUUGAUAGGAUGAAUUAUGAAGAAAAAGGUUAACUAUGAUUUAUUAUUAUAUUAUAAGAAUAAUAUAUGAAUUGAGAAAUCAUAUUAUUUAAUUAGUAUUUAUCAUAAAUUAAUUUGGAAUUAAUUUAUUGAUCGAAAGAGACUGAUUAAAUUGAUGGGGACUAAUUAUGUAAAUCAAUGAUAGUUGUAAUUUGGGCUAAUGUAUCCUAUUCCCAUCGGAUGGACGAAAAUAUAUGGGAAGCCCAUAGAAUUUCAUCUAAGGCAUGCCAUAUAGGGAUCCAUAUGUUGCUUAGGGCAUAAACAAGGGAAUUAGGGUUUCUAAGUCGUAAACCCUAGGAGCCACAGCUAUAAAAGGAACUCUAUGGCUCACAAAAUUGGACCCUGUGAUUUCAUAAGAAACCUUAACCGAUUUUGAGGCUUCCUUCUCUCUCUCUUGUUCUUCCUUGUUGCUAGUGGUGUUUGUGAUUCCGUUCGAGGUGCAACAUUUGAGGCACUAAGCUCUUAAAGGUCAAGAUCAAAUCAACAACAAGAAAGGUAUUCUUCUAACCCUAAUUUGAAUAUAAUUUCAUUCUUAUAAAUGCUAGAUUAGGGUUCUUGCUUUGGAAUUUUAAUUUGCAUGUAUAACUUGAGAAAAGCCUAGAUUCAAAGCAUUAGGGUUGCAUGUACACCAUAGGAAUGUUGUAGUGCUCAAAACCCAUCAGUGGUAUCAAAGCUUAGGCUGUUUUUCUGUUGUAUGAUGCAAUUGUAAUGUUUUCAAGGCUGAAAAAGUUUCGUUUUUGGCCACUGGCUGCUGGACUUGACGGGUCCCAUGAAGGAACUCGAUGAGUUCAUGCCCUGACUCGACGAGUUGGUUCGUCUGGUGGCAGGAUUUUUGGAGUUUUGGCCUAAAUUAGAUUUGGAUAAUUACCAUAAAUUGUUUUUAUUGGUUAAAUUCAAAUUAUAUAAUUUGGUAAUGGAUAUCCUCAUCUAAUUAAAAGGUAAUUGUCAAAUUUUAAGAUAAUUACAAGAUUAUGUGAUAAAUUAAUUAUUUGUAAAUUUUGAUUUGAGUUUUCUUGCCAAAUAAAUUGGAUUAGAUCAUAUUUGUGAUAAUGAUAAAAUUAUAUGAUUAAUUUAAUUGUUUUAAAUUUGAUCUAGAAGUUUUGAAAAGUUUCAAAAUUUGUCCUCAAGUUUUGGAAUUUAAAAUUUGAUUAAAAGUUUUAGUUGUGAAACAUAAAAUUCUAAAACGCUAGCAUUUUAAAUGGUUAAAAUACUCAUAAUUUAAAUUUACAAUUGAAGGUUUUAAUUUUGGAAAUUUAAAAUGGACACAAGUAGAAUGAAUAAUUAUGGAUUUAUUGAUAAACAAUUAAAAGAUUAAUUAAGAAAGUAAUAAUAAAUCCAUAAUAACAUGGUUUAAACUUUUAAUUGACUUGAAAUUCUAAUUUAUUUAAAAGAUUAAACCACCAAGUAUUUUAAAAGUUUAAAAUACACCCUUGUACUAUUGUAAGAUUAAAAGUUUAAUUUAUAUAUANUAUAUAUAUAUAUAAGUAAAGUCAGUCUUACUGUUAGUAGGCGUCAUUCACGAAAUUGGUCUAUAAGGGGUGUUUAAGGAAGCAGCCUGUAAAAUGACCGCCAUUGGGUAUCCACUCUUACCCACCGCACUCUUGACUAAUGGAGCGUCGUUAGCCGAAUGGUUAGGAUAGGACAUUCUCAUUAAUAAGUAUAAUGAAAUAGAAAGUAACUAAACAUUUUAUAAAUUCUCAAUCUCAGUUACUUUAGGAAAAAUGUGAAUUUAAUGCUAACCCAUGAAAUUACACAUUGCACUUUAUUGGUCGUUAGUGGAGUGUGCGUGGUUAACUGGCACACUAAUAUGAGACUAAUGAAGGAUUGGAAUGGGCAACUCGUAGAUUAUCAUAUAUCAAUGGAGUGUGUGCGGUUAACCUGCACAUUGAUUCGGUGAUAAAUGACUUUGAGAUUACAAUUUAUACCAAAAUGCCAACAAUGUGGCUAAAUAUUGACAUCAUCUUAUGUAUAGAUGAUAGAUAACAAAAGUUAAAUACUAGACAAAUUAACAAUCUUGAAAACCCCAUUUUUAUUUUGAGAGAAGUGUUCUUAUAAGAUUGGACUGUGAUGUUCUAUCACCAAAUGACAUUUUUUUGUAACUCUUGACUUUCAUGGUUUCAACUUUAGAACCGCACCACCCAUCUCCAUCUUUUCAUUUUCUUAUGAUAAUAUGAUCGGACUCCGAGUGUUUGCCUUUUCACACAAGGCUUGAGAACCUAAAAGAUAGUUUGCAACCUUUUAUUCACCACAUUAAUAGCAAGUAGGAUAUCAUACAUGGUAAAAUCUUAAGACUAUCUACAAUAGCACUAACCAAACAUCCCGCUUCACUCUCUAAUUUUGAAUGAUCACAAAAUGUUCGUAAUUCACAGCCUUGGAUAAAGAUUUCACAGUAAAAUCUGGAACGUUAGUAAGUAUGUUUUAGGAGAACUUAGAAAAAUAUGCAAGUUCAAAUGGUAUUUAUAACCUUUUAUUCUCAACCGUUUCUUUCUUGAAAAACUUAUUCAUCUGGAUGACUGUAGUCAUCCAAGUGCCAUGUGCUGCAAAUACAAGAAACAACUUGGUAAUAGAAACUAUAAACUCAGGAGUAAAUUACACUUUCAAUUUCCAUUUUUUUGGGGGGUUAAUGGUAAUUCUCGGUUGCUCAUUCAGUUUUGAAUCACUGAUGCAAAAAGCUGAUUCUAACCAUGUUUUCCAUUACACUUUCAAUUUCCAUUUUUUUGGGGGGUUAAUGGAUUCUCAGUUACCAAACAUUACCAAACAGGCGGUUCGUUUUCAAACCAAAUCGAUUUGUAUCAACAACUGUUUUUUUUUCUAGACUGGUCUGGUUUGGUUUAUGAUUUUCUAGUGCACCUCUAAUUUUCAUCUUGUUUUUACAUGCUACGAAUGUAUGAUUUUUUUAGGAUAUCUUAUUUCAUACAAAACAGGGGAAAUGGCCACCCAUGGUGUUGGUGGCAAAUAUAUUGAUAUGGGGGAUUUAAAAACCCCAACCAAAUUACAUUACAUUACAUAUUAGGAAAUAAGAAAUCAAAAAUAAAAAAUUAAACGACAAACUACGCCUAUCUACUCUUUUGGAAACUUGAAACGAACACAACCACCUUGACAUAAACCCAAUCUUUGAAGCUGUCAUAAAACUGAAAAAAUGCACGUCUCCCUCGACGGUUGAGAAUUAAAGCGCCACAUGCCAUCCAAAAGCCAGUAGCAAAACCCAUGCCCCCACCAAUAUAAAACCAUCUCUCAACUUCAUCAUCUAUGUCUUCCACAUCACCCUCACCUUUACCAAUAAGAGGUGGUACUUCUGGUUCUUCAUCUCCAGGACAAUAUUUAGUAAGGGGAGGUCCGCAUAGUCCUUUGUUUCCAUUGUAUCUUGAAGGUUCAAAGGAUUGGAGUUGAGUGCUGGUUGGGAUUCUCCCUGAAAAGUUAUUGUAAGACACGUCUAUGUAAUUCAGGAAGCUCAUAGUAGACAUGCUUGGUGGUAUCCCUCCCGAAAAACUAUUUCUGGAUAAAUCCAAAAUCUCAAGAUUUUUCAUCUCACCAAUUUUCGGUGGAAUCUCUCCAGAUAACUCGUUCUUUGACAGGUUCAGGGAAACCAGGUCAUGAAGAAUGGUAAUUUCAUUUGGGAUUUGUCCUGUUAAUUUGUUGCUUGACAGGUCAAUGGUCUUCACCAAUUUCAGAGUUCUACUAAAUUCACGUUCAUCUCCAUGCCACUCAAUAGUCGCAUGGUCGGCAUAUGUACGUUGUGUACGUACAUUAUAACUUCUCACAAAUUCAUAAUCAAAUUCACCUUUUGAGAGUCCUCCUUGUUGAACCAUGCUCGUAAGAUUACUCAAACAUGAAGGGAUAGUUCCAUGGAGAUUGUUCAUCGACAAGUCCAGAACUUGAAGAUUAGCUAAAUGGCAUGACUGUAAGGGUAUGGUUCCAAAGAAGUUGUUUGAUCUUAGGAUAAGAACAUACAACCUUGAUAAGUUUUCACCAAUCCAGACAGGCACUUUACCAGAAAACUUGUUGGCCCCCAGAUUCAAAGAGAUUAAACUUGUGCACUUUUUUAAAGACAGAGGCAAUUCUCCAGAGAAGUUGUUCUUGUAUAAAUACAACGCAUUGAGUUGCAUCAAAGAUCGAAUAGAGGGAGGAAGCCUUCCAAAGAGCUUGUUGUGUUCGAGAUUAAGAACUUUUAGCUCCUGGAAAUGCCACAAACAGUCCGGGAGUUGUCCAGUUAAUGAGUUAUGAGAGAGGUCAAGAAAUGAUAAGAACCCAUCAACAGCUUGGCAUAUGAAGGAGAUUCCUCCAGAGAAUUUGUUUCUGGAAAGAUGUAAUCUUGACAAAGAGGAAGAGACAUUUGGUAUCGGACCACGAAAGCUGUUGGAACUCAAAUCUAUCACAAAAAGGUUGGCAAAAUUUGAUAAUAAAUCUGGUACUUUCCCACUAAUGUUGUUGGAAGAGAGAUUCAGAUAUUCUAAUUGAGAAGGCCAGCUGUCCCAAAACUCUAGACGAAUUGUGUCCGAAAUUCCAGUAUUGUAAAGAUCAAGAAAGGUAAGAUUUAUAAGUGUCUGAAUAAUCCAUUUGGGGAAGCGAGGCCCUAGCAGCUUGCAAGAGCUCAGAUCAAGAUAUUUAACAUAAGAGAUGUUUGACAAGUGAUAUGUGGAAGGAACUGUAAGAUUAUUAAAAGAAAGGUCAAGGGUUUGGAGCCUGGGUAGUUCCCACAGUUUCUCACUUAUACUUCUAUUUAACUGAUUAUGAGACAGGUCCAAAAAAUAUAGGGAUGGAAACCUUUGGAUAUCAUCGGACAACGACCCUGUAAAUUCGCUUUCUGGAGCAUACAAGUAUUGUAAUGAAAGGGAUGUGCAUCCAGACAAGUUGUUGAGAAAAUCAGGAAAUUUGACCACUGCAGAGUUGUUAUUGAAGUACAAAGUUUCCAGACUACAGAGGUUACCAAGAUAUUUGGGUAUCCCAUCUAACAUGUUGCCAGAGAGAUCAAGAGAACGGAGGUUAUUGGUGGUUAAUGGGAGCAACAAGCUAUACAUGGAUGAGGUCAGAUUGUUGUUUCUGAGAGAAAGGUAAGAAAUAGAUGAAGAAGAAGACGAGUUGAGAAAUGAAGAAGAGUAUGGAUACAUCACCUGUGAUAGCUCACAUCCAUCUAAACUUAAAAGCGAGAGUUUCGGGAGACUCAGAAUAAUAUCUACCCAGUGAUUUUGUUUGGCUAGGGAAAUCCCAUCCAUUUUCAGCCACUCCAAAUGUGAGAGAUGUGACAACCACUCAAGGUUUUCAACUCUACACCUUCCAACAGAAUCAAGAUGAAGGUAUUGCAAGUUGGUGAGGUUUCCAAACUCUGGAGGAAUGGUUACAUUAAGAUUAUUGCUACCGAGGUCGAGGUAAGUUAAUCUAGUCAAGGAACCAAUAGAUGUGGGAAUGGUUCCAUAAAAAGAGUUACUGGAAAGGGAAAGGUAAGUUAAUCGAAUCAAAGAACCAAUGAAAGUGGGAAUGGUUCCAUUAAGAUUAUUUCUACCGAGGUUGAGGUAACUUAAUUUGGUCAAGGAACCAAUAGAGGUGGGAAUGGUUCCAUAAAAAGAGUUCAUUAAAAGGUUAAGGUACCUUAAUCGAGUCAAAGAACCAAUGAAAGUGGGAAUGGUUCCAUUGAAAAAAUUGAAGGAAAGAUCAAGAUGAUUCAACUUUCAAGUAGUUUAAGUUAAGCAGUGAAUGGCUUAUCUCACCUUCAAGCAAAUAUUCAUUGAGAUCAAGCCCUGUGACAUGACCAGUUUGGUUGCUGCACUCGACUCCACUCCAUUUACAGCAGUCAUGUUGGUCAGAUCUCCAUGUAGAGAGAGUAUCAUAAGGGUCGUGAAGGGGAGCUUUGAAGAGAAGGAGCGCAAGUCUCUCAUUAUCCAAACACUUCUUUUUCAUAUCAUUUCCUCCAGCAGCUACCAAUUGGCUGCCAGUUGUAGUCAAGAGAAGUGACAAAAUAAUAAAAACACAAGGAUUCAUUAUGUAAUUGUAAAUCAAAAUCUUAAUUGCUGAUUUUUGGUUUGUAUUGAAUAUUGAUGCAUAUAUGAACUGCCCCCAUGAGGGUUUAUAUAGUCUCCACUAUCAAGAACUCAAGAUAAAUGAUUCUAAGCCGGUGGCCAUAAAUUGCCACAAAUUAACCUUCAAACACUUGCAAGUCAUGCAACUUGUCUUUAUUAUAGUAGAUAUCUUUUCCCAUCUUGUCCUAUUUUUUGGUAUGUGAUAUAAAUCCCAACAUCUAAAACUAAUGAGAUCAUUCAGUCAAAUAUAAAUCUACCAAUGAAAACAUUAAGUCGAUAAUGGUAUUAUUUGGGCCUAAGAAUCUAAUCAUGACUAUGAAAUGAAGUUUUGUCACUUGCAUUAACUAAAUCAUCAACUUAUAUCAAUGAAACCAUGUUUAUCCAUUACAGAUUAAUCAUGGUCUUUUCCAUCCUUAAAAAUGAUAUUUAAGAUAACACUACAUUAUUAAUGACUCCAUUAAAAACAUAUUAGGAUGAUAAUUAAUACUACAACUUUUGCAACGUUUUUUGUCCAUAUUCCAAAUAAAAUGACUAUAAUUAAUAUCAGCUAUACUCGAUCGGGGACCAAAAAUAGUCAUUUUAACUGAAACAUGGACCAAAACGUUUCAAGAACCUCAUAUAAGGACCAAAACUGAAAAUUUCAGCUAUACUCAGGGACCAAAAACAUUUUAUUUUAAUUGAAAAUAAACAUAAGAUGCACAUACAGAAGCAGUUUUAUUUUGCAGCAAUUCUUACCUUCUGUUUACCUAAAUUAAAUUCCUGUCAAUCAAAAAUCAAAUAUUAAAGACUCCACUCCAUUCACCUUUACCACUUUGCACUACUCAUUUACAAAAUUUAAGAAAAUCAUGUUAUUAAUAUUAAUCAGAAAGACAAAAUAUUGAUAUAUUAAUUAUUAUAGUAUCCUACUUUCAUAGUUGGCUACCUCUUGAUGUAAUACAAGGGGUAUGUUGGUCAUUUAAAGACAUCCAGGAUAAUACUUUUUCCAAAAAAAGAAGGCGUUAAACCAGAUACAAAUUACUAAUAAUAAUUAUUGAUAUGAUUAACUUAGAUUCUGCUUCAUAGAGGUAUGUAGAUAACUAGUUCUUAACUGAUAUGAGUAUUAUUAUAUGGAAAUUUAUUUUUGCUCGUGUAUUGAAUGUAAAAAACCGUGAAAGUAUAAUGAUGUUUUAAUUACUAAACCUUAAUUGAGAUGCUCAUUACAAUAUGAUAGAUAAUUUUCUUUGUACAUGCAAUAAUUUAAAAAAAAAAAAAAAAAGAUACAUUAAAGUAUAUUCAAUAAAAUUUUCAUUUUACUCUCUAUGAUAGCUGUUAGAAGAACACAUUAAGUAAUUAGUAAUUAGCCUAUCCAUCAACUAAACUACAUAGUGAUAGGCCCCCAAUCCGUCAAGUUUACACUCGUAAGAAGAAGAAGAAGCCCAUGGGUGGCAGCCCAGUAAGGGUGGUCCAGUCCAGUGAAUUGCGGGGGACAGACCAUAUAAACUAAAUUAAUAAAUUUAUAAAGGCCUUAGGGUAUUAAAAAAUGAAAAAGAAUGUCCCGAACUUUUACCAUACUUAUGAAAAAAAUUAAAAAUUAUGUCUUCUAUUAAUAGAAAAAACAAGAAAUCAAGUAAUUUAUUCAUUUUUGGGAUAUUACCGAGUUAACUCUAAUUCAAUGGAUUGAUUUGUCGAACCGAAUGUUAGGUGAGUAUACUAGAUGCUUAGGUGGCUGGUAGGGUUAUAUUGAAACCCAAUGCACCUUAUUUGAUGAUCUAAACAACCCUAAGUCGUACAAGGAGGAGGGAAAAUGGAACCAUCUUCUUUUGUGGGAAUUUGAAGCGUAUGAAGUGCAAAUUGAUCAGUUUGUCAAUGUGGAAGGUGUAGGUGCACUUGUGGAUAUCAAUGUCCAAAAUGGGUUUCGUGGAUUCCAAUGAUGUAGACUCUUUGGUUGCCCUAAUUUAAGGGCAAAAGAAGUAAACUUUGCACAUGUUAAUAAUGAUUUUACUUUUAAAGAAUUUAACGGUCUAACCUACUUGAUGAAGAGAAGAAUUUCAAAUAUUUUUCUUGGAUAUACCAUGCAUUACCCAACUUGACCCAACAAAUAGUAUUGAAAUGAUCAACUUAGAUUCUGGUUCAUAUGUGUAUGUCUAUAACUAGUUCUUAACUGAUAUGAGUAUUAUUAUAUAAAAAUUUAUUUUUGCUGGUGUAUUGGAUGUAAAAAAUUGUGAAAGUUUAAUGAUGUUUUAAUUAUUAAGAUGAUUAAGUUAUAUUGUGCUUCUUGUAUGUACAUACAUAAUUAAGCCUUAAUUGAGAUGCUCAUUAUGAUAUGACAGAUAAUUUGCUUCUUACACGUAUUAAAUUUAAAAAUACAUGAAAGUAUACUCAAUAUAACUUUCAUUUUACUCUCUAUGAUACCUGUUAGAAGAACAUAUUAAAUAAUUCGUAAUUAGCCUACCCAUCAACUAAACUACAUAGCUUCUCCAGUUUAUAAUAUCCUAACAAAAUUACAAAUUUGUUUAAACAGCUAAAUCUGGUUGUUCUUUGUUGGUCUUAAGAAUGAUCUAUAGCGCCAUACUUUCAAUUUUUUAUGAAAAAUAUGACACACCAAAAAAAGUAUCAGGAGAUGAGAACAAGAUAAAGAUAAUAAAUACAAAUUGCAAAAAUAUCACAAGAUGGGAACAGAUGUCUAUAAUACAGACAAAUUGCCAAUUUGAACGUCUAUUUUGGGCCAAUUAAUUUCAAUUCUUCAAAUCUCAUGGAAAUCACAUGUUGUAUGUCCCACUUAGAAUCAUUUAUCUUGACAGUCAAAGAUUAUAUAAAACCUGAUAGGGGCCCAGGAGUUACCUUUUGAAUCCUUUUCUUUUUAUAAUUUUCUCACAUCAAUAAAAUAAUUUACUUUUGAAAAAUUGGUUGGUCCCAGGAGCAUGUUGGGGUCUUCUAACAACGACCAUGAAUUACCUUUUGUGGAGCCCAUUUUUAACAACUCUGAUCACAUCACUUUUUUAUAUGUCUUUGAAAAUAUCACAUGUUUGGAAAAAGAUUUUGAUAAUAAAUACAAAUUGCCAAGACUUUCAAGUCUUUGAACAGUCUUACUUGGGACUGGGGCUGUUUAUUAUAACUCUUCAUCUUUAAUUUGUCUUUUAGUUUUAGGUUCUAAUUUCAUGGAAAUUAAGCAUUGUGUGUUCCACCCAUUUAGAAUCAUUCAUCUUUAAUUUGUCCUUUUUUUUUGGUAGAAAUAUCAUUAUAAAAGAAAAUAAUAAACAAUUAUAUGUAAUUAACUGUGUUGUACUUGUAUGGGGAAAAAUGUUAUUGAUACAAAUUUCAUACCUGAUGAGAGCAGUUGUACAUGUGUGAUAAAGCCCAAAUUGCAGUGAGAUGUUAUGUACAAAUCAUAAGCAUAGCAGUUAAAGAUGCCACAUGAAUAACAAUUAAUUCUAAAUAAGAUAACCCCAAUUUUUUUUUAUAAAAAUCAUUUAAGGAAAACAAAAACAUCUACAAUUGCAAGAAUUAUGAUUCCCUAAGUAGUUAAGGUAUUUUUUUGUUUUGAGUUAAUAAACUUAAGUUGACAUGGAGGGUAUUACACCAGCUUUCUAUUAGGGGCUGAGGACAUUAAAAAAAGCUACAAGCAAAUGCAGUUUCAUAUACGUUUGUUAAGAACCUUCAGAUAUAAUCGGAUCGAAAGAAGCAACUUACAUUUGGGCACUCAAAUCAACUCUCCUAUUGAGCAGCAAGAUCACUGACUAUCACAUCAGAAAAAUGAAAUUUGGGAACGGCUUCACCAAGGCAUAAGAGGUCCACUUGAAACGGGUGUCUAAAUUUGUAGAAAGAUCGAACACGAUCAGCCUUAAAUAGACAAAUUGAAAACAACAAAAAUAGUAUAAAAGAGAGAAAGGAAGAUACCUUUUCAACGUUAAGACUCCAUAGACCUCACAGAAUGCACAGCGGGGGUACUUCAGGUUUGCAACCGCGUAAUUGAAGCUGACAGAGAGGAGGAAGAAAUAGAAGAAGGCUUAAGGGAGUGAGCGGUUUUCAGAGCUGGAAUUUGCUGAGUGAGAUGAAGAUCUUACAUUCUUUUCUUCUUCUCAUUAAUCACUUCAAUAUGUGAAAAAACGCCAAACCAGUAGGGCAGGAUCCGAAAUAUGGUGCAUGACCUUUAUCGAUUCAUGGAAUCAAAGAAUUUUGAGAUAAAGAUGACAAACUAAUUUUUCUAUUGAAAUCAGGGGGGAAAAAAAGAGGGAACCAGAGUAUUUAAUUUUGUCGUACUUAAUUUUUGUACAGAAAACUGUACAAAAAACUCAUGCAUAAUACACAGCAAAAAUUACAAUAUUUAAAUCAGGAUUAUCCGAAUAGUUUUUACCUGAAUAUACAAAUUCAGAACCAUUCUGUUUUACGUAAUCUUCCUCCUUCUGGCCUGUUUGUUUAUCGAUUCAUUGGCUUCUUCCAGAAACUCGCCAAUGUUUAAAUCAAUGAACUCUCCACAUUUUUCUUCUCCAAAUCUCCAGAAAAACCUUUCAAUUUUGUCUCCUGGCGUGGUGUGUACAAUUCUGUGUUGUUCAUGUGUUUUUACCCAAUCAUUUACUUUCAUAGAUUUAGAUUUUGUUUUUCCAUUAUCAGGUAAACCUUGCAAAGAUGUUGCUGGAGAUGGGACAGGGACACUUGUUUGAGGAUUAAUUGACCGGACACUAGAGAUGACGAUGAUGAGAAAAAAGCUUUACUUGUUCAGGUACUUGAAUUGUUUUGCCAAUUUACUUGUUAAGAAAUUUAGGAUUUGGUAAGGUAAGAUACAACACUCUGUUUCCAAUUGCAUUCUAUGGAAUGUGCAUAUUGUAUUGUGUGAUCAUACACCGAGGCGCUAUGUUAGUUAGAUCCAUUACUGUUGCACUCUAUUAAUUGAACCUGUCUUGAAAAAUAUGUAAAUGUAAGUAAAUCUGGCUUAAAUUCAUGAUGGUAAAAUUGGUAUUAAUUUUUGAAUAGUUCUUAGAUGAUAUUGUACUCUAACAAACUUCAAUCCAGAUUCCAGAUCAAAUGAUAUUUCAAAAUCCGAAUCAACGUAAUCAGUUAUAAACUUCAUAAACUUUGACCUGGUGCUAAUUUGUUCAUACAAAUUCUAAUGGGAUAAUGUCCCUGUAGUACAUUAAACUUUUUACAUUUGGUUGAUUUGGUCCUCUAAUUUUUUUUUGAUACAUUAUACCAUUAAACUUGUAUAUGACCUAUUAAUUACACCAUUAUCUAAAAAAUUAGAAGGUUUACCGGUUACAAUGCUUAUGUGGCACGCUGAUGUGUCCAAUAAGCUUACGUGGGAUGCUUAUGUGUCGAAGAAGUCCACUUGUCGAACUAGGCUUAUUAAUUGAAACCCUCAAUCGGACCUCCAUUAAAGUGUUACUUACCCUUUUCUGAAAUAUCAAAGACUUCCCCCCGACUAUUUCUGUCCUGAAGAACAAUGUCUUCGAGCUCAUCCACUUCAAGGAAUCAGCUGCAAGUGACUCAUGUUCAGUCCCGAGAAGGCGUAAAGCUUUGUGAUUAUGGCGUUCCAGCUAAAGAACGAACGUGUUGGAAGAUAACAAACCUUGGGAGGCAUUUCUGGAAUUUUCAAAACAGUAUGGUAGGUCCCGAUACUCCUGAUCUUGAUAACUUACUAUUUUAAGGUUUGUUGUGUUGUUUCUUCCUAUAAAGACGAUCAGGUGGAUUUGUAUUUUGUUUGCUUAAAAAAACCGUAAUUUUAUUUGCUUCUUGACGAUGAUUUGUGAUUGUGAAUCAAAUCCAUUUCGUUAGUACAUUAAAGGUAGCUAAUUUGUGAUUGUGAAUCAAACCCUAAUUUUAUUGGCUUUUAUAGACUAGGUUGAAGAAAUGUAGCUUCUUUGAAUGGAAAGAUGAAGAAUAGGCAGAAGGGUACUACAAAAACCUUCUAUAUUCUCUGAAGCAGAAACUGGAUGCUAAAGAGGAUCUGUCUGAGAUGAACAAUUUGAGGAGAAGGAUUGCUGAAGUGGAGUUUCUGCUGUCACAAGAGCAGUAUAAGGUGGCAAAGAGUGAGAAAGAAGUUUAUGAUGCAAGGAAGGAAAUAGGCUAAUACAGGAUGAUAGUUGCCUUGUUGUUUGCUUGGUUGGUCAUUUGUGUUUUGAAGUUAGGGUGUGAUUAUACUUAGUUAGGUUGGUUGCUGUAAGCUUUUUUUUUUUUUUGGGAUCCCUUGUAUUUUUUGUAAAGGUAGACUAGCAAGUCAGUAAUGAUGGGUUGUAUGUUUUGAAGCUGCUUUUAGUUACAAGUUGGGGCUAUCAACCUUGAUGUGUUGAUGUUGUAAGGUGGUAAGUCCCUAAUGAAAGGGCAUAUGAUAACAAACGUAAAAAAAAUAUUCAAAGACCCAAUUGUAGGGCAUUUUGUAUAAUCAGAUGUUGAUGUUAUUGAAACAUAUGCAUGACCUGUAUUCUCAACAAUUAUAUCUAAUUAAAUUGGUUGUUGUUCAUGUUUUCAUUUUGGGAACAAAUUAGAAAGUGGUCCAUGUGGAAGUACACUAUAUGUAUGGGGACCAUCUAUAGUUAGUAGUCAAUGGGUGUUUUUAUAAUGGAAAAAUGGGACCUUUGAACCCAUUAUAGAACCAUAUUCGGGACUAUAUAAAACAUUCACAUGCAUGCACAUUAUUCCAAAUUUUUCCAUGUAGAAAUAUUCAAAGCCAUAUGUCAUGAGUUUACUUAAAAAGGCAACAUACUUUUAUAAGUGAGUAAAAUAUCAUUUCAUGUCAACAGUUUCAUUAAAAAGGCAACAAAUAUCCAUUACUGACCAAAAUACCCUUUUCUGGGAUGAGUUAACUUAAAAAGGCACCAUCUAUACAUAAAUGACCAAAAUACCCUUUUAUGUCAAGAGUGAACUUAAAAAGGCACCAUCCAUACAUAAAUGAUGAAAAUACCCUUUUAUGUCAAGAGUGAACUUAAAAAGGCACCAUCCAUACAUAAAUGACCAAAGUACCCUUUUGUAUCAUGAGUGAACUUAAAAAGGCACCAUCUAUACAUAAAUGCAAAUUAACAUCAUCCUAAUACAUAAACUUUAAAACCAAAUUACCAUCAUCCUAAUACAUAAACUUUAAAUCCAAAUUACCAUCAUUCUAACACACAUACUUUAAAUCCAAAUACAAAGUAAAAAUCAACACUAAUCAAUUACAAGAGCUUUCCCCCAUAGAAUUUCAUGGAUCAUCAACACCACCAAUUGUUUUGCCUAAUUUCAGCUUCAAUAUUCUCUCUGACUUUCUUCUCCUUGUCCUCUUCAAAAUCUCUGAAAUUGGCCUAACCCUUACCUGCUAAACCUGGAUAACAGGAACAACCUCUUGAAUUUGAACAUUAUCAACAACUUGGACAUUAGGAUUAACCUCAUCAUCUUGAACAUUACCACUCUCCUCAGCUUCCUUACCCACAACACCCUAAUCACCUUCAUAACUUCUAGGUGGAGUAAAUUGCAUAAACUGACUAAAAUCCCCUGUACUACUGGAUUCAACAUCAGUAGGAGUAACUUGUAUAUCAUUUUGAGUAGUAUCCAUCUCAAUUGGAGUCAUUUCAACCUAUUCAUGUUGUUGUGGUUCACUUAUACUAUCGCAUAUGCUAUGAUAUAAUUAUGUUAGUGACAAAUCAUAUGUAAAUAAAUUUAAAUUUUAAAUGGUUUUACUUGUCCUGCAUUUUGCUUCAUACAAAAUUUUUGUUGCUUCUGUUUCUUCACAUUUAACUUUUGGGGCCUUCUCUGUGCACAAGUUGCCUUGUUGUGACCUAUCUCCUUGCAAAUACUACAUCUGAUUUUCUUUCCAGCCUUAGAAACCAUGUGUGUUCCUGUAUUCUCUGUAGUGCAUUUCUUCCUCUUAGUAGCUGGCCUACCAGGCAUCCUUCUACUAAUCAUAGACAAUUGUGGAGUAUAAUUUGUCUCUGGCCAUAUGUCACUGCUAUUCAUGGGGGCAAUUAUGUAAUUGUAUGCUUUCCUAAAUGUGGUUGUGCUAAACAUGUUGUCUACAUAGGCUUCUACAUCCCUAUUAAGAAAGGAUAUGCUAGCUACAAAAUGAGCACAUCCAUAUUCUUUCAAUUCCCACAACCUACAUGAAUAGGUUUUCCUUUCUAAGUCCACCUCAUAUGCAUCUGUUGCUCCCCUUACCUCAAACUGGUUUAAUCCACUAGGUAGGACCUGAUAAUGCCUUUGAAUUGUUUUAAGCAAAUUCACCUUAUCCCUUAUCUCUGGACAAAUAUGAUUUCCCCAUUGUCGUCCCUUUAAUUUCAUGUUGUAAAUUUUGUCCACCAUGUAUAAUCGUAACUCUUCUAACAUGGUUAUUAUGGGCUUCUUCCUGGAAUCUACUAUUACAACAUUAAAACUUUCUGAGAAGCCAUUUUCAACUGCAUCAUAACACCUUCCAGCUUGAAAGAAAGCUCUUGACCAUGUUUUAAGAUCUUUAUCCAUGAGAUAUUGAUGGGCAUAUGGGUUCAAUGUCUCAGUUUCCUUCAUCAUAACUUUAAAAGCAUGCUCAGUUAUGGCUUUAGAUGCUCUCCAACACAAGGUAUGAUAUACGGCACCAGUGAAUCUCUUCUACAAAUUCUGGUAAAUAUGUCUAGCACACUGCCUGUGCUCUACAUAUGCAAGCAACUCUUUAACAACCUCUAUUAAACCCUAUAUUAAUACAAAGGUUUAAAUCAGAUAGUAUAAAAUAAAUAUAAAUGAAUUACUAUGUAAAAUACUAACCUUAUGUUGGUCUGACAUUAAACUGAAACCAUUGCCUAAAUUCAAGUUUAGAUCAUCAAUGAGAAGCUCUAAAAACCACUUCUAAUUCUACUUUUUCUCCACAUUAACCACUGCCCAAGCAAUAGGAUAUAUCUGUUGGAUAAGGUGUCUAAGUCCAUAACUAUUUCUGGUAUGUACUUGACCCGACCCGGCAUGGUCCAUUUGGGUUGCAUGGCACCAUGCAAUUGGAUAGACUAAAUGAGAGAAAUAACACUUUGAGAUUAUUAAUAUAUUAUAAGUUCUAAUAUAUUAAUAAUAUUAUUUGAUUAGUUUGAUCAAUAAUUAAUUUAGAAUUAAUUAUGUGAUCAAAAGAGAACUAAUUAAAUAUAUGGGUUGAUUAUGUAAAUCAUCCAUAUCUUGUAUAGUGGGCUAAGAGGCUCCAUGGAUUAUCAAGUUGGGUUCUACCCAUAGGAUGCUCCAUGGAUGCUCCAUGGGAGUUACAAACCCAUGGGUCAUGGAAAUGAAGAGUCAUGACACAUUAGGGUUUACAUGGUGUAACCCUAGAUGUGUCAACACUAUAUAAGAGUCCCAUUCUCCACAAAAUUGGCUACACAAGUUGAACACUAAGAAACUAGAGGGCUUGGCCGAUUUUGAGAAGUGUGUGUUAUCUCAAGAGUCUUUCCAAGAGCAUUUGGUGUUGUGUGAAGCAUUUGAGGCAUCACACUUGGGGUGCUAGGCUCACAAGGUUUCAAGGAACACAAGCAACAACAAGGUAAGUUAUUCUAUCUAUGAUUCAAGUUAAAAUUGUUCCCCAUGUAUGCUAGAUAGGAAUAUAACCUUGGAAUUCAACUUUGCAUGAUAAUUAGACAAACAUAGAUCCAAGGUUAUUAGGGUUGCAUGUACACUUAGGAAGUGUUAGAAUGCUCAAAACCCUUCAGUGGUAUCAGAGCCUAGGCUUGUUUGCUUUUUAUUUGUGCUUAAAAGUUGAAAAAAAUGGAAAAUCUUGUUGUCUUACAAAUGGACUCGUCGAGUCCAUAGGGGGGACUCGUCGAGUUCACGUGUAUGUUCAACCUACUCGACGAGUAAGUUCAUGCACUCGGCGAGUAGGGUCGAAAGAUUGCAGAAUUUCGACUUUAGUUGCUGGAAAUGGACUAGAAACAUUACCCUAAACUAUUUUGGUACUUGAAAACUUGUUUUGAUGGUGUAAUGUUCUUUCUAAUUCAUUUACAACAACUAGUUAUCAAAAUUACAAAGAUUAAAUGUGAUUUUGAUUCUUGAAAGUGUUCAUAUUCAUAUUCUUGUUCUUAUGAUGUUUAGAUGAUCAUAGGAAUUAUUUGUAACCUAUGUGGUAGAUUAAUUCUUGAUCAUAAUGUGUUUUAAUGGAGUCCAUAACUUGUCCUCAAGUUAUGGAAAACCAAGAGUCUCACUUGAAUUAAAACCAUUAAAAAGAACACAAGAGUUAGAAAAUGAANACCAUUAAAAGAACACAAGAGUUAGGAAAAAUGAAAAGUCCUCAUUUUAUUACUCUAUUAAACUCAUAAGUUACAAGAAAUGAAAAGUUUUGAAAGUUUACAAAACUUGCCCUCAAGUUUUGGAACAAGUAAAGUUAAGUUAAAACUUUAGUUCCAACCCCUAGAAUUUUAAAAGUUAAAAUUCAAUCCUUAUACCUAUAUUAUGAUGACUUAAUAAUUAUAUAUAUAUGUAUAAGAACAAAGUCGUCUUACCGCUAGUACGCCUCAUUCACGAAGCCGGUCUAUAAGGUGGGUAUAAGGUUGUUGCCUAUAAAAUGGUGACUUAAUGGGUGUCCACUCUCACCCACCGCUUGCUUGAUCGGUGGAGGGUCGUUAGCCGAACGGGUAAGACAAGGACUUAUUAAUUCUCAUUCAAAGUAUGAUGAAUAUUAUAAAGUAACUAAAUGUUUUAUUAAAUUCCCAAUCUUAGUUACUUUAGGAAAAAUGUGAAUAAGGUGCUAUUCCAUGAAAUUACACUUUACACUUUGAUUAAGUCGUUGGUGGAGCGUGUGUGGUUAACCGGCACACUAACUUGGACUUAACAAGGUAGGUAAAGGGUGACUUAGGGUUUAUUAUAGUAUCGAUGGAGCGUGUGUGGUUAACCGGCACAUCGAUUGAGUGAUAAACUUUAAGGGUACCAAGUGAUUUGCAUGGUUACUUCACACCUCGUUUUGUGAUCCUCGGUAUCCCAGUCACAAAACUUGGAGGGCACACUCGAGAUUGAAACAUGCCUUUGAAAAGUUCAUUGAAUCUCAAAGAAUCUAGGAAUUUCUAAGAACCAUUCAAAAACCUAAUACUAAAAUAUUGCGGUUUUCGUGGUGGAAAUUGGUGAAUCGUCAUUCACCUACCUUUCAAAUAUGAUAUAGCUUAGAUUACGGCAUACCUCUUCUAAGUUAUAUUAUAUUGUGAUUGGAUCCUAGCCUUAAUAUUACAUUUGGGUGUUUUAUUAAGGACUCUCUUAUAUCUAAACUAAUCUUGUCCUCUUUCCUUCAGAUGUCUUUCAACAAUGCUUCUGGCUCUAAUCCUAAUGGCUCCUUUACCCUUAUGAACUUGUGUGGGAAAGUCACCUUUGAUGGAUCCAACUUCAAUGAGUGGAUCAGAAACAUCAGGAUGAUUACCCGCUACGAGGACAAAGAAUAUGUCCUUGACAAGGAGCUUAAGGAGAUUGAUGAGUCCACUGCAACUCCUCAGGAGAUCGCUGAAUUUCGGGCACAUGAAAGGGAUGCUACGAAAGUGGCUUGCAUCAUGAUGGCCACGAUGACAGCGGAACUCCAAAAGUCUUAUGAGGAUUUCUACCCUUAUGACAUGCACCAAGAUUUGAUGGAAAGAUACCAUCAAAGUGCAAGACAAGAGAGGUAUGAAAUCAUCUGCUCCAUGAUAACAACCAUGAUGAAGGACGGGGAAUCCGUCACGAGCCACAUGCAGAAAAUGCAAAGGUAUGUGGAUCGUUUGCUGAAGCUUAAUGUGAACUUCCCGGAGGAUCUUGCAAUAGAUAUUAUUUUGCAUUCCUUACCAUCGUGCUAUGAUCAAUUCCGCAUGACAUAUCACAUGAACAAGGAAGAAGUCACCCUCAGCAAACUUCAGGGACUUCUCAAGACCGCAGAAACAGGUCUUAAGGGGAAGUCGGUUGCUAUCACUCCUACUCAAAACUCUACUCCGGUUUUGGCAAUCGGGAAAAGUCGAGGGAGGAAGAGAAAGAGCUCUUCUAAGGGUACCAAGGCUCGGACCCUUGAUGGCUCUUCUUCAAGUGGAACCAAGAAAGGUUUCGUUACUCCUUCUUCUGACCCAAAAGAGGCUGAAUGCUUCUAUUGCCAUGAAAAAGCUCAUUGGAAGCGGAACUGCCCAAAAUACCAGCAAGAUGUGAAGGAUGGGAAAGUUAAACCCAACCAUGCAGGUAUUUACACUAUCAUUUCUAAUAACUCACCCCAUUCUAAUUCUUGGGUCCUUGAUACCGGGUGUGGUAUUCACAUUUGUUGUGACUUGCAGGGACUAAGAAGAAGUGAGGAUGUGGAGCAAGGAAGGAUAAACUUGAUCAUGGGGAAUAGGAAAGCUAUACCUGUUACCAAGAUUGGAGUUUAUACUUUAUCGCUAAGUAGUGGGUUUAGUUUAGAUUUGAAUAAGUGUUGUUAUUCGCCAGGAAUGGCAAGAAAUAUUAUUUCCUUUCAUGCUUUGUACAAACAAGGGUUUACCUUUUCAUUUAAUAAUGAAGUUGGUUCUAUAGAUGUUUUCUAUAAUAAUGUCUUUUAUUUUAAAGCAUUACCUUGUGAUGGUGUGUAUGAAGCUGUAUCUGUUGUAGAUAACUUGGGAAAUAAUGUUUUGUGUAUUGAUUCUACUAAUAAUAACUUGGAUAAAGCAUCUUUAUGGCAUUGUCGUCUUGGACAUAUAAGCAAGAAACGCAUAGGCCAACUCCAAAAGGAUGGAGUCUUGGAGUCGUUUGACCUAAAGUCAGAUGAUAGUUGCGAAUCAUGCUUACUUGGAAAAAUGACAAAGUCACCCUUCACAGGUUCGUGUGAGAGGGGUGAAGGUUUGUUGGACCUUAUACACACGGAUGUGUGUGGACCAUUCAAACAUGCCACAAGGGAUGCUAAUCGUUAUUAUUUGACUUUUACUGAUGAUUAUAGUAGAUAUGGAUAUGUCUACUUGAUCAAGCAUAAGUCAGAGACUUUCGAGAGGUUUAAGGAAUUUAAACAGGAAGUCGAGAAUCAAUUGGGCAGGAACAUUAAGAUGCUUCGAUCCGAUCGUGGUGGUGAGUAUCUUAGUUCAGAGUUCCUCGACUAUCUAAGGGAAUGUGGGAUAGUCUCACAAUUGACACCUCCCAGGACACCACAGUUGAAUGGUGUGGCUGAGAGGCGUAAUCGAACCUUGUUAGAUAUGGUUCGUUCCAUGAUGAGUCGAGCUACGCUACCAAUCUCAUUCUGGGGGUAUGCCUUAGAGACUGCCGCCCAUAUUCUUAAUCUAGUCCCUACAAAGAAAGUUGCCAAAACUCCUCACGAGAUGUGGACUGGUAAAGUACCUAAACUAGACCACAUCAAGAUUUGGGGUUGCGAGGCUUUCGUGAGACGCGAGACUCAUGAUAAGCUCGAACCUCGAAGCGAGAGGUGUAUUUUCAUCGGUUACCCACAGCGAUCCUUUGGUUACCUCUUCUACAGACCUAGUGACAAUGUGGUCUUUGUAGCAAGAAGAGGAGUCUUUCGAGAAAGAGAGUUUAUAAGCCAAGGAGACAGUGGGAGGCAAAUUGAUCUUGAAGAAAUUCAAGAAUCAAGCGGUGAAGGAACUUCAAACUCUAGCCCUCAACUUGAGGAGGAAACUCCUGUUGAGCCAAUUGACAAAUCUGUACCUCUGAGACGUUCCACGAGAGUUAGGAGUGCACCUGAGCAUUACUAUGGAUUCCAUAUUACUGCAGAAGGUGAGACACUUAUUAGUGAUGAGACACUAGUAAGUCAAGAUGACCCUAACAGCUACGAGGAAGCCAUGGCAGGCCCCGAGUCUGCUAAAUGGAAAGAGGCUAUGGAUAGCGAGAUACAAUCCAUGUAUGACAAUCAAGUUUGGAACUUGGUUGAAAAUGUACCAGGUCGUAAGACAGUAGGGUGCAAAUGGGUCUUCAAGAAGAAGACCGACAUGGAUGGUAAAGUACACACUUAUAAGGCUAGACUGGUUGCAAAGGGCUUCUCUCAAAUUCCUGGAGUGGAUUAUGAUGAGACCUUUUCUCCGGUAGCCAAGAUUAAGUCUAUUCGGGUUCUGUUAGCCAUAGCUGCAUUUCAUGACUAUGAAAUAUGGCAGAUGGAUGUCAAAACCGCUUUCCUUAAUGGAAAGUUGGCUGAAGAUGUUUACAUGAGUCAGCCAGAGGGUUUUGUCAGCAACGAGUACCCUAAUAGAGUGUGUAAGCUUGAGAAAUCCAUUUAUGGAUUGAAGCAAGCACCUCGCAGAUGGAAUCUUUGCUUUGAUGAAAAGGUCAAGGAAUUUGGCUUUUCUAGGAGUGAAGAUGAAUCUUGUGUGUAUGUCAAGGCUAGUGGGAGUAUAGUUAGCUUUUUGGUAUUGUAUGUGGAUGACAUACUACUCAUAGGAAACGACAUUCCAACCCUGCAGGAAGUAAAGUCCUGGCUUGGGAAGUGUUUCGCUAUGAAGGACCUUGGUGAAGCUGCCUAUAUUCUAGGGAUAAGAAUCUUGAGAGAUCGGAGUAAAAGACUAAUUGGACUUAGUCAGAGUACCUACUUGGAUAAGGUGCUGAAGAGAUUCAGCAUGCAGGAUUCCAAGAAAGGAGAGUUACCCAUCCAGAGUAACACCAGAUUGAGUAAGACACAAAGCCCUAGCACUGAGGCUGAGAUAGCAGAAAUGAGUCGAACACCUUACGCUUCGGCUGUAGGAUCGAUCAUGUAUGCUAUGACGUGUACUCGACCCGAUGUAGCUUUUGCCUUGAGCAUGGUUAGCAGGUAUCAGGCGAACCCUGGCAAGGCACACUGGACUGCGGUAAAGAAUAUCCUCAAGUACCUACGGAGGACUAAGGACUGGGUCCUUACCCUCGGUGGGAGUGAUGACUUGAGAGUUGUAGGGUAUAGUGAUGCUAGCUUCCAGACUGAUAGGGAUAAUUUCCGCUCUCAGUCGGGCUGGGUCUUUACCCUAAACGGAGGAGCAAUUUCUUGGAAGAGUUCCAAGCAAGAGACAGUGGCAGAUUCUACUUGUGAAUCAGAGUAUAUUGCAGCUAGUGAAGCAGCAAAGGAGGCGAUAUGGCUGAAGAACUUCAUUGGAGACCUUGGAGUUGUACCAGCUAUUAAAGAGCCAAUGGAAAUUUUCUGUGAUAGUGAAAGUGCUGUUGCCUUAGCCAAGGAACCAAGGGAUCAUGGGAGAUCCAGACACAUCGACAGAAAAUACCAUUUCAUUAGACAUCGGAUCGAAGAAGGACUCCUCGUGGCAAAGAGGGUAUCAUCGGAUGAGAACCCAGCAGAUCCCCUCACGAAGGGACUGAGUAGGGUUAAGCAUCUCCAGCAUGCUCGGAGCAUAGGGCUGAAGGAUGAUAUAAGUUUUAGUAGUUAGAUAACCCAGAAAUUUGUAAAGUGUAAUUGACAUUUGAUGAUGAAUAAAAGGUGUUUUAUUUAUGAGUAAAGUGUUGCUAUCUCUUGUCGAUCGUUUACUAUAUUUCUUUUGCAUGUUUUGACUUCCAGAAUAAUUUUGUUUGGUAUAACAUAUUAUUCAAACCUCCACAGUCGGUCAUAUGUUGGAAGUAGAUAUGAAUCAAGACUGUCAUGUUUGGUUGUAGAGGUCUUGGACAAGGCUACAACAAUCAUGAGUGCUCAUAAGUUCUGAGCAUUGGACUCAACCCACGCUCACUGGAAUCACUUCAUGGAAUUCUAUCUCGAGUGAUCGUGAGACGGUAAUAUCAUAUAAGUCUUCAAACCUAGAGAUAUGAUUUGUUACUUACAAGUUGGUUAUGCAUUGACUGUACGAAACCGCAUUGGUAACUCGAUGUUAUAAAACGUACUUUUGUGUGUAAUUCAAUGAGUGGUAGAACAAACAUAUGAGUCGAAGUUUAUCUGUUCCUUCUUGGAUUAGAAGCUGAUAUCUGGGCCCCUCGAUGAUUUUGUUUUGACCCAUGUACCGGGCCCGGUCAGAACUAAGUUGAUGUGUUCAAUUAAGUUCUAUGUCAAACAAAUCGGAAAUCGGGAAACAAAUGCUGGACAAUAAGCAAGACAAUGUUCCAUGUAUUUGUCCGGCUGAUAUCUAGAACGGAGGAUUAUAUGAUCACUUAUCUUAAAUGGCGUACCAUCAUCUUCUCAGUUCCGAGAGACCUUGAAAGAGCUACGAUUGCCGGUCGGUUCCUGAAGUACUAGAGAUAUAGUUAUUAGACUUAUCCAAGUGGGAGACUGUUGGAUAAGGUGUCUAAGUCCAUAACUAUUUCGGGCUUGUACUUGACCCGACCCGGCAUGGUCCAUUUGGGUUGCAUGGCACCAUGCAAUUGGAUAGACUAAAUGAGAGAAAUAACACUUGGAGAUUAUUAAUAUAUUAUAAGUUCUAAUAUAUUAAUAAUAUUAUUUGAUUAGUUUGAUCAAGAAUUAAUUUAGAAUUAAUUAAGUGAUCAAAAGAUAACUAAUUAAAUAUAUGGGUUGAUUAUGUAAAUCAUCCAUAUCUUGUAUAGUGGGCUAAGAGGCUCCAUGGAUUAUCAAGUUGGGUUCUACCCAUAGGAUGCUCAUUGGAUGCUCCAUGGGAGUUACAAACCCAUGGGUCAUGGAAAUGAAGAGUCAUGACACAUUAGGGUUUACAUGGUGUAACCCUAGAUGUGUCAACACUAUAUAAGGAUCUCAUUCUCCAACAAAAUCGGUUACACAAAAGAAACAAGAGGGCUAGGCCGAUUUCAAGAAGUGUGCAUUCUCUCAAAAGUCUUUCCAAGAGCAUUUGGUGUUGUGUGAAGCAUUUGAGGCAUCACACUUGGGGUGCUAGGCUCACAAGGUUUCAAGGAACACAAGCAACAACAAGGUAAGUUAUUCUAUCUAUCAUUCAAGUUAAAAUUGUUCCCCAUGUAUGCUAGAUAGGAAUAUAGCCUUGGAAUUCAACUUUGCAUGAUAAUUAGACAAACAUAGAUCCAAGGUUAUUAGGGUUGCAUGUACACUUAGGAAGUGUUAGAAUGCUCAAAACCCUUCAAUAUCUUGUCAUUUACAUCCCUCCCAAUAGCACAAAGCAAUUCCCCCUUAUAAACACCUUUAAGAAAACAUCCAUCAAGACCUAUUAUCCUUCUACACCCUUCAAUCCAACCUUGUUUAAAUCCUUGAAAACAACAAUAGAACUUGCUAAAAUAUUUCUUUCCAUCUGGACCAUCCUCCACAUCUAGUUUCACAAUUAACCCAAGAAUUGUCCUUAAAAUCUCAUGACCAUAUGACCAUAGCUUACCAUAAUGUUCAACAAGGCUACCUUCAACAAGAUUUUGUGCAUAAUUCUUUGUUUCUCCACAUUGCCACAUACUAACUUGGAUACCAAACUUGGCCAUUACCUUUACCCUAAGCUUCCUUACACUUAUUUUCUAACUUUGUACAAUCUCUUUGGUAUAGUGACUCCCAAUCCAUGCAUAUAUCACCAGUGAUCCAAACUUGAAGUUCCUAGAACAAUUAUGAUCAGCUUUUAGUGGCCUGAUUUGGAAACUCUCUUUAUCACUCAUCCAAGAAGCCCAUAAUCUAAAUGUGCAAGCACCCUUGCUACACCUCACCAAAAGUCUUUUCCUAUCUUUUUUUUAGAACAUAAUUAGUAUCCAUUAGCUACAACAUAGUUGCACAAAAUUCAUUUUACUUGCCUUGGACCCUUAAAUCUCAUCCUUAGAAUUGGUUUUUGUUUUUUCCAGUGUAAUAGCUCAUUAAAUAUGGAAUGAGUUUCAAUGUUAAGUUCAACUUGUCUCCCAUUAUCAUCAUCUACAAUGUUGUUAUCCUCCUCAUAAUCAACACAUAACUUACUCAAGAAAGGAUCAUUUGAUGUCCUAUUCAUAUACACUACAUUGUCAUUAAUUUCAAAGGCAACAUUCCUAAGUUCAUCUAUGUUAUAUUCAUUUUCACCAUCAAUACAAGACUCAUGUUCAUCAUCAUUGUUGGGUAUUAUGUGUUGCGUCAUGUGCCAUUCUUUUAUAUAUCCGGUUUGGGCCUGUCCAACCGUGAUUAUAGAUUAGGGUUAUGUAUUAUAUAGUGCAUGCAUGUAUGCCCUUAAUAGGCGAGUAUAGGAUUAUCUUUUGUAUUGUAACCCUAAGCACCUCUACAGUCGAAGUUCUUCAUUGAGCUCUUCUGGGGUGUUAAAGUUUAAUCAUACAACAUCUUCAAAGCCAUUCAUGUGUUCUUAAUUACAUCUCUAAUUGUUUCUCUGCUUAGAAUCUAUCGAUCCUACUAGAACUUUGUUCCUACAAUUGGUAUCAGAGUAGGAGACUGUGUGAUCAAUACACAUUCCUUCUGUAUUAAGAAUUCUUUAGGGUUUCCACUUUUAUCGAAUAUUAAGAAGUCGUCUUCUUCCUGUCGAAGGUAACUCUGGUGUUUGAUAAAACCCUAAUCACAGUUUACAGGUCUUAUUCUAGUGGUUCUAAGGAAAGGCUUACCAUGUCUCACAAAGAUUCUUAAACAAAUCCUAUCAACUUCUCUAACAACAUUGGAUCCACUACAAGGGUUCCCAUUCUCUACACACAAGACUAUGAAGUAUGGGCACAUCACUUUGAAGAUUACAUUGUUGGAUCUAAAGACAAUGGCUAUCUCAUUUGGGAAGCACGCUUGGGCCGUUUGGUCACUCUGGAACGAACAUGACUGUGAAGAGUCAAAAAGAAUACAACAAGCUUGUGACGGACGUAGAUAAGAUACCGCAGGAUGAGAAGGACAAGUUGUUAUCUAAUGUGAAGGCCAUGAUAAUGAUCAAAUUCACUUUGCAAUCUGAAACUUUACUGUUAGUUAGUUCAUGCACGAUGGUUAAAGAAAUCUGGGAUAGGUCGAAGGAACUCUACUCAACCGAUGAAGAUCUAGAACACUCUAUUCAAACCUUGUUGCUCUCUGAAUUUGUAGUUUUCAAAUAGAAACCAGAAGAGAAACUGAUACAAACAUUCGGUCGCUUUAAUCAUCUCCUAAGCAAGAUGAUCAAGCAUGGUAUAGAAAGGAAGUUGAUCGAGCAAAAAGUAACCUUCAUGAAUGGUUUGAGACUAGAAUGGAUGGCUCUGGUUUCAAUAGUGAAAGCACAUGAACAAUUUAAAUCUUACUCACUAGCAAAACUUGUGGGAGUACUUAAGUCCCAUGAGAGUGUGGUAACCAAGGAGGCGAAGGUGGUUUCAGGUGUGGGAUCAUUAGCCCUUGUUUCAAAAGGAGAAAGUGUUGCAAAAGAAGAGGAGGAGUCAGAUAUGUCUGAGUGUGACCUAACAAGCGAAGAAUAUGCUAUGAUGGUCACCAAUCCAAAGAAGAUUGCACGAAGGAAAUUUCCUGUCAAUAAGAACCGAAACUGGCAAGGAAGUUACAGUAUUGAGAAAGUAAAAGAUGAAACGAAGAAUACUUCUCAAAAGGAGGACGACAAAAAGCAGAGCAAGCUUGCAGGAGACUCUGGAUUCGACUGCAAUUACUGUCAUGGCAAGAACCACUUUGCCAAAGAUUGCAUGCUUAGGAAAAUGGAUGAGAAGAGAGAUGGUGAAGAUGAUGAGGCGUACUACAUGCGAAAGUUGGAAGAGAUCAAGAAAAAGAAAGCAACUAACAGUUCAAUGAAUGCCUUGAUUGUGCAGGAAAAUGCAAUGAGGAUGAAUUCGGUGGGGUUGAAGUUUGGUCAACCGAUUCUAAGGAUGAAGAGGUGAGAAAGCCAACGCAUGGAAGAGCUUAUGUGGCGAAGAAUGCAAGUUCGGCUGGAAGGUGUUUGGUGGUUACUACUGGUAGAUCAACCGAAAGUGAAAGUAAGGAGCCGAACCUAACUGAGGACAAGUGCUUUGCAGCCAAGCCUGUGAGCGAGAAGAUCAACGACUGUGAUCGGCUGAUCAAAAAGGUACAUUCUAUACUUGAGUCACAUAAAGUUACGGUAACGAAUUAUGAAGAAGAAUUAGAUGAAUUAAAAUUUAAACUUUCUAAUUUAAGUGGAAGUCUCAUGCAAACACGCUUAGUGAAAUCUAACCUAACUGACCAACUCAGCAGGGUGUCUUCAAAGAGUGAGGAGAGAAGGAUGUGGAUUGAGCUGAAGGAGGCGGAGUUAAAUAGGGCUAGGGAUGAAACUAUUUAUUUACAACAAGACAAUUUAAAGUUUUUAAAACAAAGGAAUGUUUUUUGUUUGAUUGCCAAGCGCUUAUACACUAAUAUUGCUCAAUUGCACUUAAAUUAUGAAAUAAGGAAAAAGAUUCAUAAGAUAAUCUUACCCUUCCUUGAAUUUAAAGAGGAUCAGGUUGUUGCUGAAUGUGAAUCAAUAGUGUCCUCAGAAGAGACAUUCGUCGCUUACAAAAUCGGAUUGGACAAGAUAGAGACCUUCAUUGACUCUAAGGAACAUAAAUGUAUGCUCAAAAAUCUUUUGGAUGAAAAUGAUAUGCUAAAAAUUAAGUCUGAGACCAUUCAAUCAUUUGAUUCAUCGAAUGGUAAAUUAAUUUCAGAACUUAAAAUGAACAUAGAAAACUCAUCUGACUUUGAUGAGGAAAGUGAGAUGAGCGAAAUCUUAGUUGAAGACGUGGUUGAUUGCUUUGAGUUUAUGAAGAGCGAAACCGAGAAUCAGAAACCUCUCAUUUCUGAAAAUUCGGUUGAAUACGCUCGCCUAUUAAAGGACAGGCCACAGAAACUGAAAGAGAAAGCAAUGGUUUAUCAAAAGGUUCAAACUGUGCCAAAUCAGGUGUAUGUUGUUACAGGGGUAACUGCAAAACAAACAACAUAAUUGAAAACCUUGGUCGACAAAGACAAUGCUAAAAGAUGCGAAGAGUACUUAUGGUCAGUCCUUAUUGAUAACGAAGAUGAAACCAUAGGCUUAUGUGAGCAAACCUCAUGGAGGGUAAAAGGAAGAUAUGUUGUUGAACCUAUCAACAAACCCUCGAGUUAUGACAAACCAAGCACAUGUGGAAAAAAAGAGAUCCCUGAAGAACCAAAGAGAGCACCAAAAGUUCUUACUUAGACAACCGAAGCUCAAAAAGAAAAGUCAAAGGCUAGUUUCAAUAUCCACAAUUCUCAGAAGGAGUUAGCUGAAUAGAAACGCCAAAAAAAUCAAAGAUACAUGAAAAAUCUAAAUGAGCAAAAACGUUAUUGGCAAUCUCAAAAUCCCAAUUAUGUACCUCGUAAGAAAGAAUCAAUUGCCAAAGGAAAGGAAAAGCUAAAAGAAAAAGGAAAUUUUAGUCUAAGCUCCUACUAUUCCAAAGCACAGAACUGAACAUCUACUUUCGGCUACAAAACUAGCGCUCAGAACCGAAUGUCUAGUUUUGGUCCCAACGUCAAGACCAACAACAAAACAUCUUGCUUUGGUUCCAAGCCAUGUUUCGGUCCUUCCUACUCCCAAAGUAAACCGACACCAGUGAAGGACAUCAAAGGAAAGGGAAAGCUUAACUCAGAAUCUAAGUUCAAUAAUAAGAAAAAGUCAGCUAACCCUCGGAUUCAAAAAAAUGUUCCAAAACCGUCUAACAAUACACCAUUAAAUACACUAAAAUUUAAACAAGACAAAACCAAAAUCAAGGUAUAUACCAUCAAAUGAAAAGAUCAAUCCACUCUAAUUAAAAGAACCUAUUUGGUUGAUAUUUCUACUACAAUUCCUUUUUCUUUAAAAGACUCACCAGGGCCCAAGAAACUUUGGGUUCCUAAAUCUACUUGAAUUUGCAGGUUAUUAGUGAUGAGCAAUUCGAUGACGAAUGGUAUAUAGACAGUGGCUGGUCGCGUCACACGACGGGAAGGAAGGAAGAGCUAAGGAAAUUUUGGUCCCAAAAAGAUGGCGGAUGCGUGAAGUAUGGUAAUAAAUCUUAUGGCACAAUCAAAGGAUAUGGAAUGAUAACCAAAGGAGAUUUCUCGAUUCGAAACGUAGCUUAUGUAGAAGGGUUGCAGCAUAACCUCAUAAGUGUAUCACAAUUAGUUGUGGGAACAGGUUUGAAGGUUUCAUUUGAUGAUGAGGGAUCAAAAAUUAUUGAGAAGCAAUCGAAAAAGGUUUUGUUAAAGUCUGAACGCAAGGGAGAGAUGUAUCCUUUGAAUCUCAAUACAAUUCGUGGAAAACCAGCAAUAUGCUUGCUGUCAAAGGCGAACACUGAUUUAAGCUAUUUAUGGCAUUGACGUCUAUCGCACCUAAACUUCAAAGACAUUAAUAAGUUGGUGCUUGGUGAUCACGUUCGAGGCCUUCCUCUUCUCAAGUUUGGUAAGGAACAUAUGUGUGCAGCGUGUGAGAUGAGCAAACAAAGCAGAAAGAGCCAUCCUACAUGAACCAAUACAAAGAUUGUUGAAGCUCUUGAACUUCUGCACAUUGACUUAUAUGGACCUUCGGCAAUCGAAAGCUUUGGUGGAAGUAAGUUCAUUAUUGUCAUAGUAGAUGAUUUUUCACGCUUCACCUGGGUUUUCUUUCUUAAAAAGAAAUUAGACGCUACUCCCAAGUUCAAGACGUUCAUCAAGCAAGUAGAAGUACAACUACAAAAGCUUGUGAGGAACAUCAGAAGCGAUAAUGGGCUUGAAUUCAAGAAUAAAGAUUUCGAGGAUUUUCUAGCUGAAAAAAGAGUUUCUCAAAACUUUUCGGCCCCUUAUACACCAUAAUAGAAUGGGAUUGUCGAAAGACGAAACCGUUCUUUGUGUGAGGCCGCCUGAACCAUGCUAAGCUUCGCUUCUCUUCCACUAUACUACUGGGAUGAUGCAGUUGCAACCGCAUGCUAUACUCAGAACCGAUCCCUACUCAACAAACGAUUCUCAAUCACUCAAUAUGAGAUUCUGAACAAUCAAAAGCCCAACGUCAAAUUUUUCCAUGUGGUCGGUUCAAGGUGUUUCAUCUUUAAUUCAAAAGAGAACCAAAACAAGUUCGACGUCAAAGCUGACGAGGGAAUUUUUCUUGGCUAUUCACUCUCUUCAAAGGCAUAUAGAGUUUUGAACAAACGUUCUAAACGAAUAGAAGAAACAUACUAUGUAACCUUUGAUAAUAAUUAUAUGAAGAAAGUUCAAAGAAGCGAAAGUGCCUUGGGGGAAAUAUUUCCUGAAUCAGGAUAAGUCUCAGUUCCUAUUUCAAACCUAUUAGAAGAGUACAUAAGGUUAUUUGAUGAACCAUAGAAGGCUGCACACUCAGAGGCGAAAGCAGUAGACAACAAAAUUGACAAUCUGAAAAAGAUUAUAGAUGAAGCUGAAAAAGAAAUGGAAAAUAAAUCUCCUAAACCAACUGGUGUUCAACCCUCAACUGACUCUCCAAACAACUACUCAAUGUUCAAAGGGGAGAGUUCAUCAGCACCAAAGACAACCGAUAUGUCUUUCGAGGGGGAGCAUCCAACUCCAACACGACCCAAUGAUAGUCCAAUGGAGGGGGAGAAUCCAACUCCCAAAGAGGAUGAAAACUAUGAACCUGACAAGGGUUACAAUUCACCAUUUAAGGGGGAGAAAGAGCAAACAACUGAUGAAGACGAUCAAUCAGUACUUGAAGAAGAAGUAAACGCAGAGUUGGAUCCAACUUAUAACCCUAAUUACCCUCCUCUAAAUAAAUGGACUAAGGAUCAUCCAAAAACACAAAUAAUUGGCGAUUCAUCUGAGAAAGUUCUAACACGUUCACAAUUGAAAGCAAAACAAACUGCAUUAUUCUCUAAGGUUGAAUUCUGUAUGUUUAACUCGUUUAUAUCCAAAUUCGAACCAAUGACGGUCAAUUUUUCAGUUGAUCAUGAUGAUUGGUUACAAGCUAUGCAAGAUGAACUCCAUGAGUUUGAACGUGAUCGAGUUUGGAGGUUGAUUCCCACUCCAAAGGAUGCUUCGGUGGUCGGCUUAAAAUGGGUCUUCGGGAAUAAAUUGGACAAAGAGGGGACUGUCAUUUGCAACAAGGCUCGGUUGGUCGUGAAAGGAUAUUGCCAAGAGGAAGGGAUAGAUUAUGAGGAAACCUUCUCUCCUGUAGCAAGGUUGGAAUCAGUUAGAAUUUUUCUAGCAUAUUGAUGUACACGAAAGUACCUAUUAAUUUUAAUAUUUAUAACCUAACAAACUUAGACUAACUAUGCACUUAUAGGCAGUGUACCUAGUCAGAUUACAAUAUAGCUUAGGUAAGUCGGGUGUCGAUCACAGGGAACGGUAGAUUAAUUUAAUACAUUUGAUUAUAGGUUACAGGUUACACGAAAAGAAUAAAGAAAUAAAUCUCAAACUAACAAUUAAUUAACUACUCUCGAUAAACUAACAGGAAAACAAAUCUCUUUAGGUACUUUGGUUUAGACAAAUUACACCUUAAAAACAUAGACAAUUGCAUACACAAAUUCAUUUAUUCAUGUUCACCGAUUCCUAAAAUGAUUAGAUUCGCGUUCACUAUAACUAAUCCUUUUAGCAAGCAAGUCAAUUCAAACAGUGAUCAGUUGGUUAAACUAACGUGCUUCCUAGUGUUCAGUUCGUAUCGAGCAAGACUUGUAAAUAUAGUUAAUGAAAUUAGACAUUCAAUUAACCUCUUGUUGAUGAUCAUCAAACAAGGCUCACACAUUAACUUACUUACUCCCAAGUUAAUCCUAGUUUCACAUUCGUUAUUCCUAGACUUAUAAUCUCGAUGGUCAUCAAAAUCAUAAGAGACAAGCAAUCAAGCAGAUGUUCAUACAACUCAAUUCACUUAACAAUUAACAGUAAAUAAUUAUCAUUAAUACAUAAGGAUCUUUUAACAAGCUCGGCAAGAUAAAUUAAACACAAACAAACUAUUUAGUAUAGCAAUUAGUCUAAUAAUCAAAGCUUCAUUCAAUCAUAAACACAAAGUAAAAGGUUUUUACACCCAAAUCAGAAACUAAAUACAGAAUAGUAACACAAUGGAAUGCUAAACAUGGUCACGUUAGCAACCCUUAUGAUUUCCGACACGUAUCCACUCUCCAAUCCUUCCGAUCUCCGCUCCCGUUAGCUUAACGGCCUCCCGUCCACCUUCUAGACCCUCAAAACGGCAAUUAUGAAGUUUUCUUGUCGCACAAGUCGAAGUGGAAUAUCAUAGAUUCUUCAAAAUGGUGGAAUGAUAUGGGGUAUUUAUAGUUGAAGGGAUAUGAAAUUAAUAUGGAAUAUUAGAGUUGUAUUAGAAUAAGGAAACUAAUGGUGGCUUAGGGAUUAAGCAUCUUUUCAGCUCCAUUCUCUUUCUUUUGCAUUCCAUCUCCCAUUUUAACUGUAAUUAAAUAUUUCAAAGAAUAUUAAGUUUAUUUGAGUUCUAAAUAAUAAUAAUAAAUGCUAAAAUAUUAAGAUAUGUUAUACAUAAAUAUAUACAAAAAUACACAUAUCAAAAUACCCCACACUUAGCCUUUGCUUGCCCUCAAGCAAAUUUACUUUUAUUUUACCAAUAUUGCACUAAACAAUCCAUUUAAAACUCAGCCAUUAUGCUAAGACCUCAACGCAUGCAUUUGUGUCUAAAAUUUUCCUAAAGUACCCCCCCAUACUUUAAAUACUCACAAUCUUCAUAAACACUCGCCCACUUUUUCCGAACAAUGCUCAUUUUAUGCAACCCUCCGAAUCCAUCCGCAGAAAACCUCCUAACCUCAAGGUAUUUUUAGUUGAGCAACCUAAGCAUGCAUAAUUUAGAAUUACAAUUUAUGAUAUCACUAUGGAGCUUUUUAGGAAUUCUUCACUUUCUUAACAAUUUGAUCUUUGAUUUCUUUGAAUUCACCACCUUAUUUGAUUUGAUUUCUUGGUAUCUUCAACUUUUUGAAUUUCUUGGAAUUUUGAUCUUUUGAUCUUCACUUUAUUUGCUCCAAAAUUCUUCAAACUUUUUCGUAAUUCUCUCUCUUUUUUUUUUUUUUACAUGUACCUCUCUUUUUUCACUCAAAACCUACAUGCUUAAGCAGAGGCGCUCAACCUCAACCUUUAUUGGUUAAUGAUAAUAAUUUUCCUGGAUACAUUUCAGGUUUAGGCUGCUAAACAUAUUGCAUCCUUCAAACCGAGCGGGGUUAUGUUUUUGUUCCAUGAUUUCACUAAAAUAAGGGAGGCCACAAAUGCACUAUAACGUAUAUUGGCUCAACUAAACAUUUGAGUUCUCAUCGGAUCAUCUCAUACAAUAUUAGCAAAAUUUUAAGUUAUCACUAGAUUUUUCUAAAUUAAACUAUUAUUUCAAGUUUUCUUUUAAAUUUUUAAAUUUCCCUAAAUCUAGCAAUUUCCAACUAUUAUUUCAUUUUUAUAAUUUACUUUUACCGACCCCCUACCCCACACUUAUUUCAUACAAUGCCCUCAUUGUAUGCUAAAACAAAUUAAGAACAUAAAAAGGGAGAAAAAGGAACAGACUCCCCUGGGUAGUUGUGGCGAGAUCGAAUGGGGCUGCUAUAGGUUGCUUCAAAUAUUGCUGAAAAACUGAAAACUGGAACUGCUGCUUCUGAAUGUACCGUAAAAUACAAAAGAACAUUGACUUAUGAAAUAUGGUGUGAACGAUUGCAAACUAAAGCAAUGUAUAGUGACCAUGCCGUGGGAAAGUGUCAACCACGUCGUGUCGUCGAGUGAGGAAAAAUCCAUAUCGCAAAUAAUAGCAUGGCCAUGACGUGGUAAGUGGUGGUCACGUCGUGGCAUGUAGAAUAGCAGCCUCCUCUCGCGAUGAAAAACUCCCCCAUGACAUAGGAAAGUGUCAACCAUGUCAUGGCAGUCGGGAUGAUACUUCUACAUCACGUCAAAAUAAAACUCCAUGGUGUGGGAACAACUCAUCCAUGCCAUGAGAAUCAAUGUAUAGUUAGAAACGCCACUCUUCGAAAUAAUAAUCCCUCCAAAUAUCGACGCGCACCCCACACUUAUUGAAAGUCAUGGCUCUCAAGUGUCAACUUCAAACCCUCACACGGUUUUUUCUCUCGUGACAAAUCAACAUUCGACCCCAAUUAUUGAAAUUUCUGAAAGCAUCUGAAGGGUAAAAGUUCUGCAAAGAUCUGAAACAUCAAGAGCAUCAACAUGGAAAACAAAUUUUAAACAAACUAAAAAUAAAAAUAAAAACUCACUAAAAUAACUAAAAAACCAAAAUAACUAAAAAGGAUAUCACGAUCACAUGUCUUCGUCAAAAUCAAACUACAAUUUAUGAUUAAAUCCCUUGCAUGCAAGGGGUGGUUUGUGAAAACAAAAACUUUCGGGACCUGUCAGACUAUUUCCUUUGUAUUCUUUGACCCAUUAACUAAAAGUAGAACAAGAGUUGACCCAACUAGUCAAGUGUAGCAAGAGUUCAGUCUUCCACUUAACCACCUCGAUACGCCUUGCUAUACUACGCCUCGUGGAUUGAGUUGGACAAAUCACCAAAGUAGUAGACUAAACAAGUCAAGAAUUCCCUAAUCGCUUGCAAUCUCGAAAUCCAUGCAAAAGGUAAAGCCAAUCAAUGUGUAUGAUCACAAAUUCCUGCAAAUAACAACAAGAACCUUCCCGACAAGCGAAAUGAUAUCAACGAAAAUAAAACUAAAAAAAUAAAAUACAAAAAACUAACUAAAAAUAAAUAACGAAUAAUCAAAUAAACUAAAUUAAUUGAAAGCCGUUCCCUGGCAAUGACGCCAAAAACUUGAUGUGCACGAAAGUACCCAUUAAUUUUAAUAUUUAUAACCUAACAAACUUAGACUAACUAUGCACUUAUAGGCAGUGUACCUAGUCAGAUUACAGUAUAGCUUAGGUAAGUCGGGUGUCGAUCACAGGGAACGGUGGAUUAAUUUAAUACAUUUGAUUAUAGGUUACACGUAACAUGAAAAGAAUAAAGAAAUAAAUCUCAAACUAACAAUUAAUUAACUACUCUCGAUAAACUAGCAGGAAAACAAAUCUCUUCAGGUACUUUGGUUUAGAUAAAUUACACCUUAAAAACAUAGACAAUUGCAUACACAAAUUCAUUUAUUCAUGUUCACCGAUUCCUAAAAUGAUUAGAUUCGCGUUCACUAUAACUAAUCCUUUAGCAAACAAGUCAAUUCAAACAGUGAUCAGUUGAUUAAACUAACAUGCUUCCUAGUGUUCAGUUCGUAUCAAGCAAGACUUGUAAAUAUAGUUAAUCAAAUUAGACAUUCAAUUAACCUCUUGUUGAUGGUCAUCAAACAAGGCUCACACAUUAACUUACUUACUCCCAAGUUAAUCCUAGUUUCACAUUCGUUAUUCCUAGACUUAUAAUCUCGAUGGUCAUCAAAAUCAUAAGAGACAAGCAAUCAAGCAGAUGUUCAUACAACUCAAUUCACUUAACAAUUAACAGCAAAUAAUUAUCAUUAAUACGUAAGGAUCUUUUAACAAGCUUGGCAAGAUAAAUUAAAUACAAACAAACUAUUUAGUAUAGCAAUUAGUCUAAUAAUCAAAUCUUCAUUCAAUCAUAAACACAAAGUAAAAGGUUUUUACACCCAAAUCAGAAACUAAAUACAGAAUAGUAACACAAUGGAAUGCUAAACAUGGUCACGUUAGCAACCCUUAUGAUUACCGACACGUAUCCACUCUCCAAUCCUUCCGACCUCUNCUCCGCUCCCGUUAGCUUAACGGCCUCCCGUCCACCUUCUAGACCCUCAAAACGGCAAUUAUGAAGUUUUCUUGUCGCACAAGUCGAAGUGGAAUAUCAUAGAUUCUUCAAAAUGGUGGAAUGAUAUGGGGUAUUUAUAGUUGAAGGGAUAUGAAAUUAAUAUGGAAUAUUAGAGUUGUAUUAGAAUAAGGAAACUAAUGGUGGCUUAGGGAUUAAGCAAAUAAAAUAAAAUAAGUGGAGCUUGGGGAAUAAGUAACUUGGAGGGAAUUUCCGCCCAGCUUUUAUGCUUCAUAUUCAAGGCCGAUUUUGGAUAAGAUAAGUGUCGAAUUAGCCAAAAGUUCCUCUCACAUAAGUCGUAGGAAAUUCCGUCUAGUUUUCAGAACAGUUUGAAACUCGUCAAUUGGACUUAUGAGUCAUCAGAUAUACCUGAAACACUGAAGAGGGGUCAAUCUGCCAACAAUAUCCUUUUUGCAUCUUUUCAGCUCCAUUCUCUUUCUUUUGCAUUCCAUCUCCCAUUUUAACUGUAAUUAAAUAUUUCAAAGCAUAUUAAGUUUAUUUUAGUUCUACAUAAUAACAAUAAAUGCUAAAAUAUUAAGAUAUGUUAUACAUGAAUAUAUAUAUANNNNNNAGAUAAAGUGCAUAUAUAUAUAUAUAUAAAUACACAUAUCACAUAUGUUGCUCAUAAAAAGUUCGAAGUUUUCCAAAUGGAUGUAAAAUGAAAUUUCUUGAAUGGAGAACUACAAGAAUAUGUGUAUGUUGAGCGACCACUUGGGUUCGUAAAUGAGAAAUUCCCUGAUCAUUGCUGUGUGUUGGAUAAAGCUGUAUAUGGUUUGAAGCGAGCACCAAGGGCUUGGUAUGAAACUUUAACUCGCUUUCUGAAAAUGUUGAAAAUCAAGCAAGGUUCGCUUGACCCAACCUUCUUCCGAAAGAAAGAAGGCGAACAUCUUAUGAUAGUCCAGAUUUAUGUUGAUGACAUCAUCUUCGGCUCCACGAAUCCUAGCUUAACAGCUAAAUUCAGGAAGUUGAUGGAGACUAAAUUUGAAAUGAGCGCAAUGGGUCCGAUUAAUUUUUUCCUUGGUUUAAAUAUUGAUAGGGAGCAGAAGGUAUAUUUAUCAACCAGGAGGCCUACACGAAGAACUUGCUAGCAAAAUUCGUUAUGAAGGGAGAUUCAAAAGUGAAGGUUCCUAUGGUGUUUGGCACAAAGUUAGCACCGUCUUUGGAAAAACCUGUUGUUGAUGUAACACUCUAUCGUGAAAUGAUAAGGUCCCUUAUCUAUCUAACAGCUAGUAGACCAGAUAUUAUGCUCUCUGUUUGUUAUUGUGCUUGGUUUCAAGCAAAUCCAAGAGAACCUCACAUGGUGGCUGUGAAAAAUAUUUUUCGUUAUCUGCAGCGAACCUCUUCUCUCGGUCUUUGGUACCCUACAAGAUUUGGAUUUUUUGUUCAAGCCUUUUUCUGACGCCGAUCUUGGAGGAUGUGGUCUGGAUCGAAAGAGCACAACUGGUGGAUGCCAAUUCCUUGAUCAGAUUCCAUCAUCUCCUCCAUCUCCACCCAAGACAACAGUUUAGGUUAUCGUUGCUCAUCCAUCCCCAUCUUCAUCACCACCUAAUUCUACAAUUGCUCCAUCACCGCCUGUCAGUUCUACUCAUGUCACCACUGCUCCUUUACAACCUCCUCUUGUCUCCAAAGCAACAUUCACCACUACACCUGUCAUGACUUCUACCACAAACUCUUCUAUCAACGUCAACACAUCUGAUGUGGAGGAAAAGACUGAAGAACCUCCUAAAGUCACAUCCGAGCCCCUUUCACCAACUCCUUCUAGUGAUUCUAAUCCAGUUCUUGGAGGAGCUAAAUUUGAGUAUGAUUUUAUUUACUAUAGUCCCUACCGAAUUCCUAGUGAGGAAGAUGAAUCUGCUCUGGAAACCAAGCAGCAAAUCGAUAGUAUUCACGAAAAGCUUGAUUCACUGAUCGAUUCGACAAAGAAGUAUAAUGAUGUCGUUCUCAAAGCAUUCAUGGAUACAGCCCUGCACCAAUAUAUAGAAUCCAUCGACAAAUGUACUACUGCUAUGGAUGAUUCUACUUCUCUAUGUAAACGAGCCACAUCCGAUGUUAAAGAUCUCAUCCAUGACUCCAAGGUUUUUCUUGACUCUUUCAAGGGUCAUGCUGAUUCAAAUGCUACCAAGAUCACAGAGUCCAUCGAUUCGCUUUCUUAAUCCCUUCAAGCCGAGUAAACCAAGUUUGAGACUAUCCGUUCUGACAUCUCUACUGGCAACAAGACCUGCUUGUCUUCUAUUGACUCUUGGUUCGAAAAGCUUACUGCUGAUCUUCUCAUGGAAAGGCAACUCAAAGAUGAUCUUGCUCAACAGACUACACUAAAUGCAGUGCAACAAGCAGCACUUGCCAAGGCCGAACAAGAGAUUUCUUUGUUAAAAAUAGAACGAGCUGUUUUUCGUAGCUGUGUUGGGGAUGUUCUUUCCAAGCUACAUAACGUGCUUCAGGCUCAUGAUCCCAUUCUAACGCUUACGAUUCACAAUCCUUUGACCUCCAAACUUCUUCCCUUAGUUGAACUCUUACGCGAAAUGAAGGGUCUUUUGGAGAGAAUUGUUCCACCGCAACAAGGGGAGAAGACAAGCCACAACCUAUUUCAAUUAAACCGAAGGUCAAAACCGAACCGAAGGAUAAUGUAGCUUCGGGUUCUGGUAUCAAAGACAAGAAAAAGCAUGACGAAGAUGAUGAAGAUCAAGAAACUAUUUCUAAGAUCUUGAACUGAAAGAAAAGGGAUGAGGAGAUAGAUGAAAAUCUUUGAAUUGUUAAGGAAGCUGAGGAAAAAGAAAAGAAGAAGAAAGAAGAGGAUGAUGCAUUAAGUUGCAAGAAAAUGUUGUUCCCUCCUUGGACUAGGGAGACACUGAUCAAAGAAGCUAUAAAGUCUCCAAGUACACUCUGGCUGGAACCUGUGACUUCAUUUGACUGUGAUAAUAUAAGGGAUUCACAGUUUGAUAUGCCUAUAACAUGAAAGGCAUUCGUUUUUCAUUGUUUUGAGCCAACAGUUGAAGUCCCUUUACCCCAUCCUCAGGUAGACCGUGAACUUAUUGAUUUUUAUCUCGAGUUCAGUCAGCCUCAUUAUCUGACUUGGAGUGCGCAGAAAAUUACUAUGGUCAAGGUGCUGAAACCAUUGCCUACAGGGAAGUUUGUUAAUGUCUCUUUCAGGAUAAACCGAGGUUCAAAUAACUCGGUUUCUAUCAUCUUCCUGGCAGAUCUUCCUAACUUGAAUCCUCAUGAUUGGAUUCUGCUCUUCAAUAUUUUUCUCACUAAUGCGACAGAGUAUGAACCAAUCUUAGGACAUCUGAAAAGGAUGUUAGCCUCUUAUAUCCACAAAUUUGCGAAGAUGGAUCAAGAAUUGGAGAAUGUCAUGAGGAAGAAACCAACGGUGUAGCCUACUGCCAAGUCAGGAGAUGUCAACAAAAUGAUGCUCGGUCAAAUUGAUUCUGCUCACCUCACAGUGAUGUUUACAAGAGCCAAAGGUGAAAGAUUCUUGUUUGCUCUUGUUGACAAACACUUAUUCUUGACCGACUGCCUGGAGCAUAUUAUUAAUAUCAUUCAUCGAUGCAAGGCGAAUUCCGACUCUGAUAAGAAGAACUUCACAGACAUGCUCCGGUGGUACAUCACUUUUAGACAAACUCUUUUGGCCAUCAUACCGAGCGUGUUCAAGACUAUCAAGAGGUCGGCUACAGAUCAACCGAAGUGAGCUCUCGGCUCCAUUGAUGCAAAGGGGGAGAUUGUUGGGUAUUAUGUGUUGCGUCGUGGGCCAUUCUUUUAUAUAUCCGUUUUGGGUCUGUCCAACCGUAAUUAUAGAUUAGGGUUACGUAUUAUAUAUAGUGCAUGCAUGUAUGCCUUAAAUAUGUGAGUAUUGGAUUAUCUUUUGUAUUGUAACCCUAAGCACCUCUACAGUCGAAGUUCUUCAUCGAGCUCUUCUGGGGUGUUAAAGGUUAAUCAUACGACAUCUUCAAAGCCUUUCCUGUGUUCUUAAUUACGUCUCUAAUUUUUUCUCUGCUUAGUAUCUAUCGAUCCUACUAGAACUUUGUUCCUACAAUCGUCAUUAUCUUCAUCAUCAAGCUACCUAUCAACACCAACCCCAAUAUGAUCCACAUAAAUCGAAAUUACACCAUCUGUUCCAUAAGCAUGAAAAAUAAAAGCAUCAUAUUCCACAUAAUUUGAAAUGGGAUUAAGCCCUUCCAUCAGAGAAUUCUCUGGUUCACAGUAGUAAAACUUUUUACACUCUUCAUGCAUGAAAUGUUCGCAUAAGGUCACAAACUCAGAAUAAGUCAUAAAAGAAAAUUCAACAUCAUUGAAGAUGGUUUUAACACCACAAGUGUAAGAUAAAUGAUUGCGAUUAAAUACCCAUUGGUAGUUGAGUUCCACCAUCGCAAAUACUCCAUUAGGUUCCAAUUGUGCCAUUGCUACGACUUCUUUGUUUCUUCAGCUUGAUCAUAGGAAUGCUUCACAAACCCUAAAUCAAUUUCUUUUACAACUGAAUAAUGAAGACGAGUAAAGUUCGAUAGCUAAAGACGAAAGGCUUUAAGCUUCUUAUAUCAUUAAUUGACUUGGCAUAUCUCACAUGGCAUCAGAUUAGCCAAAAAAUAUAUAUUAAUUGACAUAUAUAAAAUGUCAUCCAGGAAACCGAUUAAAAGUAGAUAAAAUGAAUAAAUUAAUAGAUCAUAUACAAGUUCAAUGGUCUAAUGUGAUGGGUUUUACACAAAAGAAACAUCCUAUGUGCUCAUGCAAACCCUAAAGUUUGGAUCUAGGAUUCUCUAUUGUACAUGCAAUUCAUCUAAGACUUAUGAACCCUAGAUCUAGCAUACAUAUUUGGAAUUUAUCAUAAGAAAACAGAUCUAGAUGAUUACCUCUUCAACAAUGGCUUGAAUCUUCUUGUCUUGGAGCUUAGAGACACAAAUGUCACUCGUCUAAUGGCUUACUAACACCACACAAGCAAGAGGAUGAUAUUGGAGAGAGGGAAGAGGCGCAAUUUCGGCUAUGAACUCUCUAGGGAUUCAAGUGGCCGAAAAUUGGAUGCCUUGGGGUCUUAUUUAUACUGGUGCUGCUAGGGUUUCAGCCAAAACCCUAAUGGACAACUUAGGCCUUAAGCAAUCUAAGAAGCUUUUGGAAUAGGGCCCUUAUGGCCAAAAUUAGGAUGGACACAUCCCUAAUUUCGUCCAUGCCUAGUCCACGAGGCUCCUCAGCCCAAUAUUCAACUAUCACACAUUUGAUAGUUUAAGCCCCCUUUAUUUAAUUAAUGUCUUUUAGUCACAUAAUUAAUUCUUAAUUACUUCCUGUCUAAUAUUGAUUAAAACAUAUGAUUUCGCCUUUAAUAUAUUAUUAAUAUAAUAUAUUAAUAAACCAUAAUAACCUCUCUCCCUCUCUUCACAAAUCACCCUGUCAAGUUGCUCUGGUGAAGGCAACCCAAAAGGACCAUGCACAACCGGGUCAAGUACUUACCAAAUAUAGUUACGGGCUUAUACACUAAUCCAACAGUCUCCCACUUGGAUAAGUCUAGUAACUAUAAAUGCAAAUACAAUCUGAUUAGCAAUCCUAGCUCUCAAAGACGUUUUCGAACUCUGAUCUCAUCAAUAACCUGUCCUUUAGAUAAGGGAUCGUAUAUUCCUCUGUUCUAGAUAUCGUGCGGACAAUCGAAUGGAACAUAGUCAUACUUAUUGUCCAGUAGUUUGUUUCUCGAUCUCUGACUCGUCUGACAUAGAACUUAAUUGAACACAUCAAUUCAUUCCUGACCAGGCCCGUCACAUAAGUCAAAAUAAAUCAUCGAGGGACCAUAUAUUUCUUAUAACCCUCUUAGGAUAAAAGGAACAUAUAAAGCUCGACUUAUAUGCAUUGAGCAUCCACAGAUUAAAUCACGCACAACAAUGUGUUUUAUAACAUCAAGUUACUGAUGUGUUUACGCAUUAUCAAUGCACAACCAAUUUGCAAACGACAAACCAUAUAUCUAGGUUUUAAUACCAUAUGAUAUUAUCAUCUUGCAAUCGCUGGUGAUAAAUUCCAUGAAGUGAUACCAGCAAGCGUGGGUCUAAUCCAAUGCUCAAAUCAAAUUCAUAAGCACUCAUGAAUGUUGUAGCAAACUUUUGCUAUGUCAUAUACACUUUAGACAAUCUACACACCAAUUCAUGACAGUCUUCUUUCAUACCUAUUUCCAACAUAUGAACGACUAUGGAGUGUUCGAAUAAUCUUAUUAUUCAGGAAGUCAGAACAUGCAAAAUGAAACAAUAGUUAAAUAAUUAACAUCAGACAGUAACUUUACAUAUAAAUAAUACUCCUUUAUUUAUUCAUUAAAUGUCAGUUACAUUUAUCUAUUACACGUUUCAAACUAUCUAAUCUAAACUAAUACCGUCCUCCAGCCCAAUGCUCCUAGCUUGCUGUAAGUGCUUAACCCUACUCUGUCCCUUCGUAAGGGGAUUUGUUGGGUUAUCCUCCGACGAUACCCUCUUCACUACGAGGAGUCCCUCUUCCACCCGAUGUUGAAUAAAGUGAUACUUUCUGUCGAUAUGUCGAGAUCUACCAUGAUCUUUCGGUUCCUUGGUCAAGGCAACAGUUGAUUCGUUAUCACAGAAUAUCUCCAUAGGCUCCUUUAUGGCUGGCACAACUCCAAGGUCUUCAAUGAAGUUCUUCAACUAUAGUGCCUCCUUUUCUGCUUCGCUCAUCGCUAUAUACUCUGAUUCGCACAUUGAAUCAGCUACGAUCUCCUUCUUGGAACUUUUCUUAGUCACUUCUCCUCCAUUAAGGGUAAAGACCCAGCCCGACUGCGAACGGUAUUUGUCCCUAUCGGUCUGAAAACUGGCGUCACUGUACCCUUGCACCUUUAAGUCAUCACUCCCACCAAGGACUAGAAACCAUUCCUUGGUCCUCCGAAGGUACUUAAGAAUGUUCUUGACUGCGGUCCAAUGUGCUUUGCCAGAUUUCCCUUGAUGUCUGCUGACCAUGCUCAAAACAAAGGCCACAUCAGGGCGAGUACAAGUUAUAGCAUACAUAAUCGAGCCAACUGCCGAAGUGUAUGGUACUAGGCUCAUUUUUGCUAUCUCAACUUCGGUACUCGGACUUUGAGUCUUACUCAACUUGGCAUUACUUUGGUUCGGUAACUCCCCUUUCUUGGAAUUCUCCAUACUAAAAUGUUUUAGUACCUUUUCCAAGUAAGUAUUCUGACUAAGUCCUAUUAGUCUUUUACUCAUUUCUCUCACUAUCCUUAUUCCCACAAUAUAGGCAGCUCUCCGAGGUCCUUCAUAGCGAAACAAUUCCCAAGCUAGGACUUGACUUCCUGUAGCGUCGGGACGUCAUUUCCUAUGAGUAGUAUGUCAUCGACAUACAAUACAAGGAAGCUUACUUUACUCCCACUAGAUUUGACAUAUACACAUGAUUCAUCCUCGCUUCGCAGAAAACCAAACUCUUUGACUUUCUCGUCGAAACAAAGAUUCCAUCUGCAAGAUGACUUGUUUUAAUCCAUAAAUGGACUUAUCAAGCUUACACACUCUAUUGGGAUGCUUUGCAUUGAAAGAACCCUCUGGCUGACUCAUGUAAACAUCCUCAACCAACUUUCCAUUAAGGAAAGCGGUUUUGACAUCCAUCUGCCAUAUGUCAUAGUCAUGAAAUGCAACAAUAGCCAACAUCACCCUAAUAUACUUUAUCUUCGCAACUGGUGAGAAGGUCUCAUCAUAGUCAACUCACAGGGUUUCAGUAAAUCCCUUCGCAACCAAUCGCGCCUUAUAAGUGUGCACAUUUCCAUCCAUGUCAAUCUUCUUCUUGAAGAUCCACCUGCACCCGACCAUCUUACGACCUAGAACAUUAUCAACCAAGCUCUAAACUUGGUUAUCGAAUAUGGACUGAAUCUCUCUAUCCAUUGCCUCUUUCCACUUUGCAGACUCUGGGCCUGCCAUGGCUUCCUUAUAGCUGUUAGGUUCGUCCAAAUUCUCUAGUGUACUAUCACUAAUGAACAUAUCCCCUUCUCUAGUAGUAUGAAAACCAAAAAACUGGGGUUGAAUCCUAACUCUUUCGGGAUGUCUAAGAGGUAAGGACUUGGCAAUCGGUUCAAUCGGAGUUUCCUCCUCAGGUUGAGUGCCAGCCUUAGAGGUUCCUUCAUCACUUAAAUUUUGAAUUUCUUCAAGAUCGAUUUGCCUCCCAUUGUCCCCUUGGCUUAUGAUUUCUCGCUCUCAGAAAACCCCUCUCCUCGCAGCGACGACAAAAUUGUCACUCAGUCUAUAGAAGAUAUAUCCAAAGGACUUUUGCGGGUAGCCAAUGAAAAUACACCGCUCACUACGAGGUUUUAGCUUGUCGUAAGUUUCUCGUCUUACGAAAACCUCGUAACCCCAAAUCUUGAUAUGUGCAAACGAGGGAGCUUUCAAUGUCCACAUCUCGUGAGGUGGCUUGGCAACCGUUUUUGUAGGGACUAAGUUAAGGAUAUGGGCGGCAGUCUCUAAGGCAUACCCCCAGAAUGAGAUUGGUAGCGAAGCACAGCUCAUCAUGGAACGAACCAUGUCUAGCAAGGUUCGAUUACGCCUCUUAACCACACCAUUCAACUACGGUGUCCUAGGUGGCAUCAAUUGCGAAACAAUUUCGCAUUCCUUGAGGUAGUCGUGGAAUUCAAGACUUAGGUACUCUCCACCUUGAUCGGAUCGAAGCAUCUUGAUUUUCCCGCCCAACUAAUUCUCCACUUCUUGUUUAAACUCUUUGAAUUUUUCAAAGGUUUCUGACUUGUGCUUGAUUAAGUAGAUAUAUCCAUAUCUACUAUAAUCAUCGGUGAAAGUCACAUAGAAGUAGUUCGCAUCCCUUGUGCUGGAUCUAAAGGUCCCACACACAUCGGUGUGUAUAAGAUCCAAUAAACCCUCACCCCUUUCACAAGUACUAGUGAAAGGUGACUUGGUUAUCUUUCCAAGUAAACAAUACUUGCACACGUCAUCGUCCCUAAGGUCGAAUGACUCCAACACUCCGUCCUUUUGGAGUUGGGCUAUGCAUUUCUUGUUGACAUGUCCAAGACGACAAUGCCACAAGCAUGCUUUAUCCAAACUAUUGGAAGAAUCAACACACAACACAUCAUUUCCUAAAUUGUCUACAAUCAUCACAGUUUCAUAUAUUCCAUUACAAGGCAAUGCUUCAAAAUAGAAAAAACCAUUAAGAUUAGCAUAAAUAGAACCCUUUUCAUUAUCAAAUGAAUAUCUAAAUCCUUGUCUAUAUAAACCAUGAAAAUAAAUUUUGUUUCUUUCCAUAUCUGGCGAAUAGCAACAAUUAUUUAAAUCUAAUCAUAAUCCAUUAUUAAGCACUAAAGAAUAAACUCUAAUCUUGGUGAUAGGCGACGAUCUUUUGUUCCCUAUGAUCAAGUUUAUCUUCCCAUGCUCCACAUCCCUACUUCUUCAUAGGCCCUACAAAUCAGAACAAAUGUGAAACCACAUCCUGUAUCAAGAACCCAAGAAAUAGCAUGCAACGAUUCAUUAGAUUUAAUAGUGUAAAUACCUGCGAAGGAUGGCUUGAUCUUUCCAUCGUUGAUUGCUUCCAGAUACUCUGGGCAGCUUCGUUUUCAAUGCCCUAUCUUGUGGCAGUAGUGACACUCUGCCUCCUUGGGGUUGGAGUUUGGUAUAGUAGAACCAACCUUGGUUCCACUCGAAGAGGUACCAUCUUGGGAUUUUCCCUUGUGGUUGCUCUUUAAGGGAGUCUUCUUCUUCUUACCCUUUCCUUGCCUAAUUGCCAAGACAGGGGCAACAGCAAGAGUAGGAGUUUGUGCAACGAACUUGUCUUUGAGGUUACUAUUGUCAGUCCUCAAUAGACCUUGCAGCUUGCUCAACGUGAUCUCCUCUUUGUUCAUGUGGUAAGUCAUGCAAAACUGGUUGAAGUAGGGUGGCAAUGAAUGAAGGACAAUGUCAAUCGCCAGAUCUUCAUCAAAGUUAACAUUUAAAUUCAGCAGGCGGUUAACAUACCUUUUCAUCUUUUGCAGAUGAGCAGUGACAAACUCUUCGUCUCUCAUCUUGUUCAUGAUCAUCGAAGUGAUGAUCUCAAACCUCUUCCGCCUCGCACUUUGGUGAUACCUUUCAGCCAAGUCAUAAUACAUUUCGUUGGGAUAAUAGUCCUCGUAGGACUUUUGGACUUCAGCAGUCAUAGUUGCUAGCAUGAUGCAAUGGACUUUCGUGGGAUCAUGCUCAUGGGCCUCAAAGACAACGAUCUCCUCGGGAGUAGCAAUGUUGAUGUUCACCUACUUCAGCUCCUUAUCAAGGAGAUACUCUUUAUCUUCAUAACGAGUGACCAUUCGGAUGUUACGGAUCCAAUCAUUGAAAUUGGACCCGUCAAAGAUCACUCUGCCACACAAGUUCAUGAGUGAGAACGAGUCAGAUGAGGUUGAGCCUGAAGCAUUGUGAUUGUUUAAGACAAAGUUGAUUAGACAAGAAUCCCUAAUUAAAUACCCAAAUGAGAAAUUAGGGCUAGGAUCCAACAAUGUUAUUUAAAAAUUAGAAGAGGGAUGUUGUAAUCAAACAUGCAAAUAAUUUAAAGGUAAGUGAAUGACGAUUCACAAAUUUUCCACUAUGAAAAACGAAAAAGAGAUUAGGUUUUAAUUGUAUUGAAAACUCCUAGAUCCUUUGAGAUUCAUUGAACUUUUCAAUGGCAUGUUUAAAUCUCGAUAUGCCCCUCAAGUUUGUGACUGGGAUGCCGAGGAUCACUGUAACAACAUAAAUUUUCAAAACAAUUUUUCAUUUUUCGAACAACAUAAACCAUCAAUUCAAUAUUCUCAAAUCUCAUGUUUAGCAAAUGUUAUCAUAAUAAAAAUACAUCCCAAGAUCAUAAAACAAAUCUUCCGUCAGUGUGUACAGAUCAUGCCUGCGCCUUCCCACGGUCCUCGCUCGUACCUGAAACACAUAACUCAACAACUGUAAGCAUAAUGCUUAGUGAGUUCCCCAAUAUACCACUUACACACAUACGCCCUUCCAGGCCAUGACCUUCCAGUCAUGUGUCUCANUGUGUCUCAGGGGACUUCCGUCCCAACCCGGUAAACCUUCCGGCGCUACCCGUGUCGACCUUCCGGUCCAUGACUCCCUGACCUUCCGGUCCACAUCAUAAUGCCUUCCGGCCCAUAACGUAAUGCCUUCCGGCCCAUAACAAGCAUAACAUACAUAACACAUACAAAACGGUUAACUAAUCACAUACAACGCAUACAUCUUAUAGCAUAUCUGACCUUCCGGUCACACAUAGGUACCCUUCCAAGUACAGUAUACUGAGAAGACUCACCUCGUAGGAUGUCUAGAAUCUCACGUGUUCGAUAUCUCUGAAUCUUGAAACGACGACCCAACCCCGCCUAUUCACAACGAAUAAUCAUUCUAAUUAAUAUAGGCUUCCAAGACUAAGCUACACCCUUUUUCACUAUCCCACAGAGGGGUAAAAGACCAUUUCACUCCUCCUUGACUCAAAAGUCCACAUGUUGACCAAAAUCCUAAAAGUCAACAAAAGUCAACAGCAAGCAGUACACGGGGCGUACCAGCUCCUGUAUGCGGGGCAUACUCUUGCAUUCCACAAACGGGGAAUGCGUCCCACUUCCUUCUUCUAAUGUCAUAAACGAUUAAGACACAACCCCAUAUUCCUGAUCUGGCUAAAAUAAUACCUCUUAGUCCAUAAAGUCGAAACCUUUAAGCCUUGGCAUGGCUAAAAGGUUCCCCAUACCUUCUAACACCUUUCCUUCCCCUCCAAGAGUCUAGAUCUCAUGCAUGGCUCAAUAUCCACGUCCAAGAUUGCAUUUUUAUAAACAUACAACUCAUAUAGUCCUGGAAUAUGACACAUCUAGGGCAAUGGAUACUACUUGUUCAUAAAGUCUCCAUCUUGGGACCAAAAACCCUAGAAAUUGGUCCAAGAAGCACACCAUAUAAACUAAAAGGCAAGAUCUGAACUUUUUACCUUAGGAAGAAGCUCCAACCUUUAUAGUCCUCAGAUCUACACUUGUUCACCAACUUUUAGCCUCCACAAUGGACUCCUCUUCUUUUUUACUACCUUGAAAUGGCACUUUGAAGCUUAGAACACUCACACCAAGCUAAAAACUAAGGAAAUGCUCUCUUAGGGUUUCUUUCUGAAAGAUGGUGACUGAGGGACAAGACCAUCUAAUUCCUUUUAUAGCCCUCAAGUCGUAUUAGGGUUUUGAGUCUUGGCCAGUUACGCCCGGUGUAACGUUAGGUACGCCCAGCUUACCUGGAUGGCACUGCAUAUAAAAUAAGCGUGCGAGUACGCGCAGCGUACUCUGUUUACACCCAGCGUACUCACUCAACACAAAGGACCAAAAUGACAUUUUGGAAAAGAUGAAGGGUUAAAUGGUCGUACCUGAAUUUCGGGCAGUUACAAUUCUCCCCCAAUAGAACCAGACUUUGUCCUUGAAGUCUUAAACCGAAAACAACUUUGGAUGCUGCUCCCGCAUUUCCGACUCGGACUCCCAUGUCAGCUCGGACCCCUUCCGAUGCUUCCACUGCACUUGCACCAAAGGCACUUCCUUGUUCCUUAGAACCUUGACCUUCCGAUCCUUAAUUGUCACCGGUCUCUCAACAUAGUUCAGGCCUGCAUCCACCUGAAUAUCCUCUAAUGGUACCACUGCCGACUCGUCGGCUAUACACUGUCUCAACUACGACACAUGGAAAGUAUCGUGAAUCUGACCCAACUCCGUAGGUAGAUCCAAACGUAGGCUACCCAACCUACCCUCGCGAUUACGCUGAAAGGUCCAAUACAUCGAGUCCCCAACUUGCUCCACUUCAUGAAUCAGAUCACUUCUUUCCAAGGAGAGACCUUUAAGAGUACGAGGUCACCGACUUGAAACUCGAGCUCGGACAGACGCCUGUCCGCAUAACUCUUAUGGUGACUUUGAGCGGUCAACAACCUCUGCCUGACCUGCUGUAUCUGCUCAGUCGUCUAAAGCACGAUCUACGUACUGCCCAUUACACAUUGCCCCACCUCUCCCCAGCAAAUGAAGGCCCGACAUCUCCUCCAAUACAACAGCUCAAAGGGUGGCAUACCAAUGCUUGAAUGAUGGCUAUUGUUGUACGGAAACUUCGACAAGGGUAACUAUGUGUCCCAACUUCCGCCAAAAUCCAAAACACAUGCUCGAAGCAUAUCCUCGAGUUUCUGAAUCGUCCGCUCACUCUGACCGUCCGUCUGUGGGUGGUAUGUUGUACUAAAAUGUAGCCUCGUACCCAACUCCUCGUAAAACUUCUUCCAAAAUCUGGAAGUAAAUCGUACGUCUUGAUCUGAAACCAAUCGACAUCGGAACCCCAUGCCACGAUACCACCUCCCUCACAUACAACUUUGUCAACCUCUCAGCAGAAGAGCUCUCACUGAUAGCAAGAAAAUGAGCGCUCUUCGUCAACCUAUCCACAAUCACCCAAAUUGCAUCGACUCCCCUUGCAGUCCUUGGCAAUUUGGUGAUAAAAUCCAUGGUAAUCUGUUCCCACUUCCACUCGGGAAUCUCCAGCGGCUGCAGCUUACCAUGCGGACGCUGGUGCUCGGCGUUAACCUGGCGACAAGUUAGGCACCUCUUAAUGAACCAUGCAACAUCCAUUUUCAUACAAGGCCACCAAUACUCCUUCUUUAGGUCCAGAUACAUCUUAGUGGCCCCGGGAUGGAUUGAGAAGUUCGAUCGAUGUGCCUCUUCCAUCAAAAUGGUACGCGUCCCGCCCACAAACAGUACCCAAAUCCAACCAUGAAAUGUCAUAAGUCCCCGACUAUCGAUAACGAACUCCGAUACCUGCCCGACAACUCGCUCCCUCUUUCAGUUUUCUGUUCUCAUAGCCUCAGCCUGGGCCCCUCGGAUGGUGUCUAAUACCGGAGUCAUCACUGUCAACCUCAUACAAACGUCUCGAAUCGGGGUGCUCUCCGCCCUACGGCUCAAAGCAUCGGCUACGACAUUAGCCUUGCCCGGGUGGUACAGGAUCUCACAAUCAUAAUCCUUCACCACAUCCAACCAUCUCCUCUGGCGCAUAUUCAGGUUGGGCUGAUCCAUCAAGUACUUCAGACUCUUGUGGUCCGUGUAUAUGGUACACCGAACCCCAUAUAGAUAGUGACGCCAGAUCUUGAGGGCAAAUACCACAACCCCCAGCUCCAGAUCGUGGGUGGGAUAUCUCGACUCAUGAGGCUUCAGUUGCCUCGAUGCAUACGCUAUCACGUGUCCCAUUUGCAUAAGCACUACCCCUAACUCAGAUAUUGAUGCAUCACAGUAUACCACAAAAUCCUCCAUCCCUUCCGGAAGUGCGAGCACCGGGGCUUCGCACAACUUCUAGCGAAGUGUCUCAAAUGAGGACUGCUGCUCCGGACCCCAUGAAAAUGCAACACCCUUCCGGGUCAUCUUGGUAAGUGGCACGACGAUCUUGGAGAAAUCCCUAAUGAACCUCCGAUAAUAGCCAGCCAAUCCCAGAAAGCUCCUGAUCUCAGUGGGUGAUCUCGACACCUCCCAUCUCAUCACCGCCUCGAUCUUGGCCGGAUCAACCAAUACCCCUUUCUGGUUAACAAGAUGCCCUAGGAACUGGACCUCUGAUAACCAGAAAUUACACUUGGAGAAUUUGGCAUACACCCUCUCCGAACUCAGAACUCCAAAGAUCUCCCUCAAAUGCUCCUCAUGCUGCUCUCUAGACCUCGAAUAAACCAAAAUAUCAUCAAUGAAUACGAUCAUCGAUCCUUGGUAACGGAUACCGGUUCUUGACCGUCAACUUGUUCAACUCCUGGUAAUCAAUACACAUCCGGUGUGAACCAUCCUUCUUCUUGAAAAAAAAAGGAUCGACGCUCCCCAAGGUGAGCUACUCGGUCAAAUAAACCCCUUCCCCAAUAGCUCCGGAAGCUGCAAGGAUAACUCCUGCAUCUCUAGCGGCGCGAGGCGAUAAGGCAUCUUGGCGAUAGGUGCUGCUCCCGGAACCAAAUCGAUAUGGAACUCCACUUGUCUUUCUGGAGGCACGCCCGACAGUUCCUCGGGAAAAACAUCCGGAAACUCGCACACUAUCGGGACCUUGUCAAUUGAGCUUGGCCUCCCCGCGACCACUCGUGUGUCCAUCACAUACGCUAUGAAUCCACUACAGCCUUGCUGCAAACUCUGUCUCGCCCAGGCAGCAGAACAAAACGCUGAACCACACCGGGUCCCUUCGCUAUACACAUUAAGCACUCCCCCACUAGGGUCUCGUAUGGUCACCAACUGUCUCUCGCAGUCAAUAACCGCUCCAAACUUACUCAACCAGUCCAUGCCCACGAUGACACAGACAUCUCCCAUCGCGAUAGGAACUAGAUCAAUUGGGAACUUGACGCCAAAAAUAUCGAGCACACAUCCUCGAAUCACCUCGGUGGCAUACACCACUUUCUCAUCAGCUAUGGAAACCCUCAGGGGUCGACUCAUCACCUCCCAACUAAUACUGAUGUGCUGACUAAAAGCCAAAGAUACAAAAGACCGACUCGCACCCGAGUCAAACAAUAACAAGCCGGGUACAGAAUUCACAAGAAAAGUACCUACGCAUAUCAUAAUAUAAGCACGAUAUCUCAACAUGAAAGUAAAUACACGAAAGAAUACAUACCAGCCACGACAUCGGGCGCCGCGCGGACCUCCUCCGUAGUCAACCGAAAAGCUCUCCCACGAGUCUUCGGAGCCUCGGCCUUUGCCGGUCGAAACUCGGUAACCCUAGCCGCAGGCGCAGAUCCCUGUGCUGAUCCCUGAUGUAGUAGAGGACACUCGGCCUUCCGAUGGCCGGUCUAGUUGCAAUGGAAGCAAACCAUAAAUCCCUUGGGGUAAUCCUUGGCGAUAUGCCCCUCCUUGCCACAUUUGUAGCAAGCACCCGAUCGGCAGACCCCCUCAUGUCCCUUACCGCACUUCCUGCAAGUGCGGCUCUUCUGGACUCCAGUCCUUGAAUCAGCGAACUUGGUCUGCUUGGCUGCCGGCUGAGACUGAGCCGGCCGCCGAUCCAUCCUCUGAGACUCGGCCUCCUCCCUAGCCUGAGUCUCCUACUCAAUCUCCCUCUUCCGGGCAUUUUCCUGGAGCUCAGCAAAUGUCCGGUACGUCGAGUUCGACACGAACUCCCGAAUGUCCCUCCUCAAAAUACCCAAAUACUGUCUCAUCCGUGCUUGCUCAGUAGACACCUGCUCAGGGCAGAACAUCGCCCUCUCAUCAAACUUCCGGGUGACCAUAAUAAUCGAAUCAUUACGCUGCUUGAGGGUCAAGAACUCCUGAAUCAACCGUUCCCUCUCCACCGGGGGAACAUAUUCAUCUCUGAACAUGAUGGUGAACCUCUCCUAGGUCACUGCUGAAAUAUCUGCAAGAGUGAAGUUCACUAUCACGAACUUCCACCAAUCCUUCGCCCCUAGGCGAAGCUGGUUCAAAGUGAACCGUACCCUCAGAUGGUCCGUACAUGAACACGUAUAGAAGCAUCCCUUAAUGUCAGAAAUCCAUCUCAUCGUAGCGAUCAGAUCCUGCGUCCCAUCAAACCCGGGUGGCUUCAUGUUGCUGAACUCCCGACACAACAACGAGUCACCCCCCUGAGGUCUGGCAGCAGCCACAGCUGCUGUAGCUACAGCGGCUGCGGCCUCAGUCACCGCGGCGUACCGCUCAUCAAAAGUCUCCAACAAUGUGGUCUUGAUAGACCCAAACAUCUUCAGAAUCUUGGCCCUGAUUGCCGCAGCCACCUCAUCGUUGAUCAUCUGACGAAGCUCCUCGUCACUCACACCGCUCGCCCCAGGUCUAUGGCAUGUCCCAACCAUGAUGCCUUUGAAAUACAACAUAAAAAUAUCAGAGACUCGAUCGAGCAUACUCGCACUCGAUAACGCAACCCUAAUCGGCCUCCGAUACCCAAAGGAUUCUUACUUGGGCUGCCCACUGAUCCGGUGUCUUCAGUAGUACGGGCCCUAUACUACUGAUUACACCGCAUCAGCAUUCACCCCAGGUCCUCCUCCCUGGAUCCUGGAACGCAAGUACUCUAUUUACGCUAUGCAUUGGCUACUUACUCACUCUCAAGGCAUCUCAUAGCAGUAGGAUUCUCCUAGACUAAGUCAUCAUAAAUCAGGCCACUCUAGUCCUAAUAUGAAUACCUAGUCUACUCUAGCAUGCAUAACAUAUCAUAGCAUAUCUCAUAACACAUAUUGUAAGGGUAUUUUGCGGAUUUUACCGUUCGGGCGCUGGCUGGCCGUACACACUGCUCCUUUUUUGGUUAUCUCAAAACCUCUUAUAAAAUUUUAUGCUUUUAUUAUUCGAAUUUUUUUUUCUCAAAUCCUCGGUUUGAGUUCAGUUACGCCCGAAGGUGCACCCGAAUCCCUCAAACCAAGGCUCUGAUACCAACUUGUAACAACGUAAAUUUUCAAAACAAAUUUUCAUUUUUUGAACAACAUAAACCAUCAAUUUAAUAUUCUCAAACUCUCAUGUUUAGCAAAUGUUAUCAUAAUAAAAAUACAUCCCAAGAUCAUAAAAUAAAUCUUCCGCCAGUGUGUACAGAUCAUGCCUGCGCCUUCCCACGGUCCUCGCUCGUAGCUGAAACACAUAACACAACAACUGUAAGCAUAAUGCUUAGUGAGUUCCCCAAUAUACCACUUACACACAUACGCCCUUCCAGGCCAUAACCUUCCGAUCCAUGUGUCUCAGUGGACUUCCGUCCCAACCCGGUAAACCUUCCGGUGCUACCCGUGUCGACCUUCCGGUCCAUGACUCCCUGACCUUCCGGUCCACAUCAUAAUGUCUUCCGGUCCAUAACGUAAUGCCUUCCGGCCCAUAACAAGCAUAACAUACAUAACACAUACAAAACGGUUAACUAAUCACAUACAAUGCAUACAUCUUAUAGCAUAUCCGACCUUCCAGUCACACAUAGGUACCCUUUCAGGUACAGUAUAGUGAGAAGACUCACCUCGUAGGAUGUCUAGAAUCUCACAUGCUCGAUAUCUCUGAAUCUCGAAACGACGACCCAACCCCGCCUAUUCACAACGAAUAGUCAUUCUAAUUAAUAUAGGCUUCCAAGACUAAGCUACACCCUUUUUCACUAUUCCACAGAGGGGUAAAUGACCAUUUCACUCCUCCUUGACUCAAAAGUCCACAUGUUGACCAAAAUCCUAAAAGUCAACAGCAAGUAGUAUGCGGGGCGUACCAGCUCCUGUACGCGGGGCGUACUCUUGCAUUCCAGAAACGGGGAAUGUGUCCCACUACUCGGCGCGUACUGGGAUUACGCCUAGCGUACAUCCCAGUUUCUCACAUCCUUCUUCUAAUGUCUCAACCGAUUAAGACACAACCCCAUAUUCCAGAUCUGGCUGAAAUAAUACCUCUUAGUCCAUAAAGUCAAAACUUUUAAUCCUUGGCAUGGCUAAAAGGUUCCCUACACCUUCUAACACCUUUCCUUUCCCCUCCAAGAUUCUAGAUCUCAUGCAUAGCUCAAUAUCCACGUCCAAGAUUGCAUUUUUAUGAACAUACAACUCAUAUUGUCUUGGAAUAUGAUAAAUCUAGGCCAAUGGAGACUACUUGCUCAUAAAGUCUCCAUCUUGGGACCAAAAACCCUAGAAAAUGGUCCAAGAAGCACACCAUAUAAACUACAAGGCAAGAUCUGAACUUUUUACCUCAGGCAGAAGCUCCAACCUUUGUAGUCCUCAGAUCUACACUAGUCCACCAACUUCUAGCCUCCAUAAUGGACUCCUCUUCUCUUUUACUACCUUGAAAUGACACUUUGAAGCUUAGAACACUCACACCCAAGCUAAAAACGAAGGAAUUGUUCUCUUAGGGUUUCUUUCUGAAAGAUGGUGACUAAGGGACAAGACCAUCUCAUUCCUUUUAUAGCCUUCAAGUCAUAUUAGGGUUUUGAGUCUGGGCCGGUUACGCCCGGCGUAACCUUAAGUACGCCCAGCGUACCCGGAUGGCACUGCGUAUAAAAUAAGCGCGCGAGUACGCGCGAGUACGCGCAGCGUAAUCUUUGUACGCCCAGCGUACUUACUCAACAUAAAGGACCAAAAUGAAAUUUUUGGAAAAGAUGAAGGGUUAAAUGGUCAUACCUGAAUUUCGGGCUGUUACAAUCACAAAGCGGGUGUGAAUAACCAUGCAAAUGUAAAUGGUGCCCCCAAUGUUACAGUCACCUAUUCGACGUGCCGAUUAACCACACAUGCUCCAUCGAACCAUGACAAACAUCGAGUGACCCUUUGCCACCCUUGCUUAGAACCCACUUAGUGUGCCGGUUAAUCACACACGCUCUACUAACGUCUUAGCAAGGGUACAAAAUGUAAUUUCAUGGAAUUGCAACAAAUUCACUUUUGCCUAAAGUAACUAAGAUUGGGAAUUUUGUAAAAUCAUUUUGUUACUUUAUUAUUCAUUAUACUUUUAAUGAGGAAAGCGUUUUCCCUAUCCUACCUGUUCGGCUAACAACCCUCCACCAAUUAAGGAAGCGGUGGGUGGGAGUGGACACCCAUUAAAUGACAAUUUUAUAGGUCAUAACCUUAUACCCCUUUAUAUAUAUAUAUAUAUAUAUAUNNNNNNNNNNNNNNNNNNNNNNNNNNNNNNNNNNNNNNNNNNNNNNNNNNNNNNNNNNNNNNNNNNNNNNNNNNNNNNNNNNNNNNNNNNNNNNNNNNNNNNNNNNNNNNNNNNNNNNNNNNNNUAUAUAUAUAUAUACAUAUAAAUCUUAUAAUAAAGAAAGUAUAAGAUUGAAUUUUAAACUUGUAAAAUUCUAGGGUUAAAAUUUAAAUAAUUCAAAUUAAAACUUUUAAUCAAAAAUUUAAAUUUCAAAACUUGAGGGCAAGUUUUGAACUUUUCAAAACACAUAGGAUCAAAUAGAAAAUAAUUUAAAUCAUACAAUUAAUUUAAUUAUUAUCUGAAUUUGACCUAUUUCAUUUUAUUCAAAAGAUAAUUCAUCAAAUAAAUUAAAUAACCAAAAUUUAUCAUAUAAGGAAUUAAUUAUUCAAUUAAUUGGUAAUUAUCUUUUAGUUUGGUAAGGAUAAUCAUGUAAUAACAUUAAAAUUCGGAUUUUAUCAGUUAAAAACAAUUUUGGCAAUUAUCCUUCAGUAAAACAACAAGAAAUCCCAAAAAUCCCUCUGUCUGACUCCCUGACUCGCCGAGUCACUAACUGGACUCGCCGAGUUGGGCUGAAUUGCCAAGUGCAGCUAGUGACUCGCCGAAUCAGGUCGGGCAGAGGGUAGAAAAAUGAUUUUCAGUUAGGAUGAACAUACAAGGCAUCAAUACAACAGAAACCAAUUAAGGAUCUGAUACCACUGAUGGAUUUUACUCAAAAGAAACAUCCUAUGUGCUCUUGCAAACCCUAAACCUUGUAUCUAGGGUUCUCUAUUGUACAUACAAUUCAUCCAAGACUUAUGAACCAUAGAUCUAGCAUACAUAUUAGGAAAUUAUCAUAAGAAAACAGAUCUAGAUGAGUACCUCUUCAACAAUGGCUUGAAUCUUCUUGUCUUGGAGCUUAGAGUCACAAAUGUCACUUCUCUAAUGGCUUACAAACACUACACAAGCAAGAGGAUUCAUAUUUGAGAGAAGGAAGAGGCACAAUUUCGGCUAUGAACUCUCUAGGGAUUCAAGUGGCUGAAAAUUCGAUGCCUUGGGGUCUUAUUUAUACUGGUGUUGCUAGGGUUUCAACCAAAACCCUAAUGGACAACUUAGGCCUUAAGCAAUCCAAGGAAGCUUCUGGAAUAGGGUCCUUAUGGCCGAAAUUAGGGUGGACACAUCCCUAAUUUCGUUUAUGCCUAGUCCAUGAGGCUCCUCAGCCCAAUAUUCAACUAUCACACAUUUGACAAUUUAAGCCCUCUUUAUUUAAUUAAUGUCUUUUAGUCACAGGAUUAGUUACUAAUUAAUUCCUGUCUAAUAUUAAUUAAACUAUAUAAUUUCUCCUUUAAUAUAUUUUUCAUAUAAUAUAUUAAUAAACCAUAAUAACCAAUAUCUCUACACAAAUCACCCUAUCAAGUUGCUUUGGUGAAGACAACCCAAAAGGACCAUGCACAACCAGGUCAAGUACUUACCAAAUAUAGUUACGGGCUUAGACACUAAUCCAACAUAAUGUACCAAAAAAAACUUUAAGGUCCAAAUGUAACAUCCCGGAAUUUCAAAAGGAAAAAGUGCAAGUUCAAAGGAGGGACUCGACGAGCAGGCACGCUUACUUGCGGAGUCGGAGCGAGAUUUUGUCACUAAUUAAGUGACCAACUCGCCGAGUCAGAAGCUUGGACUCGAUGAGUUGGUGCUGAAGGGAAAAAACCCUAAUUCUGAGGGUUUUUCCCUAUAUAAAGUGUGUUAUGUCCCUUCCUCUGCCUCCAUAUCAUCAUUGAGAGCCUACAAACCCUAGAAAUCGAGUGGAACUCCAUUGAUAGAGAAAUUGGAGCUUUGGAGGGGAAAUGCUUGCUAGUAUCCUGGUAGAUAGGAUAGUGAUAUGCAUAUAUGCUUGUUAGCUUAUCCCUAGAGAAAGGGAAAGUUUAGUGAUGGUUAGUUCUGUUAGAUCAGCACUCUAGUAGUUGAGUAGUGGUUAUGAGUACAGACCGAUAUUUUGGUCUUGUCUUAUGUGCGCUAGUCGGAGGUUACCGGCGGGUUGUGUAUGUUGAGCAAUAGCAGAGGGUAUUCCAUCCCGGCAGGAUGAUAGGGCCCUAGUAUGUUGGUUCUGUAGAAUGUUAUGUGGUUGCCUGUUAUGUAGGCAUUCCAACCCGAUGGUUGAGGGGCCUGGGGUAUUCCAUCCUGAGGGAUGAUUGGACCCAUAGUAAUAGUUAUUGUAUGUAUAGGAAGUGGGGCAUUCCAACCUGAUGGUUGUGGCCCAGGAGUAUUCCAUCUCGGUAGGAUGAUUGGACUCGUAGUAUGUUGGCAUUCCAACCCGAUGGUUGAGGGGCCUGGGGUAUUCCAUCCUGAGGGAUGAUUGGACCCAUAGUAAUAGUUAUUGUAUGUAUAGGAAGUGGGGCAUUCCAACCUGAUGGUUGUGGCCCAGGAGUAUUCCAUCUCGGUAGGAUGAUUGGACUCGUAGUAUGUUGGCAUUCCAACCCGAUGGUUGAGGGGCCUGGGGUAUUCCAUCCUGAGGGAUGAUUGGACCCAUAGUAUGUUGUUCUUUGCUGUAUACGUAUGUUUAUGUGUGUAUCGGUACCUUGGGGGAACUCAUUAAGCUUUCGGGCUUACAGUUGUGGUUUAUUGUUUCAGGUACUUCAGGUGAUCGUGGCAAGGCGAAGACGUGAUCAUACCACUCCUCAUGUUUUAUGUUUUAUGAUAUGGUUCUGGGAAAUACUCUGAUGUUUAAACUAUUUUGAAAACAAGUUGUAGUAAUUUAAUGAUGUUUUUAAAUGAAAUGACAUGUUUUAAAUUGGCUCAAAUUUUAUUAUCGUUACACCAAAUUCGCCAAAUUAUGACAAGUUUCAUGUGCUAUAGUGACAUUAUCCCAAUUCUAAUCACUUUGAAUGAAAUGAAAUGUUUUAAAUUGGCUCAAAUUUUAUGGUCGUUACAAGUUGGUAUUAGAACCUUGGUUUGAGUGAAUUGGAGGAACAUUCGUGUGAAUCCAGUCUCAAAUCAAGGAGAGAUUUUCAAAAAGGAUUUUCAAAUGGCUUUCAAAAUAAGAAAAAAAAAAAAGAGGACGCAGAGGGUACGAUCAACCAGAGCCAGUAAGUUACCCAAAAUUACCAUACAAGUUAUUUGUUUAUGUGAUAUGUUAGAACAACAUGCUAGUACUAGGCUAGGGAUCUUCAGCAAUUGCAUGAUAGAAUUGCCUGAUUACAUGAUGCCUGCUAGCCUAGGGUUUCCUUUGUAUGAAAUUGACAUCAUUACUGUAGAUGUUUAGUGUAUGCAUCACGGUUAUACAUAAUUAAGAUCUUAUAGCGUGGGAAUAUUUGAUUUGGCCUUAUGUUUCGUUCUUGUUUGAUUGGGAGCUUAGGGUAGAAUUGAAUAUUCGAAAGUCUAUAGGGUCCAACAUUAUGUAUGAUUAGCAUAUACUAGUGCUGCAGGGGUUGGUGGAAGUUUCAUGGUUGGGUGACUUGUGGGACCGGUAGGUCAGUAUGAGAUAUUCAAUAUUCCUCUAGUGUUGAGGAUUGAGUGCUUGCUAUGUAUGUUUGUGCUUAGGGCAUUGUGGUGAUACUUGAGACAAAUAUGGGUAGGCGUGGAAGGUAGUAUGGGCCCAUACUACUGAAAGCACAGGACCCAUACGUAUGUCAAGGAAGUCACAACCCCUAGGUUGUUUGGUUAGAGGUUAGUUCACGGUGGUUAUGCGAAGUAUCUGAGGAUCUUAUUGGUGCUUGUCAUUUAGUAUGGCGAUUACGAGGCGUAUCGGGGAAGGAUCCGGUUCGGGAUCGGGACCAGGAGAGGGUGGUCAGGAUGGCUUAGCACCGCCCGAGGUCGUUGGUUAAAUGAGUACGAAUGAGUUGGAUGCCAGGAUUUGUGAGAUCCUACAUGAUGAGGUUGCUGUUAUGUUCUAGGCUGAGUUGCCAGAACUGUUUGGGUCGAUCAAGACCACCAUGGUCGAGUAUUUUGAUGAGCGCUAUGCGGCUCUCAUAGAGACAGCAGCCGCGNGGCGGCUGUAGCAACGGCAGGGGGAGGAGCUAGUCGAGGCUUUUAGUAUCGGGACUUCGAUAAUACGAAGUCCCCUACUUUUGAUGGGGUUCAACAUCCGAUCAUUGCUAUGUGAUGGUUGUCAGAUGUGGAGGGAUGUUUCUUCACAUGUUCAUGCCCUGCUAAUCAGAGGGUGGGGUGUGCCCUGAACCUGUUGAGGCUCGGGGCGAAGGAUUGGUGGAGGUUGACCAUGGGAUCGUAUUCUGACGCGCAGAGGGCUGCGGUUUCUUGGGAUCAGUUUCGAGAUAUGUUCAGUACUCGUUAUGUUCCGCGGGUGGAGCGGGAGAGAUUGGCUCAGGAGUUUUUGGAGUUGAAGUAGGAUUCUGAGUCGGUGACAGAGAUCACCAAGAUGUUUACUGAGAGGGCGAUGCUUUGCCCGGAGUUUUCUUCGGAGCAAGCUCAGAUGUCCCGAUAUGAUACCUUAUUGGAUUUGCAGGAGGCCGCCAGGCGGCGCAAGUUAGAGAUCGAGCUCCAACUAAGGUAGCAGAGGCAGGCCUCGGUGCAGUCGCAGCCUGCACCGAAGCGGAUGAGGGCCGAUGAUUAUAGCCAGGGAGGNGCAGGCCUCGGUGCAGUCGCAGCCUGCACCGAAGCGGAUGAGGGCCGCUGAUUAUAGCCAGGGAGAUCCAAGGAGUCACACUUGCGGGAAGUGCGGUAAGGUGCACGAGGGAAGUUUUCGUUCUUCUUCAGGGUGCCACAAGUGUGGCAAGGAAGGCCACAUAGCCAGGGAUUACAGGCAGUCAACUCCAGCGGCAGGAGUCCGACUUUGUUUUCAUUGUGAUCAGGUGGGCCAUAUGAAGGCCUAGUGUCCUCUGCCGGCUGCUAGGUCAGUGUAGGCCCCAACGCCAGCCACUUUGAGACUUACUGACGGAAGUCAAGGUCGAGCAGAGCCUCCAAAGGCUCCAGGACGUGCUUAUCAGCUUUUGACUAAGGAGACCAGGUCAGCGCCAGAAGUGUCAACCGGUAUGUUUUCUGCCUUAUCUUAUCUAUGUUAUGAUUAUGUGUUGUUGCUUCUUGCAUGGGAUAUAAAGUAUUGUAUGUGUUAGAGGAGAGUUGGUAUUGAGGGUUAUUAGAGGGUUAUCAUCCGGUGUGGAUGCGUGAGAAGGGGGGUCGUGAUUCGGGAAUUUGGAAGCUUUCAGCAGGAGCUUAGGUUCUUUGAGGUUCGGUGUACUGGUUUGCUUAGAUUGAGCAGUGUGUUAGCUUUGCCGCCAGGGAUGGUGGUUAGUGCUCCAAGUGGGGGAGAAUUUGAAAUUUUCGGAUGAGCCGUUAGUUGUGGAAUGAUGCCUGACGCGAUUUAAAUGUUGGUUAUUGGAGUGGUGCAAUGAGGCGGUCCAGCUAUAGUAAGGGCUUGGCAUGUAUUGUAGAUCUUGGAGCAAGUAGGGAGGAUGCUGCUAUGUGAUAGCGGCUGGUGGGGGUUGUCCCCGAAUGGUGGAACUACUGAAGAAGUGCAACAAUCUAUGUAUGGAUUGCUGGUCAUGUGAUCAGUCUCGGGGUACGUAUGCAUGUUAUGAGCUAGCAGUGUGGGCCGCUAAGGGGUGAUGUAUAGUGAGGUUCUAUCGUUAUGGCAAUGCAGAUGAUGCGUAAGUAUGUUUUUAGUCUCCUUGGAAGAGGAGGAGGAUAGUGGUUCCAUAUUCGAGGUUCGGAUAGAGGAAAUUGAGAUGGCAGGUCGAUAGACCCGUGAGUGGUCUGGACUGGUAUUGAGGAUUGUGUAAGGAAAUUCCAAUAGAAGGUUGAGGACCUAGAGAUAGUGAUGAGAAGUGGUGCGUGGGUUACGCUCAGUUGUGUCGAACUGAAGGGUUCGAGGGUGACUCAAGGACAAGUCCCUUGGUUCCGAGUGUGGUUGUAGGGUUGAGUUAUGUGUAUGGAGGUAUUCCAAUAUGGGGGAUUACAUCAUGAGGAUGAACGGACCAUAUGAUUGAUUGGACCUGGUGCGUUUGGCAUUCCAACCUGAGGGUUGAUUAAGCCAAACAUACAUGAGGAUGCGAGGGUAUACCAUCUUGGGGAUGACUGGACCCGUUAGUGGUGUGCCUAGUAUUCCAGCCCGAGGCUGAUUGGGCCAGGUACGAGUGGUUACACGAUACGUUAGGAUGAUGGGUUAUGGGAGCUACAGGAUGCAGUAUCCUGUCAGCGCGUAAGAUAUAGAAUUAGAAGGGAAAUCAGGGUUUGUUCUAGGAUUGGAAGUUAUCUGGGUUUUCGCCAAUUUUGGGCGAAGGGAGAUGGAUCAGUGUCUCAGCAAAGCUCAGUAGGUGAUUAUAGUAUCUAGCGUUCGCAGGACACAAAGGCGUGUUCCUUAUAUGAAUAGAUGGUAUCAUUGGGUGAUACGUGGUUGAUAGGUUGUGCUACUAAGUUGAAGGGCCAAUGGUCGGCUUGGAGUAGUGGCAAGGAUGCCAUGCGAGAAUGAUUCAUUUUAAGAGAAAAGUAGUAGUAGGGUUGCAAGAACCUGCAUUAAUAGAGAAUUUGGAGUCUGCAGUGCCAAGGGUUUGUUUUGAAGUGUAUGUUACAGCAAGCUUCGAGCACGAAGCCUAAUUUAAGUGUGGGAGAGUUGUAACAUCCCGGAAUUUCAAAAGGCAAAAGUCCAAGUUCAAAGGAGGGACUCAACGAGUAGGCACGCUUACUCGCUGAUUCGGAGCGAGAUUUUGUCGCGAAUUAAGUGACCAACUCGCCGAGUCGGAAGGUUAGACUCGAUGAGUUGGUGCUGAAGGGAGCGAACCCUAAUCCCGGGGGUUGUGCCCUAUAUAAAGUGUGUUAUGUCCCUUCCUCUGCCUCCAUACAAACCCUAGAAAUUGAGUGGAAGUCCAUUGAUAGAGAAAUUAGAUCUUUGGAGGGGAAAUCUUGAAAAGGGAACUUGAAGACCAAGGGGAUUACAGUAUGGGAGUGGUAUAGAUCCGAGAUCUACUUCAGUGGGAGCUUUCAUUUGAGGUAAUAAUCUGUUGCUUGGGCUAUUGUGCUUCUAGAUUUAUUGUUAUUGGAGAUUUGGGACAUUUUUGGGGAUGAAUGAGACCUAUUUGGAGUUUGGAGUUAGAUCUGAGGUUGCUACCUCAGAUCUAGGCAGGUAAUGGUCUAGAAUGUCAUAAAGUUUCAGUCUUUGAAUGAUUAGUGAAGCCCCUUUGACAUAACCCUAGCUAUUGUGUGUUUUGGGCCUAUAUCUUUUUGCUUUCAUGUAAAGUUUGCAACUUUACAUGUGAGGCAUGCUCUAGGAGAGUGGAUCUACAAUUUGGAGCCCCUGCAUGGCUCGAAUAGCCUCUAAAUGGAUUGAGAACUGGAGAUACUCGGCGAGUCACAUGGGUGUACUCGACGAGUUGUAUGAAUAUGUGCAUGGACUCAGCGAGUUGGAAGAGCAACUCGGCGAGUAUGUUGAAGAUUACGUUGGACUCGGCGAGUCUGUUCUUGGACUCGGCGAGUCUGGUCGCGGAACCCCAACCUCUUUUGGGUUAAGCCUUGAAUCAGUGAGUCUUGGGGUGACUCGGCGAGUUGAGUCAUGUUCUAAUAGUUUUCAGGGCAUAAGGAUUCGACGAGUCGACGGGUCGACUCGGCGAGUAGAGUCAAUCAGGGAGUUGACAUUGGCUUGGACUUUGACUUUGACUUUGAGGGUGUUAUGGUAAUUGGUUAUUGAUGUCAAUGGUCCAUGGAUGGUGAUAGGUGUUGGAGUUUGGAGCAGUGCUUCGGGUGCGUGUUUUCGUGGUUUGGUUCUUCAUUCAGGUGAGUUAUCCUCAAUGUACCAAGGGUCUAAGGCACCAAGGCCGGCCCUUUGAUUUGUUGUUUAGAGUUGUUUAUGUUUAUGUGAUGAAAUGCUUGCUAGUAUCCUGGUAGAUAGGAUAGUGAUAUGCGGAUAUGCUUGUUAGCUUAGCCCUAGAGAAAGGGACAGUUUAGUAAUGGUUAGUUCUGUUGGAUCAGCACUCUCGUAGUUGAGUAGUGGUUAUGAGUACAGACCGGUAUUUUUGUCUUGUAUUAUGUGCGCUAGUCGGAGGUUACUGGCGGGUUAUGUAUGUUGAGAAAUAGUAGAGGGUAUUCCAUCCCGGGAGGAUGAUAGGGCCCUAGUAUGUUGGUUCUGUAGAAUGUUAUGUGGUUGCUUGUUAUGUGUAUAUGUUUGCUAGAGUAGUUGGCAUUCCAACCCGAUGGUUGAGGGGCCUGGGGUAUUCCAUCCCGAGGGAUGAUUGGACCCAAAAUAAUAGUUAUUAUAUGUAUAGGAAGUAGGGCAUUCCAACCCGAUGGUUGUGGGCCAGGAGUAUUCCAUCCCAGUAGGAUGAUUGAACUCGUAGUAUGUUGGCAUUCCAACCCGAUGGUUGAGGGGCCUGGGGUAUUCCAUCCCGAGGGAUGAUUGGACCCAUAGUAGUUAUUGUUGUGUGUAUAGGAGGGUGGGCAUUCCAACCCGAUGGUUGUGAGCCGAGAGUAUUCCAUCCAGGUAGGAUGAUUGGACACGUAGUAUGUUGGCAUUCCAACCCGAUGGUUGAGGGGCCUGGGGUAUUCCAUCCCGAGGGAUGAUUGGACCCAUAGUAUGUUGUUCUUUGUUGUAUACGUAUGUUUACGUGUGUAUUGGUACCGUGGGGGAACUCACUAAGCUUUCAGGCUUACAGUUGUGGUUUAUUGUUUCAGGUACUUUAGGAGAUCGUGGCAACGCGAAGGUGUGAUCGUACCGCUCCUCAUGUUUUAUGUUUUAUGAUAUGGUUAUGAGAAGUACUCUGAUGUUUAAACUAUUUUGAAAACAAGUUGUAGUAAUUUAAUGAUGUUUUUAAAUGAAAUGAAAUGUUUUAAAUUGGCUCAAAUUUUAUUAUCGUUACACCAAAUUCGCCAAAUUAUGACAAGUUUCAUGUGCUAUAGUGACAUUAUCCCAAUUCUAAUCACUUUGAUUGAAUCCUUUUAAAUGAAUGACACAUGCUUAGUUGUUUUAGUCUGCUCUUCUUAAUUUAAGCUAUAUAUCAUGGGGGUUUGGCAUCAUAUAUCAAGACUCCAAGAGAACUGUAAGCAAAUUCAAACACAAGAAAAUAUGUUUUCUUAAUUAAUUAAGGGGUAUAUUUGAAAAUUAAUUUCUUUUAAAUAACUAGUCUAAAUAGUUUUUGAAAACCCUAGCUUAUAAGCUACUUUUUGACUUGCCAAACAUGACAACUUAAAAAAGAUCAAAAAAUAAACUAGUUUAUCAGCUAGCUGUGGUGUGCCAAACAGAGCCUUAAUUAUUAAGACUUUGAUUAUUACUAAUCUUUUUUUGUAAUAAUGACAAAAAAAUUGUUAUGUAACAUUUCAAUUGAAAUCGUAGUUGUGGUGAAUGGAUGACUAAAAUGAAAAGAUGAAAUAAUGAAACUAUCUAACUAGAUACCAAUAUAAAUUGUAGAAGAGUUAGAUGAAAUGAUAAAACUAUUAAAAAUAGGGGCCUAAUGUGGAAAAAAUUAAAACCUUAUUACCUCUCUUUAAACUAUUAUAACAACCAUAUUGGUGUAAUACGUAUAAAAAAAACGCUAGGGACCUAAUGUGAACAAAAUUAAAACUUGAUUACCUUUUUUUAAAUGGUUAUAACAACCAUAUUGGACUAAUAUGUACCAAAAAAAACCUUAAGGACCUAAUGUGGACAAAAAUAAAACUUUAUUAUCCUCCUAGGUCAUUAAACCUAUGAUUAGCUGUAUCCACAUAUUAUAUGGAUUUAAUUAAAAAAAAUUAAAUAUGAAGUUCUAAAUAUCUAAGAGUUUUAGAUUUAUAAGAAAAUAAAAAAUAAAUAAUGAAUUAUUAAAAUUUAAAUGUCAUUUUUACAUUUUAAAUUUUAACAAAUAAUUUAGAUAAAUAAACAAAGGAAACUAAUGGAGUUUUAAUUUAGGAAUUUUGAAAUUAUAAGGCAACUUUAUUAAUGAAAUUGAUAUCUAUUUAUUAUUACAUUUAUUGAAAUUAUUAUAGUUAAAUACUAUGUGGAAUUAAUAAAAUAGAAAAAACCAUAAAAUAACAUGUAGAAAAAAUAAUAAUUUAAAUAACCACAAAAUUAAAUUUGGAAAAAUAAAUGAGAAUGUGACACAUGACAAACAUCUUUAUUUGUUAGGGUUGAUAUACAAAAAAACACACGCACACACACACGAUAUUAAGAGCGUGUUAGGCAAAACUAGCUGGUAGCAGGUAGCUUGUAGUUUGUAGCGUUUUAUUAAACGCUACAUGAAGUAGCUUUUAGAUUUGGAGCGUUUUGUUUAAGUUAAACAAUAGAAGCUUGUAGUGCCAAAUAAGGUUUUCUAUUCAAAACGGAGCAUUUUUCAAAUGCUAGAAACUAGGGGUGAGCAUAUUAACCGAAAAUCUGAACCAUAACCAAAUUAAAAAUAUAUAACAGAACCAUUACUAAAAGAUAUGGUGCGGCUUCUAAUUUUGAUUAACCGGAUACAUAUAGUUUUGUCUUUUGAAGUCUUUAUUCCUCAACUUUGACAUUAAUUAUUUUUGUUUUUGAUAUAUAAUACUUGAUACAAAAUAUAUGAGUAGACUGUAUUUUAAAUGUCUUUUCAUUGUUAUAAGUUUCAUAAAAUAAUUUAUAACACAAUAAAAAUAUUUAAGGUAAAAGUUGAAGAAUAAAGACUUUAAAAGUAAAAAAUGGAUAACAAAUAUGGGACAUAGUUGGUAUAUUGUAUGCAACUAUAUUAAGAAUUUGAAAUUUAAAGGGAAAUUAUCUGGAAUUAGAUAUGAUAAGUAAUCUUUUGUCAAUAUAAUUAUAUAUACACAAUCAUUCACUUUUUAUAGCAAUGGACUUUAUGAUUUUCAAUUUUUAUAGAAAAGUAUUUUUAUUUUUACAUCAUCUUGGACCAUUAUGGUUAACUGAUAAUAACCAUUAACCAACUAAAUUCGUUAACCAAAACCAAUAUUAACAGCUACCCAAUGGUUAUUAAAAUACAUUAACCAAUUAUAAUAGUUAUGGUUCGGUUUUAACCAAUAACCAAAGCAAACCACCCCCUACACACCCAUACUAGAAACUAGAAGCUCCCAAACGCUCCGUUUUUCUUCUUCUACUGUCAUCUUCAAUGUCGAUUUCUCAAGAUAGCAUGUUCUCUAUGAACACACUCCAUACAUGAUCCUUAUCAAGCUAUGUUCCAUAAACUAUCUCUCUUAUCAUAAAUUAUCGGAUCACAAUAAUCGAACCUCAUAAGCACCACCGGCUACCAUCACUGUAGACGGAAAAGAUGUUUCCAAUCCUGCCUAUUCCACUUGGUUUGACCUUGAUCAAAAAGCUAUCAUCAUCCUUAACUCCUCUCUUACUGAAUAGGCAAUGACUAAAGUUCUAGGGCUUAUAACAACUCGAUACAUAUGGGUUACAUUAGAGACUGCUUACAAAAAUUCUUCAGUUGUACGAAUUCAUUCCCUCAGAGACUCUCCCAGACGGAUUUCUAAAGGUACAUCUUUUGUAUCUGACUAUGUUCGAAAAUUUUAGAGUAUAUGUGACAAGCUUGCUGCUAUAGGUGUAACGCCCGAUGGUUCCAAGGUAUUAUUCUUUUUAAUCAUUUAUUUAAUUAUUUUUAAUCAUGUAAGUUAUUGUUGGGCUUAGAGGAUUGGGCCAUCAUGAGUAGGCUUCGUUGAGGUCGUAUGCUAGGAGUAAGCCUUGUGUACACGGGGCAUAGAAAGAUCAAAAAGAUCGUGGAGUCAUGCAGUACACACAACAUACAAGGUAGUACACGCAAUGUACGUGGCCAGACCCCAAAAACCAUAAUUUUAGGGUGCCAGCCCUGUAUAAUGUCAUUAAGCCCCAUGUGUUAGCUCCCUAUCAGCCUCCUCUUUCCAGAAACCCUAAAAUGGAGUCUUAUCUUCCAUUUUUUUAGUGUGUGAGCUUUUGGAGAGCUUUUAGUGUUCAUUUUUGUGCAUGUUGAAGGAGUUGAAGAAGCUAGAAGUUGCUUAGCCUGAAGAGGAGGUCUUGGAUCCAAACCCUCUACCCAUUUUGCAAGAAGUUUGAGGUAUCAAGCUCUUAUCUUGAUUGCUAGAUGCUAAGAUCUCCUUUUUGGUUAAAUAGUUAUGUUUUUAGCCAUGGUUUGGUUGAAUGUUGGGAUUUAGACAUCCCAAGGGCUUAAUCUUUCAAAUCCAAGGUCUUCAUGGACUCCUUUGACAUAAAGGUUCCAACUUUAUGGAAUCUCGGGGCUUCAUGCAUCCAUUAAGUCCUUCAUUAAGUCCUUUUUGAGCUUUAUAGCUUCUUAUGGUCAUGCAAUGACGUAAAGUUAGCAACUUUACGUGGUAUCUCAACUUAAAGGGGUCAGAUCUACAUCCUGGAGCAAGGUCUUAACAGGUUAGGAGAUUAAUAUUGAAGUUGGCAGAAUUUGUUGGGUAUGCUGGGCAUACACACCUCUAUGCAUAGCGUAUAAGUUAUAGAGCCAAUACGAUUAGUGUGGAAGCUGAGUACGCCCAUGCGUACUCAGUCUGAUAGUAUUUUAUUGUUGGGCUUUCGGUUUGGGCCUCGUUUUGGGCUUAUAAGGUUAGGGUUAAGUUGGGUCUUCUGACUUUGGGAGUUUUGGGCUAGGAAUAUCCUUGGGCCUUGGGCUAAGGCCCAUGUGAAAGGAUUGGUUCCAAAUGGAAAUUGGGCCAUAUUUUGGGCCUUGAUGGAUUGUUUAACUUUUGGUCCAAUUGGAUUGAGGUUAUGGACUUCAUUAUUAGACCAAGUUAGGAUAGGGGUAAAAUGGUCUUUUUACCCCAAAUAGAGACGUUUAGUUGUGCUGUAGAUCCCAAAUGUUAAUUAGUUUUUAUGUGGCAAUUGAUAGCUUGGGGAGUGGUAGAACCAGCAGUCAAGGAUCUUUCAUUGCAUUCAACUUUCCGAGGUAAGUUUCCUCACUGGGUUUAGCGGGUCGAAGGCAACAAUGCUAACCCAUGAUUAUGUUAUGUUAGUAUGCUAGCUAUCUACAUGACUCUUGCGUGUGUUAUGAGUUGAUAUGAUUAGUGGGUAGGGCCCGAUGUCGAGCGGGACCCGAUGAUGUUUUGUAUGCUAUGUAUCUUUUUGAUUAUUGCAUGUGUAUAUGUUUAUUUGAUAUAUGUUAUAACUUAUAUGUAUGUUAGGUGGGGACCAAUCUAUUAUCAAGCAGGGCCCGAUGCUGGACGGGGUCCGAUGCCGGGCGGGGCCUGACGAUAGGGCGGGGCCCAUUAUGUGUUUAUUGUAUGCAUGGUAUAUGGUAUGUUGUGGAACUCACUAAGCUUUGUGCUUACGAUUUUUAUUUGAUGUUUCAGGUACUUCUGGUUCCAAGGGGAAGGGCUCGGGUUAACUGCAUCGCACACACCAUUUGGAAUAUGUUUGUGGGACAUACUCUGAUUUUCAUGGUGUUUGACAUAUUUAUUCUUCUGGUUGUAUGAAUAGUAUUUUGGAAUACAGUUUUUACUUAAUGUGCUGAUCGUGCGGGAUUAUCCAGAUGUGUUCCCUGAGGAUUUGCCAGGGGUACCUCCAGAGAGACAGAUGGAGUUCAAGAUUGAUUUGGCUCCAUGUGUAGCUCCGAUAGCCAAGGCACCGUAUCGGAUGGCUCCUCCCGAGAUGAAGGAGUCAUCUAGACAGCCACAUGAGCUGUUAGAUAAGGGAUUUAUAAGAGCGAUCGGUUCGCCUUGGGGAUCCCCAAUUUUGUUUGUGAAGAAGAAGGACGGGUCUCAUCGGAUGUGUAUUAACUAUCGGAAGUUGAAUAAGGUAAUGGUGAAGAAGAGUUAUCCCCUCCUGAGGAUUGAUGAUCUUUUCGACCAACUUCAGGGUACAUCUUGGUUCUUCAAGAUAGAUUUGCGAUCGGCUUAUCAUUAGAUGCGGGUCCGUGAUAAGGAUGUGCAGAAGAUGACUUUCCGGACUCGAUAUGGUCAUUAUGAGUUCGUGGUGAUGCCUUUUGGGCUCACCAAUUCACCAGCCGCAUUCAUGGAUCUCAUGAACUGUGUGUCCAAACUGAUGCUGGAUCGACUUAUGAUAGUAUUCAUCGAUAAUAUUAUGGUUUAUUCCAAGACCUAGGAGCAGCAUAAGGAGCACUUGAGGGAGGUGCUGGAGACUUUGAGGAGGGAGAGACUUUCGCAAAGUUCUCCAAGUGUGAGUUCUGGUUGCACGAGGUGUAGUUUAUGAGUACAUUAGCAACCAGAAGGGUAUUCUAGUCGAUCUGGCCAAGGUCAAGGUCGUGAUGCAGUGGGAGGUUCCGAAGUCUCCAUCUCCGAUUCAAAUCUUUCUUGUCUUGGCUGGGUAUUAUCGGAGAUUCAUUUAGGAUUUCUCCAAGAUCAUUGUUCCAUUGACCUGACUGACCAAGAAGUCAGUGAUUUUUCGCUGGGGGCCUGAGUAGCAGGCAGAUUUUGAAACCCUUAGACAUCGGUUGUGUGAGGUGUCAAUUCUGACCCUACCGGAGGGUGUUGAUGACUUUGUGGUUUAUUGUGAUGCAUCGAUCACAUGUUUGGGGGCAGUAUUGAUGCAACGUGGUCGCGUGAUCUCUUACGCUUCGAGGUAGUUGAAGCCUCAUGAGGCGAAUUAUCUAACGCAUGAUUUGGAGCUGGCGGCCAUUAUUUUUGCCCUCAAGAUUUGGCGGCAUUACCUCUAUGGGGUACGUUGUACCAUCUACAUAGAUCAUAAGAGCCUGAGGUACUUGAUGGAUCAACUGAAUCUGAAUAUGAGGCAACAUCAAUGGUUGGAUGUGAUGAAGGAUUAUGAUUGUGAGAUCUUGUACCACCCGGAGAAGGCCAAUAUGGUGGUCGAUGCUCUCACCCAUGAGGCGGUUGCGGCUCCGAUCAAAGACCUAUGUUUGAGGAUGACCAUGUUCACUUCAUUAUUGGAGCGGAUUCAUGAAGCACAGGUUGAGGCUAUGAAGGAAGAGCAGAGGAAAAGCGAGUGGAUUGUGGGCCAGGCGGCUUCCUUUGAUUAUGACAGUCAUGGAUUGUUGACUCUACAUCGAAGGGUCUAGGUUCCGUAUUGGGGCGUUGCACGCCAAGUUCUGAUGGGGGAGGCUCACAAGUCGAGAUUCUGCAUUUAUCACGGGCCGAUGAAGAUGUAUAUGGAUCUUCGUCUUGAUUAUUGGUAGCCCUGCAUGAAGCAGGAUGUAGCAUUGUACAUGGAAUGGUGCUUGACUUGCAGGAAAGUCAAGGCCGAGCAUUAGCAACCUCACGACAAGAUGUAGCCGUUGGAGAUUCUCGUAUGGAAAUGGGAAGACAUCACUAUGGAUUUUAUCACAAAGCUUCCUAGGACUGCAUGCGGAGUGGAUUCUAUCUGAGUCAUCAUGGAUCGAUUGACCAAGAGCAUGCAUUUCAUUCAAUCCAGGAGAGUAUUUCUACAUAGAAAUUGGCCGAGAUUUAUAUCUGGGAGGUGGUGGCACGUCAUGGAGUUGGGAUACGUUUUACUUCCAAGUUUUGGAAGUGGUUUCAUGAUGAGAUGGGCACUCGUAUCCAUUUCAGUACAUCAUUUCACCCGCAGACCAAUGGUCAGUGUGAGUGGACUACUUAGACUCUUGAGGAUAUAAUGCGUGCAUGCGUGUUGGAUUUUGGUGGGAGUUAGGAUACGUAUCUUCCGUUAGCGGAAUCUUCGUAUAACAACAAUUAUCACGCUAGCAUCGAUCGACCUCAUUUUGAGAUGCUCUACGAGAGGAAAUGCAAGACCCUGAUCUGUUGGGGUGAGGUCGGUCAACGAGUUAUGGGGAGUACCGAGGAGGUGCUCAAUACCACUUAGCUGAUUCAGGAUGUUCGGAGCAGGAUCCAGACAACUCAGAGUCAGCAGAAUAGCUAUGCGGCAGGCUUUGGUCAGAUUUGGUAUUCUAGGUAGGAGACACGGUUCUCCUGAAGGUGUCACCUUGGAAAGAUGUCAUUCGGUUUAGGAAGCGGGGCAAGCUGGCCCCAGGUAUAUUGGUCCCUUCAGGGUUUUGGAUCGGGUGGGAUAGGUUACAUAUCGUCUUGAUCUUCCAGGUGAGCUUAGUCAAAUUCAUAGCAUAAGUCAUGUCUCCCAGCUGCAGAAGUGUUUAGCAGAUGAUUCCGCAGUUUUACCUUUGAUGAUAUUCAGGUGGAUGACUGCUUGAAUUAUAUUGAGAGACCGGUGGCAAUUUUAGAUCGGAAGAUGGAACCCUUGAGGAACAUGGUUAUGGAGUCGGUUAAGGUGCAAUGGCUGCACCACAAGGGGUCUGAGUGGAAUUAGGAGCCUGGAGAGGAGAUGAGGGAGCACUAUCUAGAUUUUUUUGGGACAACAGACUUCGAGGAUGAAGUCUUAUCCAAGUAGGGAAGAACUGUAACGCCUGAUGGUUCCAAGGUAUUAUUGAUUUUAAUCAUUUAUUUAAUUAUUUUUAAUCAUGUAAGUUAUUUUUGGGCUUAGAGAAUUGGGCCAUCAUGAGUGGGCUUCACCUAGGCCGUACGUUGGGCGUAAUCCUGGUGUAUGCGGGGUCUAGAAGGAUUACAAGGAUCGCGAAGCCAUGCACGUACAUGCAACGUACAAGGUGGUAUGUGCAACGUACGUGGCCAGACCCCAAAAAACCUAAUUUUACGGUGCAAUCCCUAUAUAAUGCAUUAAGUCCCAUGUGUUGGCCUCCCUAUCAGCCUCCGCUGUCUAGAAACAAUAAAAUCGAGUCUUAUCUUCCGUUGUUGAGUGUGUGAGCUUUUGGUGUUCGUUUUUGUGCAUGUUGAAGGAGUUGAAGAUGCUAGAAGUUCCUUAGCCUGAAGAGGAGGUCUUGGAUCCAAAACCUCUACCCAUUUUGCAAGAAGUUUGAGGUAUCAAGCUCUUAUCUUGAUUGAUAGAUGCUCAAAUCUCCAUUUUGGUUAAAUAGUUAUGUUUUUAGCCAUGGUUUGGUUGAAUGUUGGGAUUUAGACGUCCCAAGGGCUUAAUCUUUUAGAUCCAAGGUCAUCAUGGACUCCAUUAAGUCCGUUUUGAGCUUUAGAGCUUCUUAUGGUCAUGCAUAGAUGUAAAGUUAGCAACUUUAUGUGGUAUCUCGGCUUAAAGGGGUUAGAUCCACAUCUUGGAGCAAAGUCUUAACGGGUUAGGAGCUUAAUAUUGAAGUUGGCGGAAUUGGUUGGGUACAUUGGGCGUACAAGCUUGUAUGCGCAAUGGACAAGUCCUUGUGCCAGUACGCUUAGCGUACAAGCCGAGUACGCCUCACAUACUCUGUCUGAUGGCAUUUUGUUGUUGGGCUUUCGGUUUGGUCCUCAUUUUGGGCUUAUAAGGUUAGUGUUAAGUUAGGUCUUCUAACUUUGGGAGUUUUGGGCCAGGAAUAUCUUUGGGCCUUGGGCUAACACCCAUGUGAAAUGAUUAAGCCCAAAUGGAAAUUGGGCCAUAUUUUGGGCCUUGAUGGAUUGUUUAACUUUUGGGCCCAUUAGAUGAAGGUUAUGGAUUUCAUUAGUGGACCAAGUUAGGAUAGGGUAAAAUGGGUUUUUUACCCAAAAUAGAUAGCUUUGGUUAUGAUGUGGAUCCCAAAUGUUAAUUAGUUUUUAUGUGGCAAUUGAUACCUCAGGGAGCUGUAGGACCAGCAGUUAGGGAUCUUUCAUUGCAUUCAACUUUCCGAGGUGAGUUUCUUCACUGGGUUUAGCGGGUCAAAGGCACCAAUGCUGACCCAUGAUUACUUGAUGUUAGUAUGCUAGCUUUCUGCGUGACUCUUGCACGUGUUAUGUGUUUAUAUGAUUACCGGGCAGGUCCCAAUGCCGGGCGGAGCCCGAUGACGUUUUGUAUGUUGUGUAUCUUUGUGAUUAUUGCAUGUGUAUAUGUUUAUUUGAUAUAUGUUAUAUGUAUGUUGGGUGUGGACCGAUCUAUUACUGAGCGGGGCUCGAUGUCGGACAGGGUCUGAUGCUGGUCGGGGCUCGAUGCCGGACAGUGGCCGAUGCUGGGCAAGGCCCAUUAUGUGUUUAUUGUAUGUAUGGUAUGUGGUAUGUUGGGGAACCCAUUAAGCUUUGUGCUUCCAAUUUUUAUUUUAUGUUUCAGGUACUUAUGGUUCCAAGGAGAAGGGCUAGGGUUGACUGUGUCGCACAUACCAUUUGGAAUCUGUUUAUGGGACAUAUUCUGAUUUUCAUGAUGUUUGACAUAUUUAUUCUACUGGUUGUAUGAAUAGUGUUUUGGAAUAUAGUUUUUACUUAAAUUAAAAAUGAACUUUUUGGGUUAUAAUUUUUUGAGGUUACAAUUGGGCAGUCUGCUAUGAAAUCAAUAACGUCAACUAGUUCUAUGUGGGUUCAAUCCUUGCUGUGAAACCUCUUCUACAACUAUACGCACCACCAAGCGAGCUCUUGCCCUCCGUAACUUACUCUUUCAAGCUGAAAAUCAUGAAAUGAUUCUUUAAUCUAUUUAAGGUACCACUACUGUUGCUACUUUUGAUUCUCAAAAAUCUUGAAACAACUCUCCUAGAGGCUGACAACCCUCAUACAACCAAGGGGGUGGUACUCGUGGUAGCUCUAAUGGUGGCAUGGCAGGGGUCGUGGGGGUACGUAGGCAUCCUCCACAUUAUUGGUUGUGUAGAACUAAUGGACACUGUCACACCCCGAAAACCAAGGCGGAAAUAUUUCUGGGGCGGACUCCACGUUGUGUAUCAAAUCCAAUGCACAUAGUAAGCAAAGUAAACAACCAUUACAUUACAUAUAGAAAUUUACAUUUGUUCAAAAGUAAAGUUGUACAAGUGAUGAUACAUAUAUAUAUAUAUAUACACACACACACACACAAAAGUAAGACGCGUCUUCUACGUACUCCGUCUUCGCCAAAAGGAUCAUCAGGUACCUAUCUAAUGUGGACCUGAGAAUACAAGCAGUUUAAAAAUCAGCAUAAAGCUGGUGAGUUCAUAAGCGGUUUUGUUUUCUGAAAAUGUACGAGUUUCCUUUUGGUUUCUGAAAAUGUUACGACCCAAGAAAUCCCAAAUUUUCUUAUAUGUAAAGUUUAGUUAUCUGUUAUGUUACACGGUUCUGGUUAUGUUCAAUUGUUAUCGCAGGAAAAUCCCAUAUGUUCCUAAUGUGAAAGAUGUAUACUGAAAACCUGGUUAUCCUUGUAAAGUGUAUGUUAGUUCACCAAUCCAAAAUGUAAUGUAAAAGAUGUACACUGAAAAUGUAUUAGUUUUAACACGUAUAUAAAACUAAUAACUACAAAGUAAACUAGUUACUGAAAUCCAUUACUACUAAAAAGUAAAUCUCUGUUAUCCAAAUUGCGAGUUCCAUAACCAUACGAUAUACUAAUUAUGGCAAUAAGUAGUCCAUCUCAGUUUAUGACUUUCGUCACACUUGAACCUUUCAGUUCGGCUGUAGCUAGCAACCAGGUGCGGGGUAGUCAGCCCCGUAUAGAUUUAUACACUCAAGUCACGCUCCUUAUCUAAGAGAUUCUGGUUACAGGGGCGGUCCUCCACUCGCGUAUCUCUGUGGAGUGUUCUCCAAGGACGUGUCUCCAAUUUAUAGGUAUAACAAAUUUACUAGUAAUAAUAUAGAAAGAUCAAAUGACUAUCCUCCACUCGCGUAUCUCUGUGGAGUGUUAUCGAGGACAAAACAAUGUUUUAAGUUAAUGUUCAAAGUUCAACGUUAUGCUUUUAACUGUUAUGAUGUGGGAAAACCAUUUGUGAAAAUAUAAAUUACAGCAAUUUAUAAUAUUUUUCACAAAUAAUACGAUAGUGUGUUCUGCAAGUUCAACGGUUAUCUAUUAUGAUUGUCAGUGUUAAAAGCAUAUGUAAAAUGAAACAAAACAUAUAUAAAACAAGUUUUGAGUACAAGUAUCCCUUGUACUUUUCUUGUAUUCCCCCCCCCUAAAAACAGUGAAAACAUUGAAAAUGGGUAGGGGUAUGAACUCACCGGACGAGAAAACGUGUCGGUUUGGAUGUUAUGUGUCGGUUCGGGGCUUGAUAAUGUGUGAGGUUCCUAUGUAAUAUGAAAUGGUAUACAAAUGUAUCUAAUUAGACUUUAAAUCGCUAAUUAGAUAUGAUUAUACACUCCAAUACGAAAAAAACACUUCAAUCAAGUGUUUAAAGUGACCCGGGUGACAUCUACGGACGUAUAGGGCUUUGGAAAAUGAGUUUGUUCUUCAAGAGUAAACUCCUUAGGGAGUUUAUGGCCCUAAGACUAUCACCACAUGAGUUCACAGCCGUGAACUCAUGAAUAUGCGGUAUUAUGGUGUCAAAUGGUCAAAUAACACUUGGGAAGGGUUGCUAUGAUUUAAUCUAAGGCAUAGGAAUGAGCUUUACCACCAAAGGGACCAUCAAAGGGAGUUUACGGCCCUAAACUAGGAUUUUAUGGCCGUAAGCUCCUAUAUAACCAUUCCUUUCAUGAUUUGGUGGCCUAGAUCAUUCACAUGUGAUUCAAACCAAUUUUACAAGCCUUAGGAUGAAUUUAGGGCAUCAUUUGGUUAGUGUUUAUGAGUUUACGGCCCAGGAACCCAUUCUAGGGGGGUUUACCGCCAUGAAAACUCCAAGGGGUGGUUUUCAUCAAGUUUAAGGCCCCUAAAUCGAUUGUGAUUGAUUCUAGAAUUUAAUCCAAGCCUAUUGGUGUGUUUAAGUGGCUUUUAAACACUCAAAUAUGAGUUUACUCUCCAUGAAGGUGAGUUUAUGGCCCAAGCAUGUUCUUGGGCAGUAAACUCAUGUUUACUCCCCAAAAAUUGGAUUCAAGGUGUUCUAAGUCCAGUCCAUUAAGCCAUUUAGCCAUAUCUAAGCUCCAAAGGUCGAUUGGAAGGGUUUAAAGGCUUAAAAACCCAUUAUAUGUGUGUCUACGGCCCAAGCAUGUUCCAGGGCCGUAAACACAUGAAAAUGGUCCUAAAUCAUAGUUUGAACUCGGAUUUGAAGGUCUAAGAUGCUAUACUAAGAGUUAGGGAAGUUACCUUGGUGAUUUGGAGCUUAAAUUUGAUGAUUUUGGACCUUAAAUUUGGUUUGAGGAGAGAGGUUAGAGAGAGAGUAGUGAGAGAGAGAGAGAGAGCAAAAGCUUCAAAAGGAAGCUUAAACCACUUUAAAUAGGUUCCAAUUUUGGGACACAGUGGAAUUCUACCCGGUACCGACGUUAAACGAUGCUUUUGGUCGCACCCGAUUAAGUUGCCGUAACCUGAUAUGGUCGAUUCUAAAAUGUUUCCGAUUACUAAUAUGGAGUGUUAAUAUGAGUUCUAAACACGUUUGGACACCCAUUAAGUCAUAAUAUAAAUCCCACAAUUAUGACUUAAUUUAAUGACGUAAGGGAAACAAAAUUGAAAACGACGAAUAUAUUAACAAAAAGGGUUACAAUUGAUGGAACGAACUUCGGGUUGUCACAGACACUAUGCAUCAUCUUGUCACAAUCUUCACACUUAUGUUGCAGAUGACUACAACUCAUAUGAAAAUGUUGUUCAAUCCUUUCAGUCUUAAUGUCAUGUUACUUAAGGCAAUCUGGAUUGUAUGUAGACCAGUAAGGCAUGGUCUAAAAUAUGCUUCGUGACGAUUUUAUCGAUUCAUGGAAUCAUAAAUAUUUUGAGAUGGAGAUGAUCGUUAAACCAAAUUUUCAAUUGAAAUCGGGCAACUUCAAUACGAGGUUGUGUAUAAAGGAAGCGGGAAAAAAGGUAAGCAGGGUAUAAAUUCAUGCAUAAUAAAACAAAAAAAUGUAGAUGUACAAGCACCCACAUUUUGUCCCUUUAAUUCCCUAAAUGAGUAAAUAGAUGUAUAAUAAUUAAUGCGUAAUGUACAACAUAAAUUAUAAUAUUACAACAACAUAAAUUAUAAUAUUCCAAUUUCCAAAUCAGAAUUAUUGCCCUGUAUUAGGGAUGUCAACGGGACCAAACAAGAGCAGAAAUAGUUGUCCCCGGCCGCCUCAGCCCCUGAAUCAGUUAUUGCCUCGGAUCUUGCCCCCGCCCCUGCCCCCGAAUCCCUCGUUUACAUAUCCCCCGAUCCCGUCCCUGAAUACGUUCAUCAUUGCCGAUCCCCCACCUCCGUUCCCCCGUUUUAUAGACAUAAAAUUGACUCUUUUUUGCUAAAAAAUUUGUUAUAUUUUCGACUAAAAAACUAUUUUUCAUAACUUUAAAAGCUUAAAAUCUAGUUUUUUUAACAACUAAAAAAUUAAAAAUCCAUCGAUACAAAUUUAAUAUUACAAAACGACAAAUCCAACAAACUUAUAAAUAUGAAAUACGACAAAUCCAUCAUUACAAAAAAAAGUACGACACGUCCAAAAAUAUAUAACCAAUUUACUAUCUUCAUAUGAUUUGAAAUGGAACAAAGUUAAGAAACCCUAAAAUUAGAUAAUGUAUUGUCUAUGUAUAUUUUUAUAUUAAAUAUAUAUUUUUUUUAUAUAAAUAUACAAACNNNNNNGACCCUGAAUUGUUUAAAAAAUUAAUCCCGCCCCCGGUCCUGAAAAUUUUUGUACUUUAGCAAACUUCAAUCCAGAUCAAAAGCCCUUCAAAUUCCAAAAUGAAGAUAUAUUUCAAAAUUUGUUCAUACAAAUUCUAACCAUUCGCGUAUCUCCGUGGAGUGUUCUCCAAGGACGUAUCUAACACUUUUUGUAAAAAUAGUAAAAUAACAUAUUUAUAUGUUUGCGUUUUAAUGUAGAUUUUCUUGUGUGAUACUUGUAUCCCCCCCCCCCCCUAAAACAUAGAAAAAGUCUUGAAAAAUGUAGGGGUAUGAACUCACCUUAUAUGUAUUCGCGGUUUGAUAACCAAGUGAUGGUGACGAUCUUUAUGUUACGAACACUUGAAGAUGAUUGAAUCGUAAGAGUUUUAACACAUACUAAUGCGUGAAUAAGAUGAACUAGUAUGAAAAUGUUUACAUAAACACUAGAUUAUAAGAACUUACAAUGAUUCCUAAGGAAAUAGCUUGAAGAAUAAGGCUCCACGGGAUGUUUGAUCUUUGAGUUUGGAAGGAAAUGAGACUUGAUAUUUGAGAGAGAAUUUGUGAAGUGUGAAUGUUUAACUGUGAAUGAGGAAUGGCUCUAAUUCGUGUAUUAUAUAGGAUACAAGAGAUAAUGAAGUGACACUUACGUUGGUAAGUGUAGUAUAUCGCUUUGGGAAGAUAAAUAACCAAUCAAGUGGCACCAUAUCAUGAUAUUUAAGGGAGAUUUCGGCCCUAAGAGGGUGAUUUCGGUCCCAGCAUGACCGAAAUCAUCAUAAACACUUUUCACAAAUUAGAUUUCGGCCCUAGCUUCAACUAAGGAGGAGAUUUCGGUCUUGACAUGCUUCCAUGAAGGGUUUUCGGCCUUAGUGGGCCUUAGAUAGGUGAUUUCGGUCGUGGCUCUAUCCCAUGAAGGUGAUUUCGGUCCUAAUGGACCAUAAGCUAGGUGUUUUCGGUCUAACCCAAUAGAAGUUCCCAAGAUAAUGAGCUUACAACUAAGUAAUGUAAUUCAUUUGAUUUUUGUUGACUCUCCUAGGUUUAUCACAACAUGGAUUUCAAAGUAAUGCAUAUAAUAACUUAUAUAACCAUGCUUCGUGGAAUUCAUAGUUCUAUUGCAUCAAUUUACGUUGUGAAUUUACUGGUACAUGGUUGGAGUUUAGACAUUGAUUGUUCUAGCAUUUUUCCAGUUGUGACAUCCCCCCCCCCCCCCCCCUCGNNNNNNNNNNNNNNNCCCCCCCCCCCCCCCCGGUUAGAGGGAAUUUCAUCCCGAAAUUAGUUUUAAAGUGGGCACUUUUCAACUAGGGAAAAGAUGUGGAUACUUUUGUUUCAUCUGGUCUUCUCGUUCCCAGGUGAAUUCAGGUCCUCGUUUGGCGUUCCAAUAGACUUUUACUAUUGGUAUACGGCUUUGUUUUGUUCUCUUGAUUUCCCUACCCAUGAUUUCCACUGGCUUUUUGAUGAAAUCGAGACUCUCGUUUACCUCGAUCUCAUCGAGUGGGAUUACAAGAGUUUCGUCGGAUAAACAUUUCUUUAGAUUGGACACGUGGAAGGUGGGGUGUACGUUACUAAGUUCUUGUGGUAGUUGAAGUUUGUAAGCUACCGGGCCGAUUCUAACAAUGAUUUCAAAAGGCCCAAUGUACCAUGGAUUUAGUUUCUAUGCUUUUUGAGGUGUAUCACUCCCUUCCAGGGUGGGACCUUUAACACAAUGCGGUCACCCACCUGGAAUUCCAAGGGUUUGCGUCCCUUAUCUGCAUAGCUCUUUUGCUGGUCCCUAGAUGCUUUCAGCCGUUCACAGAUUUAAACAAUCUUCUAUGUUGUCUCCUUUAUGAUCUCGGGGCUGGUGAAAGUGCUAUCAGGAACUUGCCCCUUUGCUAGUUGCGUGUCACCCACUUUAGCCAAGCACAUAUGUGAUCUGCUGAUUUGCACUUGCGACCAUAGAGGGCUUUGAAUAGAGCAACUCUGAUGUUAGUGUGAUAGCUAUUGUUGUAUGAGAACUUGACGAGUGGUAAAUAGAUAUCCUAAGCUUUACCAAAGUCUAUCACGCAAGCUCUCAACAUAUCCUCCAAUGUUUGGAUAGUUCUUUCACUCUGCCCGUCGGUCUGUGGGUGGUAGGCUCUACUCAUGUCGAGUUUAUUUCCUAGAGAUUUUUGCAAUGACUCCUAGAGUCGUGAGGUGAAUCUACUAUCCCUGUUGGAGAUAAUGGAUAUUGGUACUCCAUGCAGCCGCAUGGUCUCUUUAAUGUAUGUUCUGGUCAGUUUUUCCAUCUUGUCCGUCUCUUUUAUUGGUAGGAAAUGUGCGGAUUUGGUUAACCUUUCAACAAUCACCCAAAUGGUGUCGAGUCCACUUGUCGUCUCGGGUAACUUGGUGAUGAAGUCCAUGGUUAUCUGCUCCCACUUCCACUUGGGUAUUUCAGGUUGUUUUAGUAAACCCGAGGGCCUUUGGUAUUCUACCUUGACCAUGGCGCAAGUCAGGAACUUGCCCACAUAGGUAGCAAUUUCGGCUUUCAUGUUUGGCUACCAAUAAAGUUUCUUGAGGUCUAGGUACAUCUUGUCUGAACCGGGAUGAACAGAGUAUAGAAUCUUAUGAGCCUCGUUUAUGACAACAUCUCAGAAUCUACUGAACUUCGGUGUCCAGAUCCGAUCCAUGAGAUAAUGAGCUCCAUCCCCCUUGACCUCCAAAUUUUUAUCCAUUCCUCUCAAGGAUUCUUCUGAGACAUUUUCAGGUUUCAAGGCUUCCAGCUGGGCCUCUUUGAUCUGGGUAGAUAAGUGCGAAUGGAUGGUCAUGGUCAACGACUUUACUCGGCAUCCUGAGUAUUCUUUUCGACUUAGGGCAUUUGCUACUAUGUUGGCCUUGCCCAGAUGAUAACGAAUUUCACAUUUGUAAUCGUUUAGUAGCCCCACCCAUCAUCGUUGCCUCAUGUUGAGUUCCUUUUGAUCGAAGAUGUGUUGGAGACUUUUAUGGUCCGUGAAGAUUUUGCACUUCGUACCAUAAAGUUAGUGCCUCCAGAUUUUUAGGGAAAAUACUACUGCUCCUAGUUCGAGGUCAUGUGUGGUGUAGUUAACUUCGUGAGCCUUAAGUUGUCUCGAGGCAUAAGCAAUGACAUUUCCUCGUUUCAUGAGCACGCAUCCCAAACCUUGCUUGGAUGCGUCAUAGUAGACCACAAAGUCAUUGGUUCCUUAUGGAAGAGACAAGAUCAGGGCGUUGCAUAGGGCUUGCUUUAGUGUCUGGAAAGCAGCUUCUUGUUUCUCCUCCCAAUUGAAGGUUACACCUUUCUUGGUCAAGGUGGUCAGUGGUUUAGCAAUCUUGGAGAAAUUCUGUAUAAAUCUCCUGUAGUAGCCAGCAAGGCCUAAGAACUGAUGGAUCUCCAUUGGUGUUCUUGGUGCUUUCCAGUUCUCAAUUGCCUAGAUUUUGGAGGGGUCCACAUGUAUUCGCUCUUUGCUGACAACAUGACCCAAGAAGUCCACCUCUCGGAUCCAAAAUUCACAUUGGGAAAACAUGGCAUAUAGCUUUUCCGUCUUCACUGUCUCCAUGAAUUUUCGUAGAUGUUGACUGUGCUCUUCCUUACUUCGUGAAUAGAUCAAUAUGUCAUUGAUGAAUACUAUCACAAAUUUAUCUAAGUAAGGUCGGCAUACCCGAUUCAUCAGGUCCAUGAAAAUAGUUGUUGCAUUCAUCAAUCCGUAGGGCAUCACCACGAACUUGUAGUGACCGUAGCAGUUCUGAACUGCCGUUUUGGGAACAUCUUCCUCCUGGACAAACAGUUGGUGGUAACCCGACCUCAGAUCGAUUUUUGAGAAGUAGCAUUCUCCGUAAAGUUGGUCGAAUAGGUCGUCGAUUCGGGGUUGGGGAUAUCGGUUUCUGAUAGUGAGUUUAUUCAAGUCACGAUAGUCAAUGCACAUGCGAAAAGAUGCGUGUUUCUUCUUAACGAGCAGAACUGGUGCUCCCCAAGGUAAGAAGCUUGGUUGGAUAAAUCCUUUGUUCAGCAGUUCGUGUAGUUGACUGGAUAAUUCCUGCAUUUUGGCCAGAGCCAUUCGGUAUGAGGAUUUGGCUAUGGGCGUGGCUUCAAGAAUUAAGUCGAUUCUGAAGGCGACUUGUCCCACAGGAGGUAUUCCCGGAAGGUCUUCUAGGAAUACAUCGGGAAAGUUAUAGACUUUCAGAAUAUCCUUGAUAUCCUUUACCUCCUUCUUCUUGUCAACAACGUGUGCUAGGAAUAUGUGGUACUUCUUGCGCAGAUAGGUCUGAGCCUUGAUACACGAGAUAAUUUUGAGAUUUGUGCUAGGUUUGUCACCGUAGAUGACGAGGGUUUCUUCAUUUGGUAAGAUGUGUUGGACAGCUUUUUCGUAACAUAAGAUAUCGAUGUGGUGAGGACUUAACCAAUCCAUACCAAUGAUGAUGUCGAAACUCGUUAUUGUGACCGACAUUAAAUCAAUUUGAAAGGAAUGAUUUUUUAGAGUUAGAGUGAACCCUAUGUACACGUCUUUAGUGCUUUUAGUUUUACCAUUUUGCAUUUCUACUGUGAACAUUUCGUCGAGUGAUUAUGGUUUUUGGUUGAGUGUAUGCUUAAACUUGUGGCUCAUGAAACUUCUCUCCGCACCACUAUCAAAGAGUAUGCAUUCAUAUGAGUUAUUGAGAAGGAACGUACUGGUAACCACCGUGGGGUCUUUCAGGGCUUCCUCAUGCCCUAACGUCAUAAACCUUCAUGUACCUCCAACAUUCCUAUUAUUGGCUUUUGGGCAUUCCCUCCUGAAAUUCCCCGUUUCCCCGCACUCGUAGCAUGUUUGGCUUACUCCGGUAUUUGUUUUAGGGAUGGCCUGUUGGGCUGGCUCUUUACAAAAAACGAACAGUGUGUCCUUUCUUGUUGAAAUCUGUGCAAUGCAUUUCCCUACAAGUUCCAACAUGGUGGAAGUUGCACUUGAUACAUUUUGGUAGUGUUCCUGCAUAUUGUUUUGUUGGUGUUGGAGUGGCCGGGACUGUGACAGUGUGGGCUGCCACUAAUUGUUCUUUCUUCGCAGACUCUUGCGUUGAUUUGCUCUUUCUCUUGUUCUAGGGUUUUCUUUUGUUUUUGCUCCCUUUUUCUUGUUCGGGAAUGACCGUCAUAAAGCCCUGGCGAACUCCAUGAUCUACAAGCAUUCGUGCCAAGCAUUUGGCACUAUCAAAAGUAGAGGGGUUUUUAGAUACUACAUUUCCUUGAAUCUGGGGGGAUAGUCCCUAGAUGUAUCGCUCAACCUUUUUACUUUUUGGGGUUACCAUCCCGGGACAAAGUACUACUAGAUCGCUAAAUAUGGCAGUGUAGGCUGUGAUGUCAGAGUCCUUCAUUGGAAGGUUCCCGAGCUCUUAAUCUAGUUUUUGUACUUCGCCCCUUAGGAAAUACUCUGCUAGCAUCAUGAUUUUUAGGUCCUCCCAGCUCAAAGCAUUGUCCACGGGGAGUGUUAGCGAUUUGACAUGGCUGUUCCACCAAGAGAGGGCCCCGUCGAUGAAUGUGCAACAUGCGAAUUUGACUUUACUCUCUUCCGGACAAGCACAUAUUUCAAACGCUGACUCAGUCUUCUCGAACCACCUUGUCAGGGCGAUGACACCUCCGUCUCCAUAGAAUGCUUUGGGUUUGCAGUUCGAGAAGUCCUUAUAGGAGCAUCCUCUUAGUCGACCAUGGCUGUCGCCUUCGUUAGAACUAUUAGUAUCAUUUCCAGCCCCAUUGGUACUGUUGGAGCUAAUCUAUGCUAUGGCAGCGGUUACAUCAGCUGUUAUAGCAACUUGAAAGACAACAAUAUCCAUCGGUGUGGGUGGUGGCGGUGGUGGUGGUGGCGGUGUUGUUGUUGUGUUGUUGAAACGUCUGUUAGAUUUGCGCGGUGGCAUUUUCUGCCAUAAAUUUGAAAGAUGAAAUGAUGAUGAGUGUUCAAUAAUGGGUACAAGUCGGGUGCGAACGGACUAGGUUAUUUUUGUUUCAUUUAUUUUGCGUUCCGAUUUUCGUGUAUUUUGUAAGUGCUUCAUGAUGGAAAUAUAACAUUGUUAAUUUAAAUGAUUACAAUCAAUUUAUGAAUUUACUAGCUAAGACUUUCCAAUGGAAUAAAAUGAAUGUCAAUUUCAUUGAUAUAUUUUAGUACAUAAUACUGGGAAAAUUUGGCCUUUUAAGCAGGCCUACAAUACAUCAAUGCAAAGGAAAAUUUUGAGAGCAUAUCGACUCCCUUGAAUAGUGUAAUCACUUAUUCGCAGGGUCGAUCCUACACACAAAAAAGAGUAGCACUGACGCUUACUCGAAAACACCUAAUCUAUAACAAAACAUGACUAAUAUAGGAACUACUCGUGGUGCAUGGUAUUCUAUGAGCCCUGGAAUGAAGUCAUGAAGGUCUACAUCUCUUUCACUCGGUGCUCAGUCAUGAAGUCAUGAAGGUCUGCAUGGUAUUCUACGAGGUUAGUAGUAAUGUCGUUUCAUGUAUUUAACACUUUUCAUAAAAAUAGUAAAAUAACAUAUUUAUAUGUUUGCGUUUUAAUGUAGAUUUUCUUGUGUGAUACUUGUAUCCCCCCCCCCCCUCUAAAACAUAGAAAAAGUCUUGAAAAAUGUAGGGGUAUGAACUCACCUUAUCUGUAUUCGUGAUUAGAUAACCAAGUGACGGUGAUGAUCUUUAUGUUACGAACACUUGAAGAUGAUUGAAUCGUAAGAGUUUUAACACAUACUAAUGUGUGAAUAAGAUGAACUAGUAUGAAAAUGUUUACAUAAACACUAGAUUAUAAGAACUUACAAUGAUUCCUAAGGAAAUAGCUUGAAGAAUAAGGCUCCACGGGAUGUUUGAUCUUUGAGUUUGGAAGGAAAUGAGACUUGAUAUUUGAGAGAGAAUUUGUGAAGUGUGAAUGUUUAACUGUGAAUGAGGAAUGGCUCUAAUUCGUGUAUUAUAUAGGAUACAAGAGAUAAUGAAGUGACACUUACGUUGGUAAGUGUAAUAUAUCUCUUUGGGAAGAUAAAUAACCAAUCAAGUGGCACCAUAUCAUGAUAUUUAAGGGAGAUUUCGGCCCUAAGAGGGUGAUUUCGGUCCCAGCAUGACCGAAAUCAUCAUAAACACUUUUCACAAAUUAGAUUUCGGUCCUAGCUUCAACUAAGGAGGAGAUUUCGGUCUUGACAUGCUUCCAUGAAGGGUUUUCGGCCUUAGUGGGCCUUAGAUAGGUGAUUUCGGUCGUGGUCUAUCCCAUGAAGGUGAUUUCGGUCCUAAUGGACCAUAAUGAGCUUACAACUAAGUAAUGUAAUUCAUUUGAUUUUUGUUGACUCUCUAAGGUUUAUCACAACAUGGAUUUCAAAGUAAUGCAUAUAAUAACUUAUAUAGCCAUGCUUCAUGGCAUUCAUAGUUCUAUUGCAUCAAGUUACGUUGUGAAUUUACUGGUACAUGGUUGGAGUUUAAACCUUGAUUGUUCUAGCAUUUUUCCAGUUGUGACAGUCUUUUCAUUUCUCUCAACCUAACCUAUUUAAUAAACAGGUUGAACACUUGUUAUUGAAGAUUUGUUACUUGAUGGAACCCUAGUUAUCGAUUUGUCACUUGAUGGAACCCUAGUUAUAAAAAAACCUUUAAAAUCAAGUAAUCCUUCAAAACAAAAUUACAUAAAGCUUAAAAACUCCAAUAAUUGUUCACGUUUCAAAAUAAUACAACGAUAAGUCUAUAAGCCUAUAACACAAAAACAAAUCAAGUGUUUACAACCGUAAUAACAUUUGUACACAGUAAAUGCUAAACAACUCGACUAUCGAUAGAGGUCACUAACCCAUUUUUUUUAUUGAUAAAAAUAAUUAAAAGAUAAUAAUCAAUNUAUAGUUUUUUAAGCAGGUUUGCAGGCUGUAAAUAAUUUGAGAAUUUUAAGCCUAACCUAACCCUUUUAAUUAAAUAGGUUGAACAGGUUGACUCGUUUAAUUAAACAUGUUAAAAAUCUCAACCCAAUCAACUAAUUACCAACCCUAGAUAAAUGGUUGAUGAUUGAAAGUGUUGAUAAAGACAAAAAUGUGUUACCUAAAGAAGUGAAGAUAGAGGAUUUCAAAAUUAACAAAAUGGAGCUAUUGAAAACAUCUUAUAGUGAAUUCGGGAAGCAUUCCUUGAAGGCAUAAGGUUAAACUUUUUGCAUAUUUGAUUCUAACCAUUGGAUGCUAAUAUGACGUUCACGUGGACGUUCUUUUUUACUUAAUUCUUAUUUUAUUAAACUUUAAAUUUAUUUUAAUAUUAAACAAUUAUUAAUGUAUAUUUUUAUUUAUUGAAAACUUAAAACUGAUAUUAUUGUGAAAAAAAUAAAUGAAAAUCACCCUCAUGAAUGUUGUCUAAGUGAUUUCAUAACCUGUGAAAGCCUUCAUCUUAUUCACAAUUUUUUUUGUUGAUGUAACUCAAAAUCCUAACAAAUUCAUGAUGCUAUAUAUUGUGGUGGUUGUUUUGAUGGAUGUAAUGUGCACAGAAUUUUGCAAAAAGGAUGUCAUGUUGACACCACAUCAUGUUUAUAACUGAUUUAUCUCAUUAAAACUGACACCAUUUGUGUAACACAUUAGAUUACAAUUAGUACCAAAAUGCAAAUAAUGUGGUGAAAUAGUGACAUUAUCCCUUGUAUAGAUGAUAAAUAACACAAGUUAAAUACUAGGCAAAUUCACAAUCUUGAAAAAAAAACAAAUAUAUUAAACCGGUAUACUCAUUUUGAUUUUGAGAGAAUUGUCCUUAUAAGAUUAGACUGUGAUGGUCUACCACCAAAUGACGUUCUUUGUAACUCAUGAUUUCCAUGGUUUCACCUUUAGAACCGCACCGUCGAUCUCCAUCUUCAUCCAUCUUUUCAUUUUCUUAUGGUCGGACUCCAAGUGCAGGCCUUCUCACACAACACCUAAGAACCCACAAGAUAAUUUGCAGCCAUUUACUCACCACAUGAGUAGAAAAUAGAAUAUCAUACCAAGUAAAAACUCAAACUAUAUAUAACGGCACUAACUAAAUUUUCUGCGUCGCUCUUUAUAUUAGAAUCAUCACAUGAUUCUCAUAAUUUAUUAAUUUACAACGUAGGAUAAAGAUUUCACAGUUAAAUUUGGAACAUUAGUAAGUCAUAUGUUCCAUCUUUUAGGAGAACAUAGGUAAAAGUGCAAGUUCAAACGGUAUCUAUUACCUUUUAAUUUCAAUCUUUUCAUUUUGAGAUACUUGUUCAUCUAUAGUCAUCUAGGGGCCAUGUGCUGCAGAUAAAAGGGGCAUUGCUGCAAAUACAAUAGAGAACUCAAUAAUAGAAAUGAUAAACUUAAGGGUANNNNNNNNNNNNNNNNNNNNUGGAAUCACUGAUGCAAAAAACCAAUACUAAUCAUGUUUCCCAUUGCGAAAUGUAAUGGAAGUUCAAUUACUACCAAAGUAUGAUAUCUAAUGGAUUCUCCGUUCCAUUAUUAAAUUGGUGGUUUGUUUCAAACGAAAUCAAUUUGUAUCAAACUGUUUUUUUCCACAUAGGUCUGGUUCCAUUUCCGAUUUGUUAUUGUACCUUUAAUUUUCAUCUUGUUUUUAGAUGCUACAAAUAUAUGAAUUUUUUUAGGAUAUCUUAUCUCAUACAAAACAGGGAAAAUGGCCACCCAUGGUGUUGGUGGCAAAUAUAUUGAUAUGGGAGACUUAAAAACCCCAGCCAAAUUACAUAUUGCAUACAGGAAAAUAAGAAAUCGGAAAUAUAAAAUUAGAUAACAAACUACAUCUGUCAAUGCUUUUGGAAACUUGUAAUGAACACAGCCACCUUGACAUAAACCCAAUCUUUGAAGCUAUCAAAAAAGUGAAAAAAUGCAUGUCUCACUCGACGGUUAAAAAGUAAAGUACCACAUACUAUCCAAAAUCCAGUAGCAAAACCCAUUCCCCCACCAAUAUAAAACCAUCCCCAGAGUUCAUCUAUGUCUUCCUCAUCGCCCUCACUUUUACCAAUAAGAGGUGGUGCUUUUGAUUCUUCAUCUCCAGGACAACUUUUGGUAAGGGGAGGUCCACAUAGACGUGCAUUUCCAUUGUAUCUUGAAGGUUGAAAGGAUUGAAGUUGAGUGCUGAUUGGGAUUCUCCCAGACAAGUUAUUAAAUGACAAGUCUAGGUCAUUCAGUAAACUCAUCUGAGACAUGCUUGAUGGUAUCCUCCCUGAAAAACGGUUUCUAGAUAAAUCCAAAGUCAAAAGGUUUUUUAUCUCACCAAUUUUCUGUGGAAUCUCUCCAGAUAGAGCGUUCUUUGACAAGUUCAGAGCAAUCAAGUCAUAAAGAUUGGUAAUUUCAUAUGGCAUUUGUCCUGUUAAAUUGUUGCUUGACAGGUCAAUGAUCUUCAACAAUUUCAGAGUGCUAAUGAAUUCACGUUCAUCUCCUUGCCACUUAAUCAUUGCGUGGUCAACAUAUGUCUCCACUCUAUAUAAACGAUCGGUUAUAAAUCUGUAAUAUUCUGCAUCUUGUGUGAAUCCUGGUUGAACCAUCCUCGUAAGAUUACUCAGACAUGAUGGGAUGGUUCCAUGGAGGUUGUUCAAUGACAGGUCGAGAAUUUGAAGAUUUGCUAAUUGACAUAACUGUAAAGGGAUGGUUCCAAAGAAGUUGUUUGAUCUUAGAAUAAGAACAUACAACCCUGUUAAGUUUUCCCCAAUUGAGACAGGCACAUUACCCGAAAACUUGUUGGCCCCCAAAUUCAAUGAGAUUAAACUUGUGCAAUUCUUUAAAGGCAAAGGCAAGUCUCCAGAGAAGUCGUUCUUGUAUAAAUACAACACCUUGAGUUCUAUCAAAGAUCCGAUAGAGGGAGGAAGCCUUCCAAAGAGAUUGUUGUGUCCAAGAUUAAGAACUUCGAGGUGUUUGAAAUGCCAUAAACAAUCCGGGAGUUUUCCGCUUAAUGAGUUAUGAGAGAGGUCAAGAAAUGAUAGGAAACCAUCAACUAUUUGGCAUAUAAAUGAGAUUCCCCCAGAGAAUUUGUUUUUGGAAAGAUUUAGUGAUGACAAAGUGGAAGGAACAUUCGGCACUGGACCAGAAAAGCUGUUUGAACUCAAAUCAAUCACUGAACGGUUGGCAAAAUUUGAUGAUAAAUCUGGUACUUUACCGCUAAUGUUGUUGGAAGAGAGAUUCAGAUAUUUUAAUUGAGAAGGCCACAUGUAUGCAAACUCCUGAGGAGUUGUGUCUGAAAUUCCAGUAUCGAAAAGAUCAUGUAUAUUUCCAUUUAACAGAUUAUUAGAUAAAUCCAAGUGUUCUAGGGAUGAAAACUUUCGGAUCUCACGGGACAAUGACCCUGUAAAUUGGUUAUAGGAAGCAGACAAGCGUUUUAAUGCAUUGGAUGUGCAUCCAGACAAGUUGUUGAGAAAAUCAGGAAAUUUGACAACAGCAGAGUUAUUAUCAAAGUACAAAGUUUCCAAACUACAGAGGUUACCAAGAUACUUGGGUAUUCCAUCUAACAUGUUGUAAGAGAGAGAAAGUUCGUGAAGCUUAUUGCUUGUCAAUGGGAACAACCAACGAUACAUGGAUGAGGUGAGACUGUUGUUUACGAGAUAAAGGGACUCAAUAGAUGAAGAAGAAGAGUUGAGAAAUGAAGAAUAUGGAUACAUGACCUGUGACAGCUCACACCCCUGUAAACUUAAAAUUGAUAGUUUUGGGAGACUCAGAAUUACAUUUACCCAGUGAUUUUGUUUGGAGAGGGAAAUCCCAUCCAUAUAAAGUUCCUCCAAAUGAGAGAGAUGAGAUAACCACUCUAUGUUUUCAACUCUAAAUCCUCCAUUAUCAGAUCUAAGGUUAAGUUGUUGCAAGUUGGUGAGGUUUCCAAACUCUGGAGGUAUGGUUCCAUAAAGAGAGUUAGAUGAAAGAUCAAGGUGCCUUAACCGAGUCAUGGAACCAAUGUAGGUGGGAAUGGUUCCAUUAAGAUUAUUGCGGCCGAGGUUGAGGUGCCUUAAUUCAGACAAGGAACCAAUGGACCUGGGAAUGGUUCCAUUAAGAUUAUUGUAAGAAAGAUCAAGAUAUCUUAAUCGAGUCAAAGAACCAAUGAAAGUGGGAAUGGUUCCAUGUAAAGAAUUGUAGAAAAGGUCAAGAUAAUCCAAGUAGGUUAAGUUUAGCAAUGAACGGCUAAUCUCACCUCUGAGAUCAUAGCCUUUGAUAUCAAGCCCUGUGACAUGACCGGUUGGGUUGCUACAAAUUACUCCACUCCAUUUACAGCAUUCAUCAUCUUCUUCUGUCCAUGUAGAGAGAGUAUCAAUGGGGUUAUCUUGAAGGGGAGCUUUGAAAAGAAGGAGAGCAUCUCUCUCCUUAUCCCAACACUUUUUUUUCAUAACACCAUUAUUAGUAUCAUCACCUCCUUCUCCCACUGCUACCAAUUGGCUGGCAGUUGUAGUCACAAUGAAUAGUAAGAGAUAUGAGAAAAUUAUAAAAACACAAUUAUUCAUAAUGUAAAUGUAAAAUGAAAAUCUUGGUGAUUUUUGGUUUGUGUUGAUGCCCUCAUGAGGCCAGGGUUUAUGUAGUCUACUAGUCUCCAAUGUGAACAUGAAUGAUUGUAAGUGGGUACGUAGGUGGCGUCAAAUUGGUGUCUGGUUGUGUGGGGUAUACAAUAUUUAAUUCCCAUUAAAUCUGAACCAAACUGUACUAAAAAAAAUUUAAAGAUGAAUAAUUGGAUCUAAUUGCCGCAAAUUAGAACGUUCAAACUUCAAAGACUUGCAAGUCUUUUCCCAUCUUGUGAUAUAAAUCCCAAGAAAACAAACUCAUGAAAUUAAAUACACAUCCGUAAUAACGUUAGUUGGGUCUAAUUAAAAUUCAAUGACUAUGAAAUGAACCUUUAUCGGAUACAAAAAAGUCAGAAUGUAAACGCAAACUUUGAAGUUUGAACUAUACCCUAAUUUAACACCUUUCAUGAAUUUCUCCAUAAUAAAUAAUUUAUGUUUAAGAUAACACCACUACAAAAAUAUGUCAUUUAGUGGCACAUAAGAAGUGCCACUAAAAACCAAAAAAAAAAAAAAAAAAAGAAAAUGACAAAAAUAGCCAUUUACACUAAUGACAUUACAAAAAUAGCUAAAAAAACCGAAAUUACAAAAUUAGCCCACAAUUUCGCAGAUGGAGAUGUCCCAUCUGCGAAAUCAGCAUCUCAUCUGCAAAUGUACAAGCAUCUAAAGCAAGCACCUAAAGCACAGUUGUGCUUUAGAUGCUUGUACAUUCGCAGGUGCUUUUAAAUUUUUUUUUUAAUUUUUUUUUCUGUAUAUAUAGGGGUAAAAUCGCAGAUGGAAUAGGUCCAUCUGCGAUUUACUCUCACUCUAUCUGCGAAAUUGUGGUUUUUUUUUUUGUUUUUUUUUUUUAGUUUGACUAUGAAAUGAAUUGGUUUGACUACGAAAUCAUGUUCAUGUAUAAAAAGUUUUGUAGAAAAAUAUCAUUUUGGUUGUUAUUUGUUUAGGAACUUUCUCUACAAUUUGCUCAAAAAAUGAUUGAAUAUUUGAUUUGUCAUGUAACCGGUGGGAGAUAACAAGUUAAUGGAACUAAUUUGGAAUACAUAUGUCCACAGGGAGGUUUUUCUGAACUUGCUUUGAUAUUUUCUGAGUAUAUUAGUUAUAGUGAUUUAGUAUCUUUGGUAAGAAGCAAAAUUGGUUUGUUAGAAAAAUAUAGAAUUAGUCUUCGUUUCCACCAUCCUGAAUUAAAUUAUUAUAUAGCUAUAGUUGAAGACAUGGAUGUUAGAAUGUUGAUAAACGUAAUCAAAUGUAGUGGAGGAAGGGCUGUGAAAGUGUUUGUGGUGGUUGAUGAAGUUGAGGAGGUUAAUGGGGGUGGUGAAAUUGGAAACCAGCUUGUUGGUAAUUUAUGCAGUUAUAAAGGGAGCAACGAUCCGAUAAGUACUUUCAAUACUCCCAGUGUACCUCAGUUUCACAGUGUUGCUGAAAAUGUUAAUGUUAGUUAUUCACCUAUUCACUAUGUGGAUCCUGAGAAUUACAAGCAUGUUGGUGAUGAUGAUGUUGGUACUUAUCUUGAUGAUGUGGGUGGUCGUUGUGAUGAUGUUGCCGAACAAGAAGUUAAAGUUAUAAGUAGGCGUGUGGUAGAUAAAACUAAAAAGAAAAAAAAAUUCAAGUCAAAAAAAUGAAAAAAAUCAUAUUUACGGGCAUUAUGUUGAUGUUGGUGAUGUAUGUUUAGAUAUAACUGAGCUACAAAGCAAUUCCGAUAGAGAUGAGUUGGGUGAUGAAGUUAAAGCUAAGUUUCCCGAUAACCUUUUUCACGGUAUGCCCCUUGUACCAGUAUGCCCAGUUGAUAUUAAUGAAGAUAUCCCAACACAGAUGGUAGACAUGAAUCUUCAAAAGAUUCAAUGUGAGAGUAUAUUUAAGAACAAAGAACUUUUAAAGCGGUGUAUUGGUAAAAAAUGUCUUCGAGAAGGUUUCCAGACGAGGACAAGUAGAUCCACCAAAUCAAGGUAUGAAGCUGUGUGUGUUUCGAAAAAUUGUUCUUGGUUACUAAGAGCAAAAGCAAUUAAAAAUACUGAUGGACUUUUCCAAGUGAAUAAAUUUGUUGAUGUACACACAUGUUCUUCAACAUUGUUGCAACCUAAUCAUCGACAAGCAAACAAAUAUGUUUUGGGUGAAUAUGUUGCUGAUGUUUUGGCUGAAGACUAUAGUAGAGUUUAUCGGGGAAAAGAAAUUGUUAAUGAUAUGAAUGCUCAAUUGAAUAUCAAUAUCUCAUACCAUCAGGCAUGGCGUGCGAAGCAAUAUGCAUUGUUGUCGUUAAGGGGUACGAAAGAGGAUUCUUUUACCAAACUUCCGGCGUAUUGUCACAACUUGGCCAAACAUAAUCCGGGUACUGUCACACAUAUUAAAACAGAUGCUGAUGAUCGGUUUGAGUUUUUGUACGUCGCACUCGGUUGCUCGGUUAGUAUUAUCAUGUCCUAUUUUUUUUUUAAUAUUUAUUUUGGUGUAUUUGAAUAGAUAUACAAUGUAUUGUAGGUACGAGCUUUUGUCAAUUUUUGUAAGCCGACCCUAGUAGUAGAUGGAGCUCACCUAAAGGGCGAGUUCAAAGGUACCAUGCUACUUGCAGUUACUAAGGACGGACAAAAUCAAAUAUUACCGGUUGCAUAUGGUAUAUGCAAAAAUGAGUGUACUGAUUCUUGGACAUGGUUUUUUCAAAAACUACGUGAUUGCAUAGGAAAUAUGCAGGAGCUUACAAUUAUAUCUGAUAGGUCUCCAUCUAUAGCAACAUCUGUUGCCAACAUUUUUCCUCAUGCUCAUCAUGGAAUAUGUGGUGUCCAUUUGUAUUUCAACAUAGUAUCUAGAUUCGGCAAGAAUAAGACGGUUAAAGGAAUUUUUUGGGAGGCGUGUAGGGCGUACACAGUUGAUGUUUUUGAUGUUGUCAUGGAUGUUAUGAAAAAGACAAAAGAACCAGUAUGGGAGUACUUAAAAAGUAUAAAUUCGUAAAACUUGGUCAAUGGCACAUUUUAAAGGGAACCGAUACAAUCGUAUGUCGUUCAACAGUGCGGAGUCUAUAAAUGCAUUAUCUAGACACGCACGUAAGGUGCUAAUACUUNCACGUAAGGUGCCAAUACUUAUGUUGAUUGAUUUUUUUCGUGCUACAAUGCAACAAUGGUGGUUUCAAAGACGUAACUUUGCAGGUAUUAAGUAAAUUUGUAAUAUUAAUGUUUUAUUAAUUUUGAUGUUAUUGAUCUUAACUUCUUCAUUUUGGCUGUUUUUUAGCGGAAGCAACAACAAUACUUACCCCUUGGGAGGAUGAAGUUAUAAAAGAAAACAAGAAAACUUUUAGCAAAUGGGAUGUUCGCAUGAUCUCAAAUACAAAAUGCGAGGUCAAAAAGGGGGCACAAAAUGUGAUUGUUGAUUUUCAACAUAUGACAUGUACAUGUAGGCAUUGGCAACUUGAUGGCACACCUUGUGGUCAUGUUAUAAGAUGUUUAACAGUGCACAAUUACCAAGACUGCUCGAGGUUUGCAUUAAAUGCUUACUUUACCGAAACACUAAGGAAAACAUAUGAGGAAUCAAUAAACCCUCUGCCAAAGCCAUCCGAAUGGGAGAUCCCCAAUGAUUUGAUGAUUGUUAAGCCACCUAUAAUGGAUAAACGUCAGCCAGGCAGGCCAAGAAACACAGACCGCAUUCCAUCCCAAGGCGAGGGUCCAAUUAUAAAAGAGUGUUCUACAUGUGGUCAACUAGGACACACGAGAAAUAAUUGUACUGGAAGGGCGUCUGGUAGCAGAGCAGGUCACAUAAUUUCUACUGCAGAAAUGGCAUAUAAUAUUGGUGGUUCAGCGGGUUGCUCACAAACCUAUAACGCUGAUUUUGAUAUAAAACAACCUUGAAAUUAAGAGUAAUGAUGACUUGUUUACUUAUUAUGUAUUGUAAAAUUUUUAUUAACUCUUACAAGACAUUGCUAUGCUUUCAUAUUUUAGUUAAGUUUGUUGAUUAUAACAAUGAAUGAAGCCUUUAUAUUAUAAAAUAUAGUUUGCAGAUUUUUUUUAACAGUUACAACGUGUUAUUUAAAAAAACAACAAACGAUCCUUUUGCAACCUAAUCUAUUUCAUGAUAAUAUUACAACAACUUUGUAACUAAUUUUUAAACUCAGGGAACUGCAAUGGGUACUUCUCUUUCUCCAUUGUUAUAUAGUCAUCCCUAAUUCUCAUUUUGUCUUCCAAACGAUCCUUUUUUACCAUAAUGUGUAUCAACUGCUCAUCCUUCUCAGCAAGCCAUUUUUCAGUCGUUUUGAUUGCCUUUUUACUCUUUUUUUAUCCAACCUUUAUGCUCUUUGAUUUUGUUUUUAUUGAGGUCAAUCUAUUCUUGAGCUUGUUUGCAUUCCGAUUCAAUAUCAUUAGCAAGUUGAGUGAGAAGUUGGGAUGACUCUUUGUCCUCUUCUUGUGUGCUUCAGCCUUCUUUAAUUCUUCAAGAUUUUCAUGUGACAUAUAUGGCCCGGCUGAAGAGGGUGUAAAAAAAGGGUCUACCGAAUCACAGUAGUAACAAUCUACUUCGUUGCAUGAGCAAACUUCGAAUUUGUGUGAGGAACUCAUAAUAAAGUCGAUAUUGUAUUAAACUGGAGCUAUAAGUGGUAUUUAUACAUACUAGACAGUAAGGACAAGUCCAACUUUGAAACGACUAGACAGUAAUGACAAGUCACUGUAGUAACCUGCACAUCGUAGUGGGACCCUUAAGUGACAAGAGAUAAAUGACAGUUUGACAUGAUAAAACACUGCAUAAAGCUGAAAAUCAUAGUCCAAAUAUAACCAUUUCGUAGUGAAAGUAUUAAUUUAUAGUCUAUUUAGUUAUAUAAAUAGAUGUUUAAGAUCUAAAAACCAAACACCCAAAUCACCUAAAUGAAACGAACUCCCAUUAUUAGAAAUGUCGUCGAAUGCAGCAAGUUCUUCGAAUGAAGUACCUGGUUCCAAUUCUGAAAGGCCAUGGACGACAAACGAGGUGUUAGUUCUAACACGAUGCUGGCUAAGUGUUAAGGAUGGUGUAUCGUUACUUGCUCCCCCGCAUUGCCUAAUUGGUGAUGAAUGGACUCGCAUAACAUCUUUGUUUAACCAUGAGAUGGGAGAAGGACAAAAAAGAGAAAAAUUAGAUGUUGUUACUAAGUGGAUGGAUGUAAAGGAAGAAGUGACAUGGUUCAAUCGAGCAUGUAAUUAUGCGAAAAGUAACAAUGUUCGUUAUCAGGACGAAGAAGAGUUCUUGGAAGUUGUUACAGAUUUUUACAUCUGUGAGCAUGACGGCAGACACUUCGAAUAUGAGGAAGUUUGGAAGGUUGUUAAAGAUAAACAGUAUUUCAUGUAGACCGCUCUAAUUUCUGUUAAGAAUAACCCAUGGACUUGUGUUUUACGUUAAUGCUUUGUUCGUAUUAUGUCGUUGUUUUUCAUGUAAUUGUUGUAAUGUUUGUAAUGGUUCAUGGAAUCCUUGUUACUAAUGUAUUCUAAUGUAUUGUGAAAACUAAUGUAAUGGCCAUUUAUUAAUUCAAAUUAAUCAUACGAGUUGCUCACAUAAUAAACUAAAAUAGAUUUUAAACAAACGAAAUAUAUACGAAAUACAUGAAAAUAACCUAGUACNNNNNNNNNNNNNNNNNNNNNNNNNNNNNNNNNNNNNNNNNNNNNNNNNNNNNNNNNNNNNNNNNNNNNNNNNNNNNNNNNNNNNNNNNNNNNNNNNNNNNNNNNNNNNNNNNNNNNNNNNNNNNNNNNNNNNNNNNNNNNNNNNNNNNNNNNNNNNNNNNNNNNNNNNNNAUAUAUUAACUCAACUUAAUCAUACGAGUUUCUCACAUACUAAACUAAAAUAUAUUUUAAACAUAUGAAAUACAUACGAAUUACAUACGAAAUACAUGAAAAUAACCUAGUACUCACAUAAUAAACUAAAAUAGAUUUUAAACAAACGAAAUACAUACGAAAUACAUAAGAAAUACAUGAAAAUAACCUAGUACAUGAAAAUAACCUAGUACUCAAAUAAUAAACUAAAAUAGAUUUUAAACAAACGGGAUAUAUUUCAAAAUAUUCCAAGGGGCUUCAAACUGGAAUUCCAACCCGUUACUUAAUGACUUGUAUUCCUCCUUAGCAGCUUCCAAGAUGACAUCCUCAGUAGCAUUUAAACGGGUGUCGUCAAUUUUGGUAUAAAGAUCGUUGAAUAAUAGAACUUCGGUUUUCAUUUCAUACCAUCUUGCUAAGAUGUCUAGUUCGUCACGAUCGUUUCUUGUAGCCAUUCGGUUUUCAGCAUUGAAAAUAUUUGUUAAACGGCUCCAAAACAUUGGAUCGUUCAACUUGCUUGUCUCGUACACAUGAAUAUAAGCAUGUGUAAGAACCAAGAACUCUUCAUUGCUCCAUGAUAUAGAACUCAUUUUGAUUGAAACAAAGAGAGUAGAAUCUAAAAAACAAUAUUUGAACAACUUUAUUGGUUAAUUUAAUAAAGUAUUGCAUGUAACUUAAGGUCAAUUUAUAGUAGUUUCUACACAAAAUCGCAGUCCAAUCUUCUAAUAUGUCUGCAAUUCAUAGUCAAAAUUAACUGACGAAUGCAGUGUACUAUACUUAUAACACAACAGAUCACUGUUCGAGUUGACAAUUCAUCCCCGGUUGAAUGACAACACAAUACAUUGCUGCUUGAGUUGACAAGUCAUUGCACCAGGAAAGUAAGGAGUCGUUAUAAAUAGAUUUCAAUAUCCGUUGUAAUUGUAUUCUAUUACUUCCCUCCUUGCAAUUAUGGACUCACCACAUAUAUGGAGGAACGCAGAGGAGGUCGCUUUGGUUCAAGCUUGGAUUACAACUGUAGAGGUGGAUUUUCCACCGGGUCCCCCACAAGUUCGUGCUGGAUCAUUUUGGUCUCGUGUCUGUCAUUUGUUUCACCAUUUAAUGAACCGCACUCAAUAUCGAAGAAGAAGAGAUGUCAAAGCGAACUUUUUGGAUAUGAAAAUGAAGGUGAAACAAUUUCAACGUAUUUAUAACGAGUUGGAUAACGAACAUGCAAAUACGGAUGAAGACAUUCUACGGCACGUGGCUUUGGAACUAUACCGUUUUGAAUAUGAUGGUAGCGACUUCACCCACUUAGAUGCAUGUAAUCUUUUAAAGAAUGUCCCUUAUUUUUAAUAUGCAUGUUGGUUAAGUUAAUUGUUUUUCGUUAUUUAAGUUACUUGUUGUUGUAUGUGUCUAGUCGUUACUAUUUAAUAAACGUCCAUUUCUUUUAAUGUAUGUUGUUUCGUCAAUAGCCAAUAUAUAGAACGCAAUAAAAUAUAAAUGGGGUACAUAAAUAACUAAUACAUAAUACGACAUAAAAUAUAAACUGGGUACAUGGAUAACUAAUACGUAACACAACACUAAAAUAAAAACGGGGUACAUAAAAAACUAAUACAUAAUACUACAUAAAACAUAAAGGUGCUACAUGAAUAACUACUGCAUUGAGGGAGGUAACAGGACCACCGUUUCAUUUGGUAUUUCCCAAUGCACAUGUGAUGGUAUAGCAUUCACCAACUCAGAUCCAUAUGCAAGUCGAUACACAUAAUUAGUGAACUUGUAAUCAACCAUUCUCUGAAUGGACUCAGAUGUACGAGUUCUUAGACAUGCUAUAGCGUGGCCACAUGGUAUACCGCUUUUUUGCCAUUUACCACAACUACAUACCCUUCGUUCAAGUUGUACGUUGCUGGUGGCAAAAUUAUCAUCAACUUCAAAUGUAUCCCCAUACAAACGUCUUGCAUUACAAUUAUAAGACUUGUUGAGACUUUUUUGAACCUUACUCUCAACGUAAGGGGUCAACCCACCAGACAACCUCCCUGUAAAAUUUGAUAUUUUAAUAAAAAUAGUAGCACAAUAAAAAAAACUAAAUAUAACAAUCUCCCUUACCAGCCAGUUCGGCCCGUUCAGCAUACUUUGAUUGUAUCGACGUGGUGGUUAACUCAAUUAUCGUUGUUAUAGGAAACUCACGUGAGGAUAUAAUUUGCAAAAUUUCAGGGACGUCAAUCGAUUUAACAUUGUAACGUAUUUUUGGGAAAAAUGCUCUUGUCCAUUUUGAAAUCGGUAUAUCGUCAAGCCAGUAAAUUGGACUCAUAAGCAAGGUGCAGAAAGGUGGUUUCCUACAUGUACUUUGCAACCUUUCCAAACACAAGUAAAAAUCAUCAACGCUAUAUGCAUUGCAUGACUUCCAAAACAACGAUUCGACUUCCGUAUUGUUAUGUCCGACAGACUCACGUAUCUUUCGAGCUAUAUCUUUAGGACAAUAUCCAUGAUAGGAAUCCGGGUAGGCACUCUGAACACCAAAGUCUAUUUUAUCACACAGGUUGCUUAUGAAACCAACCUCUAUGUCCUCACCUAAACAAUCUUUUAACCUCAUCAUGAACCAUCUCCAUGAUUCUUCACACUCUAAGGUUCCCAAACCAAUUGUUAAGAGUAGUGGUUCAUGAUUUCCAUCUAAAGCCACUGCGAAGUACAUUGUUGUCAAAUAGCUCCCAAGAAGGGGUAAAUAAUCCACAUAUAUCAGCGGUAUCAUCCACCUAAGGAAGGUACAAAUCUACAUAAAAACGAACACAUAUUAGUGAUAAGUAAAAACUAAUCGAGAUACAUUACCAUGAAAUAUUAUAUAACUCAAUAAAAGAAGUAUGUUAUACCACGCAACCUAAAGCCAUAAAACAGAAUUGAAAGCGGUUGGUAUCGGUUUUCUUAAUGCCUGUGAAGGUAUUAGGAUUUGUUCUUUGAAGGCUAUGCAAGAAAAUUGGUAGUUGAGAAAAGCUUCUUUCGCUGUAAGUACUCAUUUUCAAUACCGAUGAUAGUGCUCUACAAUCAUCACACAAAUGCAAUAUGAAACAAAUGCAAUUAUAAAUAGAAAAUAUUGUAUCUCUACUGUUUAAAAUUCAUAGUUUAAACUUUUAAAUUCAUAGUCAAACUAGUUCAUUUCAUAGUCAAAUUUCACUGUCCGACAUGACAAUACUACAUAAUGUACUUGUCUGGAUUUCGUGGUUCAACUUUUUGAAUUCAUAGUCAAACUAGUUCAUUUCAUAGUCAAAUUUCACUGACCGACAUGACAAUACUACAGAAUGUACUUGUCUGCAUUUCGUAGUUCAACUUUUUGAAUUCAUAGUCAAACCAGUUCAUUUCAUAGUCAAAAAGAUUUGUCUGUAAUAUGAUUUCUUCUAUAAAUGGGUGUCACCCAGUAUGAAAAUUUUAACUGAGAAAGUAACUCCGAUUUGAAAGAAAAAUAAGGCUAAUGGCAUACUGCAAUUGCGGAGGAGAACGUAUCGUUAGGAUUUCAGGUACAGCUAAAAACCCAGGAAGAUUGUUUUACGCUUUCCCAUAUUUGGUAUCAUGUUAUUACGUCAUUCAAAUUUAAACCCUCGUGUUUACAUGACAAAAUUUAUUUUCUUACUGUCAAUGUUAAAUUUAACAGGGACCAAAAUGCGGGUUUAUCAGUUGGGUUGAUGAAGAGAAGGACCAAUCAUCUAUGGUAAUAGCUAAAGUAGCUAACUCUAAUAAGCUCUUUCAAUCAGAAAAUAAGAAGUUAAAGAUAGCAUUGGUUUGUAGUUGGGUGUUGUUCUUGGCAGUUCUUGUUUACAAGUUGUAAGGUUUUCAAUAUUGUUUUUAUGGUUUUGAAGUUGUUAGGUCAAUAAAUUAUUGUAUUUGUAACGUUAAAACAAAUGUUGUAGUCGUUCUUAUGUUGUAUGUAUUGAUAAGUUAUUAGUAGGUCAUUAAUUUGUUGUAAUUGUCGUAACGUUAAAUUUUUUGUCAUCCGUUGAGUAAACUGUAAAAAUAAACUAAUAAUCAAAUCCAACAUUAAUUUAGAUAUACAAUUAUAUAAUCCAACUACAUAGGACCAAGACUAGACCCCCAAAAAAUUUUUGCCAUCCGUUGACGGAACUCUAAAGCUGCGUUCUUUGGGUCAAUAAGAACACGUAUUGGUUGACCUGAAACGAAUUGCUNGCAAGACUAGACCCCCAAAUAAUUUUUGCCAUCCGUAGACGGAACUCUAAAGCUGCGUUCUUUGGGUCAAUAAGAACACGUAUUGGUUGACCUGAAACGAAUUGCUCCAUAAACAUACAAACAAAAACACCGCAAUCUCCCAAAUGACUACUUUGUUGGGGAACAUUUUCUUCAUAAAUGAAUUGCAUAUUCAAUGGAAUCCUUGGGAUGUUCCUCCGGGCCCAAUACUUAAUCUUGUCCAAAUAAUUUGCCACCCGACGUUCAAAUUUGGAAAAGAUUCCUUCAGAUUUGAAUUUUUCAUAAGCCCCUCUACCAAGACUGUCAUAAAUAUGCACUUCCAUUGACGCUAAUUAUAGUUCCCCAAAUAGCCAAUGAUUAGGGGAUGAAUGAAUCGGCAAUAAGACCUGUAUAAGGAUCAUAAAAUAAAAUUAUGUUUUUUAUAUCACAAUACAAAAACAUAACAAAAAUAACGAUAUUAUUUUCAAUAUAAACAAUAAAGUUUACCGUAUCAACAUCCCACCAGGCAACCAUGAAGUUGGGGUACGUAGCAAUACCAGCCAUAAACGCUCUCCAGUCCUGUCCUUCUUCCAAAGCAUGAGAAACAAAAAAAUUUGGAGGCAUUAUUGUAUGUCGGUCGCUCUCAAACCGUCUCUCCAUCAAUAGUCGGUACCAAAUGGUUAUAUGCUGCACACAUGAUACUUUUGUUAUUGACUAAAAAACAAUUAACUUUUAAAAUAAUAAAUUAACAAUUAAUUUACCGAUGACUCCAACCAUCCGUCGUGUGUAUGCCCAAACAAUGAGCUCCAAAAAUCUCUAUCUAACACGAAAUUAAACAAACGGUGUUGGACAUCAUAUGAAUGCAAUACAUAAUUUUGGAUGACAUCCUCACCGCCUGCUACGUAAGGUUGCAGGCGCAACAUGGAGAAGUCAUGAGCAACACCAAAAACUGGAGGAGGAACGGAGCUUGUUGAUUUGAUAUCAACCUUCUUUUUUGUUCUUUUUUUUUUGCUUCGAUGUCGUGUGCAACUAAAAUCAAUAUUCAAAUGUUUAAAUCUAUAUCUUUCAGAUAAUUCACAUAAACAUAAAAUCAUGAGUUUAUAAAUAAAACGAAUACCUCGGUGUAAGGAGGGCACAAAUAUUGUGAUGGUUUUCGAGUCCUCGGUUUAUCGGGUGUAACUUCUUUGCCAUCAUACUCAUCAAAAUAAUCUACAAUUCCCGUAAUUAUUAUUUCAUCUUCGUCCGACACCUAAUUUAAUAAACAAUAAUCUCUAAUUAAAAAAAUGUUUCAAUAUACUAAAAACAAAAUAUAAAUUAAUGUAAGUAUAAGAACCUCUUUAGCUUCAUUAUAAUCAUUUACGUCAAACACAUCAUCAUCAAAUUUGUUCCCCGCUUUGUCAUUCCUCUCCUCCGACUCCUACAUUAAAAAUAAAACUUUAUACUUAAUAACGAAAUACACAUAAUUUAAUAAGCAAUAAUAUCUAAUUAAAUAAAUGAUUCAAUCUACUAAAAACAAAAUAUAAAUUAAUGUAAGUAUAAGAACCUCUUUAACUUCACUAUAAUCAUUUACAUCAAACACAUCAUCAUCAAAUUUGUUCCCCGCAUAGUCAUUCCUCUCCUCCAACACCUACAUUAAAAAUAAAACUUUUUACUUAAUAACGAAAGANACACUUUAUUAAAAAGUAAUUAUUAAAAUCGUAAAGGUAACAUCUAUAACAACCUUGUCGUCUUGAGUAUCACCAAAAACAUUUUCAGUUGUAUUGUUUUUAUUCAUCACUUCAUCUUGCACAACCUAUAUUUUCAAAUAUAAAAUAUGAACCCAUGUAUUCAUAUAUGUUAAUAAAAAUUUAAAAAAUAAUGUAGCGUGUAACUAACAUGUUCAUCAUAUUUUCUUUGUGACACUAUCGGAUCAUCAAAAGUAAUGUCAUUCCAAUAUUGUUCAGUUUUCACUUCUUCAACAAAAACCUCUGUAGGUUGUCGGUUCAUAAACACAUGCUGCUCCAGUGCAUGUAGCCGUUUCAACACCUCGUCUAGGUUGUGUUUCCCACUGCCCCUACCUCUACCAUGAGAGCGACCACUGGACGACAUACUAGACGAAGAUUCGUCUUGUCUCCUAAAAUGGUCCCGUACUGGGGAUGGAACUGCUUUCCCUUCACCAUAUACAUACUCUUGAAAUGACAUAUAAUAAAAAGAUGUCAUCUCACCAUCACCCGGUAACAUGUUUUGUCUUGGUGGUAGCCCCUCCUAAAAAAUUAAACAUAUUAAAAAUGCAUAUAAAACUAUAAUAAUCAACUUUAUUAAUAAUAAACGAAAUAUUUUUAAACCUGCAUCUUUGACCAAAUCUUGUUCACGUCAACCCAUUUCAAUUUUUUUGUUCCGCUCCAUCUUUUCAUCCGAGGCAAGUCUUUAUUUUUUCUCAAUGCAAAUCCACAUGCACGAACAGCCGGAAUCAUCUCAUAUAUCCAUAUCUACAAUUUUUUACAAUUACAGUAAUAAAAGUUAAAAUUAAAAUAAAAAACAUAACAAUAAAACAAUUUAAAUAUAAGAAAAUUUUUAUACCCUUAUUGGAGCCGUAAAUCCUGAGACGGAGUACUUUAAAGUUUGACCACGCUCAGAAAGUGAUAAAUAAUUAUGUAUUUUGUUCCAUGUAUCCUCAAGGUCAACAUAAGUAAAAUCCCAGAGAUAGCUACCCCAAGCGAAGCUAACAAAACAAAAAAACAAAAUUGGUUAUUAUAUAAAUUAUAACUUUAAUAAAAUAGAACUUUUAACGUAAACAAAAUAUACCUGUUCCAGAGAUCCAAAUUCUCAGCCAAAAAAAACCAAUCUUGUGGCACCCGAUCAUUAACUUCUUUUCCCAAAAAACCUUCACACAAAAUGUAUAUCAAACAUACUCUAACUGCAUCAACGUCGUCAAGUGCUAGGAAUGUUCGAUUUAAAAUUAAACGUUUCAGGUCGCCGAUUUUCACCGAACUAUUAGUAUGGUCCGGAAAUAGCCGUUCACGCAAUAAACAUCUUUUUUUACUGCUUAAUAAUUUUUCCGACCCUUUUCUCCCAAUGUUUUUUGGAUACUCCCCAAAAUUGAAGCCGGUUAUCAAACAAAACUCUUCCGGCCCAUAAACCAUUUUCGUAUUGCCUACUCGAAAAUAUAAUCGUUUUAUUCCAUCUGGAGAUAAAACAGGGUCCGGCCGGAUCUGAUGAAGGAACAUUUUAUGGAACAACAAUGCGUCCCCUUGUAAACGAGGGACAACAAUAAAAUAACCAAAUACGGUAUCUCUGAAAAUGGCACGUCUGACAUCAUCUAAAACUUCAAAUACUUCCCAUAUGUUACCUCCCGAACCUUUUAAGUUCGCAAAGGCUUUCAUAUUGAUAAAACUAAAAUCAUACUGCAAAAAAAACACAAAAACAAAUUAGAGAACUAAAAAAUAUUUUGUUUUUAAAAUAUAUGAUUACGAACUGCAAUAAGUACAUAAACAAUUAGUAAUGCAAAUACAAUUUCUUAAUUAAUAAUUUAUAUAUUUCCGAUAAAAAACAAUAACAUACACAUAUAUAAACAAUUUUCCAAGUUAUACAACAAAUAUAUUUACGAUAAAAAACAAUAUCAUACAUAAUUAUAUAAACAUUUUAUUAAACAAAUUUUCAACUUAAACGACAAAUAUAUAAACAAUUUUUAUCUUUUUAAUUAUAUAAACUAACAUUUUAUAACCAUAUAAACAAACAAUUUUUCAAAUAAAACGACAACCAAAUUAACAAUUUUGCAAGUUAUACGACAACUUUAUACAAAUUUUCAACUUAUACGACAAACACAAACAAUUUCUAACAAUAUAUAUAUGACAAAUUUUCAACUUAUACAAAUGUUAUACUUAUACAACAAAUAUAUAUACAAAUGACUAUUUUGCACAUACUAUAAUUUAACUAUUUUUCACAUUAUAUAAACAAUUAUACGAUAACAAUAUACAAGUUUUCAGGUUAUACAACAUCUAAACAAACAACAAAAAUAACAAAUUGUAAAUAUUAUCUACGCACUCUCUACUUGUACAUUCAAACAAACCCUCACAAAAUAGCAUUUAAACUUCAAGUAUACUAAAGAAAUAUUAAAACUAUCAAACACAACAAAAUUACCCUUUUUAACAGUAAAUAAUACAAUAAAUGAUAAAAAAAAUGUUUAAACAUUAAAAGAGUUAAAAUCUAACCAUAUUUGCGGGAUUAUAGACAUAAUCCUCCAUUUUCUUCAAAAACUAGCCAAAAUCGCGAGAAAAGCCCAAAGAUAGAGAGAGUUAGGGAGAGUUUUUGUGUAGAGAAGGAUGAAAAUGGAGAAAAAAAUACGUUUACAUAGUGAAAGGAAGGGGAUUUCGCAGAUAGCAUCUUAAUUUCGCAGAUGGAGUAUGCCAUCUGCGAAAGUACAAGCAGCUAAAGCACAGCUGUGCUUUAGCAGCUUGUACUUUUGCAGAUGGGAUGCUGAUUUUGCAGAUGAGGCAUUUCCAUCUGCGAAAUCGUUGGCUAUUUUUGUAAUUUCGAUUUUUUUUGGCUAUUUUUGUAAUGUAAUUAGUGUAAAUGGCUAUUUUUGUAAUUUUGGCAUCUCAAAGAAUCUGCGACACAUAUAAUAAGUGCCACUACAAAAGCUCCCACUAAAACCCCUUAGUGAUACUUUUUGUUUUUGCCGCUGCAGUUUUUUAGGCUUUUAGUGGCACUUUUUUGUUUGUCGCGAUAUAAGAAAAGUUUUUUGUGGCACAUAUUCUAUGCCAUUGAACGCUUGUAUUAUUGAAGAAUUCAUGCUACUUUUAGUUACACAUUUUAAGAUUUUAGUGACAUUUUUAUUUGUCACAAUAAAAAAGUAGUUUGUGGCACUUAUUUAUUUGUCACAAUAGAAAAAAUGGUUUUUGUGGCACAUAUUUUGUGCCACUAAAAGGUCAUGUGAUUGAAUGAUUUUUUUUAAAUAUUGGUUACAUAUUUUAUGAUUUUAAUGGCAUUUUUCUAUUUGUCAGCAUACAAAAAAAAAUAUUUAAUAUAUAUUUUGUGUCACAUUUUGUAUCGUUAACUAUGAGAAUAUAUAAUUUAAGCUACUUAUGUCUAUAUAGUUUUUAUAUUUAAUAUAAAAUAAAAAUGAAUAAUUAAGUCGUAGUACGCAGAAAAUAACAAAAUACAUCCAAAUAUGAUGGCAAAAUUGUAAUAUUUCACCUAAUAAGAGUCAUGUAAUAGAAUUAAAAAAAACUCACAAAUUACUAACAUAAUCUUCUUGUCUAAGAUUCUUUACAAUCUCAUUCUAGAAGGGUUAAUAUCUAGCAGCAUCAAACUUCUCUUUUACAAGGACCUGAUUAAUUACCUUAAGAGAAUUCUUGCAAAAUAUAAUUAAACAUUAAUAUAAUAGAAAAUUGAUUCAACAAAUUAUGUUACAGAAAGAGAUCAAAAAAACCUGUUAGAAAGAGGAAUGUGGAGAUUAUCCAUGAAUGCUUCGGGGAACCUCUCAAAGAUUUUGUGGACACAACUCAAAGACCUAAUCUUAAAGCAUUAAGAAAAAAACGAAUUAGUUUUUAGUCAAUAUGGAAAAAUAGAUUAUAAAUUAGUUUUUUAAGAAGUAUGCAUGUCUUUCUAGUGAGGUUUUACACAUUAUGUGUGCACACAAGGACGAAAAGGUAAAUUUACCUCAACAAGACAAUCUCUAGCUCCAAGCAAGAAACCAACAACAACAAAUAUAAUAAUGUAAAAUAUAUAGAUGUCUGAAAGAUAGAUCUACAAUUCAAACAUAUAUAUGAGCAUCAAGAGAAAUAAAGUAAAAAAAGCAAGCAAAAUACAAACAUAAUGUUUCGAUAAUGUGAAUUUUCCAAUUAAAUUGUUAUAUAACAAUUGAUUCAUUGAAAUUAAAUUUUCAUAGAAAAAUGUUUAUAACUUAUCAAUAUUAAAUUUUGACACACUAUUGGCAUAAUCCUAUUGUAGUAGUAACUAUACUAGUGUUAGAUUUGGAUUAGAGACUCACUAGCGAAUACCAUUAUUGUAGGAAUCGAUAGUGGUACGAGUGGAGCGUAGAUCAAGGCAUCACUUGUAUCAUCUCAAUGCAUUGUGAGUAUUCACACACUCCCUUAUUUUCAGUUUUUAAAUGUUUUGGGUUGGAAAAGCAUGUCCUAAACUAUUUUUAUGUUCGUUGUAUUUAUUCUGACUUGUAUGAAACUUGGUUGCUAUAUUUCGUAUGUAUGUGUAUGUUACUUUAAUUCAUGAGGACUGUAUCGCGGUUAAGUCCUUGGAAUCUCUAUACACAACUCAUUAACUCUUUUGAGCCUAUGCUUAUUAAGGAUAGCGUUAUCAGGAGGUAGACAACUCCUCACUCGCAGGAUUCGCUUGAGUGCAUUUUACCAAUUUAUACAUUACAUUUGCGAUACACAUAGUAGUCAAUAGGGCACGAUUCGGUCAUUAGGCUUGGGUUGUGAACUCAUGAAUGGAAACUUGAUGCACGUACUAUUCUUUAUGCACAUACGAAACAUGUAUUCCCAUGUGAGCAACGACAUUUGUAUACUUAUUUUAGCAAUGAAACUUGAAUACUUAUUUUAGCAACGAAACUCGUUGCUCAUUAUAGCAAUAAAAUUGUUUAUCAAUUAUAGCAAUCAACUUUGUUUCUCAUUAUAGCUAUAAACCUUGUAUCUCAUUAUAACAACGAACUUUUGUUACUAAAUACUUAUUUACUUGUUUUAGCAACAAACUUGGUUGCUUCUUAUAGUAACAAACUUGUUUGCUCCUUGUAGCAAUGAAACUUGAUUACUCAUUUUAGUAACAAACUUUAUUUCCCAUGAGGUUAUGAACGUUGCAUCUCUUUUGGGCAACAUACUUUAUUUCUCAUGAUGAGAACGAACUUUGUUUACACAAACUUAUUUACUCAUUUUAGCAAUAUCUUUUUAUCUAUGGAAACUUAUAUCAAAAUUUUGAUUUCGAUUUAUGAAACCAAUACUAUUUUUAAACUUGUGAGUACUCACCAACUAUUUUUAUAGUUGACUCUUGUUUUACAUGCUUUUCAGGAAUCAUCGAGUAAGUGGCACUUAGGGACACUUCACUUUUAGGAGCAUUCACAUGUGUUGUAUUUCAAUUUACAUUGUAAUUUCUUUUAAAAGUUGUUCAAACCCAUUGUAAAUUUGUAAUGAUUUUUAAUACUAUGGUUGGUGUUGUCUUUUAACUUUUGCUAUGAAACCCUUUAUACUGCCACGCCUCGUGUUUUUGCUUUAGCGGGGUGUGACAGGAAAUGGCAUCAGAGCCGAAGGUUAUAGAGAAUACCGGUUUUCCUUUGGAAAACCACAACUAUAGCCAAUAAUUUUCUAAACGUUUAUAAAGUACUUAAGAUACUACUGGUAUAACUAAUUCGAGUACGCAUUAUUGGACUCUAAUUAAGUAUAGCCUGGCCAACUAUGAUUAAUUAAGGAAAGUUAAUGUAAGGCUGGAAAUGGUUAUACAAGAAUUUUGUUCAAAACAAUUUUCAACUUAAACUUUUGAAAAAAAAAGUUUUUCGGUGUGCGUACGGGCAUUACAUAUUAUAGGCAUUCAUCUAGGUACACUUAGAAACUAAGUGCACUUUUACCACAAUGUCUUAUUUAGAAAUAUUCUUGUCCCUUAUCAAGUGCUAGGUUAACCACUUAGGUUAUAUCACUAGCCACUCUAGGAUCAAUGCACUUAGUACUAAGAAUGGGUAUUCCUUAGUAGCUAUUGACUUUAGAUGUAAGGUUAGUAGCUAGAUAUAUACUAGUAAUAAUCACAAGUCGAAACCUAUACCAAUUAUUCCUCAAUACCUCUUCAUCGUCUUUGUACUAGAGUUACAACUAUGAAAAAGUGUUUCGGUAUCGACACGAAUGAUAAUUGGAGCAUCGCGUAAGGAGGUAGAUGAGUCGCCACUAAGUAAUCACUUGUAUACCAUUGGUGGGCAUUCCGGAUUCAACUCAUGAGGAGACACGAAAGUUUAACCCAUACGUGAGACAUUAUUACUAUGCUACGAUUUAGCUCUACGUUGUUUCCACCUUGAGCUUAAAACUUAACAUAGAAUAUCCCUUUGACCUCUAUAAAAGGGUCAUAAACUGCAUUGACACCAUAACACGUUUUACUAACAAAUUUUCUUGUCGUUUAUCUUGGGGAAAAGACAUCGGUACUCGCAUUAGUAUUUAAGUACGAUUAGCUACACUAACAUACUUAUUCGUUACCUAUUAGUCUUCCAUCGAAAAGUUAUUUCGUUUCAUUGGUUUUAUUUAUCAUCGAUAAAAUAUUUUAUAUCCACUUCAUUCAACUUAGUAGACAUUUCCUAACAAUUUAAGCCAUAUUCUCGCUAAAACUCUUUUGACAACUUGCUUUAAUUUAAUGCUUUUCUCCAAAACUCAACUUAACCAAUAUUGGUUUUUACCUUGCUAUUUCAAUUUCAUUUCAAAUCCAUUUCAAUGGAUAGAUGUGCUUUUAAGGGCAUAGAAACCAUUUAAACCUUGAUUAACAUUUUGGCACGUUUUCGAAAAACUUAGAAACAUUUUCUUUUAUAAAAGUGUUUAAAUUCUAUGCUAUAAAACUUAAACAUAUGACAUUGAAGUUCUUAUUAUGUGAAAAAGUUUCAUCAAAUCUUUAAAACACUUUUGUUUUGACACUUUUAACAACUUUGUCAUUUAGACAUUGUAAUUUACUUUGAUGUGUUUUAUCUAAACCCAACAUGAUAUUUAUGCAAAUUUCUACUUCAAACACGUUUAUAAGACAUCUCUAAUGCUUGUAUUUCAAAACAUACCUUAUUUGUGUACUUUGCUUUAAUAUGGUUUUAUAAUCUAUAAAGUUUUUAAAAUUUAUAACAUUUGAAAACUUGGUGUUCACUUUUAAAUUUCCACUGAUACACUCUUAACAAUGAAUAAUUAUUCUUCUAAAUAUAUUGAGUCUUUACCUUAUCCAUUUUAAUCAUUGUUGGACUCAAGCCUAAAAGGGUCAAGACUGUCAGAUUUUCAAUUACCAGUUGUAGUGCUUCUUCUUUUUCACAAUUACAGUUUAACUUAAUAGAUAACUCGUGAAUUUUUAGCAAUCCUUAGCAAACACUUUAAAACUCUCAUAUGUUUAUUUAAUCAUCAAUAUACAUCAAAUAUUGAAGCUUGAAAUAUAUCUCAACCUGGUAUUAAAUCUACCUAUAGGUAUUGUUUUUAUAAUUUUAACAAUAACAAUCAUUGUCGCUGCUACCUUCCUUUUUCUUUCCUCCAAACUUUAUUUCUCCAUCUCCUUCUGAUUUUAGAUCUCGCACGCCAUAAUAUUAACAUAAUACAUUGUCUAACUCUGUUUCUAUCUAUUUUACUUCUCUUGGUACCAUGUUCGUACACAUAUAGACUAGAAGUCUACCCUUUCGUUUUGAGCGAUUAAUACGUAUAUAGUCGUGAGGCACACUUUUGAUUUAGUCAAUUUUAAUAUAUUCAAUUACGCCUUUUAUCAUAUACAUCUCGUUUUUAUUUUUAAAUCUACUAUAAACAAGUGAUCCUUAUUAACAUUUGCUCUUACGUUCUAAAUUCAGAAACUUGAUAUAAAAUGCAAUUUCCAUUAUAUUUUUCCUUAUAAUUAAUACACAAUAUGAAUACUCUUAUGCUUAGCAUUUUUCUACAUUCGGAAAUUAUAUGUGAAGGAUAUGUUUCCUUAUGUUUCUUCUAUUAUUUAAAUACAUCAAAAGUCUUGAAUUUUUAUUAUAUAUUCUCUAAAUGAUUGUUUUUGUAGUAACACUAAAUUAAGAAUCCCUUAUUUUCAAUGAUAGAUAUUUUUACACCUUUCUUAAAAUAGCAUUCUACUUUGUAAUUUUCAUUGAGUUCCUAAACUCUCAACUUUGUUCAUAUAAAUAUUUUGACUCGUAAGCUUGAAUUUGUCCCGACUUAGACAGUUGGACAAUUUCUCAAAAAUUUAAUACAAAUAUUUCUAUACAAAUUCCUUUAUUGAUGACUUAAACCUUUAAUUAAUCUUUAUACUAUUUUACUACUUUGUUGGAUUGCCAAACAUGUAUUUUCAUUAUCUUGGAAUUAUUACAUAUUUUGAUAACAAUGAGAUUUUUAUCACUUCUAAAACACUUAAAAGGCUAUCUGCACAAUGAGAUUUAAUCGCGUCCAUUUGCAACAUUGACUCUCUAAAUAUAUAUAUUCUUCGAAUAUAGAUCUAUUAUUGUAAGAGUAACCGUAGUAGUAACUAUAGCCUCGGACACCCUCAAUCAUUUCGUAACUUAUUUUGUAGACGACACUUAAAUAGCCUUUACAUUUGAGAUGUACCAAAACUUCGUUGCCUACCCUUAUUACGUAUUUUUAGGAACUUUCCCUCGAUCGCUUCUAAUUCAUUCGUGCUACCCCUUCUUAUUUUGAAAUAUAUCUUUUCCAGAUGUAGUAGCCAACCCGGAAGUGAACAAAUUAUUCCUAAUCUCUUCUUUACUAGGCGGCGAAUUUACACUUAGUGCUAAUUUAGAACGCGACUUAAGGAUCAAUGCAGACUUAACGCUGAAUGCAGUUGGUGCUUCAGCAAAAAUUAUAACUCUCUUGAUUCAGAUAAUAUCUAAAUGAAUAAUCUUUUCAAUUAGGUUGCCAUGGUUUGAACGUGAUUCCCAUUAUCCUAAUUUCUCGCAAUCAAGGCUGUAGAACACGAAUUAAGGAACCACUAAAUUGUUGAUAGCAAAAAGAAUUGGGCUUUUCCCUUGAGGAAUUAACCCAAAAUAAUCAAAGAACACUGAAAGUCACCACCUCUCCAGCUAUACAAUUGUAUUCGGCUGAGUUCUAAUAGAAUACGUCACGAAUCGAAUUUCGAGACGAAAUUCUUUCAACCGGGGGAGACUGUGACAACCGUCAAAAUUCGAGUCGGUUCUAGAUUUUACUAAACUUAGUUGCACAUAUAGGCACAAUACAUACUAGACUUAGUAACUAGAAACUAAGUUAUAACCUACUAGAAACUUGGAAACAAUUAGAAACAAUGGAUAGCGUACUUAGAUUUCACAUUGAUAGAUGAAUUCUACAUCCAUUUAACUAUAGUGACUAUCCAUAUUCGGAUCACUCUUUGGCUCGAACACCUUUUUCAUUAAUCAUAUACACACAUCAUGCUCUUGACCUAGAAGUAUAAAUUAGGUCAAAGUCUCAUAGAAACUUAAGUCAAAGUUGAAGACUAGGACUAGUAUACCUGAUUCCUCAAUUUUGAUUGAAUCUCGGACUCACUACAUAGAAUGCCAAUAAACCGAUAAAAAUAAAUUACAAACAUUAAUUAUAACUAUAAAAGAGUUAUAAUACCAUAAGAUAAUUUAAAGUCUCAAAUAUUCUAUUUAUUUUGAUAUCCAAAGAUUUACAAACUCUCAAAAACCCUAAAUGCCCUAAAAACUCACAUUUAUGAACUUUAACCUUAAAAAUUAUAUAAAAAUAAUUAUGAAACUUAUAAUAUGAUCUUAUAAUAAUUAAAAUUAUGAAAAUUCAUUUAAGUAAAAUAAAAUUGAAGUCAAUAACAAUUAGCCUAAAUUUAUAAAGCAAAAUAAAGGUUUUAUGAAUAAAAACUUGAUUUUAGUGUAUAUUUUAUAAAAAAAGUUUGAUAUUUUUAUAAAAGAUUUAAGUUUUUAUAAAAGAAACAAGAGAGAGGGAGCCUCUCUCACCCAAAAUCUCGGCCUCCCCUUUCCCAAGACCCUCCUCCUCUUCCCAAUACACCAUUUUCCCAAGUCAUUAAUCAAUUUCACUCACCUACUCCAUCUCUUUCUCUCACACUCCCUCACUUCAUUUUCUCUCUAUUCUCUCUUCCUCUCUCCCUCAACCACGAAAUUCUCCAGAAAAUGGGUCAGAGAGCACACCAUGAACUCUAAAUCUUAAUCAUCUUGAGGUGUUCUUAAAGGUAAACCCGAAAAUCAUUCAUUUUCCUUCUCUUUUCCUUCAAGUUUUACUUGUUUUUGAUGCAUUUUCUCCAUCUUGUACCCCAUUCUAUUGUAAAAUCAUGAACAUUUGCACCUACUCACGGUUUUCAUGAUGAUGAUUUCACCCAAAAACAAUAUGCAUGUUGUAAAUGGUGAAAUCCAAGGACCUAAACCUAAGUCAAAAUAAAGGAAAUGCACUUUUCUACAUGUUUUGGUGGAAAAUCACCACAUGCAUCCAAAGUUUUCUUUCAAAAAUGAAUUUUAAACAUUUCAAACUCAUAAAUGAUCUUCAAACAAACAUGCAUGUGAUGAUCUUCAAGCUUAGAUGCUAGAUCAUCAAAGUAUGUUGUUAAAAGCUUUCAAAUAUAUUCAUGAAUGAUUUAUUUCCAAAUAAAUAUCUAAAACUCAUUUUCUGACCAAAUCUGAUUUUUCCCAGAUUCCCAUCAACAAAAUAAGAUGCUCUGUAAAUUUCCAGAAGAUAAUUCAUUUAUCUCGAAUUACUAUAAUUAAUGCAAGAAAAUAGGGAAAUAAAUCAUACAAAAUAUGUUUUGAGGUCUAUAAAUACUAGGAAACUUUGCAGAUGACCCCAAUUCUAAAUAAUGACUUCAAAUUAAAUUUCAUGGAUUUUUGUUACUGUUUAACAUGGUUUUGAAAUUUCUUUUUGUUUGGCUCCAAUAAAUCAUAAAACCACUUUAGAGAAGGUUAAAGGGCUGCCUAGCAAUUUUCACAGCUUCAUCCAUAUGUUAAAGAUUUAGAAAAAUAUUUUCAGAAAUUUUCAUUAUGCAUUCCUAUUUUUCCCCGAUUUUUGUAUUUAUAAUGGCCUAAAAACAGAAAAAAUAAUUCUGCUCAUCCAAAAAUUAUGAACAUUUACCAGAACACCUUGUAAUACAUUAGGAGAGUACAUAAAAGUUUUGAUGAUUUUUCUCUUCUUUAUACUAUUUUUCUCCUAUUUUCUAAGAUUAAAUACACUUAAAUACACAAAAACGAAUUUCAAUAUACAAAAACCACAUUUGGUCUUUUUCUCAGAUUAUUUACACAGUAAAUGAACUUUACAAAAAAUUUGGUAAUUUACUUUAACUGUUUAAUAAUUAUUCUCCAAUUAAUGAUUAUUUAAGAGGAUAAAACAAUGAAAAAUAGAAAGACUAAUUGAAAAAUACCUUUUAUAUUUUUUGCAGGUUCUACAUGUAUAAUAAAAGUGUUAUGAAAACUUUGGGAAAUUUUGGAAACUGUUUCCUAUUUAUUUCAAUUUUUAUUAUGAUAAAUGCUCAAAAAUCAUAAAAUUUGGUUAAACAGUUUAGAAAUCAAUUUUUAUAUUUUUCCCAGCUUAACAAUGUUUAAUAACACUAACAAAAAAAGUUUGGGUAAUUUUGAAAACUGAUUUCUAUGUUUCAUGAAUUUGUAUCUAUUUAGAGAAUUAAAUAUAUGAAAAAUGGUUAUGCAUACUCAUAAUCCAUAAAAAUUUAUCUAGAAGUCUUUUGAUACAUUUAGAACGAAAAUCUGAAGUUUGGUAAUUUUUAUUAACUGUUUAGUAUUUUUCAUGAUUUUACGGUUAUUCAAGAAACUAAAAUGGUGAAAAAUAGUUAGACAAAUCAAAAGGUCAAGAAAACUUAUCUUGAGGUCUUUAACUUCAUUAAAAAGCUGAAAUGCAAAGUUUGGGAAAUUUUAGAAUUAAAUUGAUUUAGCUUUUGAAUAUUAAAACAUUGGAACACCUCUUAAAAUGUUAAAUAUUAGCAUUUCAAUAAUGUGAAUUUUCCAAUUAAACUGUUAUAUAACAAUUGAUUCAUUGAAAUCAAAUUUUCACAAAAAAAUGUUUAUAACUUAUCAAUAUUAAAUUUUGACACACUAUUGGCAUAAUCCUAUUGUAGUAGUAAGUAUACUAGUGUUAGAUUUCGAUUAGAGACUCACUAGCGAAUACCAUUAUUGUAGGAAUCGAUAGUGGUACGAGUGGAGCGUAGAUCAAGACAUCAUUUGCAUCAUCUCAAUACAUUGUGAGUAUUCACGCACUCCCCUAUUUUCGGUUUUUAAAUGUUUUGGGGUGGAAAAGCAUGUCCUAAACUAUUUUUAUGUUCGUUGUAUUUAUUUUGACUUGUAUGAAACUUGGUUGCUAUAUUUCGUAUGUAUGUGUAUGUUACUUUAAUUCAUGAGGACUGUAUCGCGGUUAAGUCCCUGGAAUCUCUAGACACAACCCAUUAACUCUUUUGAGCCUAUGGUUAUUAUGGAUAGCGCUAUCAGGAGGUAGACAACUCCUCACUCGCACGAUUCUCUUGAGUGCAUUUUACCAUUUUAUACACUAUGUUUGCGAUACACAUAGUAGUCAAUAGGGCACGAUUAGGUCAUUAGGCUUGGGUUGUGAACUAAUGAAUGGAAACUUGAUGCACGUACUAUUCUUUAUGCACAUACGAAACUUGUAUUCCCAUGUUAGCAACGACACUUGUAUACUUAUGUUAGCAAUGAAACUUGAAUACUUAUUUUAGCAACGAAACUCGUUGCUCAUUAUAGCAAUAAACUCGUUUAUUAAUUGUAGCAAUCAACUUUGUUUCUCAUUAUAGCAAUAAACCUUGUAUCUCAUUAUAACAACGAACUUUUGUUACUAAAUACUUAUUUACUUGUUUUAGCAACCAACUUGGUUGCUUCUUAUAGUAACAAACUUGUUUGCUCCUUGUAGCAAUGAAACUUGAUUACUCAUUUUAGUAACAAACUUUAUUUCCCAUGAGGUUAUAAACGUUGCAUCCCUUUUGGGCAACAUACUUUAUUUCUCAUGAUGAGAACGAACUUUGUUUACACAAACUUAUUUACUCAUUUUAGCAAUAUCUUUUUAUCUAUGGAAACUUAUAUCAAAAUUUUGAUUUCGAUUCAUGAAACCAUAUUAUUUUUAAACUUGUGAGUACUCACCAACUAUUUUUAUAGCUGACGCUCGUUUUACAUGCUUUUUUAGGAAUCAUCGAGUAAGUGGCACUUAGGGACACUUCACUUUUAGGAGCAUUCGCAUGUGUUGUAUUUCAAUUUACAUUGUAAUUUCUUUUAAAAGUUGUUCAAACCCAUUGUAAAUUUGUAAUGAUUUUUAAUACUAUGGUUGGUGUUGUCUUUUAACUUUUGCUAUGAAACCCUUUAUACUGCCACGCCUCGUGACUUCGCUUUAGCGGGGUGUGACAAUCUUUUAGUCACAAAAUUAAUUUCCUAAUUAAUUCUUGACUAAUAUUAAUUAAACAAUAUGAUUUCUCCUUUAGUAUAUUAUUCAUAUAAUAUAUUAAUAAAUCAUAAUUAAUCUAUUUCUCCAUAAAUCAUCUGUCACACCCCGUAAACCAAGGCGGAAACAUUUCCGGGGCGGACGCCACGUUGAGUAUCAAAUCCAAUACACAUAGUAAGCAAAGUAAACAACCAUUACAUUACAUAUNGAACAAAAGCAAGACGUGUCUUCGACGCACUCCGUCUUCGUCAAAAGGAUCAUCGGGUACCUGUCUAAUGCGGACCUGAGAAUACAAGCAUUUUAGAAAUCAGCAUAAAGCCGGUGAGUUCAUAAGCGGUUUUGUUUUCUGAAAAUGUACGAGUUUCCUUUCGGUUUCUGAAAAGGUUACGACCCAAGAAAAUCCAAUAUUUUCUUUUAUGUAAAGUUUAGUUAUCUGUUAUGUUACACGGUUCUGGUUAUGUACAAUUGUUAUCCCAGGAAAAUCCCAUAUUUUCCUAAAAGUUGACUACCGAUCUGAAAUGUAAUGUGAAAGAUGUAUAUUAAAAACCUGGUCAUCCUUGUGAAAUGUAUGUUAGUUUACCAACCCGAGAUGUAAUGUAAAAGAUGUACACUGGAAAUGUAUUAGUUUUCACACGUAUAUAAAACUAACAACUACAAAGUAAACUAGUUACUAAAAUCCAUUAUUAUUAUAAAGUAAAUCUCUGUUAUCCAAAUUGCGAGUUCCAUAACCAUACGAUAGACUAAAUAUGGCAAUAAGUAGUCCAUCUCACUUUAUGACUUUCGUCACCCUUGAACCUUUCGGUUCGGCUGUAGCUAGCAGCCAGGUGCGGGGUAGUCAGCCCCGUAUAGAUCUAGACACUCAAGUCACGCUCCCUAUCUAAGAGAUUCUGGUUACAGGGGCGGUCCUCCACUCGUGUAUCUCUGUGGAGUGUUCUCCGAGGACGUGUCUCUAUUUUAUAGGAAUAACAAAUUUACUAGUAAUAAUACAGAAAGAUCAAAUGACGAACCUCCACUCGCGUAUCUCUGUGGAGUGUUACCGAGGACAAAACAGUAUUCUAAGUUUCAUAUUCAAAGUUCAAUGUUAUACUUUUAACUGUUAUGAUGUGGGAAAACCAUUUGUGAAAAUAUAAAAUACAACAAUUUAUAAUGUUUUUCACAAAUAAAAUGAUAGUGUGUUCUGCAAGUUCAACGGUUAUCUUUUAUGAUUGUCUGUGUUAAAAGCAUAUGUAAUAUGAAACAUAACACAAAUAAAACAAGUUUUAAGUACAAGUAUUCCUUGUACUUUGCUUGUAUUCCCCCUAAAAAUAGUGAAAAACAUUGAAAAAGGGUAGGGGUAUGAACUUACCAGACGAGAAAACGUGACGGUUUGGAUGCUAUGUGUCGGUUCGGGGCUUGAUAACGCGCGAGGUUCCUAUGUAAUAUGAAAUGGUAUUCAAAUGUAUCUAAUUAGACUUUAAAUCACUAAUUAGAUAUGAUUAUACACUCCAAUACGAGAAAACACUUCAAAUCAAGUGAUUGGAGUGACCCAAGUGACAUCUAUGGACGUAUAGGACUUUGGAUAAUGUGUUUAGGCUUCAAGAGUAAACUCCUUAGGGAGUUUAUGGCCCUAAGACUAUGAUCACAUGAGUUCACGGCCGUGAACUCAUGAAUGUGAGGUUUUAUGGUGUCAAAUGGUCAAAUAACACUUAGGAAGGGUUGAUAUGAUUUAAUCUAAGGCACAUGAAUGAGUUAAACCACCAAAGGGACCAUCAAAGGGAGUUUACUGCCGUAAGCUCCUAUAUACCCAUUCAUUUCAUGAUUUGGUGGCCCUAGAUUAAUCAUAUGUGAUUCAAACCAAUUUUACAAGCCUUAGAAUGAAAUUAGGGCAUCAUUUGGCUAGUGUAUAUGAGUUUACGGCCCAUGAACCCAUUCUAGGGGGGUUUACGGCCGUGAACUCUCAAAGGGGUGGUGUUCAUCAAGUUUAAGGCCCCUAAAUCGAUUGUGGUUGAUUUUAGAAUUUAAUCCAAGGCUAUUGGUGUGUUUAAGUGGCAUUUAAACACUCAAAUUGAGUUUACUCCCCAUGAAGGUGAUUUUACAGCCCAAGCAUGUUCUCGGAUAGUAAACUCAUGUUUACUCCCCAAAAAUUGGAUUAAAGGUGUUCUAAGUCCAGUCCAUUAAGCCAUUUAGCCAUAUCUAAGCUCUGAAGAUGGAUUAGAAGGGUUUUAAGGCUCAAAAACCCAUUAUAUGUGUGUUUACGGACCAAUCAUGUUCUAGGGCCGUAAACACAUGAAAAUGGUCAUAAAUCAUAGUUUGAACUCGGAUUUGGAAGCUAGAAAGGUUGUACAACAAGUUAGGAAGGUUACCUUGAUGAAAUGGAGAUUAAAUUUUAUGAUUUUGGACUUGAAACUUGGAUUGGAGGAGAGAGGUUAGAGAGAGAGUAGUGAGAGAGAGAAAAAGCUUCAAAUGGAAGCUUAAUCCACUUUAAAUAUGUUCCAAGUUCGGGACACUGUGGAAUUUUACCCGAUACCGAUGUUAGACGUGGCUUUUGGUCGCACCCGAUUAAGUUGCCGUAACCCGAUAUGGUCGAUUCUAAAAUGUUUCCGAUUACUAAUAUGGAGUGCUAAUAUGAGUUCUAAGCAUGUUUGGACACCCAUUAAGUCAUAAUGGAAAUCCCACAUUUAUGACUUAAUUUAAUGACAUAACGGAAAUGAAAUUGAAAGCGACGAAUAUAUUAACGAAAAGGGUUACAAUUGAUGGAACGAACUUUCGGAUUGUCACAUUAUCCCCCUGUUAGAGGGAAUUUCGUCCCGAAAUUCAGAAUUAAGACACAAAUCAUGGAUCUGGGAAGAGAUGCAGAUACUUUUGUUUAAUCGAGUCUUCACGCUCCCAAGUGAAUUCCGGUCCCCGCUUGGCAUUCCAGCGAACCUUCACUAUCGGGAUGCGACUUUGUUUCGUGCGUUUGAUAUCUCGAUCCAUGAUUUCGAUUGGUUCCUCCACGAAGUUCAAAUUUUCUUUGAUCUGGAUCUCAUCUAGAGGAAUCACGAGGGUUUCAUCGGAUAAACACUUCUUAAGAUUAGAGACGUGAAAGCCGGGGUGGAUGUUGCUAAGCUGGUGAGGUAAUUGAAGUUUAUAGGCUACCGGACCGAUCCUGGCGAGGAUCUUGAAGGGCCCAAUGUACCUCGGAUUAAGUUUCCCACGCUUUCCAAAGCGUACAAUGCCUUUCCAGGGCGAGACCUUCAACAGGACAUGGUCUCCAACCUGGAACUCUAGAGGUUUCCGUCGUAUAUCAGCGUAACUCAUUUGGCGAUCUCGUGAAGCUUUCAAUUGUUCCCGGAUUUGGAUAAUCUUUUCGGUGGUUUCGCGGAUGAUUUCAGGACCAGUGAGAGCACUAUCGCGAAAUCGACUCUUGGCUAGCUGCGUGUCCUCUACCUCGGUCCAUCAUACAGGGGAUACGCACUUGCGACCGUAGAGGGCCUCGAACGGAGCAACCUUGAUACUGAUGUGGUAACUAUUGUUGUACGAGAAUUUGAUCAAAGGCAAAUGUGUGUCCUACGACUUUCCGAAAUCGAUGACACAUGCUUUAAGCAUGUCUUCCAAGGUUUGGAUAGUUCUCUCACUCUGUCCGUCGGUCUGAGAGUGAUAAGCCGUGCUCAUGUCUAGUUUAGUUCCAAGAGCCUUCUGAAGAGACUGCCAAAAUCUGGAGGUAAACCUGCUAUCUCGAUCAGAGAUAAUGGACGCAGGUACACCGUGCAGUCGAACUACCUCCUGGAUGUAGAUCCGCGCAAGUCUUUCCAUCUUGAACAAUUCUUUAAUCGAGAUGAAGUGAGCGGACUUGGUUAAACGAUCGACAAUUACCCAAAUGGUAUCGUACCCACUCGGACAUUUGGGUAACUUGGUGAUGAAAUCCAUGGUAAUCAUUUCCCAUUUCCAUUCGGGUAUCUCGGGUUGUUGGAGCAGACCCGAGGGUUUCUGGUACUCAACUUUCAUUUUGGCGCAAGUCAAGCACUUGCCCACGAAUGUAGCGAUUUCGGCUUUCAUGUUUGGCCACCGGUAUUGUUUCUUGAGAUCCAAGUACAUCUUGUCUGAACCUGGGUGAACAGAGUAUCUGGUCUUGUGUGCUUCCUCCAUGAAAACUUCCCUAAAUCCUCCGAACUUUGGGGUCCAAAUUCGGUCUAUGAAACAGUAGACUCCAUCAUCUCUGAUCUCAAGUUUCUUAUCCAUUCCCCUCAAGGCUUCGCUUGAUAUGUUCUCGGGUUUGAGGGCUUCUAUCUGGGUGUCUCGGAUUUGCAUGGAUAAAUGGGAAUGAAUAGUCAUUGUCAGUGUCCUUACUUUAUGGCUUGAACUUUCCUUUAGGCUAAGGGCAUCUGCUACCACGUUGGCCUUGCCGGGAUGGUAGCGAAUCUCGCACUCAUAAUCGCUGAGCAGCUCUACCCAUCGCCGUUGCCUCAUGUUUAAGUCUUUCUGGUUGAGGAUGUGCUGCAGGCUCUUAUGGUCAUUGAAGAUCGUACACUUGGUUCCGUAGAGAUAAUGUCUCCAAAUCUUUAGUGCAAAGACUACGGCUCCGAACUCCAAGUCGUGUGUGGUGUAGUUGACCUCGUGUGCCUUCACCUGUCUUGAGGCAUAAGCAAUUACUUUUCCUCUUUGCAUAAGCACACAGCCUAAGCCCUGAUUAGACGCAUCGCAAUAGACAACGAAGUCUUCUGUCCCUUCGGGUAGGGACAGAACUGGCGUGCUGCACAAGGCUUGCUUUAAUGUUUGAAACGCUGUUUCUUGCUUUUCACUCCAACAAAAGGGUACACUUUUCUGUGUUAGAGUGGUUAGGGGUUUGGCGAUUUUUGAAAAGUUUCUGGAUCAAUCUUCGAUAAUAGCCGGCGAGACCCAAGAAUUGACGGAUUUCUGUUCGUGUUUUCGGUGCCGACCAAUUCUCUAUCGCUUUAAUCUUAGAAGGAUCCACAUGAAUACCCUCCUCGCUUACCACGUGACCGAGGAAAGUCACCUUCCAAAUCCAGAAUUCACACUUGGAAAAUUUCACGUACAACUUCUCGGAUCUAAGGGUUUCCAAUACUAAUCUCAAGUGUUGUUUGUAAUCUUCUUUGCUUCUGGAGUAGACAAGGAUGUCAUCAAUGAACACGAUGACGAAUUUGUCUAAGAAGGGACGACUCACCCGGUUCAUCAGGUCCAUGAACACUGCCGGUGCGUUAGUUAGACCGAAGGGCAUCACUACGAACUCGUAGUGUCCAUAUCGAGUCCUGAAAGUUGUUUUGGAAACAUCACUCUCAUGAACUCAUAGCUGAUGGUACCCUGAACUAAGGUCUAUCUUUGAGAAAUAGCUGGCUCCUUGGAGUUGAUCAAAGAGGUCAUCUAUUCGCGGAAGAGGAUAUCAGUUUUUUUCGGUCAACUUGUUCAGCUCACGGUAGUCGAUACACAUCUGGAAGGAUCCAUCUUUCUUCUUUACAAAUAAAACCGGAGCUCCCCAGGGUGAGGAACUUGGUCUGAUGAACCCUUUGCUGAGUAAUUCAUUGAGUUGGCUAGAUAACUCCUGCAUUUCUGCUGGAGCUAAACGAUAUGGAGACUUGGCUAUGGGGGUAGCUCCAGGAAUUAGGUCAAUGCGAAAUUCGACCUGGCAUUCAGGAGGAAUUCCUGGGAGCUCUUCCGGAAAGACAUCAGGAAAGUUACAUACUUCGUGGAUGCUCGCGAGGUCUUUAAUUUCCUGUUUCUCGUUGAUUACAUGGGUUAGGAAUGCUUGACAUUCCUUUUGCAAGAGUUUCUGAGUUUUGAUGCAGGAAAUGAUGCGAAGGUUGGAGAAGAGUUUAUCGGCAUAGAUCAUGAGAGUUUGACCUGCUGGAAGAUUGAGACGGAUGACUUUUUCAUAGCAAAGGAUAUCAGCAUGAUUGGGACUCAACCAAUCCAUGCCAAUGAUAACAUCAAAUCUCUUUAUAGAGACUGGAAUAAGAUCAAUGGGAAACGAAUAACCGUUCAAGGUAAGGGUACAACCUAUGAAUAUAUCGCGAGCGCUUUCUUUCUCACCAUUAGACAUGUCGACGGUAAACGUUUCGGUUAAUGGUUGAGGAUUAGGUUUUAGAUUAUGUUUGAACUAAUGACUAACAAAACUACGUUCAAAACCCGAAUCGAAAAUAAUGCUAGCACAAGAGUUGUCGAGAAGGAACGUACCCGAAAGAAUGGUGGGAUCGGCGACUGCCUCUUCCCGUCCCAUGGCUAGGACUCUUCCGGUAUUAUCAACUGUCACCUUCUUGGGGCAGUUUCUCUUGAAAUGCCCAACUUCUCCAUAAUUAUAGCAGGCUUGACCAACACCAGCUCUAGAAGAUUGAUUUGCGGAUUGGGCUGGUGCCUUGCAGAAUCGGACCGUAUGACCCUUUUUGCCACAGUUGGUGCAUGAAAGAUCAUGGAAGGGGGCCGGGGUUAUGGUGGUAUUUGCACUUUUCACACUGGGGAAGGUUACCAGCAUACCUACUAGUAGGUGUUUGAGCUGUAGAUCCCACAACAGAAGCAGCAGCAAUAGGGGUAGUAGCAGCGUGGACUGCUACUGUCUGCUAUUUCUUUGAGGAUCCUUGAGAAGAUUGACCUUUCUUCUUCUUCCAGAACUUUCUUUUCUCACCACUCCUCUUGGUCGUUUUAGGAGUGGUGGUUGUUUCCUCAACCUCAUCACUGUGAUCUGGGCUAAGCUUUUGGCACUAUCAUAUGUAUCCGGCCUCGCAGAUAAGACAUUUCCUUUAGUUGGUUGUGUCAACCCCCAAAUAAAUCUCUCUAUCUUCUUACUCUCCGGGGUAACCAUUCCUGGACAGAGUAGUGCUAGGUCAUCAAACCUUGAGGUGUAUGCGGCAAUAUCGGAACCCUUCAUCUUCAGGUUCUAGAGCUCGUGCUCUAACAUCUGUAUUUCGCCUCGAGGGUAGUACUCAACUAGAAGAAGUUCUUUCAUGGCUUCCCAACCAUAUAAUUGGCUACAGGUAGAGUCAAGGAUUUGACUCGUCCGUUCCACUAAGUCAGGGCUUUGUCGAUGAAGGUACAGGCUGAGAACUUUACUUUGUCAGAUUCCGAACAGGCACAUAUUUCAAAAAUGGAUUCGAUUUUCUCGAACCAUCGGGUGAGGGAAAUGACACCUCCAGUGCCAUCAAAGGACGUGGGUUUCGCGUUCAUGAAAUCUUUAUAGGAACCCUCUUUUCGGUGUCCCUGGCUAUCUUCUGGGUUUUGGGGCUGGGGACCACCUCCUGAACUACUGGGGUUCAUUUGUGACAUGGCGGCUAUCACUGCGGCAGUAAUAGCUGUCUGAAGCGUUACAAGAUCAAUUUGAGGAGAAGGUGGUGGUGGAGGGUUGUUGGUCUUUGAGCUGGGUCUCUUUCUUGGAAGCAUCUUGAUCUAGUAAGAUCAGGAAAGAGAGGAUGAUAAGUCCUCUGAAUUAAAUCAAGAGAUAUGACAUUUAUAUAUAUUCUGUAUAAGCGAUAAAGCAGGAAGGAGUUAUCAAAAUAGAUAAAUUAUUGCUAAAAGAAUGAUUAGGGAACAACGCUUGAAUGAGGAUUUCUACAAAGGAUUGGCUCGAGAAAUACUCCUAUAGUAUUUCAUGAUUCGCUACGACCAUGGUUCAAUGUUUGGGGUAUUAGGGUAAGUUUUAGGCAUGCUGAACACCACAGUCACUCCCAAGCACAUGUUGGCCAUGUCUCGAAUGAAUAUAGUUGGCCAGGCUAUAUUGAUCCUAGACACGACUACAUAACUAUCCAGGUUUAACCGCAGCAUACAACACCCAUUUACUUACGUUUCGUUCUACUUGUAGUUACGAAUCUCGACAGUUAGGUAUACUUGUAUACUUUUGAAAAUACUUAUACUUUGAAGUAUACUUUUACUUUAGAGCACUUAGGCCCCUUAGUGUUUAUGGUUUUAUACCAUGUAAGGUUUGGUAUACUUUAUUCACUAUUAACAAGGGCUCUGAUACCAAUCUGUCACACCUCGUAAACCAAGGCGGAAACAUUUCCGGGGCGGACUCCACGUUGAGUAUCAAAUCCAAUACACAUAGUAAGCAAAGUAAACAACCAUUACAUUACAUAUGAAAAUUUACAUUUGUUCAAAAGUAAAGUUGUACAAGUGUGAUACAUAUGUAUAUAUAUAUAUAUAUANUUAUAUAUAUAUAUAUAUAUAUAUAUAUGAACAAAAGCAAGACGUGUCUUCGACGCACUCCAUCUUCGUCAAAAGGAUCAUCGGGUACCUGUCUAAUGCGCGGACCUGAGAAUACAAGCAUUUUAAAAAUCAGCAUAAAGUUGGUGAGUUCAUAAGCGAUUUUGUUUUCUGAAAAUGUAUGAGUUUCCUUUCGGUUUCUGAAAAAGUUACGACCCAAGAAAAUUCCAUAUUUUCUUUUAUCUAAAGUUUAGUUAUCUGUUACGUUACAUGGCUCUGCUUAUGUACAAUUGUUAUCCCAAGAAAAUCCCAUAUUUUCCUAAAAGUUGACUACCGAUCUGAAAUGUAAUGUGAAAGAUGUAUACUGAAAACCUAGUUAUCAUUGUGAAAUGUAUGUUAGUUUACCAACCCGAGAUGUAAUAUAAAAGAUGUACACUGGAAAUGUAUUAGUUUUAACACGUAUAUAAAACUAACAACUACAAAGUAAACUAGUUACUAAAAUCCAUUAUUACUAAAAAGUAAAUCUCUGUUAUCCAAAUUGCGAGUUCCAUAACCAUACGAUAGACUAAAUAUGGCAAUAAGUAGUCCAUCUCACUUUAUGACUUUCGUCACCCUAGAACCUUUCGGUUCGGCUGUAGCUAGCAGCCAGGUGCGGGGGAGUCAACCCCGUAUAGAUAUACACUUNCUAUCUAAGAGAUUAUGGUUACAGGGGCGGUCCUCCACUCACGUAUCUCUGUGGAUUGUUCUCUGAGGACGUGUCUCCAAUUUAUAGGAAUAACAAAUUUACUUGUAAUAAUACAGAAAGAUCAAAUGACGAUCCUCCACUCGCGUAUCUCUGUGGAGUGUUACCGAGGACAAAACAAUAUUCGAAGUUUCAUAUUCAAAGUUCAAUGUUAUACUUUUAACUGUUAUGAUGUAGGAAAACCAUUUGUGAAAAUAUAAAAUACAACAAUUUAUAAUGUUUUUCACAAAUAAAAUGAUAGUGUGUUCUGCAAGUUCAAUGAUUAUCUUUUAUGAUUGUCAGUGUUAAAAGCAUAUGUAAUAUGAAACAUAACACUAAUAAAACAAGUUUUGAGUACAAGUAUUCCUUGUACUUUGCUUGUAUUCCCCCUGAAAACAGUUAAAUGUAUUGAAAAAAGGUAGGGGUAUGAACUCACCAGACGAGAAAACGUGACGGUUUGGAUGCUAUGUGUCAGUUCGGGGAUUGAUAACACGCGAGGUUCCUAUGUAAUAUGAAAUGGUAUUCAAAUGUAUCUAAUUAGACUUUAAAUCACUAAUUAGAGAUGAUUAUACACUCCAAUACGAGAACACACUUCAUAUCAAGUGUUUGGAGUGACCCGGGUGACAUCUAUGGACAUAUAUGACUUUGGAUAAUGUGCUUACUCUUCAAGAGUAAACUCCUUAGGGAGUUUACGGCCCUAAUACUAUGACCACAUGAGUUCACGUCCGUGAACUCAUGAAUGUGAGGUUUUAUGGUGUCAAAUGGUCAAAUAACACUUGGGAAGGGUUGUUAUGAUUUAAUCUAAGGCAUAGGAAUAAGUUAAACCACCAAAGGGACCAUCAGAGGGAGUUUACGACCCUAAACUAGGAUUUUACGGUCGUAAGCUCCUAUAUACUCAUUCCUUUCAUGAUUUGGUGGCCCUAGAUUAAUCAUAUUUGAUUCAAACGAAUUUUACAAGCCUUAAAGUGAAUUUAGUGCAUCAUUUGGCUAGUGUAUAUGAGUUUACGGCCCAUGAACCCAUUCUAGGGGGGUUUACGGCCGCGAACUCUCAAAGGGGUGGUGUUCAUCAAGUUUAAGGCCCCUAAAUCGAUUGUGGUUGAUUCUAGAAUUUAAUCCAAGGCUAUUGGUGUGUUUAAGUGGCAUUUAAACACUCAAAAUUGAGUUUACUCCCCAUGAAGGUGAUUUUAUGGCCCAAGCAUGUUCUUGGGCAGUAAAAUCAUGUUUACUCCCCAAAAAUUGGAUUAAAGGUGUUCUAAGUCCACUCCAUUAAGCCAUUUAGCCAUAUCUAAGCUCUGAAGAUGGAUUAGAAGGGUUUUAAGGCUCAAAAACCCAUUAUAUAUGUGUGUACGGCCCAAUCAUGUUCUAGGGAUGUAAACACAUGAAACUAGUCAUAAAUCAUAGUUUGAACUCGGAUUUGGAAGCUAGAAAGGUUGUACAACAAGUUAGGAAGGUUACCUUGAUGAAAUGGAGCUUAAAUUUGAUGAUUUUGGACAUGAAACUUGGAUUGGAGGAGAAAGGUUAGAGAGAGAGAGUAGUGAGAGAGAGAGAAAAAGAUUCAAAUGGAAGCUUAAUCCACUUUAAAUAUGUUCCAAGUUCGGGACACAGUGGAAUUCUACCCGAUACCGACGUUAGACGUGGCUUUUGGUCGCACCCGAUUAAGUUGUCGUAACCCGAUAUGGUCGAUUCUAAAAUGUUUCUGAUUACUAAUAUGGAGUGUUAAUAUGAGUUCUAAGCACGUUUUGACACCCAUUAAUUCAUAAUAGAAAUCCCAUAUUUAUGACUUAAUUUAAUGACGUAAUGGAAACGAAAUUGAAAGUGACGAAUAUAUUAACGAAAAGGGUUACAAUUGAUGGAACGAACUUUCGGGUUGUCACAUCAUCCUAUCAAGUUGGUUUGGUGAACGCAACCCAAAAGGACCAUGCUUGCAAUCGGGUCAAGUACAUACCAAAAUAGUUAUGGACUUAGACACUAAUCCAACAACUAGUUUCAACAUCCCCCUUCUUGCUCCUUGCUUGGUAUCCCUUUCUUCUCCUCAAUUGAUAUACUAAAAAUCUCAAGAUUAGAUUAUCUUUCACUCUCUAGCUCAAGUGGACGAUUAGGGUUUCGCUCAAAGAUGUUGGGCAACUGGUGAGGCACAAAUGUGGGUAUAAGUUCUCUUAAAUAGGCCCCAACCCCAGAGAUUUAGGGUUUCAUCCCACAACACCAACUCGGCGAGUCGGGUCUCCGACUCUUCGAGUCAGUUCAUUAACCCACGUGGCCAACUCGACUCUACUCGACGAGUUGGGGAACUAACUCGUCGAGUCACCCAGUCAACUCAUAACUAACAUAUAAAAAUGAUGUACCUCAGAGUCAGGAUGUUACAUUUAUUAUUUCACUCAAGAAUGACUAAGUCAAAACUUAAUCAACCAUAACCUUAAGUUAUUAAGUCCUUAGUGGGUUAAGUGUUCUUACUUAACCCUAAUCGUCAUUUUAUGUGAAACCCUAAUCGUCAUUUCAUGUGAGAUGGUCAUUGUUGCAAGUGACUAGGACUUGUGAUCGAGUAUUGACUCAAGUAUCUUCCUGUAGGUGUUUGGAAGUGAGUUGAAGUUGGUAGAGACUUUCGUUGUUAUAGUGGUUAUCUACGCGCAUAUUGAGGUGAGUUUUGCCUCACUGCACCCAUUGGUGGAAGGCACCAAUGACGGCCCACUAGUUUUGGUUAUGUGUUAGUAGAGAGAUACCCUAGGGACUAUAUAUAGUCAAAUAGGAUAGACUAAUGACUCUUGAUCUAAGCUCACUUUCGUGUUCCUUGUUUAGUUGUGGUUCUAGAGCAGGAGCACAUGUCCGGGUGACUAUCUCAGCUCUGAAUAUAUACGGCCAUGCAUUCUUUGGAUUGUUGAUAUUUAGUAUGCUGCUAUGCUGUAGUGAACUCCUAGAUUUGCGUUCUGGUUUUGAGUUUUGUUAGAUGCCAUUUUAUGUAUCUUUUAGUGUAGUUUUCAUUAUCAUUUAGGAUCAUAUUUUGUACAUAUGCAUGUCGUUUAUUUAAAUAAUGUUCAACUCAUGUCUUUCGUUAGAACUCCCGUACUGCUCAUGUUUUUAUGUCAAUUUUGGAUAGUUCGAGUGGAGCUGUGCUUUGGCAGCAGUUGGAUGCGUGUUUGGAGUUUAAAAUGGAUUUGGAACUAAAGGAGUAUGUUGAGGAAUGCUUGGAAGAUGUUUUGGUCAAGAAACAUUUGAUUGAAUUUGAUCACACGAAGAUAGAAUCUACAAUAUGAAGUUAAAGGAUGUUGCUGGCAGGUUUGACCCCUUGUCAGUAUUUCGACCAUAUCUCAUGAAUCGUAACUCCGAUUGAUGCAAAUCAAAGAGAUAUGAAAAGUAGACGAAAUUCCGAACGUCUUAGGCAAAACAUGCGAUCGCAACAUAGAUACAUGCGAUCGCAUGGAGCCUUUAUGCUAUCGUAACUUUGGUCGCAACUUGUCUUCGAGGGUUUUUUAGUGCCAAAAAUUCAUCCAAGAGUAAAAACUUAUAACAUGUGAUCGCAACUUUGCCAAAAAGUGUCUAAAUAGCUUCCUGCUUCAUUAAAAAAGCCUGUGACACUACUAGAAAAACAGCCUUUUACGACGCUCAUUGCGCGUCGUAAAAGGCUCAGACGACGCGCAAAUGCGCGUCAAGGAAGGCCCUGUCAUAAAGAGAGACAACGCGCUUUUGCACGUCGUCUAUAGAUGACGCGCAUUUACGACGCGCAGUUACGAUGUGCGCUUACGACACGCAAUGCGUAUCAAGGAAGGCCCUGUCAUAAAGGAAGACGACACGCAUUCGCGUAUCGUUACCUUACGACACGCGUGUUAAUGACAUGCAAUGCGUAUCAAGAAAGCCACUGUCAAGAAAGGCCAUGUCAUAAACGAAGAUGAAAAACAUUUUUGCGUAUCAUAAUUUUAAAUGUUUAAAAAAAAAUUAUUUAUAGAUUUACUUAUUUUCAAAUUAAAUUUAUAUUUAAUGUUUCAUAGUAGAAAAUAAAAUAUCAUAUACAAAAAAUAGAAUCCAUUGCAUAAAUUUAAUGUCAUACAAUUCUAUUUCUUACAAUAAUAAAUUUGCAUCUAAUCUACUAUGUACAUCGAAUUCCAACUAACUAAAGUUGCAUCUUGCCUUUCAUAAUUCUGUAAGACUAAUGCUCCAAGCAGCUGAUUAUAUGACUUAGCAAAAUUCAACUCCAAGUCUUUACUGCAUCUUGCUGAUAAUGCUGCAAGAUUUAAAUAAAAUUCAACUCCAAGUCUUUACUCAAUAAUCAAAAUCCCAAGAGCAACAUCCAUUGUAGAGGCAAGUUCAUUUUCAAAACAAAACAUAGUAUUUAUAAUGAUAAGGAUGUGGAGGGUACACUAUAAAAACUCAGACAUGGCUAUAAUGUAGAUAACAAGGAUAGAUAUAUAUACCUUAAACAAAUUAGCUUCCAGAUCAGAUUAAGAGCUGCAAAAAAACUAAUAUAUGUUAAGGUAGUAUUUGGAGGAUGUAAUAUGAUGGCAUACAUGUUCAGAAGGCUAUUAUCUAUGAGCUUGACCAACACCAAGGGCAUUAUUGGUAGAAAUAAUGUUACUAUUUGUAGGGUUGAUAGGGAUAAUGUCUCCUCACUUUGUUCAUGUACUGAAGCUCCCUGUUGAAUAUAUUAUAUUUUUCUAUGCAUAUGGGAACUUGGGGAGGCGUCCUAUGGGGAUAGAUUUGUCAUUAGACAUACCGGUGACUGAACUGAAGGUGAAGACAAAAGCAUUUUCAUGAAAUUUUUUGUUCAUAUGAAUUCCUUCUACAUAGGGCAAUUAAGCCAACUAACUUGACUAAGUUGACAUGGUUUCUAAUUGAAACUAGUUUCUAGAUGAUGAAUGGAAUAUAAAUUCAAGUAGUGUUUUGAAGUUUGAACAACAGAUAUGUUGUUACCUUAACGAGUCCAGGUGGAAUUACUAACCAUCAACACCAAUAGGCCAAUGCGGAGCCUUAGCUGCAACAUCGAGGCAUUGCAGAAUUGCUUGCUCUGCCUUGAUUAUAGAUAUUGAAAACGCUACACCACAGCACAACACAAAGAUAUUAACCACUUUUUUUGCAUCAGAAAACAAAAUGAACUUAACAAACCUCCCAUAUCGGUUAUGGUUCAUAUGAGGUGAGAUAUCGCUUAAUCGCUUAACCCGCAAAAAAUCCAUGUCACAAAAUAUAAAAAAAAAAAAUAAAGAAAAAAAAUAGAAGAUAUCUUCCCUAAAACAACCAAUUCUGCAAAUAUCCAAUAACAAUGGUAGAACCAAUGGUGAUNNNNNNNNNNNNNNNNNNNNNNNNNNNNNNNNNNNNNNNNNNNNNNNNNNNNNNNNNNNNNNNNNNNNNNNNNNNNNNNNNNNNNNNNNNNNNNNNNNNNNNNNNNNNNNNNNNNNNNNNNNNNNNNNNNNNNNNNNNNNNNNNNNNNNNNNNNNNNNNNNNNNNNNNNNNNNNNNNNNNNNNNNNNNNNNNNNNNNNNNNNNNNNNNNNNNNNNNNNNNNNNNNNNNNNNNNNNNNNNNNNNNNNNNNNNNNNNNNNNNNNNNNNNNNNNNNNNNNNNNNNNNNNNNNNNNNNNNNNNNNNNNNNNNNNNNNNNNNNNNNNNNNNNNNNNNNNNNNNNNNNNNNNNNNNNNNNNNNNNNNNNNNNNNNNNNNNNNNNNNNNNNNNNNNNNNNNNNNNNNNNNNNNNNNNNNNNNNNNNNNNNNNNNNNNNNNNNNNNNNNNNNNNNNNNNNNNNNNNNNNNNNNNNNNNNNNNNNNNNNNNNNNNNNNNNNNNNNNNNNNNNNNNNNNNNNNNNNNNNNNNNNNNNNNNNNNNNNNNNNNNNNNNNNNNNNNNNNNNNNNNNNNNNNNNNNNNNNNNNNNNNNNNNNNNNNNNNNNNNNNNNNNNNNNNNNNNNNNNNNNNNNNNNNNNNNNNNNNNNNNNNNNNNNNNNNNNNNNNNNNNNNNNNNNNNNNNNNNNNNNNNNNNNNNNNNNNNNNNNNNNNNNNNNNNNNNNNNNNNNNNNUUUUACACAAACUGAGGUUCUUAUAUGCCCAUAUCCUGUCAACAGAAGUCAUGUAUUUUUGAAUUAGUUAUGAAAAAUAAAAGGUCAGUAAAACGCAAAUAAAGUUACCUUGAUAGGAUUAAGUUUUGGAAGACCUUGAGGAAAAUGUUUUUGAAGCUCAGGAUUUAAAAUUUGAAAAACCUUACCAGUCUUGAUAUUGCAAAUAAUGGUAUUUCAGAUACUAUUCCUCUCGAGUUUUGGGGCUCGUGGCCUUCCCGGUUAACAUUCCUGAAUCUUUCUUCCAACAACAUAAAGUGGGAAAGUACCAGAUCUGUCAUCAAUAUUUCACAACAAUUCAGUGAUAGAUUUAAGCUCCAACAGCUUUGAUGGUCUAAUAACUAAUGUCUCUUCCACUGUGGCUUUACUAAAUCUUUCUAGAAACAAAUUUUCUGGAGGAAUCUCCUUUUUAUGUGAGGUUAUCCAUGGCUUUUUAGUUAUACUUGACCUCUCUCAUAACUAUCUAAGCGGACAAAUUCCAGACUGUUUGUGGCAUUUCAAAGAACUAAAAGUUCUUAAUUUAGAACACAAUAAUCUGUCUGGAAGGCUUCCUGCUUCUGUUGGAUCUAUGAUUAAGCUCGAGGCAUUGGAUUUAUACAAGAAUGAUUUCUCCGAAUCUGUCCCAGCUUCUGGAAGGCCCGACUUUUUCACCACAUUUACAACCACCCCCACCCCCAAUCUGUCCCAGCUUCUCGAACCUUAACCUGAAAAAAAAAAGACGAAUAUAACCUUAUCAUUUUCUCAAGUAUUUGACACUGCCCCAAGUACAAUCUCAAUUUUAUGAAUAAGUUGAUGAACAAACACUUAACUGAGCUCAAACAGUUCUUCAUGAUCAUGGGAUCCAUGAUGACCUCCCUCCACUAAUGACUCAUCUGUCCCUUCAAGUGCCACAUAGGAAUCACCUUUGUGUGCCUGGAACAUUAAAUAAAAUAUAUAAUAUGGUCUUUAAAUAUUAAUCAAAAAAUAUAAACAUGAUUAAAACAAUAAAAAGAACAUGACAUACUCUGUUAUGAUGUGCCUUUAAACUGAAAGGCUUGGGUAGCAGCAUCCAUGGGACAACAAUUAAGGAUAGAAGUAGUAGCAUAAGCUGUCAUUGCCAUUGCCAAUCAUAUCAUUUCUAUUAGUUGUCACCUUCAGUAAACUUUAGAUGAAUACAGUUUAUUUUUAUAAAAAAAUAACAUUUUUUGCUUUAUUCAUUAACUUAAUUUACUUAGUUUUCUAGGAUACAUGACUGUCUUUCAGCGGUGAUGAGUGAUGACCUAAACUCUUUGCUAUUCAGUGUUUUCAUUUUUUAUAUUACUUUCAAGUUAUGAUAUGUAAUUACUUUUGCACCAAACUUAGUAUAUACUCAUAUGCACUCGUCAUUAGCCCAACAUUGCAACAUGCAUCUCAUGAUUUCUUUUAUGUUGGAUCACAUUGAAAAGAACAGAAAUAAAUAUUCUUAGCUAAAGAUUACUUUAUAAUAAAAUCCAAUAACACAAGUGAAGGAAUGUAGUGGUGAACAAAGAAGUAUGAGUUGAAAGUUUGGAAAUGGAAGUUAACCUCUACUGUUCUUUUAGCUAAAUCAAAUUCAUUUUUCAAAUUCUCAACAUUUGUACGCUUGACAACUAGCAUCUUAAUCACACAUCUAGUAUUAUAAAUAGAAAAUCGUUAUUAAAAGAUGGAUAUGAUAAAUAAAAUAUUAGAAAGAGGUUAAAAGCUAUCUCCAUAUUAGGUGAACAUGAAAGGUAUGUUCAAGCACAUUUGGCAGCCAUCUACCAAAUGAGUAAGCAUCAAAAUUAAAAAAGAAGAAAAAACUCAACUGUGAAAAGGAGACAGACCCAUGACAACUCUAAGAUUCUUUUGAGCAUUUAUACAAACACAUUGUGUGCAUAUCCAUGUUCCACAUAAUCAUAUAAAAAGUUUACACUAACAUCGGUCCAUGUGGUUAGAAAUUAAUGAAUUACAAUCCACAUACAAAAAAUUAAUUUUUCCGUUUCAGUUGAUGGAUGAAUCUCACUGACACUCAAAAAUUGCUUUGAUAACAAAAUUUAUGAAAACAUGAACCUGUAAAAAGAUGUAUCGAUGAAAGAGAUGAGAAUAACACCUCAAAAUUUGGUACAGUUCACACAAGUCAGCCAGCAAGUGAUUAUAAAAAUUGAUUUUAGGGAUGCCAUUCAUCAAAAUACUUGCUCUAUAAAUGAAAAAACCCUAAUAUCAGAGAGAGAGAGAGAGAGAGAGAGAGAGAGAGAGAUCACGAAGAAUCAAAACAGGACCUGAAUGUUCAAGUUGUUAGCUCAACCCGUCUUUUUCCAUCCUCGUCCCAGUUUAGAGAGAUGUGCUUGAAAUUUCACAAGAAUAUAGGGUUAGAAAACCUUGGACGACCUAAUUCGAUUGUGGACUUGAUUUUUUUUUCUAAUAGAAUCGCACAAUAGGGAUGUGAAUGAGUAUCUGGUGGAAGCUCUCCAAUCUUCGUUCCCUUAAUUUUAUCGUCAUCUUUGUGUGCGUGAAGAUCUGAAAAAAGAAAAGUAGAAAGAAGGAGAACAAGGCGGGGUUUUCGAAUUUUCAGGGAUUUCAUUUCCAUCUUAGCUAUUAAAGGUCGGAAAACGCAUGUUUCAUCGAUUUUUGCAUCUAGGUUAGAACGAAGAAGGAAGUGUGGGGAGCAAAAAACCCUAAAAAAAGGGGGUGAACGAAUUAACUGGAGAUCGAUUAACAUCUAGAAAGAGAUCAUUAGCUAAUAAAACCAAUGAAGCCUUGUUAUACGAUGAACUUGGAAUGAUUGAAAUAGAAGAGGGUAGUGAUGCAUAAAAGAAAAUCCCCAAAUUUAAUAGUAAAUAUGCAUCCAAUCAGACGAACUGAUACAUUAUCGGAAUCAUCUCUAUCUCUCUCUCUCUCUCUCUCUCCCAUUUGUUGUGGUUAAUGGGAGAGAGAGAGAAAGAGAGAGAGAGAGAUUUGUUAUAGAUAGGGCGGAGGUGGUGAAUGAGAUGUUUGGUGAUACUGAUAAGAAGGAGAUCGAGUAGAGAUCCGAUGAACGAGAUGUUUGAUGAUACUGAAGAUGAAGAUGAAGGACCUAGGGCUUUUUCUUGCUAAGUAGAAGAGGUGGGGGGAUUAAUUUUGGGAUUCAAUAGGUGGGGGGAUUAAUUUUGGGAUUCGAUAGGCGGGGGUAAUUUUCGUCGAUUUCAUUUCCCGCCUAAAACGUGUGUUUCACUUAAAAUUAUAAAGCGACACAUUCACAUGACGCACAUUUUAUGAAAGGUGCCCUCCGCAUUUCUUUUUUUAUCUUUUUUGACACUAAUUUUAGGGUGUGCAAAAAUGCGUGCCCUCUAUCCUUCAAAUUUUGCAAAACUGACAUUAUCUUUUAGGGCACUUACAAAUGCGCAUCGUCUAUCAGCAAGUGUCAUUGUUUGCGCGUCAUUAAAGGGCUAUUUUCUUGUAGUGUGAUGCGAUUAUUUUCAAACCUGGGAUCGCAACCUCAAUACAUGCGAUCACAGGUUAUCCGUUUCUUGUUCCGGAAGCUUCCAACAUGAGUAUAAAUACACCCUCAUUGUAACACCUAGUUCUUGUUUAACUAUUUCGAAAUAGGCUCUUUUUGAUGUGAAGAAUUAUUUAUAUAAUUCGAGAUUAACUAUUCAGAUAUGAUGAAUACAAUUAAUAAUUUUAAGGCAUUAUAAAGACGUAGUGAGGAGACGAAUUAAUCUUAUUAAAUAAUGAGAUAUAUUAAACAUAUUAUUAAGGUUUAAUGGUUAAUAAUAAUAUUAUUAAUAAUGAUAAUCGAAAUAAAUUAAUUAAGGAUAUUUAAGUCUAUGGAUCAAUCUGUAAUUUAAGAAAACUUAUACUGAAGAGAAAUGAAGGAUUAGGGGUGUAAUUUGUGCAUGACUGAAAAUUAAGGGAUUAAUCAUGCUGUUUCUGGAAACUUGGCCAUAUGUUGCCUCAUUUCCCGACAAUGUACAGGAGCCCUUCUUCCCCCAUUUUGUUUAUAUAUGCCUCAGGUCCUCCAUAAAAGAAGAAAACCUACAAUGAUUCACGAAAAAGGAUACCGGUUAUUGUCCAUGAAAACACUCCCCUCUGUCAUUUCAUACUGGAACCAAAUAGAGAAAGAAGGUGGAUGCAAUUAGAAGAGAUAGACGUUGGAGAGGAUUAAGUUAUGGAUCUUUAGCUAUUUUUGCAUCAUUUCCAGUUCGAGUGGGAGGGAAGGGGUUCAAUCAAUUGUAGGAGGUUGAGAAAGCUAACGUCAAUGCUCCCAACUUUAUCUUCGUCCAUUUGAUUCAAGAAGAUUGUAUUUUCCCAGUGAAGCUUAUAAGUUGUUUUCAGUUUGUUACUCUCCGACAAGUUCGUGAGUGAGGUUUUUCGGCGAAACCUCAGUUGGUUUCCGCACGCAAGGAAGCGACAUUGAGGCCUCUGUGUUUUUGCUUUAGCUAAGAUAGUCAGGUCGGAGACUAAUAUGAAACUCUAUUCUCAGUUGUUGCUUCUCUAACGUAGUUGGGGUAUACUUCCAAUGAUAUUAAGCAUGUGCGUCUGUCACACCCCAAAACCAUUAACGGCGGAAACGUUCUGGGGCGGAGGACGUCAUGUACAAUAACACAAAAGUGAAAAGUAGUAAACAAGCAACAACAUCAUCCAUUGCAUUAAUAAUAUAAUUUUAAUACAAGUGUGUUCUGUCAAAUUAUAAUAGACACUAAAGUGUAAUCAAAAUGAAAUAUGAGUCUUGAUCGAGCUCCAUAUUCACUAAACCUUGCAUCGGUACCUGUCUAUCGUUGACCUGAGGAUACAAGGUAUUUUGAAAGGGAGUAUCAGCUUUAAAGCUGGUGAGAUCAUAGGUAUUAAUGUGUACUAAUUUGUAAAACUUGUAAUGAAAGACUUGAAAUUGUUUUGAAAGGAAGCUCGUAUAAGUAUGAAAAUGUUUGUAGAACAACUGUAAACAUUUGAAAAACCCUAGAAAUCCCUAUGAUUCCUACUAUUAUAAAAGGGAGUCUUCUACCAAAACCUAACUGCUCUGAAUGUAGCCUUCUACCAAGACCUAACUGCUCUGAAUGUAGCCUUCUACCAAGAACUAACUGCUCUGAAUGUAGCCUUCUAUCAAGACCUAACUGUUCUGAAUGUAGCCUUCUACCAAGACCUAAGUCCUCUGAAUGUAGCCUUCUACCAAGACCCGACUGUGUUACUAUUAUUAUUAUUAUAAGAAAUUGUAUCCUUUGGUACUAGGAUACUCAAAUAUAAUUCACCUCAUCGGUUAUGUAAAUGAGUCACAAGAUAAAGGUAAUAAUAUAAAUAACCUAAGUAUUAUCCUUUGGUACUAGCGUAACUAACAAUGUUAACUUAACACAUCCGUAGAUGUACAUUUACCUCUUUUGCUAAUAGAUGGGUGUAGGAAUAGUUAAUCCCUUAAAGUAUACCUAUAAAGGUAUCAACCGUAGGCAUCCAUAGAUGUUCAUUAUCCUCUGUAGCUAACCGUGGCUAUAGGAAUGGUUAGUCCCAAAAAGUAUCCUUUGGUACUAGGAUAUUAAAUCCAAUCUAUCUCGUCGAUUAUGUGAUUGUAUCACAAGGUAAAGAUAAGAAUGAGGAUUAUAUAACAAAAUAUAUACAUAUAAAAUAUAAUGAUAACUCGUCAUAUAUUAUCUAUGUAAACGUACUCAUGUAAAUGUAAUCAUGUAAAUGUACUCACGUAAAUGUAUAGUAAUGUGCUGUAAUGUUCUCUGUAUGCUAGCUGUAACGUGUGUUCUCUCUCUAUCUAGCAAGUAUUGAAUCAUGAAUGAACUGACUCAUUGUAUGAUAUCGUGUUCUAAUAAUAGUUCUAGUAUCUUCCUAAACUACCCAAAUGGUAGCUUACUAGUAAUGUAACUGGUACGUAUGAACAUGGAAUUAUAUCCUUGCUACCCAAGGGUACUGAAUGAACUGGAAGAACCUUUAUGACUAUAUAUGUACACAUGAUCUAUAACUAAUAUUUGAACGACCUUCGGACGGGUACCCGAUAUCCCACCAGACCACAUCUCAAGCGCAAAAAGGAAAUGAGGCGGAUAGGCCUUCCUAAGCCUUUUAAACAUUGCUUAUAUAACUAUAGAUACAUAGACAUGCAAUUGAUAAUAUAAAAGUAUAAAAUAAGUUUUAUAAAAGCAUUUGAUAUGUAAACGAGUUUUUAAGACAAUUUGAAGUAAAACAGUUUGGUAAAACAGUUUGAAAGUAAGAGAUUCACUUGUGUAUAGUUAUUAAUUACAUGUGAUUGAGAUAAUAACUAUUGUAACUUUACUUGUAUCCCCCCAUUCGAGUAUUUAUAAACAUUUGAAAACAUUUAAAAGGUUAAUUUAGGGGUAUGAACUCACCUGUUGUGAGUGGUACAGAUGAACUGAAGAGGUAGGAUGGCUAGGUUUCAAGUGAAGUCUUGAACACACUCUAUGAUCCUAGUUAACAUAUAAUAUAACAUAUAUGUAUACCAUUAGUCUUUAAACAACUAAUAAACAAAGUUAAGACACUCUAGGACAUGCUAAACACCUUAUACAAUUGUUAUAAGUCUCAAGGGUUGCAUCUAAGUGUUGUAGGGAAAGGCUAGUGUGUUUGGGGUUCAAGGGUAAACUCCCUUGGAGUUUACGGUUUUUGAUGACCAUUACCAAGGAGUUUACGGUAGUAAAAUCAAGGGUUUAUGGUCGUAAACUCUACACUUUAUGACCAUAUGUUGUUUUGAAGUUUUACAAGUCCUUUGAAGCAUUUCUACAUGGUGGUUAGGCCUUUGGAAGGAUCUAGGGCACCAUUUCACUCCUUAAUGGAGUUUACGGUCCCUUUUCCAUUUUUCUUUGAGUUUACUACCUUAAACUCAUGAGUUUACUACCUUAAACUCAUGAUUUUACUACCUUAAACUCAAGUUUAUGAUGUUUGGGAGUUUUCAAGUCGUUAGCUCAAUCAUGGUAAUAAUCUAGGUUAGAUUUAGACAUAAGGAAGAACCAUGGGACUUUUAUGGGACUUUUAUACACCUUUUGGGGUGUCUACGGUUUUGGGACAUCCCCAAACCGUAAAAACAUAAAAAUGUAAGGUUUUGGUGCUUUUUGUGUGAUAAACUCAUCAAGGAUGAAUGUAGAUAAGUCCCUAAGGCAUUGUGAAGCAUCUAGGCACCCUAACACACCAUUUUGGCCCUAUUCUUGGUGUUUAUGGUUUUAGGACCUCCAAAACCAUGAACACCUUUAUCUUGGUGUUCUUGGGACUUUUCUUUGAAACUAACAAGUAAUACAAGCUUAAUAAGACUCAGGGAUGGAAGUACUUACUAUAAGGAUGCUUGAAUUGAGCUAAAAGUCCAAGAACACUUAGUGUGUGUUCUUGGUGUUCUUGGUGAUUUUGGAAAUCUAAUCAAAACACAAAAAUGAAUGGAUAAAAAGAUGUACAAUCACUAGAUUAAGUGUUAUAUCAACUUGGAAUGGCUAGAACACUUACAGGUUUGAGAUCUUUAAUNAUCUUUAAUUAAAUCUUGGAUGAUACUUGAGAGUGUUUUUGAGUUUACUCUUUUUGAGUUUGGGGAGUAAACACAAAAUGACUAGUUUUUGGGGAGUAAACUCAUGCUUAUGCAUGAGUUCACGAUUUUCGGAAGAAUUUUCGGCCCAAACAUAAAAGUUUGGCUGUGAAUUUCUAAGACACGAGGUAUACGCGGUUUAGAAAUUUCAAGUCUCGAGACGGCCCAUCCGUAUCUCAACGAACCUUCACUAAUGGGCGACAACGUUGCUUCGUCUGCUUGACCUCUCGGUUGAGGGUCACUAUGGUUCUAAUAUGAAGGAGAGGGUCUCGUUAAUCUCAAUCUCGUCGGGUGGACUUACGAGCGUCCGAACGGAAAGGUACGGUUUCAAGCUCGAGGCGCAAACGGUAAAAUGUACGUUACUAAGUUCGUGGAGUAGGUCUAGUUUGUGAGGUACAGGACCGAUUCUGGUAAGAAUCUCAGGGGUCCUAACUAUCUUGGAUUAAGCUUUUCAUAUGAUACGAAGCGUAUUAAGCCAUUCCCAGAGUGAGUUUUCCUAAAGAACUUGGUCUCUCACUUGGAAUUUCCAAGGUUUCUUUUUCUUUCUUAACUUCCCAAUCAAAGGCCACCCUCUGCUGGGUCAAAGUUGUACGGGUUUCUGUAAUAUGCGAGGAGUUAUGGAUGAACUAUGACAGUAGGUCUAUAAGACCUAGAAUUUGGCAAAUUUCUGUUGGUGUUGAAUCAUAAAAGUGACCCUCUUGAACUCAACUACCGCAACCUUCUCUCUACUACCGCAACGGUUCAGUACCCACAACCAAUCCAACACCCGGAGUCAAUUCUGUAACUGCAACCACAACUAGUCUUUUGCUACCGCAGUCUACUAGAAUACUUUUACAUGUCUAUUAUGUAAUUCACUCUAUUAUCCUGUAUGCCUUGCACGGCUGCUUAUAGAUUCUUAGUCUAGUUCAGAGUCUCGAUAAAUAGAGACUCAUUCUCUUGUAUCGAAUACACUUCUUACCACUUACUAAUAACUUAUGAACUUAUUCUGAAUAUAUUUCUCUAAGUUAUCUUCUUCAUUUCUCUAUCUUUAUACUCUUCUUACUCUCAACUGUUACUUAAACAUAUCUGAAUAUAACCUCUCUCCGGAGCAAGUCUGUAAGACUUAAUCACUAAGUUUGAUCUUCCUUAUUAACUUGGAGUGAAUGCAUUCCUUGUUACGAAUCAGCUUAAGUGUAUUCUUGAUAUAACAAUUGUUGUCAUUUCUAUUUCUUUAAAUUCCGCAACUAACUCCCUAACUCUAACUAUAUUAUUGUUGAGCUUUUAGAUCCUUGGAGAUUAACUCUAUUCCGCAAUAUACUUGUUCUAACUUUCGUUCAAGUGUGUCUCCAAAGUUUUUCUCUCAACAAUUGGUAUCAGAGCCACAGUGGUUGCUUUUUGAAUAUCAGAACUUUGAUUUUUCAAAGGGCCUUCUAUACCACUAAAGCUCAUUUCUUAAAAAAAACAAAAAAAAACUUCAAAUGGCACAAUCGUUAUCUCUCAAUGUCUCCAACAGUGUUGGUGGUUCUAAUCGAGCCCCAAUACUGGUUGCAAAUGAAUAUCAUCACUGGUCACAAAGAAUGGAGAGGUACUUAAGAAAACUGGGAAGAGAUGUAUGGCGAUCCGUAGAAGAAGGACCAGAUGUUCCAAUUCUUACGGCAGUCCAAACUGACGACACUGCAACCAGGCUAGGAGGAGGUCAACCAGCAAUGAACUGUCCUACCAAGGAUGACCUCGAUAAGAUGGAAAAUGAUGUUGUUGCUUUUUAUGAAAUCUCCUACGGAGUUGCUCCUGACAACUUCGAUAUCAUCAUAAAUUGCAAAUCAGCAAAAGAAAUCUGGGAUGUUCUCAAGAAUCUUUUUGAAGGCAUAGAACAAGCACAAGACAAGAAGCUCACUACCGCACUCAAUGAGUUCAACAACUUCAAAGCUUAUACUGGUGAAAGUUUGGAAGACUCCUUCAAGAGGUUCAACCUAAUUUUCACCAAAUUAUCCAAUGUGGGCACCGUCCGCAGUAACCAUGAAACCAAUCUUCAGUUUGUUAAUGGUUUGGGAAGACAUUGGACUACAGCCAAAAUGAUAGUCCAAGGCGAUAGAAAGAUUCACUCUUUGUCUCUUUACAAGCUCUAUGGAGAGCUUCAAGCACAAGAAUCAACCGUGCUCAAGGAUUGUGCUGACUUCGGAGGACUACUUACUCUCAUAGCACAAACUCCACCGCAGUCACCUUAAUCUACUUCUUAUGACGCUCCACCAUAGUCAUACGAGGCUAAUUCAGAAUACGACGAUGAAGAAGAAUUUCAGAAGGCUAUUGUUCUUGUUAGCCAACAGUUCAAUCGUAUUCCAGCUCCUUCUUUCUGCAAAAACCAGCAGUUCAACAAACCUCCAUUCAACUGUAACUUCGGUUCUCAAAACAAUCACUCUCGUUAUCCCAAAAGUUCUCAUCCACCACCGCAGUCUCAAAUCAAUCAACCAAAGGAGGUACCGCAGUCUCCUCAGACCAAUGACUCUGGUACUCCACCAGAAGAUAAGAAUGAUGUUGUGAUUUGUCACAAAUGCAACAAAGAAAACCACUUCGCAAGAGAUUGUAAGGCCAAUGUAAUCAAAGAUAGAGCAUUCUACCUUAGAAUGGCUCGAGAGUUAGAAGAAAAGGAAAAAGCAAGGGCACAUGUGGCCCAUGUAAAAAGAGACCAUCAAGUGUGGUCAUUCAGAGAUGAAGAAGAGGCCAUUAGCAGCGUCAAAGAAAAGGGGAAAAUCUGCUUGCUGGCCACUAUGGAUGAUGAUGAAUCUUCAAUGUUGAACAAGAACUACUGCUACAUGGCUAAAGAUGGAACUUUGAGCAUCGUCGAACAGGUAAAACUCAUGAUCCAAACUCUAAAUUAUAGCAUGCAUGACUGGUAGCCCUACAUAGACAAUCUUAAUGACACUUGUGUUGCCAUCCUUACAGACUAUAAUAAAGCCUUUGAUGAGAAGAACAUCGCAUCCCAAGAGAUGUUUCAUGUGAGAGGAUGCCUGGAUAACAAAAGAUUUAAGAUGGCUAUGUUAGAAAAGGAUCUAGAGUUGGAAAAAGAUGCUAGAAUGUUAAGUGAAACCCAAUUAGAAAUAGCUUUAAACCAGAGAGAUUUAGCUCAGAGAGAAAUUGUAUGAUUAAAUCUCCUUAUUGAAAAACUUUUUAAUGAAAGUGAAGCUAUUGAAAAUUUGGUGAACAAUGGAACUGUGGACAAUACUUACAACUAGGGUUGGUCAAAUGGAUAUCCUACCACAAUCGAUUCCUCACCCGGUUUAACAAAAACAGACUGUAUGUCCCUCCGGAUAGAGAAUUUCAUUUCCCUGUCAAUCAUAAGACUUUUCCUGAAGAUAUUAAAACUCACUUCGGUAGACUGCACAAUUUAAGCAAUAAUUGUGUCAUUGAGGAAAUUGUGCCUGAGGUUUCGGGUCACACAUGUGAUCAAAUCCCGAUAUGUGGCACCAUCUAUCCAAAAUCUCAAACCUCAUCCGUAGUUGAUGAAGAGAUUGUUGUCGGAAGUCCGAAAGUGUCAAAAGACCUUCCAUCAUUGUCCUUAGACCGCAGUGUCUCACACUGUAUUCAGAUGUCCAACAAGUGCUCAAACGAAGUCCCAUCCAAGACUUACUCAGUGGUUGUUAAGUCAUCCCUAUCGCAGUCAUCAGUUCAAGGGAAUGUAAUCCUUCAUCCAAUCUUUCAUGAGUUGCCCAUAGAACAUUUUGAAGUACGGCAAUGCUCUCAGGUCCUUGAAUCUUCAAGUUCAGAUGAAUCAAGCCCACGUUUUCAAAAUCAUUCAAAGAAUUCCAGGAAACCGCAGUUGAACAACAAUGACUGUGGUUCUCCAAAAUCAUUGGCAAAAAAGGAUUUCAAAGAGGAAAUUAGAUCUCGUGACAUAAAAAGACAAAAUUUUUCAAAAAACAAAAAACAUAUCAGAUUUCCAAAAUCUAAGAGUCCUGAAAAAUUUGUCUUCACACACUAUCUUUCAAGAAACUCUUCUAUCAAGAAAGUCAUCAAAAAGGAAUGUUCAGUUUCAAAAGUCAUUCCUAGCGUUUCUGACAAAACCCAAAAAUGUGUCAAGUCUUUUCGAAGCCAUGUUUUUCAAGUCUAUUCCUCAGACAACCCCAAAUGGAAAGGUAUUUUACCCACCCCACAACCUUUAAAGUCACAUCAAAAUUUCAACAAAUGGAAGGGUGUUUUACCAAAUCCACCAAAAAGGAACUUUUCACGUGCUAAACCUCUUUCAAAACAAAAUUUUCAGAAAACAAAAAGCACACAUGUCAGAAAUCACCCACCUCGGACCGGUAACAAGUCCAAUUCACUCUAUAAACCGCUGACCAAGCACAGUGUCAAAUCAAAUGAUAAAAUCCCUUUGUGUAAAUAUCAGUGCAGUUGUCAAAAGAUUUUAUCUCAUUUCGAAUCAAGUCAGAAUCAAAAACCUCGUCCUUUUUCAAAACCUCACAACACUCCAAAUCUGAACAAACACCCCGGACUAGGAUCAAAAAUUGACAAGAGACCCAUCACUGAAACCUUGGACUAUGCAUCAUUUUCUAGAAAUUCACCAAUUGCCCCAGGCUCCAAGCUAGUUUGGAUGCCUAAACUAACCGUGUAAUUGUCAGGCUUUGUGCAAGGAGGAUCAAGAAGAAGAGUGGUUAAUAGACAGUGCCUGCUCCUUGCACAUGACCGGAAGGUUAGAGUACCUUUGGGAUUUCAGGCCUAUUUGCAAUGGUGGAAAUGUCACGUUUGGUAACAAUGCCAACGGUGUCAUCCGAGGUUACGGUGUUCUCACUACCAGGAACUUCUCUAUUUAGAAGGUUGCUUAUGUAGAAAGCCUUAAACACAAUCUCAUUAGUGUUGGCCAACUACGUAGAGCAGGACAUAGAGUUGAGUUUGAUGAUCAAUUUUGUUACGUGAUGACUGGUGAUAGGAGCUCAUGCCUAAUCAAAUCUCAAUCCAAAGGUACCGUGUACCUUUUGGAUGUCUCUCUCAUCAUUGGAAGACCGCAGCUAUGUUUCCUAUCCAAAGCCAUAUCUGAAGUAAGCUGGCUAUGGCACCGCAAGCUAGCUCAUUUCAACUUUCGGUACAUCAACAAUUUAGUCACUGGAGAACUUAUUUGUGGUCUCCCCAUCCUCAAAUUCAGCAACGAUACUCUUUGUCCAGAUUGUGAAUGUGGAAAACAAUCCAAAGCAAGUCACCCUCAGAUAAUGGACUCUUCCAUUUCUGAACCACUGGAACUACUACACAUUGAUCUCUGCGGUCCUUCAACCAUAGCCAGUCUCCACCACAAGAAGUACAUACUGGUUAUUGUUGAUGACUAUACACGCUUCACUUGGGUCUUCUUCCUCAGACUCAAAUCAGAGACACCGCAGAUCUUUAUCAACUUCAUAAAAGAAAUCGAAUUGUAGAUCAAGCUCCCAGUCAGACGCAUCCGCAGCGAUAAUGGAACCGAGUUCACCAAUCGUCUUCUCAAUAGUUUCUUGGUGUCCAAGGGUAUUUCUCACAACUUCUCAGCACCCUACACACUGCAAUAAAAUGGUGUAGUUGAAAGAAGGCAUUAAACUCUAGUUGAGGCUGCCAGAUCUAUGCUUAACUUCGCCCACCUUCCUCUCUACAUUUGGGCUGAAGCAGUAGCAACUGCAUGCUUUGUCCAAAAUCGAAGCAUUGUGUGUAAACAUCUAAAAAAAACACCUUAUGAAGGCCUCAACAACCGCAAACCAAAUGUUCGCUUCUUUCAUGUCUUUGGGUGUAGAUGCUUUGUGAUCAACAACAGAGACCAACUCAACAAAUUUGCACCGAAGUCUGAUGAAGGCAUCUUCCUUGGUUACUCCACUAACAAGGUUGCUUAUCGAGUGCUCAUCAGGCAUACAAGGCUUAUCAUCAAAAGGUUUGACGUGAAAUUUGAUGAUUCACACAUCCGUAACGCCCCUCCAUCCAAUGAAACUACCGCAAUUAUGGAAUGUGAUAUUCCUGCUUCUUCAGGUCCAUUAAAUGUAGUUGAAGUCAACUAUGAAGAUCUCUUCGAUCCUGUUGAAACAGCGAAAUUAUCCGAAAUUCUUGUGUCACCCACAGCUCAACAACAACAUGCUGAUGUUUCUGGACCACCUCUUUCUGAAGUAGUAUCACUUAAUACUUCCACCUCUCCGGUUGAGGGGGAAAGCUCUACUUCGGAUCUAGCCGCAACCGUCGAGGUUCCAGUACUUGAUGUUGUUCAGAUUCCUGCCCGCAGAGAAGUCUUACCAUUAAACGUAUCUUCGGAUUUGGAUGAUGAACUCACAGAGAAUAUAGAUACUAGAACUGAUCCAAGGAUUGUCACUCUCCUAUCUGCAGUCCAGGGGGAACCUUCUCAGAUUCCAUAGGAACUCCCAUCCGUAAUCCAGGGGGAACCUCUCCCAAACGCUCAGGGUAAUUCAAUUCUCGUCCCCACAAUCCAAGAUGACUCAGCUGGUUGUUCUCAAAUCCAGGGGAACUGCCUUCUCCUACCGCAAAUUCUCCUAACAUUCAAGAUAUCCCCUCCACCACAUCUGUUGAUCAUCUGCAGCCCCUUCUACAUGUAUGGACGAAGGACCACCCACCAGGUCAAAUCAUCGGCAACCCAUCCGCAGGUAUUCAGACUCAAUCCUCCAAAGAUUUAUCUGAUCAUUGCCACUAUGCAGCUUUUAUGUCCUCAGUAGAGCCCAGAUCAAUCAAAGAAGCAUUGCUUGAACCUAAUUGGAUAGCUGCAAUGCAAGAAGAGCUUGAAGAAUUUCAAAGAAACGAAGUUUGGCAGCUCAUACCGAAGCCAUUGGGCCAUUCCAUUGUUGGCACUAGAUGGGUGUUCAAAAACAAGCUGGAUGAAUCUGGUGUGGUAGUCAGAAAUAAAGUAAGGUUAGUUGCAAAGGGCUAUAGUCAACUUAAAGGUAUUAACUACGAUGAAACGUAUGCUCUGGUGGCACACAUGGAAGCUAUCCGGAUCUUCCUGGCAUAUGCAACCCACAAGAACGUCAAAGUACACAAGAUGGAUGUUAAAAGUGCUUUUCUCAAUGGGGAACUAAAAGAGGAGGUUUAUCUUCAGCAACCUCCGGGCUUUGAAAAUGUUGAAUUCCCUGACCACUGCUAUAAACUUGAAAAAGCAGUCUACGGUCUAAAGCAAGCCCCAAGAGCAUGGUAUUAGACACUUUCUGAAUUUCUUGUCUCAUCCGGGUACAAAAGAGGAGUGAUUGAUCCCACAUUAUUCAGAAAAGAAAAUGGUGACCACCUUAUGAUGGUACAAAUAUAUGUGGAUGAUAUCAUCUUCGGAUCGACUGAUCAAGGCAUGGUGGAUGAAUUUGCUAAGCUCAUGACCAACAAUUUCAAAAUGAGCAUGAAUAGAGAGAUUAACUUCUUUCUAGGUAUUCAAGUGAAACAAGUACCACAAGGCAUAUUCAUUCAUCAAGAGAAGUACACCACCGAACUGUUAAAGAAUUAUUCUAUGGACAAUUGUUCAUCUGCUAAGGUCCCCAUGGCCUUCGAUUAUAAGAUCUCUGCUGAUCCCUCAUGUGAAUUUGUGGAUCACAAGACUUAUAGAGGCAUCAUAGGCUCUUUGAUGUACCUCACAGCAAGCAGACCAGGCAUUGUCUUUGCAACUGGUGUAUGUGCAAGGUAUCAAGCUGAUCCUAAUGUAUCCUAUAUGACCGUAGCCAAACAGAUACUCCGGUACUUAAAAGGAAGCAAAUCUCUCGGUCUAUGGUACCCCGCAAGCAAUGACUUCAGCCUACAAGCCUUCACAGAUGCGGAUCAUGCCAGAUGCAAGCUCGAUCGAAAAAUCACUUCCGGUGGCUGUCAAUUUUUGGGUGAACGUAUGGUCAGUUGGUCUUCAAGGAAACAAAGUUGUGUCUCUCUAUCAACUGCAGAAGCAUAGUAUGUGGCCGCAGCCAGCUGUUGCUCUCAAGUCCUUUGGAUGAAAACUCAACUAAUGGACUACGGGUAUAAAAUGUUGCGGAUACCGAUCUAUUGUGACUCUGAAAGUGCUAUUGCUAUUUCUUACAAUCCAAUUCAGCACUCUAAGACCAAACACAUCGAACUAAGGUAUCAUUUCAUCAAAGACCACAUCUUGAAAGGUAAUAUCGAACUCAUCUUUGUUCCCUCUAAUGAAGAGAUUGCUGAUGUGUUCACAAAAGCACUCGACUCCACAAAGCUUAGCACCUUCCUACAAAUGUUGGGAAUGAUGAAUCCAGACCCACAAUUCUUUUUGAAUUGUUAGCUACCGCAGACCUUUUUUGGUCUCCAUUGCGGUUCUAAAUAAGAAUUACAUAUGAUAGAUGGUUUUGGUACCGAAGUCUAGGUACCGCAACCAUAUAUCAUACGUAGUUCUCAUGGGUCUUUAUGGUUUGUUAUUUUCUAACCUUUGCAUAAGUGCUUCUCUCAGUUUCUCACUGCAGUCUUUACUUUGUUCAUUCGUGAUGACGUUUCCAACCGCAAUGAAGUUUCUCAUCCGCAAUGACGUUUCCAACCAUAGUCAUCAAAUGUUUUAUCAACCCUUGUCCCUUUGUGUGCUAUUUAAUGAUCCCUCAUUAAAUAAAAUAAAACAUUCCCCAUUAGAAACUGUCACCUUCCCUUUCUGAAUAAACCCUUUUGUUAGACCUAUUUUGGGAUGAUGACAAAAAGAACGUUUUUCCAAUUCACUCAACCUUAAUUUGUCCUUUCCUCUCCCCAACCCGUCCCAUUCGUUACAACUUCCUCUUCCAUCACCCCCACGACCACCUGACGUAUUGACAUGCGUCUGACCUUACAUUAAAUGCAAACCCCUUUUUGGAAAUCUCCCAAAAUCUUUUUAAAUGCGUUAUAUUUUUCUGUGUGGCUGAGAUUUAAUCUAGAAAUCAGAAAUUCCCUCCAAAACCCCAAUCGACGUUUCACCCUCUUCUACCUUUUACCUAGGGUUAAAAUUUUUUCACCCCUAUUUAAACCCAUCUUCUUCCCCAAUAAUCUUUACGCUUUCUAAUUAUCGAUUGAUUUCUCUCAACCUUCAAAAUCUCCAUAGCUCUCAAGGACUCUGUUUCUCUUCUCUCAAAUCACUUCCAAAUCAUUCGCAAUGGUGAAAUCCGGUGCAUCUAAGAAGCAAUCCAAGGCUACAGGUUUAGAAAACCCAAUAGGUUCCGAUUCUCCCUCAAUUGCAUCCAGCAAUUUCAGAGCAAUCUUUGAAGAUCAUCCCUCUUACAAUUCCCCCACCAAGCUAAUGAUCAAGUUUCUCAAGAACCACAUUCUGUUUGGUCCAUUCGAUGCGUUUAUAGACGUAGUUCCAACCUCUACACUCUUCAAAUGAGCGUUUUCUGCAUAUCGACCAUUGGAGAACCCCCAAGAAGUGCAUCUCAAUCUUAUCAACGAUUCCUUGGUCAUCUUGACCAAAGAAAUAAUUGUCUCCGCCAUUAACCUUCUGGUUCACCCCUCCAUCAAGUUCUUCUCACCAUCGAUGACUGACGUCACCACCGCACUAUACCAGAUGGGGUAUCAGAAACCAAUCUGGGGGAUUGGUGAAUUCAAAAAGAACCAACUGCCUGCGGUUUGGCAAUUUGUGUGCCACUACGUCAUCCACAGUCUAUCCGGCAGAACCGGAGGCAUCGACAACAUGGGUUUAAAGCUACUAGAACUGGUCUGGAGCAUUUUCACAGGCACAAUGUCAACUAUGGGAAAAUCCUUUAGGACGAUUUUCUCCAAUACAUUCCCAAGGAGCACCCGAAGGAAAACCCUACAGGGCUCACUUUUGCACGCUUUUGGUCUCUCUGCAUCUCAGAUUUGCAUGCGGAUGCCGACAUUGAUAUGGGCAGUGACAUCAAUUUCUUUGUCACCAAGGAGCUAAAAAGGUACAAUCCUUCUUCUGACCAAGCUUUAUUUGGCCCUAUCCACAGGCUCCCCACACAUAUUCUUACUCUCCUUAGUCUUGAGACUGCUAAUGUAUCAGACCACAUUGAGGCUACGGAGGGUAUUGCCCAAUACCCUUCUACCCCGCCUCUUCCAUCCACAGCCAUUAACCCUGAGGGUACCGCAGUCCCCUCUGCCACCACUUCAUCCAAUAUUUCUCAAAGAAGAAAGAAGUUGGCUUCCAAGAGGAAGAACAACACACCCAAGAAGGGUGCUUCUAAACCAUCCGCACCCACCAAGAAACGCAAGUCAAAACCUUCCCCAACCAUAUCUAUCAGUGACGAGGAUAGACAACCGAUUUCUAUCCUCAAGAAAAGGAAAACAACCAAAGUCACUAGCUAUAUGCGUGAUAGGACAGAUGCUGAAGCCUCUCAAAAGGCUCCAGUAGUCCUUGGGGUUCCCGCAAACCCAUUCGACACCACCAUCAUUUUUGAUUCAGACUCAGAAACUGAGUCUGAUUCCCAUUUACAUGGAGACUCCCCCCCAGCGAAUUCCCAAGAGGAUGACACUGGUUCUUGCCCUAAAGUCUCCAAGGAUUCCCGACUGCAUACUUUUUCCCCAGAGGAGGUGCGCUCCAUCCUUCUUUCAGUUACCCAAACACUACAAACACCAUCCCAACCGCAGGGCACUUCUUUCGCCCAUGCCAGAACUGGCCCGAGGCCAGACUUGACCACGGGUCAAGGAGACCGAGGAAGCCCAGGAAAUCCUACUCUGCUUACAUCUUUAUUAGGUGUUUUAGGCAUGGUGAGCACUAAUGUGCAAGGAGCCAUGGACCCGAAGGACACUUCAGUGUGUGUUACAGGUUUUGAAGAUGUUGCUUCAAAUGACUCAUAGUUGCAGUACAAUCCAGUCACUGAGUUAGACAAGAAGAAAUAUGAAGCUUUCAAGAGGGCCUUCUAAGCCCGCAAGGAGCAACAAGUCAAGCAGCAGCGACAAAAGGAACAAGAAAUUCAAUCCAUCGCUCGGUAUUGGGCAAAUGCCAUCAGCAAUGCCAAUACCGUAGCUACUAUGCAAAAGGUUCAAAAUCUGAUGGAUCAGCUGGCAGAAAAUAUGUUGAAAGCUCAAGCUUCGGCCGCAGCAGCGGGUACUUCCCAGGUUCCACCUACUCCAACUCCAGUUCCAUCUCCCAAUCUAACAGAAAACCCAUCUCAAGAAAAAGGGACCGCAAUUGAACUCAGCUCAGCCCCUACCUGCGGUCUUGACGAUGAAGAUGUCCAAGAAAUUAACAAGCCAAAUCCUUUAGACGACGAUCUGAUGAUGUUUGAAGAAGAAGAGGAGUCCAGUGGCUCACAGCAUUCGACUUCCAAGCCGAAAACAAAGAAGAAAAAGAAGAAGAAUGUUGUCACCCGAAAGGAGUUCCUAAGCCUUCAAGCCAAAGUGGAUCAAAUAUUGGCUACGGUUAAACCCCCUCAAACUGAAGACAUUCCAGGACCACAGUCAGUGAUUGAAAGAAUUGAAAGGCUGGAGACAAGGGAGCAUAUGGCUGCUGAGCGCAUCUCUCUCAAAGUAGAGAUGGGGAUCUGGUCCAUUGACAACUCACGCAAGGCUGACCACAAGGACUUCAUGGCUGUAGCGGAAUGCCUCAUUUCUGAGGUGACAGCAAUUAAAAAGGAUCUUCAAGCAGCCAUUGCGGAUCAAGCUGCACAAUCUCAGAAAGUGAUCGAUGAGACUCAUACUGCUUAUGAGUCCACUAUCUCUGUUCUUCAAGCUACAAUUAAUAGACUGAAGAAAUCCCUUACUUCCAACUUCCAUGGCCCUGAGAUCCUCCAGCUUACAAAAGACAUACACAAGCUGCUAUUCCACCCAACCAUCCCAAAUAAUUCCCAAUUGUCAGAAACACUCAAAGCUCAAUUCCAAGAAGUUUGUGCCAAGGUGGAUGGACUAAAGAAAUGGCUUGAGGAAGCACCGGGGUUGCGUUCCUCAAGAGGGGGAAGUGAAGAAGAAGAAGUCCACCACUCUAAUUCCUCUUUCCAUCAGAGUCCCCUCAUCACCACUAAAAAAAUUCCAACACCUCGGCCUUCACCGCAACCACCUCAACAUAUUUCAACUCCCCCCACUUCACCUCCUAAAGACACACCCAAAAAGCCUGAGACUCCUCCUCACUUCAAAAUUUUGGAGGAGAACAUAUCAUCCGAAAGAUCCAUAGACUCCCAUACUACAGCUUAAAGAAAACAAGAUUGGAAAGCAGCCAAGUUAGCCAAACUCAUCUGGAGAGAGUGAGGAUUCGACACCAUGAUUGAUCAGUGACUAAUUAACUCAUGGGUCAAUCCGCACCGCAAGCUGCUAGAUGAAGACUAUACACCGCAUCUGACAUAUGCUGAACCCCCUGAUGAUGGGUACUAGGACAUUCCAAUUUCACCAAAUGCCAAAUACUUUGCAGUGUUUGAGCCACUUGACAGCAGCCUUCCUGCCCACAAAAGACUGUCGAUGGAGUUUAAGAGAUUAAACCGUUUUUAUGCCAAACAUUCCUCCUCCAUUGACAAAAUAUGGUCUAACGACAGACCAUCCGCAAUCAAGAACUACAAAAUGCGGAAGUUCCUGAACGCUGAUUUUGUCCAGUAUACUCUCACCAGAAGGGAGCAUGACUACAUCCGCACCCAGGCAGACUUCCCAUGCAUGAAUCCAAAAGAAAAUUUUCUUAUUGCUAGGGUGUUCCAGAACAAGGCAGAAAAGCACCCCAAGGUGCAAAUAGCGCUUGAAAAAAACCAACUCUUUCGUAAGGGACACAGUCUGUGACAUUGCGAAGAUUGACACGGACAUCUACCCCACCAUCCUCAAUAGAUUUGACCUUCCACCACUUGAACCUGUGUUAAUGCUUAUCGAAGGCUACGAAGAAUGAUCACUAGGCGCAACCAACUUCCCGGAACUUGGCAUCAUAUUCAAACAGAAGACAGACAACGUCAAAUACUUCAUUCCGAUGAAUGCCAUGCACCGUCUGCCAAAGAAACAACUUGACAUUUGCCAGAGCGCAGUGGAAAAAUCGAAGCGUACUACUGUAGAAGUCAAGUUUGAGAUUACAAGGAGAAUUACAUGGCUGGAGAAUGUUAGGAAAUUUUGGUGGAUUUUGAUCAAGUUCCUCAAACUUGAUAGCUGAACUAGAGUUAAAGAGGUCACUUAGGGGGAAAUUGUUGAAUCAUAAAAGCGACCCUCUUGAACUCAACUACCGCAACCUUCUCUCUGCUACCACAACGGUUCAGUACCUACAGCCAAUCCAGCACUCGGAGUCAAUUCUGCAACUGCAACCGCAACCAUUCUUUUGCUACUGUAGUCUACUAGAUUACUUUUACAUGUCUUUUAUGUAAUUCACUCUAUUAUCUAGUAUGCCUUGCACGACUGCUUAUAGACUCUUAGUCUAGUUCAGAGUCUCUAUAAAUAGAGACUCAUUCUCUUAUAUCGAAUACACUUCUUACCACUUACUGAUAACUUAUGAACUUAUUCUGAAUAUAUUUCUCUAAGUUAUCUUCUUCAUUUCUCUAUCUUUCUACUCUUUUACUCUCAACUGUUACUUAAAGAUAUCUGAAUAUAACCUCUCUCUGGAGCAAGUCUGUAAGACUUAAUCACUAAGUUUGAUCUUCCUUAUUAACUUGGAGUGACUGCAUUCCUUGUUACGAAUCGGCUUAAGUGUAUUCUUUGGCGUGACUGCAUUCCUUGAGAUUAACUCUAUUCCGCAAUAUACUUGUUCUAACUUUUGUUCAAGUGUGUCUCCAAAGUUUUUCUCUCAACAGUCGGCAUCUUCGGUGUCGACAAAUUCCCAACGGUUUUGGAUAAAUGGACAGAGUACUCAAGGAUUUCCACAUCACUAAUAGUGUGCCUUCGGAAUUUGAUUCUCUAAUUCCAAAACUCAUGUUCAGAGAACUUUGCGAAAAGUAUCUCCGAAGGUAAUGUUUCCACGGGUUCCUUCUUAUUACGAGGGUAGAUAAGUAUGUCGUUUCAUAGACAAUGACGAACUGAUCCCAGUAAGAAAGAUGGAAUCUAUUUAUUAAACUCAUGAAUGCUUCGGGUGUAUUGGUCCUAUCCGAGGGGUAUCACUACAGACUCGAAGUGUCCGCAUCGAGUUCGGAAGGUAGUCUUUGAGUCAUUCUUCCCUAGCACUCGAAACUGCUGAUAUUCGGAUCUCGGUCCAUUUCUGAAAGGUAACUCGAUCCUUGCGUUUGCUCAACCGAUUCAUCUAUGUGAGGCAGAGGCAAUGAUUUCUAACGGAAAUCUUGAUGGAGUCCUCGAUAACCGAGGUACAUACAAUGCAAUCCGUCGACCUCUGGAAGAAUAAGACCGGAUCUCUCCAGGGUGAGAAACCUAGUCUUCUAAUUCUAUUUAUUUGCAGUUCGCUAAGUUGUCCGUACUGUUCUUGUAUCUCCGUAGUUGUUUAGACUGUAGGGAGAUCUUUUUACGGGAGUCAUACCGGGUACUAAGUUUGUUCGCAUGACGAUGCGAUUACUCGUAGUCUUGGGCAGUUCUCCAUCCUGAAGUUCAUAUUAUAAUUCAUACAUGGUUUGACGAUCACCAUCUCGUGUAUACGAGUCAUAUAUAAUUAAGAUUGAAAAGAUAGUCGAAUAUAUGAUUUUUCUUUACGUUCACAUCCCGAUGGGAAAGGAAAUUAAAGUGGAAUCAUCACUUCUAAACUUGUAGCACCUUGAUUAUAUAUUACCCUUAUGUAUACAUUCUUCAGUGAUAGAUCAACCGUUUGAAUCUUUGGAUUGAACUUGACGUACUGCACGAGUAAUACUGCGGGGAUUUCUUCGGAAAGGAAAAGAACUAUGAGGUACUCCAAGCAUGAGUACUUCGGUGUUCUGAUAUGACGACUUCGCUAGAAAGGCGAUUUCGAAGAAAGAGAUGUACAUAUGAAACUGGUUUCGUGCGGAUCAAAGUGAAUCUAGUUGUAUGAUAAUGUCAGAAUCAUAAGGAAAAUUUAAGACGUUAGAUUUGAAUAUGAGGCGUUAUAGACAAAACACAACCGUGCAACCAUCAAAAGAGUUACAAUACUUUAGACUUACUACAAGACUAUUGCUGCGAAUAAGGUAUACUACCAAAGACAAAUAUACGCGGCACGAGCAUCCCUAUACCGACAGGAUCCCACAAAAGAUAAGACUCUAGUUGCACUAGUUUUAAACAUGUUUUAAAAACAUACAAAAUACUGAUGAUUGGGAGGGAACCUAUACUAUAGUAGGUUCCUUAACUGCCUCAUUCCAUUCUGAGCUAAAACUCCUCCGUAUUCGCCGUUGUCCUCCUCUGUUGGACAGUCCCUCUUGAAGUGUCCAAUGACGCCACAUAGAUGGCAUAUCUGAGAGGUUUGGACAUUGGUGGUUGAAUUAAUGUGUUGGAUCUGGGUCCUGCAGCAGCUGGUAGUAUGUCCAUUCCUGUUGCACUUAAAGAGUGUAACGCACGGCAACUACCUAGAUGAUGAAAGCUACACUCAUAGCAUUUCGGUAGGUUUCCGGCAUAUUGCCUAGCUGCUGUAGGGACAAUUGGGACACCAGCAGGAAUGGUAGUAAGAGGUACAGAUGUUGUAGCUGUGAAGAUCGUUACCGGUGGUUGUUUCUUGUUCGCUCCUCGAAGCAAUUUGUCCUUCCUUUUAGCCCAAAACUUCCGUUUGUUACUCUUGGUCUUGUAACUAGGAGCAUUGUGAUAGUUUUUUGCUCGUUGAAGUACUUGAUUGUGACCUAGAUUGGAACUGUUGUCAACAAUCCUGCUAACAUUCGCGUUGUUAGCGCUAAGGUGGUUCAGAAUAGCUGACACGACAGCCGAGACUGCAGCUUGAAAGGUAGCUGCAUCAAUCUGAAGAGUUGGUGUUUGGUUGAUGGGUUGAUCGUUUUUCUUUGGCGACAUGAUUCUAUUUCGCGGAAAGAAAAAUGAAUUUGUAAGCCAGCAUGGUUGAACCUAGACGUAGUUCGACUGUUUAUGUAAAGAAUAAGAGUAUGUUCUCGAAUGUUUGACCUACAUCCCUAUGAUGCAGUCCUAGCACGGAUUGGAAGUAUGUUUGUGAAGGUUUGACCUACAUCCCCAUGAUGCAGUCCUAGUACUCAGUGGAAGUGAGUUCGUAGAAUGGUCUCAAGACGCUUGUCGUUCAAUCCAAGGUAUCGUUGUUUGGUGAAUAACAUGAUGCAACCACUGAAAGAGACAUGGAAAUGUCUCCGGAGUUAAAUUACUAUAGUCCAAUGACUUGACUAAAUCAUGUUUCAGAUAGACUCCAAUGAAAGUAUGAUAAGAUUUCUUGAAUAAAGAAUGAAUCAGAAGUUAGCCGACUGUCAAUAUCUUUGGUAUUAAUGACUUAAAAGUUCGGGAAAAUGACCUUGUAACAGGUCGUACAUCAUAUCCAGAGGUGAUAGUCCUUGACAGAAUAAAGGCCUAACUAAAGUACUUAAAGUACAAGGUAGUUUCAUAGAAAAUGCCAUAUCGGGCAUUGAUAGAAAAACGAUUCCUUUUUAACAAGGAAAAAAAUAAAGUAAAUCAUCUAUUACUGGCGACGGUCAUCCCUCUGGUGAACUCUCAGUUCAGCCAGUUGAUGUUCCAUAUCAAGCAGGUAUCUUUCGUAUACCCUCUGACGUACUCGAAGCUCUAUGACUUCGGCUUGGGUUUCAGCUAGUGCUUGUAGUAGGGUUUCAUGGUCUCUCUCUGAUCUCUCACGAGCAUGUUCAAGGCUGUUGGUGCGAAGGAUAUGCAUCCCUCCAUUGGUGUCAACUUCAGUGAUACGACGUAGAGUUGUCCUGCCCUAAAUUUCAUUUCAGGCAACUCUACGGAUCAGGAUUGGUAGAACUCUAUCUGCUGUGCUCCCUUCAUUUAUGUUGUAGAAGCUUCAGUCUCGAUUAAACGGCAUAGGUUGAUCUUGAUCUUCGCUCCAUGCUUCCAAACAUUCGACCCAUGGAGGUGUCGGGCCAUGAAAAGCCAGACGAGGGUCGGGAUUUGGAAAGGGAGCUGUCUGGGGCAGGUUCUCAACCUCGGGUUCGGAGUUAGCACCAUCUGAAAGGUCUUCAUCAUGGUGAUCAUUCACAGGGGUAGGAUGAUCAUUCUCUGGUUCUUCUCCAAACCAUCCAGCGAUGACUUCAUUCGGAAGGUACUGGUUGCCAUGGGGAUGGAGUCCAGCCAUGUUAUCUACGCGAGAAUUGGGGUAAGAAAAUAAUUAUUAGACGAACUAUCUAGAUAAUUAUUUAGAAAAUCUUCAUUAUUUACAUCACUAUUUGUGAAGUGCAUACCAGUUAUAUGUAAUUGAAACAGGAUAGGCCUUCGGAUAAGUGACCUUAACUCCAAAUUCAUAAAGAAUAGGGGUAAAGCAAAAUUUUCACAGAUUCUAAGUCUAUAAUAUCCUAGUUACAUAUAACUUUAGUGUAUCCACUUAGCAACUAUCAACUUAGUAAUGAAGAUCCCUUUUAGUUCUCAAUUAUAAAGUACCUAUAGUAAAAACAAAUACCCCUAUAGUAUUUUAAGUUUAAUGUUAUGUUAUACUAUUCUCAUUGUGGUAUUGUUGGUAGACUUUUAGACUUGUUGCAACCACACAACUACACUUAGCCACAUGCUAGUCAACCCUCGGAUAAUAUAGGUGAUCAAGCUAUAUCUUCCCAGUUUUGAUCAUAUGUCUCUAAGUCCACCUGUGUUUCCCAACAAUCGUAAUUCUUUUGUACUGUCCUAGUGACGCUGAUUUUAGUAUGAAUGCAGCACGUAUACUUAAUUAAAUAUUUUAUUAUUUAAAGUAUUAUACUCUAAAUCAGAGUAUUUUAAUCCUGCUUGUGUUUAUAGUUUGUAUAUCUUUUAUGGGUUGAUACACUCAAUUCACUAUAAACAGUGCUCUGAUACCAAUUUGUCACACCCCAAAACCAUGUACGACGGAAACGUUCUGGGGCGGAGGACGUCAUGUACAGUAUCACAAUAAUGAAAAGUAGUAAACAAGCGACAACAUCAUCCAUUGCAUUAAUAAUAUAAUUUUAAUACAAGUGUGUUUUGUCAAAUUAUAAUAGACACUAAAGUAUAAUCAAAAUGAAAGAUGAGUCUUGAUCGAGCUCCAUCUUUUCUAAACCUUGCAUCGGUACCUGUCUAUCGUUGACCGGAGGAUACAAGUUAUUUUGAACUGGAGUAUCAGCUUUAAAGCUGGUGAGAUCAUAAGUAUUAAUGUGUCUUAAUUUGUAAAACUUGUAAUGAAAGACUUGAAAUUGUAUUGAAAGGAAGCUCGUAUAAGUAUGAAAAUGUUUGUAGAACAACUGUAAAUGUUUGAAAAACCCUAGAAAUCCCUAUGAUUCAUACUAUUAUAAAAGGGAGUCUUCUACCAAGACCUAACUACUCUAAAUGUAGCUUCUACCAANUUCUACCAAGACCUAACUGCUCUGAAUGUAGCCUUCUACCAAGACCCGACUGUGUUACUAUUAUUAUUAUUAUAAGAAAUUGUAUCCUUUGGUACUAGGAUACUCAAAUAUAAUUCACCUCAUCGAUUAUGUAAAUGAGCCACAAGAUAAAGGUAAUAAUAUAAAUAGCCUAAGUAUUACCCUUUGGUACUAGGGUAACUAACAAUGUUAACAUAAGACAUUCGUAGAUGUACAUUUACCUUUGUUGCUAACAGCUGGGUGUAGGAAUAGUUAAUCCCUUAAAGUAUACCUGUAAAGGUAUCAACCGUAGGCAUCCGUUGAUGUUCAUUAUCCUCUGUAGCUAACAGUGGCUAUAGGAAUGGUUAGUCCCCCAAAGGAUCCUUUGGUACUAGGAUAUUAAAUCCAAUCUACCUCGUCGAUUAUGUGAUUGUAUCACAAGUUAAAGAUAAGAAUGAGGAUUAUAUAACAUAAUCUAUACAUAUAAAAUGUAAUGAUACCUCAUCAUAUAUUAUCUAUGUAAACGUACUCAUGUAAAUGUAAUCAUGUAAAUGUACUCAUGUAAAUGUAAUCAUGUAAAUGUACUCAUGUGAAUGUAUAAUAAUGUUCUUUAAUGUUCUGUGUGUACUAGUUGUAACGUGUGUUCUCUCUCUAUCUAGCAAGUAUUGACUCAUGAAUGAACUGACUCAUUGUAUGAUAUCAUGUUCUAAUAAUAGUUCUAGUAUCUUCCUAAACUACCCAAAUGGUAGCUUACUAGUAAUGUAACUUGUACGUAUCAACAUGGAAGUAUACCCAUGCUACCCAAGGGUACUGAAUGAACUGGAAGAACCUUUAUGACUAUAUAUGUACACAUGAUAUAUAACUAAUAUUUGAACAACCUUCGGACGGGUACCCGAUAUCCCACCAGACCACAUUUCAAGCGUGAAAAGGAAAUAGGGCGGAUAGGCCUUCCUAAGCCUUUUAAAUAUUGCUUAUAUAACUAUACAUACAUAGACAUGAAAUUGAUAAUAUAAUAGUAUAAAAGAAGUUUCAUAAAAGCAUUUGAUAUGUAAAAGAGUUUUUAAGGCAAUUUGAAGUAAAACAGUUUGGUAAAAGAGUUUGAAAGUAAGAGAUUCACUUGUCGAUAGUUAUUAAUCACAUGUGAUUGAGAUAAUAACUAUCGUAACUUUACUUGUAUCCCCCCAUUAAAGUAUUUAUAAACAUUUGAAAACAUUUAUAAGGUUAAUUUAGGGGUAUAAAAUCACCUGUUGUGAGUGGUACGGAUGAACUGAAGAGGUAGGAUGGCUAGGUGUCAAGUGAAGUCUUGAACACACUCUAUGAUCCUAGUUAACAUAUAUUAUAACAUAUAUGUAUACCAUUAGUCUUUAAACAACUAAUAAACAAAGUUAAGACACUCUAGGACAUGCUAAACACCAUAUACAAGUGUUAUAAGUCUCAAGGGUUGCAUCUAAGUGUUGUGGGGAAAGGCUAGUGUGUUUGGGGUUCAAGGGUAAACUCCAAGGGAGUUUACGGCAGUAAACUCAAGGGUUACGGUUGUAAACUCUACACUUUAUGACCAUAUGUUGUUUUGAGGUUUUACAAGUCCUUGGAAGCAUUUCUACAUGGUGGUUAGGCCUUUGGAAGGAUCUAGGGCACCAUUUCACUCCUAAAUGGAGUUUACGGUCCCUUUACCAUUUUUUAUUUUGAGUUUACUACCUUAAACUCAUGAGUUUACUACUUUAAACUGAAGUUUAUGAUGUUUGGGGGUUUUCAAGUCCUUAGCUCAAUCAUGGCAAUAGACUAGGUUAGAUUUAGACAUAAGGAAGAACCAUGGUACUUUUAUGGGACUUUUAUACACCUUUUGGGGUGUUUACAGUUUUGGGACAUCCCCAAGCCCUAAACACUUAAACAUUUAAGGUUUUGGUGCUUUUUGUGUGAUAAACUCAUCAAGGAUGAAUCUAGACAAGUCCCUACGGCAUUGUGAAGCAUCUAGGCACCCUAACACACCAUUUUGGCCCUAUUCUUGGUGUUUACGGUUUUGGGACCUCCCAAAACUAUGAACACCUUUAUCUUGGUGUUCUUGGGACUUUUCUUUGAUGCUAACAUGUAAUACAAGCUUAAUAAGACUCAAGGAUGGAAGUACUUACUAUAAGGAUGCUUGAAUUGAACUAAAAGUCCAAGAACACUUAGUGUGUGUUCUUGGUGUUUUUGGAAAUCUAAUUAAAACACAUAAAUGAAUGGAUGAAAAGAUGUACAAUCACUAGAUUAAGUGUUAUAUCAACUUGGAAUGGCUAGAACACUUACAAGUUUGAAGAUCUUUAAUUAAAUCUUGGAUGAUACUUGAGAGUGUUUUUGAGUUUACUCUUUUUAAGUUUAGGGAGUAUACACAAAAUGACUAGUUUUUGGGGAGUAAACUCAUGCUUUUUGGAUGAAUUUUCGGCCCAAACAUAAUAGUUUGGUCGUGAACUUCUAAGACACGAGGUAUUCGCGGUUUAGAAAUUUCAAGUCUCGAGACGGCCCAUCCGUAUCUCAACGAACCUUCACUCACGGGAGACGGCGUUGCUUCGUCCGCUUGACCUCUCGGUUGAGGGUCACUACGGUUCUAAUACGAAGGCGAGGGUCUCGUUAAUCUCAAUCUCAUCGGGUGGAAUUACGAGCGUCCUAACGGAAAGGUACGGUUUCAAGCUCGAGGUGCGAAGGGUAAAAUGUACAUUACUGAGUUCGCGGAGUAGGUCUAGUUUGUGAGGUAUAGGACCGAUUUUGGUAAGAAUCUCGGGGGUCCUAACUAUCUUAGAUUAUGCUUUUCACGUGAUACGAAGCGUAUUAAGCCAUUCCCAGAGUGAGUUUUCCUAAAGAACUUGGUCUCUAACUUGGAAUUUCCAAGGUUUCUUUUUCUUUCUUAACUUCCCAAUCAAAGGCCACCCUCUGCUGGGUCAAAGUUGUACGGGUUUCUGUAAUAUGCGAGGAGUUAUGGAUGAACUAUGACAGUAGGUCUGUAAGACCUAGAAUUUGGCGAAUUUAUGUCGGUGUUGAAUCAUAAAAGUGACCCUCUUUAACUCAACUACCGCAACCUUCUCUCUACUACUGCAACGGUUCAGUACCCGCAUCUAAUCCCACACCCGGAGUCAAUUCUGCAACUGCAACCGCAACCAGUCUUUUGCUACCGCAGUCUACUAGAAUACUUUUACAUGUAUUUUAUGUAAUUCACUCUAUUAUCCUGUAUGCCUUACACGGUUGCUUAUAGAGUCUUAGUCUAGUUUAGAGUCUCUAUAAAUAGAGACUCAUUCUCUUGUAUCGAAUACACUUCUUACCACUUAAUGAUAACUUAUGAACUUAUUCUGAAUAUAUUUCUCUAAGUUAUCUUCUUCAUUUCUCUAUCUUUCUACUCUUCUUACUCUCAAGUGUUACUUAAACAUAUCUGAAUAUAACCUCUCUCCGGAGCAAGUCUGUAAGACUUAAUCACUAAGUUUGAUCUUCCUUAUUAACUUGGAGUGAAUGCAUUCCUUGUUACGAAUCAGCUUAAGUGUAUUCUUGAUAUAACAAUUGUUGUCAUUUCUAUUUCUGUAAAUUCCGCAACUAACUCCCUAACUCUAACUAUAUUAUUAUUGAGCUUUUAGAUCCUUUGAGAUUAACUCUAUUCCGCAAUAUACUUGUUCUAACUUUUGUUCAAGUGUGUCUCCAAAGUUUUUCUCUCAACAAUUGGUAUCAGAGCCAAAGUCGUUGCUUUUUGAAUAUCGGAACUUUGAUUUUUCAAAGGGCCUUCUAUACCACUAAAGCUCAUUUCUUAAAAAAAAAACUUCAAAUGGCACAAUCGUUAUCUCUGAAUGUCUCCAAUAGUGUUGGGUCACCUAAAUAAAUAAAUUGCUAAUCGACUAAAUUAGUUGUAUUUAAGAGAUAAAUGUAUGUAAAUGAUAUAAGUGGAGAGACAAGUUACUACCCGGAAUCUCUUAUUAAAUACGAGGUGUGAAACAUGAUUCUGAGACAUUGAAUUUAUAUUUUUAUAAUUGAUGUUAUAGAGUAUUUAUGCAUGAGACGGAUGUCUUGGACCAAAGCACUUCCAAAUGCGAUUAUAUUAUCUCUUUUGAGUUUGGACCUUUUAGUCGACAUCGAGGAGUCGAUCUGAGAACCCAUCUAAUCCACAAUUUUGGUUUUAUUACGUGUUUGCUGCUUCAGGUGAGUUAUCCUCCUUAUAUCAAUAGGAUCUAAGGGACCAAGGCUGGCCCUUUAUGAAUUUAUAUCCGGAUUAUUAUAUGGUAUGUUUAUUGAUUUGCAUCCUGGUAGUUAGGAUGGUUAUAUGCUUAUGCUUAGUGACCUAGUUAGGUCGGUAUCCUGGUUAUAGGAUGUUACUAUGCUAUUUGAUCUGUUAAAUCAGUUUGAUUGUUAUAUAUAUGCUAGCGUAUGAUAUUUAUGUGCACAUGCCUGUUUGGUGGGGGUUGGGUUGACGUGGACCUGCUUUGUGCUGAAGGUCAACAUACCCACGACGAACCGGAUAGACUACAAACCCAAAAGGGUAUGAUAGUCAGACCGAAGGCCCGACAAGGGGUCCGGAUAGGCUGAAGACCCUGUAAGGCGGUCCAGACAUGUCGAAGGCUCGGAGAGCGGUCCAGAUAAACUAAAGGCCUGCGAGGCGGUCCAGUCAGGCUGAAGACUCGUUAUGCAUGUUGUUCUGUGUUUGUUUAUAUGAUGUGAUUAUGGUUAUAUGAGGUUAGUAUUUGGGGGGGGGGGGGUAACUCACUAAGCCUUCGAGCUUACAUCUAUCUAUUAUUGUUUUAGGUACUUCUGAGGAUCGUGGGGAGGCAAAGGCGUGAUCGUACACCUCCUUAUAUUUUCAUGAUUUGAUUCUAGGGAUACUAUGAUGCUUAAACUAUUUUGAAAAAAAUUGCAAUUACUUAAUGGUUUUUAAAUGUUUUAAAAGUUUUAAAUUGGCUUAAAUUUUAUGGGUGUUACACUCAUAAUCAGUUGUAAGGGUUGGAUGCUUCCAGAUGAAGAAAACCACUUCAGAAGACGAUUUUUGAAUUAUUUUAGCGACUUUUGGAGAUCUGAAGACUGCGAAUCAUCUCAUCCGUUUAGUUUAUCUAGAUUGAUCAGUAAAUGUUUCUUUUAUCUAUUUUGAUUUUGUUUUUAGCCAUGUCUGGCUAAAAUUUAGUUUUUAGUUCUGCAUAGAUUAGUACUUUUCGUGUGAUUAGCUUUCAGAUUUGACUUUUGUUUUGUGUUUCUAUCUAGAUUCUUCAGUUUUGUUCUUAAUGAAUGUUUGGUUUUAAAUUCUUGUUAGUGUGAUCACCUAGCUAGGGUUUAAUCAUUCCAGUUAACCAGUUAAUAGAAUCCGUAAUUGUUCUUGUCAACUGGUAAAAGUAACAAGUAUCAGAUUGGUUACGUGUUGGGGAUUUAACUCUGAUAUAAACUGAAAAUGUCAUAUAUUUACGCUUCCGAGCUUGUGAGAAGUAUUGGGUAUUGUUGGGAAUUUACAUAGAACCUAAUGCAACUUUUCUGAUUUAAUUAAGAGCUUGUUUAAUUGAACACUAAAAAAUUAGGGUUAAUUGAAAAGCUUAUUUUGGUUAACUAAAUAAGGUAAAAGAGAAUUUACUAGAGUUUUUUAGUUUUCUCAGUACCAGCUUAGAUAGAACGCAUCUCAAAUAAUCAGAUCUGGGCUAUUUGCAUGAUUAGGAAAGUCGCAGCAGAACUGAAACCAUUUUUAUUAUUGAUUUUCAUUUAGUUUAAUAUCACUGCAUUUUUAGUUUUUAGUUUAAUUAACCCUCCCCCCCCCCUUCUUAAUAAUUUAUGUUUUGACUAAAUGUGUCUGAUGCAAAAAAACAUUGACUUUAAGGCUGUGUUCCUGAGGAUUCGACCAUGCUUUCCAUGUGCUAUAUUUUUAGUGCAAACAGCAGUAAUAAUUUAUUUGUUUAAUAUGCAUGCAGACAAUGUGUUAACAAGUAUGCUGCUAUGUUGUAGUGAACAAUUAGAUCUGUCUCCUGGUAUUGAGUAUGUUGCUUUAUGGUAAUAACCUAUUGAACUAUAUGUGCUUUCUGGUUAUCAUCUAUGGUGUGCCCUUAAGUACUGUCAGUGGUCAAGUAGGAUAGCCUGAGAACUCUUGGUCUAGGCCCUCAUGUCUAUUCCUUGUUUGGUUAUGGCUAUAGAGUAGGACCAUCUUUUCGGGUGGCUAUCUCACCUCUGGUUACUUAUGGUUACACAUUCUAUGGAGGUUGGCUAGUAGUGGGACUGUAUGUUGCGAGGGGAUUAGUAGGCAGUAGUGAGACGUAUGACUGAUGUUUGCCUAUAUUAUGUGCUUGCUUGAUCCUGGUUGUUUAUAUGUCAAGAUAUUGUGUUUGGUUUGGGUUGAGGCGGUCAUGCUUUGUACGGUAGGCCAAGAUACCCAGUGCGGGUCGACUGUAAGCCAUAGGCACUGAGGAGUGGUUUGGGUUGAGGCAAACCAGUGUAGACUGAAACGCCAAAAUACCUAGGCGUCCUGGAUAGACUGUAGGCCUGAGAGGCGUACCAGUCAGGCUGAAGGUCCAGAUAGGCUGAAGGCCCAGUGAGGCGGUCCAGUCAUGCUGAAGGUUUUGUGAGCGGUCCAGAUAGUCUGUAGGCCUGCGAGGUAGUCCAUUCAGAUUGGAGGCUCUGUAUGCAUGUUGUUUGUUAUUAUGUUUAUGUGGUGGUAUUUUGGGGGAAAUCACUAAGCUUUGGGUUUACAGUUUUAGGUUUUAUUUCAGGUACCUCAGAUGAUCGCGGGAAGGCGAAGGCUUGAUCGUGCACCUCCUUGUGUUUUAUGUUAUGAUUUUGGGAAAAACUCUAAUAUUAAACAUGUUUUGAGUACUAUGUUGUAAACAAAUAUGUUUUCUGGUUGGUUUUAAAAAGUUUAAGUUUUCAUGAAUUUUAUGGGUGUUACAAGUUAGUAUUAGAGCCUUGGUUUGAGUGAACUAGAGGAACACUCAUGUGAAUCCAGUCUCAAACUAAGGAAAAAGAUUAAAAAACAAUUUUCAAAUAGUUUUCGAAAUAAUCAAGGAGGAUGAGAUGUGUACCAGCAGUCGGAGCUAGUAACUAGAUCCUAAAUUACCACAUAGUUAUUUGAGAUUAUAUUAUGUCAUUUUAGAACAACAUGCUAGAGAUAAGAUAGGGAUGCUCAGGAAUCGUAUGAUAGAAUUGCCUAAUAUUUGAUGCCUUAACUCUUGUAGAAUACCUUAUUGAUUGUUGUAUGACUCUUUCAUGUGUGAACUAGGUAUUGAGUGAAUGCGCUAACUCACAUACUGCAUGGGUUAAAUGGUCUUAGGGUGGGGGAUUCGGUCCUGUUACACAGCUCUUGUUUGAGUCCAACCAUUGUAGGAUUGAAUCUUUUAGCCUAAGAUUGUUUAAUUUGUGUAUUAUGUGAUAAUGUUCAUGCAAUAGUUAUCUGACACCAAUGGAGGGUCGUGUGGAAGCUGAUGGUAGGAUGAGUUAUGUAGGGUCAGCCGACCAGUCGCGAUAUGGGUAGCCUUCCUCUAGGAAGUGAGGAUAGAGUGCAUAAGUAUGCUAGAGUGCAGUGUACUGUUAAGGUUGUUGUGAUGAUCGUCUGAGAAAACUACGGGUAGGUGUGGAAGGUAGUAUGUGUUGGAUGCGGUGUCUAAGCCCAUAACUAUAAUUGGUAUGUACUUAACGCGAUAGUAGCAUGGUCCUUUUCGGUUGCCUUGACCCAAAGAAGUGAUGACCAAUCGAAGAUUCGCGACAGAACCGACACGACGCCAAUGACGUAAUAAGUGAGUUUAAAGACUUAACCCGAUAGUAGCAUGGUCCAUUAGGCUUUGUAGAAGGAUCCUAUGGACUGCUUAAGGCCUAAGCAGUCAGAUUAGGGUUUUACCUGGAAACAAUAGCAGCACAAUUAUAUAAAUACCCCUUGGAUAGUUGAAAUCAACUCCUAUGCAUUCUUAGAGAACCCUGGUCGAUUUCCAUAGCCUCCAUCCUCUCUCUCUUGUUUAUCCAUCGCUAGUUGGUGUUUGUGACUCCAUUAGAGGUGCAACAAUUGAGGCAUUAAGCUCUUGAAGGUCAAGAUCUAUAAUAAACCCAGAAAAGGUAUUCUUCUAACUAUGUUUAAUUAUCAAUUUCAAAAAAUUGUAUGCUAGAUUAGGGUUUUGUUUAGAUAACUUAAUUUGCAUGUAUAACUUGAGAAAAACCUAGAUCCAAAGCAAUUAGGGUUGCAUGUGCACCAUAGGAAUGUUGUAAUGCUCAUACCCCAAUAACGGUAUCAGAGCUUAGGGUGUUUUUCUGUUAUAUUUGAUGUUAUUGUGUUUUGCGAAAUUUGAAACAUAAUCAAUUUUGGUCUCUGACUGGUGGACUCGACAAGUCCUAUGAAGGAACUCGACAAGUUGGACCUACUCGACGAGUUGGUAUGUUAGAUGGUAGAUUUUUCUUAUUUCAGGCCAAAAUUAGAUUAGGAUCAUUAACUUAAAUUGUUUUAACUGCUAAAAUUCAAAUUUUCUGUUAUGGUAAUGAUUAUCCUCAUCUAACUAGAAGAUAAUGGUCAAAUUUUAAGAUAAUCUUUAAAAUUAUAUGAUUAGUUUAGUUAUUUAAAAUUUGAUUUAGAAGUUUUAAAUAGUUUCCAAAUUUUCCCUAAAGUUUUGGAAUUUAAAAUUUAAUUAAAAGGUUUAAUUUCGAAAUAUUAAAUUCUAACACCCUAGUAUUUUAAAAGUUUAAAAUACAACCCUUAUACUAUUAUAUUNNNNNNNNNNNNNNNNNNNNNNNNNNNNNNNNNNNNNNNNNNNNNNNNNNNNNNNNNNNNNNNNNNNNNNNNNNNNNNNNNNNNNNNNNNNNNNNNNNNNNNNNNNNNNNNNNNNNNNNNNNNNNNNNNNNNNNNNNNNNNNNNNNNNNNNNNNNNNNNNNNNNNNNNNNNNNNNNNNNNNNNNNNNNNNNNNNNNNNNNNNNNNNNNNNNNNNNNNNNNNNNNNNNNNNNNNNNNNNNNNNNNNNNNNNNNNNNNNNNNNNNNNNNNNNNNNNNNNNNNNNNNNNNNNNNNNNNNNNNNNNNNNNNNNNNNNNNNNNNNNNNNNNNNNNNNNNNNNNNNNNNNNNNNNNNNNNNNNNNNNNNNNNNNNNNNNNNNNNNNNNNNNNNNNNNNNNNNNNNNNNNNNNNNNNNNNNNNNNNNNNNNNNNNNNNNNNNNNNNNNNNNNNNNNNNNNNNNNNNNNNNNNNNNNNNNNNNNNNNNNNNNNNNNNNNNNNNNNNNNNNNNNNNNNNNNNNNNNNNNNNNNNNNNNNNNNNNNNNNNNNNNNNNNNNNNNNNNNNNNNNNNNNNNNNNNNNNNNNNNNNNNNNNNNNNNNNNNNNNNNNNNNNNNNNNNNNNNNNNNNNNNNNNNNNNNNNNNNNNNNNNNNNNNNNNNNNNNNNUUAUAUAUGUAUAAGAUGAGUCUGUCUUACCGUUAGUAGGUCUCAUUCAUGAAGCUGGUCUAUAAGGGAUUUUUAAGGAAGCGGCAUGUAAAAUGACCGCCAUUGGGUAUCCACUCUUACCCACCGCACUCUUGACUAGUGGACGGUCGUUAGCCGAACGGGUAGGGUAGGUCAUUAAAUCAUCAUUAAUAAGUAUAAUGAAAACUAUAAAGUAAUUAAAUGUUUUUUAUAAAUUCCCAAUCUUAGUUACUUUAGGAAAAUGUAAACAAUGAUGCUAUUCCAUGAAAUUACACUUUGCAACUUGCCAAGUCAUUAGUGGAGCGUGUAUGGUUAACCGACACUCUAACUUGGACUAACAAGUGUGGCAAAGGGUAGCUCGAGAAUUAUCAUUGAUCAAUGGAGCGUGUGUGGUUAACCGGCAGAUUGAUUAGGUGGUAAAUGAAUCGAGAGUGCCAAGCUAAUCUGCAUAGUUAUCCACACCUUAUUUGUGAUCCUCGGUAUCCUAGUCACAAACUUGAAGGUCAUAAUCGAGAUUAAACAUGCCAUUCAAAAGUUUAAUGAAUCUCAAAAUAUCUAGGAAUUUCAUUUCAUUUAAAACCUAAUUCUUCAUUUCCUUUUUCGUAGUGGAAUUGGUAAAUUGUCGUUUACCUACCUUCAAAUAUUUUGCAAUUGGAUUACGACAUCCCUCUCCGAAUUGUGAAAUAUUUUGUUGGGUCCUAGCCUUAAUAUUUUAUUUGGGUGUUAUGUUAAGGAUUCUUAUCUAAUCUAAACUUUCUUCAUUUUCUAUUUCAGAUGGACCAAACAACGCUUCAAGCUCGAACUCCGACUCCUCAAGCUCCUUUUCUCUUUUGAACAUUUGUGCGAGGGUCACCUUCGAUGAAUCCAAUUUCAAUGAUUGGAUUCGCAACAUUCGAAUGGCCCUGUGAUAUGAAGAAAAAGGAAUAUGUUCUCGACAAGCAACUCAACGAGAUCGAUGAAACCAAAUCUACUCCUGAAAAGAUAGUUGAGUAUAAGGCUCAUGAAAAGAGGUGUCGUGUAUCAUGGUAGCCAUUUUGACUCCUGAACUACAGCUAGCGGUUCUAUGAGGACUACUGGCCUUACGAGAUGUGUCAAGACUUGAUGGAAAAGUACCAUCAAAGUGCGUGUCAAGAAAGGUACAAGAUUGUUGCCUUGCUAAUAACAACCAAGAUGAAGGAUAGAGAGUCCAUCAGGAGCCACAUGCAAAGAAUGCAGAGAUAUGUGGAUCGUUUGCUCAAGUUGAAUGUCAACUUUGACAAAGAGUUAGUGAUUGAUAUAAUACACUCUUUAUCAUAUGAACAAGGAGGAGGUCACCUUGAGCAAACUUCAUGGUUUGUUGAGAACUGCUGAAAGUGGACUCAAAGAAAAAGGCGUCGAGUCCACUCCUGCUGCUGCUGCUACCCUAGUCCUGGAAAUUGGACAUGGAAAGGGAAAGAAGAGGAAAGCUCCCUUUAAGAGCCACAAGGGAAAUUUUCAUAAUGGAUAUUCUUCAAGUAGAUCUAAAGAUAAAGUUGGCUCGGCCCCUCCUACGUCUGAUCCAAAAGAAGCAACGUGCUUCUACUGUCAAGAAAAGGGGCAUUGGAAACGAAGCUACCCGAAAUACUUGCAGGACAUCAAGGAUGGGAAGAUAAAGCCCAACUUCGCAGGUAUUUAUACUAUUCAAUCUAAUAAAUCAUCACAUGCUAAUUCUUAGGUCCUUGAUACAGGAUGUAGUUUUCACAUUUGUUCUGAUUCGCAAAGGCUAAGACUAAGGAUGUGGGUGCCUGUCACCAAGAUCGGGAUUUAUUCUUUAGUGAUUAGUAGUGGGUUAGGAUUAGACUUGAAUGAUUGUUGUUACUCGUCAGAAAUGACGAGGAAUAUUAUUUGCUUUCCUGGUUUGUACAGACAAGGUUUUAGAUUUUCAUUUAAUAAUGAAUUUGGUUCUAUUAAUGCUUUCUAUAAUGGUACCUUUUAUUUUGAAGCAUUACCUUGUAAUGGUGUAUAUGAAACUGUGAUGGUUGUAGAUGAAUUAGGAAAUAAUGUUUUGCAUCUCGAUUCGUCUAAUGGUUUAGACAAGGCGUACUUAUGGCAUUGUCGUCUUGGACUUGUCAACAAGAAGCGCAUAGCGCAACUCCAAAAGGAUGCAGUCUUAGAGUCAUUUGACAUAAAGUCAGAUGACAUGUGCGAAUAUUGUUUACUUGGAAAGAUAACUAAAUCACCUUUCAAUGGUACUUGUGAAAGAGGUGAGGUAUUGUUGGAUCUCAUACAUACAGAUGUGUUUGGGCCCUUCAGAUCCACCACAAGGGAUGCUAACCACUUCUAUGUUACCUUUAACAACGAUUAUAGCAGAUAUUGAUAUAUCUACUUAAUCAAGCACAAGUCGGAAACCUUUGAAAAGUUCAAGGAGUUCAAACAAGAUAUGGAGAAUCAAUUGGGCAGGAAGAUAAAUAUGCUCAGAUCCAACAUGGGUGGUGAGUAUCUUAGUAUCAAGUUCCACAACUAUCUUAAGGAAUGUGGAAUUAUUUUGCAAUUGACGUCACCCAGAACACCACAGCUCAAUGGUAUUGCUGAGAGGCAUAAUCGAACCAUGUUGGACAUGGUUUGCUCUAUGAUGAGUCCAGCUUCGUUACCUAUCUCAUUCUGGGGGUAUGCCUUAGAGACCGCCGCCCACAUCCUUAGUCUAGUCCCAACAAAGAUGGUUAACAAAACACCUCACGAGAUAUGGACAUGGAAGGUUCCCUCGUUAGCACACAUCAAGUUUUGGGGUUGUGAGGCUUUCGUAAGAUGAGAAACUCAGGACAAGCUUGAAUAUCGUACGUAGUGAGCGAUGUAUUUUCAUUGGCUACCCGCAAAAAUCUUUUGGAUAUCUUUUCUCCAGACCUAGGGACAACGUGGUCUUCGUAGCAAGGAGAGGGGUUUUCCGUGAAAGGGAAUUUAUAUGCCAAAAGGGCAGUGGGAGGUAAAUUGAUCUUGAAGAGCUUCAAGAAUCAAGCGAUGAAGGAACUUCUAAUACUAGCUCUCAACCUGAGGAAGAGAUUCAUGUUGAACCAGUUGGCGAUUCAUUAUCUCUUAGGCGUUCUGCAAGGGUUAGUGUUCCACCUGUGUUUUAUGCACUAUUAGAAAAAUAGCUUUUUACGACACGCAAUGUGUGUCGUAAAAUGCUCAGACGACGCGCAAAUGCGUGUCAAUGAAGGCCCUGUCAUAAAAGAAGACGACACCCUUUUGUGUGUCGUCUAUUUACGACGUGCAUUUACGACAUGCGCUUACGACACGCAAUGCGUGUCAAGGAAGGCCAUGUCAUAAAGAACACGACACACAUUUACGUGUCGUAACCUUACAACACACUUUUACGACUUGCAUUGCGAACCAUUAAAGCCUGUGUCAUAAAGAAAGAUGACACACAUUUUUGUGUGUCAUAAUUUUAAAGGUCUUANUAUAUAUAUAUAUAUUUGAAAGAUUUACUAAAUUUCAAAUUAAAUAACACAUUUAAAAGUUUCAUAAUGCAAAAUAAAAUACUUAUAUUACAAAACAAUCCAUUUCAUGAAAUAAUUAUAUUAAUAUUCAAAAUAAAUCACAUUUAACUAUUAUUUUAUUAACAUAAAGUCAAACCAGAUAAACAAAUAUUCCUAAUCCAAAUAACAACAAACAUAAAACGCAAACUAUUUUGGAAAUAUGGAUCUUUGACUUGUGUAGAAACAAUGUGAUUGAUUAGUUUCAAGAUAUGUAAUAGUUGCUCUGCACGACUUCUUCCAUAUCCUGGCGUCAAUUACAGUUGAAGGAGCAUAUGUUGUAGCAUAUCCACAAAUGAGAGCUAAUUCAGCAUGAAUGUCAUCAGAAUCUUUAAUCUUAGUUUUAUCUGAGAAGAAGGAUAGAAAUCUACAUUUCAAACAGUCUUUUGUUAUCAAGAAGAUUAAACAUAAAAUAAGCAUAAACAAUAAAUAAAAAUUAUAUAAUAUAAAUAUAUACCUUUGGAGAACACUUUUUCUAAUGUUGUUAAAAAUGUCUUUAUGUUUGUCUAAAACAGUUUCCAAGUGGGAUGUUGCAACCUGAAAACGAAUUGACAUGGACUUAAUUUACUUCACAAGGGUAAUUUGGUAAUUCCAUACAUACCAAUCCCACGGCUUUAGCCAAAUCAAUUUUCAGGAAUGGUGAUAUUUGCUUGUUUGUACAUCCAGUCAAUUUUAUCACGAACAUAGGUCAUGUUAUCAACUUUCUGAAGAAGUAUACCAAGACAUUUGUAGGAGAAGAAUACUCUCAAUAAGAUAAUUUUAUUAAAAAAAGUAAUGAUAAUGAUAAUGAGUUCAUACCUGUAAAGUAGUGCAAAAUGCUCAUCAUGUAACAUCCGGAUUUUCAGGUACAUUACUUAUUCAUUCAUUUUUGGAGAUUUUCGGAGGGACUCGGCGAGUUGAUGCUUAGACUCACCGAGUAGUGUCGCGAUUUUCCAUCCGCAUUAAUGACCGGACUCGGCGAGUCGACUAGUGGACUCGACGAGUCAAUGUUGUUUAAUGAAACCGUAAUUUCCGGGGUUUGAGACCUAUUUAAAGGCCCUUAUAGCCUUCAUUUGCGGUUACCAGUUGAUAGACAGAGACCCCAUAGUGUGUAAGCGUUUUGAGAGAGAAAGGAAGGCAUUUUUGAUCCUUGUGUGGGUGAUUUUGCAAGAAGAAGGUGACCAAGGCAAGAGGAAACUAAAGAAGGUGCUAAUAUGUGGAUUUCAGAGCUUAAGGACUUCAUCUUGAGGUAUAUAUUCGAUCCUUCUUCAGUUUUGGGUGUUAAUCCUUGAGAGUUAGGGUUCCUAGCCCAUUUAGAGUAUGAUUGUUAGUGCAAUUGUUCCCUUCUUGUGUUGAGGCUGCGGAUCUGGAUCCAAAGAGGCUUGAGAUCUAAGCCCCUUGAUCUUUAUGGGGUGUCAUUGGGUUAUAUGAGCUUAGGGUGGCAUAUUGAGGCCAUUUCUUCAAAUAGAGCCAUUAGGUCUUUGCAUGGGCAUCAAGAUCCAAACUUUACAUGUUUUUAUUGCUUUAGGAGGCCAUAUCUAUGAGUUAGAGGAACGGAUCUGACCUUAGGAGCUCAUCUGAGCUCGAGCAUGGCAUGAACUCAUCGAGAACCAAGAGCAGACUCGGCGAGUAGGGUUAGGGUUUCCCCCUAGUUCACUCAGUAAGUACUUGCCGAGUUGGUGGAAUGACUCAGUGAUUCAGAAGGAAUUAAAGGACUCGAGUUCAAGGCGGAACUCACCGAGUUCAUAAUGAGACUCAGCGAGUUUAGUCGGGGUGGCCCUGCGAUUCAUGCCAGGUGUAACCUGUCGAGCAAGGGAAAUACUCGACGUGCCAUGUGGGACUAGAGGGAUAGUGGACACACGUAGACUCGCCGAGUCACCCAAGUGCACUCGGUGAGUCGGGUCAAAGUCUAAUCGUUGACUUUGUUGACUUUGAAGGUUUGGUCAACAAUGGGGUCUUUGUGUCAAGAGAGGGUUGAGUCUAGUCUCGAGAGUUAUAUUUAUGAUAGUAUUUUAUUAGGCGGAGGCUAGACCAUAUUUUCACCAAGUCGGAGAUUUACUGAGACAUCUGAUGUGAGUCUUCUCACUAUACUUUACCUAGAGUGGUAAUCAGAGCUAUGUGACAGUGUAUCUUAUAUGCUAUGUAUGUGUUGUGAUUUCUAUGUGAUAUGUGAUAUGCAUGAUUCAGAGUUACAGAGUUAGGACCAGUGGGUCCAUAGAGUUAUGGGACCAAGAGGGUCCCACAGAGAUAUUUGACUAGAGGUUCAUCAGAGUUACAACCUUGAGUGGCUGAUAUGUGUUUAUGUGGUAUUUUGGGGAACUCACUAAGCUUUAUGCUUACAGUGUUAUGUGUUAUGUGUUUCAGGUACCAGUGAUGAUCGCGGGACGGCGCCAGCAUGAUCUGUACACACACCCGCGGAGUUAUUAUGAUUUGAUGUUGGGAUUUGUAAUGAGAUAAUGUUGAUACAAUGUUUUCUUGAAAGUGAUUAUGAAUGAAGUUAAAUGGUUUCAAAAAGCGAAAAAUUGUCUUAAUUUUUACGGUGUUACAAGUUGGUAUCAAAGCCUUGGUUUGAGGGAUUCGGAUGCAUCUUCGGACGUAUCUGAACUCAAACUGAGGAUUUGGGAAAAAAUUGAUUACAAAACAAUCUUAAAAAGAGUUUUGAGAAAAAACAGAGCAGAGUCGUGUGUACGAUCAGCCAGCGCCCGAACGGUGAUUUCCCAAAAUACCCUUGUAAUAAGUGUUACGAGAUAUAGUGUGUUAUGUUAUAUGAUGAGCUAUAUUAUGCAUGCUAGAGUACACUAGGUAUCCUUAUUAGGAUUAGAGUGGCCUGAUAUAUGAUGCCUUAGUCUAGUAGCUUUGCUGUUAGGGAUGCUUGAGAUUGUUUAGAUAGUAGCGAGGAGCUUAUGAGAGAUCAGCUAGCGAGUAGCAUAUGAUUUAAGAGAGUAGAGUGCUUGGAAUUUGGGGCUCUGGGAGGAGGACUUGGGAUGAAUGAUGGCGCGGUGUGGUCGGUAGUAUUGGGCCCGUACUACCGAAGGCACCAGGUCAGUGCGCAGCCCAAGUAAGAAUCGUUAGGGUACCAGAGAUCAAGUAGGAUUGGGAUAUCGAGUGUGUGUACACCCGAGCGAGUCUCUGAUAUCUUGUGUUGUAUUUCAGAGAGGCUUCAUGGUAGGGACGCGCCAUAGGCCAGAGACUAGUGGAGGGGGUGUGAGCGACGAGGAGCUCCACCAGAUGAUUCAUGAUGAGGUGGCUGCUGCCAUCCGCGCUAAGAUUCCAGAGAUGUUCGGGUCUAUCAAGACCACCCUGAUAGAGACAUUUGACGAGAGAUACACUGCUCUUUCUGAUGCUNGCAGCCACUACAGCUGUAGCUGCGGCUAGACCUCAGGGUGGUGGUGCCUUGUUGUUCCGGGAGUUCAACAACACAAAACCACCUGAGUUUGAUGGGACUCAGGGCCCGAUUGCAGCGAUGAGGUGGAUUUUAGAAAUCAAGGGGUGUUUCUUCACCUGCUCAUCUCCAGAGCAUUUGAGAGUCCGGUUCGCAUUGAGCAGCUUUGCUUGGGAGCGAAGGACUGGUGGAAGUUUGUGACAACGCAUUAUUCGCCUGCUGAGCUUGCUGCAGUGACUUGGAAGAGGUGCACUGCUAUGUUCCAAGCUGAGUACGUUCCCUAGGUGGAGAGGGAGCGUUUGGCCCAGGAGUUUCUGACCCUCAAGCAGGGUACUGAAUCUGUCACGGUGAUUACGAGGAUGUUCCAUGAGCGGGCGAUGUUUUGCCCAGAGCACAUGUCCUCUGAGCAGGCACGUAUGAGCUGAUAUCUGAGCAUUUUAAGGAGGGAUAUACGGGAGUUCGUGACGAACUCGAUGUACCGGACAUUUGCUGAGCUUCAAGAAAAUGCCCGGAAGAAGGAGAUAGGGCUGGAGACCCAGGCUAGGGAGGAGGCUGAGUCUCAGGGGAAGGAUCAGCGACCGACGCAGUCUCAGUCGGCAGCCAAGUGGGCCAAGCCCACUGAUUCGAGAUCUAGGAGUCAGAAGGGACGCACUUGUGGCAAGGAUUUCCCCAAGGGGUUUGCAGUAUGUUUUCACUGCAACUAGACCGGAUACCGCAAGGCAGAGUGUCCACAAUUGCGAGGGAUAGCCCAGGGAGCAUCUCAGGGAUCUGCCCCUGCUGCUAUCAGAGCCACUGAGAGCCGGCCCAGUGAAGGCCGAGGCACCGAAGGCAUGAGGGAGAGCCUUCCAGUUGACUGCGGAGGAGGUCCGCGCAGCGCCCGAUGUUGUGGAUGGUAUGUAUUCUUUCAUGUAUUUAUUUUGAUGAUGAGAUAUUGUGUUUAUAUUAUGUUAUGCAUAGGUACUUUUCUUGUGAGUUUUGUACCUGCCUUGGUGUUAUUUGACUCGGGUGCGAGUCGGUCUUUUGUAUCUUUGGCUUUUAGUCAGCAUAUCAAUAUUAGCCGAGAGGCGUUGAGUCGAACUUUGAGAGUUUCCAUAGCUGAUGAGAGGGCGGUGUACACCACCGAGGUGAUCCCAAGGUGUGUACUCGGGAUUUUCGUAGUGGACUUUCCGAUUGACUUAGUUCCUAUUGCGAUGGGAGAUGUCUGUGUCAUCGUGGGCAUGGACUUGUUGAGUAGAUUUGGAGCGCUUAUCGACUGCGAGCGUCAGCUGGUGACCAUAUGAGACCCUAGUGGGGCAAUUCUUACAGUGUACGAUGAGGGUACAUGUUCUGGGUCAGCAUUUUGUUCAGCCGCUAGAGCGAGACAGAGUCUACAGUAGGGCUGUAGGGGUUUUGUAGCGUAUGUGAUGGAUACGAGGGUUGAUUCAGAGACACUGAGGUCAGUUGAUGAGGUUCCGAUAGUGCGUAAGUUCCCAUAUGUAUUUCCGGAGGAGUUGUCAGGCAUGCCUCCCGAGAGGCAAGUGGAACUCCCACUACUAGAAAAAAAGGCCUUUUACGACGCUUAUUGCGCGUCAUAAAACGCUCAGACGACGCGCAAAUGCGUGUCAAGGUAGGCCCUGUCAUAAAGAGAGAUGACGCACUUUUGCGUGUCGUCUAUAGACGACGCGCAUUUACGAUGCGCAUUUAUGACGCACAUUUACGACGCGCGGUUAUGACACGCAAUGCGUAUCAAGGAAGGCCCUGUCAUAAAGGAAGACGACACGCAUUUGCGUGUCGUAACCUUACGACGCGCGUGUUUAUGACACGCAAUGCGUAUCAAGGAAGCCCCUGUCAAGAAAGGCCAUGUCAUAAAUAAAGAUGACACACAUUUUUGCGUAUCAUAAUUUUAAAUUUUUUAAAAAAAAUAUUAUUUAUAGAUUUACUAAUUUUUCAUAUUAAAUAAUACAUUAGAAAUCUCAUAAUAAUAAAUAAAAUACCAUAAAUAACAAAUAUAAUUCAUUUCACUAAUAUGUCAAAUACAAAUAAUUAUUCCAAUAGUGAGUAAAUGUUAUAAAAAAAUGAACUCAUUUAUAUACAAUUGCAUUAAUUAUCUAGCUUACUAUGUGCCAACAAACUUCUAUCUUUUUCCUUCUCUGCAUAAACUUCAUUAGCAGCAUCCUAAAGAACCUCUAUCUUUUUCAUCAGCAACAUCCUCAAAAACUUCUAUCUUUUUCCUUCUCUGCAUAAACUUCUAUCUCACACUCAAUGUAGUUUUAAACAUCAGGUUUAAAAAAUCAACUUUAAGGUUGCCUUGUUAAAGAGAAUGACUAGAAUAGAUUUCCCUUUUUCACAAGGCAUGUGCUUGCUUGCACAUAUAUAUGGAAUCAUUCUAAAAAAAAAAAAAUUGUUCAUGUCAACUACUCCAAGGACUAUUACGUAAUUUAACAUGAAGAAUUUUGUCCAGAUGAAAGGAUUGACUUUAAACUUUAUAAAAAUCAUUUAAAUGAACUUACCUGACCAUGAAGCGUGUUGAUCCAGGAUCUCCUUGCCUUCCUGCUCUGCCACGAAGCUUUGUAAAGCAAGAAAUAAAUUAAAAAAGUGAGUCUGAAAGUAUAUGCUAAAUUUAUGUAAAACCUUAAAACACAAUAUUGAUGCAAAGUUACCUGAUUAUCAAUUCUUCGGGACUCAUGCAAAGAUGUCCCAAUGACAUGGAGACCACCAAGUCGUUUGACUUCCAAUCCUUCAUGAAAGCAAUGAAUCUCACAGUCCUUUAGAACCGAUAAAUAGGCAAUUGCAAUGCAAGGACCCAGGGCCGGUCCAAAGAAAUAUGUUGCCCGGGGCAAUAAGACAUAAUGAUGCCCUAAUUAUAUAUUUUCAGAAACUAAUAUCAUAAUUCAUAAAAUUUACCCUAGUUCACUGUUUUUCAAUCAUAACUCAGAAAAAAAAAACACUAAUAAUUUUAGAAAGUAAGAAAAUUAAUAUAAAAAAUCAUAAUAUUUACCUCAGUACUUUGAUAGGUAACAGUGAGAAUGCAAUGACAUGCAAUGACAUGUAGACUACUGAUCCACCUUUAAACAAUGCUUUAGGUACCUAGCUAUCAUCCAGAAAACAACAAAACAGACAAAAAUUUACACUAAUCCCAUCACAAACAAAACCAGCUGCUAUUAUCACAAAUAACAAAUAUAAUAUACUCCAGACAGUAUUAAAAUGUAGCAGCAUCCAAACAUAUUAUAAGAUGAAAAAGUUAAUAAGACGAAGAAGUAAGAAGUUCUGAAAUAAAGAGAGAAUAUUAUCUGUAGUGUAAUAUUCCAAAUGGACUUGAAAAGUUCUUGUAUCUUGACCAUCUACCAUUAUCAAACCUGUCAUUUUUAUACCAAAUUAAAUUCAAAACCAAAUUUUAGCUUGACCAUCCAUCAUUAUUCCGUCCCCUGAGAAUUGGGGACAAAAAUAGCCUCAGGGGUAUUUUGGGAAAGUUCCAAUUUAAUUAAGUUUUUGUAAUAAAAUAUGAUUGUAGUUCGUGAAUUGCCAUAAUAUCACCUCCAUUGUUGGCGUAAUUCAGGAAAAAGCCCACAGGGGCAUUUUAGGAAAAUGCUUUUAUUAUUUUUGUUUCCCGGUUUUAGACUAUGAGUCAAACUCUUUUUCUUUUAGUAUAAAUAUGCUACGUUAUAGGUAUUUAGAAAGAAGUUUUUCAGCAAUAAAAGUUUUCUUUUCCACCAAGCAAAAUAAAAAAUCCCAUCUUUUUCUUCCCCUGUUAUCACCUGUUGCCAGCCAUGUAGUUUUUUUUUCCUUUUUUUCUUCCUGUUCUGUUUUGUUUUCUGUUCUUAGGCAACAAGGUUGCAGCAAGGUAUCAGGUAGAUACCUUACAUCCAUAACGUUCAGGUUCUUUGAGAAUAUCUUCUUUCAGUCGAGCUUCCAUUCUCUCCACUCUUUCACAGUAAAUUCCCUACAUUAAACCACUUGACACUUGAGUAUAUUUAAAUAAUAAACAUUAAAAAUGAGAGAGGAUUAUUAUUAUAUACCGUAUACUCGAGCAUGUUUUUGUAGGGUCUUUCAACCUCACGAAGCAGAAAGGGCUUUCCAUUAAUGUAAAUAACAGGUUCUUCUCUCAUGUUGUGCCAAAAGACGGGUCUACCCAGGCCACCUUUAAAGCUACCUAUUCUUUGCAUAACAGAUUUAAUUCUUUCCACAGUUGGAUUUGUAACACCAUAGACUGGGAACCCGCCCUAAAGCAGAUUUAGUUCUGCAUCGAGGCACACUUGUCAAUCACUUUGUCCACCUGUCGUUUGCCUUCAACACCACCCUAAAACCAUGUCAAUCAAAAAGAAGUUACUCAAGAAUGUUGUUGUAAUGGGAAAUUUAUAAGGAAAAAGGUUCAUUUGCAUACUGUAAAAGCAUGCAAUCAUAAAACAUAAACUUCACAGAGAAAAAAAAAAAAGUACCAGAAGCUCCUAUUCGAUUUAAAUAGAUCAAUGUGGCAAUGACCAUCCCUGUGGUAGUACGCCCAUGCCCCAUUUGGCAGUUAAAGAUUAUUUCUGUCUUAAGAUCAGCUCUUGAAAUUCUAUCAACCUAUAAAGAUCAUAAAACACAAAUCAUAUAUAAAGUAUAAUCUAAGUUAAAUAUUUUCAUUUUGUUAAAUGAAAAUAACACUCACCAACGUAUCAAAAUCAUGUUCCUUGGGUGAUUUUUCAUCUGUUGCUGGAAUGCGUUCGUAGUCAACAAGGAAUUUUCUUGUUUGGAUUUCUAAAUAGACCUACAAUAGUGAAAGGAAUUAUGAAACAGAUAUUCAAAAUGAACAUUUAAUUUCAUAGUAUGGUGAACCUGUAGUGAUGUUUUGACAGAGUCGGUGUGACUGGCUCCCAUUGAUCCACCAUUUGACCAUCUGGUAGUUCAUCAGUUACUAGGAUCUUAUUUCCAUAUCUGUAAUCGAGAUAGGUAUUGAGAUGAUAAGAAAAUGGAUAUCAAACACAGAAACAUGUUAAAAAGAAUACCUUGCAGCUUCUAGCAAUAUGUCUUCCUUUAACCGGUCUUCCAUUUGCUCCACCCUAGCCCUAUUGAUACCCUAUUCAUAACAUCAAAGUUUAGGUAUAGAAUGGGAUAAAUCAGCAUGUUUAUGAAGAAAAAAAUAUAGAAAAAUACUGUAAAUCUGAAGUGGAAGUUGGGAUUUGAGCAGAAAAAAUAAGCACACACCGUGUACUCAAGAUUGAAGAAGGGCAGAAAAUCGUUGAAGACUGGGACGACUGGUCAGCGUGGAUCAGAAACCACGGUGGAAUCGGUGUUCCGGCGAACAAAAGCUGGGAAUCAUGGUGGGAGGAAGAACAGGACCACCUCCGAUCCACCGGUACAGUCGGUCGUCUGACGGAAAUCCUCCUUUCUCUCCGAUUCUUCAUUUACCAAUACAGUAUCGUUUACCACCUCAAAGUCGUCCAAAACGAUAAAUCAAUCUUAGUGUACGCUCUCUCAUGGCUCGUAAUCGUUUUUGUUAUCGCAUUAUUGAAAAUCGUGUCCAUGGGUAGAAAGAAAUUCAGCGCGGAUUUCCAAUUAAUGAGAGCCCAAUCUAGUGGAGUGUGAAUGAGUUUUUAGGGUUCAAUGGUAGUGACGAUGGCUUAGGGUUUGCAGAUGGUGGUGUGGGGGUCGUCGGUUGCUUUACAGAGAGAUAUGAAGUCGAGACGAAAAGACGAGAUUGACCCACCUGGUAAUAAACGGACUCGGGAAGCUGAACAAAAUGACCCGAGAUUGACCCAUCUAGUAACAACGCUAUUGAUGCCAUUCCUUCCAUUUUCGACUGUUCAUCCUCCACUUCCUCUACUGCUACUUCUUCACCAUCUUCUAUUUUUUCUGUAUUUAGACUUGAGAGUAUAAUUAGGGCUUUUUCUAACAAUUUCAACAUCGAGUGGGAGAUAUGGUGGUUCCAGUAGGUAGAAGUGAGGGAAGAAGUAGGCAGCAGGAGGGGGAAGGAAGGAGCGUCCAUAAUUUGGGCAAGAGGGAAAGGAGAAAAAAAAGGAAGGCGGGAUUUUUAAUUUUUUCAGAAUUUCAUUUCCCCCUACUGUUAAAGGAUGGAACGCGCGUUCCAUUAAAAAUUAUAAAGCGACAUCCUUAGACGACGCGCAAUUUAUUACAGGUGCCCUCCGUGUUUUUUUUAGACACUAAUUUAAGGGCGCGCAAUAAUGCGUGUCUUCUAUCCUUAAAUUUUUUGAAGAGAUGACACCUUUUUAACGUCACUCUCCAUUGCGUAACAUAAAUCAAUGAGUGUCGUGGUUUGCGCGUCGUAAAAGGCUAUUUUUCUUGUAGUGUCCGUAUCGAUUUGGUUCCGGGAGCUACACCUAUCGCCAAGGCGCCCUAUCGCCUUGCGCCUCCAAAGAUGCAGGAGUUAUCCUCGCAGCUUCAGGAGCUGUUGGGGAAGAGGUUUAUUCGGCCGAGCAGCUCGCCGUGGAGAGCGCCUAUCCUUUUUUCAAGAAAAAAGAUGGUUCACACCGGAUGUGCAUUGAUUACCGGGAGUUGAACAAGCUGGCGGUCAAGAACCGUUACCCGUUGCCGAGGAUCGACGAUUUGUUCAAUCAGUUACAGGGAGUAUCUUGGUUCUCCAAGAUCGAUUUGAGGUCUGGAUAUCAUCAAGUGAGGGUGCGAUAUGAAGACAUCCAGAAGACAACAUUCAGGACUCGUUAUGAGCAUUACGAGUUCGUGGUGAUGCCUUUCGGGCUCACUAAUGCACCGGCGGUGUUCAUGGAUCUCAUGAACAGAGUGUGCAGGCCGAUGUUGGAUCGCUCAGUGAUCGUGUUCAUCGACGACAUAUUGGUGCAUUCGAGAUCCAGAGAGCAGCAUGAGGAACAUUUGAGAGAGAUCCUCAGAGUUUUGAGAUCGGAGAGGCGUUACGCCAAAUUCUCCAAGUGUGAUUUCUGGUUACGAGAGUUCCAGUUCCUGGGGCACCUCGUUAACCAAAAAGGGAUAUUAGUCGAUCCGGCCAAGAUUGAGGUAGUGAUGAGUUGGGAGGUGCCGAGGUCACCUACCGAGAUCAGGAGUUUCCUAGGGUUGGCUGGUUAUUAUCGGAGAUUUAUCAUGGAUUUCUCCAAGAUCGUCAUGCCACUCACCAAGUUGACCCCGAAGGGUGUUGCGUUUUCAUGGGGCCCAGAGCAGCAGGCCUCCUUGAAGACACUUCACCAGAGACUAUGCGAAGCCCCGGUGUUAGCCCUUCCGGAGGGGAUGGACAACUUCGUAGUGUAUUGUGACACGUCGAUAUCUGGGCUGGGAGCAGUGCUAAUGCAGAGGGGGCAUGUGAUAGCAUACGCAUCAAGGCAGCUGAAGCCUCAUGACAUGAGGUAUCCCACCCACGAUCUAGAGUUGGGGGCAAUGGUGUUUGCCCUCAAGAUCUGGCAUCACUAUCUGUAUGGGGUUCGAUGUACCAUAUACAUGGACCACAAGAGCCUGAAGUAUUUAAUGGAUCAGCCCAAUCUGAACAUGCGACAGAGGAGAUGGUUGGAUGUGGUGAAGGAUUACGAUUGUGAGAUCCUGUACCACCCGGGCAAGGCUAACGUUGUAGCCGAUGCCCUGAGUCGCAGGGAGGAGGGCACCCCGAUACAGGAUGUUUGUAUGAGGCUGACAGUGAUGGCCCCAGUAUUUGGUGCCAUUCGAGGGGCCCAGACUGAGGCUGUGAGACCAGAGAAUCGUAAGAGGGAGCGGGUUAUCGGGCAGGUAUCGGAGUUCGUCACCGAUAGCCGAGGGGUUAUGACCUUUCAGGGAUGGAUUUGGGUGCCGUUUGUGGGCGGAACGUGCACCAUCUUGAUGGAGGAGGCGCAUAGAUCGAAGAUUUCGAUCCAUUUCGGGGCCACUAAGAUGUAUUUGGACCUAAAGAAAUAGUAUUGGUGGGCCUGUAUGAAGAGAGAAGUUGCAUGGUUCGUUGAGAGGUGUUUGACCUGUCGUAGGUUUAAGGCCGAGCACCAGAAGCUGCAUGGUAAGCUGCAGCCGUUGGAGGUUCCUGAGUGGAAGUGGGAACAGAUUACCAUGAAUUUUAUCACCAAAUUGGCGAGGACUGCUAGGGGCGUCGAUGCUAUUUGGGUGAUUGUAGACAGGUUGACGAAGAGCGCUCAUUUCCUUGCUAUCAGUGAGAGCUCUUCCGCUGAGAGGUUGGCAGAGUUGUAUGUGAAGGAGGUGGUAUCACGAGCAUUGGUAUGCCACCCUUUGAGCUGUUGUAUGGUAGGAGGUGUCGGACUCCCAUUUGCUGGGGUGAGGUCGGUCAGCGUGUGAUGGGUAGUACAGAGAUAGUCCUUCAUACGACUGAGCAGAUUCUGCAGGUCCGGCAGAGGUUACUGACGGCUCAGAGUCGUCAGAAGCGCUACGCAGACAGGCGUCGCUUGGAGCUCGAGUUCCAAGUUGGUGACUUCGUACUCCUGAAGGUAUCUCCUUGGAAAGGAGUGAUCCGAUUCAGGAAGAGAGAUAAGUUGGGGCCUCGGUAUAUUGGCCCUUUCAGGGUGACCGCUUGGGUAGGCAGGGUAGCGUACAGCUUGGAGUUACCUGCUGAGUUGAUUCAGAUUCACGAUACCUUCCAUGUGUCUCAGUUGAGAAAGUGCAUCGCUGAUGAGUCAACAGUGGUUCCAUUAGAGGACAUUCAGGUGGAUGCAAGCCUGAGCUAUGUUAAGAGGCCGAUCGCGAUUCGGGAUAAAAGGAUCAAGACUUUGAGAAACAAGGAGGUGCCAUUGGUUCAGGUUUAGUGGCAACAUCGGAAGGAUUCCGAGAUGACCUAGGAGCCAGAGUUGGAGAUGCGCGAGCAGCAUCCAGAUUUAUUUGUGAAAAGAGACUUCGAGGGCGAAGUCUGAUUCUAGUAGGUGAGAAUUGUAACAUCUGGAUUUUCAGGUACAUUAUUUAUUCAUUCAUUUUUGGAGAUUUUCAGAGGGACUCAGCUAUAUGAUGCUUAGACUCUCCGAGUAGUGUCGUGAUUUUCCAUCUGGGUUAAUGACCGGACUCGGCGAGUUGACUAGUGGACUUGGCCAGUCCACGCUGUUUAAUGAAACCCUAAUUUCUAGGGUUUGAGACAUAUUUAAAGGCCCUUAUGGCCUUCAUUUGCGGCUACAAGUUGAUAGAGAGAGACCCCAGAGUGUGUAAGCGUUUUGAGAGAGAAAGGAAGCCAUUAUUGAUCCUUGUGUGGGUGAUUUUGCAAGAAGAAGGUGACCAAGGCAAGAGGAAACUGAAGAGGGUGCUAAUCUAUGGAUUUCAGAGCUUAAGAACUUCAUCUUGAGGUAUAUAUUCGAUCAUUCUUCAGUUUUGGGUGUUAAUUCUUGAGAGUUAGGGUUCCUAGCCCAUUUAGAGUAUGAUUGUUAGUGCAAUUGGUCCCUUCUUGUGUUGAGGCUGCGGAUCUGGAUCCAAAGAGAUCCAUAGAUCUAAGCCCCUUGAUCUUUACGGGGUGUCAUUGGGUUAUAUGAGGUUAGGGUGGCAUAUUGAGGCCAUUUCAUCAAAUAGAGCCAUUGGGUCUUUGCAUGGGCAUCAAGAUCCAAAGUUUACAUGUUUUUAUUGCUUUAGCAGGCCAGAUCUAUGAGUUAGAGGAACGGAUCUAACCUUAGGAGCUCAUGUGAGCUCGAGCAUGGCAUGAACUCGCCGAGUACCAAAAGCAGACUCGGCGAGUAGGGUUAGGGUUUCCCCAUAGUUCACUCAGUGAGUACUUGCCGAGUUGGAGGAAUGACUCAGUGAGUCAGAAGGAAUUAGAGGACUGGAGUUCAAGGCGGAACUCGCCGAGUUCAUAAUGAGACUCGGUGAGUUGAGUCGGGGUGGUCCCGCGAUUUAUGCCAGGUGUAACCCGUCGAGUAGGGGUAAGACUCGACGUGUCAUGCAGGACUAAAGGGAUAGUGGACACGCGUAGACUCGCCGAGUCACCCAAGUGCACUCGGUGAGUCGGGUCAAAGUCUAACCGUUGACUUUGUUGACUUUGAAGGUUUGGUCAACAACGGGGUCUUUGUGUCAAGAGAGGGUUGACUCUAGUCUCGAGAGUUAUAUUUAUGAGAGUAUUUUACUUUAUGUGAUUAGGCGGAGGCUAGACCAUAUUUCCACCAAGUCGGAGAUUUACUUAGACAUCUGAGGUGAGUCUUGUCACUAUACUUUACCUAGAGUGGUAAUCAGAGCUACGUGACAGUGUAUCUUAUAUGCUAUGUAUGUGUUGUGAUUUCUAUGUGAUAUGUGAUAUGCAUGAUUCAGAGUUAUAGAGUUAGGACCAGUGGGUCCAUAGAGUUAUGGGACCAAGAGGGUCCCAUAGAGAUAUUCGACCAGAGGGUCAUCAGAGUUACAGCCUUGUGUGACUGAUAUAUGUUUAUGUGGUAUUUUGGGGAACUCACUAAGCUUUAUGCUUACAUUGUUAUGUGUUAUGUGUUUCAGGUACCAGUGAUGAUCGCGGGAAGGCACCGACAUGAUCUGUACACACACCCGCGGAGUUAUUAUGAUUUGAUCUUGGGACUUGUAAUAAGAUAAUGUUGAUACAAUGUUUUCUUGAAAGUGAUUAUGAAUGAAUUUAAAUGGUUUUAAAAAGCGAAAAAUUGUCUUAAUUUUUACGGUGUUACACAUCAUCAGAUGUAUAAAGCUCAUACUGCUUUGCAAAAGCAUUUCCAAGAGAAAUGACCCAAUCAAUGUCUUGAACAACAUCCAAAGUUUCUGCAAGAAACUACAAACAAACAAAUAAAUAAAUAAUAAUGACAUGAAAAGUGAAAUCUUUAUCUAUGUUGAACUUGCAGAUCUCUACUCACAAAGAGGGAUCUACAAAAAAACAAAGGGAAUUCAUUGUGGCAUUUUAUCAUUGUGGCAUUUACCUCAAAUAAGAAAAUAUUGCAAGUUUGUGAUUAAAAUUCAUCAGGCACAACUGCAAUGAAAAGUUGAGUAGACAACCAUAAAAUAAAACCUCCAUGUCAGCAAAAAAGAACCAUAUGCAGCACCAUAAAAUUUCAAAGAGUAACAUCUACUUAUUUCAAUCACCAUCCAAGAUAAUAAAACUCCCAUUGUAUGAUAUAUGAGCUUGAUGAUUUAGCGCCAAAGAAAUCAAGAACUACCAAGCAACUUUGGUAAACCCAUUAAGACAUCAACAAAUUGUUCUUUCAGACAGCAAGUUCUUUAAAGUAUUAGCAAAAAGAAACAAUGAACCUUUUCAAUUAAUCAUUAUUCCAAAAUCAAAUUUUAUUUGUAAUAAUUGGUUUGUUUGGAAAGAACUGAAUGGUAAAGCUUACCUGAUUAUAUCCAUUUAUGUGUGUAUGAGAGAGAAAGAGAGGGGUAGCCAUAGUUAGCUCUUAAAAAAAAAAACCCAAAACAUCUAUCAAUUCCUUUUACACAUAAGAGUCAACAAGCUUGCAACUACAAGCCCUCCAGACCUGAUUACAUGUGUAGAAUUGAUUAGGUCGAUGGUAACAGCAACAAUUUUACUGUUUAGAUGAUUUCACUUUGUAACAUCAAUGGUAGCAGCAAGGAUUUUACAACUUGGAUGAAUACUGAAAAUCAAUGUAUAUCCAGGUAUGCACUCAAGACUGACAGAUCUGCUUAACAAUAAAAACCAAGCAGAAGCAAGAGGGUUAAAUCCAAAACUGAAAAAUCUCUAAUAACCCCACUUUUGUCAUGAUAUAUGAAGUAUACUUUAGUAACUUACAAAGUCAUGAGCAAAGGAUAAAUUGAACCUCUCUAUAUGAAAAGCUAUACAAGGAUAAAUUUGUAAUCACCAAUCUUUCUGGAAAACCGAGAAUGUUAAGUCGCUGGAGAGAGUUUUCAGGCUUAGAUGUGGAGUGAUUGAAUCUGCAAGAUUCUCCAUAUUUGCAAUGACCAAUUUGGUAAAACUACAACACUGGGUAAGCAUGUAAAUAUGGUAUAUGGAUAGACAACAGUGAAAGAAUAUAAUAUCAAUAAAGCAAGAAGCAGAUACUAGCAAUACAAGUUUGUAGGUUCAUUAGGCACAUUAAUUUACUCUGCAGGUUCCCAAACUAGCCCUACUGAUGGGAUGUGGAUCCAUAAACACUGACAUGGAGACUUCAUAUUGGGUCAUGAGACUCACAUGUCUCUUGCUACCCAAGACAUACAGUGGAUUGAUAUGGACACUAUCCUACCAACACUUUUUCUUCUUUUUUCCUGUCUGUUGCUAAGUAGAUUGAUUAUUCAAUCACAGUAACAAACAAGUUACUUUAUUGAUGAAAAACUCACUUGAAACCCUCUUUCGCAUGCCUUGGUUUGAAAAUUGUCAACAUCACGUACAAAUAAAGUCGGUGACCAAAUGUCUCACAAAAUUAAAGGAACCAGGUUAUAUUUCUGCCAUUUAUUGGUGGAAGCACCAAUAAAUCGAAAAUCGUGUCAUACUUCUGCACCUGUAAAGAUUAUAACCAAAUAAAAUAAGGAAAAAAACUAACCAAAAUAAGAAAAACAAAAAAGAUAAAUUGGGAAUCAUGUCUAGACGAAAGCUAUACUAAUUAGCCUUUGUAAGCUCGGAUGCUAUCUAUAGGACAAUCCAAAAAUACAUUAUAACAUGGCAUGGAAGGAAGUUGAGUUUGACCAAGUGCUGACUCCUUUAGCAUCUAUUUCUUCUACAUGCUUCAAGUCAUCAAUGGAGAAUCCUAUAAAUGAUGAAGCUGUGUAGACAUCUAUGUAUCUCUUCACCUACAUGAAUAUCUGAAAAAAAAAAAGAGUGGCUAGAAUGUAAUUUUAAAAACUUUAAUUUUAAAAUUUUAAAAUUUUAAAAUGUAUUCAAGUUAAAAUUUACUUGGCAAGAAUUGACACAAAAUACUUUUGCAUAAUUUUUCAUCCAUUCUUUGAAUUUUUGUUGACUGAGGCCUUCUUCAAGAUUCUUCCAUGUUCCAGCUACUAAACCAUAUAGCAUUGGAUUAACACGACCAAUGUUGUUUCAGUAAAAAAAAACAAAAAAGAAGUUUAAUUGGUGAAAUAAUAACUUCAUAUGUAACAAUGAUCAAAUUAUAUAAAAAGUUUAUAUCAUUCAUACCUUCCAUAAGGAAAGGAGAUCCCAAGUAAUGCUGACACUGUUGCAGCAAAAUCAAGUUGUAGAGUUUAAUUAAAUUAAGAUUUGCUUUGUAACAAAACCUGAAGAUCAUUAUAAAGAAAAUCCAAUACAUGAUAUGCAAUUAUGAAUUAAGAAUAUAGACAAUCAUACAUGUUCAAUAGAACUAACACAAACCUUCCUUCCAUCCUGUGAACACAAUACCAAAAUGAGUACUGUUAUAAUAAUAGUAGGGGUAAUGUUGUCAAAAACAAUUACUUAACAGAAUAAAUAGGAUAUAGUACCAUACCUAGUUUACAAUAUGAGGCAUCAAAAUCUGAUGGAAUAGGAAGUGAAGGCUUUUUCAAACUCAUUGCAAAAAUUGAUGUUUCAACUUGUAUAUAUAUAUAUAUAUAUAUAUAUAUAUGUGUGUGUGUGUGUGUGUGUGUGUGUGUGUGUGUGUUACUUUUUAAAUUAUCAUACCUUACAGUUUACACAAUGACAUUUUAAGAGAACUACAAUUACAAAUUUACAAUAUUACAUACCUCUUCAGGACUUCCACACCAUUUAUAGUUUGUCCAUGAUCACCCAUAACAAGAAGCAAAGUAUUUUCAUGGAGGUCACCUCUGCCAAAUUGGCUCUGCAGCACUUCCACAACCAUGAUCACCAUUUAUAGUUUACCAUCUUUACUCCAUAUUCUGACUUGCCCAUCAUAAGAACCUAUUCCAAGUAGUGUUCCAUACCCAUACAUUACAAAUUUCAUUUAUCAAUAAAAUCAAAAGCAUGAGAUGUAACAGUAAAAAGUAAAUAAAAAAUAACAAUGAAAAAAACUCACAUUCCAGUCAUGUGUGGUUUUGUGGUUACAUCUUUGCUCCUCUCGUUUGUUUGACCUCUGUAGUGCUUCAAAACAACAAUAUCUUUCGGUCCUUUUUGUAAAUUUGAGCUACAAUGUCCAUCAGCAAUUGUCCAAAUUCGAGCUUUCCAGACCUAAAUACAUAUAUCCAAUUCAGAAUCUAGAAUUUUGGCCUAUUUACUAUAAUAUUUUUGUUAAAAAUAAUAAAAAUAUCAUCAUAUAGGCACCUAGAUGCCAAAAGAGAGCGACCUGGAAUCAAUGUGAAUACAGAAACCUGAUAAAAUGGUUAAAAGAGUUGUAUUAAUUUAAUAUAAACCAAUGAAAACUUAUCUCAAAGCAUUUCAAAACCACUUUUUUUUCACUAUUAUCAGUAAAAAUAUUAUUUGAAGACCCUGUAUCAAAAUGAGAUUAUAUAAAAAGUUAAGAAUUUACACAGACCUCAGAAUUAUGACUUUCUAAAAUUGUCACAUCAGAGCCCAGAGCUCGGGAUAACAGAAGGCAAAGUUGUUGAGCCUUGUCAAUCUCCAUUGGUUAUGCUCCUAUUUCACAUUGGAAGGAACGUAUUGUUGAGGAAAAACAAUAUAUAAUAUUUAUAUCUCUAGAUUCAUAACCAUGGUAAAUCAGAUUUAUUUAACACAACAAAUGCAUAUUACCUUCUACAAUCACAUUUUCUUCAGGUUGAACUCAUAUCUUAUCAUCAUGAUCUUGUAGCUUCAAUUUCAUAUCUUAACACAACAUUCUCGUUUUUUUUUCUCUUUGAGUUUACCCUUUUCUCUUUCUUUAUCCCUUUGUAUCUUCUUUUUCUCCAACUCACAUUAUUUGUCACGUUGUUGCUUUUCCUUCUCUUUUUCUCUAUGUUCUUCUUGCUCAAAUCUCUUUUCUCUUUUCUCUGUGUUGUCUUUCAUGUUCUUUUUCUUUUUCUCUAGAAGAUUCAUGUUCAUGUUCUUUCUCUCUUUCAUUCACAUGUUUUUUCUCCCUUGCUCUAGCAUGUCCAUGGUCAUGUUCUUUGUUUUUUCUCUAGUUUUAGUUUUCUUAAGACUUUCUUUCUUCUCCUUAAUCAGUUUUUGUAGUUCAUAAACACCCUUUGUGAUAAGAUCCAUACGUUAUAUAAAAGAAAAAUUUUCAUCGAUGUCUGAAUCAUUCUGUAGACUCCAAUAGAUAGUUAUAUGAACAAAAAGGAUUACACGCAGUAAAAGGUAUAAAUAUUGUAAAUGUAUGCUUACCAUGUCAGGUUAGAUUAUAGUGCAAGAUACUGAAUUUCUCUAUGCAUAAACAUAACAAGAGGUUUUUAGGCUUAGGACGUUAAUAUAGAUUAUUCAAAAGGUAUAUUUAUUAUACAAUAGAAAUAGAAGGGGUAAAAAAAGUAAGCUUUUUAGGCUUCAUUCUAACAGAUACGCUAAAAUCACCAAAACCCUGAUUGAUUUCUACAAGGUCUAAAAAAUGAAGAGAAAAUAACUACACAAGGAGUACCGCGGGAACACUGAUCGUUCUGAGGCAUCGUUGAUGAACGAAACCCUAUAGGAGGGCUUUUUGGCUUAUGCGGUACAUAAUGAGGUUUUAUAAGAUUUUUUUUGGUGGAUUCAUCUAACUUGAUCUGUUUGUAAAGACUGGAGUACAAGUUUUGGCAUGAAAUCAAUUUUUAGUGAUCUAAUGAUGUUACAAAUCAUGGUAAAAGGUGGCGAAGAAACAUUGGAAAGAAACAAAACAUACCUUAAUCAGACCUGGGGCUUGUAAAUUUGAUCAUGGUAGUCUCCAACGAGGUUAGGUGAGCCCAAGGUCGUCAGCGAGGAGAAGAUAGCCUGAGGUUGUCGGAGGGGAAGUAACCCUAAGGUCUCCAAAGGAGAAAUGAGCCUGAGGUUUCCGACAAGGGGAAGAGAGACGAGGCGAGAUUGCCGAACGGAUUGAUUUUAGAGAUCACGUACAGAGCGAGUGUUUAGAGUGUUAUUAAAAAAAGCCCUAGAAUUAGUAGUCUCUGCGAUUUUGUGAUAAGAGACGCACGUGAUGGGGUAAAUAUAUAAAGCGACAUUUGUAGAGGACACUCGGUUAAGAUAAAUGCCCUCCGUGUUUGUAUUAUUUUUUUUAGACACUGAUUUUAGGGCACACAUAAAUGCGUGUCCUCUAUACUUCAAUUUUUGGAAAGCUAAAAUUAUUUUUAGGACCCACAGAAAAUGCGUAUCGUAAAUCAGUGCGUGUCAUUAAAUGAUUGUUUUCUAGUAGUGAUGGAUUCCAUAUAACAGCUGAAGGUAAUACGUUAAUCAGUGAUAACACAUUGGUAAAUUUGGAUGAACUUACUAACUACAAGGAAGCCAUGGCGGGCCCCGAAUCUGCUAAAUGGAAAGAGGCAAUGGACAACAAGAUUCAGUCCAUGUAUUACAAUCAAGUUUGGAACUUGGUUGACAUUGUACCGGGUCGUAAGACGGUCGGGUGUAAAUGGAUCUUCAAGAAGAAGACCGACAUGGAUGGGAAUGUGCAUACAUUCAAGGCAGGGCUGGUUGCGAAGGGAUUUACUCAAACCCCGAGGGUUGACUAUGAUGAUACCUUCUCACUAGUGGACAAGAUCAAGUCUAUUAGGGUUAUGUUGGCUAUUGUUGCAUUUCAUGAUUAUGAAAUUUGGCAGAUGGAUGUCAAAACCGCUUUCCUUAAUGGGAAGCUGGUUGAAGAUGUUUACAUGUGUCAGCUAGAAGGUUUGGUACAUGCUAAGUACCCUAAUAGAGUAUACAAGCUUGAUAAAUCCAUUUAUGGAUUAAAGCAAGCAUCUCGCAGAUGGAAUCUUUAUUUCGAUGAGAAAGUCAAAGAGUUUGGAUUUUCGAGAAGUGAGGAUGAGUCAUGUGUGUAUGUCAAGGCUAGUGGGAGUAUAGUUAGCUUUCUAGUUUUAUAUGUGGAUGACAUGCUGCUCAUAGGAAACGGCAUCCCGACCUUGCAAGAGGUUAAGUCUUGGCUUGGAAGUGUUUCUCUAUGAAGGAUGUAGGGGAAGCUGCUUGUAUUCUAAGGAUAAGGAUUUUGAGAAAUAGGGGUAGAAGACUGAUAGGACUCAGUCAAAGUGCGUACUUGGACAAGGUGUUGAAAUGUUUUAGCAUGGAGAAUUCCAAGAAGGGAGAGUUGUCUAUCCAAAGAAAUACCAAGCUGAGUAUGACUCAGAGUCCGAGUAGCGAUGUCAAGAUAGCGGAAAUGAGUAGAGUACCAUAUGCUUCCGCUGUUGGCUCGAUCAUGUACGCUAUGACAUGUACUCGCCCUGAUGUGGCUUUGGUUUUGAGCAUGGUAAACCGAUAUCAAGGGAACCCUGGUAGAGCUCACUGGAUAGCAGUAAAGAACAUUCUUAAGUACCUGCGAAGGAUUAAAACUGGUUCCUUACACUUGGUGGGAGUGAUGACUUGAGAGUGACAGGGUAUAGUGAUGCCAGUUUUCAGACCGACAGAGAUAACUUUUGCUCUCAGUCGGGCUGGAUAUUCACCUUAAAUGGAGGGGAAGUUACUUGGAAAAGUUCGAAGCAGGAGACUAUGGCUGAUUCCACGUGCAGAUCCCUGCAUAUAGCAGCGAGUGAAGCAUCGAAUGAGGCGAUAUGGUUGAAGAACUUCGUUACAGACCUUGGAAUUAUACCAGCCAUUAACAAGCCUAUGGAGAUUUUCUGUGAUCAUGAAGGAGCGGUUGCCUUAACUAAGGAACCAAGGGAUCAUGGUAGAUCUAGGCAUAUUGACAGAAAAUACCACUUCAUCAGACAUCGGGUAGAAGAAGGACUCCUUAUAGUAAAGAGGGUAUCGUCUGAAGAGAAUCUUGCGGAUCCCCUUACAAAGGGUCUGAGUAGUAUCAAGCAUUUGCAACAUGCGAGGAGCAUUGGUCUGAUGGAUGAUAUUACUUUUAGUGAUUAGAUAGUAUGUUUAGAAACUUGUAAUAGAUAAAUGUAAUUGAAAUUUGAUGAUUAAGUAAUUGAGAUUUAUUUAUAAGUAAAGUUUAGUGUCUUGUGUCGAUUGUUUAAUAUUGUUUCACUUUUGCAUAUUUUACUUCCAGAAUAAUUAGAUUGUUCAAAUUAUCCAGAGUCGAUCAUACUUUGGAAGUAAGUAAUGAGGUUAGACUGUCAUGAAUUGUUUGUAAAUUGUCUAAGUUGAAAGACCCCAACUUUCAUAUGAAGAAACAUUAUUACUCCAAAACAUGCUACAUGCAUAUUUAUUAAACAAUAUCUUACAUUGAUAACGUUAUUACAAAAGACUGAAUACAAACCGACUAUGUUUUAAUAUUUUACAUAACUACCCAGGAUAUUGUAAUUUUAUACAAACAUAAACCGAAGUACAAAAGUAAUAAUAAAAACUAUUCUAAUUCUUCCGACAGUACAUAACUAUACUGGUUGCUUAUUGCCUGCAAUUGUUAAACAUUGAGUGGGGUAAGCAGUGACGCUUAGUGAGUUCAAUAAUAGAUNAUAUAUAUAUGUAUACACACACACACACACAUAUAUAUAUAUAUAUAUGUAUACACACACUUCAGUAUGGCAGAAGCAAAGAGGAACAAGGAACAACAAAGGUAUAUGUGAAUCAUGCGGCAAGCUUUCCAUAUCAAUCGAUGAUUUGAUUCAUUGAUAAACAAUCAGUGAGAUAUAACAAUUUCAAUACUUGAUAUACAUCAAUAACAUUUCAGCGCAAAUGGCACAGAAGACAUACAAUUUUUGAUUAAACAUUUUGGUAGAUUUCAGGCUUUCAGCCCUGUCUAACCUUCUACCAAUGCCAUAGAAUAGAAGUCAUUCUCUUACCAGACAUGCUCUACAUAGCCAGAGGCUACAUACCAAUACCAUCGUUAAUCUAAGUCCUUUCAUUGAUCACAUGGUAAAAGGUAUAACUUUGCUAUCAAAAUAGCUGAAAUAAUAACAUGGAAAAACACAUGGCACAUAUAACACAUAACAUACAAUUGUUCCUAUGUAUUGAACUCACCGUGAAAUAAACCAAAGGAAUAAAUGAUAAUUCGGGCAGCACCUCGGCUCUAAAUAUGACUUUCUGUGAUGAAACCCGGGAUUUUAGUUGAAAACCGGCCUUACACGGGCAGAGUUUCGACUUUAAAAUAUAAUUUUCUCGGGAACUUCGGACCGUCGGGACUUGCUUCGGGUGUCGGGGAUGACACCGGGACUUUGGGGGGUGAAAAGUGUGUAAAAGGGUGAAAGAGGGUGUGAAAGUGUCAAUUAUGUAAACAUAAUACGGCUGCCCUCACAUGCCUUAUAUAGGGUGCAAAGCACCUUACUACGCGGGGCGUAGUCUCGCUGUACGCGGGGCGUACGAGGCUACGUGUCUGAUUCUCGGAAGGGAAGGCACGUGGCUCGGACGUGUCUAAUACGUAGCUCGCAUGCGAAGACCGGAAACGUGGUUGAUACGAGGCCCUUCCAGGCGAACGCUGGGCGUAGCUCUUGUACGUAGGGCGUACCUCCGCGGGCUAGCCUUGAUAUUUGUGACAAAAACUUGUAAAAUUCAUAUCUUUUGCAUAUGAACUCCAUUUUUAACGUUCUUUAUAUCCAUGUGUAGGUGAAAUUAUGCUCUACAACUUUCGUGUAGAUUCCUUCAGCAAAUUUUGACUUUAUUUUUAUUACUAUAUUUUUAACAUGUCGGGACAGGAUAAGACCGUUAAAAAUUUAUAACUUCUUCAUCCGAUGUCCGUUUUGUCUGUCUUUUUACCGUUGUACUACUAUUGAUGAGACCUAUGUUUGUUAAAUAGGUUGCGUCGGCUAAAAAUCACUCGAUCUUUAUUUCGAGUUUUUAGCUGUGUACUGCUAUAACGAAACUUAGAAAAAUCAUAACCUCUUCAUACGAAGUCAGAUUUGGACGUUCUUUUUAUGGAAAUUCUUGGUUUAACGUAUACUAAGACUUUCAUUUAGAUCACUAAGGCUAAAAAGUAGCUAAUCGAAAACUCACUUUUUAUGUCAUUGGCGUCGUGCCGCUUCUGUCGUGAAUCUUCGACUGGUCAUAACUUUUUCGUUAUAACUCGGAUUUCGAUGAGGUUUUCAUCUAAAUGUUUCUAACGAAAUUAUCUACAAUUUUCAAUAAUAAAAUUUUACUUAUUUCAAAUUUUAUAUUUUCGUUAAAUUUUAAUAUUUUCCUAUUGAUUGGAAUCUCAUAAGACUUCCAAUAUCCUCUGAGUGAUUCUAAACAUAGUUUUACUUCAAUUCUAGUAAAAACUAUCUGUUAGAACUCAAUACUCAAUAUCACAUAAUAUUUCAUAAUAUUAUUCAUUAAAAAACAUGAUUUCAAAACGUGUAUGUUACAUAAGUGCUUAGACAUAGCAAAGGGUUGCUGCAACAUUCAUGAGUACUUCUGAAAUAAGAUUUGAGUAUUGGAUUAAACCCACGCUCACAUGAAUCACUUCAUGCAAUUUAUCACGAGUGAUUGUGAGAUGAUAAUAUCAUAUAGUCUUUAAACCAAGAUAUAUGAGUUGUUGUUUACAAGUUGGUUGUGCAGUGAUAAUGCGUAGACGCAUCAAUAACUUGAUGUUAUAAAAUGUGUUGUUGUGUAUGAUUUGACGAGCAAAUAGUACAAGCAUAUAAGUUAAAGUUAUCUGUUCCUUUUAUCCUAAGAGGGUAAAAGCGAUAUCUUGGGCCCCUCGAUGAUUUUGUGUUGACUUAUGUGUCGGGCCCGGUCAGGAGUGAAUUGAUGUGUUCAACGAAGUUCUAUGUCAAACAAAUCAGAAAUCGGGAAACAAACUGUUGGACAUGAAGAAUGAUCAUAUUCCAUGUCUUUGUCCACAUGACAUCUUGCAGAAUGGAGGAUUAUAUGAUCCCUUAUCUAAAGGACACGUCAUUGACUAGGUCAGAGUUCGACAACGGCUUUUGAGAGCUACGAUUGCUAAUCAGAUUUUGAAGUUGUACUUGCGGUUAUAGCUAUUAGACUUAUCCAAGUAAGAGACUACUUGAUUAGGUGUCUAAGCCCAUAACUAUAAUUGGUAUGUACUUGACUCGAUACUAGCAUGGUCCUUUUGGGUUGCCUUAACCAUAGCAAUUGAUAGGAUGAAUAAUAGAGAAAGAGGUUAAUAAAUGAUUUAUUAAUAUAUUAUAAGAAUAAUAUAUUAAUUGGGAAAUAAUAUUAUUUAAUUAGUAUUCAUGAGAAAUUAAUUUGAUGAUCAAUAGAGAUUGAUUAAAUAUAAGGGUGUUGAUAUUGCAAUUUAGCGAUUGUUGCAAGUUAGGCUAUUGGACUCCUAAGGAAAGGAGUUAACGAAAACUCUAUGGGAAGACCACAUAGUGUUCGUCCAUAAGGCUUUCUAGAAGGAUCCUAUGGACCACUUAUGGCCUAAGCAGUCAGAUUAGGGUUUUACCUGGAAACCCUAGUAGCACAACUAUAUAAAGACCCCUUGGCUAGUUGAAAUCGGCUCCUAUGCAUUCUUAGAGAACCCUGGCCGAUUUUCAUAGCCUCCAUCCUCUCUCUCUUGUUCAUCCAUUGCUAGUUGGUGUUUGUGACUCCAUUAGAGGUGCAACAAUUGAGGCACUAAGCUCUUAAAGGUCAAGAUCUACAAUCAACGAAGAAAAGGUAUUCUUCUAACUAUGUUUAGUUAUCAAUUUCGAAAAUUGUAUGCUAGAUUAGGGUUUUUCUUUGGAUAACUUAAUUUGUAUGUAUAACUUGAGAAAAACAUAGAUCCAAAGCAAUUAGGGUUGCAUGUGCACCAUAGGAAUGUUGUAAUGCUCAUAGCCCAACAGUAUGGGCCCAUACUACUGAAAGCAUAGUACCCGUACACGUAUCAAGGAAGUCAUCAACCCUAGGGUUUGGGAAUUGGUUCCCCUAGUUUUAUGUGUGCUUUGUCUGAUAUCUCCCAGGUUUAUUAUCGAGUAUGGAAAGUAUGAGAUGAUUUGAGUCUAGAUCUGGAUCAGGAUCAAGAGCAAAUGGCCAAGAUGGGCCAACAUUGGCUAAGGACCAUGUCAGGGAGAUCACUCAUGAGGAAGUUAUUUCUUUUGUUUCGGGGCAUAUUCUGGAGCUAGUUGAGUCUGUUAAGGCCGCUAUGAUGGAGUACUUUGAUGACCGAUAUGCUACACUUUCUGAGGUUGUUGUUGUUGCAGCCAUUGCAGAUGUUGUUGCCUUUGGGGAUCAAGGAGAGAGAGAUUUCCAGUAUCGGGACUUCGAUUGUCUGAAGCCCCGGAGUUUGAUGGGGUCUUAGACCUGAUUGUUGUGAUGAGAUGGCUGUCUGACGUGGAGGGUUGUUUCUUCACAUGUUCUGGUCCAAAUGACCAGAAGGUUAAGUGUGCCUAAACCUUCUCAGGUUGGGGUAAGGGAUUGGUGGAGACCGGUGACUAGUUCUUCUACUCCUGAGUAAAGGGACACGAUGACCUUGAAAUAGUUCUCAGAGAUGUUCCAUGCAAGGUAUGUUACCCUAGUACAGAGGGAGAGACUGGACCAGGUGUACCUAGAUCUAAGACAGACGAUCGAGUCGGUGAAGAAGAUCACCAAGAUGUCCACUGAGAGGGCCUUGUUGAGUAAUGAGUUUGCUGCUACAGAGCAAGCUCAUGUGACUCGGUAUUUGAGCAUGAUCAAGAUGGAUAUUCGACAGUUUGUGUCCAUCCAACGCUAUGGCUCUCUCGUAGAGCUUCAGGAUGCCAUGAGGAGGCGAGAGAUUGAGAUAGAGACCCAGGUGCGGGAGCAGUGUCAGGCUCCAGAUCAGUCCCAACCUGCAGUAAAGCAGUUCGAGUCCAUUGACCAGAGAUCAGGAUCAGUUGAAGGGAGACGUAGACCUGUUGCAUGUCGCCGGUGUGGCAAGGAGGGUCAUUUUGGAAGAGACUGCAGGCGGAGUGUGCGAGUUUGUUUUCAAUGUGGUCAGGAUGGCCACAUCAGGGAUCAUUGUCCUUUUCCUAGUGAGGUGCUGGAUCCUACGCCUUAGCUUGGCAGUUACCCGAUGGUCAUCAGGGGACCGCCGGGGUCCCGAGGACCGAGAUUUUAGUUAGCAGUUCUCCUAUUUAGCAAUUGUGGUAGUAUUGGUAUCUAUCUGUCAUUUUUGUUGUGUUUCAAGGUUCAAUUAAAAUUUUGGAUGAUCAGUUAAAUGGAAUUAUCUCAUUUAUCUUGUUCCAGUUGAUCUCUUGUUAUGUAUGGAUUAAUUAUCUUUGGCAUCGAUUGCAUGCGAGUUGAAAUGUACGAUUGUUGUGUGAAAUCAGAUUCUCCUAUGUAUGUGGAUAUCAAUGGUUGAGAUCAAGUAGUAGAGUUCAAGUUAGUCGGGUAUCGAAGGACUAUGAAGUUCUCAGUCUCUAGUAUAUUUCAAGUGGGGGAGAUUGGAUCCUUGCAGAAGGAAGACUCUUAGCCAAGAUUCGAUACUCUUUUGGAUUUCUCUAGGUUCUAGAUUUCUGCACAAUUGAUAACUCUUCUGGUUUUGCGAUAAGAUCAUCAUCAGUUGUUGGAAUUUCCCUUUAAUUCGUGUUAGUAUUGGUUGUGAUGACAUCUGUAGGGCCCUUGUGCUUCGAUCCGAAGGUUUUAGUAGCUCAGGUUGAGGGUUAGCGUGUUUUUUAUCGUUUGAUCAGGGGUGAACCCCAGUGUUAAUAGUGGGUAGCUUAGCUGGGCAAUCGGAGCAAAGUAAGAGUGUGGUUUAGUUCAACAUGAGAACAAUUAGUUUUCAUUACGGUGAUGCCUUUUUGGUGUGGGAUUAGAGUGUCGACGUUGGGCCGAGAAGUUCAAAGAUCGAUUGAUUCUGCGGAUUUUGGUUCAUCGUGGUUGUUGUGGGGGAGUGCAUCAUGAAGUAGAAGCAUGAGCUGAUUUCGAGGACGAAAUCUAAUUUAAGUGGGGGAGAAUUGUAACACUCCAUUAAAAAUAAAUAAAUAAUAAUAAUAAAUUAAAUAAAAAUAAAUAAAUAAACAAAUAAAUAAUCCAUAAAACCCAGAGAUGUAUUUUAUAUUUUAUUUUAUUUUAGCCUUAAAUACGUAAUAAUUUAUUAGUGUUAUCCAUAGGAGUUGAAAGUUAUAUUUUCUUGAUGUUAAGGGUUAAAUGGUAACCUAUGGACUUGUAUUUUAUAGCUUUUUAGAAGCACGGGGCUAAAGAGUAAAAUAUGGACUUAAUUUGAAAAGAAAUUAUAGAGGCAGGGACCAUUCUCGUUAAAAUGUGACCAAAAAGUUAGGCUAACCCUUCUCUAACUCUUGGAAAGGGUGAAAGACCAUUUUACCCAUCUAUGGUCUCCAUAAUUCGUGUCUUGACCAAACCCUAAAAGUUAACGGAAGUCAACACUCGUGUUAACACCCCAUGUUGACCCAACUCGUUGAGUGCAUUUAAGCGACUCGUCGAGUUCAUUCAUUUUUUCUGAAGUAUCGGGAAAAUCCAACUCAACUCGUCGAGUUGUCUCACCAACUCGCCGAGUUUUAACGCAUCCAGACUAUCGGGGAAAACCCUAGCCAACUUGUCGAGUUGACUCAUCAACUCGUUGAGUCCCUUCAGUUUAUUCUCUCAUUCAGAAGUUGUUAAGAAGAACUAAGGCCUCAUACUCUAUAUAUAGCCUUCUAAGGCUGAAGUAUUACAUAAAGCUGCAAGCUUUACGUCGAUGCAUGACAUCUAGGGCUCAAAAUGCCAAAACAAGCUAUAUAGAGGAUUUAAUGCAUGAAAGUUGGCCAAUAGCUUGAUAAAUCUUGAAACUUUAGGCCCAAGGAACCUCAUGUUGGAUUAGUGUCUAAGUCAAUAACUAUAAUUGGUAUAUACUUGACCCGACCCGGCAUGGUCCAUUUGGGUUGCAUGGCAUCGGAACAUUUGGGUAGACCUUUUAAUGAGAAGAAGAUAUUUGUGACAUACUAAUAUAUUAUUAUUUCUAAUAUAUUAAUAUGAGAUCAUAUUAGUAUUGACCAAGAAUUAAUUUGGAAUAAAUUUAGUGAUCAAAAAGAGACUAAUUAAAUAUAUGGGGAUUGAUUGUGUAAAUCAUUGAUUCUUAUAUAUGUGGGCUUAUAAUCAAUGAUUCCUUAUGUUGGGUUUAACCCAUGUGGUGGCCCAUGGAUACUCCAUGGAGGUUAAAACCCAUGGAGCAUAAGGAAUGCGUAAAGUCAUAGAUUACAUGGUGUAACCCUAAUAGCCACACUAUAUAAAGACCCCAUUGGUUGGAGAAAUUGGCACUAGUGCAUAAUAUAGAGGGCAAGCCAAUUUCUAUGAACUCACAUCUUCUCUCAUGGUUAUUCCAAAUUUUCAUGGUGUUGUGUGAACUAUUUGAGGUGUCACAUUUGGGGCACUAGGCUCUUGAGCUCCAUGGAAUCAAGCACCAACAAAGAGGUAUGUAUUCUACUAGNUAUAUUAAUUGUACUUCAUAAUAUGCUAGUUAGGAUAAUACCUUGGAAAAUUGAUAUUUUCAUGUAUAAUAGAGAAAACAUAGAUCCAAGGUAUUUAGGGUUGCAUGUACACCAUAAGAGUGUUAAAAUGCUCAUAACCCAAUAGUGGUAUAAGAGCCUAGGGUUGUUUUCACUUAUACUUGAUGAAAACUACUGAAAAAACAAAGAAUUGUGCUGUCUGGACAGGGGACUCGGCGAGUCCAUGAAGGGACUCGAUGAGUCCAAGGCAAAGUCCAUCCAACUUGCCGAGUUGGUUCAUGCACUCGAUGAGUUGGACCCCCAAACAGCAUAUCUUUGAGUUUUGGUGCUGGAAUUGGUCUAGAAUCAUUACCUUUGAUUGUUUUGGAGUUAUAAUACCUGUUUUAAAUGUAGUAAUGAUUAUGUUAAACCAAUUUCAAUUCUAUAAUCAAAGUUUCAAGUUUAUAUAUGUUUAUGUAAUUCUUGAAAAAUUGUUGAUUUAUGAAUGUUCAUGCUUGUGAAUUUUAGUUAGAUCAUACGAAUUAUGUGCAAAUUGUUUUGUUAGUAUAAUUCUUGAUCUUAAUGAAAUUGUAUGGACUCCAUAACUAGUCCUCAAGUUAUGGAUCACCAAAAGUUUUUUUGUGUUACCUUGUUUAUGAGUUAAUUUAGAUUAAUAAAAAAAUUAUGUGUUAGUUGUUUUCAAUCCAUAUUGAUCUAAAAGAAGUUCAUAAACUAUGUUUUUGUAACUUGUCUUCAAGUUAUAUGAAAAUUCAUAUUUAUGAAUCUUAAAACUCAUAAUUAUUGCCAAAGGUUACACAAAAUGAAGAGUCUUAUUCAUUAAAUUGUUUUAUGAGUCCAUAACUUGUCCUCAAGUUAUGGAUAUUUAAGAGUCACUUCUUUAAAAGUGUUAUUAAAGAAUAAGGAGUUACAUAAAAUGAAGAGUCUUCAUUUUAAUGUACAUUAAACUCAUAAGUUAUGAAUAUGAAAGGUUUUGAAUAGUUUCAAAACUUGCCCUCAAGUUUUGGAGUUUGUAAAGUCUCACACACAUUAAUGCUUUAAUUCCAAACUCUAAAAUUUUAAAAGUUAAAAUUCAAACUUUAUGGAUUUCAUUAAAUCAAUUAAAGUGUUUAAUUAAAAGAGUUAAUAGUUCCAUAAAGACAUGUUUCAAGUUUAAUUAAAUUAAGAGUAUAGUUUAAUUAAUAAGAUUAAACCACCAAGUGUUUUAAUUGUAUAAAAUACACUCUUAUACUAUUAUAAUAUUAAAAGUUAAUACUUAUAUAUAUAUAUAUANNNNNNNNNNNNNNNNNNNNNNNNNNNNNNNNNNNNNNNNNNNNNNNNNNNNNNNNNNNNNNNNNNNNNNNNNNNNNNNNNNNNNNNNNNNNNNNNNNNNNNNNNNNNNNNNNNNNNNNNNNNNNNNNNNNNNNNNNNNNNNNNNNNNNNNNNNNNNNNNNNNNNNNNNNNNNNNNNNNNNNNNNNNNNNNNNNNNNNNNNNNNNNNNNNNNNNNUACAAGUUAAAAAUUCAACCCUAUACUAUUAUAUAUUAUUACAAGCUUUAUAUAUGUAUAUAUAUAUAUAUGUAUAUGUAUAUAUAUAUAUAUAUAUAUAUAUAUAUAUAUAUAUAUGUAUAUAUAUAUGUAUGUAUGUAUGUAUGUAUAAGAGUGAAGUCAAUCUUAGCGUUAGUAGGCCUCAAUCACAAAGCUAGUCUCUAGGGGGGGUAUAAGGUUACUACCUAUAAAAUGACGGUUUAAUGAGUGUCCACUCUCACUCACCGCUUCAUUGACUGGUGGAGGGUCGUUAGCCGAACGGGUAGAAUAUGACUAUAAUUCUCCCUUCAUUAAAAGUAUAAUGAUAAAUACUAAGUAACUAAACACUUAUAAAUUCCCAAUCUUAGUAACUUAGGAAAAUGUGAAAAGGUGCUAACCCAUGAAAUUGCACUUUGCACCUUGUAAAGUUGUUAGUGGAUCAUGUGUGGUUAACCGGCACACUAACCUGGGACUGACCAAGUGUGGUAAAGGGUAACUUAAAUUUAUCAUAGAUCGGUGGAGUGUGUGUGGUUAACCGGCACAUCGAUUAGGUGAUAAAUAUUAAGGGUACCAAGUAUAUUUUCAUGGUUAUUCACACCUUUGUUUGUGAUUUCGGCAUCCUAGUCACAAACUUGAGAGGGCACAAUCGAGAUUCAAAUAUGCCAUUGAAAGUUCAAUGUAUCUCAAAAUAUCUAGGAGUUUCAAAUCCAAUUAAAACUUAAUUAUAUUUUGUUUUUCAUGGUGGAAAUUGGUAAAUCGUCAUUUAGCUACCUUCAACUAUUUUAUAACUCGGAUUACAACAUCCCUCUUCCAAAUAUAAGUAGGUUGUUGGGUCCUAGCCUUAAUAUUUCAUAUUGGGUAUUAUAUUAAGGACUUUAAAUCAACUAACUUGAAUUUCUCCCUUAUAGAUGUCUCUUUCAGACAACUAUGGUCUUCCUAAAUUUUUAGGAACAAGCUUCCUAAUGAAGAUGAUAUCCCAAAUGGCAACCAUGGUGAAAGAUCAAUCCCUUUGUUGUGCAUUAGUGGGACUGGAAAUCAUACUUCAUUUCCUCCACCUCCUCCAAUAAAUCUCCUUAUCCCACAAGUUUCAAGACUUGAUAAGUUCUAAGUCACUCAAUCCUUAUUGGCAAGAAAAGUCUAUAUGUCCUUACAUCUUAGAGGUUAAGUCACAUAUUGACAAGCCGGUGUAGUCGGGUGUCGAAGUCUCGAGGUAGCUGGCUGUUGACUUGGUUCUUCAGUCACUCACUGAUGAGAAAUCACGACAUGACCCUUAAUGAUCUUACCUAUUUGCUUGAUGAUGCUGAAUCAGAAAUGAUUUGGAGCAUUGGUAAAGCAAAUUAGACUGGAAGAUCCACUUCACAAACCUAUUUGGACAAUGACAAUGGUGACACUGGAAGUCUAGAAAAACUUUCUCUUCCCAAUUCAAAGGGAUCGGCCAUGGUCAAGUCGUUUGACCUAAUAGUAAGGAGAAAUUUGAAGUCUGUGAUAUUCCCAUACACCAUUUCCAAAGAGUCCAUAUAUUUCUUUUGCCAAUAAAAGGGACACUGGUUCCGAAGCUGCCCAAUUUAUUUGGAAUAUCAUAACGAAGGUAAAGUAAAAAAAGUUUGACUUUGCUUCGGGUAAACUCUAUUAAGUCUCUUUUUGAUAUUCUUAAUACAUGAUGUAAUGUAAUUACAUUUUGAAGUUUUGGAAGAAUCAAAUGAAGCUUAAAGUAUGAUUAUGUGGAUUCUGAUCGCGAAGAUGGAUUUCAAUCGCAUGGUCCAAUGAUCAGAAUUUUGAGCUGCUGCAUAAGAGUUAUGAUAUAUAUUGCUUAGGAAUAGACAAAAAAUGUUUUUCAUAUGUAUUUGCAUUGUAAGGAUAAGUUUUUUCCGCAAGUUUUAAAAUAAAAGAAAAUUUUUGUUUUAUUUAUUUUAAGUAUCCUUACAAUGACAUUUGUGAAAAAAUUGUUGUUUAUAUGUUUCCAUUGAUAAGCAUUAUUGGUAAAUGGAUUUGAUUCUUUCAUUUGUGGUAGUAUCAUAAUUUACCAAAUAAGGAAAGAUUCUCAUCACCCAGGGUUCAGUUGGAUAGAAACUUGGAAUCAUGCAACUUGUAUUGUAUGAUGAAUGAGAAAUUUUCAUCAUUGGGAAAUUAAGACUAAUUCCUUGUUCACAUGUACAUGUGAGUCAGUAAAAGGACUCAAGGAUUGGGUACACUUGGGUGUGCGCUGAUCAGGUCCACCACAAAGACUAUUCCUCAUGAUUUACGAAAGUUUAGUAAAUAUGGUUAUGCUUACAAGUUUAAGAGUAAUUAUGAAACAUUGGAAAGGUUUCAAUGUAUGACAGAACGGAUAAGAAGAAUCAAAUAAGGCAGGAAGAUAAAAGUUUCUCCAAUAUGAAGAGAUGGGAGAGUACUUGAGCAUCUUGUUUUAUGAUUAUCUUAGUGAUUAUGAAACCAUAUCACAAUUGAUCCUCUAAGGACACCUUAGUUCAUUUGUUUGGCUAAGGAGAGGAAUCAUGAAUUGUUGAAAUGGUUAAAUCAAAAGACAAAUCAUACUUCGUUCCAAAAUCAAAUCUUAGAGUCAUACUCCAAGACUGAGCCUUGAGUGACAUAAUCUUAAGAAAUGUUUAAAAAACUUGUCAAAUGUAGAGUAAAGUGUUUUCUUACUCUUGUACAUUUGAAAUUGGUAAGUUGUGAUGUUUUGGAUAAAAUAAAGACCAACUAAGGCCAAUUGUGUGAAUUGUUUGUCUUGAUUAGAAUCUACACUAUCUCUUAAAUAUUUGGCAAGAGAGUCUUAUAUGUCAAGAGGACAAUGGGGGUCUAAAAGAUCCUGAAAUAGUUUGAAGAACUAAUCAAUAGUAUUGUUAAUCACUAGCCCACGACCUUCAGUCCAUAUGUGUUUGGAUUUGCCACUAACCUUGUCUUGUGAUUAUGAUUAUGACAAAUUCACAUGGAUGGGAACACUUACACCACAUAAAAUCUAAGUGUCAUAAGGUUUCUCUCUGAUUCAUGAAAAUGAUGGUGAUGAAACGCUUUCACUAAGUAGAUUUUAAGUAGAUAGCAAUUGUGAUAUUUGCAUUCUCAAAGUCGUUAGUGGAGCGUGUGUGGUUAACUGGCACACUAACAUGGACUUGUGAGAAAUGGCAAAGGUCUAAACAAUUGAGACUAUGAUUAUGACAUCCAUUUUCAUAGUUCUGAAGUUUUUUAGACACACAUGUGUGCUAUCUAAGGAAAGGUGUAUGAUUUUGAUAAAGUUUUAUCAAAGCAUCUUGUAUCAGAAAUCUGAACUUUGGUAAGGAAGUCAAUAAAGUAUUGUACGUUUUUCAAGAAGUCCAGCUGAUUUCUGAGUACAUGUCAAAGCUAGUGGGAGCAUAAGUGUUAUGCUAGUAAGAUAAUAAUCAUUAUGCUAGUGGGAGCAUGAUGAUUAUAGUUAGCAAUGUUAAUUAUUGACAACAAAAUUUUCAAUUCUCUUUGAAAAGUUGUUUUUCUAUAAUUAAGGGAGAUGAUUUUAUACUUCAUUCCAAUUCUACAAGAUUAGAUUGAGAUUUUAAUGAACUUUAGUCAAGGAUAUAUAUGAAUGUUAUGUUGGAAUGGUUCAACAUAAGGAAAUUCUAUAUAUGUUGCUUUUCCAAAAUUCGAUUAUGAUUACGGCCUACCUCUUCAAAGUUUGAAUUAUCUGAACAUGGCAAAUAAAUUUUUUUAUAGCAAAAGAAUGGUAAAGUAUCAUGUCUUUAUGUAAGACAUCAUGAAUUGUGUCCCAUAUGCUUCAGGCAUAGGAUCGAUUACAUGUGCUAUAGUAUUCAUCCAUUCUAAAUUUUCCUAAUGCUUAGGGCAUUAAGAAGGAAAAAGGGAUUAGAACUGGAUAUGACUAAAAUGAUUAAGCAAUUGUCGAGGACAACUUGAGGCUUACCAAAGAUUGGUUACUUAUAGACAAUUGGAAGUAUAUAGUAAGGACCAUAUUGACAUAUUUUGAAAAGAGACAACUCUUGUUCAGAAGUGAUAGUCAAAAUGGUAAUGUGGAAUUGUUUCCAUAGGUGGAAGUUAUUCUUUGAAUCUGUGAAAGAUUAGAAAACUUAAUGCAAAGAAGGAUGUUCAAAGGAAUGUACUUUGAAUUUGAGAUUUCAUUUCCAUGGGAUUGCUUUCCAUUGGAGUACUCUGUAAUAUAUGUUGCCAAGUCUUUGUGACUUUGUGCAUAAUCAUUACAAGGGGAUCAUUGCAUAUAAGUUUAGAAUCUAAUAGAUUAUAGUGAAUGGGAAGAGUUUGGUAUUCUUACAUUUACAAUAAGGAUUGGAAUUAUGAAAUAAGCAUGAUUGAAAUGAUGUCAAUCGAUCUGUUCUAGAAAGAGAGGACCAUAUGUAAACAUAGUAUGCAUACUUGGAGUAUGGCAUAGCUGUUGUUUAGACAAACAUAGUGUGCAUGCUUGGAGCAUGGCAUCACUACUGUUUUAAUUCAAGCAUUAAGUUGAUUAAUCGAAACAUGAAUAAUGAGUAAUCUAUAUGGUUCUUAGAUAAAAUAUGUUUUAUUUACACUCAAAGUGUUGAGGCCAUACAUGAUUAGUAUUAUUUUUGUGUUUUACUUUGCAUGUUUUGACUUCUAGAAUAACUAGUUCAUUCUUCCCGAAUGACUAAGUUAUUCAAACCAUCCACAGUCGGUCAUAUGUUGGAAGUAGAUAUGAAUCAAGACUGUCAUGAAUCUAGCUUGUAAGAUUUGUCUAAUGUGAAUUAGACAUAGAAAUGGUUGCUACAACAUUCAUGACUGCUCAUAAGUUCUGAGUAUUGGAUUAAACCCACACUCAUUUGAAUCAAUUCAUGGAUUUUAUCAUGAGUGAAUCAUGAGAUGAUAAUAUCUUAUACUCUUCAAACCUAGAGAUAUGAGUUGUUGACUAUGAGUUGGUUAUACAUUGAUUGCACGAAAACGCAUUGGUAACUCGAUGUUAUAAAAUGUGCCUUUGUGUAUAAUUCAACAAGUAGUUAGUACAAGCAUAUGAGUCAAAGUUUAUCCAUUCCUUUUACCCUUAAUGGGAUAAAAGCGAUAUAUGUGGGCCCCUCGAUGAUUUAGUGAUGGCACCCAUAAGUGCUUGGCCAAGCCUGGACUGAUUUAAUUUGUUCAAUUAGUCGGUCGUCAUAAAUCAGACAUCGGGAAACAACAAAUGGACAGAGAGAAUGAUUAUAAUCCAUGUCUCAGUCCAUAUGAUAUCUAAAAUGCAGGAAUAUAUGAUCACUUAUCUAAUGGACAUGUCAUUGAUUUGUUCAGAGUUUGCCAGUAGCUUUUAAGAACUACGAUUGUCGGUCAUGUUGUGAAGUUAUACUUGCAAUAAUAGUUAUUAGACUUAUCCAAGUGGGAGACUGUUGGAUUAGUGUCUAAGUCCAUAACUAUAAUUGGUAUAUACUUGACCCGACCCGGCAUGGUCCAUUUGGGUUGCAUGGCAUCGGAACAUUUGGGUAGACCUUUUAAUGAGAAGAAGAUAUUUGUGACAUAUUAAUAUACUAUAGGUUCUACUAUAUUAAUAUGAGAUCAUAUUAGUAUUGAUCAAUAAUUAAUUUAGUGAUCAAAAAGAGACUAAUUAAAUAUAUGGGGAUUGAUUGUGUAAAUCAUUGAUUCUUAUAUAUGUGGGCUUAUGAUCCAUGAUUCCUUAUGUUGGGUUUAACCCUUGUGGUGGCCCAUGGAUCCUCCAUGGAGGUUAAAACCCAUGGAGCAUAAGGAAUAGGUAAAGUUAUAGGUUACAUGGUGUAACCCUAAUAGCCACACUAUAUAAAGACCCCAUUGGUUGGAGAAAUUGGCACUAGUGCAUAAUAUAGAGGGCAAGCCAAUUUCUAUGAACUCAUAUCUUCUCUCAUGGUUAUUCCAAAUGUUCAUGGUGUUGUGUGAACCAUUUGAGGUGUCACAUUUGGGGCACUAGGCUCUUGAGCUCCAUGGAAUCAAUUACCAACAAAUUGGUAUGUAAUUCUUCUAGUUUUAUAUUACUUGUACUUCAUAAUAUGCUAGUUAGGAUAAUACCUUGGAAAAUUGAUAUUUGCAUGUAUAAUAGAGAAAACAUAGAUCCAAGGUAUUUAGGGUUGCAUGUACACCAUAAGAGUGUUAGAAUGCUCAUAAGCCAACACCUCAUACUGUCCAGAUCUGAAGUUUCAACUCCAUGUCAAGAUCAACAAUUUAAGGACCUAAAGAAAGAUGGAAAAAGGGCCAUAAACUCCCAAGUGAAGAGAUCUAACCAAACAAUGAUCAAGGUGAUAGCUUUUUACCUCCAAUUAGCAUCUAACACUAAAAGAACAAUGGAUCCACGGGACUUCAUACUGUCCAGAUCUGAAGUCUCAACUCCAUGGCAAGAUCAACAACUUAAGGACCCAAAGAAAGAUGGAAAAAGGGCCAUAAACUCCCUAGUGAAGAGAUCUAACCAAAAAAUGAUCAAGGUGAUAUAUUUUUACCUCCAAUUAGAAGCUAACACCGAAAGAACAUUGGAUCCAAGGGUUCCUUCUCGCUCUAAGCCUUUUGCUCCUCAAUCUUCUUCCAAAAAUGCACAAGAACAUACAAUAUUAGCCUCUCUUUCUCUCACAGAUGGAUAUAGCUCGAUUAGGGUUUCUCUCAAUGUGUCAAGGUGAUAAGGGAAGCGGAAAUGAAGGCUUAAGGUCCUUUAAAUAAAGUACAAACCCUAAAAUUAGGGUUUUCACACUCAGCUCCUACUCGUCGAGUUGGGGUCCUCCUACUCGUUGAGUUAGGGUCCUCUAAUUCAUCGAGUAGACUCUAAAAUCACGUGGCCAUUAAAACUCUCUACUCGGAGAGGUCGUGCCUCCAACUCAUCAAGUUGCCUUAACAACAUGAAUAUUAAUUAAUUAAUUAUUAUACCUGGGAGUCAGGAUGUUACAAUUAGCUUAUCACGGUAUUCUCCUUUUGCAUGUUUGAAACCCACUUCCCGAGUAUUAGUUUACUCAAACCUCCACAUUUGGUCAUACUUUUAGAAGUAAGUAGUGGUUUAAUACUGUCAUGGAGUUUUAGUAUAUUGUCUAUAUUAUACUGAUUAGGCAUAGCAUAGAGACUGUGACUAACGGUCAUGAGUACUUAAUGAAGAUUUAAGUAUUGGAACAACUCGCACUUAUAGAUUACUUUAUGGAUAAAGUCACAAGUAAUUCUAAGAUGAUAAUAUCUAUUCUUCUUCAAACAAAGAUAGAUAAGGCUUUUGCUUUAGAAAUCUAUUAUGCGUUGGCCUUCUCCGAGGAUAUUUGUAGUUGGUACUAAUAAAGGGUAUGUCCAUGUGUGACAUGGUGAGUAGACAAAAUCUAUGUAAUCAAAUUGUAUUUGUUCCUUCUAUCUUGAAAGGAAAAGAGAUAUAUGGCUCCUUGAUGAUUUGGUGUUGACAUCUAAAGUGCUUAGUCGAUCCUUGAAUGAAAUUGAUGUGUUCAAUUUAGUAUCCAGAUGUAGUUAUCACAAAUAUUUAUUGGAAAACAUAAUAUUAAAUAUUAAGAUUGACCAUUAUCCAUGUCUCUGGUUCAUAUAGAUACAUUUAAGAACAAAUCAAUUGUUGAUCAUUUAUCUAAGCAUUGAAUCUUGAUUUGAUCAAAGUCAGUUGUUGCUUUAGAUACCAUGCUCUUUAUUGACUAUUUGAGAAGUGUUAGACCUUGUACUGUUGAUGACUUGUCUAAGUGGGAGACUAUUGGAAAGAGUGUCUAAGAUCACUAACCAUUGGUAAUAUUUUUAAUAAUAGUAGGGUCCUUUUGGGUUUCCCUCAUAACCGAUCUAAGUAAAAAGAAUUUAGGAGAAAUUAGUUUAUUAAUUUUUCACGGCUUGAUAAAUUAAGAAUUAAUUAACUCAAGAGGUUGAAUAUUAAUUAAUUAAAGGUUAAUGAUUGGAAUAAUCCAUAAUCAGUAAGGGAUAUGGUAAAGGACGAAAUUGGAUAGGGUUUAUCCAUAAUUUUGGAGUUGCUUUAGGACUAAACAAUUGAAGCCAAUAAAUAGGAUGUUGAGGAUCAAACCCUAUUUUGUUCAUUCUCUGCCCCUUCUCCUUGAGGUCAUCGAAUUUCUUAACCUGUCAAGGGUAGUAGAAAUUUCAAUCUAGCCUCUCUCCUAGUUUUUUUUUCUUUUUCUUUUAUUUUAUUUUAUUUUUAUUUUUUCUCUUUGGUGUUCUUGGGCGUGAACCAUUAUAAGGAUUUCAAUUUGGGUACUCCCAUCCAUGAAAGGUGUCAAGAACAAGGUUUCAAGCAAGGAUCGAGAUCAUUGGCUUCUAAAUAGGUACAUAUUUUUUCUUAAUUAUUUUAGUAAUAGCAUUAAUAGCAUGAAAUCUAGAUCCUCUCAGUUGCAUAAACACAUAGGAAUUAUUGUUUCUUUUUGUUGCACAUAAUUGUGUGUUUAGAUGUAGAAAACCUAUCAAAACGAUAUACAAAGGUUGAAAUUUUUUUGUUUUAUAAAAUCAAGUCUUUAUCAAAACCUCCCACAUAUAUUAUUUAUAAAAUCACAAGUGGACAAAAAAAAACAUUACCUUCUUCUAAAAGGAAGUGAAGAUGAUGGUGGGCGUGUUGUCCUCUAUUUGUUAGGCUCUCAUCGUAUUUCACUUUUUGUUGGUUUUAGGGUUCCUUUUUGAACCAUAUGAAAGUGCAAUUUUUGAAGUUUCGAUCAAUAAAAGAGAGACGAUGGGAACCCAAAAUUGAGUUGCGCCAAUGAUUUGGCUUUGUAGUAUGUCACCUUUCUUGAUCAUUUAAUGAAGGAAUUUAAAUAAAAGUUAUAAAGUGAUGGUGAUCGGUUUGAGUGGUCGUCGACGACGGUUGGCGACUAUAAAUUGGAGGUUGGUAGGUGGUGUGACUAAAAGAGAUGGGAAGUUCUGGCUUUGUACAUUUUUUUCGUGUUAGAAAAGUGGGAUGAAGAUGAUGACGGUGGUGAUGUUGUCAUAGGGUUUCUGAAAACUAAUAUCCCUAAUUUAAAGGGUUAUUAUUUGAAUUAGAUUUUUACCAUAAUUAAUUUACAGAUAAGAUUACUAUUAUACCCUUUUAAGAAUUAUUAAUUACUUAAUUAUUUUUAAAUUCUUAUUGUGUCCUUACGUCCGCAUAAUAUUUAUUCAUCCACAAAUGAACCUACCUACCUACCUAUAUAUAUAUAUAUAUANCUUACGUUAUUUUGUUUUUACUAACUAUUGUGUGCCAGAAUGCACAGAUCUGGACCACCGAAUAGAAUAAAAUCAAAUGUCAUGAUCUGAGGGUCUAUGAUCUUAUAAUAGGGUAACAUGUACCAUAUAAUCACCCAAAUUUCAGCAUAAGGGCAUUUUAGUCAAUUAACUCUCAUUAAAAUAGGAAAUUUUCGGAUUUUUAAGGAUAAUUAAUUCAUUUAUUUUUAAAAAUCUAAAUAUUUUAAAUUAAUUCAAAUUUGAAAAUUCGAUUUUAUUCUGUCAGAAUGACAAAAUGCCAACCAUAAAUUAGUAAAUAUAUUUUCGAUUUUAUUCUUGCAGAAUAUAUUUUCCAAUGCAUAUAUUUUUGAUAAUUAACCUGAUUUAAGAAUUCUAUAUUAUUAUUCAUAUACAUCCAAGUUGGGUCUAUGAUUUUAUUCUUAAUACACAUCCGAAAUAAAAUACAAAUUCAUACAUAAUAUCCUUAUACAUUUUAAUAUAUUUAUACACAUUCUAACAGAAUAGCAUCAAAAGAAUGAAUAAAAUUCUUAAAAAAUAGCAUUCUUGAAUAUACUAUUAUUGGACAAAUACACUUGAUCUUCUUCAGUGGUCCAUAUAAUCCACUUGAUCUUUGCAUAUAUACUUGUUGUUGAACUCGAUUCUAAAUAUUUCUCUUGUAUGAUCAAUAUUGAAUUCCUUCUUCAACCAUUCUGAAAGAAUAACAUGCACUACUUGUUAGUAUUACCAUAUAAGCAAAUAGACUUGUUGUUAACAAACAUUCUUAAAGACAUUCUUAUAGAAUGCAUUUAUAUAAAUAAAUUUUGACAGAAUACACCACGAAAUGCACUUAAAUCAUAGUUUUUUCUUCUGUAUGACAAAAAAUAAAACAAACUUUAAAUCAUAGCAUAAUGUUUUUUACUUAUUUCUAUCUUGCAACAUUUUUUUUUCACUUUUCCUAUCUUUACAAAUAAGGAGAUUGAAAUUGAAUUCUAUCAGAAUAAUAGGCAUCAAGUCGAUGAGUGUUACUAACAUCAUUCUAAAAGAAUAUUAUGUUCUCUCAUUCUGAAAGAAUUUGCAGAUUUAAAAUAACGUUCAUUAUAAAUUAUAUUGGUGGAAUACCAAACUUUCCAUGAGUUUACUAUAAGAAAAUCACCUAGACAUGUCCCGUAUGAAGAAACUUAAUAGGGCAACAAAAAAAAAUCAUUAUUUAUAACCAAAUAGAUCACAAACAUGACUAAAAAUUAAGUUGACUUUGAGAGUCAAAUGAAUACAAAUUUUAAUUAGUUAAAAGGUAAUUUGUAAUGGAAAUGGUAUAGUGAAAACUACUUUGUACUUACCAGAAGGAGAAUGCUUCUUCCUUUUCUUGAUUUGUCCAACAAGAUCAUGCCAACAAUAGUGAUAUGAAUAUGUAUUUACCAAUUAGUUAUGUAUUAACACGAUAUGAAAGAAAUGAAACCAAGAAAAAAAAACUAAGACUUAAUAGGGAUUUCACUUGCAUAAAAUCUAAUUCCAUUUAUUCCACACAAGUGUUGGCACGCCAUUAAUCCAACACCAAUCUAAAACAUACGUAAACCAAAAACAAAUUAUAAUUGAAUAAAAUUUACAAAACAUGAAAAAAGUUCUUAUGCUUACAAUAAUCAUCGCAUCAAACAAAUCCAAUACUCUAGCAUAGGAAGUUUUUGAAAAUUAAGUGUAGUCUCCCAUAUAAACAAACAAAGAAACAAGCCCAAAUUGUCAAUUUACGUUUGCACCUUUUUUCUUCCUAUCACUUUUCCUCCUACUAAUUGAAAAAAGACACUACUCAGUUAUUAUUGAUUUUGGUUCCUGCAUAAAUACAAACCUUGCAGUGCGCAUCGACCAUAUCACUUGCAAAAGCCUUACCAACACCUUAUCUAAUGCCUGAUGUGGACGGGUGCGACGAAGCUGAAGGUCGGCAACGGCAACGCUGAUGGAGGCAAUCAUGAUAACCAAGUGUAGGGUUUCUUGAUUAUUAUAGGCUCUGACUUUGAUAUCUUUUGUUUAAAGGGAUAAUAAGUAUUUUAAAUAUUUACCAUAAUUAAAUAUAGCAAAAAUUACUAUUAUACCCUUAAAGAAUUUAUUUAAUUAUUUAUUAUUUCCUAAAUUCUCAUUGGUUCUUAAAAGCACAGAAUAGUUGUUGAAACAUUUGAACCUAACUCUCUNUGUAUGUAUGUAUGUAUAUAUAUAUAUAUAUAUAUAUAUAUAUAUAUAUAUACGCUUAGGUUAUUGUGUUCUAACUAAUUAUUGUGUGUAUGUAGGAAUGAUUGUAGGCCAAUCAUUUUACUUAUUUUAAGAAACUGAUUAAUAAAUAUUAUUGAAUUAAAAAUAAUUGAAAAGUAUCAUCUAAUUUCAUUGUAAGAGUAUUUUAGUCACUUAACAGAAAUUCAAAAAAGGAAAAUUGCGAAAUUUAGAAAAUAAUUAAUUCUCUUAACUUUAAAAAUCCAACUUUUUUUAUAAUAAUUAUAUUAAUUCAGACAUUCUAAAAGAAUGUGUUGACGAUUAUCUUGAAAAAACAUUAUAUUCUGACAGAAUACUAUAAACAUAUAUUAUCAAAAUUAAUAAUUUUUAAUGAAUAAAAAAUUUAUAUGAGACGAAUUUUAAUAGUUAAGAAUCUGUAAUUACAUUCAUUCUUAAAGAAUACAACUAUGAACAUAAAUUACAUUCAUUCUGAAAGAAUACGACUAAUACGGUUAACAAUUACAUAUAUUCUUAAAUAUUGAGAAUGGAUAAAAAUCAAAUAAAACAUUAAAAUCUAAGUAAAGCACUAAUAAUUUGUAAAAGAAUGUUGUGGCAAAUUCCUUCUGACAUAAUAUAUUACUAAUCCCUUCUAAACGAAUAUUGUUGCUACUUCUCACAUAUUGACACAAUGUAUUCCUAUCUGAUGUGACUGUCGUGAGAAUAAAACGCUUUUAUCUUCAUUUCAUUACCUGCAAAAAUAAUAAGAGCAUUAUGUGAAAAACAUAUAUCAUAAUAAUAAUCCCCCAUAGGUGCACACUUUUAAAUGCAAAAGCUAUCAAAUUGCUAAAAUUGGGUAGUGCAAUGAUCUUCUUGUCUUUAGAGGCUACUAUAUAGGAACAAUGGUACUUGGUUUCUAUGGUUUGUUCAUUUGAUUACUCAAAGUUAUAAUCAUUAGCAUAUGACAAUGCACACAACGAUCACAUAAAAUGUGCUUAGGACUAGAUGAAGUGAUGAACAAAAGAAGAAAAUGGCAAAGUCAAUGAAGGCAAAGUGCCAAAGUAAACUUAUCAAUCUGUUUAGCUUAACCAUACCCAAUUUCCGGUUCAAAAUUAGCAGAAUCAGUUCAACUAAAAACAAUUUUGUGACAACCCGUUAUUUUCUAGCCUUUGAAGUCAACAAAAGUCAACCCAUGGUCAUUCACGUCCAAUAAAAUUCAAAUUAAAAAGCGUCCAAAAAUAAAAUGUUAGAUAAAUCCAAUAUCAAUGAACAAAGUGAUCGUAGUCGUAACAAGGGUUCCGAAAAUAUAAAGAACACUGAAAUCUGAGUUAUAAAGAAGAAGUUAUGACCCAUCAAAAUUUCGUGACAGAACCGGCACGACACCAUAUGUCAUAAAAAGCGAGUUUACAAUAAAACACUUUUUUUAGCCUUAACAAUCUAAAUGAAAGUUGUAGAAUACGUUAAAACGAGAGUUUACAUAAAAAGAACAUCUGAAUCUGACUUCGUAUGAUGAAGUUAUGAAUUUUCUAAGAUUCAACAUAGCAGUGUACAACCUGAAACUCGAAUUAAAGAUUGAGAUAUUUUUAGCCAACACAAUAUAGAUGAGAAUAGAAGGUCUUGUCAAUAGUAGUUCAACGGUAAAAAGACAGACGAAAACGGACGUCUGAUAAAGAAGAUAUGAAUUUUAACAGUCUUUUCGUGUCCCGGCCUGUUAAAAAUAUAAUAUUAAAAAUAAAUUCAAAGUUAGCCGACGAAGUCUAAACAAAAGUUUUAGAGUAUAAUCUCACCUACGUGUGGAUAUAAAGAACGUCAAAAGUUGAGUUCGUAUGCGAAAUAUAUGAAUUUUUGAAGUUUGAGGCAUAAUUUUCGAGGCUGGACCAGAGGUGUACACCCCGCGUACAAGAAGUACGCCCAGCGUACUCGGAAACAAGGCUAGGAGCCGGCCACAUCACCCUUCCCUCGCACCGUUGACACGUAUCUCGAACGUUUGACAUUUCCGAAGCCCGGUAUCCGAACACGCGCCACGUAUCAUGUACGCACAACGUACGAGGGUACACCUUGCGUACCGAGUACGCUCAAUGUUUUGUAAUUACGCCUUGAGUAAUGCGAGGUUCAGCCAACCAUAAAAGGAAUGCGAGGUCUCCGGAUUUGGUUUACAAAUUCCACUUCUCCUUUCACUUUAAACACCCUUUCAAGCUACUUUUAACCCCCCGAAGCCUAGGGAAACCCCCUAACACCCGAAGAGCCCGUAGCCCCGAAGUCCACGAGAAAAUAAUCUUUUCCGGUCGAAACUAUGCCUGUGUAGAGCCCGGUUUUCAGCAAGAUUUCCCGGUAUCACCAAGAAAAACCAUUAAUAGCAACGAAGUGCUGCCCAAAUCUUCAUCUUAUCAAGUGAGUUCAUACCCCUACUUUUACAUGUCUUUUUCCACGUUUUAGGGGGGAAUACAAGUAAACGCACGGAAACUCAUGUUAAACUACAAACUUUUGCUAUGGUUUUCUUACAGUUGUUAUAACUAUUAUAUGAAAACAUUAGCAUGCGAAACAUCUUAUGACACCAACAGUCAUAAGUUUAAAUGAAAGAUACAUCUUAAACUAUAAUAGGUAUAGUUUUGGGAAACAUUCACAUUAUUUUACUAUUUCAGGGAAAAGAAAAUGAUUAUAUAAGAAUAUGAUUAUUUUUAUAUAUUACAAAAAGAGUAACAAUUUCAGCUUACUUUUUUAUAUGUUAAGGGGAGGAAUACAAGUAUAACACAAGAAAUAUUGUGAUUAAAAAAAUAAAUUGUUUAUUACAUUCUCUUAUACUUUAUAAAAAAUUUAUACAAAAAUCUAAAUAAACGUUAUUAUCAAACUUUUAAACUUUUUAAGUUGUAAUAAUAACAAGGUUUUAUUUACAUAAAUAACAUGCAUACAAACUAUAAUAGGUAUAGUUUAUAGAGAUUACAGGUUAUUUUUCUAUGAAGGAAAAAUGAUAUGAAAACAAGCAUAUAAGUUAUAAUAAGUAUAAUUUAUGAGUAGUUCCACAAUGUUUAUCGUAAUCGGAUAUAAAUAAAAAGUUACAUUUUUAUUUACAAAAAGGUUUUUCACCGUAUUACUCGUGAACUCGUUGUUAGUGGUAGAUUUGUGAGACAAUGGCUUUUCGUUGUACCCACGAAAGUCCCCACUUAUGAACCAGAGUCUCCUGAGGGAGAGCAUGAAUUUGUGUAUAGAUCUAUACAGGACUGACGAUCUCAUGCCCUAAUUGUUAGCUACAGUCUCUGAGGUAACAAAUGUCAUAACAUUCGAUGCCUGGAUAAUAUCACAUCAGGCAUAUCCCUCAUAAAAGUAUGCUUAUAAGAACUUACAUGGCGGAAACAAUGACUUAUUCACAUAGUAAUAUGCUUCUCAAACAAACUUAAGGGGUAGUAUUUAUAUGAUUACUCUAUAUGUAUCUCAUAUGUACUAAGUAAUCAUAGUAAAACUAAGUAUGGUAAUAUAUUUACACUUUUCAGUCUUGGAUAAUAUUAGACUGCAACUCAACUUAUGGAAAAUAUAGGAUUUUCUGGGAAAACUAUCAUUGUUUUACAAGCAUAUAGUUUAUGAUUCAACUUUCUAAACAUAUAUAUUUUGGUUUCAAGUCAUAAGACUACAUUCCAUUUUAUUAAGAAAAUAUAGGAUGUUUUGGAUAAACACUCGAAGGUUUACAAGAAACAAUGAACAUAUUCUCUUAAGCUAAAUACUUAAGAACUCACCAACUUUAAUGCUGACACUUUUUCAAACCAUUUGUAUUCUUAGGAAAGAUAGUUGACAGGUACUCUCUCGGGCAUUUCGAAGAGGGAGCAUAGUAGCAUUUUGUAUUAUCUUUUUCUAUAGUAUUAAUGUUAAACAAGUAAUGUUUUGAAUACGAUGUAAAUACUAUGUUAUGAAUACAAUGGUUGUUGCUUUGAUUACUAUUAUACAUUUGUUGUGACAUUGUACAUGACGUCCUCCGCCCCCGAACGGUUUCGCCGUUCCUGUUUCGGGGUGUGACAAAUUUCAUGUUCGAAAAAUAAACUUAAAGUCUUUAAACCAAUCUGAUUCACAUUAUUGGCUAUUCAACAAAAUCAACAAACAAUUGAAUCUUAACUUUAUCAAAUCCAGCAUUCUUGGGAAUUCUUAGAUGAAAAACGUUAAAUACACAAUGACAUAUGUUACAAAACUAAACAAAAUAAAGUUUAGAAUGUUAAGAAAGUUACCACGAUCAGAAUAAUUGUUCUGGGUAGAAAACCGAUUUCUAGGGUAGGACAAUAACGAAAACGAACUUGAAGCACCAAUCGAAGAAAUGCAAUCUGGAAACAAGCGGACUGAUAUAGGAGGGAUUCGAUGGUGACUGAGGAUAUGGUAGCAUUGGGGACAAUGGAUUUGCCAUUCAUAAUGGGUUCUAUUUUUGUUAGGAUGAGAAGUAUGAAGGAUGAGUGAACUAAGAAGGGAGGGAUGCAACAAAUUAGAGGGUUUGAUUAUUUUUUUUUUUUGGGAAAGAAGAUCGUGAAACCUGUAGCAGCAGGGAAGAAGGAGGAUUGCGACGGUGAUGGAGUCAUCCGAGUUAAGAACACAAGAUGUAAAAGAUCGACAGAGAGGAGGAACCAACGAAGGAAUGAAUAAACCAAUGUGAGAUUUAAGGGGGUAGGUUAUAGAGAUGGCAACGUGAAUCAAGGGGAUAUCCCUUUAAUUUGAUUAAUUAACAUAAAUAAUUAAUGUGUGAUAUUACUAGUUUACCCUUAUUUUAAGUUUUGAAAUGAUUGAUCCAUAUUUAUUCUUAUAUCCACACAAUAACUAGUUAGAACAUAUUGACCNUAUAUAUAUAUAUAUAUCAUACAUACUUAUAAAGCUAGCAUUUUUUCUUAAAUCUUAUGCAUUUGAAACCCUCUUUUUUAACUUCCUCAAACCACAUUCAUUUGAAACCCCCUUUUUUAACUAAUGCAACUCAAAAGUUUUCUUAAUUAUGAUUUAACACUCAAAAGUUUUAUAGCUUAUAUUAUGUUUAAUUAGCAUUUAGUGAAAAGUUGACAAUAAAAAGGCCAAUCUUUUGGGAAAACAUGCAUACAAAUCAUAUACAAAUUUCAGAAAGAAAAAAAACAAACUUAAAGGUUUUUGUGUUGGAUUGAGGUCUUAUGACCACUUUUGGAGAUAUGUUAUUAUAUUAGAGCUUUUAAUUUGUAAGUUUGUUAUAAUAAUUCGUUUUUAUAUUUUCUUCGUUUUUGGAUUAUUACUUCUCAUGAGCUUUUGGUAAAUCAACCAUAAAGUUAUUUAUAAGUUAGAGCAAUUAACUUUGUUAACAUGUAUGUAUAUUUAUUUUGUCUCUCUCUUUUUAUGUUAAAAAAAAUAUUUUAUGUACAAGAGAACAUUAUUCAACAUGCAUUUUAUGGUAUGUAUAUACUAUGUUAGUUUCUAUUUCUUAUUUUGUAAAUAACAUCGAUGGAGUAAUUUACCUUUAUAUUUUACACUACAUUCAAAAGUUUUUUACACUUAUGGUUAUUAAUGUGCAAUGCUUUUUUAUUUUCCACUUAUUUAAUAUACACAUUAUAGCUAUAUUAGUAGUAUAUAAGUAAGUUUUGAUUAAAGUAUCAUAUGUUUGAAAAGAUUUGUGAUUCAAAAUGAAAGAGUUGAAAAAAAAGUUGUCAUAGUUACUAAUCGACUUAUUUUAAAACUCUUGAUGACAUUUAUGUAUAAUGAUAUAUUUUGUAUGACUUCAUUCUUAAUUUCAAUGUUGAAUAUUUGAAAGUUCAUAUAUGAAACUUUGGAUGUUUUGGUGUAAUAUAAAUAGUAUAAUACAAAGUUUAUUAGUUCAAUAUUGUUUAUUAAUAGCUCAUUCAAAACAACUUAUUUCGUAUUUUUUCCAAAAAAAUAUUAUCGGAUAUAAGAAAGGUAGAUUAUAUUAAUGUUAUACAAAUAUUUAUAACAUAUAUUAGAUAGUAUAAAAGUAAAAUAAACGUUUAUAAGGUAUGAACUAUAUUAGAUAGUAUCAAAAUAUAAGUUGAUGGAUUUUUAUAUUAUUUGAUAAUUCGGUUAAUGCGCAAAACAUGACUAAAAACGUAAAUUUCAACGUAUUUCUAUUUUUUCCCAUAAUUAUUUCAACCACUUAAAUGCAUUGCUGCGCAACGCGAGGUUACGCCUAGUGUAUAUAUAUAUAUAUAUAUAUAUANUAUAUAUAUAUAUAUAUAUAUGUAUUACAUGCCAUUGUUGAAAGCCUUCACACACCUAACCCACCUUUGGUGUGAAUGGCAAAAUUUAUGAUAUCGGGGACUUAAAAACCUCUGCCAAAUUACAUUAUACUUUGGAAUUUUUUUUUUGAAAUGACAGACUAACUAAUCUACUCCUAAAUAACCACCUAUGUCUCCACCGAGACUUGAACCUCUGACCUCUCAUAUGAGAUGGUCACUCCAUACUACUAAGAAGUCAAAAAUAAUAUGUAGAUAAGAGACUGCACCUUUCUAGCUAGCUUUUUCUCAAAUUUGCAAAGAACACCACCACUUUAACAUAAAUCCAGUCUUUGAAGCUAUCAUAAAAAUUAAAGAAAGCAUCUCCCUCGACGGUUGAGAAGUAAAGUGCCACAAGCUAUCCAAAAUCCAGUGGCAAAACCCAUGCCCCCACCAAUAUAAAGCCAUCCCCGAGGUUCAUCACCCUCGCUUUUACUAAGUACCGAUGAUGAUUCUGAUUCUCUAUCUCCUUCUUUAUCUCCUGGACAUUUUUUUGGUAAGAGGAGGUCCACAUAGUCUUGUGUUUCCAUCAUAUCUUGAAGGUUGAAAGGACUGGAGUUGAGUGCUCGUUGGGAUUCUCCCUGACAAGUUAUUAAAUGAAACGUCUAGAUAAUUCAAUAAAGUCAUUUGAGACAUGCUUGGUGGUAUAUGCCCUGAAAAACUGUUUCUGGAUAAAUCUAAAGUCAAACGCUUUUUUAUCUCACCAAUUUUUUCUGGAAUCUCUCCAAAUAAAGCAUUCUUUGACAAGUUCAUGACAAUUAAGUCAUAAAUAUUGGUAAUUUCAUAUGGGAGUUGUCCUGUUAGUUUGUUGCUUGACAGGUCAAUGCUCUUCACCAAUUUCACAGUGCUAAAGAAUUCACGUUCAUCUCCUUGCCACUCAAUCAUAGCAUGGUCAACAUAUAUCUCAGGUUCAUAUGAAUACCUACUUUCAAUUUUAUAAUGAUCUAAACCUUGUGAGAAUCCUUGUUGAACCAUGCUCGUAAGAUUACUGAAACAUGAGGGGAUGCUUCCAUGGAGAUUGUUCAUUGACAAGUCUAGAAUUUGAACAUUUUCUAAUUGACAUAAUUCUAAAGGGAUGGUUCCGAAGAAGUUGUUUGAUCUCAGGAUAAGAACAUACAACCCCGAUAAAUUUUCCCCAAUCCAGACAGGAACAUUACGAGAAAACUUGUUGGCCCCCAAAUUCAACGACUUUAGACUUGUGCAAGUUUUUAAUGACAAAGGCAAUCCUCCAGAGAAGUCGUUCUCGUAUAAAUAUAACACCUUGAGUUGUAUCAAAGAUCCAAUGGAGGGAGGAAUCCGUCCAAAGAGAUUGUUGUGUCCAAUAUUAAGAACUUGUAGUCCUUUGAAACGCCACAAACAGUCUGGGAGUUGUCCGAUUAAUGAGUUAUGAGAGAGGUCAAGAAAUGAUAAGAACCCACCAACAAUUUGGCAUAUAAAGGAGAUUCCUCCAGUGAAACAAUUGUUUCUGGAAAGAUUUAAUGUUGACAAAGUGGAAGAAACAUUUGGUAUCGGACCAGAAAACCUGUUGGAACUCAAAUCUAUCUCUGAAUCGUUGGCAAAAUUUGAUGAUAAAUCCAGUACUGUCUCGCUAAUGUUGUUGGAUGAGAGAUUCAGAUAUUGUAAUUGAGAAGGCCACAUGUCCCAAAACUCGAGAGGAGCUGUGUCUGAAAUUCCAGUAGUAGAAAUGUCAAGAACGGUAAGAUUUUUGAAUGUCUGAAUCCAUUUGGGGAAGCGAGGCCCUAGCAGCUUGCAAGACCUCAGAUAAAUAGAUUGUAGAUAAGAAAGGCGUGACAAGUGGUACUUGGAAGGAACUGUAAGAUUAUUAUAAGAAAGGUCAAGGUAUUCAAGCCUUGGUAGUUUCCAUAAUUUCUCACUUAUACUUCCAUUUAAUUGACUACGAGACAGGUACAAGUAUUGUAGGGAUGAAAACUUUUGAAUCUCAUCGGACAACGACCCUGUAAAUUUGUUGUCUCGAGCAAACAACCCUUGUAAUAUAAGUGUUGCACGUCCAGACAAGUUGUGGAGAAAAUCAGGAAAUUUGACAACACUAGAGUUGUUAUUGAAUUCCAACUGCUCCAAACUACAGAGGUUACCAAGAUAUUUGGGCAUCCCAUCUAAAAUAUUGUCAGACAGAUAAAGGCACUGGAGCUUAUUGCUAGUUAAUGGGAACAACCAAUGAUACAUGGAUGAUGUGAGAUUGUUACCACUAAGAUCAAGGUCUUCAAUAGAUGAAGAAGAAGAAGAGUUGAGAAAUGAAGAAGAAUAUGGAUACAUGACUUGUGACAGCUCACAUCUCCCUAAACUUAACCAUGAUAGUUUUGGGAGACUCAGAAUUACAUCUACCCAUUCAUUUGCUUUGGCUAGGGAAAUUCCAUCCAUUUGAAGUUUCUCCAAAUGAGAGAGACGAGAUAACCACUCUAUGUUUUCAACUCUACAUCCUCCAACAUAUCUAACGGAAAGCACUUGCAAGUUGGUGAGGUUUCCAAAAUCUGGAGGAAUGGUUCCAUAAAGAGAGUUAGAUGAAAGGUCAAGAUACCUUAAUUCUCUUAAGGAACUAAUGGACCUGGGAAUGGUUCCAUUCAAAAAAUUGUAGUGAAGAUCAAGAUGAUUUGAGUAGGUUAAGUUUAGCAAUGAAUGGCUUAACUCACCUCCAAGUUGACCAUACCUAAAAUCAAGCCCUAUGACACAACCUGUUUGGUUGUUGCACGUGACUCCACUCCAUUUACAGCAUUCAUCAUCUUCUACUGUCCAUGAAGAGAGACGACCAUCAGGGUCUUGAAGGGGAGCUUUAAUUAAGGAGGGCAAGUCUCUCCUUAUCCAAACACUUGUUCAUAAUAACAUUAUGAUCAUGAUCUCCUCCUCCUCCUCCUCCUACCACAUCUACCAAUUGGCUGGCAGUUGUAGUAUCAAGGUUUAGCAAAACAAGUGAGAAAAUUAUAAAAAAACAAGGAUUCAUAAUGUAAAUCAAAAUCUUUGUGAUUUUUGGAUUGUAUUGAUGCAUAUAUGCACUGCCCCCAUGAGAGUUUAUAUAGUCUCCACUAUGAAGAUGGAAGAUUGUACGUGGGUGGCCUCAAUUGGUUGAUACUUGUGUGGGGCACACAUUACCUAAUUGCUUUGAAAUUAGAACCAUGCUAUAAGAAAAAUCAAAGAUGAGGAUUGGAAUUAAUUAUUUAAUUACACGUUCUUAGACUUAAAAGUUUUGGCAAUUUGUAGUUAAUAUAAAUAUCUUUUCUCAUCUUGUGAUAUUUUGCGAUUUGUAUCUAUUAUCAAUAUUUUUUGCAUCACACGAUUUUAAUCAUUCAAGAGUUUUCUAUUGCAAUUUUGAUCUUUAUUUGAGGUUGUUAUAGCGUUUUUAGUUCCUAUACAGAGUAAAAUAACUAUUUUUGGGACCAAAAUUGCAAACAUCAUUUACACUUAGGGACCAAAAAUUGUUAUUAACUACUUCAAAUAACAACCAAAAUUGCGAAAUCAGCUUUACUCAAGGACCAAAACUGUAAUUUUACUCUUUUUUUAAACUUUCUACGCUCCCAAGAAGUAUUGGAUAAAGAUUUCACAGUUAAAUUUGAAACAAUAAUCAAGUAAUUUUUCUCAUCUAUUAGGAGAAUUCGAAAAUAAUGGUAUUUUAUAAUUAUUACCUUUUAUUCUCAGCCGUUUCUUUCUCAUGUAGUCAUCCAGGGGCCAUGUGCUGCAAAUAAAACAGACAAAUAAAUAACAGAAAACAAAAUGAAAAUUAUUCAAAAUUCGUCUUACAGUUUUUAUAGUAUUUACAUUGACUUCUUAUUGGAUGCAUACAUCUAUUUGCAGUUUGUUGUUUGGUAGAAGUGUUGUCACCAUUCUUCAUUCACCAAAACCAGAAAAAAAAAAAAAAAAAAAAAAAAAAAAAAAAAAAAAAAAAGGUAUUAGUUAAUGAUGCAAAUAUGAAGAGUAUUUGUAAUAAAUAUUUAAAAAUAAAUAAAUAAAUCACCACUGAUAUAUCCUUUUGGUCAUUCAUCUCACGUACUGCAGCCACUGCUUGAAGCUCCAAAUUCAUGGUUUUAAGCAAUGCAUCUGUGCAGGUGAGUUGAUGUUGCAGUGUUUUUAACUGUGAUGACCAAAAAAGUAUGCAGUAAGUUACAUUUUUGUUCCCUACUACGGCUGAUUUAUUCAAUUUUAGUCUGAAAAAGCUUUCUUCCUUGUAAUAGGUUCCAAAUAAAAUGACUAUAACUAUAGUCAGCUAUGGACCAAAAUGUUACAAGAACCUCAAAUAAUGACCAAAAUUGCAAAAAUCAGCUAUAGUCAGGGACCAAAAACAUUUUAUUUUACUCUGAAAUAUAUGUAACAUACAGAUACAGAAAUUUUCAUUUUGCAACAAAACUUACCUUCUGUUUAGCUAAAUUAAAUCAGGUACAGAUACGGAAGUACAAUGUUAAGUAAGAUGCUAUAAUACAAAAAUAUAUGACAAAUACAUUGUUACUUCUUGCAUUUAACCCAUGAUGUAAUCACAAAAAUAAAUCAUCAACCACAGAUCUUUCAAAUCCUAAUGUUUUUACAAUGGUUUAAUAAGUGUAAAAUUAGUACAUACAAAAUACAAAGAAUUACGGAGAAUUAAUUUUUUUGUCUGUGAUAAGCUUCAAAAUGAUGUUUCUAUCACUCAACAAGAUCUGGGUCAGAACAACAGCAAUGUUUUAAUUUGGAUGACAACUGACAAGGGUUCACAUCUGACAUACCACAGUUUGUGUAAUUCUCAAAUUGAUGUUUUCAUCACUAAUUGCUAUAGAUCGUUUUUAUAAUUAAGUUCAUAUGUUGUUUGUAAUAUGCAUAAAUCAGAAUAAUGCAUAUUAGUUUAAUGAACAAAUGUUUGUAUGCAAUGUGGGUUAUCUAAGUUGUAUAGAAGAAAAGAAUAUUACAACAUUGGUUUUUGGUUUUUAAAACUGAUCCCUACAAAAACAGACCAAUAAUUAUUUUGGUUUUAAAACCUAAACCAAAACAAAUCGAACCAAACCAUGUGCAAAAUCCAAUCAUAGUGAAAAACUAAACCAUAUUGAUUUAAAAACCAGUACCAAAACGUAAUUAGCUGAUAAGUUGUUUUUCAGUGUUUGACCUCACAUCUAUUUACCAAAACAAAUCUAUCUUUGUCACGUGUACUACUAAAGAUUCAUAAGAUACCAUAAGAAUAUUAACAGUGUCCAUGUGUGAAAGCAAAUUUUAAAACAACGUAAAUGCUAAUUUUGUUUGAUUUUUCAUUUUGCAACUGCCUGUGCGUGUCAGUGUGUGUGUGCAUUUGAAGAUAUAUAAAACGUCAUUCUAGAAGAACAUUACCUCACUUACCAAAGACAUUCUAAUCCCAUCUUGUUAAGGGCACACACAAAAUGAGGUUCUCCAGGUAUUUGAAUGCUAACAUCUUCUCAAUUGCUGUCUUCCUCUCCACCUAAAUCACUUCCAUUUACAUCAUUUUCCACUUGGUCCAUACUUUGCACUUCACUAUUACCUGAAAGGCAUUAGCAUUUUAGUCCCAACAAGAUUCUAAUAACUUCCAUUCGACAUAUGCCUGCUUAAACAAUACAUAUAUAUAAUAGAAAUCAAGAGCAAUACCCCUGUUUUGGCGAAUUGAGCCCGUUUUACAAGAUACAAACCCAGUUAUAAUUACUAACAGCCUCAUUGUCUCGAAAUCUAUCAACAGUCAGUACCAUUAGUCAGAUCAAUAGAAGCAACCAACAGUUUAUGCCAAAAAUGCUGCAAAGGAGCAAGAAAAUCAUACUUUGCCACACCCUCAUAAAAAGGAUUAAAUAUAUAUAAUUAAUAACAAAAGGGCUUCUGGCCCUGGUAUCAGGUGGUGCCCUUCCUCUUUCAGGUUGAGGUUAAAGUCUCGUCGUAGACAUAGGUGAAAUUAGGUGUUAGCUUAGGAUUAGAUAUAUUUGUCGGUUCAAAAAAAAUUUAUUAUAUAAUUAAUAAAAUAUUAAAUGACAAGAACGGUCCCUAAUCUUUCCCAAAGGUUGUAAUAUUGAUCGUAUAGAGUGAAAGCUUCCUAAAAAUGUCCCUAAAGUUGUUUACUGUUUCAGAAAUCGUCCCCCUCCUUAAACCCAUUUCAGGCAUCUUUCAGCAUAAGUUAAACCCCCCAUAUACAAAUAAAUUAAAGUACGUUGCUAUUUAUUGUAUUUAUCUCAACAACAUUAACUUUAAAAAAUAUCAAAAAUAAAAUGAGGUAUAUCUUUCACCUUUUUAUUUAUGUUUUCUUUUGUUCGAAAAACCAAAAGUUUUUAAUAAGAAAACUAGCAAGGAGAGAACUGUAGAGAGUAAUACAAAAGAUUAAGAUUGGCUCUUUUAUUACAAAGAGACGAAAACCACGAAUAACUAAUUUACGUAACAUAAUCAAAUACAUUCCAAACGCAUCACCUUCUCUAAAGACUAUGUCACCGUACAUCCAAAGUAGUUAGAUAACAAUAUGUCGAAACAUUUGCUAUCCUUUAGGAGUUAAAAAUAACAUUUUUCUAGUUUACUUAAAAAAAGUAUUUAUCGGGCAUAAAUUUUUCUUAGAAAUCCUCCAAAACCUUGUAGCGACAACAAAUUGAAGAACUGAUAGAUGGAAACAACAUUUUUUUAAGGAAAAAAACGGUAUUAAAACCCGUGUCAAAUUUAUUGAUAUGUUGAACUUAAAACCCCCUCAAAUUACAUUAUAUACCGAUAUUAAAAGCCAAAACUAAAAAUUAGACGAAAACUACAUCUGUCUAGCCUUUUGUAAAUUUGAAAUGAAUGCCACUACCUUCACAUAAACCCUAUCUUUGAAGUUAUCAUAACAGUGAAAAAAAGCAUGUCUUCCACGACGGUUGACAAGUAAAGCGCCACAUGCUAUCCAAAAUCCAGUAGCAAAACCGGUCCCCCCACCAAUAUAAAACCAUCCCCAAAUUUCAUCUCCACCUUCCCCAUCACCCACACUUUCACCAACGACAGGUGGCACUUUUAAAUCUUCAUCAUCAGGACAUUUUUUGUUAAGAGGAGGUCCACAUAGUCCUACAUUUCCAUCGUAUCUUGAAGGUUCAAAGGACUGGAGCUGUGUGCUAGAUGGGAUUCUCCCUUUCAAGUUAUUAAAUGACAUGUCUAGGUAAUUCAGUAAGCUCAUCUGAGACAUGCUUGAUGGUAUCUGCCCUGAAAAAUUGUUUCUAGAUAAAUCCAAAGUCAAAAGAUUUUUCAUAUCACCAAUUUUCUGUGGAAUAUCUCCAAAUAGAUCGUUGUUUGACAAGUUUAGAGAAAUCAAGUCAUGAAGAUUGGUAAUUUCGUAUGGGAUUUGUCCUGCUAAAUUGUUGCUUGAAAGGUCAAUGCUCUUCACCAAUUUUAGAGUGUUAAAGAAUUCCCGUUCAUCUCCUUGCCACCUAAUCAUCGCAUUGUCAACAUAUGUCGUCCAAACAUAUGUUUGACCUCCUUCAGUUCUAUAUACCUUUAUAUCUUGUGAGAAUCCUUGUAGAACCAUGCUCGUAAGAUUACUCAAAUACGAGGGUAUGGUUCCAUAGAG